GGGUUGCAGAGAGGUCGAGUGGGUACUCGGCCACGUGGUGGCGCUUGAAAUCGUAAGCGCCGGUGCCGUAUACUUUCGUCAUUUCUUAAGUUACUGAGACGAGCGCGAAAUUUAGGUUUUUUUGUUUUCAAUUCAAAGGUGACAUUAGGGAUUUUCAGAGUAUACAGAGAGAGAGAGAGAGAGAGAGAGAGAGAGAGAUAAACCCUGGUGGAUUAGUGGCGGUGAGAUUUCAUAAAGGUAGAGAUGGGUAAUCGGGUUUUACUAUUGGGUAGUUCUUAUUAUGGGCCAUUUUGGGGUCUAGGGUUCGAAUAUAAUACUUGGGCUGGGCUUGUGCAUGCUUUCUUUUUUGUUUAUAGUAUUUGUUUGUUUUAUAGCUGUAAAAUUCAUACCGCCGUAGAACAACCGGAGGCUUGAUUAUUUGGAUUAAAGAAAAACUUGAAAAACAAAAAAAAUAGCUGAUCUCAUAAAAAAAACCUUGGGUUAAAUUACUGAUUUGUUCGACUACUUGUACAGUCAGAUCUUGUAAAAAACUUUUUACUAAAAGGAACUUUUUUAAAUCAUAGACAAUUAGUAAUUAAAAAUAUAUAUAAGAUUCUAGAUUUUCAUCAGACAAUUAAACAAUACAAUUUAUUUUAGGUAAAAUAUAUUUAGGAUGCUAAUGUCUUUCUUGAUGCAACUAAUCCCCGUACUUAAUCUCUAAGACUAUUUAGGAUUUUUAAUAACAAAAAUACUAGAUGGCAACUCUAUUUUUAUUUUUCACUGAAAAAUAAAAAUUCUUUGUUUGUUAUAUUUGACAGAUAAAUACACAUUUCUAAAAAUAAACGAUCGCUGCGAUGCCAUGGCGUACGACAAUCGAUUUAAUUACAAGAACAAUUAACCAAUAAAAAUAGUGCAAACGGGACAAAAAAAAAUCCUAGGAAAACUUUCCCUUUUUCCAGGGAUAAUAAAAACUGAAAAAAAAGUAUAAAAAAAAUGUUUUUUUAUAUAUAAAAAUGGAAAUUGUUAGUGAGAUGAGCUUGAAAACUCAAUUUCCAAAGAUAACUAUCCUUAUCUAACGGAAAUUCAAAAAACCAGACCUUAAAAUAAAUUUAGAUUUAAUUUUUGUAGAGUGGUAUUAAGUAUUAAUAUUAUUUUGAAUUAUUAAACUUUUUUUGUAGUGCAUUAAAAAAAAAUUAUUGGAAUCUUGGAAGGUUUAUUAAAGAAAUUUUUUUAAGAAGCUAUAAAAUUUUAUGAAGAAUUGAUAUUUGAUAACAACAGUAUGAUCAAGUUUCAAGAAGUUAAACAAAUAAGUGAUUUACUUUAAAUAUUAUUUCAAUAUAUGGCUACUACUUUUAUUAAUUUAUAUAAGAGAAUGAUUUUGACUCUGCGAAGAGAAAAGUCGCCUUGUCUCAUACAGGAUUGUUUGUAGUGACUUUAAGCUACUUAUAGAGACAGCCGUAAGAAAAUAUAAGGAAUACAAGAGAUAAAAUAUAAAAAUCGCCAAUCAUCAUGAUAAAACAAAAACAAAAACAAAAACAAAAUUCCUCAAUAAUUUUCUUGCACCAUGCAUGAAUGUGUCUUGUUAUCGGAGGUUCGCUAUACAUUACUCUCAAGUUCUAACCAAAUCACCCUAAUUUUCUACUAAGAGUAUAUAAUUGGACAAUUUUUGAAAAUCGUAGAAACGAGAGCAAUUUUACACACAUGCACGCACUACUAGUAAUAAAAGCAUACAACCAUCACUGUGCACGCAUGUUACUCUCGUGAUGCUUUACAUGUUUAUUGGAUUUGAAUGAUGUUUAGUGGACCAUGAGAUUAGUCGUGGUACGUGCAAGCUGACCCGGACACCCACAUAAAAAAAAAAACAUACAACCAUCUAGUAGUUAGUCUAGUAAUAAAAGCUUGAGAUCAAAAUAUUUGUUCUCUCUGAUGUUUCAGGUUUGAGCCCUAUGAUUGCUAAUGUGAUGAUCACUAGAUGACUUAUAUAAUCACUAAUUUCAUGGCCUGUGAAAUUAAUCGAGGUGCGUACAAACUGGUCCGGACACUCAUAAUAAUAAUAAAAAAAAAACACAUGAAGCACAAAAUUAUGUAACAAAAGGAAAAAAAAAAAAAAAGACAGCAGAUUAUAUAUGGCAUCAAUAUUAACAAAACACGAAAAUAUAUAUAGCAAGAUUAGCUAAGAAUUAUUCAUUUAUUUAAAGAAAACUACAAAAAGUUGUGUUUCUAGCAAGCAAUUUAUUUGGACUCACAGCAACAUUAUUAUCUUAUGUCAACCAGUCGAGUCUCUUUAUAUAAUUCUUGUUAUCAUUGCAGAAAUAGAUCCCGUCGUCUUCUGUCUUCCAGUAGCAGGAUUUAGUAUGACAACAUGUGCUUGAUUCCAUGCUAUCAGUGAAAACAUUCGCAAAUCGAUGCUUUUCGGCCCAUUUGAAAUCACAAUGAAAUAUAGUUUUGCCAAGGUUGCGAGACCGAACUUGGAAGUUGAAGUCUCCUCCGAUAUAGAGAGUAUGGUUUCCAAGGUCAUUAUUGUCCUGAGACCAGCAAUGAAGGCUCAGUGGGUUCUUAUUGCUGCUAAAAGCCAUUGAUUAUAUGACCCUAAACUUGAAGCAAAAAACUAUUUAUUAUCAUUGAAGGGUAUUUGGCUUGGACCCCCAUGCAAGAACAGGGCAAGAUAUUGCUAGAAGGAAAAGGAGAGGGAAGGAAGCGCUCAGGCUGGAAGAUGCCAUGCUUGCAGGUAUUUUGUGUAUGAGCCACUUCACGGUGCUGAAGUUUAUAUAGAAAAGUAAUGGUGGUGAGGAUAAGACACGUUUAUCCGCAAAAUCCAUCAUUUCUUUUAAUUUUACAUUUACCUUUCAUGGACGCCUUUUCAUUUGUAAUCUAGAAGAGGAAAACAUAAAUUAAGAUAAACACCAAUCAAAACAAAAAAAAAGAGAAAAAUGUAUAAUUAACAUAUAUUAAGUUGAAAUCUUAUACGCCAAACUUUGUUUUUCCAAAUUAUUAAAAAUUAUUGAUGUUGACCAACAUGUUUAAAUAGAAUUUAACCGGGUCGAUCGUAUCAUAAAAAACAUAGUGAAGUCAAUUAGGAUUCACAAAAUCAAUUGUUUUUGAAUUCAACUAAUUGAAACUUGAUUUAAUUUAAAAAAUUAAUUGUUUGUGAAUUCAACUUCAACAAAUCAACAACUUAUACACGCACCCCUUUUGAUUUGCAUCAUAAAAUCUAGAAAAGGAAAACAUAAAUUAAGAUAAACACCAAUCAAAUAAAAAAAAAAGUAUAAUUAACAUAUAUAGUUAGAAAUCUUAACGCCAAACUUUUUUUUCCAAAUUAUUAAAAAAUCAUUGAUGUUGACUCAAUCAUAUUUAAAUAAAAUUUAACCAACAUGUCACAUAAAACAUACUCAGGUCAACUAGAAUUUACCAAGUUAAUUGUUUUCAAUUCAACUCAAAACUUGAUUCAAUUCAACUAUUGAAUGUAAACCUCCAAUUGAAAAUUUUCAUGGUGCUCGUAAAAUUCAAUGGAAAAUAUUAUCACGUUAAUUGAAUAAUAAGAAAUAAAAUAAAAAUAGAAGUAAGUACGUAGUUGGGAUGAGAUUUUUAAUUAUUAAAUAAUGACUUUUGACAUUAAAAAUGAAAAGGAGAUACAACUUUCAUGUCGUGAGGAUCCACUUAAAAUUUUUUGGUGUUCGUUAAAUAAUGAAGAAUUUACUCGAUGAUGAAAUGAGUUGUAAAACCCCCCACGUAAAUAUAGACCCAAAAAUAAUAAGAUCUCGUAAAGUAAUGGAAACUCAGGACAAAAAAUAAAAUAAAUAAAUUUAAUAUAUAAUGGAGGAGAUAAUUUCUAUAAAUAAAUUUAAAAGUGUUAUUGAAGUUAAAAUAAGAGUUAUAAAUUUUUAUUUAAAAUUUAUAACGUCAAUUGAACUAGUAACGAGUUUGAGUUUUGAUGGAUAUAAGAAUUUGAAGAAUUUAAAAUAAAAAAGUUUUUUAAAAUGAGAAAAUAAUUCUAAGAAAUUAUAAGAAAGAAUUGCAUGAAAAGAGUGUUAGUAUAAACCCCAAUAAAAAUCAAUAACGUUAUCAUGAAAUUAAAAUAAGUCCGUAAAUAAAAUAAAUGAUAAUAAAAUAAAAUAAAUAUAUUUUAAAAUAAAAAAAUAAUCCUAGAAAUUUAAUAAAAAAUUAAUACGAUCCAUAAAACAAGAAAUUUAAAUUUAGAUAUUGGGAUGGGUUUCCCAAUACACAGGGUUUAAAAACUCUACUCCUUCCUAGCUAUAUCUAGAGCGAAAGCUGCUGGAAAACUAGCUGAGAAAAGAGAAGAGAGAAAAGCCAAGUUUAACACCAUAAAAUUCCAGAGAGAAAGCAUGAUUUAGGCAUGGUAGAUCAGUGAUUAACAUAAUAAAUCACAAGAUUAAAAGAGGAAAAUCACAAUAGCACUGUCCAUAGAAUCCUAACUAAUUUCCCCAUCAGUCACCCCUCUUUAAUUCUCCUUGAUUAUGGAGGACUUUAACCUUCUGCUCUCUUCCUACGAGUAACAUAACAUGUUGGGCUUGCAAGUCCUUGAUAUCACGGGGCCGAGCGAGCGCUGCUAGCUAGUUCAUCCCGUCCAGUGCCGAAACCAGUUUGCCUGACAUUUUCUGAGAGCUUGUGUGAUUGAUCAUACAAGUAGGCCUUGCUUGUGACUCGUCAAAGUUUCAGCUGCUAACUAGUAGAAUUUUGCUACAUGAAUCAUUAAUUUCCUUAAUAAUGUUCUAUUUUGGGCCUUUGAGCAAUACCUUCAAUCACUUGUGAUUGCUCACCUUAUAUUUGUGUGUCCAUUUUACUCUCUAUAUUAUCUCGGACCGUAUCUCUUUUGUUGUUCUUAUUCGCAGCCUUAAAAUAUGUUCAUUUCUGCCGUCACCGGAGCAGCUACAGGCCAUUAUCUUAUAUUUUACACUAACUCAACAGUAUAUAAUUCUUUUAAAUCAAAACUUAAAUCUGCAGGGUCUCAACUGAUCUUCUAAUUAAUCCCUCGACUUAUUAAGCAAUGGUUGCUUGGCCCUGUGACAUUUCUUUAAAGUAAAAGUUUCUCGUGGUAAAUUAUUGCUAGUAAUGUAGCCGUCAGGUUUCCACAGCAUAUAUAGCCUUGUAAUAAACUUCACCAAAUUCGGCCCUCGCCAACUUCUCAGCCAUAUUUCUAUUACUUUCUUGGCUUUAUUUGCAUUUAUGAAGCUACCUGUGACCUGUCUUUUCAGGGAUAAAGCAACCACAUGCUUAUGCAUCAAACAAAAAGUGGACUCUAACCUGAAGAUGUUACUGUAUCUUUAAAAGGUAAUCUCACUCUUCUUUUUCCUUUUUCUUUGUUUUCUUAAAGUUGCUAUCAGCUAAGCUAUGUACCUCACUAAUAAUUGAUUAGUUUCCCUCGUUGCCAAAGCAGGAUUAUAAAAAAAGAAAAGAAGAUAACAGUUGAGAAUAUUAUUAAGAAAAUGGUUAAAAAGAGAAUAGCCUAGCAAGCAGAAGUUAAAGCUGAAAAGGAAAGAAAAAAGAGGAAGCAAUAAAGCUUUAGAAACCAGGAUUAUAUAUUAACCCAGUUGAUUAGGAAAUCAACUUUCAAUCCAAACCAAGGAAAAAAAGCAUUCUCUUUUAAGCUCUUAUUUGGUAUUGUGUUUUAAAAAGAGAUCGGGUAAAAUUUUAAUUUUUUUUACUUAAAAUUAAUAUUUUUAAGGUUUUUGGAUUGUUUUGAUUUAUUAAUAUUAAAAAUAUUUUUUUAAAAAAUUUAUUUUAAUAUAUUUACAAGUAAAAAAAAUUUUAAAAAGCAACAACUACUACACUUCAAACCAAACACCCCCAGAAAAAAAUUAAGAAGCUUCAUAAUGAAAUGGACAGAUCUUGUUUUUGUUUUUUCUUUGGUAUUUAUGCUGCAAGUAAUUAAACAACAAUAACAUGAGCCUGAAAGUUGCUCCUUUUUUGGAAGAACCAAGAAAGAGUAACAAUAUCUUAUGAAUGGAUUUCUUUUAUAGCACAACCUGUAUUAAAUUUAAAAGGUUGCCUUAUUUAAUAGCGCAACACUUUAAAUUACAAAAAAAUAAUAUUAAUUAAAGUGGUGAUCUAUUAGAGUUAAUGCAGCCCUUGCAAAUACAAAAAACAUUAAAUUGGGUUGCGCUAUUGGAACACUUAAUUAUAUAUAUAUAUUAAGGGUUAUGCUAUUUCUAGUAGUACAAUCCUUUAAAUUAUUUUUACCCGGUUGAUUUCAUUUUCUGAUUUUUCUUCGUGUAGAGCCAAAGAUUGGCUAUAAGCCAAAUUUUACACAGUUGGCAUGCAUUAAAGAGAACCAUCGAUCGAGAUGAGAGGAUAAUAAUAAAACUAACAUUAUUUGAAAAGACAGAAAAAAGAAGAAAUUAAUUGAAUGAAUAUGGGGAACAAGAUAACACGGGAUAUUUCACGGGGAAUUUUGGCACUUAUACAAGGAUGUGUAGCAGAAUCAGGCUAAGUACAGAAUGUGACAUGCAUACAACUAAGGCCUGUCUUCUAGUUUUUUGCAGGCUCACAUGGUGCAUGCCAGGAUAACUUGCUUGCCCUAGCUAGACCUGCAAAAGCAAGCACCAAGCCCAUGUACAUCUCCUGUAUCCUUUUAUCUUUUCCGGCAUAGAAAGCUUGCAAACCUUGCCAUGGCGGCGUUGAGUAUUUUUGGACUGCUUACUCUCUUUAGCCUUGAAAAGGUUCUUUGUGACUGGAAACAAGGCAUGGAACAGCUCUCUGUAUAGAGGUCCACUGGUGUCUAGACCACGCUCCAUCAUCAGAGAAUCCAGGAUUGAAAUUUGUCCAGACUAGUGCGAACCAGCGACAAGGAUUGCCAAUUGUCGGGGGGAGUCUUGAGGACCCAUGUUGAUCAAGUUUUUUUUUUCUUUAAUUAUUAUCGAUUUAUUUGUCUAAUUUUAAUUUGGCUGACAAAAAACUAAUAUUGUGUGUGUGGGUGUGUAAAGCCUAGUUAUAAAACUAGUCUGAUACAAUAAUAUUAACUCGACAAAAAAAUUGUUAAAAGAAAAAAACUAAAACUUACUUAAAAAAAAAUAAUAAUAAGAAGUCCAAUUGACCCAAUAAUUAAAGCACUUUUUUAAGUCAAAACUCAGAUCUAUAUAUAUAAGACCUUGAUUAUAUUUUUCUUUCUUUCCAAGCAAGUUUAUUAUAGAGUAUCUUAAUUUCUUUUUAAGAUGGCGGACACUUAUUUUUCAAGUCACUUAAGGCAUACGUACCCUCUAGCCUUAAUCCAGAGCUUGAUAAGUGAAUCAUAACCAUCAAAUUAUCAAUGUUGACAAGUCCACAUCAUACCAUUUUAUAAGUUACAGUGGAAUUAUGGAUUCAUGAGCCCAUUAAUACAUAAAUUAUAUGAACAUUGGUAAGAGAUUUUUGGUUAACAAUGUCUGAAACGAAACCGCACUGCUAGCAGCCAUUGCAUUAGGAGUCUCAAGAGCUGUGACCUGGCUAUACCAAAAGAGAGGCAAAAAGGGUAAUCAGUGUCGGUGGGAGUCUACAAAACGUGCAAAAGUAAAGGCACUAACUUGUAAGGUGAUUCACAUUUAGGAAAAGUAACUUUGGUUUCAAGGACAAAUGGUGCAACUUUACCUUGGCUAAUCAAAUGUAAUUUGACAUAGCAAUUUAGGGUUCCUGAGAUUUUCCUAAUCUAGUUUUACUGGAAAAUGAUGCAAUUUGGUUCAAUGAUAGAGAGCAGGGAGGGACAAAUUUCUUGUAUGGAAGUUAUUGUGAGAUUAAUUUCUUGUUUUGUAGUGCCGAUAACUGUAUCCGCGUUAUUAAACAAAGCUUAAAUACAUCAUUCAAGUCUAAUCAAAUAAAUUAAUUUUUUUUAUAUAAUUUAUUUAAAAACUAUAUAAUAAUAACAAUAAUACGAGAAUUAAACAAGUCUGCUUACCUACCAAAUUAAACCUCAAAAAGUAUUUUGGGCCGUUUAUUACACAUCAAAAGUAAUCUGAUCCCUUUAAUUUUAAAUAUUUUAUCAUUUUGAUCAUAAUUUGCAGGGAAUUUGGAAUGACAAGUUACUCUUACUAAAAGUUAGUUAGCACCUAGCUACUAGUCAAGCUAAAAGAUACAAUGUCAUGACCGCUUUAUGAUUGUCAAGCUUCGCUUCGUCUCAUGAAUAGGGGGAUUUGGAUAACCAUGCAAAAUUAUCUUCUUGAUCUGAUCUGAUCUGAUCUGAUCUAAAUCCUAAGCUGAAGUCCAACUCAUUUUUAAACUCACCUGCAAAUUUUCAAACUUGGCCAUUUUUUUCCAAAGGGUCAGUUGAACUUGUCCAUAUAAAGGCACAUCUUGAAAGACAUGAAGCCUUAUAUAUUAAUUUUUGUAUGAAAUUCACCCUACGAAGCAGACAUAUUGAAAUUUGAAUUUCCCAGUGGGACACAAAUUCAAGAUAUUUGUUACAAUGUUUUAAUCACAUUUAACCAUUAUAAAAAUACCAAGUCUUCUUUGAUCAGUAUUUCAUGAUAGAAAGGACAUGUAUAUAAAAGGGAUAUAAAUAUAUUUGACGGGGGAGACGAAAGCAAAAAUAAAUUUUUUUUAAAUAAUUUUAGAGUGAAUUUAUACUUUUUAAAACCAAAAUGAAGAGAAACAUAUUCAAUUUGAUCUCAUUUUUGUUAACAAUUGUUAACAAAAAUAAAUUUUAAAUAAUUUUAGAGUGAAUUUAUACUUUUUAAAACCAAAAUGAAGAGAAACAUAUUCAAUUUGAUCUCAUUUUUGUUAACAAUUGUUAACAAAAAUAAAGAGAAACAUAUUCAAUUUGAUCUCUUUUUUCUGAACAACUUUCACAUAAAAUAGGCACGGGCCGGUGCCUUACAAGCAAAGAUUAAAAUUGCUUCUGGGUCUCAUUUUUUUAUUUUCCUUAAUGGCACCAUGCUUUUUUCAAUGGAGAUAGAGGAAAGGAGCGUUUGUAAAUGGACCUUUAGGGCAAGAGCAGACCCCACCAAGCAUCCCCAUUUUGCCGACCAUUGCUUGUCUUUUGUAAAGCUCUACCGCCCAAUCCUGAUAUUGAUGGCUUCCCAGUCAACAGGUGACUGAUAUAAAACAGGAAAAAUUCUCUACAGUAUCUCUGUGCAGAGAAUCCCAAUGCUACCCCCUUAACAUCCCCCCCUCAAACCUCUCUCCUUGUCCCAAGGUCUCAUGGAUUUUCUUCAAAUACCAUCUGAGGAGAAUUCAGAGAAAAACUUGUGGACAAGACUCCGUUGAGGGCCAUUGAUGAGUGUUGUAGCUAGGCAGCAGGGGACAAGGGCAUGCACUGGUAUGUGUUCAUGGCAUUCGUGUAUUUUGAAGAUAAUGAAGGGGGUAGUUAUGUCAUGAGAGAAAAGAUAGUGGGUUAGGGCAUCGAAUCACCAAUCCUAAUAAACAAGUCAGUGCCAUAUGCAGUAUUUCCAUGACACAUGGCAAUAGAAAAUACCUCUGAGUGAAGGUCAGCAUCAGACUCUCAUCUCAGCCUUGUUCAAAUUUGUUCUGCCAAAUGACCAUUGAGGUAAAACAAAAGGCCAGCCCCCUGAAAACCAAACGAAACUUAACAGGAAGAAUCUUUAGUUGUUUGGUUGUCAAGAAGGUUCACUUCUUCCUGUUGGAGUACAAUCUCCAAAAAAAUCCACAAGAAAGCUAGUUUCCUUCCUAGACUAGAUCUCCCCAUCUCUAAGAAAAGUAACAUUAAAUUCCCAUCUAGAAUUCAUGGUGCUGGCUUUUCUUUGAAGAUGGUGCAAAGAAAGGUGCCCAACAAGCUUGGUAUUCAAGCUGAUCAUGUUAAAUCCGAGAAGCGGUUGGGGAACCUGAAACCAAGUUCUUGUCAGCAUCAGGAUGGCAAGAAUAGAGGACCUGAUAUGAAGAAGAAAACGAAAAGGUCAAGAUCAAUCAAGAUUUCAGAUAUUGAGAGCUUGAAAUCAUCAUCACCUUUGAGGAAAACCAUAUCACAGCCUGGGAAGCUGCCUCCUCUCAAUGGUACGACAACUGUAGCAGCACCACAGAAGCAGCUUAUGAUCAAAAUAACUGAUGGUUCACCGAAUUAUAUGAAGUCAACCAGUAGUUCAGAGGCAAGAAAGGAGCGUUCCCGGGUGAGUCCCUUGAAUACUCAAACUGGUUCAAAUGGUAAGAGCCUGCAUUACAGAAACUCUGGGAAUUCGAGAUUUAGUCCUGCUUCUGGUAGCAAACCAGCAAGAACUUUAUCAAAGACAUCUAUUUUGAAGCUGGUGAGGACUCCUAGUUUUAAGCCAACGAGAGGUACUGCGAAGAAAUGUUCUAGAGUAGCUCUUUGUGCUGAUGUGAGUACACAAAAAGCACCUGUUCUUCAACCCUGAAGGAUUCGAAGUUUCUGCUGCUACCUCAUGCUUAAUCCUGGGGGUACUGAAGCAGAGGGAACUUCAGUCAUGAAGGUCUGCCCAUACACCCACUGCUCUCUUAACGGUCAUCAUCACAAACCUGUAACUCCGCUGAGGUGCUUCUUGAAGGCAAGGAGGCGUUCGUUGAAGGUCCAGAAUAGUAUGAAAUUGGAGGAUUUAUCCCCACGCAGAGCCAGGUCAUCUGGCGAUGGAACAGAAGAAAUUCAUGGCAGACUGUUGGAUUUUUCUGAUGACAAACCUGUGAUACAAGAAGUUGGAAAGGAUUUCUUUAUUGAAAUCUACGCUAAAAAUACAGAAGAUGGGGCCUAUGAAACCGAAAAGAGGACAGAGAAUGAAGGCAAGACAGCAAAUGUUUUUUUGGGAGAACCUGAAGGACAGAUUAAUGAGUCCUGCUUUUACGCUGGCCAUGAAGCCGCGGCUGAACAAGACAACAGCAAUCACGUUUCUGAGAGCUCGUCAGAUGAAUCACAAGAAUCAGAGAUUGAUUUUGAGGAAAACUUUAGUGAUACCAAUGCAGCAGAGAUCAAUGUUGCAGUGGGUUUCCUCAGAGAAGAUGAAAAGCAUGGGGGAUACAGACUGCUCAUUGACCUUCUCUGAAGGAGAAGCAAUCAUGGAAGCUGUGACAACAGGAGUGACAUUGAAGGGGAAUGCAAGCGAGUAUGGAGGAAGAUGAUAACAUCUCUGAAGCAACUGGCAUGGAGUGGGAGGAGGACCAACCUUCGACUUCAGAGAUUGGUGCAGAAGAUGAUGAUUUGAACAAACAUGAUAAAUUUUGGACCAAAGUCGGGUUCACACCAGAAAUCGAGAAACUUGAUUGGAGUGAGGAUUCUGAGAUCAUAACGUCUGAUGAUGCAGGCAGCAACUGUACAGGGGAAAUUCUAGCUGAUGAGGUACUGCGAGAAUUUUUUUCAGAGGAAACUGCCUCUAUUGAUAUGCAAUGCAGCGAUAGCGAUUCUGAAUCAGAUAUUAUACCCCACUAUUGGCAGAUUCUCCGAUCUAUCCAAGGGGCAGGGAACUUGGCUUAUGAUCAACCUUCUGCAGCUGAAGAUGCAUUUGAGGCACCAAAAACAGAGGAGAAAGAUGAAGAAGCUGGGAGACAUCUGAGAGAUGCUGUGACCACUUCAUCUCCAAUAAGGGAAUCAAUUGUGGAACCAAUAGGAGCCAGAGAGAACAUUCAGGAGAAUAAUGAAACAGAUAAAUCUCUUGGAGAUGGUGAAAAUGGUUGCACGGCAGACAUUUCAGCUGAAGCUUUAAAUGGUCACCAGGAGGACAAAUCUCUUCAAGCUGAAAAUGCAGCUAUAAGACCUCAUAUUUCUGAAAAGAGAGAUAUGAUUGGAACAAACAAAGAGGAAGAAAUCGAUCAGCUCAUCGAAGUUGCAGAAAAUAAUCAAGAAUUUUCCACUGCUGAAUUCCCUGAUGGUGAAGCUGGAGAUGCAACAGAAGAUCGAGAGCAAGUUGCCGAUGCUGAAUUGCAAUUUGAAAUCCAUGUUUCUGAUUCAUCACAGAAUUUUUCUGAAGCUGAUCAAGAUGAUGCUGAACUAAAUGCCGAUGGAACCCACAUGACAACUAGUGAAGAGGAUAGUUCAAGUCAAGGUCUUGUUGAUGACACCACUCCAACUGAGCCUCUUGACCACCAAUUGGAUGAGCAGGAUGAGACAAACAAUGUUCUUGAGAACGAGAACUUAUUUGAGGAAGAUAAAGAUGAAGCUAAAAAGAUCGAAAUCCUAACUGCCAUGGAUUUUGAGGCUCCGAGUAAUUCAAGAACGCAUAAAAUCAACUCAACUGGAGAUGAUACAGGAGAAGUUGAGAAGAUGGAAGUGGAAGUUUGUAACGAGUCAGAUACAGCAGAAACCUUCCUCUCUGCCAAUAAUGGAGCAACGAGCACAGGAUCAAAGCGCCCAUUCGUAUACACAAGAGGAAAUCCCAAUGAAGAACUUCAAUAUACCUGCAACAACAGGAAGUGGACAAUCGGAGAAAAGAAACCCAUCAAGGACUUGGAGGAAGAGAGAGAAUUCAACCCAAGAGAACCAAAUUUCCUUCCCGUUGUUUCUGAUCCAGAGGCAGAAAAGGUCGAUCUCAAGCAUCAAAUGAUGGAUGACAGGAAAAAUUCUGAGGAAUGGAUGCUUGAUUAUGCACUACGACAGGCUGUCACCAAACUCGCUCCAGCUAGGAAGAGGAAGGUGGCACUACUUGUUGAAGCUUUUGAAAAAGUCUUGCCAACACCGAAAUAUGAAACUCAUAUCAAGCAUACAUCAGCAACAUUUUCUCACACAAGACCUAUUCAAGCUUGUAGAUGAUGGCAGUCACCAAGGUAAACAAGACAUUACUUUCUAGAUGUUACUUCUUUCUAUUUAGCUGCAGUAGUGAAAAUUGAAAUGCCAUUGUAGAUCAAAGAGGGGAAAUAAUCAGUUGAAAUGUGACCAGGUCAUGUAGUCCUUCGUAUUUCGUUGUGCAGGUCAUGCAGAAGUGGGAGCUGCAUUGGUUACCUAUAAUAAGUUGGUGAAUUAGAAGUACUGUUAUUGCUAACCAUGGCUCAAGCUUUAGGAGUAAACAACAAGCUCAGUAGAGAAACAUCUUGGUCUGUUGAUGUAAAGAAUUUCAGUGUUCAGAUUGAAGAGCAGAUGCUGCAUUUGGUAGUUUCUCCUAACCUCAGCGGGCGCAGUGCAAGUGAAGAGUGGCUAGCUCAAUAAUAUAAAUAUAAUAACAGUGUAAAAUCUGACUCUGAGUUCUGAGUUCUGACUACCAGAUGAUUACUAUAUAUCCUAUGUUAUUGUAAGAGGCACUAUUUUAUCUCUAAAUGUUGUUAAUUAUUUGUGGUUACUCUGUCUACUAUUGUGCAGUAACUACUAUUGUAAUUAUGCUCAUGUUCGUCUGAUGAUUUUCAUCUCCAGUCACAUUUCCCUGCAAAGAAAAGAACUUGGCUACUAUGCAAUCCUUAAGAGGUUACGGAUUCAUCACAUGGAAAACUUCAUGCAUUUUCUAACCAGAACAUGUGAUGAUGUCAGGCCAAGAUUAUGAAGAAACUAAACCAAUUUCAAGAAAAAAUAAUAACAUGAAUUUUGUCACGGCCAAAUUAUUAAAAAGCAAUAGAGACAAUUAUUCCAAUCAUCAUCAUCAACUACUUUGAUUUUUACAGGCCCUGUAAGAUAUGCAUGCAAGAAGAGAUUAUAACCACAACCGGAAGCUUCACUCCAGCACGCCUCAUGAUAUUGCAACUACACAAUUCAAGUAAACAGACAUCCAAUGUCCAUGUUUCAUAGACUUCCAAAGACAGACCAAUUUACUUGCAGAUUCCUGUCAAUAUCAGACGGAUUACAUCUUGAAGAAAUAGUUGCUCUGCUUCUUCUUUUUGGCUCUCAGGAGAAAUAUUUAUCUUGAAAGAUAAGAUACUUUGCUUAUAUUUUCUUUCGCUUUUGUAAAUUUCCUUAAAAGUUUCAGGAAAUUGAUGCAAAUGUCUUUGUAACCAUGUGAUGGACAUGUUAUAGUUACUUUUAUUUCUGCACCACCAUAUAUAAACGUAAAUUUAAAAGAGAAUGUGGUAAAAUUCUGAAAAAAAAUAUAAGCAGAUAAUUCAUAUGCAUUGAAUUACUAACGGUAAACAUAAUUGUGAUAUAUAUGGAUCUAAUCAAAAUUGGUGAUACAGUUGUGAGAAAACAACAUUAAUAAUGUUAUCCUUCAAUCAAAAGACAAUACGUCCAAUACAUUAUUCAGUUCUGUACAGGAGUUGCUUUUACUGAUAAAUGUGACUUGAUUGUAGGCGAGUCAAGAAGAAGUGAUUGAAGCUCUCCAACAUAAUUUUCGAGAUUACUGCAGCAUGAGCUAUCAUCCUUGUUCAUUCUGGCUACAUCAGAACUUGCCUUCUCAAGCUCCCUUUGCUCCAUUGCUUUCUUUCUCAAUAUGUCAUCAUGAAAGAACUUAAGAGCAUCCACUGUAGAAAUAGAGUGCACUGAUUCAUACAAACCCUGAAAUUUGUUUUUUUUUCCUGCGUUUCAAUCAGCUUCUCCUUCAAGUCAUCUGGCAGGCAGGCAACCACACUUCACACAAAUAAGAAAAAGGAAAAGAAUUAAACAAAAAAAAAAUGUUAAAGCAUUCGAGAUCUCUUGAAAGCUGGUCAUCACUAUACUAUAAUUCUCCUUCCAUUUUCUUAUUGUUUACCUGGUAACACCUCUAACAACACCCCAGUUGUAUCCUACAAGCACUGAUUGCUUAAAACCAACAUUAAAUCCCUCUUGUGCAGAAUCUUCUUUUCCUGCUAUGAGACCAUCACGAUAGCCAAUCUGAAGUCAUCAAGAAUGAGACGAAUGAGACCAUUAAAGGUUUGGAAAUCAGUAUAUAAGCAGGGAAAACAGAAUCAUGAGAAACAAACAGAAUCAUCAAAUUACCGUGUGAAAUUGAUCAUGUCUCCUCUGCCACUCCCGGUCUAAAUCAGAUUCUCUAUCCAACUCCUCAACAGAAUCAUCCCACAAUGACCCACCAUCAUCCUGCAAGUCACCUUCACAGCAAUCCAAAACAAAGUAACGCACGUUGCUCUAAAAGACUCGAAGCAUAACUAAAUUCAACCCACCAGCCUCAAAAAGUUAAGCAGUGCUCACACAAGAAACUGACUGCAUUUAAGUACCACCAAAUAAAAAUGCCAUUGUACAUUUGCAAAAAUUAGAAGUUUCAGACAUGCGAGAAAAUGAACCAAAAACUGGAGCAAUUACGAAAACAUUGGGAAAUGAACCAAAAGUUGGAGCAGUUACAGAACAGGAUGCAAUUGAAAGUCAUCUACAUUUGUUCUUCUUUCAUCACAUGCACAAAUUGUACACAUAUACACACAAAUACAGGCAAAAAAGAGUAUAUAAUACGCAGCCUUUUCUUUCAUUACUCAUUCCCAGCUAGUGCCAAAACUUGGUAAAUUCAACCAAGAUCACCAUUUUCCAAGCAGAAGAUAACAAUAAGGCUAUAUUUAUAUCAAGCAAGCACGAACUUAUUGAGUCAGCUAAACAGAAGAGCAUAUAAAGCCAACACAAAGCAAAAUAAAUUAACCAAAAUCAAUAAUAAAUAAGUAGAUCAAAACCCAUAACAAUGACUCUACUUACCAUUAGCAAUGGGCUUAGAACCCAAUUCAGCAUUUGAAAGUUGCAAACUUUCUGAAUAAAGCUCCUUAGCAAAACUGCCUUCCAUCUAUUACAGCACAAGAAACACAAAAAACCCAUUUCAGAAAACAUCAAAACAACAAUAAAUAUCUAUCUAUGAAAGCAAAAUUCAGCCACAACGAAAACAACUAAUGGUAAGAAAAGAUUGAAACUUUACCCUUCAUCAAAAAAAGGUAAAGACUUUAUUAAGUUUUGAUUGAUUUUGUUCAAAUUUAAGAAAAGAUUUGGCCUUUACCUUUGAUUAGUGGUUGAAUUAAAAAGAGAAUCCGACUUUGUUUGUUGAGUAACCGGUUGAUUCAAUCGGGUCGGCGAUCCAACAAGAGGUUGUUGCUACAUGGGAAGAGAAGAACUACGGUGAUAAUUGGGUCAUGGAUUCUGGAAUCUAGACCCUGGACCCUGGGCCUGCAGAUAUAUGAAAUGAGAACAGUUGGGUAGGCUAAAGUUCGGCUUUUCUAUCCUCUGUUAAUGUAAAUGGGUAUGUUCUGGGUUAGACGGAUGGGCCACUGGUCGGCGCGGUUUUUUUAGAUAAAAAGUUUUAUUUAUUUAUUGCUUAUCUUGUGCCACAAAAAUUACUAAGGCACUAUUUCUCUAAUUUUAGCAACUACGAAAUAAUAUUUUAUAUUUUCCUUCCGAGAGAAACCAUAAUUGUCAUAUCUGGUUAAGGUUAUGGGUUGUUGAGUCUUUGAAUUAACUUGUGGGUUAUUAAAUUUAUCUUAAAAUGACGAUAAAUCAAUAAAAAUUUAAAAUAAAUUGAAAUUAUGAUACUCUAUAUAAAUAUUAAAAAAAUUAUUUUUUUUAAAAAGACUCGAUUAGAUUUCAUUCAAAUUUAAUCGAGUUAACCAAAUCAUAUAUCAAUUCAUUAAAUUACUCAAAUUAAAUUUAUAUAUGUUAAUAUCUUAUAUAAUUUAUUUGAAUUAGACUCUAAGUCAAUCCUUUAAACCAUGUUAAGUUUAAUAACUAUAUAAAAAAAAUAGUUUCACUUGUCAUAGUUUGAUUGAUAUAUUCAGCUGUAAACAAUUUUAGUUUCAAUCAUAAUUUGAUUUAAUUGUUUUUUAUAUAAAAAAAUAAAUCAUUGUUUCUGAAUAGCUUUCGUUUGAUGUUCUAUUUAUUUUAUUAAUCUAUUUUUUAAAAUAAAUUAAUAAUUUGGAGAAGUGUAAAAUAAUACAAGAUCAAAUGAACAAAUGACAAUUAACGUCCAGCCUUCUUUUCAAGGAGUACUUUACGUGCAUCCAAUUAUCAAACAAUGAUUGCUUUUUUUUCCAUCCAUGCAUCUUCUAUUUUUCUAAUAUAUUCAUCCAUUGUUCUUUCCUUUUUAUCCAAACAAACAGUACUAUAUGAAGAGAUAGAGACUUGCACGCCAACGAAACUUCAACAUUAUUUUAAACAUUUCAUUUUAUAUCUUAAUCUUUCACUUUAUUUUAAUAGUGUAGUUGUGGGAUUUGAUUUCCAGAUUGAUUUAGAAAACGACUUAAUUGCUUUUUCAUCCUUUAUCAACUAUAUUUUUAAUGAAACGACACCAUUUUAUUCUCUUACCUUUUGUAAUAUAUUAACUCGAUUAAAAUUAGAUUGAAUUUGAUAAAAUUAAUUGAGUCAUUUAAAUAUUGGUCGAGUCUAUGUAGUUUAACUGAAUUAUUAACAUCUUAUAUAGUUUAACUAAAAUUUUGAUCCGAAUCGAGUUUUAUAUAAAACCUGAGUUAGUUUUAGGAUAUGCUUUAUAAUAAACAUAGAGAUAUCACUAGGAAAUUAAGAUGAAAUCCUCAACAGAUUUAAAUGUCUGCCAUGUGUUCCAGCUGAAGUAGCCAUCAAAAUAUAUGAUUAAAUAUACAUCUGUAUGUUGAAUCUGAUCUGAAUCUCGGCUUCCCCCAACAUUUUUUAACCAGCAAUCUAGCCAUCCAAUAAGGCUGAUGUAUACUUUCUAACUAUGAAGAAAUCUCUGAUCAUAGCUUAACAAAAAAGAAAGGGAUCAAGAAAAUUUUUGCUGAGAAACCCUACAGUUGCAUGUGUACAUAUUAUACAUGUGUAAGGUCGGAACAUAUCUCCCUCACCUGCAACCUUAACCAUCUCUGUCUAUACCAGGAUGAUUUCUAGGACUGCAGCAUCUUGUUUCCUUUUUCACAUGUUGACGAUACUUUCACUUCUUUGCUUGGCGAACUCAUCGAGAAAGCUGUGGCGAGAGAAUAGCUGCAACAUGUACCGAGGGAGCUGGGUUCAUGACAUGUCCUUCCUCUCUACGAUUCAUCUGCCUGCCAUUUUAUUCGAAAAGAAUUUGAUUGUUUAAUGUAUGGUCGCCCUGAUCACCUCUAUCUUCAAUAUAGAUGGCAGCCCACUGACUGCAACUUGCCAAGGUACAAUAUUAUACGUGCAACAAUAUCAAAUUAUUGGCUCGCCUGAAGAACUUGCUUGUUGAUCAGUCUUAGAACGAUGAGUUCAUUUCAUGCUAAGAGUAAUUUGAUUGUUUUCAAGUAAAGUAAUGUAUUCAUUUCUCUCGAAUGGUUAGCAUUGUGAUUUUUGUGCUAGAGUGUACUAAUUGCGUAAUUGUUAUACAAAUUGAUUUAAAAAAUAACUCAGGUUAUUAUGUCAACCUAAUCAAUUAUUUUUAUCAAAAUAAUAUCGUUUUGUUUUUUUUUUAAUGGAAAAUUAUUGACAUUACUCAAAUCUGGUUUUGACCAAGUUAAUUGAGCCAUUCAAAUACCGGUUGAGUUAAUAUCUUUCUAUUUCAAAUUAAAACCUAGCCCUAACAAGGUUUUAGGUAACAGUUUUUCAUAUUAAUCUAUGCAUCAAGUUUAAUAAUUAUGAUUAAUUGUUUUUAUUUUAAUCUGAAUGUAACAUGUGUGUGACCUUAUUCCAGGUUUGAUGGUCAAUAUUUCUUGAAGAAGUUAAAGGGGAAGAAGGUUAUGUAUGUAGGGGACUCUCUGAGUCUAAACAAUUUUCAAUCGAUGGUAUGCUUGCUCCAUGCAGCUGUGCCUGAUUCCAUAUCACAAGAAAUUCAAAAAACUCUGUUACCACAGUGAUAUUCCAGGUGAGUAUAUAUAGCAAUUAAUCUUAUAAAUUUCUCCAGCUGGUGAAUUAGAAAUAUUUUUCCUUGCUAAUCUAGAACUAGCUAGCUAUACAUUCUUAAUUACUUGAUGUUUAAUUAGCAAUUAUUUGACUUAAAACUUGUGUUAAUUAACUCUCAUAAUUUUACAGGAUUAUGGAGUGUCAGUGAGUCACUUCCAGUCUCCAUACUUAGUAGACAUUGAAAAAGAAGAAAUUGGCAGGAUCUUGAAACUUGACUCCAUCAAGGAUGGCAAAACAUGGAAGGAUAUUGAUGUUCUUGUUUUCUACUCUUGGGGGUGGUGGUACCGGAAGGACCUCAGCAGCCGUAUGAGCUCCCAAAAUUUAUCAACUUUAAAUUUUUUAUAAUAAAAAUAGAUAACGAAUUUGUUCUGGACUUUCUACUAGAAAAAAAAAAAACAAAGAUGAUAACUAUUAUCAUAAUUUUUUAAGAUUAUUUUAUUCAGCUUGAAUAUUUUUGACAAUUUAUUGUUGUCUUUUUCAGGUUUUGGAAACAAAUAUUAAAAAAAAACACACAAAAUUGAAAUAAUACAGAAAUAAUUCUUUGUGAUAUUGCUAAAAAUGACUUGAUUCUAACCAACAUUUUUUUUUUUUUUUUUUGUGAAUUUCAGAUGGGAUUAUAUUCAAGAAGGUGAGACCAUAGUUAAGGACAUGAAUCGUAGGGUUGCUUUUCACAAAGGCUUAACAACAUGGGCAAAAUGGGUCGAUUCGGAUGUUGAUCCAAAUAAAACUACUGUUUUUUUUCAAAGCAUUUCUCCAUCUCAUUACAAGUAAGUUCCAAACCAACUUUUAAUUUGAAUAAAAAAAAAUUAUAAUUUAAUAAAAUUUAAUUGAUUCAAUAAAUUAACCGUGACUCAGUUAAUCUAACCAAACUCGAUCAUAUCAACAUUGUCAUUGUUUUGAUAACAAAUUAUUGACUCAUUUAACAAAACUUUUACAAAGUCUAAUUUCGAAGAUCAUCUUGGUAUGUCUCGAAAUAGUGGCACGGAAUGGAACGAGCCGGGAGUGACAAAUUGUGCAAACCAGACAGAACCAAUGAGUGGAUCAACUAGCCCUGGCGGUUCACCAUUAGAAUUGCAAAUAGUGGAAGAUGUGCUAAGUGCUAUCAAGAAACCAGUUCAUUUUCUCAAUAUAACAGCUCUCUCACAGCUAAGGAAAGACGCACAUCCUGGCUCUUAUAAUGGCGUUAGGCCAAUGGACUGUACUCAUUGGUGUGUUGCUGGCCUCCCAGAUACCUGGAAUGCACUUCUCUAUGCAACUCUUAUCAAUCAGAAAUGAGGAAAUUACAUGAAAUUGAUUGCAUUUAUAUAUAUAUAGCAUAGUCUGUGUGCAUUAUUUAGAUUUUCAUGUAAGUGCUAAUUAAAUCUAAUUAAUGGAAACAAGAGGAAAAGCUAGAUUCUGAAGCACAAUGAUUUCUUCAAGAGAAUUAAAGGGCUAAUCAAGUCUAAUGUAAACAAGAGGAAAGGCUAGAUUCUUCUCGGGCAAAUAUAAUGUUUCAUUAUAGCAAUUAUAAUAUUUUUUUAUUUUUUAUUUUAUUAACUCGUAUAAUUUUUAUAUAUUAUAUUUUACUACAUGUAAGCAUUUAUUUUUUAAUUUAGGACCAUAUUUUCCACUUCAUAAGGGAGAACCAUAACAAAGAACCAUAACCACAACAAAUUUUGGUGUUACCAUCAUCAUGAGCAAAUUGAAGUCGAAAUUAAUGCAAUAAAAGCAAUGUUGAAGCCAGCCCUCGAAUUAUUCCUCGAGAGACCAAGAUAUGCUCUCAUGUGCUGUUGCCUCCACCGGGGGAUGCGACUUGCAAUUUCCAUGCCUGCCCUCCAAAAACCCAUAAUUUAUUAUUUUUGAAAUUUAUAUGCAAACACAAAUUAAUUAAGAAAUAUAAGAAUGGUCCUUCAACUGAGUUGUUUUCCAUGUGUUGCAUGUGAAAGCCAGGCAUAUAUCUGAUCAUGGCUCGUGCACGCUGUUCGGCCAAUCUAGCCAUUUCCCGUCAACCGGCUACAAGAUUUUAAAGGUCGCAAGUUCUAAAAAGCAAACUUAACAUCAUAAUUUGUUUUAGACAUAGAUUGAGAUAAAGUUAGUAAACUUUGACCACUACAUUACAUGAUCCAUUGUAUAUUUCAAGAUAUGAAUCACAAAUUUAACGGAAUUUAAUAUUUAUUUUUUUAUUUUAAAAAAUACUAAAAUAAUAUUAUUUAAAAAAUUAAACUAAGUUUUAACUGAAUCAUAGGUUAACUUACCUUGUUGGAAUUGACUUUCUUUAAAUUUGGCCUAUGUCAAAAGAUGGGUAAGUCCAAUCCUGAGUUUACCCGUCAUGAUAAAACAUAUUUAAUACUAUGGUUCAAGAAGUUUAGAAAAUGUUUUUGAAAUGUUUGUUUUUAAUCUAAAAUAGUUUUAAAUUGAUUAUUUUUUUAAAAAAAUAUUCUAGAAAAGUUUUGAUAAAUGAAUUUUAAAAACUUCUUAAAAAAAUAAUCAAUUAGAUUAUCAAACACAUUUUUAAUUAUAGUUUUUUUCCCCCAAAAUGAUUAACCCAUCACGGGAACUGAAAAUUAGCAUCCAUCAACCAAUAUUGAACUUUAAACUCGGUGAGUUCUUGCAAGAACAAAAGGGGUGAUGAGAUUUUAAUUAAGCAAAAAAAAAUUAAUCCCUCUGUUUUUUUCGUUGACGGAAACCCUAGUCUUGGAGAGAUCCUUGCUGCAUUGGGCACUCUAAUUAAUCACUCACGUUUUCUUCUUAUCUUUUUCAGGAGACCGGGCCAAAUGUCUUUCGGUAAGCACAACUAUUUCAUGCAAAAAUGUCAAAGAGAGUGGCUGCUUUCAUCUGCUAGCUCUUAUAGCCCGAGAUCACGAGUCUAAUUUUCGAUAUUGACAAGAGAGGAAACUCCCCAUGUCAUAUUUCCCAAGUAUAAUCCAAUCAAGAGGAUCUUGAAUUGGGUGGUUCAUGCAUGAAAGACAACUUUAGUAUAAUUUUAAGAGAUUGCUCCCGUGAUUAAGAAUUUUAAUUCUCAGGAUUGUGUUUUUAAAAUCAUUUUACUUGAUAUAUAAACAAACUCCAAAAAUAUAUCUAAUCUCCAAAAAAAAAAAAUGAUAUUAGUACCAUUUGAAUCUAAAUAAAUUAGCAAUUUUCUUUAAUGAAAUACUUCAUAAAUUAAUAAUUUGAUUAAAUAAUAUAAUAAUUGAUUAGUAAAUUUUGAUGGUCCCAAAAUGUUAAUUUAUAAAAAUUUCACGGUAAUAUUAAUAAUCGAAUCUAAUCCAACUCUUAUGGCAAGAAAAAUCCAGCAACAUAAAAGCUGCAAAAACGUAAGCAAUUCCAUUAAUGUCAAAAUCAUAUACAAUUGACCAUAGAAAAGGAAUCUAAUUGAUUAAUUUCAUAAUCUAAACCCUCUAAUAUACAUAUAGAAGGAAACUAAAUUGAUUAAAGAUAUAGCACACACUUCAGUAACCGGCCAUAUUUAUAAAGAACACAGACAGGACAAUAUCGCCAGCAACCUCUCUCUCUCCCUCUCUCCCUCUCUCUCCCCUUCUCCUCUGACUCUCCACAGUGAUGGAUUCUGGGACUAGAAGAUCCUCUUGUGUCCUUUUUGCCAUCUUUAUCACAUUUUCUUGUCUUUUUUUUUCGUCCUCAUCAAAGACUCUGCAAAUCUCUACAACGAAGAAGAACGUCUGGGAGUGUACAAAAUGGCAAAAGAGUGAUUGCAACAGGUAUGAAGGAAGUUGGGUUCAAGACACUUCGUAUCCUCUCUACAAUUCAUCAGCCUGUCCUUUUAUCCGCAAGGAAUUUGACUGUCAAAAAUAUGGUCGCCCUGAUCACCUCUACCUUCAAUAUAGAUGGCAGCCUAGUGCCUGUGACUUGCCCAGGUACAUGCAUUCAUCUGCCCAUCUCUCUUUUCUGAUCUUAGACCAAGUGUUAAUUAACUAGAAGAGCUUUUAUAUUUUCAUUUUUGUAAUGAAUCCUCAUAGAAUUUCAAAAAAAAGAGCUUCUAGUUUCUCCAUGCAAUGAUGUUUUAAGGCUUUUUCUGCCUUCUUUUGAGCUGUAGUUUAUUUACAUACAAAUGGAAAAAUAUGGGUCUCCAUGUGGUUUGAUUAGGCUAGCAAGUCUUAGACCCGCUAUUAAAUUACUGAAAUUAUCAUGGUUUUGCCUCAAGACCAUAAAAUAUUAAAAAUUAAGGGCAAACAUAAAAAGUAAUCCAUAGUUAGUCUCAAUUUUGUCACCAAACAAUUUUUUUUAAUCAAUUUUACUUUUAGAUCUUAGAAACUAUCAAUUAAUUAAAGAUAUUAUUUUAUAAAGAAUUCAAUGGUUUUUGUUAGGUUAUUCUAAAUAAAAGCUCUAACUGAAAAAUCAAAAUAAUUUAAAAGUAAAAUUGAUAAAAAAAAUAGUUUAUAUACAAAAUUGAGACCAUCCUAAUAGUUUCUAAUAGUUUAGGGGGGUAUGUAUGAUGUUUGUUUAAAAUUUAAAACCAAAGAUCAACAUUUAAUUAUUUUAUUGGGACGUUGAUAGGUUGUUGCCACGGGUCAAUUUUCCCAUAACUAAAUUAUUUAGUGGUGGUGGUGUACCUCAAGAUAAGCUAAGAAAAUGAUGUCGAUAUUUGACGCAUCUCAUCAACAAACUAAUAAAAAUAAUAAUAAUAAAUUUGAACAAUUCAAGCAGCAAUGCUAAAAAAGCAUAUUGUAUUGGUCCCUCCUCCUCCUCCUCCCUCUCCUUCUUCUUCUUCUUCUAGGUCACAUCAUAUAUAAAUCUGCUGGCAGUGAUAAAAUUCUUCUGCUAACGUUUCCCCUGCAUGUAGAUCUGCUAAAAAUGCAUUUAAUCAGUUUGUGUGACCAACUUUUCGUAGCAUUGCUUGUAGGCAAAAGUGAGUCUGUACACUACGCACAAUCAAUUUGAUGAAACAAAUAUCUUAGUUGCAUAUUUUCUUGAACAUCUAGCUAAAGUAUACUUCAUAAAAAAAAAUUGAUUUGAACUAGCGGCAUGAUAUGUACAUGAUUAUUAUUAUUUUUUUUCUAAAAAUACCCUUGUCACUUUAUAGUAUAUUUGAUAAUGUAAUUCAGCUGUUUUUUAAAUUAUUUUUUACUUGAAAAAACAUUAAAUUAAUGUUUUUAGAUGCUUUUAAGUAGUUUGAUAUGUGCUUAUAUUAAAAGUAAAAAAAAUAUAAAAAAACAUUAUUUUUAUUUAUUUAUUAUUGAAAAAUACUUUAAAAAAAAUUGUUUUACAUUACCAAACAUAUAUUUAAUAUGUUGUUAUAUAAUAAUAUAUAUCUUUAAUUUGUUUUUAUAUCCCUAAUUGAGCUAAUAUUAUCCUUUAAUAUGCUUUAAGUUUCUAAUAUAUUUUUCCUGUAAGAUUUUUAGGCCAACCCAUUGGAAUUGGUUACGUGAUUUGCACUUAAAUACAUCACUUGGAAACUUAAUUAAGUGUAAACUUAUCAUUAUUAUCAUGUGCACCUCGCAUAAGUACUGAUUGUGGUGAGUUAAUUUAAAAAUCUCAUCCAAAUGAUAUAUUAUUAGAAACUUAAUAUAUAUUUAAGUCAUUAUACAAGGACAUAUGAAGCCAUUUCGGUUAAAAUAUUUUUAGAUCUUGUAGCUCAGACAAGAACAUGAUCUUUCUUUAAUCGGACAGAAGAUUUGUCUUUAUUCAGGACACCACUCGAUUGUAAAGCCAUGUAAGAAAAGUAGUUGUAAGCUUUAGUACAAAAUCUUUAUGAUUUUGGAAAGUGUUACAAGGUGAUCUGCAUUAAAUAUCAGAUAUUCUGAUGAGUUCCAUGCCGAGUUACUCUGUUCCUGAUACUGUUGCUAUUUUGGAAUGUGUAAUCCCGUCAGGUUCAAUGGUAAAGAUUUAUUGGAGAAGUUGAAGGGCAAGAAGAUAAUGUUUAUAGGGGACUCUGUUAGUCUCAACCAUUACGAGUCACUGUUAUGCUUGCUUCAUGCAGCCGUUCCUGAUGCCAGGAUCACAACGCAGACGAGUAACUCGACUAACACAGUGACAUUCGAGGUGAGUGAACUGGUCCUGGAAAGGUUACAGCCCUUGUUAUUCCAAGCAAAAUUGAGUCUACUUUUAUGUAAUUGAUGGUCUAGAACUUCUCAGGAUCAUGGUGUAUCAAUAUCGGUGUUUGAAACUCACUACUUAGUAGACAUUGAACAAGAACAAAUCGGCCGAGUAUUGAAACUUGAAUCGAUUAAGGAUGGAAACACAUGGAAGGAUAUGGAUGUUUUAGUGUUCAAUACUUGGCUUUGGUGGUACCGGAGAGGACCGAAGCAACCGUAUGAGCUCGAAAAACUUGGCAAAUGUGGAAGAUUUGUGAAUUCAAUUGAAAAGAAAUCAAGCUGAUGUAUUGUGUUUGAUUUUUCUGCUUCAAAUUUCAGAUGGGAUUAUGUUCAAGAAGGGCAGAGUAUACUUAAGGACAUGGACCGUAUGGUGGCUUUUCAGAAAGGUUUAACAACUUGGGCAAAAUGGGUCGAUUCGGAUGUUGAUACGAGUAAAACCACAGUUAUUUUUCAGGGAAUUUCUCCAUUUCAUUACCAGUAAGGCUCUCUUCAUUUUCUGAUAAGUGUUUUAAGAAUUGAUUCAUUUUUUCUUUUCAUUUGAAAUCAAUAGAUUAAUGCUUUUUUCUCACGACUUGAACGUUUUUGUCCCUGAACCAGUGGAGAGGAAUGGGACGAACCAGGAGCGACAAAUUGUGGAAAGGAGACCGAGCCAGUUAGCGGAUCAAGUUACCCUGGUGGUUCACCAUUGGCAUUGCAAGUAGUAGAAGAUGUGUUAAGUACUAUAAAGAAACCUGUUCAUUUACUUAAUAUAACAACUCUUUCACAGCUGAGAAAAGAUGGACAUCCGAGCUCUUACAAUGGCUUUAAGGGCAUGGAUUGUACUCAUUGGUGUGUUGCAGGAGUUCCAGAUACUUGGAAUGAACUUCUCUACACAGCUAUUACCAGUUAGAAGAAAAUACACAUUUUAGUUACAUAUUCUGUAGCACAGCCAUUGAAACUAGCCUGCUAGAUGUCAUCAGUCUCCUGAAAUAAUGCACACAGUAUGGAAGCAAAUUUCUUGAUAUAGACUGUCUUUUCUGUAAUUGUUUCCUGAAUAGAAGAAUAGUUUCACAUUUGAGUGUUCAUUCCUUUGUCCAUGAUGAUGAUGAGGCGAUUAUUUUAUUUGCCUUUAUCUAGUGGUGUUUGAUUAUUAUUUCAAGAAAGAAAAAAUAAAAACAAUAAAGACAUAUCUCUUUAUAUAGUGGAAUAUAAUGAUGGUAGUUUUAGAAAGUAUUUAGAGGUGUGAUAGUUAUUGUUUUACAUAAAAAUAUAUUAAAAUAAUAUUUUUUUUUAUUUUUUAAAAUUAUUUUUGAUAUUAAUACAUUCAAAUGAUUCAAAAACAUUAAAAAAAUUAAUUUUAAAUAUUUUUUUUUCAAAAUUUGAUGAAAUAAUAUAACAACUAAACAACCCCUAAUUUCAUCCUCGGAAGAAAUGAAAACUUUCCAAGAAGUGUGGUGGAAAGAAAUCAUUCUUACAAGUGGGAAAAUAGAGUUUUUUUCUUUUUUAAAAAAAAACAAACAAACUAGCACAAUGCUCAAUUGUUUUUUUUAUAAAGAAAAUAGCUUACUAAAAAAAUUAUUUAAAAAAAUAGCAUAAUUCAUUAAGUUGCAUCAACAUCAUUAACUCGACCAAAUUAAAUUUUACAGGCCGGCAAUGUCACGACGGCGGCCUUCAAAUUUUUUCCUAAUUUGUUUUUUGAAAAUGACCAAUUCGUUUGAUUUCACGUCUCUCAAUUUCAAUUGUUUUUUCCUUCAAAUACAUUUAUGCAUGUUUUAUUCCAAAAAGAACAUUAUACAAAGAGACAGUUUCAAAAUUCAAGACAAUGCCAACCCUGUCAACCCAAUUGUUAUCAAUAAAAACAUUUGUAGAAAUGUCAAGGCAAUCAAAUUAAAAAAAAAAUACAAAAUUGUACACCCACAAUUUAAAAUUUUAGCUGACGUUCACUUUUACUUAGAUAUAUAAAUACAGUAAUGGUUAUUUUUUAAAAUAUUUUUUUAUUUAAAAAUAAUAUUAUUAUUUUUUACAUCAACAUAUUUAAAUAAUAAAAAAUAAUAUAAAAAAUCUCAAGAUACUUUUUUAAGUGUAAAAAAAAUAUAGCCACGUCUCAGUGUGUACUUAGUACUCUAUUGCAGGAUUUUUUUUCUUACUGCUACUUCUUUUAAAAAAAUUGAACACUUAAAAAGAAAAACUCUGAGAAAAUGGAGGUGAAAAAAGAGAGAAGCUGGCAAAAUAGGAGAAUUUUUUUCUUAGAAGCACAGCUAUACAGGCCAACCCCCUAUUUUUUUUAUAUAUAAAAAAAAAGGAGUAAGAUUCCUCCCAUAGUAUUGGGAAUCUUGCCUCUUUUGUAUUCUGUAUAACAUCUAGUCAUCUAGUCAUCGUCUACGUGCUAUAAAUCUACAAGUAUGAACCCUCACAAGUUCAAAGUCUAGUGUAGUCUAGCCAUAACGAACACACUUGAUCACACAAUCACAAAAAUGGCUUCUCUGGUGACUUCUUCCACUCUCUUCAGGGGCGGAGCAAGAACAAAAAAUUAGGAUAGCUUAUUUGAUUAGCAAGAGUCGUUGCUGUCAACUUAUCAGGAAUCUGCAGUUUUUAUGCUUUGGUGUUUUCUUAAUUGUUAUGACUUUGCAAGAUUUGCACUGUUGUUGCUGAAAGUUAAUGAUAUUUUUCUUUCUUUCUGCUCCCUGCUCAAAGUAAUUUGGAAGAGGACAAAAGUUCUUACAGACCAAUCAAAAAGAAAGGUCAAGAUUUCCUCCAUGCAUAUAUACAAAAAGCAGCAAAGAGCAUGUACUUCUCAAAAAAAAAAAAAAAGUAGGGAGUUUAUUUCAUCACUUUGUUUAAUCCAGACCAGACUAGCAAGAUCUUAGAAUUUUUUACCCGCUAGAAUCUGAAUGGAUAUCUCAAACUGCACGAGUACAAAAUGCAUCACACUUCAAAACAAAUUGAAUACAAGUUUAUAGCACAAGCACAUAUUUAACAAAUUCUUAUAGCAAAAAUUCCCAGUCUUCGCAUCACCGUACAGCAAAUAUCCAAUUGCAUAGUAGACCAUAAUCUUGGGCCAAUUUUUCUGACAAUUGAUGAUAAGAGCAAGCCAGCUGAAGGAUCUCCAUAGAAGUCCCAGAAAAUCCUGACAGGCCAUUUGUUAAGAUGCAUGUCAAAAAGAAAUCAAUCUAAAAGAAAAUAUGAAAAAUCAAACUCUGUAAUUACUAUUUAUAACACAAAAUGAAAGCAAAAACUAUUUGUAGUACCUUCAGCGAAAGAAGAGAAUGGACACUUGUCCAGUGUUUGGUUCAGUUGAUCUUCAUUUCGGGAAAGUGAGAAAUCUUGUGCCAAUCUUCGCUCCCCUGUAUCCCUUGUACACCUUUUUUUCCAGUAAAGGACAUCUCCCGAUCACAAGAGAAGAAAGGGAGGAUGGGAGCCCCUCUUCAGGCAUGGACUGGAGCUGAGGGCAUCCAUAGAUUGUCAAUUCUCUAAGAGAGGUGAGGAGUCGAAGCACCUUGAAGUCCAGAGAUUUUAGUUUAGGGAGACUGCGUAUUGUAAGAGAUUUCAGAGUAGAGGGCAGCAGCGUCUCCUCAGGGAAGGAUUCCAGAUCAUUGUACCUACCAAAAGUGAAGUAUGAAAGAGAAGGGAGAUUUUGCAAAUCCCAUUGCAUGCGACCAGCAAUGAGUUUCUUGCAACCUAUAACAUAAAGUGUUUGUAAUUUAGAGGAAAAAACCUCAAUUGGAAAUGACUCAACUUCUGGACAACUCCCUAAUAUUUUGAAAUUCACAAGGGAAUGCAUCCUCUCAGGCAAUGACUUCAAAUUCAAGCAGAAACUAAAAUGAAGCUCUGUCAAUUUUGGUGAUCCUUCUUUUGUUAAAAGAUACUAAACUAGGGAACUUACUGAUACUAAGAAAUCCCAACUUUGGGAACAACUCUAAUGGGAAGCACUCAAUCUCAAGCCGCUGACAUUCCCAAAUCUCAAGUUUUGUUAAAGAAGGAAGGUGAGUGGACAGGGCCUUCGUUAGGCUGGGGCAUCUACGUAUGCAGAGCUCUUGCAGGAAAGAAGAGUCUCCUAUCCAAUUUGGAAAUAGCCAUAAACGGAGAGACUUUUUAAAUUUACACGUGGCUGUAGUUUUUCAAGUACUUGUUCUUGCAAAGAAUCAUUCCAGCUUAAUUCCAACUUCUUGAGAUUCUCAUUACCCUUCAAAACGACUUCCAAAGCAUCUGAAGCAUUAGUGACAUUUUGAAGACUCCUUACACAAAGUUUUCCACGCAGAUGCUGAAGCUCCCCUAACUCUUCAAUACCACACCCAUUCUGCUUUCCCACAAAAAAAUCAGUUAGUUUUCGAAGCUUUCUUGAUUCAUCUAGGAAAAUAAUUUGUAUGGAUCCUUACAUGCAUAAUAUUUCUUCCUUGAAAAAAAUGAAGGAUGGCCUGAUUGAGGAGCCAGAUCGUGGGAAGAGGAUAUGGCCUUCGAUCACAGUCAAGUUCAUUAACAGCUUAUUACUCUUGAGAAUAGUUUCAAAACCAUGAAGUUGUGCCACUUCACCACAAGCUGAUCUGCAUCGAUUGGCACUUGAAAAAGAGAAUUUAACUUUAUGAUAGCAUCAAUAUCUGUACAAGCUAUAAUGGUAGAUUACUGAUCAAAGGAAUUCAAAAGAUGAUAAUCCAACGUAUGAGAGCAGAUACAGAAGAGUUGUAAUCCACGACAUUUUUCGUGUUUGCAAAUCAAAUGUGAAUGGGAAGAGUAUUUCUAUGUGUUCAUGGAUUCCAAUCCGAGUUAAGAUACAAAAUUCCAAUAAGUAACUAAAGCCCUGAUCUAACUUGGAUAGAUCAUUGAUUCUUGUUGCCGCAUCUGCUUGGCCAUCCCUUGAGGGCUUGGCAUCUCCUCUUCUGGACAGUAGCUGAUGUUUACUGUGACCAAGGAAUAUCUCUCCUCCAAUGUUGUGAUUUUGUUUUACAAAUUUCCGGCAAGAAAGAUACGUUUGUUGUAAUCAGUAAUCUUAAGCAGUCUUCCAAGCUUGGCUUGUGCAAUGCUUUCAUUUUGACAUGGUGAGACUCGAAAUGAAUGUGCAUUUGUAAAAUUGAUCGUUCCUCUUCUCCUCAAGAAACUACAUAGAGGAAAAAAUACAGAAAAAGUGAACUCAUAAGGUAAAAGAAUAUGAUGUAAAGUGGAACUAUGGAUGGAUGGAAGUUAUGAUGAGCAGACUAUAAAAUGGAAAACAAGUUUUGGCCCCGGUACCUUCAAUGGACAUUGAAAUCUUUUUGCAACCAAGGAAAAGAAAUGAAACUGAUCUGUGUUAUUAAAUCGAGCCUUUGAAGUUCCCAUCCUUAAAAGGUAGUUCAUGAAAGGAGAAACAGGCAGAACGCUGUUACAUUAUCAGUCCAACAAUGUAGUUGUAAGAAUUCUGCUGAGGAAUAUUGACCAAAUUUGCUUAUAAAGGGUUAUUUUUUUGUCAUAUUAAAUUUUAUGGAAAUGUUGGAACUCUCAAAGACAGGGUGGAGGGAUUAGAGGCAUUCUUAGAAAGUGAAGGCAGGAGGCAGCUCACGAAGGCUCACCCUGGAAAAUACUGGCUAGUAUUUAUUUCAAUAAGAAUCAACAUAAGAGAAUCUUCAUGGCCCCUUGUCGGAAAAUCCAGUCAUAUCAGCAUCCAGAUCAUAACGCAAAAGCAACAUUCAUAGCAUCAUCUGGGGAAAGAGUUCAAAAUUCAGUUAUAUGAACACUAAUCUUAAUCAAAUAGCAAAGCGAUUCCUCAAUGAACAAAAUAAACACAGCACUACGUUAUGUAAGCAGAUAAGAUGAUCAUAGAGAGUUUUAGCAUCUCUGAAGAAAGCAAAUGGCUUUGAUGCACUGUUACCUUUAUGGCAGAAAAGGACUAUUUAGGAUAAUAGCAAGCCAUGCUGAAGUAUCACCACAGAAAAUCCUGGCAGCCCACCUAAGAAGGUAAUUGUAAUAAAAAACUUUGCCUGAAACACAAUAAUUCAGCAAUCAAGCCUGGUAGACAAGAAAAUGUCACAGUUCACCAUAUAAAAUGUUCUUUGAGCAGCACAUUCAAUUUUUAUAUAUAUAUAUAUAUAGCUGCAUAUAGGAAUACAAGAUUGAAAUACAAAGUCAAGAACAAGUACAAAAUAAUGACCCAGCAAUUUAGAUCAAGGCAGACCAAGCUUAGUAAAUGGAUCACUUGAAGUCUUGAACCUUUUGUGUGCUGAUAAGUUGUUUUAUUUCCCAUUUAUAGUUGUGAAGUAGUUCUUCAGACCGCCUAGAAACCCAACAGAUAGGCAAUGAACAAAGUGAUAAAAUCAUGUGGUAAAAGUACAUUGAUUCUUUCAAUGAGAACAAAAGAAAUUAAGGAUUGAUCUUAAGAAAAUUAAAUGCAAACAUGAUAAUACAGGAUGUUAUGUGAAUAAAAUGUUCUUUUCAUGCAUUGAGUACAAGCAAGAACAAUCAGUUGAAUUUUCUUGGGGCCAACAUUUUAGUUAUCCUAGAUUCAUAGCCGAUAUUGACACUUGUAAUUUGGAUUGAAGAACAAAAGGAUCAAAAUCCUGCUUGUAAAUUGCAGUAAAUUAAUAACAAAAUGUACUCUGAAAUAGUGAUUAAUCACUUGCUAAAAGGAAAAUAACUUUAAAAUAGCAAUACCUCAUCAAGUUGGAUUAAAUUGAUUUUCUUCCUGAUGUCAUAUAUUCUGGAUCUCUGAUGUAUUUUGGGAACUUCCUCAGCUCCCCUUCACACUCCUUUUCCAGCAAAGGACAUUGCCAGAUAGUUAGAGAAGAAAUGGAGGGGGGCAGCCCUCUUCUGGCAUGGAAACCUCCAUGCAGUUCAUAAUUAUCAACUCUCUAAGAGAGGUGAGGUGUUGAAGUCCCUUGUAGUCAAGAGAUUUGAGAUUUUUUUGUGUCCUGAUUUCAAGACGGGUAAGGCUUGAGGGCAGUAGUGUCUCCUCAGGGAAGCACUCCAAAACAUCAUUUUCUGCAAUUGAAAAUCUUGAAAGAACAUGGAGUGAUUGCAAAUCCCAUUGUGCGCGGCCUGCAAUGAGUUUGUCGCAACCCCAAAUAGCAAGUCCUUUAAGUUUGGAGGGCAAACCCCCUACUGGAAAUGACUCGAGUUUCGGACAAUGAAAUAUGGACAAUUUCUCAAGGGAAGGUAGAAGUGAAUGCAUAUUCUCGGGCAAUGACUUCAAAUUUGAACAACUCCAUAACUGAAACUCUUUCAAAUUUGGGGCAAGGGGCAUUCCUUUGCUGAAAGAUACUAAAUUAGGACAACUACCAAUAGUAAGAGAUUCUAAUUUAGGGAACAACUCUAAUGGGAAAAUCUCGAUCUCAAACUGCUCACAUGCCCUGAUAUCAAGUUUGGUUAAAGAAGGAAAGUGAGUAAAGAGGGCCUUCUUCAGGUUGGGGCAGCUUCUGAUGUAAAGCUCUUGGAGGAGAGGAAGAGAGGAGUUCCCAACCCAAUCUGGAAAUCUUGUACCUCCAUACCCAUUAAUGGUGAGAAUUUUGACAUUCACAGGAGGUUGUAGCUGCUCAAGUACCUUUUCAUGGACGAGUGGAUUAUCCAUAUCACAAUCCCAUACUAACUCCAACUUCUCAAGAUGUUCUUUACCCUUCAAAUUCGCUUCAAAAGAAUCUCGAGCAUCUGUGACAUUUUGAAGAUUCCAAAUAGAAAGAUCACCAGAUAGAUGCUGAAGCUUUCCCAACUCUUUAAUGUUAGAGCCACUUUGUUUUCCGAUAAAGAAAUCAGUUAAUUUUCGAAGCUUUGUUAGUUUCCCCAUUUGCAGUGGCAUCUCUCGCAAUUUUGUGUGUUGAAGAUCAAGAUGACGCAAGUUGAUCAAGCUUCUCAUGUUAGCUGGCAACUCAACAAGCUUAACACAAAAGUGCAAGUUCAAAAUUUCCAAAUUAUACAGACUGCACAUUGAUUCAGGGAGCCUUGUAAUCUUUGUACGAGAGAGAUCAAGAUACCGUAAAUGCUUCAAGUUGCAAAUUGAAUUAGGCAACACAGAUAUAUCAUGAAAGGGGUGCAAAGAUAGCACUCUGAGGCACUUGAGUGCAGGCAAUAAAUUACAUAUGACCUCAACUUGUUGUAUCAUGUGUUGAGGCCAACCAUUGGGACAUAGCAAGGUGCGCAGCAAUUGGGGGUUCUUGAUCGCCUUGAAUGUCUGAUAAGAGUCAUCUUUUGUUGCUCUGUAUGAUAAAUGGCGAGUCCUUUCAGUAGUCUUGCUUGAAUCAUCACCUUCUAGCCUGAAGCAAAAAUCUCCGGAUGCAAAUCUAGCUAAAUCAUUAAUGAGGUCAUGCAUUAUGAAUAAUGAUGAACUGAGACUUGAUUGCUGAAAAAAUGACCUUGCCACAAGCUCAUUGAAGUACUCAUAGCCUAUUUCUUCCAUCUCAUUAUUUCUUCUGGGUUCCACCAAAAAGCCUUCUGCCAUCCAUAAAAGGACUAUCUCCUCCCUUGUGAAUUUAUAACCCUUCGGAAUUAUCGCGCAGUAAGAAAAGCAUCGUUUUAAAUGAGAUGGGAGAUAAUGAUAACUCAGCCGCAGAGGUGACAGAAUGUUGUCAUUUGGCAAUUCCCAAAAAUUGCUCUUUAAUAUCUUCAUCCACUCAUUCAUAGCUCUUUUGGAGCACAGGAGACUCCCAAGUGUUUUUGCAGCCAAAGGCAGGCCGUUGCACUUCCUCGCUAUCUGUCUGCCAAUUAAUUCCAGCUCUGGAUGGGCAGUGAAAUUUCCACCAUCAAAUGCAUGUUUUGACAACACCAACCAACAAUCAUCGUCAGAUAACUUCUUUAUAUGAUGAGUUGAAACAGAAGAAAUGAUCGAUGCUACGUUUUCAUUGCGCGUUGUCACGAUAAUUUUACUUCCCUGUCUCACGGACAUGAAAGGUUUCAGUAAAAAUUCCCACUGAGAUUGGUUAUCGCUCCAACAUCGUCUAGAACAAGCGAUAGUUUGUUCCCUGACAAUUUCUUCUCUAGCUCGCAAUGGAGUUGAUCUUCAGUCAUGUUGUCACAGUUCAUCGAACCAACCCCCUUCAGAAUAUCUUUUGUUACUUUGAGAACAUCGAAUUCUUCCGAAACAUAAACCCAGGCUUUGAGAUCAAACGAGCUCUUCUGGCUUCUGUCGUUGGAAACAACAAUUUCUUUAUAGAGAAGCUGAGCAAGGGUGGUUUUACCAACCCCUCCCAUACCCACUAUCGAAAUCACAUCUAGGUGCCUGCCUUUUGUAUCAUCUGAUAGCAGCAACUUCAUUAUGGCUUCUUUUUCAGCAUCCCUUCCAUAAACUCCAGAUUCAUCUACCAGAGAAGAAGUGGUGUUAUCCGCGACGAUGGUUUCUCCCCAAUGCGCUCUAUCAGACCAAGAACAUCCUUUUGUCCCACCAACUCUUCUAAACUUCGAAGGAUCUUUGCCAACUCUAUUUGCACCUUCUCACCCCUUUCUACAUGGAUUAAGAGAAGCGAGAAAACUUCGAAGCUGAUCCGUGCAGGUCUGACUUCGAGAUUCACCUUCCAACUUCAACCGCAAAACUUUAUAAGCAAUCUCAUCCAAGAAGUCAUCAGCUUGAUAGACAGCAUCCUUAAGCUCAUCAAGCCACUCUUUCACAGCUGCAUCAGUAAUCUGCUUCUCCUCUGCAUCAUUGAGCAGUUUACUAACAGACCUCAUCCUUGCCUUCAACUUCUUCAAUUCUUCAUCAUCGAUUUUUUGGCUCUUGAAGAAGUCCCUAACCGCAGGAGAAACUAUCCUCUCCAUCAAAACUUCAAGGACUGCAGCAAGAAUUGAUUCUCCAAUCAAUGCGAGAGCCAUUUCCCCUGUUCACAAAUCUUUACAAAUAAUAAAUAUUCAGCAAAGCCAAAUGAACCAGAAAGAACAAGUACACAAGAUUAUGCAGCAGGCAUUCGAAUCAAGACAUCAAUCAACUCAAUCUUUUCAUUAAAAUUAUUAACUUCAUGAUAUUUCAUUAAAUAACUCAUCAAAAUAAAAAGAUUAAGGCUAUGUAACAUCAAUUCACAUAAUUCAUACUUCCAAAAAAUCAAAUAUCCUAAAGAACCAAAAAAAUAAAUUGAAAUACCCCAAACCCAGAACACGAAAAUCCUUAUUAUGGGUUCUUUAAUAUAUACAUAGCUGCAGAAAAGAAAGCAAAAUUGGGAUGAAAAAAAUUCAAGAACAAGGAGAAAAGAUUGAGCCAACAAAGGAAGUCAAGGAAACAGAGCUUACUUGAGCCGACAGCAUGCAGCAGUAUUUACUAUUUAGGUGAAAAUGAAGGAAAAUUCCAAGGAUGAGUGAUGAAAGGAAUUCUGAUUUAAUAAAGUAAAGUCAGUUGUGUGACGCAGAGAUUAUACAUUUUCGGACAUGAAAGCAGAAAAAGUUGACAAUAACGGUCGAUGUCAGUUUCUGAAGCUGUAUGCCAGCCAAAAGAUAUAGAGAAGAAAAGGUCAAUCAUCCCUGUACUUUUUGAAAUGUUUUGGUUGGGUCCCUCUACUGUUCUGUGGUUUAAUUUAGUCCUUGUAUAUUAUGUAAUAUCUGUGAUUUGGUCCUCUGUAAAAGUUUACCUUUGUAUUGUAUUUGGGAAAAAAACAGGGAGGAAUGAAAAUGAGAAAAUAAAAGUGCGAGGAAGGAAAAUAUUAGAAAAGAAAAUGAUUUUCCUCACUGAGUUUGGAAGGGGUAAAUUUGGAAGGAAGGAAAAUGGAGGGGUUUUGUAAAAUUACAAUUUUAUCCUUUCACUUUUUUUCUUUUGGUCUAGAAAGUUUUGCGAAAAUCUUUAAAUAAGAAAAUUGUGAUUUGAAUGGGAGUAACUUUAUGAUAAAAGAAGAGAGAGAAGAAAAGAGUCGUUUCAUAUUGUCGCACGUGUGCGGCGAAAAAAUUACAAUGUUUUUCCAUUUUCUUAUCUACAAUGUAAAUCUAUCUAUAUCUAUUUGGCAAAUAUGGGGAGACAAGAAAUUCUUGUCGUUUAUUGGUGGAAAAUGGAAUGGGAGUCGCCACCUAGUAUUUUGGUCACUAGUAACCCUAACUGGUCUCAGAGAUCGGAUACGAGGACUGGUUGCGUAAAUGGAAGGUAUUAGCACCCCAAUUACGCCCUACCUAAGGUAAGCUGCAUUGUUUUAUUGUCUGAUAAAAUCUAAGGUCUUUUCGUGUUUUCCUAGUUGUUGGUAUGGUUCAAGAAAAAUCCUCCUCGGUAAGGAGAUCAUUAUCUUAAUGGGUAAUUCUGACGUUAACAAAAGAAUUUAAUAUUCAAAAUAUGUCUUACGUAUAAGAUCUUAAUCCCAAAUACUAAAAGAAAACACAAUAAUUUUUUUUGGAAUUUUUGAAAUAUUGGCCCAGUUCUCAUGGCUUAAAUAAACUGGUUAUUAAAGCCAAAAUGCAUGCUAAUACAUAUAUUGUUUUGAAAUUUCCUUUGUUGUGUGAAAAUAUGAUGUUAUAAUAUUUAUAUAUAUAUAUAUAUAUAUUGGAGAGACUAGGCCGUAUGCAUGAAAACAAACAUUUUUUUUCUUAUAAACAUUUUUCUUGACGAAAACCGGGUAUUUUAAUACCGGAUUUGUAUCUUUAUAGUAUAAAAUACAAACCGAUAUUGAUCAAAAUACAGUAAUAAAAUUACAGAAAAAUCACAAAUUCUUUGAAAUAAUUUUUGAAGAAUUCUUAUUUUUUUAUUUUUAUGGGUUGGACCCAACUGGGCCGACGUGGCUGGGCUGAACCCAGCAGGCCCCACGUGAAUUAUAUUUCACAUGAACAGUGAAAUAACAUUUCACGUGAAUUAUAUUUGAUGCGAACGGUGAAAUAGCAUUUCACUGUUCACGUUAAUUAUAUUUGGUAUGAAUAGUAUUUCAUUGUUCACGUGAAUUAUAUUUGAUGUGAACAGUGAAAUAGCAUUCACUUGAACAGUGAAAUGCGAGGAAAUGGCGCAUGGGGCAAACCUGGUGGCGGAAACGAUGUUGAAGACGAUGGCGAACACUCCCAGUGAUGCUGGUGGCGGUGGAGAGACAGGCGGCGAGGUCUCCCGGUGGUGCUGAUGGUGGCAGUGGCUGGGAAGCGCAAUGGCAUCAACUAUUUUCUGCAGCAUUUCUUCUCCUUUAUGCAGAUGCACGUACCUCUGUUUUCCUUCCUCCUUUUUGCUUCUGCCUGGUUCUUCUCCUCUUGAUCUCGGGUGUUUCCUUCUGUCAGCUGUUCAUCCUUCUCUGUGUACAUUGGUUUCCCCUCUCGGUCGUCCCCUCACUGUCUCAUUGUUUUGUUUCCUCCUCCCUUUCUGUCUGUUCUCCUUUCUUUCCCCUCUCUCUCCUCCCUUUGGGUCCUCUCUUUUCUAUUCUCUUCGUGCUCCUCCUCUCAUUCAAAACUUCCUUCUCCUUUAAAAUUUUCCUCCAUCGAGCCCCUCUCUCUCUAAAAAAUCCCCCUUGCUGCUGGUGUUGAGAGCAAUAUUUAUAGGCUAGAAGGGAGCGGGCUGCUGCGGCUGGUCGGCCAUUGGGCGCGACAGCAAGGCGCCGCUCCCUUGAUUUCGGCAGGGCGCGCGGCGGGUUUAAGUUUUGGGAGCAGCAUGCAGUCAUUGGUGUGGGGCUCUAGCAGCAUGCGAGAAGAGGAACAGUGUCAAAACGACACUGUUUGUUUUUUUUUUAAUUUUUAUUUAUUUAUUUAUUUAUUUUUAUUUUUAUUUUUAUUAUUAUUAUUAUUAUAUUUUUUUCUUUAUUUUGUUAAAAUUUUAUUUUUUGUGGGGACCCGAAAAUGGGUUACAACAGAUGCCCCCUCUUUAUAAUGCUUACGGAGCAGGGGUUUUGCGCUGUAAGUUUUAUAAAGAUAAACCAAAAAUGAACUCCUGAAACUGAUCUUGUCGAAGCUUGAUCGAAGCUGGAUUGAUCUGAAACUUUGUCUUUAUAGCAAACCUCCACAACCUAGAAAACUAUGAUACAAAUUUAGUCAUCUUGAGAUCCCUUCUGGCGAUCUCUUUAAACCAAAAUCUAUAAUUGUAGCUUACUCAACUGGGAAUCCCAUCUAGCGAUUCCCUUUUACCAAAAUGAAAUAUGAGGUCCCUUAUGGCGACCUCUUUUGACCAAUAUCAAAAUACGAGAUCCCUUCUAGCGAUCUCCUUUAAUAAAAAAAUCUUGGAAUCCCAUCUGGCGAUUCCUUUUAACCAAACAUGAAAUAUGAGGUCCCUUCUAGCGACCUCCUUUGACCAAUAUCGAAAUACGAGUCCCUUCUGGCGACCUCCUUUGACCAAUAUCGAAAUUCAAGAUCCCUUCUGGCAAUCUCCUUUAAUCAACUUGGAAUCCCAUCUGGCGAUUCCUUUUAACCACAUGAAAUAUGAGGUCCCAUCUGGCGACCUCCCUUGACAAAUAGCGAAAUACGAGAUCCCUUCUGGCGAUCUCUUUUAUUCAACCUGGAAUCUCAUCUAGCGAUUCCUUUUAACCAACAUGAAAUAUGAGGUCCCAUCUGGCGACCUCUUUUGACAAAUAGCGAAAUACGAGAUCCCUUCUGGCGAUCUCUUUUAUUCAACUUGGAAUCCCAUCUGGCGAUUCCUUUUAACCAAACAUGAAAUAUGAGGUCCCUUCUGGCGACCUCCUUUGACCAAUAUUGAAAUACAAGAUCCCUUCUGGCGAUCUCCUUUAAUCAACUUGGAAUCCCAUUUGACGAUUCCUUUUAACCAACAUGAAAUAUGAGGUCCCAUCUGGCGACCUCUUUUGACCAAUAUCGAAAUACGAGAUCCCUUCUGGCGAUCUCCUUUAAUCAACUUGGAAUCCCAUCUGGCGAUUCCUUUUAACCACAUGAAAUAUGAGGUCCCGUCUGGCGACCUCCCUUGACAAAUAGCGAAAUACGAGAUCCCUUCUGGCGAUCUCCUUUAAUUAACUUGGAAUUCGAUCUGGCGAUUCCUUUUAACCAACAUGAAAUAUAAGGUCCCAUCUAGCGACCUCUCUUAACAAAUAGCGAAAUACGAGAUCCCUUCUGGCGAUCUCUUUUAUUCAACUUGGAAUCCCAUCUAGCAAUUCCUUUUAACCAACAUGAAAUAUGAGGUCCCAUCUGGCGACCUCCCUUGACAAAUAGCGAAAUACGAGAUCCCUUCUGGCGAUCUCCUUUAUUCAACUUGGAAUCCCAUCUGGCGAUUCCUUUUAAACACAAUGAAAUAUGAGGUCCCAUUUGGCGACCUCUUUUGACCAAUAUCGAAAUACAAGAUCCCUUCUGGCGAUCUCCUUUAAUCAACUUGGAAUCCUAUUUGGCGAUUCCUUUUAACCAACAUGAAAUAUGAGGUCCCAUCUGGCAACCUUUUUUGACCAAAUACGAGAUCCCUUCUGGCAAUCUCCUUUAAUCAACUUGGAACCCCAUCUGGCAAUUCCUUUUAACCAACAUGAAAUAUGAGGUCCCAUCUGGUGACCUCUUUUAACCAAUAUCGAAAUACGAGAUCCCUUCUUGCGAUCUCUUUUAACAAACAAUCUUGGAAUCCCAUCUAGCGAUUCCUUUUAACCAAAGCUGAAAUAUGAGGUCCCUUCUGGCGACCUCCAUUGAUGAAUAUCGAAAUACAAGAUCCCUUCUGGUGAUCUCCUUUAACAAACAAUCUGGGAAUCCCAUCUGGCGAUUUCUUUUAACCAAAGCUGAAAUAUGAGGUCCCUUCUAGCGACCUCCAUUGAUGAAUAUCGAAAUACGAGAUCCUUUAUGGCGAUCUCCUUUAACAAACAAUCUUGGAAUCCCAUCCGACGACUCCUUUUAACCAAAGCUGAAAAUAUGAGAUCUCUUCUGGCGAUCUCCUUUAAAAAACCAAAAAAAUCUAUUUUGUAAAUCGGUCAACCUGGAAUCCCAUCUGGCGAUUCCCUUUUACCAAAGCUGAUAUCGAUGUCGUUCUUCCUGAUGGUAGGGUUUGAAACUUUCAUUUUCUCUUUAGGCUCUUCUCGUUGUUCUAGAAUCAAAACCGUGAUUCUUUGAUAUCAUCAACUCAAUGAUUCUUUCUUCGUUCACAAUCUUGUUGGAAUGCACUAAGGACUCCUCCUGUAACGAUCCAAAAAAAACAUACAUGCAAUGAUUUAUGAUUAGAUGUAAUGCAUGCAUUCGUACCUGAUUUUGAAACAUAGGCCCCAUCAUCUUCCAUGAAACUCUCUCUUGACAUGAGCUUGCUUUUGAAGUCGUAUGCUGGAUUCAUUUCUCGUGUUGCCUCUUUUUACCUAUCAUAUCUUGGAGAAGAAGUCUUCGACUUUUUAGAAGUAGCCCCUUUUUUCUCAAAAUGUAUGACUUGUCAUUGCCUCUUUGUCAUACUUUUGUCAAAUGCUUUAUCUUUUCAAAUCUACGAGCUCUCAUCCCGUUUUGAAAAUACAUAAAACUUUUCAUGAAAUAUCUUUUAUUGCCCCCAGUGUGGAGUGUGAUCCUAGUCCGGGUUUUUAUAAAAAAGAAAUUCAUUCUCGCUCAAAUGGGAUCACCAACGAUAAACUCUUUAGAAAGUGAAAGGAUAAUGAAUUUUUCUUAUUUCAAAAUGCACAUUGUUAGGAUUGAUAAACUUUAUUUUUAUCUUGAAAGAAAUUUACAGGUGAUUAUAGAGUGACCACUUGAUCAUUUAUCCAUGCAAUUCAUUAUGCUAUCCAGACGUAGGGUUGUACUUUAGGGUUAACUUUUCUUAAAUUUCAUUUUUUUAACCAUUUUAUGAUACCUUCCUUGUAACCACUCAACCUUGUUUUUUAAAAAAUGCAUAAUUUCAUCAUUUAUUUAAAGAAAAGGUGGGCUCAAAGACAAACAUAAAAUCUGGCUAACAUCAUGAGCCUUGAUUGUUAACUAGAGAAAAUAAAAGCAAUGACAAAAGCAUGCUAAGACAAAUAAAGUCGAUUAACAUUUUGAAAACUACAGGAACUUCUUGGGUCACCCCGUUCUAAAACUUCUCUACUUGCAUGAAAAGGUCUUGGCGGAGACUUCUAGUGAGUGGACAAUCAAUCGUGGCAGUGUUUUAUCUCCUUCAAUCUCAUCUUCUUAGUUAUUGACAAAUCUUGACCAAGGUUUUCCAACCCUUUAUCCACUAUUAUUCGUGUCACAACUAGGAAAUGGUUUUGAAUUGAUUUUGGGUGGGUCUUUAAAUGACACCCAUCCUAUCUUGAUGAGCUCCAACAACCUUUUCUUGAAAGCAUAGCAUGUUUCAAGACCAUGCCCAGUAAUACCAGCAUGGUACUCGCAAGUCAACUCGGGCUUGUACCAGAUGGGGAAUGGUGGCUGUAGUGGUAAUGUAGGGAUAGGAGCUAUUUGUCCAAUGCUCAGUAGUUUGACAUACAUGUCCUUCAAAGGCAUGGGUAAUGGCGGUAGUUGUUUUGAAAUGUAUCUUGUGUUUGAAUUUUGGUGGUUGUUUUGUUUGUUUGACUGGUUAUUUGCUCAAUUAGGGGAAAAAGGUUGGUUAAAGUUUAUGUGGGCAACAUGAGAGGUAGGUAUUUGUGGGUUAUAUGAAUCCGUUAUCUUUUCAUUGGACCCACCUUCAAAGUUGUUAGUGUGACCUUCCAUUUUUCUUCCAAUAAAACCCUUCGUCUGCAAUGGCUCAACUAUGCGUCCAGCUUUAAUUCUUUGCUCUAUUCUUUCCGCUAUGCGUACAACAUCAUAGAAAUGCUGAGCUGAGCUACCCAUUAAAUGCUCAUAAUAUGGUGCCUUGAAGGUGUUGGCAAACAAAGUCACCAUCUCUCUUUCUAUUAAAGGGGGUUGGACAUGCAUUGCCUCAUCCCUCCACCUUUGCGCAUAUGCCUUUAUUGACUCUUGGCUUCUUUUCUCCAUUGACAUUAGACUUGUUCGAUCCGGAGCGAUUUCCAGGUUAAAUUUGUACUGCUUAAGGAAAGCUUCCACCAAGUCUCUCCAGCUCUUGAUCCUGACACUAUCUAACCUUAUGUACUAACUCAAAGCGGAUCCUGCGAGGCUAUCUUGAAAAAAAAAAAUUAACAGUUUAUCAUCGCGGAUUACUUCUGCCAUUUUAUUACAGUAGGAUCGAAGGUGAGUGUUUGGGCAUUCCAAACCGGUGUACUUGAUGAAUUCUGGUAUCUUAAAAUCUUUUGGCACCACGAUGUUUGGUACCAGACAUACUUCAGCUGCUCGCAUAGGGUCAAACCAGUCAUUACCUUCAACUGCCCUUAAUCUUUCUUCCAAGGCAAACAACUUGUCCUGGUCCAUUAAAUUGGGAGACCUAUUAUCUGGGAUUCCUUUCGCUGUUAAGUCAACAGUAAUUGGAGCAUGAGUUGGUUGGAUAGAGGUGAUAGGCACAAAAUGUUGUUCAUUGGCCGAGUUUGCCCCCUGGUUUUGAGAUGCUUGAGGGAUGUGAGCUGUUGGCGCUCCUUCGGGUGGUUGUGCUGAUGUUCCCUCCCUAUUCUUAGCUCUUAGUAGUUGUUCGAGUAGGUCAGUCAGCCGAGCGACCUUGUUUUUUACGGAUUCCAACUCGAUCUGAUAAUAUGACUCUAAGUGAGCUCUUCCUUCAUUCUCCAUCCUUGAUUUAGACCGGGUGUGGUGGACUUUGGAUGUAGGACCUAUGUUUCACGAUCUGAAAUGCAUAUGAUAAUGUAAAAAUAAAAUGUGUGAUGAAGAUGUGAUGCACAAGUGCUACGCGAUGAGUUUAACAUUAUUAAUCUUAAUGCAAAUAAGAUACAUAACCUAAGGACAAACUCUAUUUAUUAAGUAGUUUUUCAAGUACUUGUUCUUGCAAAGAAUCAUUCCAGCUUAAUUCCAACUUCUUGAGAUGCUCAUUACCCUUCAAAACGACUUCCAAAGCAUCUGAAGCAUCGGUGACAUUUUGAAGAUUCCUUACACAAAGUUUUCCACGCAUAUGCUGAAGCUCCCCUAACUCUUCAAUACCACACCCAUUCUGCUUUCCCACAACAAAAAUCAGUUAGUUUUCGAAGCUUUCUUGAUUCAUCUAGGAAAAUAAUUUGUAUGGAUCCUUACAUGCAUAAUAUUUCUUCCUUGAAAAAAAUGAAGGAUGGCCUGAUUGAGGAGCCAGAUCGUGGGAAGAGGAUAUGGCCUUAGAUCACAGUCAAGUUCAUUAACAGCUUAUUACUCUUGAGAAUAGUUUCAAAACCAUGAAGUUGUGCCACUUCACCACAAGCUGAUCAGCGUCGAUUGGCACUUGAAAAAGAGAAUUUAAUUUUAUGAUAGCAUCAAUAUCUGUACAAGCUAUAAUGGUAGAUUACUGAUAAAAGGAAUUCAAAAGAUGAUAAUCCAACGUAUGAGGGCAGAUACAUAAGAGUUGUAAUCCACGACAUUUUUCGUGUUUGCAAAUCAAAUGUGAAUGGGAAGAGUAUUUCUAUGUGUUCAUGGAUUCCAAUCCGAGUUAAGAUACAAAAUUCCAAUAAGUAACUAAAGCCCUGGUCUAACUUGGAUAGAUCAUUGAUUCUUGUUGCCGCAUCUGCUUGGCCAUCCCUUGAGGGCUUGGCAUCUCCUCUUCUGGACAGUAGCUGAUGUUUGCUGUGACCAAGGAAUAUCUCUCCUCCAAGUGUUGAGAUUUGUUUUUACAAAUUUCCGGCGAGAAACAGAAGUUUGCUGUAAUCAGUAAUCUUAAGCAGUCUUCCAAGCUUGGCUUGUGCAAUGCUUUCAUUUUGACAUGGUGAGACUCGAAAUGAAUGUGCAUUUGUAAAAUUGAUCGUUCCUCUUCUCCUCAAGAAACUACAUAGAGGAAAAAAUACAGAAAAAGUGAACUCAUAAGGUAAAAGAAUAUGAUGUAAAGUGGAACUAUGGAUGGAUGGAAGUUAUGAUGAGCAGACUAUAAAAUGGAAAACAAGUUUUGGCCCCUAUACCUUCCAAUGGACAUUGAAAUCUUUUUGCAACCAAGGAAAAGAAAUGAAAUAGUUGUAAGAAUUCUGCUGAGGAAUAUUGACCAAAUUUGCUUAUAAAGGGUUAUUUUUUUUGUCAUACUAAGUUCUAUGGACAUGUUGGAACUCUCAAAGACAGGGUGGAGGGAUUAGAGGCAUUCUUAGAAAGUGAAGGCAGGAGGCAGCUCACGAAGGCUUACCCUGGAAAAUACUGGCUAGUAUUUAUUUCAAUAAGAAUCAACAUAAGAGAAUCUUCAUAGCCCCUUAUCGGAAAAUCCAGUCAUAUCAGCAUCCAGAUCAUAACGCAAAAGCAACAUUCAUAGCAUCAUCUGGGGAAAGAGUUCAAAAUUCAGUUAUAUGAACGCUAAUCUUAAUCAAAUAGCAAAGCGAUUCCUCAAUGAACAAAAUAAACACAGUUCUACGUUAUAUAAGCAGAUAAGAUGAUCAUAGAGAGUUUUAGCAUCUCUGAAGAAAGCAAAUGGCUUUGAUGCACUGUUACCUUUAUGGCAGAAAAAGGACUAUUUAGGAUAAUAGCAAGCCAUGCUGAAGGAUCACCACAGAAAAUCCUGGCAGCCCACCUAAGAAGGUAAAUGUAAUAAAAAAAUUUGUCUGAAACACAAUAAUUCAGCAAUCAAGCCUGGUAGACAAGGAAAUGUCACAGUUCACCAUAUAAAAUGUUCUUUGAGCAGCACAUUCAAUUUUAUAUAUAUAUAUAUAUAUAUAGCUGCAUAUAGGAAUACAAGAUUGAAAUACAAAGUCAAGAACAAGAACAAAAUAAUGACCCAGCAAUUUAGAUCAAGGCAGACCAAGCUUACUUGAGCAGAGACAGUUUGCACUAUUAGACAGCUAGGAAAAUUCCAACGAUGCGCACAAGGGUCCCUGCUUUCCUCAAAUACACUCGAUUUGAAGUUCAAAAGGAAUAGUUUCACAUUUGAAAGUAUGAAAGCAUACGCAAGCUUCCUUCUCCUCGUUGCUCUUUUGGACCAGAACCCCUUCCGAGACAUGCCAAGCUUUGCAAAAUUAAAAGUAUAUAUGCAAGUCCUUCUGGAAGGUACUUGCGAAGAUAGUACCCAACAGAAUAGAAAAUAACCCUAGUCGUCUGUAGAUGCAAUAUAUCAGAAUAAACUAAGUAGAGAUCAGCGAAACUCUUGAACCAAAUCAGAGAGUUCUGAAAAUACUUUGAGUUUCAACGUUUGAUGCUUAAAUCAAUGCAAGGAUACAGAACAACGGAUGAUGAUAACAACAUCAAGAAAAAUGGAUGGCUAUGCAAAGCGGAGUACAUGGACCACUUGAACCUUUUGUGUGCUGAUAAGUUGUUUUAUUUCCCAUUUAUAGUUGUGAAGUAGUUCCUCAGACUGCCUAGAAACCCAACAGAUAGGCAAUGAACAAAGUGAUAAAAUCAUUUGUGGUAAAAGUAAAUUGAUUCUCUCAAUGACAACAAAAGCAAUUAAGGAUUGAUCUUAAGAAAAUUAAAUGCAAACAUGAUAAUACAGGAUGUUAUGUGAAUAAUAUGUUCUUUUCAUGCAUUUAGUACAAGCAAUAACAAUCAGUUGAAUUUUCUUGGGGCCAACAUUUUAGUUAUCCUAGAUUCAUAGCCGAUAUUGACACUUGUAAUUUGGAUUGAAGAACAAAAGGAUCAAAUUCCUGCUUGUAAUUUGCUUUAAAAUAAUAACAAAAUGUACUCUGAAAUAGUGAUUGAUCACUUGCUAAAAGGAAAAUAACUUGAAAAUAGCAGUACCUUGUCAAGUUGGAUUAAAUUGAUUUUCUUCCUGAUGUCAUAUAUUCUGGAUCUCUGAUGUAUUUUGGGAACUUCCUCAGCUCCCCUUCACACUCCUUUUCCAGCAAAGGACAUUGCCAGAUAGUUAGAGAAGAAAUGGAGGGGGGCAGCCCCUCUACUGGCAUGGAAACCUCCAUGCAGUUCAUAAUUAUCAACUCUCUAAGAGAGGUGAGGUGUUGAAGUCCCUUGUAGUUAAGAGAUUUCAGAUUUUUAUGUGUCCUGAUUUCAAGAUGGGUAAGGCUUGAGGGCAGUAGCGUCUCCUCAGGGAAGCACUCCAAAACAUCAUUGUCUGCAAUUGAAAAUCUUGAAAGAACAUGGAGUGAUUGCAAAUCCCAUUGUGCGCGGCCUGCAACGAGUUUGUCGCAACCCCAAAUAGCAAGUCCUUUAAGUUUGGAGGGCAAACCCCCUACUGGAAAUGACUCGAGUUUCGGACAAUGAAAUAUGGACAAUUUCUCAAGGGAAGGUAGAAGUGAAUGCAUAUUCUCCGGCAAUGACUUCAAAUUUGAACAACUCCAUAACUGAAACUCUUUCAAAUUUGGGGCAAGGGGCAUUCCUUUGCUGAAAGAUACUAAAUUAGGACAACUACCAAUCGUAAGAGAUUCUAAUUUAGGGAACAACUCUAAUGGGAAAAACUCGAUCUCAAACUGCUCACAUGCCCUGAUAUCAAGUUUGGUUAAAGAAGGAAAGUGAGUAAAGAGGGCCUUCUUCAGGUUGGGGCAGCUUCUGAUGUAAAGCUCUUGGAGGAGAGGAAGAGAGGAGUUCCCAACCCAAUCUGGAAAUCUUGUACCUCCAUACCCAUUAAUGGUGAGAAUUUUGACAUUCACAGGAGGUUGUAGCUGCUCAAGUACCCUUUCAUGGACGAGUGGAUUAUCCAUAUCACAAUCCCAUACUAACUCCAACUUCUCAAGAUGUUCUUUACCCUUCAAAUUCGCUUCAAAAGAAUCUCGAGCAUCUGUGACAUUUUGAAGAUUCCAAAUAGAAAGAUCACCAGAUAGAUGCUGAAGCUUUCCCAACACUUUAAUGUUAGAGCCACUUUGUUUUCCGAUAAAGAAAUCAGUUAAUUUUCGAAGCUUUGUUAGUUUACCCAUUUGCAGUGGCAUCUCUCGCAAUUUUGUGUGUUGAAGAUCAAGAUGACGCAAGUUGAUCAAGCUUCUCAUGUUAACUGGCAACUCAACAAGCUUAACACAAAAGUGCAAGUUCAAAAUUUCCAAAUUAUACAGACUGCACAUUGAUUCAGGGAGCCUUGUAAUCUUUGUACGAGAGAGAUCAAGAUACCGUAAAUGCUUCAAGUUGCAAAUUGAAUUAGGCAACACAGAUAUAUCAUGAAAGGGGUGCAAAGAUAGCACUCUGAGGCACUUGAGUGCAGGCAAUAAAUUACAUAUGACCUCAACUUGUUGUAUCAUGUGUUGAGGCCAACCACUGGGACAUAGCAAGGUGCGCAGCAAUUGGGGGUUCUUGAUCGCCUUGAAUGUCUGAUAAGAGUCAUCUUUUGUUGCUCUGUAUGAUAAAUGGCGAGUCCUUUCAGUAGUCUUGCUUGAAUCAUCACCUUCUAGCCUGAAGCAAAAAUCUCCGGAUGCAAAUCUAGCUAAAUCAUUAAUGAGGUCAUGCAUUACGAAUAAUGAUGAACUGAGACUUGAUUGCUGAAAAAAUGACCUUGCCACAAGCUCAUUGAAGUACUCAUAGCCUAUUUCUUCCAUCUCAUUAUUUCUUCUGGGUUCCACCAAAAAGCCUUCUGCCAUCCAUAAAAGGACUAUCUCCUCCCUUGUGAAUUUAUAACCCUUCGGAAUUAUCGCGCAGUAAGAAAAGCAUCGUUUUAAAUGAGAUGGGAGAUAAUGAUAACUCAGCCGCAGAGGUGACAGAAUGUUGUCAUUUGGCAAUUCCCAAAAAUUGCUCUUUAAUAUCUUCAUCCACUCAUUCAUAGCUCUUUUGGAGCACAGGAGACUCCCAAGUGUUUUUGCAGCCAAAGGCAGGCCGUUGCACUUCCUCGCUAUCUGUCUGCCAAUUAAUUCCAGCUCUGGAUGGGCAGUGAAAUUUCCACCAUCAAAUGCAUGUUUUGACAACACCAACCAACAAUCAUCGUCAGAUAACUUCUUUAUAUGAUGAGUUGAAACAGAAGAAAUGAUCGAUGCUACGUUUUCAUUGCGCGUUGUCACGAUAAUUUUACUUCCCUGUCUCACGGACAUGAAAGGUUUCAGUAAAAAUUCCCACUGAGAUUGGUUAUCGCUCCAAACAUCGUCUAGAACAAGCGAUAGUUUGUUCCCUGACAAUUUCUUCUCUAGCUCGCAAUGGAGUUGAUCUUCAGUCAUGUUGUCACAGUUCAUCGAACCAACCCCCUUCAGAAUAUCUUUUGUUACUUUGAGAACAUCGAAUUCUUCCGAAACAUAAACCCAGGCUUUGAGAUCAAACGAGCUCUUCUGGCUUCUGUCGUUGGAAACAACAAUUUCUUUAUAGAGAAGCUGAGCAAGGGUGGUUUUACCAACCCCUCCCAUACCCACUAUCGAAAUCACAUCUAGGUGCCUGCCUUUUGUAUCAUCUGAUAGCAGCAACUUCAUUAUGGCUUCUUUUUCAGCAUCCCUUCCAUAAACUCCAGAUUCAUCUACCAGAGAAGAAGUCGGUGUUAUCCGCGACGAUGGUUUCUCCCCAAUGCGCUCUAUCAGACCAAGAACAUCCUUUUGUCCCACCAACUCUUCUAAACUUCGAAGGAUCUUUGCCAACUCUAUUUGCACCUCUCUCACUCCCUUUCUACAUGGAUUAAGAGAAGCGAGAAAACUUCGAAGCUGAUCCGUGCAGGUCUGACUUCGAGAUUCACCUUCCAACUUCAACCGCAAAACUUUAUAAGCAAUCUCAUCCAAGAAGUCAUCAGCUUGAUAGACAGCAUCCUUAAGCUCAUCAAGCCACUCUUUCACAGCUGCAUCAGUGAUCUGCUUCUCCUCUGCGUCAUUGAGCAGUUUACUAACAGACCUCAUCCUUGCCUUCAACUUCUUCAAUUCUUCAUCAUCGAUUUUUUGGCUCUUGAAGAAAUCCCUAACCGCAGGAGAAACUAUCCUCUCCAUCAAAACUUCAAGGACUGCAGCAAGAAUUGAUUCUCCAAUCACUGCGAGAGCCAUUUCCCCUGUUCACAAAUCUUUACAAAUAAUAAAUAUUCAGCGAAGCCAAAUGAACCAGAAAGAACAAGUGCACAAGAUUAUGCAGCAGGCAUUCGAAUCAAGACAUCAAUCAACUCAAUCCUUAUUUUCAUUAAAAUUAUUCAACUUCAUGAUAUUUCGUUAAAUAACUCAUCAAAAUAAAAAGAUUAAGGCUAUGUAACAUCAAUUCACAUAAUUCAUACUUCCAAAAAAUCAAAUAUCCUAAAGAACCAAAAAAAUAAAUUGAAAUACCCCAAACCCAGAACACGAAAAUCCUUAUUAUUAAUAUAUACAUAGCUGCAGAAAAGAAAGAAAAAUUGGGAUGAAAAAAAUUCAAGAACAAGGAGAAAAGAUUGAGCCAAUAAAGGAAGUCAAGGAAACAGAGCUUAUUUUUUUUCUUUUUUUCUUUUUACAGAGCUUACUUGAGCCGACAGCAUGCAGCAGUAUUUAGGUGACAAUGAAAGAAAAUUCCAAGGAUGAGUGAUGAAACGAAUUCUGAUUUAAUCAAGUCAAGUCAGUUGGUGUGAAGCUCAGAGAUUAGGCAAUUUCGGACAUGAAAGCAGAAAAAGAUGACAAUAACGGUCGAUGUCAGUUUCUGUAGCUGUAUGCCAGCCAAAAGAUAUAGAGAAGAAAAGGUCAAUCAUCCCUGUACUUUUUGAAAUGUUUUGGUUGGGUCCCUCUACUGUUCUGUGGUUUAAUUUAGUCCUUGUAUAUUAUGUAAUAUCUGUGAUUUGGUCCUUCUGUAAAAGUUUACCUUUGUAUUGUAUCUGGAAAAAAAACAGGGAGGAAUGAAAAUGAGAAGAAUAAAAGUGCGAGGAAGGAAAAUAUUAGAAAAGAAAAUGAUUUUCCUCACUGAGUUUGGAAGGGGUAAAUUUGGAAGGAAGGAAAAUGGAGGGGUUUUGUAAAAUUACAAUUUUACCCUUUCACUUUUUUUCUUUUGGUCUAGAAAGUUUUGCGAAAUUCUUUAAAUAAGAAAAUUGUGAUUUGAAUGGGAGUAACUUUAUGAUAAAAGGAGAGAGAGAAGAAAAGAGUCGUUUCAUAUAAUAAGCCUUUUUUCUCUUGAUAAUUAAUAUAUAUAUAUAUAUAUAUUGUUAGAAUAUUUAUUUAAAAUAAUAAUUAAUAAUAGAAUUUUUUAAUUAUUAAAUUUUAUUGACUUAUCUAUUUUAAUGGUACAUAAAAUUUAAAAGGUUAACAUUAAUAUAAUUGAUGAGCUAACGUUUAUGAUUAAAUUAAUUUAUUAUAUUUAGUUAUUUUAAAUAUAUUUAGUAAUUAAUGUAUUUAUUGAGUGUGUGUGUGUAUGACAUGUUUUUAGGAUAAUAAUAUAUAAUCUUUUUUAUCAUCAAAACUUUUAAAAAUACUUUUGUAUUUUUGUCAAUUAUAAAUCUCAACACAUAAUUUAACAUCUUUUUAUAUAUAUAUUCCUCUCAAAUUUUAUUGCAUUUCCUUUUUCAUACUUUAUUAAUUUAAGUUAGAAAAUGGUGAUUUAAUGGUUCGGAGAUUUUUUUCUACAUUAAAAAAUUAUGUAUCUUGAAAAAUAAGCAUAUUAUAUAUAAAAUUAAUAUAAGGGGAUGUUUUCUAUUUAAAGAUAACACUUCUUAUAAACCUUUAUUCUUUUCAUAUUUACUUUUAGUUUUUAUUUUUAUUAUUGAUUUUGGCUAUUAAUUUAAAUAUUAAAAAGGAAACAACAUUCUUAAUUGUAUUUAUUUUUCUAACUCUUUCAAAUAUCUUUAAUUUUCCUAAUAUAUAUAUAUAUAUAUAUAUAUGGAGUGAAAAAUAUGAUUUUGUUGUGAAUGAGAACAGUCAUACAAAUAAGGGUAAAAAUGUAUUUCUAAUCACUUUUAUUUAUAUACGCAGCAAUGUCUUCGCUCCCUUCAUCUGGAGAGACCAGUCACCACUACAUAUUCCUCGUAAUUCUCAAAUAUUAGAAUUAGAGAUCACAUAUAGAAUUUUUAUAUAUUCAUUAUUUAUUGGAUAAAAUAUUUAAAUAUCUAUAAACUAUUUAUAAAAUUUUGAAUAUUCACAUGAGUAUUUAUUACUUCUGAGUGGGACAUGUUGCCUACCCCCCUUGAAGUACGGAGCACAAGGGAGUAUGAUUCUUGUCACAACACGCAGUGAAAGUGAAAGUGAUUAUGUUAUUAUUAAGGUAAAUUUUAUAGUUUUGAUUUGAAAAGAAUUAUUUUGUUAAGUAAAAAUUAAUUUAAUUUGUUUAGUUAAAAUAUUGUUUUUCAAAUUAAAGUUAUAAAAUAAUCAUAUAUAUAUAUAUAUAUAUAUUGAUGGUUUUUAAUUUAAAUAUUGUAAAUUUAACUAUUAUUACAUCAUGAAAUAAAUAAUACUUAUAUAAAAUAUUUUUUAUUGUUUCCUUAAAUUAUCUAUAAUUCCAUCAUGUACGAAAUACAUCCGACAAAAACUAUAGUUUUCUUGGUUUCUUAAGCGCACAACAACAUCAGGAACAAAAUUCAUAUAGCAAUCAAAUUCUACAAAUGCUACGUCAUCAAGCGAUUUCCAUCUAAUUUUUUAAAUAAAACACAAUUAAAAAUAAAAAUAAAAAUUAAUUUUUUUAAUUGGAUCGGACCCGGUUCAAUGUAUUUAGUUUUGGACCGGACCCUAUCCGGUCGGAACAAUGGAGAGUGACUCCAUUGUUAACGUAAUUCACUCUCUACUAUCCGCAGGAUGCGGGGAAGCAGCUCUUGACUGCUUUCUGCAAACCUAUGGUUCAAACCCAUUUUAUAUGGGUCCCACACCAACAAUAAAAUGUGUUUUAGCAAACAUGUGGUCUUAUGUAUUACUAGAUAAGCAUUUUCAAAGAAGAAAAAAAAUUGAGACUCGGUUGAUUUACUUGAAUGAGUUUAGAAAUUUCAUGUAAUUUUAAUAAAAUAAAUUAAAAAAUACAAGGACAAGAAAAAAAAACUAACAAAGAAAAAAAAAGGUAAAAACACACGACUCAAGUCCAUCCAAGUCACCAUGUCAAAUCUAAGACUUGAUCGUGAUAUUAGAGCAACCCUGUCGAAAGAAAUUAAAUAAAUUAAUAAACCUCAAUAUCAAAUAACUCAAUGUUAAAAGAAAAAAAUAAAAAUAAAAUUAAUUUUUCUAAAAAAAACAAUGGGAAAAAAUGAUAUAAGUCAAAAAGGGUUAACACGUUGACCUCAUAGAAGAUAAAAAAAAACAUAAAGACCAAUUUUCUAUAAAUCAAACAUUGAAUGAUAAGAUGGGAAAAAAAAUCAAAUUUAAAUCUAAAAAAUAAAAAAUCAAAGUCAAUCUGUGUUAAUAUUUGAAACUAGUGACCUUAGUCACGAGCACAAGAGUCAAGACUAAUUUUAUAGAAGAUAAACUCUAAAAAAUAAUGAAGUUAAAUUCUUCUUCACAAAUAAUGAGGGAUAAAAUUUGAAAAAAAAAUUGGCAACUAAAAAAUGAUAUAAAAUAAAACAAAUAGUAAUAAAAAAAAUUAAUUGAAUUUGACAUUAAAAUAAAUGGAAAUCAAGUGUUGAUGGAUGGAAUUAAAAAAAAUCAGUUAGAAAAAAAAUAGUAAUUAAAAGAAUAAUGAUAAAUGUUGAUGUAAAAAUUAAAUAAUGAAAGAUAAAAUUAAAGAAAAAAAAAUAUAAAAGAUAAAAAAAUAACAAUAAAAAAAAUUAAAUUGUUUAAAAAAAUAAAAGGAAACUUUUGUAUUUGAGGAGAGGAGAAAGAAAAUAAGAUGGAGAAAAAAGAACAAAAAAAAGAAGGUGAAGAAGAAAAUCAUCGAUGGACUUGUGCCCCACCAUCAGACAGCCCUUGAUGCUCUGCUCUGAACACCACAAUGGAAGGCAGUUUCUGGCCGGCAAAGGACCCCGCAAGUGCUUCCCAAUAGCAUUUUAGUAAUAAACGCAUUCAAAACUAUUAAUUUUGCCCCAAAUGCAACAUAUUAUAGACUUAAAAAAUAAUCAGAGUUAGUAUAAUUUUGCCCCAAACUAUUAAAUGCAACAUAUUACAGUUCAAUGAACUCAGGGUCUCAUUAGGGGAAUAGCUUAUCAACAAACAUCCCUUCUUCAAACACUACAACUUUCCACAGGGGAGGCUAAUACCUAGUGAAGGCGAGCACUCUCAGUUUAGGAUGCACCAACCCAUACGUGACUUUCCCAGCUUUGACGGGGAAGAUGCCCAUAAAUAAAUGCAUAGAUGCAAUUAAUAUUUUUAUCUUGAAAAGAUUGGAGAUUCUGAAAAACUCCCUUGAUGGAAUAUCAUUAUAUUGAAAGGUUAUGUAGAAGCUUUGGGAGCUAGAUAAGCGCUUCCAAUUCGCUGCUUUUUUUUUUUUUUUAAGUGAGGUUGUGGUUGUUUUUUAAAGUAUUUUUUUACUUUUAAAUGCAUUAAAAUAAUAUUUUUUUUAUUUUUAAAAAAUUAUUUUUGACAUUAUCAUAUUAAAAUGAUUUGAAAACAUCAAAAAAAUAUUAAUUUGAAAUAAAAAAAUAUAAAAAAAAAUUUAAUUUUUUUCAAAAACGAUUUUGAAACAUAAAAAUAAAUAGGGACAUAAAUAACCAUGCACUACUACUAAACUUGUUAUUGUUCUCUGUAAUCAAAAUUUAAGCCGAAAAAUGAUAUUGGUCUUAUGUAUUACUAGAUAAGGUCCCGCGAGUUGGUCUAAAUUUUUCUAUUGUAAAAUAAAGUAAGUUAAGGAGCCAUAAGCAUUUUCAAAGAAAAAACAAUUGAGACACGUGUUUUAUUUAUACGAAUGAGUUUAAUAAAUUUAUGUAAUUUUAAUAAUAUAAAUUAAAAAAUACAACAAUAACAAAAAAAAUUGACUUGUGCCCCCACCACCACCCCCGGCUCUUAGAGCGUGUUUGGCAGUGUGGUAGCGGUUGUUUUUCAAAUAGCUUUUUGUGCCGAAAUACAUGCCAAUGAUGUUUUUUUCAUUUUUUUUUAAAUUAUUUUUGACAUUAGCACAUCAAAACGAUCCAAAAAGUACAAACCACACUCAAUUUUAACAAAAAAAAAAUUCAAAAUUUAAUAAAAUACAGGUACAAAUGCAAUGCCAAACAGUGUUAAUGCUCCUCCAAGCAACAAGGUAGAUGGCGGUUUUUGGCCAACAAAGAAGCCGCACGCCGCUUCUCAAAAGCAUUUCAGUAAUAAAAACAUUCAAACCUAUUAAUGCAACAUAUUAUACACUUAAAAAGAUCUUUUCAGCAAUAUGAUACUAACAUUUUACAUCGAUUAAAAAUUAAGAGUUUAGAUCAUUUAUAAAUUUUAGGUAUCACUUUUCUUCAUUAAAGAGAUAUCUUUUUUAUUAAAAAAUUCUCAAAUGUGAUGGAAUUUUUUUAAGGGGGAAGCCAUGGAAAGCAACAUCUUCUCAUGCCGUACAAAUUAGACAUGUAAAGUUCAUGUUGCAUCCCAAAACGACACUCCAGUGAAAAUUACUUUGUUCUAACCACAAAUGUUUUCAAUAGAAAGAAAAUACUCUUCUAGUUUUUUUGUUUUUUUUUAGAAUGAGAAAAGUACAAUAAUACUAAUCAAAUCAACUUAAAAAUUAAUUAUAUAGAAAAAUCAGAAAACUUAAUAUUCAAGAAAUUAACUCUAAAUUCAUGUACAAAAAAUUAAAAAAUCUCAACAACAAGCUGAGACUAUUUAUGGCGUCUAACAAGCAGCUGCGAGAAUUUACAAAAUGAUGAAGAACAAAAUUUACUUGCCCUACAGUCGCACUCUGCAGCCAUUGGCUUUCCCUCAGCUCCAUCAGCCAAGUACAAGCGGACCAUUCUGGAGACGAGAGCAUCACCAGCAUCAAUGGUUUGAUCAUUUGUAUUUUUUUUUUAAUUUAGUUAUAACAAUAUUUUGAAUCAUAAUGUAUAUAACUCAUGUAUUAUGUAUGUAAACUCUGGGAUUAAAAUUUUAAAAAUUUAUUUAAAAUUUUUUAAUGAAUUUAAAUAAGUAAUAACUGGACAGAAUAAUUUUAGACCUCAACGAGUUUAUCAAAAAGAGGUAAACAUUGACAUAAGAAAUAAAACAAAUGCUAUUAAUUGAAGUGAAUUCUUUUUAGAGAUAAAUUGAGGAAAUAUUGAUUUUUUAGACUUUUAACAGUGUUAAAAUAGUACCGGUAGCUGGGCAAUUACACACAAAUGACAUGGACAUAAUAACUGACAGGAAAAUUGUAAGUAAUAUGAAAGCUUCAUCUCCUCCCUUUUUAUAUCCGGUCGCCGGCCAUAAAAAGAGAAAACAGGUGUCCAUCUUCUUUUUCAUUUCCCACGAUAAUAUAACAAGGGUCCAUCUUCUUUUUCAUAAGAAAACAAGAGCAAAAUUGUAAAUAAUAUAAAAAAGUGACAAAUUGCACAAAAAUAAUUAAAAUAAUUGAUUGGUGGUUGAAGUCUUUCGUCAAGUGUCAACAACAUAUUGGGACCAGCAGAAAUUUCCUAGUUGGUUCCUACUUUUCUCAAGUACAUCCCUCUGACCAAUAUUCCAUUUCCCACGAAUUUUUUUUAAUAUUGAACAUAUUUUUUAUUCUAUUAUAUUUAUUUGCAGCAGAUUAAUCUAGUUAAUUUUUAUUUAUUUUUAAUUAAUUUUUUUAAAUUUUAUUUAAUAUUAUAUUUCAUUGAAAAUUAAACUUUAUAUUUUAUUUUUAUUUUAUUUUAUUAAAUUAUUUAGGUCUCAUUAUCUAUAAAUAAUGUUUUCAGAUUAAUAAGGUUGAUCUGACUUUUUUUUAUAUUAUUUUUUUAAUUAAUUAUUUCUUAUAAAUCACAUCAUUUAAAAUUAUGUUUGAUAUUAAAUUAUUUUUAAUGAGGGUUUUAAUUAUAAGUUAUUGAGUUAUAUAUAUUUUUAAUAAUUUUAUGUGCUGCGCAGAGUUAAUUUGUAGGCCUAAUUUAAAGAGCAGAAUUACCUAGAUAUUACAUGGUUCCUGCUUUUUUUUAUUUCGCUGUCAAGGAAAUAUACCAUAAGUUUUAAUUGAAUAUAGAUAUUAUUUAAUCGGGUACUCAUUGUCAAUGAAAUAUACUAUAAAGUUUCUAAUUUUUUUUAUCAAAUAAAUUUCUUAGUAAACUAUAUUUCUAAAAAAAUAAAUCAUUCUAUGGAUUUAGCCACUAAUUUAACAUAUCUCAAUAAUUUUUAACGUCUCAUUACUCCAUUACAUACCAAAAUCUAAUAGGGACCAACAACUCAAUGAUAUUCCUCAUCUAGACAUCAAUUCCUUUUUUGAUUUUCAUGGUAGUAAUAUUUCACACAAUCUUGAGAAUCAACACAAGUGUUCCAUGGAAUUUAAAAAGUUGUAAAGACAUUCAAAAAAUAGUUCUAUUUACUACAUUAUUCAUCAAUUCACAACAUUUAUUCACAAAUUAAAUCCCCUAGAAUUUCUCAUUAUUUGACCGGCCACUAGCUCUAUUUAAUUAUCAAAAAAUUUUACUUCAAUUACAAUAAUUUAAUCACUUUACUCUAAUUUUCACAUUAUUCCCCGUGACAAAUUACAAUAAAUUUUUAUUUCCCUCGAAUUUAUUCAAGAACCCUAGCUUUCUUUUUAAUUUUAAAAAUUCAAUCAAUUAAAAACUUUAAGCCAUUAAAAUUCAGAUCAAAAGUCUUUAGAAUGCAUUGUCAAGCAAGUAAUUAAACUCUAAAAACUUCCCAAAUCAAGCUUUCAACCCCUCCUCUUCUUUAAUCUUGGUUGAACUUGCUCUCUCCUUUUCUACUUACCUUCCCUUGAUUUUUAUUCCUUUCAGUUAAUGCUCACUAAGCUUGGUUAAUGUUCCGUCAGGAUCUUCCCUUGAGAUUUUAUGUUUCCGUUACAAUUUUAUCUCUUUCACAUGUAAAUGGUAGUUUCCCCUCUUUCUUUUUUUUCUUCUUACCCAAGCACGCAUAUGCACACUUACACAUACACACUAACUUUUUUACCAAAUUUUUAUAUAUCUCAAAUAGUAAAUUUCAUAUUACUGUCGGGCCGGUCCGAGUUUAAUAACAGUGUUUUGAAUAGCUAAAUUUAAUAUUUUUUGGAUUGACCUAACUUAUUUUUUAUAUUAUUUUUUUAUUAGGUUAUUUUUUAUAUUAUAAUAAUAUUCUCGUUGCUUAAAAAUUGCAUUGUUCACGUCAGAUUUGACAUGGUAAAUUAGAGAUUGCACUUUUUAAUUUAUUUUUAUUUACUUUUUUAGAGAUUAUCACGGUCUUGUAACUAGAGUCAUAUAUUUGACGAGUUAAAUUAGGUCAUUGUUUUAUAUUUUUUUUAUAGGAUUAUCUCGAUCUCAUGACGAGUCAUGAGUUUGUUGGAUUGAUUUUGGUCAUUUUUAUAUUCUUUUUAAAAUUAAUUUUUUUUAAUCCUAUCCUUCAACAUUUGGUUAAUUAAGUUUGAACUUCAUAAUUAUUUUUUUUUUCUAUAUGACUAUCUCUAUCUUAUAACCUAGGUUGUGGGCUUGACAGUUUAACUUGAUUCAUAUUUUUAGAUCGUUCUUUUAAUUGAUUUUUUUUUUAGUUAUAUCAUUUAAUAUUUAGUUGCUUAGGAAUUAGACUUCAUAAUCUCAUAACCCGGAUAAAAAAUUUGACAAGUUAACUCUGGUUAACCCAAUUCAAUCUAUUACUUUGUUAUAUUCACAUUAAAAAAAUAUAUAUCAUUUUGAAAAAAAUUCUAAGUUAAGCUAUAUUUUUAUAGGUUGUCCGAGUUGUUUCUGAAUAAACAAAAUCAAUUGAGUCACAUCGGAUCAAUCUUCACAUGCUUUAUUUAUUUUAAUUUUAUUAUUUAAUAUUUAGUUGGAUGAGAAUUAGAGUUCCUAAUUUAUUUUCUAUAGAGUUAUCAUAGUCUCAUAACUCGGGUUAUAAAUUUAACAAGUUAACUCGGGUUGACCCAAAUCAAUCUAGUUUAUUGUUAUCUUAUUAUUAAAAAAAAAAUACAUAUCAUCUUGAAAUUUUUUUGAGUUAAACUAUAUUUUUAGUGGUUAUCUUGAUUGUUUAUGAAACUACAAAUUCAAUCAAGUCACAUCAAAUAAAUCACCACAUAAUUAAUUUUGUUUAUAGAAUAAAUUAAAACAUUCACAAGUUGAAUAAUUUUUAUAUAUAUAAAAAAAAAAUAACCCGUACUAUAAUGAAGCACGAGUAAAUAAUCCAAUUAUAAAUUGGUUAGCGUACAUUGCUUUUAAUAUUUUAAGGAACUCAUUAAACAUUUUAAAAUUAUUAAUCUCUCUUGUAUUAAAAACAAUUACACAAAACUUGAAGCUUUGCAUAAUAUUUGCUGAAUUUUAAAACAAUGGUGGAAGGAAUCAUUAAAAGAAUAAUGUAAUUUUUAAAUAUCAAUAAUUUUAGAUAAAUAUAUAUGUGCUUUUUAAAAAAAAAUACAUAUACAACCAACAUACUACCCUUCAUAAAAAAAGAUAUUGUUAAACAUGGUAUAGUACUUUGACAGCAAAACCAUGUUUAGUUUCUACCGUGUCCAAGUGUUUGUGGUGCGAAGAGAGAGAGAGAGAGAGAGAGAGCGAAGGAAAGUGACAAAGUAAUAGGAAUAAUUUGAUUGGUGGUUGAAGUCUCCUGUUCCUCUGACAUCAACCCAUUUCCCACUAAAUUUAUUCGAUAUUAAAUCUAAUUUUCUUAUUGAAUUAUUUUUAUUUUAUAACUUGAAUAGCGGGUGUCUCAUGAGUUAAUAUAGAAAAUUUAUAUUUAUUUUUAACUGAUUUAUAAAAAAUAAAUCAUUUAAGUUUUAUUAUUUAUUUUAAUUUUUUUAUUAGAUUAUAUAAUUUUUAUUACCUAAUAAUAAUAUUUAACAGGUUAAACCGGAUUGACCUAACUUAUUUUUUAUAUUAAUUUUUUAAUAAUAUUUUUUAUAAAUUACAUCCUUAAAUAUUAAGUUUAAAAUUAUUAAAUAGAAAUUAUAUUUUAUAAUUUAUUUUUAUUUAAUUUUUAUAAAAUUAUUCUGGUUUAUAAUCAAAUCAUGAAUUUAAUAAAUUAAAUUUGAUUUUUUUAUUUUUUAAUAAAAUUAUCUCUAUUGAAUAAGUGUUUUUUUUUUUAAAAAAAAUUAAAUACUAUUCUGAAUGUGCUUGUGUAUGCGUGAACUACGCGUGCCAGGAAAGUGGAGUUAGUUCACACAUCUUACUCGGUCUAUCCUUGCUUUAUUUGACAAGAGAUCCCACCGGUUGAAAAAGGGGGCUUGAUUGGAAUAACUUUUAUUAUAUAAUCUUUGUUUUCACGUGAUGUGCUAAUAAUGCAGAAGAAGACUUCACUUUAUUUCUUCUCUCCUUUUUUUUUUUAUCACUUUUCAUUCAUUGAUAAAGUAGAUAAAUAAAUUAUAAAUUAGCUGAUGACCAUUGCUAUGAAUAUUAUAAAAACUUCAUUACACAUUCUAGAAUGUUGGCGUAGUAUUUGUUUAACUAUAAAUUGUGGAGCAAGUUAUAAUAAAAAAAAUCAUUAUAUUAGAAAUCACAGUUGAAUUGCGAAAAUAAAAAUAUCCUUAAUCAGUAUUAAAGAUACUGAUUGUUUGCUUUGAAUAACAAGAUGCAGUUCAAUAGGAUUAGGUCUUAUUGGUUCUAUCUUCCACCUGUAAAAAAAAACCUUUUAUAUUUGACAAAAAAAAGAGAGAAAAAGAGGUUGAGUAAAAAAAACGUUUUAGUAAUAAAAACAUUCAAAACUAUUAAUUUUGCCCCAAAUGCAACAUAUUAUAUACUUAGAAAGAUUUUUUUAGUAACAUGAUACUCUAACAUUUCACAUCGAUUAAAAAUUAAGAGUUUAGAUCAUUUAUAAAUUUUAGGUAUCACUUCUCUUCUUUAAAAGAGAUAUCUUUUUUAUAACAAAAUUCUCAAAUGUGAUGGAAUUUUUUUAAGAAGGAAGCCAUGGAGAGCAACAUCUUCUCACGCCGUACAAAUUAGACAGGUAAAGUUCAUGUUGCAUCCCAAAACGACACUCCAGUGAAAAUUACUUUGUUCUAACCACAAAUGUUUUCAAUAGAAAGAAAACACUCUUCUAGUUUUUCUUUUCUUUUUUGAGAAUGAGAAAAGUACAAUAAUACUAAUCAAAUCAACUUAAAAAUUAAUUAUAUAGAAAAAUAAGAAAACUUAAUAUUCAAGAAAUUAACUCUAAAUUCAUAUACAGAAAAUAAAAAAUCUCAACAACAAGCUGAGACUAUUUAUGGCGUCUAACAAGUAGCUGCGAGAAUUUACAAAAUGAUGGAGAACAAAAUUUGCUUGCCCUAAUUCAUUUCACGAAAAUCACAGUUGCACUCUGCAGCCAUUGGAUUUCCCUCAGCUCCAUCAGCCAAGUACAAGCGGACCAUUUCGGAGACGAGAGCAUCACCAUCAAUGGUUUGAUCAUUUGUAUUUUUUUUUUUAAUUUAGUUAUAACAAUAUUUUGAAUCAUAAUGUAUAUAGCUCAUGUAUUAUCUAUGUAAACUCUGGGAUUAAAAUUUUAAAAAUUUAUUUGAAACAUUUUAAUGAAUUUAAAUAAGUAAUAACUGGACAUAAUAAUUUUAGACCUCUACGAGUUUAUCAAAAAGAGGUAAACAUUGACAUAAGAAAUAAAAAAAAAUGCUAUUAAUUGAAGUGAAUUUUUUUUAGAGAUAAAUUGAGGAAAUAUUGAUUAUUUAGACUUUUAACAGUGUUAAAAUAGUACCGGUAGCUGGGCAAUUACACAAAAUGACAUGGACACAAUAAGUGACUGCAAAAUUGUAAAUAAUAUGAAAGCUUCAUCUCCUCCCUUUUUAUAUCCGGUCGCCGGCCAUAAAAAGAGAAAACAAGGGUCCAUCUUCUUUUUCAUUUCCCAUGAUAACAUAACAAGUAUCCAUCUUCUUUUUCAUAAGAAAACAAGAGCAAAAUUGUAAAUAAUAUAAAAAAAUUGAAAAAUUGCACAAAAAGUAAUUUAAAAUAAUUUGAUUGGUGGUUGAAGUCUUUCCGUCAAGUGUCAACAACAUAGUUGGGACCAGCACAGAAAUUUCUUAGUUGGUUCCUACUUUUCUCAAGUACAUCCCUCUACAUCAAUAUUCAUUUCCCACGAAUUUUUUUUUAAUAUUAAACUUAUUUUGUAUUCUAUUAUAUUUAUUUGUGCAGUAGAUUAACCUAGUUAAUUUUUAUUUAUUUUUUAAUUAAUUUUUUUAAAAUUUUAUUUUUUAAUUUAUAUUUCAUUGAAAAUUAAACUUUAUAUUUUAUUUUAAUUUUAUUUUAUUAAAUUAUUUAGGUCUCAUUACUUAUAAAUAAUGCUUCACAGAUUAAACGGGGUUGAUCUGACUUUUUUUUUUAAUAUUUUUUUUAAUAAUUAUUUUUUAUAAAUCAUAUCAUUUAAAAUUAUGUUUGAUAUUGUUGAACGAGAAUUGUAUUUUAUAAUUUAUUUUUUUAUAAAGUUAUUUUUAUUUCAUAAGCAUAAUCAUGAUUCUAUAAGUUAAAUUAAAUUAUUUUUUUAACUUUUCUAAUGAGGGUUUAAUUAUAAGUUAUUGCGUUAUAUAUAUUUUUAAUAAUUUUAAUGUGUUGCAGAGUUAAUUUGUAGGCCUAAUUUAAAGAGCAUAGAAAUUACCUAGAUAUUACAGGGUUCCUACUUUUCUUUAUUUCGCUGUCAAGGAAAUAUACCAUAAGUUUUAAUUGAAUAUAGAUAUUAUUUAAUCGGUUACUCAUUGUCAAUGAAAUAUACCAUAAAGUUUCUAAUUUUAUUUUAUCAAAUAAAUUUCAUAGUAAACUAUAUUUCGAAAAAAUAGACCAUUCUAUGGAUUUUAGCCACUAAUUUAACAUAUCCCAAGAAUUUUUAAUUGUCUCAUGACUCCAUUACAUACCAAAAUAUAAUAAGGAACAACAACUCAAUGAUAUUUCUCAUCUAGACAUCAAUUCCUUUUUUGAUUUUCAUGGUAGUAAUAUUUCACACAAUCUCGAGAAUCAACACAAGUGUUCCAUGAAAUUUAAAAAGUUGUAAAGAGAUAUUCAAAAAACAGUUCUACUUAAUAUAUUAUUCAUCAAUUCACAACAUUAAUUCACAAUUAAAUCCCCUAGAAUCUCUCAUCAUUUGACCGGCCACUAGCUCUAUUUAAUUAUCAAAAAUUUUACUUCAAUUACAAUAAUUUAAUUACUUUACUUUAAUUUUCACAUUAUUCCCCGUGACAAAUUACAAUAAAUUUUUAUUUCCCUCGAAUUUUCAAGAACCCUAGGUUUCUUUUUAAUUUCAAAAAUUCAAUCAAUUAAAAACUUUAAAACAUUAAAAUUCAGAUCAAAAGUCUUUAGAAUGCAUUGUCAAGCAAGUAAUUAAACUCUAAAAACUUCCCAAAUCAAGCUUUCAACUCCUCCUCUUCUUUAAUCUUGGUUGAACUUCCUCUCUCCUUUUCUACUUUCCUUCGCUUGAUUUUUAUUCCUUUCAAUUAAUGAUCACUAAGCUUGGUUAAUGUUCCCUCAAGAUCUUCCCUUAAGAUUUUAUGUUUCCGUUACAAUUCUAUCUCUCUCACAUGUAAAUGGUAGUUUCCCCUCUUUCUUUUUUUCUUCCUUUUUUUCUUACCCAAGUACACACAUGCACACUUACACACACACACACUAACUUUUUACCAAAUUUCUUCUAUAUCUCAAAUAGUAAAUUUUAUAUUACCGCUGGACCGGUCCGAGUUUAAUAACAGUGUUUUGAAUAGCUAAAUUGAUAAAAUAGUAUUUUGAAUAAUAUAAAUAUAUAUAUAUAUAUAUAUAUAUAUAUUUUUUUUAAUGGAAAAAACUAGUUGAAAAGCUAAUUGUAUUGGAGUGAGAGAAAUAAAUGUUUUAUUUUUUUUAAUGAGUUUGAUGUUAUUUUUUUUUCAUAUGACUAUAUUUAAUUGGUUUAUUUUUUGAUGGCCCCACUUUUUUAGUGUUGUUUUUUUUAUAGAUAUGUAGAAAUAGUAUUUAUAAGAAAGAAAAGAUAUUUUGACAUUUUAUUUAAUAUUUUUUUGAAGUGUAUAAAAUAAACAUGAAAGAGUCAAAAUAAUAUUUUUUAAUUUUUAACUUUUUAUUUAACACACCCUUUGUAGAUGCUCUUAUGAUUUGGACUCAAUUUAAGUGGGUUAAAUAUUGGUGGGAUAUUCCAUCUUUCUCUUUUUUUUUUGGAAAUUGUACUUUGUUUGUCUUUGAUUUAUUUUGCUAGAAAUUACAUCUUAAAAAAAAGGGGUUUGAUUGGAAAAACUUAACCAUAUUUAGUUAUUUGGGAAUCAGGUAUUAUAAUUUCAUAACCUGAAUUAUAAAUCUAACAAGUUAACUUAGGUGAACCAAUUUAAUAUAAAACUUUGUUAUUAUUAAAUUAAAAAAAUAACAUUUUAAAAUCUUUUCUAAAUUAAAGUAUAUUUUAACGGGAUUUUAAAAAGGAGUUAGAUGUUUGCCUUGCUUUAUUUGCCAUCAACUCGGUCUGUCCUUGCUUUAUUUGCCAAGAAGCCCCAUCGGUUGAAAAAGUGACUGGAAAAUGGAGUAACUUGGUUUGUCCUUGCUUUCUUCGCCGGGUUUGAUUGGAAUAACUUUAUUAUAUAAUCUUUCUUUCCACGUGGUGUGCUAAUAAUGCAGAAGAAGACUCUUUAUUUCUUCUCUCUUCUUCUUCUUUUAUCACUUUUCCUUCAUUGAUAAAGUAUGGGCUUGCGGUCGGAUCAACUCGCUGGUUCAAUCGAGUCAUAUUGGAUUUUUUUUUCAAUUCGAUUAGGUUUCAGCCCCAAAUCAACCAUGUUCCAGGUCAACCCACUAUGCUGAGUUUUAAAAUUACGAUUAUGAGUGCUAGGAAAUUGGAGCUAGGUCCCACAUUUUACUAAUUUUACUUGCUUUAUUUGCCAAGAGAUCCCAUGGUCGAAAAAGUGGGUUUGAUUGGAAUAAUUUUUAUUAUAUGCCAAUCUUUCUUUUCACUUCAUAUUUUAAUCAAUAUUUUUUAAAAUUUUUUAUUUUAAUAUAAUAUUUUUUUAACGAGUUAUCCAACUUCCACUAACACAAUUGUAAGUUUAAACAGUUAACUUGACUAUUCUAAUAGCUUAGGUUUUAGCUUCACAUUGGAUUUUCGUUGCUGAUUUUUCAGUUAUCAGCUUCUUUUUUAUUUAAUUGUUUGUUGUUAAUAAUUCAUAUCAUUUUUUUUAGUAGCCAGUAACCCUUUAAUUGCUAAGCCGGUCAUCCAAUUUAAGAACUUAGCCAUUAGCCAUUCCACUUCUUCUUCCUCUUUCCUUCGUAGAUCCAAACGAACAUAAUUUAUUAUAUCUGAAAUCUCCUCAUGAGAAAAUUUUAUUUAUUUAUUUAUUUAUGAAACAAGCACGAAACCCAAAUAUCCCUCUCUCAGAUCAAUGGUUUACGAAUGGUCCGUAAAGAUUUAAAUCCCUAUUUUUCCUUUGAAAUCCCAUAUCUGAUGAAGGAAUUUGCUUUGCUUCUUAAUAAUUUUACCAAAAUGAUCUCUCUGUAUGUAUGCAAGUUAACUAAAGAGCGGAAAUGGCGGAUGAUAUGAAAAUGACUAAUUAUUUGUCCUGAACAACAGUAAACUCCAAAAAAGAUAUGACUUACAUGUACUCCAAAAUCAUUUUUUAACUUCUGCUUUAUAUGGAAUAAAAACAAUUUAAUCAAAGUUAAAUAAUAAAUAAAAGAUAAAAAAAAGUUUUUGAAUUUUGAAUUUUUGGAGAAGGGAAGAGACUAGAGAAAGAGAUGGAGAAUUUUUUUUUUUUUUAAUUUUUGAAGAUGCGGGAAAAGAGAAAAGGAGAAAGGAUGGGGAUUUUAUAUAAUUAAGGGUUUGAUUUAUUUUUGGAAUCAGUUGCAGAUUUGAUGUUGCCAAGCACGUCAACAAUGAAAAAUCCGUUGCAAAUUACUUAAAUAAUUUAAUAUUUUUUAAAUCCUUUUUAGCUUGGAUUUUCUAUCACUAAUGUCAUUGUUAAUAUUAAAAAAAAUCAUAUAUACACAUUUUGUUGUUAAAUUAGCAAAAGAAAUAUUCCGUUGCUAAAAUUCAAUGACAAUAGCCUCCUGUCCAAAUUAAGGGUGGUGCUGGCAGUUCAAAAUCUGAAGCAUGUGAUGAUCCUCCAGCUUGAUAUAUUGAAAUAGAAUGAUGAUUAUUAUUUAUGGAGAUGAAUGAGAGACAAUAGGAAGAAAAUAUCUGUAUUUCUACAUCCAACAAAUAAAAACAAUACAAAAUGGACAAUAUCCGUAUUUCAUUCAUCCAAAUUUUAAUUGAAAUUGCUUUGGAUUACUGAAAAGAAAAUAAACUAUUUAGUAGCAAUACCUCAAUAUGUUGGACGAUUGAAAGAAAACCUCCUUUUAACUGCUACAUCUUUGCUCCGCUGAUUAUGGGUUAAAUAUGUAUGCGAGGAAUGUGAGAAAUCUUGGGCCAAUCUUUACCUUUCUCCCUUUCACAACUUUCACUCAGCAUAGGACAACCCAGAAUUUGAAGAUAAUAAAGGGAGGAGGGCAACCCUUCUUCUGGCAUUGACUCAAUCAGAGGGCAGUUACUUAUUGUCAAUUGUGUAAGGGAGGUGAGGUGUUGAAGCCUUGGAAGAGAUUUUAGGUAAGAGAUGUUAAGAGAUUUAAGACUUGAGGGCAGAAGCAUGCGGCCUGCAAUGAGUUUGUUGCAAUUCGUAAUCUCAAGUGAUUGUAAUGUGGAGGGAAAAUCCCUUCUGACACAACUCAACUUCUGAACAACUAUAAUAUUACCAAAAGGUUAAGGGAUGGAGGAGGAAUGCAUUCUCUCAGUAACAGCUUCAGGUGCUGCAGUUUACUAAAUGAAGUUGUGUCAAGACUGGAGCAGAUAACUAAUUUAGGGCACCCCCAGAUUUUCAAAGAAUGGAGAGAGGUGAGAUCAUCAGAGGUCUUCAUGUGCACAUAAUGAUUCGAGAUCUCGACAGUCAGAGAUAGAAAAGAUUUUAACUUGGGGAGCAAGUCCAGUGCGACGCAUUUGAGAGAAGCACAGCCCUUGAUUUCAAUUCGCCCUAAAUCAAGGGUGAAACAACCCAUUUGAUCAAUUUCCUCGGGUAGGGACUCUAGGGAGUGCAUCCAGAAACAUCGAGAGAGAGCAACCUGGGAAACCUAGGAAGGGCCUUUGCAAGGUUCGGCAUUCUUCGAUUGAAAGCGACUCUAGAAGAGGGAAGGCUUCCUGGCUGCCUUCGUCUGAAAUCCACUCGCGCCACUCUGGCAUGCUUUUAAAAAUAAUGUUUUGAGGGAUUCAAAUGGCUUCUUCAUAGCUGUACAAUUCCCAUAGAACUCAGAGCCCACAGUCUCAACUUUAUCGAAUCCUUCAAUGGAAGACGCUCUAAAGAAGCUAAUUGCCCGAGCGGUGGUAAGGAGGUGCAGUUUGUACAUCUAAUGAGCUUCAAGGACACUAUAUUGGAGAAAGAGGACUCUCCUACCCACUCCGGAAACCUUACACCUCCAUAACCAUCAAUCUUAAGAUACUGCACAUUUAUAUGUGGCUUUAAUUUCUCGAGCGUGCUUGUUACGUGUUGCGGGUCAUGAGUGUCACCAUCCCAUGUAAACCUCAGCUUAUCAAGGUGCUUUUUACCUUUCAAAUUUGCCUCACCAGCAUCCCGAGCAUCCACCACAUUUUGAAGGUUCCGAAUAUGAAGAUCUCCCUGUAGAUGUCGUAGCUUUCCCAAUUCUUUAAUGCUAGUCUCACUCUGUCUUCCCACGAGAAAGUCCGUCAACGUUUGGAGCUUUGUCAGUUGACCUAUAUGUGGUGGCAUCUCUUUCAAAGGGGUGCCUGUGAUGUUAAGAUACCGCAAGUUGAUUAACCUUUCCAGAGAUUCAGGCAACCUUUCGAUUCCUGUUCCUUCAAGAUUCAGAUGUCGUAAGUGCUUCAAAUUUCCAAGAUCAGGUAGACUAGCAAGUUGUUUGCAAUCUUUCAAGAUCAACGUUUGCAAAUUGAGAAGAGCACUCACUUCUUCAGGCAACGUUACUAAAGAUGACCGAAAGAGAUUCAAAUACCGCAAAUGCUUCAACUUGCUAGUUGAACGUAACAUAUUAGCUCCAUCUCUACAAGCAGACAUGAUUAGCACUCGUAGGCGCCCAAGUGUUGACUGAAAGAUCUCAUUAUAAAUUUCGGGAGGACACCUCAAAUAGCGUGAAAAAGGUCGGAAUGUGCGUAGAAGUUGGGCUUCACGGAUGUUUUCUAAUUUUGUGCUUGAAAAAACACCUUCCGUAUCUACUACGAGUGAUAAAUGUCGAGUCCUUCUGCUGGCCUUGGAAGAAUUAUUUUCCCCCAACCUGGAGCUGAAGCAAAAUUGACCGGACACAUGGGUAGCCAAGUCAUGCAUGAGAUCGUGCAUCACAAAUGAUGAGCGAGAGGCACUUGAUUUCUGGAAAAAGGACCUUGACAAGAGAUCAUCAAAGCACUCAGCACCAGCUCUUUCCAUCUCAUCAUCUUUAGAGUGGACUAAGAAGCCCUCUGCCAUCCACAGGAGCACUAAUUCAUCCUUUUUAAACUCAUAGUCUUUUGGAAAUAUGGCACAAUAAGCAAAACAUUGCUUCAGAUGUGGCGGUAGAUAAAGAUAACUUAAUCUCAAAGCUGGGAGGAUAUUGUCUUUGGGUAAAUCCCAUAGAUUGCUUUCCAAUAUCUUCUCCCACUCCUCGACAUCUCUUUGGGUGCGUAGCAGACCUCCGAGUGUUACUGCAGCUAGAGGAAGGCCUUUACACUUUCUCGCUAUUGCUCUACCAAUUUCUUGUAACUCUUCAUGAGCAGUGGGAUUUUCACCACGAAAUGCAUGUUUGGCAAACAAGGACCAGCAGCUGUCUUCCGUCAAUUCUUUUAGAUGAUGAGUUGGAAGAGUUCUCAUGACCGAUGCUACACGUUCAUUGCGAGUUGUAACAAGAAUCUUACUCAUCCCUUGUGCUCCGUACUUCAGGGGGGUAAGCAACUUGUCCCACUCAGCAUAAUCUUCAUUCCAAACGUCAUCUAAAACAAGCAAGAAUCUCUUUCCCUCCAAUCUGUCCUUCAACAGAAGCUGGAGCUGAUCCAGAUUAUCAGAAGCAGGCUUUGAACCGAAGGCCUCAAGGAUAACAUUGGUUAACUUCAAAACACUGAAAUCUUCUGAAACACAAACCCAAGCUUUGAGAUCGAACCGCUUCUGUACUCUGCUGUGAUUGUAUACAAGCUGAGCAAGCGUGGUUUUACCAACCCCGCCCAUUCCCCUAAUGGGGACGACACCAGGGCUUUCUCCAUUUGCAUCCUCUGAUAGAAGCAACGUCAGUAUUGCUUCCCUGUCAUCAUCUCUACCAUAAACACCAGAUCCAUCCACGAGAGAAGUUGUUGGUGUUCUAUGCGAUGAUGGAUUUUCUACAUUGCGGUUGUUCAAACCAAGGGCUGCCAUUCGUUCAACUAAGGGAUCUAGAUCCUGCAAGAGGACUUUUAAUUUUUCUUCGAUCUCUCUCGACCCCAAUAUUUCAAGUGGGUUAAUGAAAGAAAGAAGCUGACUUGUGAAGGUUUGACCUUCAGCUUCCAACUCCCCCCGUAGAGCUUCAUAUGCAAUCUCAUCCAAGAAGUCGUCAGCUUUAUAGACAGCGUCUUUAAGCUGGUCCAGCCAAUCCCGCACGGCUCUGUUUGUUAUCUGCUUCUCCUCGGCAUCGUCAAGCACCACCCUGAGAGAUGUCAUUGCUGUCUCCAGCUUCUGCAGCAGACUACUACCGUUGACUUUUUGGCCUCUGAAGAAGGCAACCACCUGGGGAGAGGCCAUCCUGUCGAACAACACAUUAAGGAAAGAAGAAAGAAAAGCUCCUCCGACUAAAGCCCCGGCCAUGGUUUCUCCUCUUUGCAAAGUAACGAAGGAAGAGUAAACAAACAAGAAGAAGAAGAAGAGGGGAUUUUGUUCAGGUGACAGAAGGGGAAAGAAUUUGUGUAAAGAACUGGCAAAAGCUUUUUCUCUCUCGGCUUUAACUCUUAACUUGUAAAUGCUUAGGAGUCCAUUUAAGUGGUGACGGUUGUCUCUUAUUGUUUUUUAUUUAAAAAUAUAUUAAAAUAAAUUAUUUUUAUUUUUUAUAAAUUAUUUUUAAUAUUAAUACAUUAAAAUAUCUAAAAAACUAAAAAUUUAUUAAUUUAAAAUAAAAAAUAAUAAUUUUUAAAAAAUUAUUUUUGAAACACGUAUCCAAGUCGCAACUGAAUCGAUAUUCCAUUUUUCUCUUCUUUUGGAAUUUUACUCGGUUUGUCUUUGAUUUAUUUUUCUAGAAAUUAUAAUUUUUUAAAAAAAGGGUUUGAUUGGAAAGACUUCACUAAAUGCUAAAUUAAAUAAAUAAAUCAUAAAUUAUACUUUAUAUUAUUAUGUUUUAUACAAUUAUUUGAAUGAGUGUUACUAAAUGCUAAAUUUUUUAAUGAAUGUUUUUUAUUUUACUAUUACUUUUUUUUAUUAAAUUGUCUCAUUUUUAUAACAAAAAUUAUAAAUUUAAUGGAUUAACUCAGUUAACUUGAUUUUUUUUAAUUAACUUUUUUUAUAAUUUUAUCUUUUAAUAUUUGAUUAAUUAAAAAUCAAGUUUUAUAUUUUGUUUUGUUUGUUUUAUAUUAGAUUAUUCUAACCUCGUAACCCGUAAAUAAUACUUCACUUGUUAACCUAAGUUUACUCAGAUUGUAUUUUAUGUUUUUUUUAAUUGAAUUUUUUUUCCAACUUUAUCAUUCGAUAUUAGGUCAGUUGGGAAUGGAACUUCAUAAUCUAUUUCAAAUUAUUUUCUAUAGGGUUAUCCUAGUCUCAUGAUUAGAGGCGAGGGUUUUGACAUUUUAAUCCAAAUUCAAUUGAGUUGUUUUUUAAUUUUAAGAUGUUAUCUUAGUUUCAUGACCUGGAACACGAGUCCUUCAAUAGUAAAUUUGCUUUUUAUUGGGUCAUUUUUAUUUCAUAACCUAACUCGCAAGCUUAGUAAGUUAACAUGAUUGACUCAAUUUUUUUUAAUUACCCUUUUUUUCUUCAAUUUUAUUAUUUAAUAAUAUGUGUUUAUCAGGAAUUAGAUUUCAUGGUUUGUUUUGAUUUUAUUUUUAUUAGGUUAUCAUGGCCUCACAAUCUAAGAAUGAUGCUUAACGGGUUGACCUAAAUCAUUUUUUAUGGUAUUUUUUAAUUCAAAAUUUUAGAAAUUGCAUCAUCACAUCGGGUUUGAUAUGGUCAAUUAGGGAUUGCACUUUUUAAUGUAUUUUUAUUUACUUUUUAAGAGGUUAUCUCGGUCUUGUAACCAAAGACACAAAUUUGAUGAGCUAGAUCAUGUAAUUUUUUUUACAAGAUUAUCUCGAUCUCAUGACGAGUUAGUUAUGGAUUUGGUGAAUUAACUUGAGUUAUUUUUAUGUUCUUUUUAAAUUUGAUUUCUUUUUAAAAUUUUAUCCUUCAACUUUUAGCUAUUUAAGAUUGAAUUUCAUAAUUUAUUUUGAUUAUUCUCUAUAAGAUUAUUCUCUAUUAUAAUUUAGGUUAUUUUUUUAGGGAGACUUGACAUGUUAGCUCAGUUCAUAUUUUUAGGUUAUUUUUUUAAUUGAAUUUUUUUAAUUAUAUCAUUCAAUAUUUGAUUGCUUAAGAAUUAUACUUCAUAGUCUCGUACCCGGAUAAAAAAGUUUACAAGUUAACUCUGUUCAACCCAAUUCAAUCUAUUACUUUGUUAUCUUCAUAUUAAAAAAAAAUGUCAUUUUGAAUUUUUUCUAAGUCAUAUUAUAUUUUUAUUAGUUGUUUGUAUUAAUUUUGAACAAGCUAAAUCAAUUAAGUUACAUCGGAUCAACCUCCACAUGAUUUAUUUAUUUAUUUUAAUUUUAUUUUUUAAUACUUGGUUGGUUGAGAAUUAAACUUAAUAAUUUGUUUUUUACGUGAUUAUUAUAGUCUCAUAACUCUGGUUCUGAAUUUCAUAAAUGAGUUCACCCAAAUUAAUUUAAUUUAUUAUUAUUUUAAUAUUAAAAAAAAUAUACAUAAGUUUUUGUGGCGUAAAGAGAGAAAGGUUGAAGGAAAGUGACAAACUGCAUAAAAAAUCAAUAAAAAUAAUUUUAUCGGUGGUUGAAGAAGUCUCUCCAGUCCAGUGUCAGGAACAUAACUGGGAACAUCACAGAAAUUUCUUAGUUGGUUUAUAUUUUAUUUUAUUUUCGUUAUUAUGUAAUUGUACCAUAAGCUUUAAUUGAAUGCAGAUAUUGUUUGAUCGGCUACUUGUUGUUGGAAUUUAAAGUGUAAGAUAAAAUAGGAUUAAUAUGAUUAAUUAAAUUUGAUAUUGAAAUUAAAUAUUAAGAGAUAAAUUAAAAAGGAUGUUUAAUUAAAAAAAAUAAUAAAUAAAUAAAUAAAUAAAAAUAAAGGUCAUGUUUAAUAAAAAAAAAAAAUUAAAUAAAAUCAAACGAUAAAAAACAAAAUUAAAAAAAAACAAAUCUACAAAAAAUAAAAAUAAAAUAAAUAAUAAAUUAAAAAAAAUUAAAUUAUUUAAAAAAAAAACCUUUUGUAUUUGACAAGAAGAGAGAGAAAAAGAGGUUGAGAAAAAAAACGUUUCAGUAAUAAAAAUAUUCAAAACUAUUAAUUUUGCCCCAAAUACAACGUAUUAUACACUUAGAAAGAUUCUUUCAAUAACAUGAUACUCUAACAUUUUACAUCGAUUAAAAAUUAAGAGUUUAGAUCAUUUAUAAAUUUUACGUAUCACUUCUCUUCUUUAAAAGAGAUAUCUUUUUUAUAACAAAAUUCUCAAAUGUGUUGGAAUUUUUUUAAGAAGGAAGCUAUGGAGAGCAACAUCUUCUCACGCCGUACAAAUUUGACAGGUAAAAUUCAUGUUGCAUCCCAAAACGACACUCCAGUGAAAAUUACUUUGUUCUAACCACAAAUGUUUUCAAUAGAAAAAAAAUACUCUUCUGGUAUUUUAUUUUUUUUUAGAAUGAGAAAUGUACGAUAAUACUAAUAAAAUCAAAUUAAAAAAUUAAUUAUAUAGAAAAAUCAGAAAAGUUAAUAUUCAAGAAAUUAACUCUAAAUUCAUAUACAGAAAAUAAAAAAUCUCAACAACAAGCUGAGACUAUUUAUGGCGUCAAACAAGCAGCUGCGAGAAUUGACAAAAUGAUGGAGAACAAAAUUUGCUUGCCCUAAUUUAUUUCGCGAAAAUCACAGCCGCACUCUGCAGCCAUUGGCUUUCUCUCAGCUCCAUCAGCCAAGUACAAGCGGACCAUUCUGGAGACGAGAGCAUUACCAGUAUCAAUGGUUUGAUCAUUUGUUUUUUUUUUUAAUUUAGUUGUAACAAUAUUUUGAAUCAUAAUGUAUAUAACUCAUGUAUUAUGUAUGUAAACUCUGAGAUUAAAAUUUUAAAAAGUUAUUUAAAACAUUUUAAUGGAUUUAAAUAAGUAAUAACUGGACAGAAUAAUUUUAGACCUCUACGAGUUUAUCAAAAAGAGGUAAACAUUGACGUAAGAAAUAAAAAAAAUGCUAUUAAUUGAAGUGAAUUUUUUUUAGAGAUAAAUUGAGGAAAUAUUGAUUAUUUAGACUUUUAACAGUGUUAGAAUAGUACCGGUAGCUGGGCAAUGACACAAAAUGACAUGGACACAAUAAGUGACCGCAAAAUUGUAAAUAAUUUGAAAGCUUCAUCUCCUCCCUUUUUAUAUCCGGUCGCCGGCCAUAAAAAGAGAAAACAAGGGUCCAUCUUCUUUUUCCUGCAUUUCCUGUUUCAAUCUCGGCUCUUGUAUGCUCUGGAUUCCAUUUUACUCGGUUUGUCUUUGAUUUAUUUUCCAAGAAAUCUCUGGAUGUUACCAUAUCAUCAGAUCAAUCCGUUAAAUCAAUCCAGCUGUCAAGUUAACCUGUCAAAGAUCAAAUUUUAAAAUAUCGUAUUUUCUACCGUGUCCAAGUGCUUGUGGUGCAAAGAGAGAAUGAGCAAAGAAAAGUGACAAGUUGCACAAAAAGUAAUUAAAAAUAAUUUGAUUGGUGGUUGAAGUCUUUCUGUCAAGUGUCAACAACAUAGUUGGGACCAGCACAGAGAUUUCUUAGUUGGUUCCUACUUUUCUCAAGUACAUCCCUCUAACAUCAUAAUUCCAUUUCCCACCAAAUUUUUUUAAUAUUAAACUUAUUUUUUAUUUAUUAUCUUUAUUUGUGCAGCAGAUUAACCAGUUAAUUUUUAUUUAUUUUUAAUUAAAUUUUUUUUAAAUUUUAUUAUUUAAUGUUAUAUUUCAUUAAGAAUUAAACUUUGUAUUUUAUUUUAAUUUAAUUUUAUUAAAUUAUUAUAUCUCAUUACCUAUAAAUAAUGUUUAAUAGAUUAAACGAGGUUGAUCUGACUUAAUUUUUAUAUUAUCCUCCUCCUUCUCUUUUUUCUUCUUCUUUUUUUAUCAAUAGUUCUUAAACUCGAACCAACCUAAUAGAUCAACCUAGAAUCCAGGGACUGGAUUGGUCAGGGCUUGUCAAAAAACUGACAAAUGCAACUACCAUGUUGACCGGCCAGCGACCCAAGCUAACUCGGACGAGACCUGGUUUUUGUAUUAAAUGUGAGAUUUAAAACCCAUUAAUAUAUAUACACUUUAUGUUCUCAAGAAAAAAAUUAUGUGUUUAAAAAAAUUUUGGUUUAAAUAUUUCAACUUAAAAUGAUAACAUAAUAUCUUUUCAAUGUGGGAUUUAAAGCCAUUUCGUAUAUAUAUUAUAUGUUCACAAGAAAAAAAUUAUGUUUUUUUCAAUGUGAGAUUUGAAACCCAUUAAUAUAUAUACUGUAUAUUCCCAAGAAAAAAGUUAUUUUUUCAAUGUGGGAUAAAAAACGUUUUUGGUUUAAAUACUUCAACUUAAAGGGUUAACAUUGUAUCUUUUUAAUGUAGGAUAAAAAACUUUUUAAAAUAUUUUUUAAAACUUCAUUAUUUAUAAUAAGUAUAACCUAUAUUUACAUGGGUUUUUUUUCUUAAUUUUUACAUAUGAAAUAUCAAAACUUUAAAUAUAUAUUUUUAAUUUUUACGGGUUAAUCUGAGUUGACCCAUGAAACUCGGGACUUAACUCCCGGAUCGAGUUUAAUAACUAUGUUUCUAUCACUUUUCAUUGAUAAAGUAGAUUAAUAAAUUAUAAAUUAGCUGGUGACCAUUACUAUGAGUAUUGUAAAAACUUCAUUGCACAUUCUAGAAUGUUGCUUGGUAUUUGUUUAACUCAAAAAGAUUUGUAAAGCAAAUUAUAUAUAAAAAAUUAUUUUAUUAUUUAAAGACCAGUAAUUUUAGAUAAAUGGAUGUGAUUUUUUCAAAAAAUAUAAAAACAAUCAAUGUAGUAACUCUUCACAGUAAAUGAGAUUAUUAUGAGACAUAAUUGGUUUUUAUCUUCCACCGUUUGACCCUUUACCUUGCUUUAUAUAUAUAUAUAUAUAUAUAUAUCUUCACAUGAACAAAUUUAAAAUUAAACUAGAAAAACAUUGAUGCGGUGCAACGAUGUUUACCUUAUUAGAUUUUGAAUGAUCUUAUAAUUAGACAAAACCUGAUUUAAAUCUAGUUAAAUCAACAUAAAAAGGAUUUAUUUUAUUUUUAAAAAAUAAACAAAUAUUAUUUUAAUAAAAUAUUGAUAAAAGACCCAUAAUUUAAUUCAAUGAUCUUAUCUAUUCGAUGACAUUAUACCUCCAAGACACAUUCCAAGUAAUCAAAUUAUACGAGAAGCAUGUGCUUUGAUUAUGGUUACUUCUUUUUUCUGUGCAAGAUAUGGGUUAUAAUUAAUAACUAGUGACACGAUUGUUGAGAUUAAGUUAAAAUAGGUUUGAUGAUAAUUGGAUCCUUGUUUUACACUAAUGUGUUUGGGUUUGAUCCUUUUAUUUAACUUUGUUGAUGCUUAUACUGGUUACCAAACAUAACAUAGUGUUUUAUUGUAAGUCUAACAUAUAAACUUGAAAGAAUUGGCCUAGUACUUGAUUAGGAAAUGGAUGUUUCAUGCAUGAAUCUUUAAGGUUGCCUUUGGUUAAAUAUUACUAAAUAAAAACGAUAGACAUUGAAAUGAUAUAAACACGUUUGCUCAAGGAGAUGAAAAUGAAGAUAUAAAAUAAAUAUGUAUUAAUUUAGACGGAUUCUUGUAUUUUCAAGGUAUAAAGUACAUAAAAACAUGUCUGUUUCAAUUUUUUAUGUGCUGAGAUUAAAAUAAAAUGAAUUUAGCUUUAAUUAAUAUACCCAAAUUCUUUUAUGCUGAAUCCUCGAACCGUGUCUGAUUUCAAAAAAAUAACAGUUCUGCACAAAAUUACCGAUACUAAUAAAGCAAAUUAACAAGUCACUUGCGAGGAAAAGGGUAGGAAAGGAGCCUGAAGUACCAUGGAGUGCUAAACAGCUAAUGUCCAUUAAUCAAUCAAGUGGAUGACUUUUAGCCUACCAGAAUUGACUACAACAGUUGGUUGUUAAUGCAGCGUGACAAUCUCAGCUCUUUGAUAAACAUCCUCACAUUUUCGAGACUGAUUAUCCUUAAGUUAAAUAAACAUAAAAAGAGAGAAUAAUUAUUCUAUAAAAAAAAACGUUACAGGUAAAGAUCAUGCUACACUAUCUAAAAUACCCAUAUCAUCCUACAGAAAGUUGGUGGUAAUUACGCUCAAACUGAUAAAAAGGUACCAAUUCAAGGCCUAUAUAAAUCAACAUUGGAAAUGCAAUUACAAACAAAGCUAAAUAUAAAAAAAUAUAAAUUAUUUGACAAAAUAAAUAAUUUUUUCCUUAUCACCUAGAAAGUACAAUAGCACGCAUCAACAACACGAGCCCAUGAAACACAAACAUCAAAUUACAUUCUGGUUAUUACAUUUUAGGAUGGUGCGGCAGGACAAAUAACCAACCUUUCUCAUUGAUUUGUUUGAACUAAAAAAAAAGCUUAAUUUAAUUUUUAAAAAAUUCAGAAUUGUUUUUUUUUUAAAUUAUGAAAAUAACAUUGGUAUUAUAAUCUCAAAAAAAAAAGGGAACGUCUAGGAUUUGUUUAAAAAUAUAAUUGUAAUUUUUUAAAGUUUUUUAUUCGGAAAAAUAUUAAAAUAAUAUUUUUUAUUUUUAAAAAAUAAUUUUUGGUAUUUUUAUAUCAAAAUAUCAAAAAACAAUUAAUUAAAGUAAAAAAAUAAAAAAUUUUUAAAAAAACUUUUAAAAUAUAAAAAUAAAAAAUGAUUAACAGCUAUAUACUCUUCUCUGGAGGCACUGGAACAGAAAUAUCAAAUUAAUUUGAGUGUGAUAGACAGACACUUGUUGGGAGUUGUCCUGGUGGACGGGUUCACAUGCGGCCAUUGUAGUAAAUCAACGCCGGGCAAGAUAUCAAUCCCGUAAGAUCCGUUAUGGCAUGAUCUUCUAGAAGCAAGAAACAACCACGAAAUGGAUCAUGUGGCUCCCAUUAGCCCUACCCCCAUCCAUCGAUUAUCAUGCCAUGCCUAGUCUUUAGCUAUGAUUGAAAGAGAAAACACAAAAACAGCUGAUGUCACAACUGGGUCCCAUACAAAAACAUUCCAAUCAGCUACUCAAGUGGCUUGUGAAUUGUGAUAUCCAUAAAACAGCACAACCACCGGUGGUGGCACGAUCAUUGUUUUUUUUAGAGUUUUGUAUUGUGGGGAUGGUAUCUUUUUAUUACGGAGUCAAUUAAAAAAUUGAUUUAAAAUAAAAAAAUAUAAAAUUUUUAAAAACUCUUUUAAAAUACAAAAACAAACACUCAACUAUUCUAAUAGCCAGAGUUUUAAAACCCGGCCCGGCCCGGUGGGUCGAUCCGGGUCCCGACGGACCCGGGCAUGGAACCGGUCCGGGUGGAGGCCAAAACCUGCUUGGGAAUUGGUCCGGCCAGACCCGGUCGACCCGACAAGACCCGGCCUCAAACCCAUUGACUUUUGUUUUUUUUUGUUUUUUUUUUUUUACUAAAACGACGUUGUUUUGAUUUUUUUUAAAAAAUUAAAAUUGUUUUUUGACCCGUCCGACCCAGCAACCCGGUCGAGACCCGGUGACCUAGCGACCCGGUCGAAACCCGGUGACCGGUCAAAACCUGGAACCCGGGUCUUGGACCGGGCGACUACCGAACCGGAUCUUAAAACUAAUAGCUAAGGUUUUUGGAAUUUGACAGCAAAACCGCGUAAGAGAGAAUUUGGUUAUAUGUGAAUUUGACAGCAAAACCGCGUAAGAUAUUUGGUUACACGUGAAUUUGACAGCAAAACCGUGUUUAUGGUGCAAAGAGAGAAGGGGCGAAGGAAAGUGACAAAGAGCACAAAAGGUCAAUAAAAAUAAUUUGAUCGGUGGUUGAAGUCUCUCUAUCCAGUGUCAGCAACCUAAUAGCCGCGACCACCACGGAAAAAUAUACAGAACUCUCAAAAGCCUUCUCUCUGGAUCACACAGUUUCCGAGAAAUUCCAUCUUUGAAAAAAGUUGGUUUGAUCCGAAAAACAUCACUAAAUGCCAAGCUUUUCACGUGAUGUGAUCAGGCAGCAGAAGACUUCACUUUAUUUGUUCUCUCUCCCUCCUUCCAUCACUUUUCAUUGGUAAAGCAAAUCAAUAAAUUAUAAAUUAUAUUAUUAUAUUUUAUACAUUAUAUUUUGUUUUCGUUUUUUUUAAUUUAAUUAUUAAGGUAUUUCACUUGCAUAACCUCUGCGUUUGGCUAUAUUCAAAGGUUUAAGCCGAAAUAGAUUAUAUUAGUAAAUUUAUAUUGAAUUGCUUAAUUAUAUCAUGAAUUAACAUGUUUGGUAUCAAUGUCAAUAGAAAUAAUUGAAUUGACGCAAUUAAUUAAUUCUUGAUAGCAACUUUAAAGGUAAAUGCAAGACAGUUACCUUUAAUCAGGAAGCAACAACGGACUUUAUUGUAAUGUACCGUAUUCUCAAAUACGAUCUAAAAAAAUAUAUAAAAGCGAUUGUAAAGAAUUUAUAAAACAUUCAGCGUGUUUGAUAUUCUUUUACAAAUUAGAAAUAAUGAAUCUAGUUUACAUAAUACUUUCUUGAUAAAAAAAUCAAAGCAAUCUGAAUGCUUGUAUAUAGGAAUUACAUACAUAAAAAGGGUAAAGAACAGGUAAAGAAGGUAUACUUCUUCAAAACAAUGCUGGGUGGGUGCUAGGAUUUAGAACUCUACACCGUUCAUGGCCAUAGCUAUUGCUAGCUUCUUUACAGAUUUCAGAGAACAAUGAUUACGAGAAUUUGCCAAGUUUUGGUUGCAUCAUUCCAUAGAUGGAAUUUGGAUGUUACCCAAGAUAGUAACCUCUUUUGUGAAACACAAGAAAACCAUUGAUGGAAGCCGGAAACUGGAGCACAUCAGGGAACUAACGUUUUUUUAUUUUUCUGAAAUACCUGUAUUGUUUCCUAUACUCUCACCCAGGGAGAUGAAGGCCGCCACAACCUUACAUAGCUUUCCGUCUUUUCUGAAAUUUGCCGUAAACUAUUUCCUGAUCAACUUUACAUUGAUUUAUGUAAAUUGCCUGCUUGAACUUCGACUCUUGAAUACAAAAGCACAAAAGAAAUUGAAAAGGUAAAAUCCGAAAAGGAGAGCUAAACACACACAUCCAAGUAUAAAUGAGUGGCACAACAUACAUGAUAAAUUUUGCUAGAUUUAACUAAGAGAGAGAGAGACAAAGAUUGUUCAACAAGUGCAAUAAGUUUAGAUAAACAGGGCAAAAUCAUUAAGUGCCUGCUCUCUUGAGUGACAUUGACCACUUUCACUUGCUUCUGAAUUUUGAUUCCAAAACGCGGAUGCUUCCUUGUUAUGAACUAUGGUUAUGUUCACUUGCUUCUGAAGGCUUGGGUUGUAGGUUUCUCAUGUCAAUAGAAGCAAUUCCAAGUAAAUCCAAAGAACAUUGGAUUUUCGUUGCUGAUGUUUCAGUUAUCAGCUUCUUUUUUAUUUAAUUUUUUGUUGUUAAUAAUUCAUAUCAUUUUUUUUAGUAGCCAGUAACCCUUUAAUUGCUAAGCCGGUCAUCCAAUUUAAGAACUUAGCCAUUAGCCAUUCCACUUCUUCUUCCUCUUUUCUUCAUAGAUCCAAACGAACAUAAUUUACUCCAUCUGAAAUCUCCUCAUGAGAAAAUUUAAUUUAAUUUAUUUAUUUACGAAACAAGCACGAAACCCAAAUAUCCCUCUCUCAGAUCACUGGUUUACGAAUGGUACGUAAAGAUUUAAAUCCCAAUUUUUCCUUUGAAAUCCCAUAUCUGAUGAAGGAAUUUGCUUUGCUUCUUAAUAAUUUUACCAAAAUGAUCUCUCUGUAUGUAUGCAAGUUAACUAGAGAGCGGAAAUGGCGGAUUAUAUGAAAAUGACUAGUUAUAUGAACAACAGUCUCCACGAUGGAAGGUGUCGCGGGGUCUAUUUUUUCACUCAAAUUUUCAACCAAUAUUUUCUGCUUCGUCAAGGCAAUGUGCUUUUGUUAGUGCACCAGCACCUAGACCUCUAACAAAAGGCUUCAUCCUUUUACCUUUCCAACCUCUUGGCCAUCCUCCUCUGCUUUAGCUUUCUCUGGUUAGCACCACCUCCUGAAGAAAACACAUGAACAAAUAAAAACAUUUAAUUUAUUUCCUAGAAAAAAAACAUCAAGAGGUCGUUAGUUUUCUUACCUGGGUUGUUACAAGCAACAGCACUAAAAUGACUAUCAUCUUGAUCGGCAUUUUGUCAAACAGCUAGGGUGUGUUCUUUAACUGCACUCCUACUCCAUUAUUGCUUGAAAAGGUUAAUGGCCCAAUAUUUGUUCCCGAACAUAACACAAGCCAUGUACAUUUAAAUGAUGUCGGGCAACGAAACAAGGGAGUGUUGAUGAGAGUUGAAGCAAAACUGGAAUCAAACGAAUGAACAAGCCCUUCUAUCAAAGAUUGGACAAGGCAGGGAAAACUUUCAAGCUAAUAAGCGACUUGACAAAUGAACUAAUGAAAAAAAAAAAAAAAAGAUUUGAAAAGACAGAAAGUAAACAGUUUUUUUGAUCCCUCGCUGUUAUUUUGGGCAAGAUAAUGAGUCAUGAAUUUUAUAUUAUCUUUUCUUUAUGUCUGUUUUUUAUCAAAGUAAACUCCAAAAAAGAUAUGACUUACAUGUACUGCAAAAUCAUUUUUUAACUUCUAUUUGAUAUGGAAUAAAGACAAUUUAAGUUUUUGAAUUUUGAAUUUUUGGAGAAGGGAAAACAGACUAGAGAAAGAGAUGGAGAAUUUUUUUUUUUAAUUUUUUAAUAUGCGGGGAAAGAGAAAAAAGAGAAAGGAUGGGGAUUUUAUAUAAUUAAGGACAAUUGUUUUUUAAGGGUGGUGCUUGCAGUUCAAAAUCUGAAACAGAAUGAUGAUUAUUAUUUAUGGAUAUGAAUGAAAGACAAUAAUUAUGAAAGAAAAUAUCUGUAUUUCAACAUACAGCAUAUAAAAACAUACAGCAUUUUGGACAAUAUCUCUAUUUCAUUCAUCCACAUUUUAACUGAAAUUGCCUUUGAUUAUUGAAAAGAAAAUAAACUAUUUAGUAGCAUUACCUCAAAAAAUAUGUUGGACGAUUGAAAGAAAAGCUCCUUUUAACAUUCUCCUCAAACUACAUCUUUGCUCCGCUGAUGUUGGGGGCCAAUAUAUAUGUCAGGAAUGUGAGAAAUUUUGGGCCAAUCUUUACCUUUUUUAUUUUUUUUAAAUUGUUUUAUUUUUUAAAAAAAUCUCUUAAAAUGAUACCAUUAUAAAUUUAAUAACUUACAGAAAAGGGAAAAAAAAUAAGAUUGUUAGUCAAUCCAUGCCAGACAUUUUGCUAAUAAAAACAUAAAACAUGAUGUUUUUAUUGUGGUGUAACAUAUUAUCUUUUCUCUUAAUGUCUGUUUUUUAUCAAAGUACACUCCAAAAAAGAUAUGACUUACAUGUACUCCAAAAAAGAUAUGACUUACAUGUACUCCAAAAUCAUUUUUUAACUUCUGCUUUAUAUGGAAUAAAAACAAUCCAAUCAAAGUUAAAUAAUAAAUAAAAGAUAAAAAAAGUUUUUGAAUUUUUAAUUUUUGGAGAAGGAAAGAGAAUAGAGAAAGAGAUGGGAAUUUUUUUUUUUUUUAAUUUUUGAAGAUGCGGGAAAAGAGAAAAGGAGAAAGGAUGGGGAUUUUAUAUAAUUAAGGGUUUGAUUUAUCUUUGGAAUCAGUUGCAGAUUUGAUGUUGCCAAGCACGUGAAUAAUAAAAAAUCCGUUGCAAAUUACUUACAUAAUUUAAUUUUUUUAAUCCUUUUUAGCAAUGGAUUUUCUAUUACUAAAUUCUUUGUUGAUAUUAAAAAAAUCAUAUAUACACAUUCUUUUGUUAAAUUAGCAAAAGAAAUAUUCUGUUGCUAAAAUUCGAUAAUAAUAGCCCCCUGUCCAAAAGGACUAAGGGUGGUGUGCUGGCAGUUCAAAAUCUGAAGCAUGUGAUGAUCCUCCAGCUCGAUAUAUUGAAACAGAAUAAUGAUUAUUAUUUAUGGAGAUGAAUGAGAGACAAUAGGAAGAAAUUAUCUGUAUUUCAACAUCCAACAAAUAAAAACAAUACAAAAUGGACAAUAUCUGUACUUCAUUCAUCCAAAUUUUAACUGAAAUUGCCUUUGAUUACUGAAAAUAAAAUAAACUAUUCAUCCAAAUAAACUGUUUGGGUAAAUAUAUAUGUAAGGAAUGUAAGAAAUUUUGGGCCAAUCUUUACCUUUCUCCCUUUCACAACUUUCACCCAGCAUAGGACAGCUGUUAAUUACAAGAGAAGAAAGGGAGGAGGGCAACUCUUCUUCUGGCAUUGACCCAAUCAGAGGACAGUAACUUAUAUCCAAUUCUCUAAGAGAGGUGAGGUGUUGAAGCCCCUUGUAGUCAAGAGAUUUCAGGUGUUUUAGGGAAUAGAUGUGAAGAGAUGUAAGACUUGAGGGCAGAAGCAUCUCUUCAGGGAAGGAUUCAACAUUUUCGUUCCAACUAAUUUUAAAGUGUGAAAGAGAAGGGAGCGAUUGCAAGCCCCAUUGCAUGCGGCCUGCAAUGAGUUUGUUGCAAUCCGAAAUCUCAAGUGAUUGUAAUGCGGAGGGAAAACCCCCUUCUGGACACAACUCAACUUCUGAACAACCAUUUAUUCCCAAACGGUUAAGGGAUGGGAGGAGGGAAUGCAUACUCUCAGGCAACAGCUUCAGGUUGCUGCAACCUUCUAAAUGAAGUCCUCUCAAGACUGGAGCAGGUAACCCUCCUUUGGGAAAUGAAACUAAUUUAGGGCACCCAUAGAUUUCCAUAGUAUGGAGAGAGGUGAGAUCAUUGAGAGGUCUUUCAUGUGCACAUAGUGAUUCCAGAUUUGGACAGUCAGAGAUAGAAAGAAAAUUUAACUUGGGGAGCAAGUCCAGUGCGACGCCUUUGAGAGAAGCGCAGCGUUUGAUUAUAAUUGUCCCUAAAUCAGAGGGUGAACAACCCAUUUGAUCAAUUUCCUCGGGUAGGGACUCUAGGGAGUGGGAUCCAGAAACAUCGAGCGAGUGCAACCUAGGAAACCUAGGAAGUGGAGUCGCGAGCUGCUCACAUCCUUCAAUUCUAAGUGAUGUUAAACGGGGAAGGUUGUGACCAGGUAGGGCCUUUGCAAGGUUGGGGCAUUCUUUGAUUGAAAGAAACUCAAGAAGAGGGAAGGCUUCCCGGCUGCCUUCGUGUGAAAUCCACUCGCGCCACUCUAGCAUCCUUCUAAAAGAUAAUGUUUUGAGGGAUUCAAAUGGCUUCUUCAUAGCAGUACAAUUCCCAUAGAACUCGGAGCCCACAGUCACAACUUUAUCGAAUCUUUCAAUGGAGAGACGCUCUAAAGAAGCUAAUUGCCCGAGCGGUGGUAAGGAGGUGCAGUUUGUACAUCUACUGAGCUUUAAGGACACUAUAUUUGAGAAAGAGGACUCUCCUACCCACUCCGGAAACCUUGUACCUCAACCAUCAAUCUCAAGAUCCUUCACCUUUCUAUUUGGCUCUAAUUUCUCAAGUGUGCUUCUUACGUGUUGUGGGUCAUGAGUGUCACCAUCCCAUGUAAACCUCAGCUUAUCAAGGUGCUCUUUACCUUUUAAAUAAGCCUCAGCAGCAUCCUGAGCAUCCACCACAUUUUGAAGGUUCCUAAUAUGAAGUUCUCCCCGUAGAUGUCGUAGCUUUCCCAAUUCUUUAAUUCUAGUCUCACUCUGUCUUCCCACGAGAAAGUCAGUCAACGUUCGGAGCUUUGUCAGUUGACCUAUAUGUGGUGGCAUCUCUUUCAAAGGCGUUUAUGAGAUGUUAAGAUACCGCAAGUUGAUUAACCUUUCCAGAGAUUCAGGCAACCUUCUGAUUCGUGUUCCUUGAAGAUUCAGAUGUCGUAAGUGCUUCAAAUUUCCAAGAUCAGGUAGCCUAGCAAGUUUUCGGCACCUUUUCAAGAUCAACGUUUCCAAAUUGAGAAGAGAACUCACUUCUUCAGGCAACGUUACUAAAAACUGUGAAAAGGAAAGAUCCAAAUACCGCAAAUGCUUCAACUUGCUAGUUGAACAUAACAUCUUAGCUGCAUCUUUACAACCAGACAUGAUUAGCACUCGUAGGCGCCCAAGUGUUGACUGAAAGAUCUCAUUAUAAAUUUCGGGAGGACACCUCAAAUGGCGUGGAAAAGUUUGGAAUGUGCGUAGAAGUUGGGCUUCACGGAAGUUUUCUAAUAUUGUGCUUGAAAAAACACCUUUCGUAUCUCCAUCUUCGGUAUCUUCACCAUCCGUGUCUUCCGUAUCUACUACGAGUGAUAAAUGUCGAGUCCUUCUGCUGGCCUUGGAAGAAUUAUUUUCCCCCAACCUGGAGCUGAAGCAAAAUUGACCGGACACAUGGGUAGCCAAGUCAUGCAUGAGAUCGUGCAUCACAAAUGAUUAGCUUGAUUGCUGGAAAAACGACCCUGACAAGAGAUCAUCAAAGCACUCAGCACCUGUUUUUUCCAUCUCAUCAUCUACGGAGGGGACUAAGAUGCCCUCUGCCAUCCACAGGAGUACUAAUUCAUUCUUUUGAAAUAAAUAGUCUUUUGGAAAUAUGGCACAAUAAACAAAACAUUGCUUCAGAUGUGGCGGGAGAUAAAGAUAACUUAAUCUCAAAGCUGGGAGGAUAUUGUCUUUGGGUAAAUCCCAUAGAUUGCUUUCCAAUAUCUUCUCCCACUCCUCGACAUCUCUUUGGGUGCGUAGCAGACCUCCGAGUGUUUUUGCAGCUAGAGGAAGGCCUUUACACUUUCUAGCUAUUGCUCUACCAAUCUCUAGCAACUCUUCAUGAGCAUUGGGAUUUUCACCACGAAAUGCAUGUUUGGCAAACAACGACCAGCAGCUGUCUUCCGUCAAUUCUUUUAGAUGAUGAGUUGGAACAGUUCUCAUGACUGAUGCUACACUUUCAUUGCGUGUUGUGACAAGAAUCUUACUCCCUUGUGCUCCGUACUUCAGGGGGGUAAGCAACUUCCCACUCAGCAUAAUCUUCAUUCCAAACGUCAUCUAAAACAAGCAAGAAUUUCUUUCCCUGCAAUCUCUCCUUCAACUGAAGCUGGAGCUUAUUCAGAUCAGAACCAGACUUUGACCGACCCCUCAAGGAACCUUGGUUAACUUCAAAACACUGAAAUCUUCUGAAACACAAACCCAAGCUUUGACACCGAACCGCUCUUGUACUCUGCUGUGAUUGUAUACAAGCUGAGCAAGCGUGGUUUUACCAACCCCGCCCAUUCCCCUAAUGGGGACGACACCAGGGUUUUCUCCAUUUGCAUCCUCUGAUAGAAGCAACUUCAGUAUUGCUUCCCUGUCAUCAUCUCUACCAUAAACACCAGAUUCAUCCACGAGAGAAGUUGUUGGUGUUCUAUGCGAUGAUGGAUUUUCUACAUUGCUGUUGUUCAAACCAAGGGCUGCCAUUCGUUCAACUAAGGGAUCUAGAUCCUGCAAGAGGACUUUUAAUUUUUCUUCGAUCUCUCUCGACCCCAAUAUUUCAAGUGGGUUAAUGAAAGAAAGAAGCUUCUGCGUCUGACCUGUGAAGGUUUGAUCUUCAGCUUCCAACUCCUGCCGUAGAGCUUCAUAAGCAAUCUCAUCCAAGAAGUCGUCGGCUUUAUAGACAGCGUCUUUAAGCAGGUCCAGCCAAUCCCGCACAGCUCUGUUUGUUAUCUGCUUCUCCUCGGCAUCGUCAAGCACCACCCUGAGAGAUGUCAUUGCUGUCUCCAACCUCGUUAGCAGCCUAUCGUUGACUUUUUGGCCUCUCAAGAAGGCAACCACCUGGGGAGAGGCCAUCCUGUCGAACAAAACAUUAAGGAAAGAAGAAAGAAAAGCUCCUCCUACUAAAGCCCCGGCCAUGGUUUCUCCUCUUUGCAAAGUAACGAAGGAAGAGUAAACAAACAAGAAGAAGAAGAAGAGGGGAUUUUGUUCAGGUGACAGAAGGGGAAAGAAUUUGCGUAAAGAACUGGCAAAAGCUUUUUCUCUCUCGGCUGUUUAACUCUUAACUUGUUAUGCUUAGGUGUCCAUUUAAGUGGUAGCGGUUGUCUCUUAUUUUUUUUAUUUAAAAAUAUAUUAAAAUAAAAUAUUUUUAGUUUUUAUAAAUUAUUUUUAAUAUUAAUACAUUAAAAUAUCUAAAAAAAUAAAAAUUUAUUAAUUUAAAAUAAAAAAUAAAAAAUUUUAAAAAAAUAUUUUUGAAACACGUAUCCAAGCCGCAGCUGAAAUGAUAUUCUAUCUUUUUCUUUUUUGAAAAUUUACUUGGUUUGUCUUUGAUUUAUUGUCCUAUAAAUUACAUCUUUUUGACAAAGGGGAUUGAUUGGAAAGACUUCACUAAAUGCUAAAUUAAAUAAAUAAAUCAUAAAUGUCUUUAGAGAUACUUUGAGAUAUUCCUAAAUUGUAAUGAUAUUUUUAUUGUUUUUUUUUAUAUAGUUAUAUACCUAUAUGGAAUAUUGUUGAUACAAGAUGAGAACUUCAACUCCAUAAGCCUUUACAUGCAGCAGCUUAUUAUUUGAAUCAUCAUUAUCAUUAUAAUCCUAAUUUUAAGGUUAAUGCCAACAUUAAAAUUAGAUUAUAUCAGUGCUUAGAAAGGAUGGUUCCUAAUGCAAGUGAAAGGUGCAAAAUUGACUUGCAACUUGAAUCAUUCAAAGAUGCAAAAGGGUUGUUUGGCAUUGAGGCUGCUAAGACAGCAAAAGAUUAAAAAACUUCAGCUCAAUGGUGAGAUUCUUUUAGGGAUGAAUGUCUAGAAUUACAAAGGUUUGCAAUCCGAGUUCUAAGCUUGACUUGUACUUUAUUUGGAUGUGAGCGUAACUGGAGUGCAUUUGAAAUUGUGAGUUUUUUAUUUUAUUAUUUUAAAUGUUGACAUAUUUGAUAAAAAUCUUAUAAAUUUGAAUUGUUUAUUUAGGUUCAUACAAAAUGAAGAAAACGGUUGCACCAGAGAAAAAUAAAUGACUUGGUAUUUUUAAUGUGCAAUCUAAAAUUGAAUAAUAAUCAAGUCAAAAAGCAAGCUGAUGAUUUUGGUGUAGAAGAUGAUCUUUCAUCUGAUGAUGAUUGGAUAACCGAGGGAGAAAAACAUUUGAACAUUGAUUUGCUUGGUGCUAUUGACAGUGCAACACGAAGAAAAAAUAGUAAUGAAGAUGAAAGUGAUGAAUAAGAAAUUCCUAAUGAUGUUGAAAUGGAGAGUCAUGGUACUGAAGAUGAUUUAGAGAUUUAAAUUGAUGAUAUUGGUGUUGGUACUAGUAGUAGCUCUAAUGUUUAUAAUAUUGGUGUUGGUACUAGUAGUGACACUAAUAAUCAUCUUGAUGGUAUUGAUAUUGAUGAAUAUCUGAGGAAUAAUGAGGAAGAUGAAGGCAUUGAAGUUGGUUUACAUGACACACCAGCAGAUUGUUUGUUUUAAGCUUGUUAAUUAUUAGCUAAUGAAAAUUUAUUUAAAUUAUGUAUGAAUUUUUAUUUGAAGCAUGUAUUUUAAGGUGCUUGAACUAUGUAUGAAUUUUUAUUUGAAGCAUGAAUUUUUUGUUAAUGUAUUUUAAAAUUCUUUGCAAUUUUACAAUUUUACGAUCCGAGUUUGUAUUGUAUUUUCCGUGCCAUGUCAAAAUCACAAUUUUAACAAAUCCACUCUUUUUGGGAGGUAAAGUCUACAAGAUAGUCUUGCUUCUUUUGAAUAGAUGACAUCUUUUGACAGGACAUUGGAUUUGGGAUCCUGGGAAGGGGGGGAGAAUUCGUUGCCAAGGAGCCUCUCUAUCCUGCCAGGUAAAAGACGUCAGAUACAAAAAGAAGGAAGUUGCUGAUUUUAAAUCCUCAAGCUAUUAAUUCUUGGCUAACACAGCAAUCACAUAAUAAAAGUCUUCUAGAUGGGUUGAAAUUCUAAAGCGAGAGUGUCCAAGUUCCAAACCUGAUCAAACGCUAUAAUUCUACGUCCAGGUUUGUCAAAUAAGGAAACUCCAGGAGAACGUCAGGAAUUGACUGGCGCCGAAUUACUUCACUAAUUUUAUAGGCCAACAGAGACUUAAGGUCAUGCUAAAUUGUAGAAUCGCAUGGAUUUAUCAUGUGAUUAAUUCUUGUCUAUAUUAAAGAAUUCUAAAAGGCGUGGGAAAACACUGUAGCUUCCCAACGCAUUUUAAUUAUACUUAAUAUAAUAAUAAUAAUAAUUAUUAUUAUAUAUAAUAAUAAUUAUUAUUAUUAUAAUUAUAUUAUAAUAUUAUAAUAUAUUUUUUUCCUAUUCUGUAGCAAUUUUUUUUUCCGUUUUUUUCCUCUUUUUUUUCUAUACCUUUUUUUUUCAUUUUUUUUUUGCUUUUGGUUUUUUUUUUUUCUAAAAAAAAACAAUAUGAAUUGCUACAGUGUUUCUCCUACAUGGUUUUUGUUUUGCUGCAGUGUUUGCCCACAUAUUUUUUAAAAAAAUUAUCUUUAUCGAAUUUAUUUUUUCAAUAUUGAGCUGGCUGAUAAUAUAGCUUUAGCUUUUCCCACAUGUUUUUUUAUUUCUUUUUCCUUUUUUCCAAAAUUGUCAUUUUUUACAUAUAUUUUUUUAUAUAUAAUUAUUUUUGUUGAUUUUAUUUUUUUUGCUAUUGAGCUGGUUGAAAUUUUAGUUUUUUUUUCUUUAAAACAUUGUAGAUUGCUAUAAUGUUCUCAUACAUUGGUUUUUUUUAUGAUUUAUUUAUUCUUUUUUUUUUCAAAAUGGUCUUUGUAGAUUUUAUUUUUUUUAUAUUAAGUUGAUUGAGAAUUUAACUUUGUAGUUUUUUUUUUCUAAAAAAAAACAAUAUGAAUUGCUACAAUGUUUCUCCUACAUGGUUUUUGUUUUGCUGCAGUGUUUGCCCACAUAUUUUUUUAAAAAAUUAUCUUUAUCGAAUUUAUUUUUUCAAUAUUGAGCUGGCUGAUAAUAUAGCUUUAGCUUUCCCACAUGUUUUUUUAUUUUUUUUUCCUUUUUUCCAAAAUUGUCAUUUUUUACAUAUUUUUUUUUUUAUAUAAUUAUUUUUGUUGAUUUUAUUUUUUUUGCUAUUGAGCUGGUUGAAAUUUUAGUUUUUUUUUUAAAACACUGUAGCUUUCCCGACGUGUUUUUUUUCUCGCUUUUGUUUCUUUUUUUUACAUUUUUUUUUCUUUUUUUUUUACCCAAAAUUGACUUUUAAAAAAAAACAAUAGGCUUUGUCAGUUUUUGUUUUUAUAUUGAGCUGGUUGAGAACUUAUCUUUGUAGCUUUAAAAAAAAAAAAAACACUAUGGAUUGCUACAGUGUUUCCCUUACAUGGUUUUUGUUUGUCUGCAGUGUUUUCCCCACAUGUUUUUUUUUAAAUUAUUUUUAUCGAAUUUAUUUUUUUAAUAUUGAGUUGGUUGAGAAUUUAGCUUUAGCUUUAGCUUUCCCCACGUUUGUUUUUUUAAUUUUUCCCAAAAUUUUCUUUCUUCUUUAUAUUUUUUUUCAUAAUUUUUUUUGCUGAUUUUAUUUUUUUAUUAUUGAGCUGAUUGAUAAUUUAGUUUUUAAUUUUUUUCUUUAAAACACUAGAUUGCUGUAGUGUUUCUCUACAUGGUUUUUUAUUAAAUAAUUUUUUUUCAGAAUUAUCUUCGUCGAUUUUAUUUUUUUUAUAUUAAGCUGAUUGAGAAUUUAGCUUUGUAGUUAUUUAAAACACUGUAGAUUACUACAGUGUUUUCCCACAUGAUUUUUUCCUUGCUACAGUGUUUCCCCACAUGUUUUUUUUGUCGAUGUUUUUUUUCCAAAUAUGUUUUUGUCAAAUUUAUUUUUUUCAUACUGAACUAGCUAACAAUUUAGCUAUUUUUCCUUAAAACAUCGUUGAUUGCUACAGUGCUUUCCCAUAUAUGUUUUUUUUUAAAUGGUCUUUGUCGUUUUUAUUGUUUUUGAUAUUGAGCUGGUUAAACAUUACAACUGUAGAUUUUCUUAUGAAACACUAUAGAUUGUUAUAGUGUUUCCAUGGAUUUUUUUUUCCUUUCGUUUUUUUUUUUAUAUUUGUCAAAAUUAUCUUUAUUGAUUGUUUUUUAAUACUAAGCUGGUUGAGAAUUGUAGUUAUAUAUUUCCUCACAAACACUAUAGAUUGCUACAGUGUUUUCUUAAAUUAUUUUAAUAAUUAGCUGGUUGACAAUUUAGCUUUAACUUUCCCCACAUGUUUUUUUUCAUUUUUUUAUUAUUUGUUUUUUGCUUUUUUUUCUUCCAAAAUUGUCAUCUUCUUUUUUUCAUUUUUUUUGUUUUUUUUAUAAUUGUUUUUGUCGAUUUUUUUUUUAAUAUACUGGUUGAGAAUAUAGCUUUGUAGUUUUUUCCUUUAAAAUAUUGUGGAUGGUAACAUUUUUUUUUAUGAUUUUUUUCACAAAUCCACAAUAAUGCACAAGCAUGGCACAAGCCCGCGGUAUCGCGCGGGCAUGUCACGCCUUUUACUAAUAUAUUUACUUAUUAAUAUAUUAUAUUAUUAUAAUUAUUAUAUUAUAAUUAUAAUUAUAAAUAUAAUUACAUUGUAUUAUAUUAUAUUAUAUUAUAUAACAUUUUUUUCCCUUUUUUUCUUUUUAAUUUUUUUAAUGAAUUUUUUUUGUUUGAUUUAGUUUGUUAUUUUUUAUUUUUUAAUGGAUCUCGGAUUUGAUGGGUUAGCCUGAUUUGACAAGUUAUUUUUUUCAUUUAGUUUAGUUUGUUAAUUUUUUAUUUUUUAAUGGAUCUCGGAUUUGAUGGGUUAGCCUGAUUUGACAAGUUAUUUUUUUCAUUUAGUUUAGUUUGUUAAAGUUAAUUUUCUUUCUAUUUAAUUACCAGACUUUCAUACUUUCAUGACGCGUGUCCUGAGCUUGACGGGUUAACCCAGUUAAUUCUGGGUAAACCCGUCAUUUGUUUUUCUAUUUAGUUAUCAAACUUUCAUAAUGUGAAUCCCAGGUUUUACGGGAUAACCUAGUUUAAAGGGUUAACCCAAUUAAUUCAAUUUGUUUUCUUUUUCUUCAUUAGUUUUUUCCUUUAUGUUGAUUUUUUUCUUUGUUUUUUUUUAAUCAAUCUAUUUAAUUAUCACACUUUUAUGACACAACCUUAUAUCUAGACCCACAUCCAAUAUUCUUGGGUCCGGUGUUGCAGUCAGGCUCACUUAAACUUGGGUCAUGCAAGUUUAAUUUUAUUAUUAAUAUUAUAAAUAUUAUUCUUAGGUCAGGUGUUGCAGCCAAACCCAAGUUUCUUGGGUAUAACUUUGCAGAAAAACCCAAAAUUUUUAAAUUUUUAUUUUUUUUAAUAUUUUUAUGCAAAAAAAAUAACCCGCGGCAUCGCGCGGGUCAAGUGUCUAGUUAAAGAACUCUAAAAGGCGUGGGGAAAGCAUUGUAGCUUCCCCACGCCUUUUAAUUAUACUUAUAUAUUAUUAUUAUUAUUAUAUAUAAUAAUAAUUAUUAUAAUUAUAAUUAUAAUUAUAUUAUUAUAUUGUAAUAUAUAUUAUUUUUCAUUUUCAUUUUUUUUCUAUAUUUGUUUUGGUUUUUUAUGCUUUUAUGGUUUUUUUUUGUUUCUUUCUUAGUUUUUUUUCCUUUUAAUUUUUUUUGUUUAAUUUAGUUUGUUAAUUGAUCCCGAGUUUGACGGGUUAACCUGGUUUGACGAAUUAACUAGAUAUUUUAUUUUUUUGCUUUUUUUUCUUUUUAAUUAAUUUUUUUCAUUUAGUUUAGUUUGUUAAUGUUAAAUUUCUUUCUAUUUAAUCAGACUUUCAUGACACGUAUUGCAAGCUUGACAGGUUAACCCGUCAAUUUUUUUUUCUAUUUAGUUAUUAAACUUUCAUGACGCGAAUCUAAGGUUUGACGGGUUAUCCUGAUUUGAAAGGUUAAUAAGAACUCUAAAACGCGUAACUUUUUCACUAUAGCUAAAGCUCUUUUGUUUUUUUUUUGCAGUUUCUUUUUUCGUUUUUUCUUUUGUGGCAUUUUUUUUGUCGUUUUUGGUUUUUUUUUCAUGUAGCAUUUUUUUUUGCUUUUGUUUUUUAAAUGUUUUUUCACUGUAACAGCUUUUUUUUCUUUUUGUUUUUCUUUUUGUUUUUUUUAACGCGUGGGUUUUUUACUUUAGCUGCUUUUUUUUUCCACGCUUUUGUUUUUUCUGUUUUUUACAUAUAAUGUAUCAUUGUGCACACAGUGAUACACUGACUUUUUUUUCGUUUUUUUUUUCAUUUUGCCCAUGGGUUUUUUUUUUUUGCUUUUUUCUUUGUGUUUUUUUUUCUUUUAAUGAAUUUUUUUUUGUUUAAUUUAGUUUGUUAAUGUGAAAAAAAAAAUAAUUUCGUUAUCAUACUUUCAUUACACGGAUCUCGGUUUUUUUUAUAUAUUAAGAUGGUUGAGAACUUAGCUUUGUAGCUUUUUUUUAAAAAAAAACACUAUGAUUUUUGUAUAUAAUUUAGGUUAACUUGGUUUGAUGGAUUACUACAGUGUUUUCCUCAUAUGAUUUUUGUUUGGCUGCAGUGUUUCCCCCACAUGUUUAUUUUUUAAAUUAUCUUUGUUAAAUUUAUUUUUUUAAUAUUGAGUUGGUUGAGAAUUUAACUUUAGCUUUCCCCACGUUUUUUCAUUAUAAUUAUUAUUAUAUUGUAUUAUAUUAUAUGAUUGUUUUUUUCUUUUGUUUUUUUUAAUUGUUUUUAAUGAAUUUUUUUUGUUUGAUUUAGUUUGUUAAUGUUAAUUUUUUUUUUUUAGUUAUCAUAUUUUCAUUAUACGAAUCUCGAGUUUGAUGGGUUAACAUGAUUUGACGAGUUAUUUUUUUCAUUUAAUUUAGUUUGUUAAAGUUAAUUUUCUUUCUAUUUAAUUAUCAGACUUUCAUGACACGUAUCCUGGGCUUGAUAGGUUAACUUGGUUUGAUGGGUUAACCCGUCAUUUGUUUUUCUAUUUAGUUAUCAAACUUUCAUGACACAAAUCUCAGGUUUUACGGGAUAAUCUGAUUUAAAGGGUUAACCCAAUUAAUUCAAUUUUUUUUUCUUUUUCUUCAUUAGUUUUUUCCUUUCUGUUGAUUUUUAAUUAAUCUAUUUAAUUAUCACAUUUUUAUGACACGACCUUAUAGCCAGAUCCACAUCCAAUUUUCUUGGGUCCGGUGUUACAGUCAGGCUCACUUAAACUUGGGUCAUGCAAGUUUAAUUUUAUUAUUAAUAUUAUAUAUAUUAUUCUUAGAUCAGGCGUUGCAGUCAAAUCCAAGAUUCUUGAGUAUAACUUUGCAGAAAAAACCCAAUAUUUUUUUUUUAAUAUUUUUUAUACAAAAACAAUUACUCGCGGCAUCGCGCGAGUAUCAAAGCUAGUAUAUAUAUAAAACAAGAAGGGAAAAGUCUGUUAAAAGGAAUGAAGUUUCAUGCUUAGGGCCCUCCAUCUUGAGAAUUAUCAUGAAGCUGUCUUGUAAUCCUUUUGAGAAUUUGAUGAUAAUAGCCCCCUGUCCAAAAGAAUAAUUUGAGAAUAUUCCCAAAUAUUCUAAUAGCUAAGGUUUUUGGAAUUUGACAGCAAAACCGUGUAAGAGAGAAAGAGCGAAGGAAAGUGACAAAGAGCACAAAAGGUCAAUAAAAAUAAUUUGAUCGGUGGUUGAAGUCUCUCUAUCCAGUGUCAGCAACAUAAUAGCUGCGACCACCACAGAAAAAUAUACAGAACUCGCAAAAGCCUUUUCUCUAGAUCAUACAUUUUCCGAGAAAUUCCAUCUUUGAAAAAAGGCUAGAAGAUUAAAAUGUACAUCGUAACCUGGGAUCAUAUCUUAUAAACUGUACCACUACGAAACAAAGUAUUUUUUUUAACUUAAAAAAAGAAUAUUAUGUAAAAACAAUCUGAGAUACGUCUAAUUGGUUCAAAAAAUAUAUAAAAAAUACAACUACAAUAAAUUAAUUAAAAAAAUAACAAUAAAAAAAAUAAAAAACCAGAAUUCAGCUCUCCCGAAUUAUCAAACAACUCAAUAUUAAAGGUGAAACUAUAAAAAAAAUUAAAAAAACACAAAAAACCCUAUUAAACCAGGUGAACUCACCAACUUCACAACCAUGAAUAUAAGAUUGAGAUAGUCUCAUGGAAAGAAAAGUAUGACAAAAAAUUAAAUAAAAAAAUUAAAAUAAAUUGAUUAAAAGAGAUAAAAAAAAUAUCAUCUCAUGUCAACCCAUCGAAACUGAUGAUUUCUUAAAGAUAGUAACCUCUUUAAUCACCACUUAUGAAUUAUUUUAUUUUAAAUACUAAAAUUUUUAAAAUUAUAAUUUGAGUUUAAUUUUUUUUUAACAGUCAUUAUCCAUUACAAAUAUUAUAAUCCAUUUUAAAAAAAUAUUUGGAUAAAAUUUAUUUGGAAAUAGAGACUGGUAAAGAGGUGAAUGAGCCAAUCUCAUAAUUUACCAUUAAAAAAUAUUUUGCUACUACUCGACCCAUAUCUAUCACCCUAAACCAAUACACAUACUUGCCCAUGUAAUACUUGGAAAAAAUUAGCUUUUCAGUAAUGUUCAUUUUAGUCCAUGAGUUUUUAAAACGUUUUUUAGUCAUAUAUUUUUCUAAGAAAACAUUUUUUUUGUUAGAAUUUUUUUUCAAGUUUUUUUUUUUACAAUAAAAAAUGCAUCCAUCCAACAAAGUUAAUGUUUAAACAUGUAAGAUAUACUCAAAAUUAUUUAAAAAGUAAUUUAAUUUAAAAUUAUAUAUUUAAGAAAACUAAAUAGAAGAUGAGCUUCACUUUCAAGCUAUGUAUAUAAACUUAUUAAAUUAACAAAAAUUUAUUGUAAAUUAAAUUAAAUAUCCCAAGAAAAAAUAGGUAUUAAGGAAACUCCAGGAGAACGUCAGGAAUUGACUGGCGCCGAAUUAGUUUACUAAUUUUAUAGGCCAACAGAGACUUAAGGUCAGGCUAAAUUGUAGAAUCGCAUGGAUUAAUUCUUGUGUGUGUCUAUAUAUAUAUAUAUAAACAAGAAGGGAAAAGUCUGUUAAAAGGAAUGAAGUUUCAUGCUUAGGGCCCUCCAUCUUGAGAAUUAUCAUGAAGCUGUCUUGUAAUCCUUUUCUUUUGGAACUAGUCAAGGCCGGCUACCAUCUCAGAAAGGGUCGUCCUAACUACGAUUUUUCUAAUGCCGACGUAUAAGGCAAGCCAGACAAUGCACCGACCGGUGGUGGCACGAUCAUUGUUUUUUUUUUAGAGUUUUGUAUUAGGGGGAUGGAAUCUUUCUAUUAUUGAGUUAAUUAAAAAAUUAAUUUAAAAUAAAAAAUUUAAAAUUCUUAAAAAUUCUUUUAAAAUACAAAAACAAACACUCAAAUAUACUAAUAGCUUUGGUUUUUGGAAUUUAACAGCAAAACCGUGUAAGAGUGGAAAAGCGAAGGAAAGUGACAAACAGCAUAAAAGGUCAAUAAAAAUAAUUUGAUCGGUGGUUGAAGUCUCUCUAUCCAGUGUCAGCAACAUAAUAGCUGCGACCACCACAGAAAAAUAUACAGAAAAAAUAUACAGAACUCGCAAAAGCCUUUUCUCUAGAUCAUACAUUUUCCGAGAAAUUCCAUCUUUGAAAAAAGGCUAGAAGAUCAAAACACAAAUAUUGUAGGCAAGCAGUUUCACGUCCAAUACAAGCAGUUUCAUUUCUAUGAAAUUGCUCUCGCACACCAUUCUAUUCUUCAGCUACAAUUAUUUAUCUGCUGCUGUUAUAGAUGAACAUCAGACAAUCCUCACUAUUGCUCUACCAAUUUCUUGUAACUCUUCAUCAGCGUUGGCAUUUGUAGCUUUACCCUGGUGCAGCAUCCAUGAGUGCAAAGAUUGUCCAGAAAGAAGAUUGUUCAACAAGUGCAAUAAGUUUAUUCAAGGACAAAUAGAAGGAAAACAAGAUCCAUACAAAUUCACUGGAAUCAUCAAUGCAGAGAACUUGCACAACUUUAGAUAAACAGGGCAAAAUCAUUAAGUGCCUGCUCUCGUGAGUGACAUUGGCCACUUUCACUUGCUUCUGAAUUUUGAUUCCAAAACGCGGAUGCUUCCUUGUUAUGAACUAUGGUUAUGUUCACUUGCUUCUGAAGGCUUGGGUUGUAGGUUUCUCAUGUCAAUAGAAGCAAUUCCAAGUAAAUCCAAAGAACAUUGGAUUUUCGUUGCUGAUUUUUCAGUUAUCAGCUUCUUUUUUAUUUAAUUUUUUGUUGUUAAUAAUUCAUAUCAUUUUUUUUAGUAGCCAGUAACCCUUUAAUUGCUAAGCCGGUCAUCCAAUUUAAGAACUUAGCCAUUAGCCAUUCCACUUCUUCUUCCUCUUUCCUUCGUAGAUCCAAACGAACAUAAUUUAUUACAUCUGAAAUCUCCUCAUGGAAAAAUUUAAUUUAUUUAUUUAUGAAACAAGCACGAAAUCCACCACAAACCAACUGGCCAGCUACAAGCACCUAUGCAUCCAAUGUUGCUGUGUUUCUGCCUCGGCUUGGACAGCCCAUUGUCCCAGCCCCAAUGUCAUGGCCAUUUCAGCACCUAGACCUCUAACAAAAGGCUUCAUCCUUUCCCCUUUCCAACCUCUUGGCCAUCCUCCUCUGCUUUAGCUUUCUCUGGUUAGCACCACCUCCUGAAGAAAACACAUGAACAAAUAAAAACAUUUAAUUUAUUUCCUAGAAAAACACAUCAAGAGGUCGUUAGUUUUCUUACCUGGGUUGUUACAAGCAGCAGCACUAAAAUGACUAUCAUCUUCAUCGGCAUUUUGUCAAACAGCUAGGGUGUGUUCUUUAACUGCACUCCUACUCCAUCAUUGCUUGAAAAAGGUAAUCAAGCCAUGUUCAUUUAAAUGAUGUCGAGCAACGAAAGAAGGGAGUGUUGUUGAGAGUUGAAGCAAAACUGGAAUCAAACAAACUAGUAUAAGAUAUGGAAAGCCAAAGCUGUUACUUAAAUUGCCCUCUUCGGUCAUCCACUUCUUCUUUUAAAUUCCUCGGUCUGAGAACAAGCCCUUCUAGCGAAGAUUGGACAAGGCGAGGAAAACUUUCAAGCUAAUAAGCGACUUAAUAAAUAAACUAAUGAAAAAAGGAAGAAUUAAAAAGACAAAGGAAAGAGUUUUUUGAAUCCCUCGUACAUUCCUCCGUGAUACAAGGCUUACAUCUUUGGGAAGAUAUAAUUAUGGUGUUCAUGGAUAAUUAGUUUAAUCUUGUUAGUUAUUUUGGAAAUUUUAUUUAAAACAUAAAGAGAUAUAACUAGAAAAAAAAUUGUAAAUUUUUUAUAUUUUUUUUAUAGAUACUGAAUUUUAUAUUAUCUCUUUAAUUUUUUUUAUUAAAAUAUAUUUGAAGAAUAACUAAUAAGAUAUUACUGGUUAUUUUCUAAACACCAUAAAAUUCUACUAGAAGGCAAGGUAUGCACUCCAAAAUUGUUUUCUAACCUCAGCUUUAUAAGGAAUCAAUUUUUUUUAAUAAAAAAUAAAUAAUAAAAGAGAAGGAUAAAUCAAAAGUUUUUGGAUUUGGAGAAGGGGAAUAGACUAGAGAAAGAGGUGGAGAAAAAAUUUGAAUUUUUGAAGAUGCAGAAAAAGAGAAAAGGAGAGAACUAGAGAAGGGAUAUUUUAUAUAAUUAAAGGUUUAAUUUAUUUUUUGAAUCAGUUGCAAUAAGUUUAUUCAAGGACAAAUAGAAGAAAAACAAGUUCUUUACAAUUCACAGGAAUCAUCAAUGCAGAGAAAUUGCACUAUUUUAGAUAAACAGGGCAAAAUUAGAUUUCCCUUCUAAUUUAAUGAUCAUCUGCAGAUUCAAAGUAAGGAGGCGGCAACAAAUUCAGGCAAAUUCAAAUGAGUGGUUUGGAAUUUAUAAACAUGAUACGUAAUGUUGCUGUUAGUAAUAUAAAGGGACCUUGGGACAACAAAAUUAAAUGUGUUAACAUGAUUUAAUUUCUAUUUGAUUUAUAUCACUCAAAACUAUUCUAUAAAUAAUUUAUUUCAAAAUUAUAUUAUUUGAUAAAAUUAAGUGGAAGAUAAGCCUCAUUUUCAAGCCAUGUAAUUUACACCUUUGCUAGCAAUCAAUUAACCAAGAUUUAGUUUGAUUAUAUUAUUCUCUAAGAAUAAUUUCACUUCCAAUUAAAAACUUCAAUUAUUGAUUAAGAAACUAAAAAUAUUUAAUGUAGAAACCCAUUCAAUUAAUUGUUGAUGAAUGAUGAUAUCACAUGAUAACCCAUAGCACAAAUUCAAUUCAAUUUCACAAAUUCUACAGCUCAAUCACCCACAAUUCAAAUACUACAAAAACUCCAGCAAAUUACGACACUGCAAACACUUGAAGACAUCACCAAGCACCAUUCAUGAAAAUGACCAAAGGCAAUAAGAUUUGAGGGUGAGCUGUAAUUUUAAUGCCAGGAGAAAACAGAGGAAGCAUCUGACUAUGAGAACAGAGUCGGAGGAUUGCAGUCAGCUUCUACGACCGGAGAAUAGACAACGGCGGGAAACAAACGAUGCCACAACCCAAAAGAUACAAGAGGAGCCAGCAGCUGCCUAUGUAACACCAAAUUUAGCAUCAUUCUUUAAAAUGUCUGGCCACGCAAAUUUCUUAACAAAAUUAUUGAAAAUUUCUUUAAGAAAUAUUUUAUUAAUUGAAAAAUAUUUUUAUAAAAUUAUAUUCACUGCAUUAUCAAACAUACACAGCCUAUUAGCCACGGUCUUUGAGCAUUUCCAAAACUAUCCUCCGAGAAAUGCAGUACUGGUAGCUCUGUUCUGACCCGUCGUCUACUUUGUCAAGCAUUGGUCAAGGAUGAAAACGCUGUGAAUCGAAGCAUAGUUUCCGUUAAAGGUAUUUUUAGUUUCUGCCAUGGUUUAUUUCUGUUGCUCAUUGUCACUCUUGGAAAUUAUUUGUUUUUAUGGUGAUAUAAUUUUUUUUAAAAUAAUAAUAAUUUUUUAAAAAAAAUUGUGUUUUUGAAUUUGUUUGUAGGGUGAUACAGUUUUUUAAAAAUAAUAAUAAUUUUUUAAAAAAAAUUAUAUUUUUAGAUUGUUUUAAUAUGUAAUGUGAAAUAUUAAUUUUUAAAAAUAAAAAAAUAAAAAAAUAAAAAUUAUUUAGAUAUAUUUUUAAAUAAAAUAUAUUUUACAAAAUAAUUACCACCAUAAUAUGUUGGGAUGUUUUUAUAAAAUAGGAUGUAAAACUACUGAGAGCCUACAAGGUUUUAUUUUUUAUGGUAAGUUAGAGAUUUUGUAGGCCCAUUUAAAAUUAAUAGGUUGGAUCGUGAUCAUAAAUAAAGAUUGAGAAUUUGGUCUGAUUAUGCAGAUAACAUGCCUUAACUUGUCUAAAGUUAUGUAUGGUGUUACUAAACCCAGCUCAAGAUAAGUUAAGAGCUUGGAUUGGAUUUUAAAUUAAAUUGGAUAGAAUUUAACUGGAUAUAAUUCAACUUAUUUGAUCAAUCAAAACUCAGUUUAAUUUAAAAAAGAUUCACAUCAUUUUAUUUUUUAUUUUCAAAAAAUUCUUUAAGUCAUAUCACUUUGUAUUGAUUUAUGUUAACCCACUACUUGAAUUAUAAUUCGAGUUGGGUUUAAUAACUUAGAUAAUAUUAUUUUCGUUCGAAAGUAAAGGUAUAAAAAUUGAUGAGGUGCAAGUUAGAGAGGGGAAUUAGUGUGAAUUAUGCUGGUGAACUUCAUAAAUUUAUUUAACUUUCGCAUUGCUUAUUUAUCCUCUAAGGCGUGUGAUUUCUUUUUUAUACUGGGUGGAAAACAACGACGUGGGGUAUUGUGUCAUCUAGUGACCGUUGCAAGAUGUUUGAAUCCUACUAAAUGCACCGCAUGGCUGUUAGACGAUUGUAGGGGUAUUGUGUCACAAAACACACCGUUUCAAUUACCACCUAGACACAUCGUUUAAAUGAUGGUGUUUCUUUUAUUUAGAUGAGAAUCUUGCCACGUGUUGGCUAUUGCUUGAUAAUUGGAAGUUGUUCUGUUAUCCGCUCUUUCAGUUAGUAUUUGUAACAGAAUGCCAGCGUGAAAAUAGAAGAAUGAAAAAUGUUGGCUUAACCAAUUUAUGUCCCUCUUCGAGGACUUUGAGGAGUUUGGGAGGCGAGGGCGGAGAGCCAGGAUUUUUCUUCUGUCCUGAACUAUUAAAUAAACAUAUAAUUUUUUUUAAGAUAAAUUAUUAACUAAUGUAUAUGAGUUUUUAAAGUUAAUAGUAAAGUUUUAAUUCAAAUACAUUAUCUAAAAUAUAAAAAAAUAAAUUUGAAAAUAUAUAAAAUUAAAAUGAAAGUAAAAAUAAACUCAUUAUUAAAGUUACAUCUUUCGAUGUUUUGUGGAAUAUAAUUCAUCUAUAAUCGAAUUUGAAUCGAUAUUGUAACAACCCUUGAACUGGGAUAAAAUAAUAAUCUCAUAUCAACUGAAAAAUAAAAUAAUUAAUUUUUUUCCCUCUCUCAAUUCCUCCUUCCUUCAGUUGAUUCUUCCUUAGAUUAGUAUUUUAUAAGUUGGACUUUGUAAGUUUUCAAGGUUAUUUUCUUACUUUUCUUAUCUUUUUUUCUAGGAUUUUUUUUAUGUUUUUCUCUUACUUUUCUCUCUCUCUCUUGCCUUUUCUUUUCUUUCAUUUUCUAUUCUGCUUCUGCCCGGUCGGCAACAUAUAAAGGAAGGAAAAACUGAUUUGUUUUAUUUUUUUAAUGGCAAAUAAUAAUUUUACCCUUAAUGAGUCAUUUUGCUUUUUUUUGACGUUUUUUUUGUUAGCACUACCAAAAUCUGUUCAUUUUAAAAUUUAAACCAGAUUUUAUUCAAUAUAUUUUAAGAUUCCUUGUAAAAUUUCAGCUCAAUCUGAUGGUCAGAUUGAAAAUUACACUCAAUAAUGUAAAUUGGUCAAAUUAUGAUUUUGUUUUUUAUCAAAUUUCUGAAUUUUUCCAAAAAUUCUGAAAUUUUAACCCAAACUAAAGCAUCAUAUUAGAAGGCUCCACGUAAAUUUUCGGAAUUUUUUCAUGCCUCAAUUGAGAAUCAUAAAUUUUCUUUACAUAAAACUAGUACAAAAAUAUUAAUAAAAUCUUGACCUGAGCUAGAGCCCACCCUAGCCCAUUCAUGCCUCCGCCCUUGUUGGGAGGCAAGAAGUAACUUCGGAAGGUUAUGUAGAAGCUUUGCGUGCCAGAUUUAGAGACAAGAGUAUGGUUAUAUUGGAAGAUUGAUUAUAAGGAGAACUGUGUUAAAGUGAAAAAGUAUGACUUGCAGUUUUUUUUUUAAUGGAUGGAAAUUUUGAAGGAAUUAGGAAUUGGCAAAGUGUUCAAAUGGUGUGAUUCAUUUGGAAAUUAGAUGGAGUUUUCAUAAGUGAUGAGAGAUAUUGAUUUAGUUGAAGAUCAAGGAGUGGUUGUGGUAUGGGAUUUAGGGGAAAGUGAGUGGUUGUGACGAGGAAGAAUCGAUCAGUAGUAUUUGAAUGUGGCACACUGACAAAGAGUGAAGAAAUAAUAAGAAAACUAUUAGAGCUUCUCAAGUGUUUUAAUUUGGGAGUCGUUUUCACAGGCCAUAUUGUAAUGUUUUGAAAUUAAUAAGAUAGGAUAUUACAACAAAGCCCUUGGAGGCUUAAAAGUUGGAAUAAAUGAAUAAGGGGUAUUAUGGUAAUUGAACAAAAAUUGAUAAAUAUAAAUAGGAAGUAAAAAAAAAAAAGAAAGUGAUCUGAAAUUAAACCGUGAGAGAGAGAAGGAGAAAGAAGAAGAAGAGAAAAGAAGGGAAAAAGGAAGAGAUUGGAGGAAAUAAGUGAAAAAGGUAAGAUUUAGGUUGUUUAAUGUGUAUAAUAUGUUAAUUAAGCUUUAAUUUCAGUUUUUAUGAAUGUUAGGGUUUUGAGAAUUUGUGUUUGAUUUAAAUUGAUGAAUUAAAUUGAAGGUUAGGGGUUGAUUGUUGUGUUAAUUGAUGAUUUAGUUGAUUAUGGAAGAUUAUGAUGAUUUUGAGUUAUAGUUUUGUGUAAAUGGUGAAAUUGUGUUAGAAAUCAGGGGAGAACAGUGGGGUUUCUGUUAAAAUCUGGACUGGAGGUUGAAGAUGACGAAAAUUCAAUUUGGUCCCUCAAUUUCCGAAAAUUACAGUUUAGUCCCCGAACUUUGGAAAAUUACAAAUUGGUCCCUGGAGCAUAUUCCGAGAUUCUGAACAGAAUAACAUAUGAAUUAUGGACAUAAUUACUGUAUAGAUAAGAGAAUUUAACACUUUCAAUUUAGUCCUCCAAUUUGACAAAAAGUACGAUUUGACCCUAAAAAUUUAGUAAAAUUCCAGAAUGAUCCCUGAAGCAUAAUGAUACAUCCUGGACAGAAUUGAGGAUUAAUUAAGGUCAGAAUUUCAGUAUAUUCAUGGAUUUAUGACAAAUUUCAGUUUGGUCCUCCAUUUGACAAAAGUUACAAUUUGGCCCUAAAAAUAUGGAAAAAUUCCAGAUUAGUCCCUAGCUGUAAUAUUAGCUUUUGCAGAUUAGUUUGAUGAAUAAUUAAGGGUUAUUUAGUGAAUUAUUACCAAUUUUAUUAGUUGUUUUUAUUAUGGAUUAGAUUUCGGGAAAACCGUUAGAUUUUGGGUUUUUAAGAAAAUUGACUAGUUAGUUCAAAAAAAAAAUAUAGGGUUACGGAAUACACCCUUAGUUAAGUGUAUUAAAUAGGUUAAAUGUUCUUUCGAGUCGUUUUUGAAUAUGUCUCCUUUGUAUUCAGAUAAUCCUGAUAUUCUACCGGCAGGACGUCAGUAGAAUUUCCUUCGGUUUCAGCUUGUGUGUGUGUUUGCUUUUGAGUCAGGUGAGUGGAUAAUUUUCCAUAUGCAUGAGAAAUAUUAUAAAUAUUUGAUUUGUUAAUAUGAAUUGGAUCAUGCUUCUUGAUAAUAUAUAUGCUGAUUAUUAUCCUUGAUAUGAUAAAGCAUGAUCAAUUAUUGAAUCUGAUUUCUUGAUAUGAACCAAUAUGAUUUGACUUCUGAAUUGAUAGCUCCUCAUUUGAUGGAUGUCAUGAGUUGAGCUUUGAGAUAUGAAUAUGUUUGUUUGAUUAUGAUUAUGAACCUAUGGUAUGUCAGUCAGAAUACCCAUGCUAACAGGGUAGUGUUAGUCUUUGUGCACAUCGUAUCUGAACCCUAGUUGGUCGGGGGAGUCACCAACAUGUGUGGAUUGAUCAUCCCACAGUACGGAGCCUCAUGCUCAUUGCAUUUUGAUUUUCUGACAAGUUUUACCAUAUGAUAUUCUUGUUAUGGCCUAUUUGAUAAACCUGCGUAUAAGAACUAAAGCCAUACUUGUAUAUAUAUUUCUCAUUGCUAUAUUACCUCAUGUGUGUAUAUUGAACAUUAUCUACUCACUGAGUUGUUGAACUCACCCUCUCAUUAUUUAUCCUUUUCAGGCUUAUAGCUUGAUAGCAUGUCACUUUUGUUGAAUCUUCUGAACCUGCUUUUUGGUUGUAAUUUGUACCUUCCUUUUAUGUCAAGUUAGUGCUCCAAGACUAUGAAUAUAUAUGAACUCUUGUAUUAAGACAAUUGAAUUAUGUUAUAAAGUUAGUUUUGUUGUUACUGCUGCGUUGAACAACUCUGAUUGAGUUUUGAAGGAUAAGUUUGUAUGUAAAUUUGGGUUCGUAUAGGUACACGGAACCUUGGAGGGGAACCUUGCCUAUGUGCCGGUCAUGGAUCCGGGAUUCGGGUCGUGACACAUAUAGCUAUGAAGCUGGUGGAAAUAUGCAGGGAAAGGGCUGCAGGAGGGAAGAAUAUAAUUUUUCUUGGGAACUGAGGGAAGAGUUCAGCGAAUGAAGUUAGGAUGUGGAAAGAGAUGGAGCUUGUGAUGAUAAGAGAAGCUACGCAUAGUGAUUGGUGAUUACGAAAGUCGUGUGGAUUCAUAUCUAAAGAAGCUAUGAAGAAGGUAUCUUUGAAGGCACUUCCCUCCCUUUUCCUUGCAAAGUAGCUUGGAACUGAUGGAAAGAUGCAAAUUUAUUUGUGGAUCAGUUGAUGGGGUGCAAUGUGAUAUCCUCCUUCUUAAAGAUGUUCACACUAUGAGGUAUUUUUUAUUGGAUAUCCAACAGAAAAAAACUUGAUAUUGCUUGGUUUGUCUUCCAUGGAUAUUGAUAAAAAGGUGAUAUGCAUGCCUACUGGAAAAUGUACUUCUUCUUGCUGGGUCUGAAAUUCAAACUUACGUUCACUAGGGACCUUUCAAUAAUGUUGUUGAAGUGAACUGCUAGGUCAUUAAUCACAAGUCAAAAUAGGAGACUGCUGAUGGUGCAUCAGUUAGAGAUACCUUUGAUUCACAUAUUCAGGAUUCAGAGUUUUGGGCCUUUUACUUUGAUUAUAGAUGUACAGCUAUAAAAUAUUGUCUAAUUUUUAUUGAAUAGGUUUUAUUUAUGGUAUUAGGGCACCUAAGUUUCUUUCUCCGGUGACACACUUAUUGGUAAUGUUUGGUUGUGAUCUUGGUGUCAAAUAAUACCAACGAAAAGUGAGAAAGGGAAUCUUCUUUAAAUGGGAUUUGAGAAGGUUUAUGAUCACUCGAGUCAGGGAGGACCAUGAGAAAGUGAUGCAGGUAGCGUUAGAUGUUAUAUCGUACUGUGAAGAAAUUAGUUCCAAAAAGAAGAUAAUUUGCCUUGGUUUUAUUUGUCCAGACUGAAGUUUUCAAAGUGCUCUGUACAUGCAAUGAAGCUUUAGGUCUUACUUCAUCUUAUUGAGAGCAUGCUUUGGGCCAUCUCCUCCUUUUCUUUUUUUAAUUUUGUUGAAAUUUUUAAAUGAAUCAUGCCAAUGGCUUCUACUUUCUAUUUUAUUUUUAACACAAUUUAGAACAUUUUAGUAUUUUCUGCAUGACUCAAUUAAAUAUUUGGUUCCCAACUCAUUGACACUAGCAACUCUCGUACACACACGUGUGCUCAUAUGUGCCCACGCACACCUUACAAGGAACUGAACUGAUUAAUUAGUGUAUUAUUCAGAAUAUUAUGUUGGGAAAAAUAGUCUUGCUAAGUUACCCAGAGAUUAACUUGUGACUGUUUCAUUCUUCUCAUGUAUCCCACAUUUAGUGAUGAUGCUUACUCACUAUCUUUCCAGCUUACGAACAUAAUAUGGGGUGAGGCUGAAGAUAGUGAUGACCAUAUCGUGCCAUAUCCGGAGGCAAGUGAAGAUUAUUGCAAGAAAAAGGAAUCGAGUGAAGAAGCUAGCACCAUUAAAUCUAGUGAGCAGAAGGCACCUGGGGCUAAAGUUGAUACUGAUGGCAGAAAGCUGGAGAGCAUUUCGAAUGUUGACACAAGUGAAGGAACUUCUUCCUUAGGACUUGACAUGGACCGAUGGCCUAACUUGUCCUCACGUAAUGCUGCCAAAACUGAGCAGGAUUCUUUGGAAACUUCAAUCUCUAACAAUCUAACUGAGAUUACCAAACUCGAUUCAUCAGCAGGUGAUGAGAUUUCAAUUACAAGGAAAAAAUGUAGAUAGGGUGACGAGUUGCAUGAUGUUUUCAUAGCAUAGUAUCUUACAUGCUACUGUCUAUUCUAAUUCUUUUUUUAAAAAAACGCAGAGACAGAUCAUCUUGAUAAGGACACUGAGAUUUUUCAAAAUCCUCAUGAAGGUGAAGAGCAAGGUGAUUUUGCUGAUUAUGGCUGGGCUAGCAUUGGAAGCUUUGAUGAUCUUGAUCGAAUUUUUAGGUAAAGCACAGUUACCAUUUCUUACUUUCUGCACCUAAAUGAAAGAUGGUCAGCAGCACCCUGAUAUGGAAGCUUGUAUAUCUCAUUAUUCUGAUAAUUUGAACAAAUUCUUAUUACUGACUGUGAAGUGAAAGUUUCGCGAACAAAAUAAUUAUGCUCACUGUCUAUUUUCAUUUCAGAAGAAAAAAAUCAUGUAGUACAAGAGUGUUGUUGUGAAGGAAAAACAACCAGACUCUUUUAAUAAUUGUAGUUUCUUCUGUGUUGGAUCUAUAUCCUUUUCCAAACAAGUGCUGUCUGCUGAAAGCAACACUAACAAAAAAUGACUAGUUGUUUGAAAAUUUAUGGUUUUUGAUCCUUGGCUUAAUUUUGUUAAUUGGGAAAAGAACCUGAAGGAUGCCAGUUUUUAGCAGCACAAUAUCCUCAAUUACAAGUAUAAAUGGCAGAAAGAAUGUAAUAUAGCAGCACUGGAUUUGUAAGGAAUUGGUGAGCUUGUUCAAUUGUGGAAGGGCUUUCCUGCAUUUCUGUUCUUCACUAAUGUUCUUAUAUUUUAUCUUGAUUCUGUUGGAGAACAGUAAUAACCAUCUGACUCAAUAUCCUCACAAGUGGUGAUUUUGCAGCAAUGAUGACCCAAUAUUUGGCAAUGUAAAUCUUGGUAAUGCUGAUGAGCUAUGGUCUUCUUCAAAAUGUACAACUAACAACUAAUACCUCAAUAUAUUCUGAACAAUAGAAACCCUUCCGAUCAUAAGUUACAGCUAAAAACAAAAUAACAUUGAAUUUAUCCUUACAAACCAUGUACUGAAUUAAAAUACUAACUGUGCCUUAGUCACUCUCCCCUGCAGGGCUAGAUGGUUAAAACGUUGAUCUAUUCUAAGUAAUUUGUCUAUUUAUUAUAGUUCUGUGAUCAGAGUUACAGGCAAAAGAAGAUCUUGAAAGAUCGGGAAAAACUGGAAGAAAAAGGUGAACUGAAAUCAUACCAAGAUUUUUAUGGAAACUGGACUUCAUCUGGAAUCCCAGCCUCUCAACUUAAGGAUCCCAAAUUAUGCAAUCUUCUCCCCCUUCAAUUCUCAGCCAACAGAAGCAGCUACAGGGUUCCGAGCAGUUGCAGUACCAGCAGAUAUCCAAUCCAUUUGUGACCCCUUCUGCAUACGGGAGUAUUACAAAUCCAUAUUCUAUGUUAGUGAUACUGGCAGUACAAACAAUAGUUGCAGGGACUAACAGAGGAGCUGACCUUGAAGUAGAGGAUCUAAGUACACUUGCUUCAUUUGACCCAAACUCACCUAUUGAGCAAGACGAUUCCAAUACAGUCUCCCUGGCAGUUAAUGAUUAUUCAAUGGAGGACACAGUACUCUACAGGCUUCAAGAUAUUAUUUCAAAGGUAUGCUUCACGUACUAUUGCAUUCUUUCCCUGCUAAAUAAUUUGUGCUUGGUUACGAUUCCAAACCAAUGUUUUACAACAGUUGGAUGUCAGAAUUACAACAGUUGGCUCAAAGUGCAAUGCAAAGGCAUUAUGCUAGUGAUACUGGCAGUACAAACAAUAGUAGCAGGGAAGAACAAGUUGCUGCAAAAGAGGAAACCAGCAGUCAAGGAAGGUUGGUUAAGGCAAUGCAUUUCUAAUGCUUCUGUUUUCAAAUUUAAUCUAUCCUCUCUCUUUUUUAACAUUUUUGCUCUAUGGAAAUGUUAAAUUAGGAUCUUUUUAUGCCAUCACCAUUUUCUGUUUUCCAUUCUCAUUCUAGAAAUAAAUAUUGAAAACGGUAUCCUCUAUUUACAAUGGAGGAAUAGUGACUGAAACAAUUCAAUUAAGGCAGCGCUUGUUCUUAGAAGUAGAAGAAAAUCUAAACAGAAAAUUUUAGGGUCCUCUUUCACUGGAUUUCCUUAAAAACUUGACUGAAUUUGACCUUGUUGAUCAAAUAUGUAGUAGUUCGCUUCCACUGGUUCUGUUAUGAUUGUGAGUGCUGGUCAUCAUGUCUUGAUUUAGUUGAGAGAAGCUUUGGUAUUGUAUGUAGGCCAACCUAGGUAGAGGCAGAUAUUAAACUGACAUUUGUAGCUUUACCCUGGUGCAGCAUUCAUGAGUGCAGUGCAGCAAGUAGUCAUGAGUGACAAUUCAAAUAGCAUAAUAUUUAGUAGAGAUUUUCAUUUAAUUAGAAAAGGAAAUUUAAUUUUUCCAAUAUUAACAAAAUCUAUGCAAGUUUUCUGCAAUGUUGAUUCCAGUGAAUUUGUGCAUAAUCACCUUAAUCCGAAAAGAAGAGCUAAACACACACAUCCAAGUCUAAACGAGUGGCACAACAUACAUGAUAAAUUUUACUAGAUUUAACUAAGAGAGAGAAACAAAGAUUGUUCAACAAGUGCAAUAAGUUUAUUCAACGACAAAUAGAAGGAAAACAAGAUCUGUACAAAUUCACUGGAAUCAUCAAUGCAGAGAACUUGCACAACUUUAGAUAAACAGGGCAAAAUUAAAUUUCCCUUCUAAUUUAAUGAUCAUCUGUAGAUUCAUGAUACAUUACAUUUUAAACAAGAAAUUUAAGAACUCAAAUCAUCUUCUAAUCGGCUCAUCAAUGUCUAAAUGGGACACUUCCAGCCAAAACCAUAAGCUGUUUUGAUCUGAAACUCGAUUUUUUGUUGUAAGCGACAAUGUAAUUGUUUCUUGUUCCAAUGGGUUUGUUCCUUUACAUCUCGUCCUUCCCAUUUCAAAUCAUUCAAUUUGUUUGCACAAAAUUAUUAAUCAAGUCUUUAUCAAUUUGUUUAGAGUAUGGCAAUCUCAAACUUGCCUGUCAUUUUCCUCAUGGAUUUUAUGAGUAUACUGCAGGGUGGUUAAGAUGCCUGAGGUGGAAACAGAGACCAAUCCGGUAGACCGGACUGUGGCUCAUUUGCUGUUUCAUAGACCGAUGGAUAUUCCUGGGAAGCAUCCUGAUACACCUGAAUCACCUUUUUCAACUAAGCUCCCGUGUGAGCACAAGACAAUGGGCCUAGCAAAGCUGUCAACGGGAAGCCUGUCUGAGACUCCGAAAGGUAAACCAAACUUUUCGCAAAGGGGGUCUCGACUUUCUAGUCUCUUGACCAAUGCUCAGCCUGUAAGUCAGUGUAAAAGCAAUCCUUGCUUAGACGAUUCAGAGGAUGCAUCAAACAAUGGGCCUGCUGAUGAAGGAGCUAGGGAGGUUAAAGCCUCUCAAUGAGGUAAUUCCUACCUGAAUCUCUUCCAUGCUUGCAGUGACGAUUUACUAGUAAUGCCGAGGUUUUCUUUUAUUGUCAGCUCACUGGAUCAUCAUGAGGAAUAAACACCAGUAUUGAUGGGGAUUUGUAAAUGUCUUUAGCAGCGUAACCAUCAAGAAGUUAAUAUAGCUACGUAUCUACUGCAAAACAAUGAACUCUUUGCUGUGGGUUCUCAAGAUGAUGACUUUCUGUGCUUUAAUCCUUUCUGUUGAUUGUGCGUAAGGAUGAUGCUCCAAUAAUUAUUAGCAGAUUUGCAAGUGCCUACUCUCUCGAGUGAUAUUGGCCGCUUUCACUUGAUUCUGAAUUGUGAUUCCAAUACGCGGAUGAAUUUUAUAUUAUCUUUUCUUUUUAUAUCUAUAAAGAUCUUUGAUGGAAGUAAACUUUAAGAAAAGUUUUUUAAUCAAAGUUAAGUGAUAAUAAAAUAAAUAAAUCAAAAGUUUUUGGAUUUUGAAUUUUUGGAGAAGGGGAAUAGAUUAGAGAAAGAGGUGGGGAAAAGAUUUUGAAUUUUUGAAGAUGCGUAUAAGGAGAAAAGGAGAGAAUGGAGAUUUUAAAUUUUGAAUUUUGAUUUUGUCGCGUCAACAACGAAAAAUCUGUUGCAGAUUAUUUAAAUAUUUUUUAAUCCGUUUCAGCUCUGCUAGGCCCGUUGUCUUUUAAGAUGGACACUUGUUUUUUAAGGGUGGCGCUAGCAGUUCAAAAUCAGAAGCAUGUGAUGUUUAUUUGCCGCAGUUGAUAGAGGAACAAUAGUAGCAUUAAUUAUAGCAAAAAAGAUAUUGAAAUAGAAUGAUGAUUAUUAUUUAUGGAGAUGAAUGAGAGACAAUAGGAAGAAAAUUUGUAUUUCAACAUCAAACAAAUAAAAACAUACAACUUUCUAGGACAAUAUCUGUAUUUCAUUAAUCCAAACUUAUGAGCCGCCCUUGCUUGUAGAGGAAAAUUUGGAUCAGAAUGCUGCAAAGAAACAAUGGAGGAUUUAGACCAAGAGCAUGAAAAGGAUAUGUAAAAUACACAAAUAGCUACGUAAUGAUAUUUGAAAAACAAUCUUGUUUUGUGAAAAUGGGCAAUUGGUAAUACUGACAUGAAAAUGCAAAGGAUUAAUAAUGGUGGAGAAAUACAGAGUAACUGAGAAAGAACAUCAAAUGGAAAAGCUCACAAUGAGUCAAAGCUGAGGGAGCAAGCAAAUCAAUUUUAUCGUUCUGGCAAGAAGGAAGGGCGACAGAGCCUUCAUGAACUGUAAGUAGAAAGAUGGAUUUGGAUCCUGCCAAAAAUAAGCAUAGAAUUAAUAGUGGAACAUCACAAAUUUUAACUGAAAUUGCCUUUGAUUACUUAAAAGAAAAUAAACUAUUUAGUACCUCAAUAUAUUGGACGAUUGAAAGAAUGUGAUUUAUGUAUUAGCUCCUUUAAAAGCUCCGAAUAUGUAUGUAAGGAAUGUGAGAAAUCUUGGGUCAAUCUUCACCUUUCUCCCUUUCACAACUUUCACCUAGCAGAGGACACUUGCGAAUUCGAAGAGUAGAAAGGGAAGAGGGCAACCCUUCUUCUGGCAUUGACUCAAUCAGAGGGCAGUCCCAUAUAGUCAAUUCUUCAAGAGAGGUGAGGUGUUGAAGCCUUGGAAGAGAUUUCAGCAUGGGACAACUGUUAAUUAAAAGAGAAGAAAGGGAGGAGGGCAACCCUUCUUCUGGCAUUGACUCAAUCAGAGGGCAGUUACGUAUUUUCAAUAAUGUAAGAGAAGUUACGUAUUUUCAAUAAUGUAAGAGAGGUGAGGUGUUGAAGCCCCUUGUAGUCAAGAGAUUUCAGGUGUUUUAGGGAAUGGAUUUGAAGAGAUGUAAGACUUGAGGGCAGCAGCAUCUCUUCAGGGAAGGAUUCAACAUUUUCGUCCCAACCAAUAACAAAGCUUGAAAGAGAAGGGAGCAUUUGCAAGCCCCAUCGCAUGCGGCCAGCAAUGAGUUUGUUGCAAUCCAAAAUCACAAGUGAUUGUAAUGUGGAGGGAAAACCCCCUUCUGGACACAACUCAACUUCUGAACAAUCUCUUAUUUCCAAAUGCUUGAGGGAUGGGAGGGGGGAAUGCAUACUCUCAGGCAACUGCUUCAAGUUCCUGCAUUCUAUUAACUCAAGUCGUGUCAAGACUAGAGCAGGUAACCCUUCUUUGGGAAAUGAAACUAAUUUAGGGCACCCCUUGAUUUUCAAAGAAUGGAGAGAGUUGAGAUCAUUGAGAGGUCUUCCAUGUGCACAUAGUGAUUCGAGAUCUGGACAGCCUGAGAUAGAAAGAGUAUAUAACUUGGGGAACAAGUCCAGCGCGACGCAUUUGAGAGAAGCGCAGUACUCGAUUGCAAUUGAGCUUAAAUCAGAACAACCCAUUUGCUCGGGUAGGGACUCUAGGGAGUGGAAUUCAGAAAGCGAGAUAUCGAGCAGCCUAGGAAUCUUAGGAGGUGGAGUCGCGAGCUGCACACAUCCACUAAUAACAAGAUUUGUUACACGUGGAAGGUGGUGACUAGGUAGGGCCUUUGCAAGGUUGGGGCAUUCUUCGAUGAAAAGCUCUUCAAGAAGAGGGAAGGCUUCCCGGCUGCCUUCGUUUGAAAUCCACUCGCGCCACUCUGGCAUCCUUUUAAAAGAUAAUAUUUUGAGGGAUUUAAAUGGCUUCUCCGUAGCAGUACAAUUCCCAUAGAACUGGGAGCUCACAGUGACAACUUUAUCGAAUGCUUGAAUUGAGAGAUGCUCUAAAGAAGCUAAUUGCCCGAGCGGUGGUAAGGAGGUGCAGUUUUUACAUCCAAUGAGCUGCAAGGACACUAUAUUUGUGAAAGAGCGCUCUCCUACCCAAUUCGGAAACUCGACACCUCCAUAACCAUCAAUCCGAAGAUCCUUCACAUUUGUAUUUGGCUCUAAUUUCUCAAGCGUGCUUUUUACGUGUUGCGGGUCAGGAGUGUCACCAUCCCAUGUAAACCUCAGCUUAUCAAGGUGCUUUUUACCUUUCAAAUUUGCCUCAGCAGCAUCCUGAGAAUCCACCACGUUUUGAAGGUUCUGAAUAUGAAAAUCUCCCCGUAGAUGUCGUAGCUUUCCCAAUUCUUUAAUGCUAGUCUCACUGUGUCUUCCCACGAGAAAGAAAGCCAACGUUUGGAGCUUUGACAGUUGACCUAUAUGUGGUGGCAUCUCUUUCAAAGGCGUGUAUGAGAUGUUAAGAUACCGCAAGUUGAUUAACCUUUCCAGAGAUUCAGGCAACCUUUCGAUCCUUGUUCCUAGAAGAUCCAGAUGCCGUAAGUGCUUCAAAUUUCCAAGAUCAGGUAGACUAGCAAGUUCUUUGCACCUCACCAAGAUCAACGUUUGCAAAUUGAGAAGAGCACUCACUUCUUCAGGCAACGUUACUAAACGUGACCAGGAGAAAUCCAAAUACCGCAAAUGCUUCAACUUGCUAGUUGAACAUAACAACGUAGAUGCAACUCUACAAUUAGUCAUGAAUAGCACUCGUAGGCGACAAUGUGUUUGAAAGAUCUCCUUAUAAAAUUCGGGAGGACACUCCACAUAGCGUCCAGUUCGGAAUGUGCGUAGAUGUUGGGCUUCACGGAUGUUUUCGAAGUUUGUGCUUGAAAAACGGCAUCCCGUAUCUACGAGUGAUAAAUGUCGAGUCCUUCUGGUGGACUUGGAAGAAGUAUUUUCCCCCAACCUGGAGCUGAAGCAAAACUGACCGGACACAUGGGUAGCCAAGUCAUGCAUGAGAUCGUGCAUCACAAAUGAUGAGCUUGAUUGCUGGAAAAACGACCUUGACAAGAGAUCAUCAAAGUACUCAGCACCUGUCUUUUCCAUCUCAUCUGCGGAGCUGACUAAGAAGCCCUCUGCCAUCCACAGGAGCACUAAUUCAUCCUUUUUAAAUUCAUAGUCUUUUGGAAAUAUGGCACAAUAAGCAAAACACUGCUUCAGAUGUGACUGGAGAUAAUGAUAACUUAAUCUCAAGGCUGGGAGGAUAUUGUCUUUGGUUAAAUCCCAUAGAUUGCUUUCCAAUAACUUCUCCCACUCCUCGACAUCUCUUUUGGUGCGUAGCAGACCUCCGAGUGUUACUGCAGCUAGAGGAAGGCCUUUACACUUUCUCGCUAUUGCUCUACCAAUUUGUAGCAACUCUUCAUGAGCGGUGGGAUCUUCACCACGAAAUGCAUGUCUGGCAAACAAGGACCAGCAGUAUUCUUCCGUCAAUUCUUUUAGAUGAUGAGUUGGAACAGUUUGCAUGGCUGAUGCUACACUUUCAUUGCGUGUUGUGACAAGAAUCUUACUCCCUUGUGCUCCGAACUUCAGGGGGGUAAGCAACUUGACCCACUCAGCAUAAUCUUCAUUCCAAACGUCAUCUAAAACAAGCAAGAAUUUAUUUCCCUGCAAUCUCUCCUUCAACUGAAGCUGGAGCAUAUCCAGACUAUCAGAAUCAGGCUUUGAACGGAACGCCUCAAGGAUAACCUUGGUUAACUUCAAAAUACUAAAAUCUUCUGAAACACAAACCCAGGCUUUGAGAGUACCGAACCGCUCUUGUACUUCGCUGCGAUUGUAUACAUGCUGAGCAAGCGUGGUUUUACCAACCCCGCCCAUUCCCCUUAUGGGGACGAUACCUAGGUUUUCUCCAUUUGCAACCUCUGAUAGAAGCAACUUCAGUAUUGCUUCCCUGUCCUCAUCUCUACCAUAAACACCAGAUUCAUCCACGAGAGAAGCUGUUGGUGUUCUAUGCGAUGAUGGAUUUUCUACAUUGCGGAUGUUCAAACGAAGGGCUGCCAUUCGUUCAACUAAGGGAUCUAGAUCCCGCAAGAGGACUUCUAAUUUUUUUUCGAUCUCUCCCAACCCCAAUAUUUCAAGUGGGUUAAUGAAAGAAAGAAGCUUCUGCGUCUGACCUGUGAAGGUUUGAUCUUCAGCUUCCAACUCCUGCCGUAGAGCUUCAUAUGCAAUCUCAUCCAAGAAGUCGUCGGCUUUAUAGACAGCGUCUUUAAGCAGGUCCAGCCAAUCCCGCACAGCUCUGUUUGUUAUCUGCUUCUCCUCAGCAUCGUCAAGCACCACCCUGAGAGAUGUCAUUGCUGUCUCCAACCUCGUUAGCAGCCUAUCGUUGACUUUUUGGCCUCUGAAGAAGGCGACCACCUGGGGAGAGGCCAUCCUGUAGAAACCAAACAUUAAGGAAAGAAGAAAGAAAAGCCCCUCCUACUAAAGCCCCGGCCAUGGUUUCUCCUCUUUGCAAAGUAACCAAGGAAGAGUAAACAAACAAGAAGAAGAAGAAGAAGAAUAGGGGAUUUUGUUCAGGUGACAGAAGGGGAAAGGAUUUGUGUAAAGAACUGGCCAAAGCUUUUUCUUUCUCGGCUCUUUAACCCAACUUGUUCAUAAAGCAUCUCUAAAGGGAAAUGUUAUUUGAAGGAGGUAAAUUGAUAAAAUAAUAUUUUGAAUAGUAUAAAUAUAGUUUUUUUUAUUAUGUAUAUUUUAAUGGAAAAAAGUCAUUUGAAAAGCCAAUUCUAUUAGAGUAGAAUAAAGAAGUGUUUUAUUUUUUUUUAUGAUUUUAAUGUUAUUUUUUUUUCACAUGGCUAGAUUUAAUUGGUUUAUUCUUUUGUUGGCCUCACUUGAUUAAUUUUGACUCUUUUAAGAGAUAUGUAGAAAUAGUAUUUGUGGAAGAGAAGAGGCAUUUUAGCAUUUUGUUUGGUUUUUUUCUUGGAGUGUGCAAAACAAGCCAAGAAAAACUAAAAUAUUAAUUUUUUAUUUUUAGCUAUUCAUUUAGCUUCUCCCUCUGCUUAGGAAUCCAUUUAAGUGUUCACUGUUGUUUCUGAUUGUUUUUUAUUUAAAAUAUAUUAAAAUAUUUUUUAUUAUUUUAAAUAAUAACACAUUAAAAUAUUUAAAAAUACUAAAAAUAUAUUAAUUUAAAAUUAAAAAUAUAUUUUUUUUUUAAAUCACUGAUACAAGCUGCAACUGAAACGAUAUUCCAUCUUUCUUCUUUUUUAAAAUUUUACUCAGUUUGUCUUUGAUUUAUUUCCCUAUAAAUUACAUCUUUUAAAAAAAGGGGUUUGAUUGGAAAAACUUCACAAGAUGCGAAGCUUUUCACGUGAUAUGAUAAUGCAGCGGAAGACUUCACUUUAUUUCUUUUAUCUUCUUCCUUCUAUCACUUUUCAUUGAUAAAUUAAAUAAAUAAAUCAUAAAUUAUACUUUAUAUUAUUAUAUUGUAUACAAUUAACUCGCAGGCUUGGCAAAUUAAGCCAGACUAGAUGUUUUUUGAAUUAAUUUUUUUUGAAUUCUAUUAUUUAAUAUUAUAUUUUAUUAAAAUUUAAGUUUCAUGAUUUGUUUUGAUUUAUUUUUAUUAGGUUAUCUUGACCUCCUAAUCUAAGAAUAUUGUUUAACAGGUUGACUCGGGUUGACCUAAAUAUUUUUUGUGUUAUUUUUAAUUUAAAUUUCUAGAAAUUGCAUCGUUCACGUUGGAUUUGAUACUUUUUAAUUUAUUUUUAUUUACUCUUUAAGAGGUUAUCUCAGUCUUGUAAUUAGAGUCACAUAUUUGAUGACUUAAAUUAGGUCAUUGUUUUAUUAUUUUUUUAUAAGAUUAUCUCGAUCUCAUGACGAGUUAUGAGUUUGAUGGAUUGAUUUGAGUUAUUUUUAUGUUUUUUUUUUAAAUUGAUUUUUUUUAAUCUUAUCCUUCCAUGCUUUAUUUGUUUUAAAUUUAUCUUUUAAUAUUUGAUUGGUUGAGAAUUAGACUUUAUAAUUUAUUUUCUAUAGAGUUAUCAUAGUCUCACAACUCGGGUUAUAAAUUUAACAAGUUAACUUGGGUUGAUCAAAAUCAAUCUAAUUUGUUGUUAUCUUAAUAUUAAAAAAAACAUAUCAUCUUGAAAAUUUUUUGAGUUAAAUUAUAUUUUUACUCGUUAUCUAGGUUGUUUUUUAAACUGCAAAUUCAAUCAAGUCACAUGAAAUAAAUCACCAUAUAAUUUUAAAAACAUUUACUGGAAUAAAUUAAAACAUUCACAAUUUGAAUAUUUUUAAGAAAACUUUGACUCGUAUUCAAGUAAAUAAUCCAAUUUUAAAUUAGAUAGCGUACAUUACUUUCAAUAUUUUAAGGAACUCAUUAAACAUUUAAAAUUAUUAAUCUCUCUUGUAUUAAAAACAAUUACACAAAACUUGAAGCUUUGCAUAAUAUUUGCUUAAUUCUAAAAGAAUGGUGGAAGGAAUCAUUAAAAGAUAAUUGAAUUCUUAAAUAUCAAUAGUUUUAUAUAAAUAUAUAUGUGCUUUUUUAAAAAAAUACAUAGACAACCAACAUACUACCCUUCAUAAAAAUAAAAUAAAAAGAUAUUGUUAAAUAUAGUAUAGUACUUUUGACAGCAAAACCGUGCUUGGUUUUUACCGUGUCCACGUGUUUGUGGUGCAGCGAGAGAGAGAGCAUAGGAAAGUAACAAACUUCACAAAAGUCAAUAGGAAUAAUUUGAUUGGUGGUUGAAGUCUCUCUGCUCCUCAUUAUUUGUUUUAAUUUUUUUUUUUAGGUUAUAUAAUACUCAUUGACGAGUAAUAAUAUUUAAUGGGUUAAACUGCAUUGAUCUAACUUAUUUUUUAUAUUAUUUUUUUAAUAUUUUUUUUAUUAAUUACAUUGUUCAAUACUGAGUUUUACAUGAUUAAAUAAAGAUUAAAUUUUAUAAUUUAUUUUUUGUAAAAUUAUCUUGGUUUGAUAAUCAAAUCAUGAAUUUAAUAAAUUAAAUUUGAUUAUUUUUUAUUUGUUAAUAAAAUUAUCUCGAUUUAGUAACGAACUAGUUACAUGCCCCGCGCGAUUUCAUAGGUUAAUUAUUUUUUAUAUUUUAAAAAAAGCCAAGAUCUAAAAGUGUUAGGUUUUUUUGCAAAAUUAUACUCAAGAGUCUUAGGUUUGGUCGUAACGCCUGACCCAACAGUAGUAUUUAUAAUAUUAAUAAUAAAAUUAAACUUGGGUUAACUCUUAGCAUAAAAGUGUUUGAACUGCAAUACCAGACCAAUAGCAUUGGACGUGGGUCUAGCUGCAAGGUCGUGUCAUAAAAAUAUGAUAAUUAAAUAGAUUAGUUAGAAAGAAAAAAAACAAACAGGAAGAAAAAAACUAACGAAGAAAAAGAAAAAAAAUAUGAAUUAACUGGGUUAACCCUUCAAACCAAGUUAAUCAAUCAUACCUUAAAUUCGCAUCGUGAAAGUUUGAUAAUUAAAAACGAAAAAAAAAUUAAUGGGUUAACCCAGAAUUAACUAGGCUAACUCGUCAAACCAGUUUAACCUGUCAAACCCGGAAUCCAUGUCAUGAAAGUUUGAUAACUAGAUAGAAAAAAAAAAUUAACAUUAACAAUUUAAAUUAAACGAAAAAAUUUAAUUAAAAAAAAGAAAAAAAAAACAAAAUGCAUCAGCAUUUUUACUAUAGACUGCAAUGUGCAGUCCAUAGUCAAAGACAUCAGCAUUUUCACUAUAGACUGCAAUGUGCAGUCCAUAGUCAAGGACAUAAAAACAACAAAAAAAAUAAAAAGAAAAAUUAAAGGUAUCAGCCGAGAACUACUUAGAAAUUUUUUUAAUAUUAAUAAACUAAAAUAAAUAAAUAAAAUUAAUUAAAAAGAAAAAAAAACCUCUAAAAAUAAAAAUAAAACACUAAAUAGAAAGAAAUUUAACAUUAACAAACUAAAUUAAAUAAAAAUAAUAAUUAAAAAGAAAAAAAAAUAAAUUCCAGGUUAACUCGUCAAACCAAGUUAACUCGUUAAACCCGAGAUCCGUGUCAUGAAUUAAACGAACAAAAUUAAUUAAAAAGAGAAAAAAAAAACAAUCUGGGUUAACUCGUCAAACUAUGUUAACCUGUUAAAUCCAGGAUCUGUGUCAUGAAAAUCUGAUAACUAAAUAAAAAAAAUUAACAUUAACAAACUAAAUUAAACAAAAAAAAUUUAUGAAAAAAGAAAAGAAAUGACAGGUCAACCCAAAAUUAACUGGGUUCACCCGUGAAACCAGGUUAACCCGUGAAACUCGGGAUAUGUGUCAUGAAAAUCUGAUAACUAAAUAGAAAGAAAUUUAGCAUUAAUAAACUAAACUAAACAAAAAAAUUAAUUAAAAAGAAAAAAAAGCAAAAAAAUAAAAUUCUGGAUUAACUUGUCAAACCAGGUUAACCCGUUAAAUCUGGAAAACGUGUCAUGAAAGUAUGAUAACUAAAUAAAAAAUUUAACAAUAAUAAACUAAAUUAAACAAAAAAUUUUUGUUAAAAGAAAGAAGCAAAAAAAAUAAUCCCGGAAGGCAUAAAAAAACAGCUAAAAAAAAUAAGACAACUUAAAAAAAAAAAACCAUAAAGCAUCAGUGUUUUACUGUGGACUGCAUAGAGGAAAAAAAAGCACAAAAAAAAUAUUUUCGGGUUAACUUGUCAAACCAGGUUAACCCGUUAAAUCUGGAAAACGUGUCAUAAAAAUCUGAUAACUAAAUAAAAAAAAUUAAAAUUAGUUAACUAAAUUAAAUAUAAAAAAAUAUUAAUAAAAAAAACAAAGAAACAAAAAAAAAUAAUCUUGAAAGGCAUAAAAAAAAUAGCUAAAAAAUUAAAACAACUUAAAAAAAAAUCUAAAGUAUUAGGAAUUAGUAUUUUACUAUAAACUGCACUAUGCAGUCAUCGCUAAAACACUACUCGUUUUAGUAUAUGUUACAAUUCCAAUACAAUAAGUGUUUUAUUUUUGUGUUUUUAAAUUGAAUACUAUUCUGAAUGUGCUUGUGUAUGCGUGAACUACGCGUGCCAGGAAAGUGGAGUUAGGUCCCACAUCUUACUCGGUCUGUCCUUGCUUUAUUUGACAAGAGAUCCCAUCGGUUGAAAAAGGAGGUUUGAUUGUAAUAACUUUUAUUAUAUAAUCUUUAUUUUCACGUGAUGUGCAAAUAAUACAGAAGAAGACUUCACUUUAUUUCUUCUCUCCUUUUCUUUUAUCACUUUUAUUUCAUUGAUAAAUAGAUAAAUAAGUUAUAAAUUAGCUGAUGACCAUUGCUAUGAAUAUUAUAAAAACUUCAUUACACAUUCUAGAAUGUUGCGUGGUAUUUGUUUAACUCUAAAAGAAUUGUGGAGCAAGUUAUAAUAAAAAAAUCAUUAUAUUAGAAAUUACAGUUGAAUUGCGAAAAUAAAAAUAUCCUUAAUCAGUAUUAAAGAUACUGAUUGUUUGCUUUGAAUAACAAGAUGCAGUUCAACAGGAUUAGGUCUUAUUGGUUUUAUCUUCCACCUGUAAAAAUGAUCUUGUUUUUCAUGUAGAUGGAUCAUUUUAUUCCAAAACUUCUUUAUAAAUAUAAUUAUUAAACUUCAUUGAUUAAUGUUUUUUUAAUUAAAAAAUAGUUAAGAACACAACUUAAAAACAUGUUCAUCGAUCAAAUGUGUUUGUUUUUUAGCAGUUUUUUCUUUUUUAAUGCAGAUAACAAAAACAAGAUAUUUGAUUAUAUGUGAAUUUGACAGCACAACCGUGUUUAUGGUGCAAAGAGAGAAAGAGCGAAGGAAAGUGACAAAGAGCACAAAAAGUUAAUAAAAAUAAUUUGAUCGGUGGUUGAAGUCUCUCUAUCCAGUGUCAGCAACAUAGCUGGGACCACCACAGAAAAAUAUACAGAACUCGCAAAAGCCUUGUGUCUCACCAUAAAGAAGAAAAGAGAAAAAACACCCAAUCCAGCUAGAAAGCACGGGAUGGAAAUUGAAAGCCAGUGAUAAUUGGGACUCACCAUAAAGAUCAGAUUUUAAUAUUAUUUUAAAUUUCAUUAUUUAUAAUAUGUGUAAUCUAUAUUUACAUGAAUUUUUUCAUAUGAAAUAUUAAAAAUUUAAAUUUUUUUUAAUUUUUUACAGGUUGACCCGAGUUGACCCUUGAAACCCGAGACCCGGCCCCUUGGAAUAUAGAUUACACAUAUGAAAUAUGUGUAAUCUAUAUUUACAUGGAUUUUUUCAUAUGAAAUAUUAAAAAUUUAAAUUUUUUUUAAUUUUUUACGGGUUGACCCGAGUUGACCCUUGAAACCCGAGACCCGGCCCCUUGGCCGGGUCAACCCCGAGCCGGGUUUAAUAACUAUGGUGUCAACAACAUAGUUGGGACCAACACAGAAAUUUCGUAGUUGGUUCCUACUUUUCUCAAGUACAUCCCUCUUACAUCAAUAUUCCAUUUCCCACGAAAUUUUUUUAAUAUUAAUAAUAUUAAACUUAUUUUUUAUUCUAUUAACUUUAUAUGUGUAAUAGACUAACCCAGUUAAUUUUUAUUUAUUUUUAAUUAAUUUUUAUAAAAUUAUAUUAUUUAAUAUUAUAUUUUAUUCGAGAAUUAAACUUUAUAUUUUAUUUUAUAAAUUAUUUAGAUCUCAUCACCUAUAAAUAAUGCUUAACAAAUUAAACGGGGUUGAUCUAACUUAAUUUUUAUAUUAUUUUUUUAAUAAUUAUUUUUUAUAAAUCAUAUUAUUUAAAAUUAUGUUUGAUAUUGUUGAACGAAAAUUGUAUUUUAUAAUUUAUUUUUAUUUAUUUUUUAUAAAAUUAUUUUUAUUUCAUAAGCAUAAGCAUGAUUUUAUAAGUUAAAUUAAAUUAUUUUUUAACUUUUUUAAUGAGGGUUUAAUUAUAAGUUAUUGAGUUAUACAUAUAUAACUCAUAUAAUCUUUCUUUAAUUUAGAAGUUGCAAAUGUAUUUUGUUUGCAGUUUCUUCUUCUCUUUACCCAGGAUCAUGGGUCAAUACACUAGAUUGGAAUAACUUUUAUUAUAUGCCCAAUAUAAUCUUUCUUUUCACAUGAUGUGCUAAUAAUGUAGAAGAAGACUUCACUUUAUUUUUUCUUUUGUACAUAGUUAUUAAACUCAGACUAACCUAGUGUAUUGACCCAUGAUCCAGAGACUACACUGGUCAGGUUUUGUCAAAAGAUUGACCAAUGCAACUACCUAGUCAACCGGCCGGUGACCCGAGCGAACCUGUACGAGACCCGGUUUUUUAUUAAAUGGGAGAUUUUAAACACAUUAGUAUAUAUACACUUUAUGUUCCAAAAAAAAAAUUAUGUUUUUUCAAUAUGGGAUAAAAAACUUUUUGGUUUAAAUAUUUCAACUUAAAAUGAUAACAUAAUAUCUUUUUAAUGUGAGAUUUAAAACCUUUUCGUAUAUAUACUAUAUAUUCGCAAGAAAAAAAUUAUGUUUUUUCAAUGUGAAAUUUAAAACCCAUUAAUAUAUACACUAUAUGUUCCCAAGAAAAAAGUUAUUUUUUCAAUGUGGGAUAAAAAACGUUUUUGGUUUAAAUACUUCAAUUUAAAAGGUUAACAUAGUAUCUUUUUAAUGUACGGUAAAAAACUUUUUAAAAUAUAUUUUUAAACUUUAUUAUUUACAAUAAGAAUAGCCUAUAUUUAUAUGGGUUUUUUUUCUCAAUUUUUACAUAUGAAAUAUUAAAACUUUAAAUAUAUAUUUUUAAUUUUUCCGGAUUAAUCUAAGUUAACCCAUAAAACUUGGGACCCGACUCCCGGACUGGGUUUAAUAACUAUGCUUCUAUCACUUUUCAUUGAUAAAGUAGAUGAAUAAAUUAUAAAUUAACUGGUGACCAUUACUAUGAAUAUUGUAAAAACUUCAUUGCACAUUCUAGAAUGUUGCUUAGUAUUUGUUUAACUCAAAAAGAUUUGUUGAGCAAAUUAUAUAUAAAAAAUUAUUUUAUUAUUUAAAGACUAGUAAUUUUAGAUAAAUGGAUGCGAGUUUUUCAAAAAAAUAUAAAAACAAUCAAUAUAGUAACUCUUCACAGUAAAUGAAAUUAUUAUAAGACAUAAUUGAUUUUUAUCUUCCACCGUUUGACCCUUUACCUUUUAUAUAUAUAUAUAUAUAUAUAUAUAGUUUUUUAACCGUGUCCGUGAUUUGAUUCGACAGGAAGCUAUCAAAUUCAAAUUCUGACAUGAACAAAUUUAAAAUUAAACUAGAAAAAUAUUGAUACGGUGAAAUUAUAUUUACCUUAUUAGAAAUAAUCUUAUUAUUAGAAAAAACCUGAUCUAAACCUAGUUAAAUCAACAUAAAAAGAAUUUAUUUUAUUUUAAAAAAUAAACAAAUAUUAUUUUAAUAAAAUAUUGGUAAAAGACCUAUAAUUUAAUUCAAUAACCCUGUCUAUUCGAUGGCAUUAUACCUCCAAGACAUAUUCCAAGUAAUCAAAUUAUAUGAGAAGCAUGUGCUUUGGUUAUGGUAAUUUUUUUUUCCGGUGCAAGAUAUGGGUUAUAAUUAAUAAAUAGUGACACGAUUGUUGAGAUCAAGUUAAAAUAGGUUUGAUGAUAACUGGAUCCUUGUUUUACACUAAUGUGUUUGGGUUUGAUCGUUUUAUUUAACUUUGUUGGUGCUUAUACUGGUUACCAUAGUGUUUUAUUGUAAGUCUAACAUAUAAACUUGAAAGAAUUGGCCCAGUACUUGAUUAGGAAAUGGUUGUUUCAUGCAUGAAUCUUUAAGGUUGCCUUUGGUUAAAUAUUACUAAAUAAAAACGAUAGACAUUGAAAUGAUAAAAACACGUUUGCUCAAGGAGAUGAAAAUGAAGAUAUAAAAUAAAUAUGUAUUAAUUAAGACGGAUUCUUGUAUUUUCAAGAUAUAAAGUACAUAAAAACAUGUCUGUUUCAAUUUUUUCUGUGUUGAGAUUAAAAUAAAAUGAAUUUAGCUUUAAUUAAUAUACCCAAAUUCUUUUAUGCUGAAUCCUCGAACCGUGCCUGAUUUCAAAGAAUAAUAACAGUUCUGCACAAAAUUACCGAUGAUAAUAAAGCAAAUUAACAAGUCACUUGCACCUACUCAAAGAUGUAAAGGAACCAACGAGGAAAAGGGUAGGAAAGGAGCCUGAAGAGUUUACCAUGGAGUGCUAAACAGCUAAUGUACAUUAAUCAAUCAAGUGGAUGACUUUUAGCCUACCAGAAUUGACUACAACAGUUGGUUGUUAAUGCAGCGUGACAAUCCCAGCUCUUUGAUAAACAUCCUCACAUUUUCGAGACUGAUUAUCCCUAAGUUAAAUAAACAGAAAAAGAGAGAAUAAUUAUCCUAUAAAAAAAAACGUAACAGGUAAAGAUCAUGCUACACUAUCUGAAAUACCCAUAUCAUCCCGCAGAAAGUUGGUGGCAAUUACGCUCAAACUGAUGAAAAGGUACCAAAUCAAGGCCUAUAUAAAUUAACAUUUGAAAUGUAAUAAUAAACAACGCUAAAUAUAAAAAAAUAUAAAUUAUUUGAGAAAAUAAAUAAUUUUUUCCUUAUCACCUAGAAAGUACAAUAUCACGCAUCAACAACAAAUUAAAAUAACAUCGGCACUAUAAUCUUAAAAAAAAUGGGAAAGGUUUAAGAGUUGUUUAAAAAUAUAAUUAUAAUUGUUUUUUAAAGUGUUUUUUAUUCAGAAAAAUAUUAAAAUAAUAUUUUUUAUUUUAAAAAAUUAUUUUUUUAAUUUUUAUUUCAAAAUAUCUAAAAAUAUAUAAAAAAUUAAUUUAAAGUAAAAAAAUAUAUUUUAAAAAAACUUUUAAAAUAUAAAAAUAAAAAAUGAUUAACAGCUAUACUCUUUUCUGGAGGCACUGGAACAGGAAUCUCAAAUUAAUUUGAGUGUGAUAGACGGACACUGGUUGGGAUUUGUUCUGGUGGACGGGUUCACGUCCAGCCAUUGUAGUAAAUCAACACCGAGCAAGGUAUCGAUCCCGUAAGAUCCGUUAUGGCAUGAUCUUCCACAAGCAAGAAACAACCAUGAAAUAAAAUAAUACAAGAGUAGGUUAACUGGGGGCGUGGCUCAGUGGUGUUGGGAGCAACUUUCCUUCCUUCGAGUUCCAGUGGGAGCUGGAAAGUUUGCUCCUUUCCUGUUUCUGGUCCUCCCCCAUGUUAUCAAAAAAAAAGAAAAAAAGAAACAACCAUGAAAUAAAAUAAUACAAGAGUAGGUUAACUGGAUAUGUUUAAGAUUUGUAAAAUUAAUUAAAAUAGAAGCAAACCGACAGUAAAACCACGCUAAUAAAAAAAAAAACAACAACCAUGAAAUCGAUCAUGUGGCUCCCAUUGCCCCUUCCCCCAUCAAUCAGCAAUCAUGCCAUGCCUACGAUCAAGCUAUGAUUGAAAGAAAAAACACAAUAACAGCUGAUGUCACAGCGGGGUCCCAUACAAAAUCAUUCUAAUCACCCUACUCGCGUGGCUUGUGAUAUCGAUAAAACAGCACAACCACCGGUGGUGGAACGACCAUUAUUUUUUUCGAGAGUUUUGUAUUGUGGGAAAGGUAUCUUUCUAUUAUGGAGACAAUUAAAAAAUUGAUUUAAAAUAAAAAACAAUAAAAAAUUCUUAAAAGCUCUUUUAAAAUACGAAAACGACAACUUUGACAGCAAAACCGUGCUUAGUUUCUCCUUUUAAAAUACCAAGUGAUUGUGGUGCAAAGAGAGAAUGAGCGAAGGAAAGUGCCAAACUGCACAGAAAGUCAAUAAGAAUAAUUUGAUUGGUGGUUGAAUAAGUCUCUCUGUACACCAGAACAACGUGGAUCGGCACAUAAACUUCUUCGAGUCCGUUUGUCUACGCAGCCGUAGCCGUUUGGUAAUAACAAAAACUCGAUUUACUGCGCAUGGGACCCACACAACUUUUGCGUUUAAAACGCUGAAAAUAAAAAACCUACUUUUCGUCUACUGUAGCUGAUAAAUAAUAACGAACAGUGCAAUUCACUGCACUAUUCACAAGUGAAUUGCACUGUUCACGCGCACAAUGCAAUUCACUUGUACUUUUGUUUUUUUUUUUAAAAAACUAGUUUAGAGAAUUAAAUUUAUUUGCGAUGUGAACAAUAUUUUUUUUUCGAAAAACUAGUAUAGAGUCAAUUAAAUUUACUCGCACAAUAAUAUUAAUUUUAUAUCUGAUAAUAUUUUAUCUAAUUUUAUUACACGCUUAAAAAAUUAUAAAAAAUAUAGUUCUUAUCGGAUGAAUUUUGUACGUAAUGAAAUUAUAAAUAGUUUAAUGGAAUAAUAACAAAUCUUUUAUAUAAAAUAUUUUUUUUUUCAUGAUGUAAUAGGAGUAAUUAAUUUUACAAUAUUUAAAUUUAAAACCAUCAAUAUUAAAAUAUAUUUUUUAAAAUUAUUUUAUAAUCUCAAUUUCAAAAACAUUUUUAACGAAACACAUUAAACUACUUUUUCUUUAAUCUCAAUUUCAACCACAGUUUUAAUUAAACAUCUAUUUUUUCAAACUAACCUCAACUAAAAAUAUUUUUUAUAAAAUAUUUUUUUUCAAAUCACAACCACAACAGUUACAGGAAUACCAAACACACUCUUCAUCGGACAUCAACCCAUUUCCCAUGAAACAAUGAAGACAAACACUCUAUUUUAAACAACAAAAACGUUGCUGUUUCUCUUCGUACUGGAGACCAGCUAUCUUCCACUCCUGACAACGUGUCACCAUCCCUUGAGUUAUUAGAUUUCAGCCGUUGAUUUGGAUCAUGGUCUUUUAAAAUUACGCUUCCCUGUGUGUAGAUCCAAAGCUCGUUACAGCCUCAGUUUGCAGGCCCAAUAGAAAUUUCCUAGAUCCAGAGGGUUCCUACUUCUUCUUUUUUAUUUCGCUGUCAGGUAAUUAAUUAUACCACAAGUUCUAAUUAAAUAUAGAUAUUAUUUAGUUGGGGGUACUCAUUGUUGAAAACUCGGAGUUUAAGAUGCAGUAGGAUUAUCUGUUUGUGAUAUAAUAUUGUUUGUUUUUUUUAAUAUGUUUUAAAAAUAUAUUUUACUUCAAAAUAUAUUAAUUUUUUUUAUUUAUAUAAAUGUUAUUCCAAAAUAUAGCAAAGUUGUUAAAUUUGAUGAUGAGUUAAUAAAUGGAACUCAUAAUCUAAAGUCUAACCUAGAUCAUAUUUAAAAUUCAACUAGAAAAAACAUUAAUAUGAUAAAAAAAACUAUUUGACUCAACUAGAUUCUUAAUUACCCAAUUGUACUGAUAAAAUCUUAUCUAAAUAUACUUAGGUCAAUACAAGAAAAUUUUGUUUUUUUAAAAGAAAAAAAAUGAAGUAAAAUGAUUGAUCCUAUAACACACGAGUUAACUCAAUAAUCUAAUAACUAUGAUUUCAAAGAAUAAUACCCUCUACACAAAAUUUCAAAUAAUGAAUCAAGCAAUUUUACAAGGCACUUGCACAGUUGCAUCCACUCAAGGACAUUAUAGAACCAGUGAGGAAAAGGGUAGGAAAGGAACCCGAAGUUUUUACCAUGUGGUGUUAAACAGCUAAUGCCCAUUAAUCAAGUGGAUGUUUUUAAAGCAAGUAAAAAUACAUUACAAUAAUUUUUUUUUUUUUUUAAAUUGGUAUGUCAAAAGAUCUAAAAAUAUAACUGGUAAAGCGUAACCGGUAAAGCUCAAAAUGAUGAAAAGGGAGGCCUAACAGCCUGGUGUUCUGCUAAGAGUAAUGUUGCUGAGCUGCCAUAAAACCUCAGGUAAAUCAAGCCAAUUUUAAAAAUAAUAUAAUUCAUAUUCUAUUUUAGAAAGUAAAUUUUUUACUUGAGAUUAACUUUAUUUUAAACAAAUAAUAUAAUUCAUUUUACUUGGAUUAGAAAAUAUAUAUAGAUAAAAUUUAUUUUAAUAUAAUUCAUUUAAUUAAAAUAUAAUUCAUUUAAUAACUUUAUCACCCUAAGCCCAAACUCAUCUCCAUACCUGCAUAUGGAUUCAUAGCCCAUUUUGUUUUUUUGGGAACACGGUGUAAACCGUAUUUUUAAAAUAUUUUAAUUUUUUUUAUAAAAAAUUAAUAUUUUUUAUAUAUUUUCGAUCGUUUUGACGUGUUAAUUUUAAAAAUAAUUUUUUUAAAAAAUAAAAAAAAAUAUUAUUUUGAUAUAUUUCGGUAUAAAAAAUUAUUUGAAAAGUAAUAACAACCACACUUCCAAACAUCCAAAUAAAAAUAGCUUUUCCUAAAUGUUCAUGAAAGUUUUUUGAUCCUUUUAAUUGUUGAUGAAUGAUGAUAUCAGAUGAUAACCCAUAGCACGGAUUCAAUUCCCUCUAAUUCUGCAGCUCAGUCACCCACAAUUCAAAUACUACAAAAACUCCAGCAAAUUACGAUACUGCAAACGCUAGAAGACAACACCAAGCACCAUUCAAGACAAUGACCAGAGGCAAUAAGAUUUGAGGGUGAUCUGUAAUUUUAAUGCCAGGAGAAAACAGAGGAAACAUCUGACUAUGAGAACAGAGUCGGAGGAUUGCAGUCAGCUUCGACGACCGGAGAAUAGACAACGACAGGAAAUAAACGAUGCCAAACCCCAAAAGAUACAAGAGGAGCCAGCAGCUGCCUAUGUAACACCAAAUUUAGCAUCAUUCUUUAAAAUGUCUGGCCACGCAAAUUUCUUAACAAAAUUAUUGAAAAUUUCUUUAAGAAAUAUUUUAUUAAUUGAAAAAUAUUUUUAUAAAAUUAUAUUCACUGCAUUAUCAAACAUACAAAGCCUAUUAGCCACGGUCUUUGAGCAUUUCCAAAACUAUCCUCCGAGAAAUGCAGUACUGGUAGCUUUGUUCUGACCCGUCGUCUACUUUGUCAAGCAUUGGUCAAGGAUGAAAACGUUGUGAAUCGAAGCAUAGUUUCCGUUAAAGGUAUUUUUAGUUUGUGCCAUGGUUUAUUUCUGUUGCUCAUUUUCACUCUUAGAAAUUAUUUGUUUUUAUGGUGAUACAAUUUUUUUUAAAAUAAUAAUAUUUUUUCAAAAAAAUUGUGUUUUUGAAUUUGUUUGUAUGGUGAUACAGUUUUUUUAAAAUAAUAAUAAUUUUUUUAAAAAAUUAUAUUUUUAGAUUGUUUUAAUAUGUAAUGUGAAAUAUUAAUUUUUAAAAAUAAAAAAAUAAAAAUUAUUUAGAUAUAUUUUUAAAUAAAAUAUAUUUUACAAAAUAAUUACCACCAUAAUAUGUUGGGAUGUUUUUAUAAAAUAGGAUGUAAAACUACUGAUGAGCCUAUAAGGUUUUAUUUUUUAUGGUAAGUUAGAGAUUUUGUAGGCCCAUUUAAAAUUAAUAGGUUGGAUCGUGAUCAUAAAUAAAGAUUGAGAAUUUGGUCUGAUUAUGCAGAUAACAUGCCUUAACUUGUCUAAAGUUAUGUAUGGUGUUACUAAACCCAGCUCAAGAUAAGUUAAGAGCUUGGAUUGGAUUUUAAAUUAAAUUGGAUAGAAUUUAACUGGAUAUAAUUCAACUUAUUUGAUCAAUCAAAACUCAGUUUAAUUUAAAAAAGAUUCACAUCAUUUUCUUUUUUAUUUUCAAAAAAUUCUUUAAGUCAUAUCACUUUGUAUUGAUUUAUGUUAACCCACUACUUGAAUUAUAAUUCGAGUUGGGUUUAAUAACUUAGAUAAUAUUAUUUUCGUUCGAAAGUAAAGGUAUAAAAAUUGAUAAGGUGCAAGUUAGAGAGGGGAAUUAGUGUGAAUUAUGCUGGUGAACUUCAUAAAUUUAUUUAACUUUCGCAUUGCUUAUUUAUCCUCUAAGGCGUGUGAUUUCUUUUUUAUACUGGGUGGAAAACAACGACGUGAUGAAUUCAUGAUAGAUUUACACCCUUGACACUUGUGGCAUAAUUUUGAGUAAUCUGUGUCACAAAUUGCUUUUGAGUUUGCAGUAUAACAACGCCCUCGUUCGCCACAGAACGAUCUGCCAAAGAUUUAUCAGAGCCUGGAGUUUUCCCCAGCACUGAAACAGCUGUCUCUGCGGCUAGGUACACAUAUGGUGACUUCUCUCUUCAUGUAUUUUUCAGUCCGAAAAGAAGAACUGAUCUUGGUUACAUAUGGUGAUACCAUUCUAAUUGCUUGCAGCAGGAGGGAGGCAUCUUGCCUCUAAUAUUCAAAUAAACUAAUGGUGAUAGUGUUUCUGUUUCCCAAACUAGGAUUAAAGGAGGUGCCAAAGCAUUGCAGCGAGUUCGAGUCAUUUAUGCUUGAAAUUCUGUUUAUUUCUGGUUGGAUGUGGAUUCUCAAGGAUUGAUCAUCCUGAGCUUGUCUGUACCAUAAUGAGACUAGUGAUAUCAGGUUCCAAAGCAACUGAUAGUAGCCAUUGAAGCUGCAAAUGGACUAAACUAUAAGCAGAAAGGAUGAGGGUACACACCAAGAGUCUUAAUGACACCAUCAUCCGCUAAUCACCAGCCAAAUGUAUCUUCAGAAAUAUAUAUAUAUAUAUAUAUAUAUAUAUCUAUUUAUAUAUAUAUAUAUAUUAAAGAAAAGCAUUAGACUUCCACUCCAACACAUAUUGUAAAGUCCACCUACACUUCGGAUGACAGAGUUUAAAGUGCAGAGUUUCAGUUUCACUCCAACACAAUUGUAGAACUCAUUCCUACUGCAAUUCCUUUGCUACUGUAAUUGAUAGGAUAAUAUUUAAUAGUGAUAGAUGCUAAUAUGAACACUGUAACCCUUCCUUACCUCAUUGUAACCCGUUGUAUAUAAAGCCCUGCUACUGUAACAGUGCUGAUAUGAAUAAGAAGUAUCUUCUUCUCUUUUGUGUCUUCAAUUCUCUUUUGUUUCUUCAAUUCUCUUCCCUUUUGUUUCUUCAUGGUAUCAGAGCAGGUCCUUAAUAACCUGCUAUUUGUUUUUUUUAAAAAAAAAUCUUAUGGAAGACCAGUUUAAGAUAGAUGGUGCUGAUGGCAAUUUUAGAAUCUGCAAUAUGCAAGAAGGAGAGCCAAAUCUUAACCAGCGUUUAGGCUCGGUAUUGUUAAACGAAUUUAACUAUCUUCCUUGGUCAAGAGCUGUGACAAUUGCUCUUGGUGGAAGAUCCAAACUUGGCUAUAUCAAUGGCCAUAUUACACCUCCUGAUUCUUCUUCACAGGCGUAUGAAGCUUGGCAAUGCAAAGAUCAACUUGUGUUGUCCUGGUUACUCAAUUCUAUGGAAAAUCAGAUUGCUGAAAUAUUCAGCUACUCAGAAUCUUCUUUGGCACUAUGGGAAGCAGUGAAAGAGAUGUAUGGAAAUCAAAACAAUGCAGCUCGUAUUUUCCAAAUCAAUAGGAAUCUUGCUAAUCUGCAACAAGACGGCAAAACCUAUGUUCAAUUGCUUGGAACCUUGAAAGGUAUGUGGAGUGAACUUGCUCUUUAUCGUCCUCACACAGUUGAUGCAGCAGAAUUACGGAAAACGUGAAGAGGAGGACAAGAUCUUCCAACUUUUAGCUAGUCUUGGUCCAGACUAUGAAGAUCUUCGCAGCAGGAUCCUUAUGAAUCCUGAUCUUCCAUCUCUCACUACUGUAUGUGCUACCAUUCAAAGAGAAGAAGCUCGUAGAAAGGUUAUGAAUUCUGACUCUAAACUCUCUUUAUCAGAAUCUCGUGUGUAUGCUGUCAACAGAUCAAUGAACAACAACAAACCUUACAAGGGCAAACGACCAGAUUUGAAGUGUCACCAUUGCCAUAAUAUUGGUCAUUCUAUUGGGAGGUGUUGGAUUCUUCAUCCAGAAUUGAAGCCAAACUUUGAAAAAGAGAAGAGAUCUCAAAGGGACUAUGAGCAUAAGGGUCAUGUUGCUGCCGCUGCUCACUUCAGCAAUACUUCCAGUAAUGUUGAAAAUUUUUCAACCAACCCAUCUGCUCUUCUCAAUGACUUCGCUACCUAUCUUAAGGAAAAAGGUGACUCUGCCAUGACAACAUCUGCCUCUGAUUCUAUGGCACUCCUUGGUAAGUUUGGGCUUCCUUGCAAACUCUGCUCACAUUCCGCAAGAAAACACAGAAGGUAUUUUCACUGCAUUUAAAAGUGCCUUGAUAGCUAGUACUGUGUAUAAUUUUUGGGUCAUUAAUUCAGGUGCCACUGAUCAUAUAACUAAUAAAAUGACCAAUCUAUAUGAUUUCGAGGGAUUUUCCUCUCCAACUCAUGUGUCUAUUGCCAAUGGAAAAAAUGUUUCUGUCAAAGGUAAAGGAAAGAUUAAAUUACUAUCUAAUGAUAUAGAAUCUUCAGUCCUAUAUGUUCCCUCCUUUCCAUUCCAAUUACUUUCCAUUGGUAAAAUCUCUCGAACUCUAAAUUGUCGUGUUAUUUUUUACUCUCAACAAGGUCUCUUUCAGGACCUCGCCACCAAGAAGACGAUUGGUGAAGGUUUCUUUUUCGAAGGACUUUAUUAUUUUUCGAGUCAUCCCUAGAAUAACAAGUAUCGUCAAGUUUCUACUUUUUCUUCAUUUCAUCAAGAGCAACAUUUAUGGCACCAACGAUCCCUCAGACAUUGUUCUCACCAAAUUAAUGCCCAAUUUGGAUAUAAAAAAUAUUCCAUGUGAUACAUGUCAUUUAUCUAAGUCUACUAGACUUCCUUUUAUGCUUUCAUCGUCUAAGGCUAAUAAGAUGUUUGAUCUUGUUCAUUCUGAUGUUUGGGGACCAAUUAUUGAAUCUUUUGAUGGCUACAAAUAUUUUGUCUCAUUUAUUGAUGAUUUUUCUCGUGUUACUUGGAUUUAUCUCCUAAAAUCCAAGAGUGAAGUUGUGUAUGUCUUUCAGAAUUUUCACAUGCUGGUCAUGACUCAAUUUUCUACAAAAAUUAAAAUUCUCCGAUCUGAUAAUGGCACUGAAUACAUGUCCAAAAAUAUGACACAAUAUCUAGUUUUUCAUGGCAUUUUACAUCAGUCCAGCUGUGUUGGAACACCUCAACAAAAUGGGGUAGCUGAACGUAAAAACAGAGACUUAUUAGAAAAAACUAGAGCCUUAAUGAUACACAUGCAUGUUCCUAAAACAUUUUGGUCUCAUGGAGUAUUAUCUGCUGCAUAUCUAAUCAAUCGGCUACCUAGCCGAAUAUUGCACUUUAAAUCUCCUCUUGAAGUCUUGCAGAAGCAGCCGCCAAAUCUAUCUCAUCUACGAGUGUUUGGUUGCAUUUGUUUUGUUCAUAUACAAACCUCACAUCGGGACAAACUUGAUCCAAGGGCCGCUAAAUGUGUUCUUGGGAUACUCUGCAACCCAAAAAGGAUAUAAAUGCUACCAUCCUCCUUCAAAAAAAUUGUUUAUAUCAAGAGAUGUCCGAUUUGAAGAAAGCUCUGUAUACUUUAAAGACAUGAAUCAACAAGGCAACAUGGCAGAAUUGUUUCCUCUACCAAAUGUCACUACAGACUUGACACCAUCUGCAGAUACACUUGUUGCUGCAGACGAUUUUCCCACCGUUUCUGGUGAUAUACAUGCGGAUUCAAGAGUUAUCACAAACCUUGAGAAUGAUUCAGCAAAUCAGUCUCUUCAGCCUCCUCUACAGCACCCUCUUGUCAUUUCCAUUACCACAGAUUCUGAGGGAGAUUCUGAGGGUGGUUCAGCUAAUCAAUCUGAUUUUGCCAAUCACUCUUCUCUACCACAGCCUCGUAGAAAUCCAACUCGUCACCGUGCUCCUCCAACAAAGCUACAAGACUUUGUCACCUAUGUUGCUAGACAUCCUAUGUCUAAUUAUCUUACAUAUCAACAUCUCUCAGCUGGACAUACUGCCUUUCUUACUGCUAUCUCUGAUGUGCAUGAACCCCGGAAUUUUCAAGAGGCUGAUUCAAAUAAAGAAUGGCGACAAGCUAUGCAUGAUGAGCUACAAGCCCUUGAUCAAAAUCAGACCUGGAGUGUUGUUAAACUUCCUAAAGAUAAACAUGUUGUGGGUAGUCGCUGGGUAUAUAAAAUCAAGUUCAACUCAGAUGGGUCUAUUGACAGAUACAAGGCGCGUCUUGUGGCUCAGGGCUAUACUCAAACUUUUGGCGUGGAUUAUAAGGAAACCUUCGCACCUGUUGCAAAGAUGAACACAAUUCGUGUUCUACUCUUAGUGGCUGUGAACAACAUAUGGUUGAUGUGUCAAAUGGAUGUCAAGAACGCCUUCUUGCAUGGAAAUCUUGAAGAAGAAGUCUAUAUGAAGCUGCCUCCCGGUCACCCACAAGGUUCAACCCUAACUUAGUAUGUCGGCUUCACAAAUCUAUCUAUGGGCUGAAGCAAUCUCCACGAGCUUGGCAUGCACAAUUGAGUGCUGUUCUUGAAGAAAGUGGCUUCAAACGAAGCAAUGCAGAUUCCUCUUUAUUUAUUCACCUUGGACCAACAACCAAAGUAAUGGUCCUUGUCUACGUUGAUGACCUUAUUAUUGUUGGGAAUGAUAGUGAUGCUAUAUCUCAUCUCAAGGCUACUUUGCAACAACGGUUUCCAAUUAAAGAUCUCGGCAAAUUGAAAUAUUUUCUUGGGAUUGAAAUGGCCACUUCUCACAAAGGGCUAUUCCUAAAUCAACGCAGGUAUAUCCUUGAUCUGCUUAAGGAUGCUAAGAUGAUAGAUGCCAAACCUGCACCUACUCCUUUGGAUAGUAAAUUGAAACUUAACACAACUAGUGAACCUCUUGGUUCUUUCAAUUACUAUCAACAUCUUGUUGGAAGACUCAUUUAUCUUACUAUUACACGGCCUGACAUCACCUACGCAGUAAGCCUUGUUAGUCAAUUCAUGCACACUCCUACAGUUUUUCACCUGAAUCUUGUUAAGCGAAUUUUGCGCUAUUUAAAGGGUUCUGCCGGUCGUGGGAUUGUUAUGACUAAUCAUGGUCAUACUCAGAUUACUGGAUAUAGGGACUCUGAUUGGGCUGGUAAUGCGAUUGAUCGCAAAUCAACCACUGGUUUCUGCAUGUUUGUUGGUGGUAAUCCAGUCUCCUGGCAUAGUAAAAAGCAACAUGUUGUUGCACGUUCUAGUGCUGAAGCUGAAUAUCGUGCGAUGGCAUCCGCGACUUGUGAACUAAUUUGGCUUAAAGGUCUCCUGUCAGAUCUGGGUUUUUCUAGCAAUAUUCCAAUGACUCUGUUUUGUGAUAACCAAGCUGCUAUGCAUAUUGCAGCUAAUCCCGUAUUCCAUGAAAGAACUAAACACAUUGAAGUUGAUUGUCACUUUAUUCGUCAACAAGUUCAAUCGCAGGUUAUCAAGACAUGUUACAUCCGCAGUCACGACCAACUAGCCGAUUUAUUCACAAAGGUACUAACUUCAGCUCACUUCCAUCGUCUACUAUCCAAGCUUGGCUCAAUCAACCCCCUUGAUCCAGCUUGAGGGGGAGUAUUGAAGAAAAGCAUUAGACUUCCACUCCAACACAGAUUGUAAAGUCCACCUACAGUUCGGAUGACAGAGUUUAAAGUGCAGAGUUUCAGUUUCACUCCAACACAAAUUGUAGAACUCAUUCCUACUGCAAUUCCUUUGCUACUGUAAUUGAUAGGAUAAUAUUUAAUAGUGAUAGAUGCUAAUAUGAACACUGUAACCCUUCCUUACCUCAUUGUAACCCGUUGUAUAUAAAGCCCUGCUACUGUAACAGUGCCGAUAUGAAUAAGAAGUAUCUUCUUCUCUUUUGUGUCUUCAAUUCUCUUUUGUUUCUUCAAUUCUCUUCCCUUUUGUUUCUUCAAUAUAUAUCGUGAGUGGUUGUGACGAGGAAGAAUCGAUCAGUAGUAUUUGAAUGUGGCACACUGACAUAGAGUGAAGAAAUAAUAAGAAAAGUAGGUCUUUGUGGAAAACUAUUAGAGCUUCUUCAAGUGUUUUAAUUUGGGAGUCGUUUUCACGGGCCGCAUUGCUACGAAGCUGGUGGAAAUAUGUAGGGAAAGGGCUGGAGGAGGGAAGAAUAUAAUUUUUCUUGGGAACUGAGGGAAGAGAUGGAGCUUGUGAUGAUAAGAGAAGCUGCGCAUAGUGAUUGGUGAUUACGAAAGUCGUGUGGAUUCAUAUCUAAAGAAGCUAUGAAGAAGGUAUUACGAAGGCACUUCCCUCCCUUUUCCAUACAAAGCAUCUUGGAACUGAUGGAAAGAUGCAAAUUUAUUUGUGGAUGAGUUGAUGGGGUGCAAUGUGAUAUCCUCCUUCUUAAAGAUGUUCACACUAUGAGGUAUUUUUUAUUGGAUAUCCAGCAGAAAAAAACUUGAUAUUGCUUGGUUUGUCUUCCAUGGAUAUUGAUAAAAAGGUGAUGUGCAUGCCUACUGGAAAAUGUACUUCUUCUUGCUGGGUCUGAAAUUCAAACUAUGUUCACCAGGGACCUUUCAAUAAUGUUGUUGAAGUGAACUGCUAGGUCAUUAAUCACAAGUCAAAAUAGGAGACUGCUGAUGGUGCAUCAGUUAGAGAUACCUUUGAUUCACAUUUUCAGGAUUCAGAGUUUUGGGCCUUUUACUUUGAUUAUAGAUGUACAGCUAUAAAAUAUUGUCUAAUUUUUAUUGAAUAGGUUUUAUUUAUGGUAUUAGGGCACCUAAGUUUCUUUCUCCGGUGACACACUUAUUGGUAAUGUUUGGUUGUGGUCUUGGUGUCAAAUAAUACCAACGAAAAGUGAGAAAGGGAAUCUUCUUUAAAUGGGAUUUGAGAAGGUUUAUGAUCACUCGAGUCAGAGAGGACCAUGAGAAAGUGAUGUUAUAUCUUACUGUGAAGAAAUUAGUCUCAAAAAGAAGAUACUUCGCCUUGGUUUUAUUUGUCCAGACUGAAGUUUCCAAAGUGCUCUGUACAUGCAAUGAAGCUUUAGGUCUUACUUCAUCUUAUUGAGAGCAUGCUUUGGGCCAUCUCCUCCUUUUCUUUUCUUUUCUUUUUUUAAUUUUGUUGAAAUUUGUAAAUGAAUCAUGCCAAUGGCUUCUACUUUCUAUUUUAUUUUUAACACAAUUUAAAACAUUUUAGUAUUUUCUUCAUGACUCAAUUAAAUAUUUUGUUCCCAACUCAUUGACACUAGCAACUCUCGUACACACAUGUGUGCUCAUAUGUGCCCACGCACACCUUACAAGGAACUGAACUGAUUAAUUAGUGUAUUAUUCAUAAUAUUAUGUUGGGGAAAAUAGUCUUGCUAUUAUUAUGACCAUAUGGUCCAUAUCGUGCCAUAUCCAGAGGCAAGUGAAGAUUAUUGCAAGAAAAAGGAAUCGAGUGAAGAAGCUAUCACAAUUAAAUCUAGUGAGCAGAAGGCACCUGCGGCUAAAGUUGAUACUGAUGGCAGAAAGCUGGAGAGCAUUUCGAAUGUUGACACAAGUGAAGGAACUUCUUCCUUAGGACUUGACAUGGACCGAUGGCCUAACUUGUCCUCACCUAAUGCUGCCAAAACUGAGCAGGAUUCCUUGGAAACUUCAAUCUCUAACAAUCUAACUGAGAUUACCAAACUUGAUUCAUCAGCAGGUGAUGAGAUUUCAAUUACAAGGAAAAAAUGUAGAUAGGGUGAUGAGUUGCAUGAUGUUUUCAUAGCAUAGUAUCUUACAUGCUACUGUCAUUCUAAUUCUUUCUUUUUUAAAACGCGGAGACAGAUCAUCUUGAUAAGGACACUGAGAUUUUUCAAAAUCCUCAUGAAGGUGAAGAGCAAGGUGAUUUUGUUGAUUAUGGCUGGGCUAGCAUUGGAAGCUUUGAUGAUCUUGAUCGAAUUUUUAGGUAAAGCACAGUUACCAUUUCUUACUUUCUGCACCUAAAUGAAAGAUGGUCAGCAGCACCUGAAAUGGAAGCUUGUAUAUCUCAUUAUUCUGAUAAUUUGAACAAAUUCUUAUUACUGACUGUGAAGUGAAAGUUUGGCGAACAAAAUAAUUAUGCUCACUGUCUAUUUUCAUUUCAGAAGAAAAAAAUCAUGUAGUACAAGAGUGUUGUUACGAAGGAAAAACAACCAGACUCUUUUAAUAAUUGUAGUUUCUUCUGUGUUGGAUCUAUAUCCUUUUCCAAAUAAGUGCUGUCUGCUGAAAGCAACACUAACAAAAAAUGACUAGUUGUUUGAAAAUUUAUGGUUUUUGAUCCUUGGCUUAAUUUUGUUAAUUGGGAAAAGAACCUGAAGGAUGCCAGUUUUUAGCAGCACAAUAUCCUCAAUUACAAGUAUAAAUGGCAGAAAGAAUGUAAUAUAGCAGCACUGGAUUUGUAAGGAAUUGGUGAGCUUGUUCAAUUGUGGAAGGGCUUUCCUGCAUUUCUGUUCUUCACUAAUGUUCUUAUAUUUUAUCUUGAUUCUGUUGGAGAACAGUAAUAACCAUCUGACUCAAUAUCCUCACAAGCAGAUAUCCAAUCCAUUUGUGGCCCCUUCUGCCUACGGGAGUAUUACAAAUCCAUAUUCUAUGCCUGGGUUGUCCCACAUUCAGUCUGGGGAUUUUAAGCAUCAACCUUUAGCUUCUGGUUAUGAAGUUUCUUCAGGUAAUGCGAAUCCUGUUAAAGUUUUCUGACUUUCCAACAAAAUUUCUAGUCAUUUAAUCAUCGACCUAAAAUUUCUGGUUAUGAAGUUUCAGGCAAUGCAAAUCCUAUAAACAAGUUAGCUGACUGUCCAGUGAAACCCCAGAGAAUGACACCUCAGGAAAAGAUUGAAAAAUUAAGGAGGCGGCAACAAAUUCAGGCAAUGCUUGCCAUUCAGAAACAGCAGCAGCAGCAGCUUGUUCAUCAAAAGUGUUCCCAAGAAAAUCAAAUUCAGUAUGUUGAAGGAGCUGACCUUGAAGUAGAGGAUCUAAGUCCACUUGCUUCAUUUGACCCAAACUCACCUAUUGAGCAAGACGAUUCCAAUACAGUCUCUCUGGCGGUUAAUGAUUAUUCAAUGGAGGACACAGUACUCUACAGGCUUCAAGAUAUUAUUUCAAAGGUAUGCUUCACGCACUAUUGCAUUCUUAACAAUGCAAAAUAAUUUGUGCUUGGUUACGAUUCCAAACCAAUGUUUUACAACAGCUGGAUGUCAGAAUUAGACUUUGUAUUCGGGAUAGCUUGUUUCGGCUGGCUCAAAGAGCAAUGCAAAGGCAUUAUGCUAGUGAUACUGGCAGUACAAACAAUAGUAGCAGGGACGAACAAGUUGCUGCAAAAGAGGAAACCAGCAGUCAAAGAAGGUUGGUUAAGGCAAUGCAUUUCUCAUGCUUUUGUUUUCAAAUUUAAUCUAUUCUCUCUCUCUUUUUUUAAACAUUUUUGCUCUAUGGAAAUGUUAAAUUAGGAUCUUUUAAUGCCAUCACCAUUUUCUGUUUUCCAUUCUCAUUCUAGAAAUAAUUAUUGAAAACGGUAUCCUCUAUUUACAAUGGAGGAAUAGUGACUGAAACAAUUCAAUUAAGGCAGCGCUUGUUCUUAGAAGUAGAAGGAAAUCUAAACAGAAAAUUUUAGGUUCCUCUUUCACUGGAUUUCCUUAAAAACUUGACUGAAUUUGACCUUGUUGAUCAAAUAUGUAGUAGUUCGCUUCCACUGGUUCUGUUAUGAUUGUGAGUGCUGGUCAUCAUUGUUGGCGUGAGCUGUCAAUAUAGAGAAAUUAGAGCAGGAAUAGGACACUGUUACGUAAAGGAGAUCCCAUAUGUUUAGGGAAACCUUUAUUUCCGCAAUAGAGAUUGUAUUGAAUAGGAAAACUAAAAUCCUUCUCUGUAUAAAACCUAAAGGUACUCUGUUACGUAGGUUAAGAAAGAAAAGACAGAAUAAGAAAAAGAAGUAACUUAUAGACUUCUAAAAUUAUCAUGGUAUCAGAGCGGCGGGUUCCUAGGACCUCUGCUCAACCCACCUUGUAACCAUAAAAAACACUCAAACAACCUAGACUCUAUGGCAGAAUCAACAGAACUGAUGGAACACCUCAACCCCCAGACCGAAUCAAUCCUUACCAGCCUGACGACCAAGAUGACAGAAGUUCUCUCGAGAUCACAGACCUCCCAACACCCACCACCUACUGAUUCUUCGACUACUCCAAUCGGCAUCAAAUUGAAUGACUCAAAUUUUGCCUUAUGGUCCCAAGUUGUUGAGAUGUAUAUCUCCGGCAAAGACAAGUUGGGAUAUAUUAAUGGAGAAUUUCCUAAGCCUCCAGAAACCGACCUAACCUUCAGAAGAUGGCGAACUGAGAAUGCCAUCGUCAAAGGUUGGCUGAUUAAUUCUAUGGAACCUUCCCUAGUUGCUAAUUUUAUUCGCUUCCCUACUGCAAAACAAGUGUGGGAUUCUGCCGCUACAACCUAUUUUGAUGGGACAAAUACGUCUCAGGUUUAUGACCUCCGCCGUCGUGUGACUCGGAUGAAACAAGCUGGCGGAUCCAUUGAAAAAUACUAUAAUAAUCUUCAAGGCUUAUGGCGAGAAAUAGAUUUUCGGCGUCCUAACCCAAUGGAUUGUGUUGUGGACAUUCAGAAAUACAAUUUAAUCUUGCAGGAAGAUCGAGUGUAUACCUUCCUUGAUGGAUUGGAUGACCGGUUGGACAAGACCAGGAGCGAUGUACUUCAGCUAAAACCAUUCCCUACAGUAGAGCAGGCUUAUGCUUAUGUCAGACGGGAAGAAAUAAGGCAGACAGUAAUGACUUCAGGGGCCGAAAGUGCUCCUGGAAUGGUUAUGAAUUCCAAAGGACUCAAGGCAGGACGCCACCACACUCCAAUGAAGACAAGUUUUUUCUCCUUGAACAAUGACAUACCAAAUCCAUCUGAAAAAAUGCCGGCUCCAUCAGAUGGCAUAAAGUGCACUCACUGUGGCAAUGCCAAGCACACCCGUGAAACCUGUUUUAAGUUACAUGGAUACCUAGAUUGGUGGCAUGAACUUCAGACAAGGAAGAAACGAGACAAUCCUAAUGGCAGCACAAGGAGAGCUGUUAUAGUCACUGGGGAACCUUCAUUAUCACUCACCUCCCAAGUAGAAACCACACAGAAUUCAGGUAACAACAAUAACGUUCUUCAUAGCUGUACUCAUACUGCUGAUGACAACUGGAUUCUUGACUCUGGGGCUACAGACCACAUGACAUUUGACUCCAAUGAUUUUUCCCAUACCACUUUGCCAAGAAGAAGUCAUGUUGCUACUGCUAAUGGGGUCCCUUGUCCGGUUACAGGAGCUGGAACUGUGACUCUAUCUCCCUCUUUAUCCUUACCUCAUACGUUACUUGUUCCAUCCCUUUCCCAUAAAUUAAUGUCUAUCAGCCAAGUUACUGCUGAUCUCAAUUGUAUGGUAUUAAUAUACUCUACAUUUUGUCUCCUUCAGGAUAUUCUCACCAAGGAGAUCAUUGGGCGUGGUACUAAGAGGGGGGGGAUUAUACUAUGUCGAUGACCUCAUUUUAAGCAGAGAAAACCUCAUGGAUCAUGUGGUUAGCAAGAAAGAACAACAGAUUUGGUUAUGGCAUCACCGCUUAGGACAUCCUUCGUUUGGUUAUUUGAAGCACUUAUUUCCAGAUUUAUUUUCCAAUGGAAUGCAUUCAAACUUUACGUGUAAUACUUGUAUUCUAGCAAAGAGUCAUAGGGUUUCAUAUCCUGUGAGCAUGAAUAAAAGCAUGAUUUCGUUUGCAUUGAUACACUCUGAUGUAUGGGGACCUUCCCCCAUUACUACUGCUUCUGGACAUCGUUGGUUUGUGAUUUUUGUUGAUGAUUGCACUCGAAUGACAUGGUUGUACUUACUGAAACACAAGGAUGAAGUAUUUAGUAUGUUCAAAGCCUUCCAUAUCAUGGUUCAGACUCAAUUCUCUGUGAAGAUUCAGGUCCUUCGUUCUGACAAUGGAGGGGAAUAUGUUAAUCAGCAGUUUCAAGCAUACUUUCAGAAUCAUGGUCUUCUCCAUGAGACCUCAUGUGCUCGGACCCCACAACAAAAUGGCCUUGCUGAAAGAAAGAACUCACAUAUCUUAGAAAUUGCACGUGCUUUAUUAAUCGGGGCACAUGUGCCUAGUCGCUAUUGGACUGAUGCUGUCGCCACAGCCGUGCACUUGCUGAACCGUAUGCCUGCAAAGGUAUUAACGUUUCAGACUCCUUUAAAGGUUCUAUCUGACCAUGUCUCAUUGCCUACUGUGUUGUUGCUCCCUCCUCUAUUUUUGGUUGCGUUGCCUUUGUACACCUCCAUAAGAAUUAGAGAUCUAAGUUGGAUCCUUGUGCAGUCCGAUGCCUAUUCUUGGGUAUGAGUACAUAAGAAAGGAUAUCGUUGCCUUGAUCCCUCCACCAAACGCACCUACACUACCAUGGAUGUCACAUUCUUAGAGUCUGACACCUUCUUCCCAUCACCAGCAUCCAAUUCCACUCUUCAGGGGGAGCACCGUGAUGAAGAGCAGAAUUGGUUGGGAGAAAAGCAGCACCUACUGGACAGUGAAGGGUUAUCAAGACAGCAGCACCUACUAGCCAAUGAGGUUGAGUACCUGGACAGUGAAGCUGAUGUUGGAAGCAAUCCAGCGUAUCUGCACAAUGAAGCUGAAAGUAUUGAGCCGAAGGAUCAGGCUAAGUCAGUGAUAAAUACAGAAUCUGAAGAUGACUUUCCCCACCUCUUAGUACCUAAUCCCGACGACCCUCCUCCUGAGAAUAAUCCUGAGGUAAGUUCUCCUACUACACCUCUACACACUAAUGACAUGGAUAAUUCUGCUAGUCCUAUUCUACCUUACAGACACAAUCGGGGCAAGCCACCAAACAGGUAUUGUCCAGACAUAGAAGACAGACGGUCCAAAUAUCCAAUCACCAACUAUGUGUCUACACAACGGUUAUCUGGACCCCUGAGAGCAUUUGCACACACCUUGUCCUCGUGUAAAAUACCUUGCAGCGUUGAGGAAGCCUUGACAGAUCCACACUGGGCUAACGCUAUAAAGGAAGAACUGGAGGCGUUGCAGAAAAAUAAAACAUGGGUACUGGUGGAACUACCCGAGGGGAAGAAGACUGUGGGGUGUAAGUGGAUUUUCUCCACUAAAUACAAAGCAGAUUGCUCCAUCGAUCGACACAAGGCAAGACUGGUUGCAAAGGGGUAUACACAGACAUAUGGCAUAGAUUAUCAAGAAACGUUCUCACCCGUAGCCAAACUAAAUACUGUUAGAGUCUUGCUAUCUCUUGCAGCAAAUCUAGAUUGGCCACUGCACCAACUUGAUGUAAAAAAUGCCUUCCUCCAUGGUGAUCUUGAGGAGGAAGUUUAUAUGGACAUUCCGCCAGGAUGCUUGUCUUCCUCAGAGGCACGAGUGGUAUGUAAACUACAACGAGCAUUGUAUGGAUUAAAACAGUCACCCCGUGCAUGGUUUGGUCGGUUCAGUUCAGCUAUGAGAAAAUAUGGGUUUCAACAAAGCAACUCAGAUCAUACACUCUUCAUAGCAGGGACGAACAAGUUGCUGCAAAAGAGGAAACCAGCAGUCAAAGAAGGUUGGUUAAGGCAAUGCAUUUCUCGUGCUUUUGUUUUCAAAUUUAAUAUAUUCUCUCUCUCUCUUUUUUAACAUUUUUGCUCUAUGGAAAUGUUAAAUUAGGAUCUUUUAAUGCCAUCACCAUUUUCUGUUUUCCAUUCUCAUUCUAGAAAUAAAUAUUGAAAACGGUAUCCUCUAUUUACAAUGGAGGAAUAGUGACUGAAACAAUUCAAUUAAGGCAGCGCUUGUUCUUAGAAGUAGAAGAAAAUCUAAACAGAAAAUUUUAGGUUCCUCUUUCACUGGAUUUCCUUAAAAACUUGACUGAAUUUGACCUUGUUGAUCAAAUAUGUAGUAGUUCGCUUCCACUGGUUCUGUUAUGAUUGUGAGUGCUGGUCAUCAUGUCUUGAUUUAGUUGAGAGAAGCUUUGGUAUUGUAUAUAGGCCAACUUAGGUAGAGGCAGAUAUUAAACUGACAUUUGUAGCUUUACCCUGGUUCAGCAUUCAUGAGUGCAGUGCAGCAAGUAGUCAUGAGGUGACAAUUCAAAUAGCAUAAUAUUUUGUAGAGAUUUUCAUUUAAUUAGAAAAGGAGAUUUUCAUUUAAUGGCAUAAUAUUUAGGUGACAAUUCAAACCAUGAAGGACAAUAUGCUACAUAAAGAUAAAAUUAUGAUUUAUACACAUUUCCAUUAGCUUUGAUGGAGAAAGAGCAUUCCACCCGUCUCCACUCAUGCAGCGUGUCACCAUCCCUUGAGUAAUUGGAUUUUUGCCAUUAAUUUGUGCCAUAGUCUUUUGAAAUUAUGCUUCCGUGUCUCCCUCUGUCAUGAGCUCAUUACUGCCUCAUUUUGGAGGCCUAAUUACAAGAGCAUAGAAAUUAUGUAGAUAUUACAGGGUCCCAACUUUUUUUUUUUCGUUGUCAAGGAAUUAUGUCAUAAGUUUUAAUUGAAUAUAGAUAUUGAUUAAACGGGUCUUCAUUAUCAAGGAAAUAUACCAUAAAAUUCCUAUUUUUCUUUUAUCAAAUAAAUUUCAUAGUAAACUAUAUUUCUAGAAAAUAAACUAUUCUAUGGAUUUUAGUAACCAAUUUAACAUCUCUCAAGAAUUUUUAUCGUCUCAUGACACCAUUACAUACCAAAAUCUAAUAGGGACCAACAAUUCAAUGAUAUUCCUCAUCUAGACAUCAAUUUCAUUUUUUAUUUUCAUGGUAGUAAUAUUUUACACAAUCUCAAGAAUCAACACAGGUGCUCCAUGAAAUUUAAAAAGUUAUAAAGAGAUAUUUAAAAAAUAGUUCUACUUACUACAUUAUUCAUCAAUUCACAACAUUUAUUCACAACUAAAUCCCCUAAAUUCUCCUGUCAUUGGCCGGCGACCAACUCUAUUUAAUUAUCAAAAAUUUUACUUCAAUUACAAUAAUUUAAUCACUUCACUUUAAUCUUCACAUUAUUCCCCAUGACAAAUUACAAUAAAUUUUUAUUUCCCUCAAAUUUAUUCAAGAACCCAAACUUUUUAAUUUAAAAAAUGCAAUCAAUUAAGAACUUUAAGCCAUUAAAAUUCAGAUCAAAAAUCUUUAGAAUGCAUUGUCAAGCAAGUAAUUAAACUCUAAACACUUCCCAAAUGAAGCUUUCAACUCCUCCUCAUAUUUAAUCUUGAAUGAACUUUUUCUUUAUUUUUCUACUCACCUUCACUUGAUUUUUAUUCCUUUUAAUUAAUGCUCAAUAAGCUUGGUUAAUGUUCCCUCAAGAUCUUCCCUUAAGAUUUUAUGUUUCCUUUACAAUUAUAUCCCUCUCACAUGUAAAUGGUAGUUUCCCCUCUUUCUUUUUUUCUCCUUUUUUUUUCCGUACCCGAGCACACACAUACUCACUUACAUACACACACACUAACUUUUUACCAAAUUUCCUUUAUUUCUCAAAUAGUAAAUUUCAUGUUACCUCCGGGCCGGUUCGAGUUUAAUAAUAGUGUUUUGAAUAGCUAAAUUGAUAAAAUAGUAUUUUGAAUAAUAUAAAUAUAAUUUUUUUUUUAUCAUAUGUAUUUUAAUGGGAAAAAAAACUAGUUGAAAAACUAAUUGUAUUGGAGUGAGAGAAAUAAGUGUUUUAUUUUUUUUAGUGAGCUUGAUGUUAUUUUUUUUUUCAUAUGACUAUAUUUAAUUGGUUUAUUUUUUGAUGGCCCUACUUUUUUAGUGUUGUUUUUUUUUAUAGAUAUGUAGAAAUAGUAUUUAUAAGAAAGAAAAGAUAUUUUAACAUUUUAUUUAAUACUUUUUUGAAGUGCAUAAAAUAAACAUGAAAGAGUCAAAUUAAUAUUUUUUUUUAAUUUUUAACUUUUCAUUUAACACGCCCUUUGUAGAAGCUCUUAUGAUUUGGACUCAAUUUAAGUGGGUUAAAUAUUGGUGGGAUAUUCCAUCUUUCUCUUUUUUUUUGAAAUUUUACUCUGUUUGUCUUUGAUUUAUUUUGCUAGAAAUUACAUCUUAAAAAAAGAGGGGUUUGAUUGGAAAAACUUAACCAUAUUUGGUUAUUUGGGAACUAGGUAUUAUAAUUUUAUAACCUUUAACAGGUUAACUUAGCUGAACCAAUUUAAUAUAAAACUUUAUUAUUAUUAAAUUUUAAAAAAACAUUUUAAAAUCUUUUCUAAAUAAAAGUAUAUUUUUACGGGAUGUUAAUUAAUUUUAUAAAAUAUUGUUCCGGAUGUGUUUGUGUAUGCGUGAAUUGCGCGGGCCAGGGAAAUGGAGUUAGGUAGCGCAUCAACUCGGUGUGUCCUUGCUUUAUUUGCCAAGAAGCCCCAUCGGUUGAAAAAGUGAGAGGAAAAUGGAGUAACUUGGUUUGUAUCUUCUUUUCACGUGAUGUGCAAAUAAUGCAGAAGAAGACUUCACUUUAUUUCUUCUCUCCUUUUCUUUUAUCACUUUUAUUUCAUUGAUAAAGUAGAUAAAUAAAUUAUAAAUUAUAAAUUAGCUGAUGACCAUUGCUAUGAAUAUUAUAAAAACUUCAUUACACAUUCUAGAAUGUUGCGUAGUAUUUGUUUAACUCUAAAAGAAUUGUGGAGCAAGUUAUAAUAAAAAAAUCAUUAUAUUAGAAAUUACAGUUGAAUUGCGAAAAUAAAAAUAUCCUUAAUCAGUAUUAAAGAUACUGAUUGUUUGCUUUGAAUAACAAGAUGCAGUUCAAUAGGAUUAGGUCUUAUUGGUUUUAUCUUCCACCUGUAAAAAUGACCUUGUUUUUCAUGUAGAUGGAUCAUUUUAUUCCAAAACUUCUUUAUAAAUAUAAUUAUUAAACUUCAUCGAUUAAUGUUUUUUUAAUUAAAAAAUAGUUAAGAAAACAACUUAAAAGCAUGUUCAUCGAUCAAAUGUGUUUGUUUUUUAGCGGUUUUUGUUUUUUUAAUGCAGAUAACAAAAACAAGAUAUAUAUUUGGUUAUACGUGAAUUGACAGCAAAACCGUGUGCACAGAGAGAAGGGGCGAAGGAAAGUGAGCACAAAAGGUCAAUAAAAAUAAUUUGAUCGGUGGUUGAAGUCUCUCUAUCCAGUGUCAGCAACAUAAUAGCAGCGACCACCACAGAAAAAUAUACAGAACUCGCAAAAGCCUUUUCUCUGAAAAAAGUGGGUUUGAUCGGAAAAACAUCACUAAAUGCCAGCUCUUCACGUGAUGUGAUCAGGCAGCAGAAGACUUCACUUUAUUUCUUCUCUCUCCCUCCUUCCAUCACUUUUCAAUGAUAAAGCAAAUAAAUAAAUUAUAAAUUAUAUUAUUAUAUUUUAUACAUUCUGUUUUGUUUUUUUUGUUUUUAAUUUAAUUAUUAAGGUAUUUCACUUGCAUAACCUCUGCGUUUGGCUAUAUUCAAAGGUUUAAGCCGAAAUAAAUUAUAUUAGUAUAUUUGUAUUGAAUUGCUUAAUUAUAUCAUGAAUUAACAUGUUUGGUAUCAAUGUCAAUAGAAAUAAUUGAAUUGACGCAAUUAAUUAAUUCUUGAUAGCAGUUUUAAAGGUAAAUGCAAGACAGUUACCUUUAAUCAUGAAGCAACAACGGAUUUUAUUAUGAUGUAUCACAUUCUCAAAUAUGAUCUAAAAAAAAAUAUAAAAGCGAUUGUAAAGAAUUUAUAAAACAUUCACAGUGUUUGAUAAUCUUUUACAAAUUAGAAAUAAUGAAUCUAGUUUACAUAAUACUUUCUUGACAAAAAAAUCAAAGCAAUCUGAAUGCUUGUAUAUACGGAUCGAUUACAUACAUAAAAAAGGGUCAAGAACAGGUAAAGAAGGUAUACUUCUUCAAAAAAAAUGCUGGGUGGGUACUAGGAUUUAGAACUCCUGCACCGUUCAUGGCCAUAGCUAUUGCUAGCUUCUCUACAGAUUUCAGAGAGCAACGAUUACGAGAAUUUGCCAAGUUUUGGCUGCAUCCAAUCCAUCAUUCAUGCCAGGAUACACCCAAUGCCAGGGAAAGUCGUCCUCUGCUUUAGCUUUCUCUGGUUAGCACCACCUCCUGAAAAAAACACAUGAACAAAUAAAAACAUUUAAUUUAUUUCCUAGAAAAACACAUCAAGAGGUCGUUAGUUUUCUUACCUGGGUUGUUACAAGCAGCAGCACUAAAAUGACUAUCAUCUUCAUCGGCAUUUUGUCAAACAGCUAGGGCGUGUUCUUUAACUGCACUCCUACUCCAUCAUUGCUUGAAAAGGUUAAUGGCCCAAUAUUUGUUCCCGAACAUAACACAAGCCAUGUACAUUUAAAUGAUGUCGUGCAACGAAACAAGGGAGUGUUGAUGAGAGUUGAAGCAAAACUGGAAUCAAACGAAUGAACAAGCCCUUCUAUCAAAGAUUGGACAAGGCAGGGAAAACUUUCAAGCUAAUAAGCGACUUAACAAAUGAACUAAUGAAAAAAAAAAAAAAAGAAUCGAUAAGGAGUCAUGAAUUUUAUAUUAUCUUUUCUCUUUAUGUCUGUUUUUUAUCAAAGUAAAUUCCGAAAAAGAUAUGACUUACAAGUACUCCAAAAUCAUUUUUUAACUUCUGCUUUAUAUGGAAUAAAAACAAUUUAAUCAAAGUUAAAUAAUAUAUAAAAGAUAAAAAAAAAGUUUUUGAAUUUUGAAUUUUUGAAGAAGGGAAGAGACUAGAGAAAGAGAUGGUGAAUUUUUAUUUUAUUUUAAUUUUUGAAGAUGCAGAUUUUAUAUAAUUAAGGGUUUGAUUUAUUUUUGGAAUCAGUUGCAGAUUUGAUGUUGGCAAGCAUCCGCUGCAAAUUAGUUAAAUAAUUUAAUUUUUUUAAUCCUUUUUAGCAAUGGAUUUUCUAUUACUAAAUUCAUUGUUGAUAUUAAAAAAAUCAUAUAUACACAUUCUGUUGUUAAAUUAGCAAAAGAAAUAUUAUGUUGCUAAAAUUCAAUGAUAAUAGCCCCCUGUCCAAAUUAAGGGUGGUGCUGGCAGUUCAAAAUCUGAAGCAUGUGAUGAUCCUCCAGCUCGAUAUAUCGAAACAGAAUGAUGAUUAUUAUUUAUGGAGAUGAAUGAGACACUAAUUAUGGAAGAAAAUAUCUGUAUUUCAACAUACAACAAAUAAAAACAUACAACAUUUUGGACAAUAUCUGUAUUUCCUUCAUCCAAAUUUUAACUGAAAUUGCCUUUGAUUACUGAAAAGAAAAUAAACUAUUUAGUAGCAAUACCUCAAAAAAAUAUGUUGCCUUUGAUUGAAAGAAAAGCUCCUUUUAACUGCUACUUCUUUGCUCCACUGAGGUUGGGGGGAGGGAAAAUAUAUAUGUAAGGAAUGUGAGAAGCUAGCGAACGCUACGGCCCAAGAGCAUUACAUUCUUUGCUGUGCUGAUGUCUAUGUCAGGAAUGUGAGAAAUCUUGAGCCAAUCUUUACCUUUCUCCCUUUCACAACUUUCACCCAGCAGAGGACAAUUGUGAAUUAAAAGAGAAGAAAGGGAGGAGGGCAACCCUUCUUCUGGCAUUGACUCAAUCAGAGGGCAGUGCCAUAUAGUUAAUUCUCUAAGAGAGGUGAGGUGUUGAAGCCUUGGAAGAGAUUUCAGCAUAGGACAACUAUUAAUUAAAAGAGUAGAAAGGGAGGAGGGCAACCCUUCUUCUGGCAUUGACUCAAUCAGAGGGCAGUCCCUUAUAGUCAAUUCUUCAAGAGAGGUGAGGUGUUGAAGCCUUGGAAGAGAUUUCAGCAUGGGACAACUGUUAAUUAAAAGAGAAGAAAGGGAGGAGGGCAACCCUUCUUCUAGCAUUGACUCAAUCAGAGGGCAGUUACGUAUUUUCAAUACUCUAAGAGAGGUGAGGUGUUGAAGCCCCUUGUAGUCAAGAGAUUUCAGGUGUUCUAGGGAAGAGAUGCUAAGAGAUGUAAGACUUGAGGGCAGCAGCAUCUCUUCAGGGAAGGAUUCAACAUUUUCGUCAUCACCAAUAACAAAGCUUGAAAGAGAAGGGAGCGUUUGCAAGCCCCAUUGCAUGCGGCCUGCAAUGAGUUUGUUGCAAUUGCAAAUCUCAAGCGAUUGUAAUGUGGAGGGAAAACCCCCUUCUGGACACAACUCAACUUCAGAACAAUUAAUUAUUCUCAAAUGGGUAAGGGAUGGGAGGAGAGAAUGCAUACUCUCAGGCAACUGCUUCAAGUUGCUGCAUUCUUCUAACACAAGUCGUGUCAAGACUGAAGCAGGUAACCCUCCUUUGGGAAAUGAAACUAAUUUAGGGCACCACCGGAUUUUCAAAGAUUGGAGAGAGGUGAGAUCAUUGAGAGGUCUUUCAUGUGCACAUAGUGAUUCCAGAUCUGGACAGUCAGAGAUAGAAAGAGAAUUUAAGUUGGGGACCAAGUCCAGUGCGACGCAUUUGAGAGAAGCACAGUUAUGGAUUCCAAUUUCCCCUAAAUCAGAAGGUGAACAACCCAUUUGAUCAAUUUCCUCGGGUAGGGACUCUAGGGAGUGGCAUCCACAAACAUCGAGAGAGAGCAACCUAGGAAACCUGGGAAGUGGAGUCGCGAGCUGCUCACAUCUGAAGGAUGUAAGUGAUGUUAAACGGGGAAGGUUGUGACCAGGUAGGGCCUUUGUAAGGUUCGGGCAUUUUUUGAUUGAAAGAACCUCAAGAAGAGGGAAGGCUUCCCGGCUGCCUUCGUCUGAAAUCCACUCGCGCCACUCUGGCAUCCUUUCAAAAGAUAAUCUUUUGAGGGAUUUAAAUGGCUUCUCCGUAGCAGUACAAUUCCCAUAGAACUCGGAGCCCACAGUGAGAACUUUAUCGAAUGCUUCAAUUGAGAGUUUCUCUAAAGAAGCUAAUUGCCCGAGCGGUGGUAAGGAGGUGCAGUUUUCACAUCUACUGAGCUUCAAGGACACUAUUUUUGAGAAAGUGGACUUUCCUACCCACUCCGGAAACGUUGGACCUCCAUAACCAUCAAUCUCAAGAUCCUUCACCUCUCUAUUUGGCUCUAAUUUCUCAAGUGUGCUUGUUACGUGUUGCGGGUCACGAGUGUCACCAUCCCAUGUAAACCUCAGCUUGUCAAGGUGCUUUUUACCUUUCAAAUUUGCCUCAGCAGCAUCCCGAGCAUCCACCACAUUUUGAAGGUUCCGAAUAUGAAGUUCUCCCCGUAGAUGUGGUAGCUUUCCCAAUUCUUUAAUGCUAGUCUCAAUCGGUCUUCCCUCGUUAAAGUCCACGAGAAAGUCAUUCCACGUUUCUUUAAUGCUCUCACUCUGUCUUCCCUCGAAAGAGUGCACCAGAAUGUCAGCCAACCUUUCUUCAAUGUUCUCACUCUGUCCUCCCACGAGAAAGUCAGUCAACGUUCGGAGCUUUGUCAGUUGACCUAUAUGUGGUGGCAUCACUUUCAAAGGCGUGUCUGAGAUGUUAAGAUACCGCAAGUUGAUUAACCUUUCCAGAGAUUCAGGCAACCUUCUGAUUCCUGUUCCUUCAAGAUUCAGAUGUCGUAACUGCUUCAAAUUUCCAAGAUCAGGUAGCCUAGCAAGUUGUUGGCACUUUUUCAAGAUCAACGUUUGCAAAUUGAGAAGAGCACUCACUUCUUCAGGCAACGUUACUAAAUCUGACCGGGAAAGAUCCAAAUACCGCAAAUGCUUCAACUUGCUAGUUGAACAUGACAACAUAGAUGCAUCUCUACAAUAACUCAUGAAUAGCACUCGUAGGCGACAAUGUGUUGACUGAAAGAUCUCCUUAUAAGUUUCGGGAGGACACUCAAAAUAGCGUGGAAAAGUUCGGAAUGUGCGUAGAAGUUGGGCUUCACGGAUGUUUUCUAAUAUUGUGCUUGAAAAAACACCUUUCGUAUCUUCAUCUCCGGUAUCUUCACCAUCCGUGUCUUCCGAAUCUACGAGUGAAAAAUGACGAGCCCUUCUUGUGGCCUUGGAAGAAUUAUUUACCCCCAACCUGGAGCUGAAGCAAAAUUGACCGGACACAUGGGUAGCCAAGUCAUGCAUGAGAUCGUGCAUCACAAAUGAUGAGCGAGAGGCACUUGAUUGCUGGAAAAACGACCUUGACAAGAGAUCAUCAAACCACUGAGCACCUGCUUUUUCCAUCUCAUCAUCUACGGAGGGGACUAAGAAGCCCUCUGCCAUCCACAAGAGUACUAAUUUAUUCUUUCGAAAUGAAUAGUCUUUUGGAAAUAUGGCACAAUAAGCAAAACAUUGCUUCAGAUGUGGCGGGAGAUAAAGAUAACUUAAUCUCAAAGCUGGGAGGAUAUUGUCUUUGGGUAAAUCCCAUAGAUUGCUUUCCAAUAUCUUCUCCCACUCCUCGACAUCUCUUUUGGUGCGUAGCAGACCUCCGAGUGUUACUGCAGCUAGAGGAAGGCCUUUACACUUUCUCGCUAUUGCUCUACCAAUUUCUAGCAACUCUUCAUGAGCAGUGGGAUCUUUACCAGGAAAUGCAUGUCUGGCAAACAAGGACCAGCAGCUGUCUUCCGUCAAUUCUUUUAGAUGAUGAGUUGGAACAGUUUGCAUGACUGAUGCUACACUUUCAUUGCGUGUUGUGACAAGAAUCUUACUCCCUUGUGCUCCGUACUGCAGGAGGGUAAGCAACUUGACCCACUCAGCAUAAUCUUCAUUCCAAACAUCAUCUAAAACAAGCAAGAAUUUCUUUCCCUCCAAUCUCUCCUUCAACUGAAGCUGGAGAUUAUUCAGACUCCCAGAACCAGACUUUGGAUCGACCUCCUCAAGGAUCGCCUUGGUUAACUUCAAAACACUGAAAUCUUCUGAAACACAAACCCAAGCUUUGAGGUUGAACCACUCUUGUACUCUGCUGUGACUGUAUACAAGCUGAGCAAGCGUUGUUUUACCAACCCCGCCCAUUCCUACUAUGGGAACGACACCUGGGUUUUUUCCAUUUGCAUCAUCUGAUAGAAGCAACUUCAGUAUUGCUUCGCUGUCAUCAUCUCUAUCACAAACACCAGAUUCAUCCACGAGAGAAGUUGUUUGUCUUUCAUGCGAUGAUGGUGCUUUUCCAGUGCGGUUGAUCAAACCAAGGGCAUCCUUUUGUUUUACUAAGUCAUCUAGACUCUCCUGGAGGCUUCUUGAUUUUUCUUUUAUCUCUCUCAACCCCAUUAUUUCACGUGGGUUAAUGAAGAUUUGAGCUUCAGCUUCCAACUCCUGCCGUAGAGCUUCAUAAGCAAUCUCAUCCAAGAAGUCCUCGGCUUCAUAGACAGCAUCUUUAUACGCGACCAGCCAAGCCCUCACAGCUGGACUUGUUAUCUGCUUCUCCUCAGCAUCGUCAAGCAGCCCCCUGCCAGGUAUCAUUGCUGUCUCCAACCUCUUCACCGGCCUAUCGUUCAUGUUUCUGGGUUUCAAUUUACUUGAAACUACAUCGACAAUCUUUUGAAUUAAUUUUGAUUCGUGCCUGUGGAUAGAAAAAGAAAGUCAUCACUCAUCGAUGAAAGAUAAUCUUUUGAACUUAAUGCAAAUUUAAAAUACAAAAUGUAAGAAGGGUAAAAGUUAUGAGCCUUUGCUAUUGAUAUAGGGGAAGAAAAGAAGUACCCAUUUGCGAUACUGCGACGAUGCAACCCACAUAAAUUUGCAGCCUCCACAAGAGCUUCUCUCCACUUUUGGACCUUCUCCAUUUCUUCCUUAAAACGUUCUUCAUGCUUAUCAAAGGCUUCAGCAAAACUCCCCGUCUGUUUUCUAAUAGCAGAAGGUUCGAUAUCAUAGAAAACAGGUAGAACAAUCUGACCAGUUGUGUGUCUGCAUUCAAGAAUCUUUUGAAGUUCACCAAGGCACCAAGUGGAGGAAGCAUAGCCCUGAGAGAAAACCACUACAGAAAUCUUGGAUUCUUGAAUUGCUUGGGAGAGUUGUAAGGAGAUUUCUUCACCUAUACGAAGUUCGUUGUCAUCUCGAAAUGCAUGGAUUCGUUCUCGGAGUAAAGCAUUGUAAAGAUGAUCCGUAAAAGUUUUGCGAGUAUCUUCACCUUUAAAACUUAGAAAUACAUCGUAAACCCAACCAGGUCUAGGCAAAGAAGAAGAAGACGCCAUGAUGAACAUCUAGCGGUGAUUGCAAACUGCAAAGUUAUAAUAAAGGUCACCUUCGGUCUUUCUUUUGAAGCGCAUAUAUAUAUAUAUAUAUAUAUAUAUAUAAUCGACUUCUUGCUUUAUUGCAAGUUGCAAACCAGGUACCAUUUGAUUCAGAAAAAGUUAUUUUCACAAAAUCAUUUUAAAAACUUUCUUUUUGUUAAAAAAUUUUGAUGGAAAAUACGUUUUAAUUAUAAAAAAAAUAGUUUUGUUUUUAAAAAAGUAUUUUUUAUUAUUAUUUUAGGUGAAAAAUAUUAUAAAAAAAUAUCUUAUAUGUUUUAAUUAUAAAACAAUUAGUUUUGUUUCUAAAAUAAUAUUUUUUAUUAUUAUUUUGAAUAAAAAAUAUUAUAAAAAAAUAUCUUAUUAUUUAUUAAUUGUAUAAUUUUUUAUCGAUUUACUUUUUAAUUUAAUGUUAAACAGAUUAAAACCUAAAAUUAAAAGAUUUGGAGUUUGAAUGCAAAACUUCAAAAUCGCAAUUUGAAUUGGAAAAAGGAGUCGUUUCCUGGACAACUGUUCACUGCCUUCUUCCACUGUUUCGGCAAUAAAGGCAAUGUUUUCGUUUCGUCAUUAAGGCAUUAAAAGGGUUUCAAUUACAGGGCAUGUCUCACGGCUAUUAUCAAGCCAGCCAUUACCAUCACAAGGCUUUCCCUGGCUUUUUAAAGCCAGGGAAAGGGAACGAACAAAGGGAGGAGAAGGACGGAUGAGAAACAGAACCACGGAAGGAAAACGAGCCAAGCCUAACGCAGACUAAAAUGAGAAAACACAGAGGAGGGAGCUUCUAUUCAACCUGCAGCACCUAACGCCUUCAUCACCAUCGUCUUCGUCCUGAGCAGAGGAACAAGAAAAAAACCCGAAGAGGGAGAAGAAGAAAAACAGGGAGCAUACAGAGAGAGCCAAGCCUCUGCACGACCAUCGGCUUCAUCUUUCUUAAUUACCAGCCUCCAGAAACAGAGGCGACAGAACAAGGAAUUAAAAACAAGGGAAGGGAAACAAAAAUAUUACAAGAAACUCGUCAUCACCAUCGGUUUCCCCUUUUCCAGCACCAGGAAUCAAAAACAAGGGAAGGGUUACAAUGCUUACCUUCGCACAAUUCAUGCACGCGUGAAUAAAUUCACGCGUGCACUCGGUUCUCCAUCCAGGUCAAUCGCUUGGACCACUGAUUAGACCGCACUGGCAGCACGUGGGCUAAGCUGGAUCCUGUCUCUAACGACCCUUUAUUUUAUUUUUUAAAAAAGUUUCAUUUCAGCUUGUUUUCUAUAAUAUUUUUAAAUAUUAAAAAAUAUUUUUAAGAAAAAAAUUAAUAAAAAAAUUAUUUUUCAAAAAAUAAAUAAAUAUAAACGCAUUAUAUUUGGUGUGGCUACUGAGUUGUAAAGCAUAAAAAUUAUUAAGGUAUUUCACUUUCAGAACCUCUGCAUUUGGCUUUAUUGAAAGGUUUAAGCCGAAAUAAAUUAUAUUAGUAAAUUUGUAUUGAAUUCCUUAAUUAUAUCAUGAAUUAACAUGUUUGGUAUCAAUGUCAAUAGAAAGAAUUGAAUUGACGCAAUUAAUUAAUUCUUGAUAGCAGUUUUAAAGGUAAAUGCAAGACAGUUACCUUUAAUCAUGAAGCAACGGACUUUAUUGUGGUGUACGGUGUACCGCAUUCUCAAAUGUAUCUGUUUUGUCUUUGAUUUAUUUUUCUAGAAAUUCCAUCUUUGAAAAAACUUCAUUAAAUACCAAGCUUUUCACGUGAUGUGAUGAUGCAGAAGAAGAUGUUCUUCCAUCACUUUAUUUGCCAGUAAAGUUCAAAGUAAAAAAAAAUAUCUCAAAUUAAUGUUAGUGUAUGCGUGAGUUGCGUGUGCCAGGAAAAACGAGUUAUGGCCCCCAUUUUACUCGGGUUGUCCUCGCUUUGUUUGCCAAGAGAUCCCAUCGUCGAAAAAAUGGGUUUGAUUGGAAUAACUUUUAUUAAAUGCCAGUCUUUAUUUUCACGUGAUAUGCUAAUAAUGCAGAAGAAGACUUCACUUUAUUUCUUCUCUCUUCUUCUUCUUUUAUCACUUUUCCUUCAUUGAUAAAGUACGGGCUUGUGUAUGCGUGGGUUGCGGGUGCUAGGAAAUUGGAGUUAGGCCCCACAUUUUAUUAAUUUUACUUGCUUUAUUUGCCAAGAGAUCCCAAGAUGGUAAUUCACUUUAUUUCUUCUCUCUUCUUCUUUUAUCACUUUUCUUUUAUUACUUUUCAUUCAUUGAUAAAUAAAUUAUGAAUUAUAAAUGAGCUGAUGAACAUUGCUAUGAAUAUUAUAAAAACUUCACUUUAUGUCUUUUAGUAUUUAUUUAACUAUUUUUAGUCUUUUUAUGCUCAAUCCUUGAACAAGGCGCUUGCACCCAUCGAAGACAUCAAGAUCCAGCGAGGAAAAGGGCGGGAAAGGAGCCUGAAGUGUUUGCCAUUAAUCAAGUGGAUGGCUUUUGACAAUUAAAUAAGAUACCCAAUCGUCUCUCACAUCCUCUCCACCUUCACCAGUAUCUUUUGUGGUAAUUUAAGUUAAAACAUCCAUUUUAAUCAUAAUUUCAGUUAACACAUUUUUAAUUAUAAUUUUAGUUAAAUAUUUAUUUAAAUCAAACAAAUCACGAGUGAAAACUAUCUUUUUAAAGUCUCCAUCACCGCAAGAGCUAUCACGAGAACAAAACACUCCAAAAAACAAAUUAAACAAUGAAAACGCUUUGUUUCUUUUCGUACUGAAGACCAGCUGUCUCCACUCAUGCGACAUGUCACUAUCCCUUGAGUGAUUGGAUUUCAGCCGUUGAUUUGUGUCAUGGUCUUGAAAUUACGCUUUCUUGUCUCCCUCUGUCAUGGGCUCAUUAUAGCCUCAGUUUGUAGGGCUCAUUAAAAGGGCAUAGAAAUUACCUAGAUAUUACAGGUUCCUACUUUUUUUUAUUUCGCCGUCAGGGAUAUAUACCAUAAAGUUUUAAUUGAAUAUAGAUAUUGUUUAAUCGGGUACUCAUUGUCAAGGAAAUAUACCAUAAAGUUCCUACUUUUCUUUUAUCAAAUAAAUUUCAUAGUAAGCUAUAUUUCUAAAAAUUAGACCGUUCUAUGGAUUUUAACCAACAACUCAAUGAUAUUUCUUAUCUAGACAUCAAUUCCUUUUUUGAUUUUCAUGGUAAUAAUAUUUCACACAAUCUCAGUAUCAACACAAGUGUUCCAUAAAAUUAUAAUAUUUCACACAAUCUCAAGUAUCAACACAAGUGUUCCAUAAAAUUUAAAAAGUUAUAAAGAAAUAUUCAAAAAACAUUUCUAUUUACUAUAUUAUUCAUCAAUUCACAACAUUUAUUCACAAUUAAAUCCUCUAAAAUCUCCCAUCAUUGGCCGGCCACUAGCUCUAUUUAAUUAUCAAAAAUUUUACUUUAAUUACAAUAAUUUAAUCACUUUACUCUAAUUUUCAUAUUAUUUCCCAUGACAAAUUAAAAUAAAUUUUUAUUUCCUUCAAAUUUAUUCAAAAACCCUAACUUUUUAAUUUCAAAAAUUCAACCAAUUAAAAACUUUAAGCCAUUAAAAUUUAGAUCAAAUGUCUUUACCAAGCAGGUAAUUAAACUCUAAACACUUUUUUAAUAUUGGUGUUUUUGAUAGAUAUGUAGAAAUAGUAUUUAUAAGAAAGAAAAGAUAUUUUGACAUUUUAUUUAAUAUUUUUUAAAAUAUAUAAAAUAAACAUGAAAUAGUCAAAAUAAUAUUUUUAAAAUUUUUAACUUUUCAUUUACCACAUCCUUUGUAGAUGCCGCUAUGAUAUGGACUCAAUAUAAGUGGGUUAAAUAUUGGUGGGCUAUUUCAUCUUUCUUUAUUUUUUAAAAUUUUACUCUGUUUGUCUUUGAUUUAUUUUUCUAAAAAUUACAUCUUAAAAAAAAGAGGGUUUGAUUGGAAAAACUUCACCAUAUUUGGUUAUUUGGGAACUAGGUAUUAUAAUUUCAUAACAUAAAUUAUAAAUCUAACAGGUUAACUAAGCUGAACCAAUUUAAUAUAAAACUUUGUUAUUAUUAAAUUAAAAAAAUAACAUUUUAAAAUCUUUUCUAAAUUAAAGUAUAUUUUAACGGGAUGUUAAUUAAUUUUAUGAAUAUUGUUCCGGAUGUGUUCGUGUAUGCGUGAAUUGCGCGGGCCAGGAAAAUGGAGUUAGGUGGCGCAUCAACUCGGUCUGUCCUUGCAUUAUAUGCCAAGAAGCCCCAGCGUUUGAAAAAGUGACAGGAAAAUGGAGUAACUUUGUUUGUAUCUUUCUUUUCACGUGAUGUGCUAAUAAUGCAGAAGAAGACUUCACUUUAUUUCUUCUCUCCUUUUCUUUUAUCACUUUUAUUUCAUUGAUAAAGCAGAUAAAUAAAUUAUAAAUUAGCUGAUGACCAUUGCUAUGAAUAUUAUAAAAACUUCAUUACACAUUUUAGAAUGUUGCGUAGUGUUUGUUUAACUCUAAAAGAAUCGUGGAGCAAGUUAUAAUAAAAAAAAAUCAUUAUAUUAGAAAUUACAGUUGAAUUGCGAAAAUAAAAAUAUCCUUAAUCAGUAUUAAAGAUACUGAUUGUUUGCUUUGAAUAACAAGAUUCAGUUCAAUAGGAUUAGGUCUUGUUGGUUUUAUCUUCCACCUGUAAAAAUGACCUUGUUUUUCAUGUAGAUGGAUCAUUUUAUUCCAAAACUUUUUUAUAAAUAUAAUUAUUAAACUUCAUCGAUUAAUGUUUUUUUAAUUAAAAAAUAGUUAAGAAAACAACUUAAAAACAUGUUCAUCGAUCAAAUGUGUUUGUUUUUUAGCAGUUUUUGCUUUUUUAACGCAUAUAACAAAAACAAGAUAUUUGGUUAUAUGUGAAUUUGACAGCAAAACCGUGUUUAUGGUGCAAAGAGAGAAAGAGGGAAGGAAAGUGACAAAGAGCACAAAAGGUCAAUAAAAAUAAUUUGAUCGGUGGUUGAAGUCUCUCUAUCCAGUGUCAGCAACAUAAUAGCUGCGACCACCACAGAAAAAUAUACAGAACUCGCAAAAGCCUUUUCUCUGGAUCACACAUUUUCCGAGAAAUUGCAUCUUUGAAAAAAGUGGGUUUAUUUCUUUGCAUCUCUGGAUCAGAAAAACAUCACUAAAUGCCAAGCUCUUCACGUGAUGUGAUCAGGCAGCAGAAGACUUCACUUUAUUUCUUCUCUCUCCCUCCUUCCAUCACUUUUCAUUGGUAAAGCAAAUAAAUAAAUUAUAAAUUAUAUUAUUAUAUUUUAUACAUUAUAUUUUGUUUUCUUUUUUUAAUUUAAUUAUUAAGGUAUUUCACUUGCAUAACCUCUGCGUUUGGCUAUAUUCAAAGGUUUAAGCCGAAAUAAAUUAUAUUAGUAAAUUUGUAUUGAAUUGCUUAAUUAUAUCAUGAAUUAACAUGUUUGGUAUCAAUGUAAAUAGAAAUAAUUGAAUUGACGCAAUUAAUUAAUUCUUGAUAGCAGUUUUAAAGGUAAAUGCAAGACAGAUACCUUUAAUCAUGAAGCAAGAACGGAUUUUAUUGUGGUGUACGGUGUACCGCAUUCUCAAAUGUGAUCUAAAGAAAUGUAAAAGCGAUUGUAAAGAAUUUAUAUUAUUGUUUUUUAAAGUAUUUUUUUAUUUAAUAAUAUAUUAAAAUAAUAUUUUUAAAAUUUUAACAUAAAAAUGGUAUAAAAAUAUAAAUAAUAAUAAUUUUUUUAAAAAAGUUAUAAAACAUAAAUUAUAUGUGAAGAAUCAUAGGUUUGUGAUUGUGGGAUCCAUUACAAUUUAUGGGCCAACCAUGAGCUAAUAAAAAGUAACAUCGACAUGUUUUUACUAAGCUACAACCUCAGUAUUUUCUCAUCCACCGACAACUUCAUAAAAAAAAAUAUCAAUGGUUUUUUUACAAUUACUAAGAUACCCAAUCAUUUUUAAACAUCCACCACCACAAGAGCUAUCACGAGAACAAUUUAAAACAAUGAAAAGGCUGUUGUUUCUCUUUGUACUGGAGACCAGCUGUCUCCCACCCAUGGCAACGUGUCAGUAUCCCUUGAGUGAUUGGAUUUCAGCCGCUGAUUUAAGUCCUGGUCUUCUGAAAUUACGUUUCCCUGUCUGCCUCUAACAUCAACUCAUUUUCCACGAAAUUUCCCAAUCUUCGGACAAUAUGCUACAUAAAGAUAAAAUGAUGAUUUAUACACAUUUCCAUUAGCUUUGAUGGAGAAAGAGCAUUUCCAUUAGCUUUCAUGGUAAGCGAUCCGUACUACCUGUGAACAUAGAAAAAAAGAAAUAAGAUUUCUUAUAAAAUAAAAUGUAAAUAGGCCUUUCCCUUUUCUUUUCUCUCGUGUACAUUUCUUAUAGCUCGUGCUAACCAUACUCCUACAAGAAAUAAGAUAUUCCUUUCUUCGACUUCCUGUUUUUUCGCCAGUUAAAAGAAAAUACAUCUGAAAUUUCCUUAUUUUUUAGAGAGAAAUAUAUUUUCUUCUUCUAGUACUCAAAAGUCAAAACACUUGGAAAGUCAAGUCAGUAUAUCAUAUAAUUGAUACAUAGGUGGUUGUUUCGAUUACUUGAAAAUAUUACAACUAUACUGCCUUUAAAUAUAAGAAAUACUAAAAUAUAAGAAAAAAAUUGGGGUAUUUUUUCUUUUUGAAAAUAACGAGUUUUGUUUUGGAUGAAAUUGUUCUUGACCUUUCAUAGCUACCGUAAUUAUAGAACAAUUAGUUCAAUUGCAAACUUAUGGAUAGAUCUAAUUAAACAUAAUUAAUUAUUUAAUUGAAUAAUCAUACACUCGUUAUGAACAACAGAUAUUCUUAUGAUUAAAGGAAGAUUUAUGGUUGCAAAGUUUAAUCAUGCAGACAUUGACUAAUAUGUUUUUUGUGGAAAGUAUUUAAAAAAAAAAUUAAUUUUUUUUAUUUUAAAUUAAUAUAUUUUUGAUGUUUUUAAAUUGUUUUAAUUUUGAUAUGCUGAUAUCAAAAAUAAUUUUUUAAAACUAAAAAAGUAUUAUUUUAAUAUAUUUUAAAAUAAAAAAUAUAUUAAAAAAUAAUCAUUAUGCCGGGAAUUCCAUUUUACUCGGUUUUGUCUUUGAUUUAUUUUUCUAGAAAUUCCAUCUUUGAAAAGAGUGGGUUUGAUUGGAAAAACUUCAUUAAAUGCCAAGCUUUUCACGUGAUGUGAUGAUGCAGAAGAAGAGGUUCUUCCAUCACUUUAUUUGCAAGUAAAAUCCAAAGUAAAAAAAAAUAUCUCAAAUUAGUGUUAGUGUAUGCGUGAGUUGCGUGUGCCAGGAAAAACGAGUUAUGUCCCCCAUUUUACUCGGUUGUCCUCGCUUUAUUUGCCAAGAGAUCCCAUCGUCGAAAAAAUGGGUUUGAUUGGAAUAACUUUUAUUAAAUGCGCAAUAUAAUCUUUAUUUUCACGUGAUGAGCUAAUAAUGCAGAAGAAGACUUCACUUUAUUUUUUCUCUCUUCUUCUUUUAUCACUUUUCCUUCAUUGAUAAAGUACGGGCUUGUGUAUGCGUGGGUUGCGGGUGCUAGGAAAUUGGAGUUAGGUCCCACAUUUUAUUAAUUUUACUUGCUUUAUUUGCCAAGAGAUCCCAAGAUGGUAAUUCACUUUAUUUCUUCUCUCUUCUUCUUUUAUCACUUUUCUUUUCUUACUUUUCAUUCAUUGAUAAAUAAAUUAUGAAUUAUAAAUGAGCUGAUGAACAUUGCUAUGAAUAUUAUAAAAACUUCACUUUAUGUUUUUUAGUAUUUAUUUAACUCUUUUUAUGCUCAAUCCUCGAAGAAGGCGCUUGCACCCCUUGAAAAUAUCAAGGAUCCAGCGAGGAAAAGAGCGGGAAAGGAGCCUGAAGUGUUUGCCAUUAAUCAAGUGGAUGGCUUCUAGUCCACAAGAAUUGACCACAACAGUUGAUGUUUUGACAAUUAAAUAAGAUACACAAUCGUCUCUCACAUCCUCUCCACCUUUACCAGUUUCUUUUGUGGUAAUUUAAGUUAAAACAUUCAUUUUAAUCAUAAUUUUAGUUAAAUAUUUUAAAUUAUAAUUUUAAUUAAAUAUUUAUUUAAAUCACGAGUGAAGAUAAUUUUUAUAAACUAUCUUUUUAAAGUCUCUAUCACCACAAGAGCUAUCACAAGAACAAAGACACUUCAAAAAACAAAUUAAACAAUGAAAACACUUUGUUUCUUUUUGUAUUGAAGACGAGCUGUCUCCACUCAUGCCACAUGUCACCAUCCCUUGAGUGAUUGGAUUUCAGCUGUUGAUUUGUGUCAUGGUCUUCUGAAAUUAUGCUUUUCUAUCUCCCUCUGUCAUGGGCUCAUUAUAGCCUCAGUUUGUAGGGCUCAUUAAAAGGGCAUAAAAAUUACCUAGAUAUUACAAGGUUCCUACUUUUUUUUAUUUCGUUGUCAAGGAUAUAUAUCAUAAGUUUUAAUUGAAUAUAAAUAUUGUUUAAUCGGGUACUCAUUGUUAAGGAAAUAUACCAUAAAGUUCCUACUUUUCUUUUAUCAAAUAAAUUUCUUAGUAAACUAUAUUUCUAAAAAUUAGACUGUUCUAUGGAUUUUAACCAACAACUCAAUGGUAGUAAUAUUUCAUACAAUCUCAAGGAUCAACACAAGUGUUCCAUAAAAUUUAAAAAGUUAUAAAUAGAUAUUCAAAAAACAGUUCUACUUACUAUAUUAUUCAUCAAUUCACAAUAUUUAUUCACAAUUAAAUCCUCUAAAAUCUCCCAUCAUUGACCGGCCACUAGCUCUAUUUAAUUAUCAAAAUUUUUACUUUAAUUACAAUAAUUUAAUCACUUUACUCUAAUUUUCACAUUAUUUCCCAUGAUAAAUUAAAAUAAAUUUUUAUUUCCCUCAAAUUUAUUCAAGAACCCUAACUUUUUAAUUUAAAAAAUUCAACCAAUUAAGAACUUUAAGCCAUUAAAAUUUAGAUCAAAUGUCUUUAGAAUGCUUUACCAAGCAAGUAAUUAAACUCUAAACACUUUCCAAAUCAAGCUUUCGACUCCUCUUCUUCAAUCUUGGUUGAACUUCCUCUCUUUUUAUCUACUCACCUUCAUUUAAUUUUUAUUCCUUCCAAUUAAUGCUCAUAAAGCUUAGUUACUUUCCCUCAAGAUCUUCCCUUAAGAUUUUAUGUUUCCGUUACAAUUCUAUCUCUCUCACGUGUAAAUGAUAGUUUUCCCUUCUUUUUUUUUUUUUUCUUUUUUCUUCUUACUGGAGCACGCACACAUACGGUAAAAUUUUACCAAAUUCCCUCUAUAUUCCAAAUAGUAAAUUUCAUGUUCCCAGGAUAAAAUUCUUGGAUCCUGGCAUUUGUCUAUAUAAAAAUUUUACCUAGGUGAAUUUGAAUUUUAUUUAAUUAUAUAUUGAUAAUUUUAUUUUCAAAUCGUAUGGACUCUCUCUCAUGCCCCAUCAUCAGCACAGGAGGAGGGAAUGGGGGUGCUGUCUUCCUCGGUGAAAACUAAUGGUGAUAGAGUGCUUCUGUUUCCCAAACUAGGAUUCAAGGAGGUGCCAAAGCUGUCCUGACAAGUAGUGGGGACCUAGCAUUUAUGAUAGUGUUUCUGAUUCCCAAACUAAUGGUGAUAGUGUAUCCUCGAGUCAUUUAUGCUCGAAAUUCUGUUUAUUUCUGGUUGGAUGUGGAUUCUCAAAGAUUGAUCAUCCUGAGCUUGUCUGUACCAUAAGGAGACUAGUGAUAUCAGGUUCCAAAGCAACUGAUAGUAGCCAUUGAAGCUGCAAAUGGACUGGACGAAAAGCAGAAAGGAUGAGGGGACACACCAAGAGGCUUAAUGACACCAUCAUCCGCUAAUCACCAGCCAUAUGUAUCUUCAGAAAUAUAUAUCGCGCACGACUUUUGCCAACACAUGCCUGUGCAGUACAAGAAUAAAAGAUUAUUUUUCAGUUAAAAAAAAUAAAGUUGGAAAGAAUAAAAUGAAUUAGCAGCGCAAGAUAAAUACUUACGUUUCGGAUUUUGGAUAAUGCAUCAUGAUGAUGCAAAUUUAAUUGGCCAUGAUAAUUAUGAUAGGAAGCUGUAACUUCCUCUGUUCUUACAUCAGAUAUUUGUGAUGGCUUUACACACAAAUUAAUCCUUCUCAUUAUAUAAUCACGUUAUUAAAAAUGUAUAUUUUAGUUGUGAUGACUAUAUAUGUGCUAGUGAGAAAGAUAUGUUUUUAAGAUUUUCAUAGAAGAAAAAAAAUAUUGAUAUGAUAUCUUUGCUCCAAAUUUGAAUCUAGUGACCGUUGGAAGAUGUUAGAAUCCUACUAAACGCACCGUAUGGCCAUUAGAAGAUUGUAGGGGUAUUAUGUCACAAAACACACCGUUCAAUUACUACCUAGACACAUCGUUUAAAUGUUGCUGUUUCUUUUAUGACUCUUGCCACGUGUUGGCUGUUGCUUGAUAAUUGGAAGUUGUUGUUAGCCGCUCUUUCAGUUAGCAUUUCUAUCAGAAUGCCUGUAUGAAAAUAGAAGAACGAAAAAUGGUGGCUUAACCAAUUUAUGUCCUUCUCUCCACUCUCUUCUUCUUUAUUCCCUAUCAUCCAGUGUUUCUGUUAAAUGGCCUGCGAGUUUAUUGAUCCCUGUGAUUAGUAGACUCCAUUGUAAACCUCAAAUCAGUGUAGUGACCUAACAGUCCUACUGGAUUCUAUCCUGGUGGGAGAUCAUUCCAUCGUACUUGCUACAAGUGGUAUUAGAGCGAUCGAUCCUCGGAAUGUGAACAAAUGAUCGAUCGCUCCUGACACUGGAUCUCAAGACAUCAAAAAGCUGGAGAGCUCCCUUGAAGCUGUCAGCAAGGAUCAAGCAUAAGAUUAUGGACAAAUGAUGAAAAUGUUGGAGUCUUACAAUCACAAACUGGGUACCACAGAAAGCAACCAUGAAGCUAAGUUUAACGAACUCAAGGGUCUCAUUAGUGGAAUAACUUAUCAACAAACAUCCCUUCUUCGAUCACUAAAACUUUCCACAGGGGAGGCUAAUACCUACCCGAGACAAACAAACAACUCAUAAGUUGCAAUAACUUGAUUACCUAGUGAAGGUGAGCACUCUCGGAUUAGGACGCACAAACCCAUAUGUGACUUUCUCAGCUUUGAUGGGGAAGAUGCCCAUAAAUGGUUUGUAUAGAUGCAAUCAAUAUUUUGAUCUUAAGAAGAUUGGAGAUUCUAAAAAACUUAAGUUAGCAUCAUACUACCUUGAUGGAAUAGCAUUAUAUUGUCACCAGAACUUUGAGGAGUUUGGGAGGCCUAGAAGUAACAUUGGAAGGUUAUGUAGAGGCCAGAAAGACCCAAUAAACGCUCCCAAUCCGCUGCUCUUGCUUUCUUUCUAAACGACCAUGCACUACUACUAGACUUGUUAAUGUUCUCUUUAAUCAAGAUUUUAGCCGUCCUAGAUUUUUUUAUUGUAAAAAAUAAUUAGUUAAUCGGACAUAAGCAUUUUCAAAGACUCCGUUCAUUUAAUUGAAUAAAUUUAAUAAAUAUUUAAGUUAACAUGGGUUAAUAUUUUAAUUCUAAUGAUUAUUAUGAAUAUAAAAUUAAGAUAACCUGUAGAAAGAAAAGUAUAUAAAAAAAAAACAUGAAGAUAAAUUCUCUAUAAAUCAAACAUUGAAGGAUAAGAUUUAAAAAAAAAAAAACAAAACUAAAAAAAAACCGAAGUUAAUCUGUGUUAAUAUUUGAAACUUGUGACUUUGGUAAUGAGCUCAAUAUUAACUCUACAAAAGAUAAACCCUAAAAAAUAAUGAAAUUAAAUUCUUUAUCACAAGAUAAUGAGAGAUAAAACUAGGAAAAAAAUACAACUUAAAAAGGAUUUAAAAAAAACAUAUAGUAAUAAAAAGAAAAUUAAUCAAAUUUUACAUUAAAAUAAAUUGAAAUCAUAUAUUAAGAGAUGAAUUUGAAAAGAAAAUUCAAUUAGAAAAAAGAUAAUAAAUAAAUAAAUAUUAAUUAAAAAAAUAAAGGCUAAACUUGGUAUAAAAAUUGAAUAAAAUCAAAUGAUAAGAAUAAAAUUUUUAAAAAAACAAAUUUACAAAAAAUAAAAAUCAAAUAAAUAACAAUAAAAUAAUAAAAAUCAAAUUCUUCAUAAAAAAAAUAAAAGAAAACUUCUGUAAUUUACCAUAAGAGGGGAAAAAAUACAGAAAAAGAAAUCCACGUACUUGUGGCCCACCACCACCCAGCCCUGAUGCUCUUCUCCAAAGUUCCAAACAACAAACAGAAGUCAGUUUUUGGCCAGCAAAAAGCCGCACGCGCUUCUCCAAAGCAUUUCAGUAAUAAAAACAUUAAAAACUAUUAAUUUUGCCUUAAAUGCAACAUAUUAUACACUUAAAAGAAUUAUGAAAAGUAGCUUAAUUUGUCAGACAUUGAGUUUACUUUCCAAUAAUCACGAGUUUGAGUUUUUUUAAGGUUACCAAAAGUUUAUAUAAUCGUUAACAUUAGAACCCGUGAAAUUAAUCGAGUUACAUACAAACUGGUCUAAACAUUCCCGUUAAUUAAAAAAAAAAGAUUUCCAAAAUAUGUCUUGAGGAUUUGCAAGGAAUUGGUGAGCGUGUUCAAUUGUGGAAGGGCUUUCCUGCAUUUCUGUUCUUCACAUAAUAUGGGGUGAGGCUGAAGAUAGUGAUGACCAUAUCGUGCCAUAUCCAGAGGCAAGUGAAGAUUAUUGCAAGAAAAAGGAAUCGAGUGAAGAAGCUAGCACCAUUAAAUCUAGUGAGCAGAAGGCACCUGGGGCUAAAGUUGAUACUGAUGGCAGAAAGCUGGAGAGCAUUUCGAAUGUUGACACAAGUGAAGGAACUUCUUCCUUAGGACUUGACAUGGACCGAUGACCUAACUUGUCCUCACGUAAUGCUGCCAAAACUGAGCAGGAUUCCUUGGAAACUUCAAUCUCUAACAAUCUAACUGACAUUACCAAACUCGAUUCAUCAGCAGGUGAUGAGAUUUCAAUCACAAGGAAACAAUGUAGAUAGGGUGAAGUUGCAUGAUGUUUUCAUAGCAUAGUAUCUUACAUGCUACUGUCAUUCUAAUUCUUUUUUUUUUAAAACGCGGAGACAGAUAAUCUUGAUAAGGACACUGAGAUUUUUCAAAAUCCUCAUGAAGGUAAAGAGCAAGGUGAUUUUGCUGAUUAUGGCUGGGCUAGCAUUGGAAGCUUUGAUGAUCUUGAUCGAAUUUUUAGGUAAAGCACAGUUACCAUUUCUUACUUUCUGCACCUAAAUGAAAGAUGGUCAGCAGCACCUGAUAUGGAAGCUUGUAUAUCUCAUUAUUCUGAUAAUUUGAACAAAUUCUUAUUACUGACUGUGAAGUGAAAGUUUCGCGAACAAAAUAAUUAUGCUCACUGUCUAUUUUCAUUUCAGAAGAAAAAAAUCAUGUAGUACAAGAGUGUUGUUGUGAAGGAAAAACAACCAGACUCUUUUAAUAAUUGUAGUUUCUUCUGUGUUGGAUCUAUAUCCUUUUCCAAAUAAGUGCUGUCUGCUGAAAGCAACACUAACAAAAAAUGACUAGUUGUUUGAAAAUUUAUGGUUUUUGAUCCUUGGCUUAAUUUUGUUAAUUGGGAAAAGAACCUGAAGGAUGCCAGUUUUUAGCAGCACAAUAUCCUCAAUUACAAGUAUAAAUGGCAGAAAGAAUGUAAUAUAGCAGCACUGGAUUUGCAAGGAAUUGGUGAGCUUGUUCAAUUGUGGAAGGGCUUUCCUGCAUUUCUGUUCUUCACUAAUGUUCUUAUAUUUUAUCUUGAUUCUGUUGGAGAACAGUAAUAACCAUCUGACUCAAUAUCCUCACAAGUGGUGAUUUUGCAGCAAUGAUGACCCAAUAUUUGGCAAUGUAAAUCUUGGUAAUGCUGAUGAGCUAUGGUCUUCUUCAAAAUGUACAACUAACAGCCCGGUAAAGCCCUUUCCAAUAUCUGUGGCUUCGAGAGAAGAGGACCAGCUGUUUGCCCUUGGCUAUGGAAAAAUGAACGACCCUGCAUCUCAUGGUCUGCAUAAUACUCAGGCAAGCCUUGAUCAUGUAGAAUAUGAUGAAGGUAAAAACAAGCCUAUACUGAAGGAGCAGGUAUAGCGACUCAAUUUUCAGUAAUGAGUUCACUUAUUAAUGCCCCAUGCUCAAGUGCAGGAGCUGAGAGAAGCUUAGCAUUAAUUUUUUUUAUUUUUUUUGUGCUUUUGCAGACAGAUUUGGCUGUUGUGGGAAAGAACACGGCGGCUAACUCUCAACUGACAGAGAGGAAUGAAAAUAAACUUGGAUGUUGGGUGAAUAUGGAUUUACAUGAUUUAGUCAUGACUUCAAUAAUGCAUCAAUUAAGUUAUCCUGGAUGUCAAAUCCAUUACUUAACCAUGAUAUCGAUUGCCUAAAGUAAAGCCAUUGUGUGGUUUUCUGUUAGUAGGAAGGAGAAAGGAAUAACAUGUGAAAAUUCAGGGACAUGCAAAUUCUGUUUGCAUGGCAUAGUUUAGCUAAUACCUCGAUAUAUUCUGAACAAUAGAAGCCCUUUCGAUCGUAAGUUGCAGUUCAAAAAAUAAAAUAACAUUGAAUUUGUCCUUACAAACCAUGUACCGAAUUAAAAUACUAACUGUGCCUUAGUCACUCUCCCCUGCAGGGCUAUGGUUAAAAUGUUGAUCUAUUCUAAGUAAUUUGUCUAUUUAUUAUAGUUCUGUGAUCAGAGUUACAGGCAAAAGAAGAUCUUGUAAGGUCGGGAAAAACUGGAAGAAAAAGGUGAACUGAAAUCAUACCAAGAUUUUUAUGGAAACUGGACUUCAUCUGGAAUCCCAGCCUGUCAACUUAAGGAUCAUUUAGCACCCCAAAUUAUGCAAUCUUCUUCCCCUUCAAUUCUCAGCCAACAGAAGCAGCUAGGGUUACAAAUCCAUUUGUGGCCCCUUCUGCAUACGGGAGUAUUACAAAUCCAUAUUCUAUGUCUGGGUUGUCCCACAUUCAGUCUGGGGAUUUUAAGCAUCAACCUUUAGCUUCUGGUUAUGAAGUUUCUUCAGGUAAUGCAAAUCCUAUAAACAAGUUAGCUGACUGUCCAGUGAAACCCCAGAGAAUGACACCUCAGGAAAAGAUUGAAAAAUUAAGGAGGCGGCAACAAAUUCAGGCAAUGCUUGCCAUUCAGAAACAGCAGCAGCAGCUUGUUCAUCAAAAGUGUUCCCAAGAAAAUCAAAUUCAGCGUGUUGAAGGAGCUGACCUUGAAGUAGAGGAUCUAAGUACACUUGCUUCAUUUGACCCAAACUCACCUAUUGAGCAAGACGAUUCCAAUACAGUCUCUCUAGCGGUUAAUGAUUAUUCAAUGGAGGACACAGUACUCUACAGGCUUCAAGAUAUUAUUUCAAAGGUAUGCUUCACGUACUAUUGCAUUCUUUCCCUGCUAAACAAUUUGUGCUUGGUUACGAUUCCAAACCAAUGUUUUACAACAGUUGGAUGUCAGAAUUAGACUUUGUAUUCGGGAUAGCUUGUUCCGGCUGGCUCAAAGUGCAAUGCAAAGGCAUCAUGCUAGUGAUACUGGCAGUACAAACAAUAGCAGGGACGAACAAGUUGCUGCAAAAGAGGAAAUCAGCAGUCAAAGAAGGUUGGUUAAGGCAAUGCAUUUCUCAUGCUUCUGUUUUCAAAUUUAAUCUAUCCUCUUUUUUUUUUGUAACAUUUUUGCUCUAUGGAAAUGUUAAAUUAGGAUCUUUUAAUGCCAUCACCAUUUUCUGUUUUCCAUUCUCAUUCUAGAAAUAAAUAUUGAAAACGGUAUCCUCUAUUUACAAUGGAGGAAUAGUGACUGAAACAAUUCAAUUAAGGCAGCGCUUGUUCUUAGAAGUAGAAGAAAAUCUAAACAGAAAAUUUUAGGUUCCUCUUUCACUGGAUUUCCUUAAAAACUUGACUGAAUUUGACCUUGUUGAUCAAAUAUGUAGUAGUUCGCUUCCACUGGUUCUGUUAUGAUUGUGAGUGCUGGUCAUCAUGUCUUGAUUUAGUUGAAAGAAGCUUUGGUAUUGUAGGCCAACCUAGGUAGAGGCAGAUAUUAAACUGACAUUUGUAGCUUUACCCUGGUGCAGCAUUCAUGAGUGCAGUGCAGCAAGUAGUCAUGAGGUGACAAUUCAAAUAGCAUAAUAUUUUGUAGAGAUUUUCAUUUAAUUAGAAAAGGAAAUUUAAUUUUUCCAAUAUUAACAAAAUCUAUGCAAGUUUUCUGCAAUGUUGAUUCCAGUGAAUUUGUGCAUAAUCACCUUAAUCCGAAAAGAAGAGCUAAACACACACAUCCAAGUCUAAAUGAGUGGCACAACAUGCAUGAUAAAUUUUACUAGAUUUAACUAAGAGAGAGAAACAAAGAUUGUUCAACAAGUGCAAUAAGUUUAUUCAAAGACAAAUAGAAGGAAAACAAGAUCUGUACAAAUUCACUGGAAUCAUCAAUGCAGAGAACUUGCACAACUUUAGAUAAACAGGGAAAAAUUAAAUUUCCCUUCUAAUUUAAUGAUCAUCUGCAGAUUAAUGAUACAUUACAUUUUAAGCAAGAAAUUUAAGAACUCAAAUCAUCUUCUAAUCAGCUCAUCAAUGUCUAAAUGGGACACUUCCAGCCAAAACCAUAAGCUGUUUUGAUCUGAAACUCGAUUUUUUGUUGUAAGCGACAAUGUGAUUGUUUCUUGUUCCAAUGGGUUUGUUCCUUUACAUCUCGUCCUUCCCAUUUCAAAUCAUUCAAUUUGUUUGCACAAAAUUAUUAAUCAAGUCUUUAUCAAUUUGUUUAGAGUAUGGCAAUCUCAAACUUGCCUGUCAUUUUCCUCAUGGAUUUUAUGAGUAUACUGCAGGGUGGUUAAGAUGCCUGAGGUGGAAACAGAGACCAAUCCCGUAGACCGGACUGUGGCUCAUUUGCUGUUUCAUAGACCGAUGGAUAUUCCUGGGAAGCAUCCUGAUACACCUGAAUCACCUUUUUCAACUAAGCUCCCUUGUGAGCACAAUGUUAAUGGUAAUAAGACAGAUGCUCAUGGAAACAAUUCAACUGCAGCUGUAAGCCAGCAACGUGGAAACCAACAUGGAAACGAAUCAGCCCUCAUGGAAACAAAUCAACUGCAGCAGUCAGCCAGCAACAUGGAAACAAAUCAAAGAGACGUUGGCUAAUUAGAAUCACCAGCAACAAUGGAAACAAACCAACUCUCAUGGUAACAAAACACAAACAGAAAGAGACGUUGGCUUGUUAUGAAAAUAAAUCAACAGCAGCAGCAAUGAAGUUUAUGACAGGAACCAGAAAGAGAAAGAGACGUUGGAUUGUUAUAGAAAUAGAUCAGCUAAGAAUUAGGCAAGUCAAUGUAUCCAAAUUAAGCAACUUGUAAUGUUCUAAAAAACAACAGCUCGUAUAGAAUGGCAAGUAGUAUAUUCACGUUAAUAUUCAAAGAAACAGAGAAACCUUUCUUCCAUUGAAACAUUCUUAUCUUUCUUCAAAUUUCCGCUUGGUAUCAGAGCCUGUGUGAAUAUACAUCUUAGCAGAACCACACAACAUGUGAACUCUGUCACUCAAUGUUGGUAAUUUCAUUACCCUCAAGCUCAGCCCCACAAAUUAUCCACUAUGGAGAGAACAAGCCUUAGCUCUUGCAAAAAGUCAAGACUUGGUUGAUCAUCUCAUCAAUGAAGAUUCAAUCCCAAACAAAUAUAUUGUACCAGAUUCUACUACCACCACAGAUUCUUCACCAAGACUAACAGAAGAAUAUAUUGUCUGGAGGAAGGCAGAUUGACUACUUCGUGGCUGGUUGAUUGGUACUCUUUCAGAACAUACAUUAGGCCUUGCAGUAGGCCUAGACACAGCCUUUGUUGUCUGGAGUGCUCUAAAGAAUGAAUAUGCAGAGGACUCCCAAGAACGAGAAUUCACCCUCAGACAACAAGUCACCUAUUUUCUCAAAGAAGAUAACAGAACCAUUGGAGAACACAUUCGAAUCUUCAAAGGACUAUGCGAUGACCUUGCAGCUAUCGGGAAACCAAUUUCAGAUAAAGAAAAAAUCUUUUGCCUCCUCACAAGUCUCGGCCCUCAAUAUGAAACCUUCACUACCACAAUGCUGAAACCACCAAGACCUUCUUACCCGGAGUUGGUCUCUCAAUUACAGAGCUUAGACCAAAGAAGAAACUGGUUCACCAAUCAGACAAAUAACUCAUCCUCAGCUGGCAUUCUACGGGCAAAAGCACCAGCGCCCUCAACAUCAUUUUUCAGGAAACCAUGGCAGCAGACAAGGCUUUAUAUCUACCGGGAGAGGAUUCCAUGCACAACAACCUAAAGAUAAAACUCAUACUUACACUGCCAGAUCCCUUCAGAUUCAAAACAGAAACGACCUCCUCCAUCUGGAGAGCAUCGCAAUGACUCCUGCAGAACGUGAGCUAUACAGAGAAGAAACCUGCCAGUACUGUGGUGUUCCAGGUCAUAUUGCAAAGAUAUGUUGGUGGGUGCCUAAACGAUCAAAUCAACACGGAGACCUACCACAAGCUUUGGCUGCUCUCACCUUGGACAAUACUAUCACUGAAACGGAAUGGAUCUCUGAUACAGGAGCUUCCAACCACAUGACAGGUAAUCCAGGUAUGUUAAAAAAUAUUCGCAAUCACUAUGGUUCGGACUCUGUUCUUAUUGGUGACGGUUCUUCUAUAUCAAUACAUGGUAUUAGAGAUUCCUCCAUCACAUAGGAAAAUAAAAUACUGCCACUUAAUGAUGUAUUGUUAGUACCCGACUUGAAAAAAAAAUUACUCUCUGUAAGUCAGUUAACAUCUCAAUUUCCUGUUAAUUGUGAAUUCUCUGACGUUGAUUUCUGUAUUAAGGAACGACAGACAGGACAACCCGUGAUCACAGGAUGGCGCAAGGGUGACCUCUAUGCUCUAUCCACUAUGCCUGAGCUCUACUUUUCUAAUCGUUUCAGAUCAGGACCAGCAGAUAUUUGGCAUCAACGCCUAGGACAUCCACAUUUUUCUGCUUUACAAUUAUUGCACAAUAAAAGUUUGAUAGAUGUUAAAGGAACCACAAAAUGUGAACAUGUUUGUGACAGUUGUCAAUUUGGAAAACUUAGUCGAUUACCUUUUUUUCGUUCUGAACAUUCUAGUUCUGGUAUUUUUGAAAAAAUCCAUUGUGAUUUAUGGGGACCUGCUCCUGUUUUAUCAAUAGGAAAGUUCAGAUAUUAUGCGUGUUUAGUAGAUGAUUUUUCUAAAUACACUUGGAUAAUCCCAUUACUACAUAAGUCUGACUUUGCUGAUGCUUAUUUUGCCUUUGAGCAUUAUGUUACUCGACAAUUUAACAAGCAUAUCAAGGUCUUUCACUCUGAUGGAGGGGAGAGUUCAUAAAUUCCAAACUAUCAUCACACUUCCUCUCAACAGGAGUGGUUCAUCAGAUAUAUGUCCUUAUACACCUGAACAAACAGGUAUAGUAGAAAGAAGACAUCGAGUAAUACGAGAACUAGGUAUGACCAUGUAUUUCAUAGUGGUGUUCCUUUAUCUUUAUGGGUUGAAGCUUUCACUACUGCUGUUUAUCUUAUGAAUAGAUUGCCUUCUUCCGCACUUAAAUUUGAAUCUCCAUAUUUCAUGUUACAUGGUAAUCAUCCUACAUACUCAUCUCUUAGAGUCUUUGGGUCUAAAUGCUUUCCCUACACAUGGGAUACAAAACAAAAUAAAUUUGACCCAAAAACAGUUCUAUGCAUUUUUGUAGGAUAUAGUGAUAAACAUAAAGGAUACAAAUGCUUUCACCCUUCUAGUAAAAAAAUGAUUAUUUCUCGUCAUGUAGUCUUCGAUGAGUCAUUUUUUCCUUAUAAACAAAAAAUUCAGAACUACAUCACUCCAUCUCCUGCACAUGUUAUGAGCAUUUUUGAUUCAUGGCUGCCACCUACUAUCUCUAACUCUGCUGCAGAAAUACAACCCCCAAUGUCCACUCCACCAUGCUCAAGCUCAUCACUAAACACUUUACCAUUUUCUCUUAAUUUACCUGAUGUUUAUGCAGAACAACAUGCUAGUGCCGUUGAAAUUGCAGAACACCACAAUGCCGAUGGAUUGGCAGAGCAAGUCACUAUACCAUCUUGUCUCAAUUUACAUGAUGAUGUUAUUACUAAUACAAUUGCAGAGCAGCAGGACAAUGUUGAUGUAGUAGCCGAAACACAACAAGAAGAACACAACCAUGCUGUUGGAGUGGGAGAACACAGCAAUGGCGUUGGAAUGUCAGAAAAAGUAAUGUACCAUCUUCUCUUAAUUUACAUGCUGAUUAUGUUAUCACUAAUACAGUUGCUGAAACAGUAGCCGAUACACAACAGGAAGAACACAACAAUGUUGUUGGAAUGGCAGAGCAGCACCUUAGAACUGAUAAUAUAACUGAAAUACAUUUGGUAGAAUCUGACCAUGAAGAUGAAAUGCAUCGACAACACCUCUCUCACUCACAACCCAAUCCUGCUUCUCUGGAAUCAGACUUGCAGCUUGUUUAUUCUCCACGUGCAACCCCUCCUUCACAUACCAUGGUUACUAGAUCACAAAGAGGCAUCCUUAAGCCUAAUCCAAAAUAUGCCUUAAUAUCCUCUAGGACUUCAGCAACCAUUCCACGUGAGCCUUCUAACUUUCGGUCUGCAUUAGCUCACCCUGGCUGGAAAGCUGUAAUGGACGAGGAACUUGAAGCUCUCCAUAGAAAUCAGACUUGGGAACUUGUCCCUCGCACACCUUGUUGUAACCCAUUUUUGGGUCCCCACAUAUAAAAUAAUAAAAUACAAAAAAAUUUAAAAAAAUAUAUUACAAAAAAAAUAUAACAGUGAAAAAUGCCAGAGCGCCAUAAACAUGCUAAAAACAUUGUUUGAGGAUUUUCAAAAAUAUAAAAAUUAUUUUUUGACAGUAUAUCAUUAACUGAUGAGAGCCCUGAUGAUAAGGAAAAUUCAAUGAAAAAUGCAAAAUCAGAAGUUUAUGGACUCAAUUAAAUUUUAUUGAAGGUUUAAUUGAAUUUAUGGAGAUUUUAAUUGCAAGAAAAAUUGAUUUUGGAGUUAAUUUGGGCUUUAAUUAGGAGAAAUUAAUUUUCUGGGGUCAAAUUAUAAUUUUUGGAAGUUAAUUUGGUCAAAUCAGGGGCUUAAUUGCAUAAAUUAUUGAAGUUUAUGGCCAAUUAGGGACUUAAUUGAAGAAAUCCGAGACCAAGGACUACAUUGUAAAACGCGCGACAAUGGAGGGCCGAAAUUUGAAUCUGAUGCUUUUGCGCCUUUUCCUAUUAAAUGAAACGGCGCGUUUGACCAAAACGGCGCCGUUUCAUUCACUGUAGCAAAAAAAAAAAAAAAAGAAGCCCAAAACAGUGAUGUUUUGACGGCACUGUAGCUCUUCUUCCCCUGGACACACGAGGCAGGGGAAGAAGAUUUUUUCUUCCCCUUUUCGCCUAAUUACUUUCCUUCCUUUUGCUCAAAAAGACGCCGAAACAAGGACACCACUUGCCGACCACUUUCCACGUGUUGGACGGGCGGCAGCACACCGGCCACCACCAUGACGUCCCCCCCCCUGUUUUUCGCCUAUAAAAACAGGGGAGGAAGAGGAAAAAAAAGGACGAAGAGAGAAGGGAGAGAAGAGAAGAAGAGAAGAGAAGAAGAGGGAGAGAGAAGAAGAAGCAGAGAAGAAAAGAAGAAAAACAGAAAGAGAGAGAGAGAGAGAGAGAGAGAAGAACCACCGCCGGCCUCCGCCACCAUCGCCUCCGCUGCCACCAGCAGCACCGCCACGACGCCACCGCAGGUAACCUCUGCCCCGUCUCCUUCUCCUUUGCCUGCCUCCUUUUUUCAUGCAGAACGUGAAUUAAUUCACGUUCUGCACUGAAGAGGCUGGUUACUGUGCUUAUGCACAGUAACCAGCCCAUUUAGUUGGGCCGGUUCGGCCCAGCCCACUGAAUGGGCCGGGUCCGGCCCAUUUCAAUUUUUAUUUUUAUUUUUAUUUUUUAGAAUUUUUACAAUUUUUCCAGCACAUGUUUUUAUCAAUUUUGCUUAAUAUCGGUCUAUAUUUUACAUCGUAAAAAAUAUAAAUUCGGUAUUAAAAUACCCGAUUUUCGGUACUAUUCAUACGGUACUGUUCACACAUGCAAAAAAAAAAAAUCAAAAAUAUUUGUUUCAGCAUUUUAUAAUUUUUCCGCGUAGUUUUUAUGUCAUUUUGAUUAAUAUCGGGCAGUAUUUUACAUCGUAAAAAUAUAAAUCCGGUAUUAAAAUACCCGGUUUUCGGCAAAAACUUCCAAAAAUAAUAAAAAAAUUAAUUAAAAAAAAGAUAAAAAAAUGUUUUUGUGCAUACGGCCAAGUGUCUCAAAUCUAAAAAAUCAUAUCGUAUUUUUCAUAUGUCAAAAAACAAUAUUUUAGCAUGCAUUUUGGCUUUAAUAACCAGUUUAUUAAAGUCAAGAGAACAUUGGCCAAAAUCUCAAAAACAACAAAAUAUUUUAUUUUGUUUGAUUUUAGUAUCAGGGAUUAUGAAUUUAUACGUAAAUCGUAUUCCUGAUAUUAAAAAGAUAUUUUCUUUUGACGACUUCGAAUAGUUAGUUUUUUACCCGAUAAAGAUAAGGAUCUCCUUACAGAGGAGGACUUUUCUUAAACCGUAAACGAACCAACAAUUCAAAAAACCACAACACGAUUUUAGAUUUUAUCAGACAUUAAAACAAUGCAGCCUACCUUAGGUAGGGCGUAGUUGGGGUGCUAAUACCUUCCCUUUACGCAACCAGUCUCCGUACCCGAUCUCUAAAGACCAGUUAAGGUUCCUAGUAACCAGAAUACUAGGUGGCGACUCCUAGUCCAUAUUUUCACUUGUAGAGACAAGAAUUCCUUGUCUCUCCCUAUUUUAUUUUCAAGGAAUAAAUUAUUCCGAUUUUUCCUUGAGGGUGGACGAUCGCCGCGCCGCCGCACACGUGCGACACACCUGUCAUGCAUGUUAUUGGGUCUAAAUGGGUUCUAAAAACAAAACUCAAACCUGAUGGUUCAUUAGACCGCUUGAAAGCUCGAUUAGUAGCAAAGGGGUAUCACCAAGUUGAUGGAUUGGACUAUACUGAGACUUACUCUCCAGUUAUCAAAACAUGAACUAUUCGUAUGGUUCUCUCCAUAGCACUAGUUAACAAAUGGUCCAUACGUCAACUUGACGUGAAAAAUGCCUUCCUGCAUGGUUUUGUUUCAGAAGACAUAUAUAUGGAACAACCUCCAGGAACAACUGAUCCACGGUACCCAUCACAUGUGUGCAAGCUCAAAAAAGCUCUUUAUGGUCUCAAACAAGCACCCCGUGCCUGGUUUGAUCAGUUUAGUAUCUUCCUUCUUAAAUAUGGGUUUUUUUGUAGUCUUGCAGAUCCAUCACUUUUUAUUUUUCACUCUAACUCUGAUACUUUAAUCCUUCUUCUUUAUGUUGAUGAUAUACUCCUCACAAGAUCCUCUGUUCCUCUGGUUACGCACCUGAUUCAAUUGUUGAGCUCAGAAUUUGCAAUGAAAGAUUUAGGACCCAUUCAUCAUUUUCUUGGCAUUGAAAUUACUCACACCUCUGAAGGACUCCAUCUCUCUCAAUCACACUAUGCGAUGACAAUCCUGGAACAAGCUGGUAUGGUGGACUGUAAACCAAUGAGCACACCGCUUGAAGCCAAGACAAAAAUGGCAGCAACUGAUACACUAUUGCAAGAUCCACAAUUUUUUCGUGGGCUUGUUGGUGCUUUACAAUAUCUCACACUCACAAGACCUGAUAUCUCUUACAGUGUCAAUUUUAUCUCUCAAUUCAUGCAUGCUCCAACUGUUAUACAUUUCAAAAUGGUUCAUCGUAUUUUAAGAUAUGUCAAAGGCACAAUUGACACUGGAUUAAAUUUUACUUCCCAUUCUACACUUGAUCUUUGUGCUUUCUCAGAUGCAGAUUGGGGAGGUUGCUCUACAACAAGACACUCCAUAACUGGAUACUGCACAUUCCUUGGUAGCAAUCUCAUUUCCUGGUGUGCAAAGAAACAACCCACUGUCUCUCGUUCCAGCACCGAGGCCGAAUAUAGAGCUAUGGCUAACACAACGGCAGAGCUUACAUGGCUAACCUUCAUUCUACAAGAUCUUCACAUAUCACCUUCUUCACCACCUAUCCUCUACUGUGACAAUCUCAGUGCCUUACACAUGACUGUCAAUCCUGUGUUUCAUGCUCGUAGCAAACACAUUGAAUUGGAUUACCACUUUGUGCGUGAGCGUGUUGCCCUUGGUCUUCUCAUCACUCAGCACAUCUCCACCCAUGAACAAAUAGCUGACAUCUUCACCAAACCCAUGUCCAAAGGUGCAUUGGCUUACUUCAAAGACAAACUAUGCCUCCGACUCCGGCCUAGUUUGAGGGAGGAUGUUAAUGGUAAUAACACAGAUGCUCAUGGAAACAAUUCAACUCCAGCUGUAAGCCAGCAACGUGGAAACCAACAUGGAAACGAAUCAGCCCUCAUGGAAACAAAUCAACUACAGCAGUCAGCCAGCAACAUGGAAACAAAUCAAAGAGACGUUGGCUAAUUAGAAUCACCAGCAACAAUGGAAACAAACCAACUCUCAUGGUAACAAAACACAAACAGAAAGAGACGUUGGCUUGUUAUGAAAAUAAAUCAACAGCAGCAGCAAUGAAGUUUAUGACAGGAACCAGAAAGAGAAAGAGACGUUGGAUUGUUAUAGAAAUAGAUCAGCUAAGAAUUAGGCAAGUCAAUGUAUCCAAAUUAAGCAACUUGUAAUGUUCUAAAAAACAACAGCUCGUAUAGAAUGGCAAGUAGUAUAUUCACGUUAAUAUUCAAAGAAACAGAGAAACCUUUCUUCCAUUGAAACAUUCUUAUCUUUCUUCAAAUUUCCGCUCACAAGACAAUGGGCCUAGCAAAGCUGUCAACGGCAAGCCUGCCUGAGACUCCAAAAAGUAAACCAAACUUUUCGCAAAAGGGGUCUCAACUUUCUAGUCUCUUGACCAAUGCUCAGCCUGUCAGUCAGUGUAAAAGCAAUCCUUGCUUCAACGCUUAAGAGGAUGCAUCAAACAAUGGGCCUGCAGAUGAAGGAGCUAGGGAGGUUAAAGCCUCUCAAUGAAGACAAGGGUAAUUCCUACCUGAAUCUCUUCCAUGCAUGCAUUAUGCUUGCAAUGGUGAUUAUAUCGAUUUACUGGUAAUGCCAAGGUUUUCUUUUAUUGUCAGCUCACUGGAUCAUCACCAAAUGAGGGUCAUGAGGAAUAAACACCAGUAUUGAUGGGGAUUUGUAAAUGUCUUUAGCAGCGUAACUAUCAAGAAGUCGCAUUUGUGCAUUCUGGAAGUAUUAAUGUUGUUAAUAUAGCUACAUAUCUACUACAACAUUGAACUCUUUGCUGUGAGUUCUCGAGAUGAUGACUUUCUGUGCUUUAAUCCUUUCUGUUGAUUGUGCGAAAGGGUGAUGCUCCAAUAAUUAUUAGUAGAUUUGCAAGUGCAUGCUCUCUUGAGUGACACUGGCCACUUUCACUUGAUUCUAAAUUGUGAUUCCAAUACGGAUGAAUAUUAUAUUAUCUCCUCUUUUUGUAUCUGCUUCUUUUAUGAAAGUUAACUUCAAGAAUAACCCUGUGCACCAUAAAAUAAAUUUGACUGGAAAAAGCCUUACCUGCACUCCAAAAUUGUUUUUUAACUUCAGCUUUAUAUGGAAUAAAUUUUUUUUAAUCAAAGUUAAAUAAUAAUAAAAAAAAGAUAAAUUAAAAGUUUUUGGAUUUUGAAUUUUUGAAGAAGGCGAAUGGAUUAGAGAAAGAGAUGGAGAAAAAAAUUUGAAUUUUUGAAGAUGCAGAAAAGGAGAGAACGGAGAUUUUAUAUAAUUAAGGCUUUAAUUUAUAUUUUGAAUCAGUUGCAGAUUUGAUUUUGCCACGUCAACAAUGAAAAAUCCGUUGCAGAUUACUUAAAUAAUUUAAUAUUUUUUUAAUCCUUUUUAGCAAUGGAUUUGCUAUUACUAAAUUCAAAAUCUGAAGCAUGUGAUGAUCCAAAUGUUGGGGAUUCCGCCCGGUGAUGUUCUAAUAUUUGCUCAUUGGAAGCUAAACACACUGACAUAAUAUUUAACGUGGUUCGACAAAUCGCCUACAUCCACGAGAGAUGUUCAUUUUAUUAAAGAUAGAGAAAGGAUAAAAUAAAUACAUGGAGGAGGAGGAUUACAUCCACUCCAACUCAACUCACUGCUCAUACACUCUGCUGCAUAUGGCAGCAGCUCCUCUUUCUCUCUUCUUCUCUUCUCUUCACUCUCUCACGUUAUCCCUCACUCUCUCAUUGCUCUCAAAUAAUUAUUCAUGGUCAACAUGGAGGGGCCAAUAAUGCCUUAAAACAUGCCACUAAUUGUGGCACUAGUGGUGCUUCCACUUGCUUGGUGGUGGGGUAUUGCCAUUAAAUGGCAAUAUCCUAACACCAAAGGUAUUGAAUUUAAUAUUUCACUGAGCAUGUCUUUAUUCGCAGCAGAAUUACAGGAUAGAGGAACAAUAGUAGGAUUUGAAUUUGGAUUCAAAGGAAAGAAGCCAAAGGUAUUGAAAUGACCUUUAAAUUGUUUAAAUUGUCCAGUGAAACCCCAGAGAAUGACACCUCAGGAAAAGAUUGAAAAAUUAAGGAGGCGGCAACAAAUUCAGGCAAUGCUUGCCAUUCAGAAACAGCAGCAGCAGCUCCUAUUAAUCAUUCUCCCUGUCUUGUUUAAACUGUUAUUGUUUUUUUAAGAAGCAAUUUAUGUAACGAAUUUGAACCAAAAUCCAGUGAAAAUUACUUUGUUCUAACCACAAAUGUUAGAAUGAGAAAAGUACAAUACUAAUCAAAUCAACUUUAAAAUUUAAUUAUAGCAAAAAAGAUAUUGAAAUAGAAUGAUGAUUAUUUAUGUUGUAUAUGAAGAGGAAUGAGAGACAAUAGGAAGAAAAUAUAUGUAUUUCAUUCAUCCAAACUUAUGAGCCGCUCACGCUUGUAGAAGGAAAUUUGGAUCAGAAUCCUGCAAAGAAACAAUGGAGGAUUUAGACCAAGAGCAUGAAAAGGAUACGUAAAAUACACAAAUAGCUACGUAAUGAUAUUUGAAAAACCUGUUGGUUUGCAUGCAAAGCAAUCUUGUUUUGUGAAACUAUGGUGCUCCACUCUGCAAUGGGCAAUUGGUGAUACUGACAUGAAAAUUUUAUCCUGUGCAUAUUGUUCUGGCAAGAAGGAAGGCUGACAAACCCUUCAUGAACUGUAAGUGGAAAGUUGGAUUUGGAUCCUGCCUUAAAAAAAGCAUAGAAUUAAUAGUGGAACAUGACAAAUUUUAACUGAAAUUGCCUUUGAUUACUGAAAAGAAAAUAAACUAUUUAGUAGCAAUACCUCAAUAUAUUUAGUAGAAAAUAAACUAUUUAGUAGCAAUACCUCAAUAUAUUUAGUAGAAAAUAAACUAUUUAGUAGCUCCUUUUAACUGCUACUCUUUUGCUCCGCUGAUGUUGGGAAAAUAACUACGUGAGGAAUGUGAGAAAUCUUGGGCCAAUAUUUACCUUUCUCCCUUUCACAACUUUUUCACCCAGCAUAGGACAAUUGUUAAUUACAAGAGAAGAAAGGGAGGAGGGCAACCCUUCUUCUGGCAUGGACUCAAGCAUAGGGCAGCGAAAUAUCACCAAUUCUGUAAGAGAGGUGAGGUGUUGAAGUCCCUUGUAGUCAAGAUAUUUCAGGUGUUCUAGGGAAUAGAUUGUAAGAGAUGUAAGACUUGAAGGCAGAAGCAUCUCUUCAGGGAAGGAUUCAAUAUUUUCGUGGCCACCAAUUGUAAAGUGUGAAAGUGAAGGGAGCGUUUGCAAACCCCAUUGCAUGCGGCCUGCAAUGAGUUUGUUGCAUUUCCAAAUCUCAAGUGAUUGUAAUUUGGAGGGAAAACCCCCUUCUGGACACAACUCAAGUUCUAAACAAUCACUUAUUAGCAAAUGGUUAAGGGAUGGGAGGAGGGAAUGCAUGCUCUCAGGCAACCGCUUCAAGUUUCUGCAAUGUCGUAACGUAAGUUGUGUUAAGACUGGAGCAGGUAAUCCUCCUUUGGGAAAUGAAACUAAUUUAGGGCACUGCUCGAUUUCCAAAGAAUGAAGAGAUUUAAGCUCAUUGAGAGGUCUUUCAUGUGCACAGAGUGAUCCGAGAUCUGGACAGUUAAAGAUAGAAAGAGAAUUUAGCUUGGGGAAAAAGUCCAGUGGGAUGCAUUUGAGAGAAGCUGAUGGAAAUAAGUUAAGCUUAAACAAUACAGUUUACGUAAAGAAAAAGAAACAGAUUUAAGAUGGCAGAGUUGAGUAGAAAGAUCAAUAUAUUUCAUUAACUUCAAAUGCCUAUAGGCUUACAUAGAACUUGAAAUGCAUUAGAACUCUCAACAAACUUGAGAGAUUAUUGGAAUUGAAAUCCUAGACUAAGCAGAAUGUUUCUGCUGCAAAUCCUGAAAGAGAUAAACUAUUACAGAAUUCAAAUAUUAAAAAUUGAUCUUAAUUCUAUCUAUCUAAAGGCAAAAUCUCAUAAUUCUAACACUCCUCCUUGAGACUUGCCUUAGACAAACCAAGUUUCAUCCUUAGAAAUUCCAGUCUUGAUCUAGGAAGAGCUUUAGUUAUUAUAUCAGCAAGUUGAACAUCUGUUGGACAGUAGUGUAGCUUUAUAAGCUUGUUCUUCUCAACUUCUCUUAUAGAAUGAAACUUCACAUUGAUGUGCUUGGUUCUGCCAUGUUGAACCGGAUUUAGAGCAAUAGCAAUGGCAGAUUUAUUGUCACAAUGAAUCUCAGUUUGUGAGCUUUGUUCUUGACCCAAAUCAGCAAGCAAUUUGUUCAACCAAAUUGCUUGAUUUGCAGCAGCUGCCAUGGAGAUAUACUCUGCUUCAACUGUUGAUUGUGCCACCACCUCCUGCUUCUUUGCAUUCCAACAGAUUGCACCUGAACCAAUAUUAAAAACAUAUCCAGAGGUGCUCUUCAUGUCAUCAACACUCCCUGCCCAGUCACUGUCUGCAUAACCAAUCAGAUUUACUCCUCCUGUCUUCAAGUACCAGAUGCCAAGAUCAGUUGUUCCUCUGAUGUACUUCAACACUCUUUUAGCAAUUCCCAUGUGAAUGUUGCUAGGUGAGCUCAUAAACCUUGACAGCAAACCAGCUGGAAACAUUAAGUCAGGUCUAGUUGCUGUCAAGUAUAGCAAACUGCCCACUAGGCUUCUAAAUCCAGAGGGAUCUUCAAGUUUCUCACCAUCAUUCUUUGAAACUUUCUCAUUUUGUGCUAAAGGAGUUGCUACUUCUUUGCAUGACUCAAGCUUGAACUUCUUGAGUAUAUCAACAACAUACUUCCUUUGUGAAACAAAAAUACCCGAACUACAUUGAUGUAUUUCCAUUCCAAGAAAGUAGUUCAUAAUGCCAAGAUCAGACAUUUCAAAAACAUCUUGCAUUUCAGUUUUGAACUCUUCCAGCAACUUUGCAUUGCUUCCAGUAACUAGCAUGUCAUCUACAUAGAGUGAUAUCACCAGCUGCAAACCAUCUUCAUCUUGUUUCAGAUAUAGGGUAGCUUCAUUUUCACUUCUUUUGAAUCCUAGUUGAAUCAAAUGAGUAUCAAUCCUGCUGUACCAAGCCCUUGGUGCUUGCUUCAAACCAUAAAGAGCUUUGUGUAGCUUGUAAACUUUGUGUUCAUCACCAAUAACAACAAAGCCUUCUGGUUGCUGAACAUAAAUUUCCUCAAGUAGUAUUCCAUUUAGAAAAGCAGACUUCACAUCUAAAUGAUAAACUUUCCAUCCUUUUUGUCCCGCAAGAGCAAGUAGGAGUCUUAUAGUGUCAUGCCUAGCUACUGGUGCGAAAGUAUCUCCAUAAUCCACUCCAGCAACUUGAGCAAAACCUUUAACAACCAAUCUAGCCUUGUGUUUGAAGAUUGAACCAUCUGGAUUGAAUUUGGUUCUGAAAACCCACUUCACUCCAAUUGCCUUUUUAUCUCUAUGAAUUUCAGUCAAUCUCCAAGUCCCAUUUCUUUCAAUGGAAUCAAUUUCUGAUUUCAUUGCUUCAAUCCAAGCUGGAUCUCCUGCAGCUUCAGAGUAAUUUGUAGGCUCAGCAUGUACAAGGUUACAUCUUUCAUACACAUCAGACAAUUGUCUAACCUUUAGUACUGUUGUAUCUGAAGUUGCUUCAAUGGCUUGUUGAUCUUCAUCAUCAAUACUUUGUACUGGUGAUUCAAAGGCAGCUGUGAUAGUCUGUUGAACUUCUUUUAAGUCCCAAUUCCAGCAGGCAUUUUCAUCAAAUUGCACAUCUCUGCUGACCUGAAUUUUGGCUGAAUUCAGAUUGAAAACUCUGUAACCUUUUGAUUCUGUUGCAUAUCCCACAAGAAUCCCUUUUUCUGCUCUAGCAUCCAGUUUUCCUCUUUUGGCAGAUGGAACAUGAAAAUAGCACAAUGAUCCAAACACUUUUAAAUGUUUGGCAGUAGGCCGGACUCCAGACCAUGCCUCCAAUGGUGUUUUGUUUUGAACAGACUUGGUUGGAAGUCUAUUAAGCAAGUAUACUGAAGUAUUUACUGCUUCAGCCCAUAGAAACCUUGGCAACUUCUUUUCAAACAAUAUACAUCUGGACAUCUCCAUCACUGUUCUAUUCUUCCUUUCAGAAACUCCAUUCUGCUGUGGAGAGUAAGGAGUCGUCAGCUGGUGCACAAUUCCAGCUUCUGAACAAAAGGCAUUAAACUUCUUCGAAAUAUACUCUCCACCAUUAUCAGUUCUCAACACUUUGAUCUUCUGACCACUUUGAGUUUCAGCCAUGCUUUUGAAGUUUUUGAACAUAGAUAAAGCUUGUGACUUGUUUUUCAGAAAAUAAACCCAAGUCAUUCUGCUGUAGUCAUCAAUGAAUAAUAUAAAAUACACAUUAUUAUUCAAAGAAGCUGUGCUCAUAGGUCCACAUAUGUCUGAGUGAACCAGCUCCAGCAUGUGUGUUGCCCUUUUGGAUAUACCUUUAGGAAAUGGUUGUCGAUGCUGCUUUCCCAGUUCACAACUUCCACAUGUAUGAGCAGUAACAUGUAUUGCAGACAUGUUUUCUACCAUUCCAGUAUCAUAGCAACUUUAAUGAAUUAAGAUUGUAAUGACCGAAUCUUUUGUGCCAAAGAAUGCUUUCAUCAAUCUUUGCACUAAACACAUGUCCAUUAACAGCAUCAAGCUUCAAAUAGAAGCUAUUACCAUCCAUUUUGAUUUUUGCUAUCUCUGAAUUAUGUGUAUCAGUGAUAAAGCAAAAUUUCUCUUUAAAAGAGACUUCAUAACCAUUCUUGAGCAUUUGUGCAACACUAAGGAGAUUCUGAUCUAGUUCAGGAAUGUAAAGAACAUUUGUGAUGGUUUUAAUACCUCUAUUUGUGCUGACUGCAACAGUUCCUUUCCCCUUAGCUUGCACAAUAUCUCCAUUUCCCAGCUUAAUCUUCGGUUGAACUGAUCUGUCAAUAGAGGAGAAAAUUGACAGAAAUUUGGACAUGUGACUUGUGCAGCCACUGUCUAUAAGCCAUGUAUUCAGUUCAGAGGUAUUGCUAGCUUGUGUUGCCAUAAACAAAUGCUCCUCCUCAUCUUUGCUUUCUUCAGAAACAUUUGCUUGUUGUUGUAUUUGUUGCUGAGGUUGCUUCUUCUUGAUUCUGCAAUAUUUCUCACUGUGACCGAGAUUAUUACAGAAUAAACAUUGAAGAGAAGGUUUCCCCUUAAACCAGCAAUCUUUCUCAGUAUGGUUAGUUCUUCUGCAAUAAGAACAUGGUGAGAAAGUCUGUCUUUUUGAAGGUAUACUUGAUUUCCUUUUAGCAUACUUGACAGGUUUGUUUCUUGGUAGAUUACCAGCACUCCUUUCCCUGUUGUUUGCUUGGAAAGCCCCUUCAACUGCCUCAUCAUCUCUCAUAUGAACUCUUUGCUCCUGAAUAUGAAGUUUGCUAAUUAACUCAGCAAUAGUCAGACUUUGCAGAUCGCAAGAUUCUUCUAUUGCUGAGAUUUUAGCUUCAAACUUUUGAGGAACAGACAUCAUAAGUUUUUCUACUACCUUAUGAUCUUCAAAUGUGUUUCCAAGAAGCCUCAUUUGAUUUACAACAUCCAUUAAUCUGCCAGAAUAAUCUUUGACAGAUUCAUUGUCUUUCAUCUUCAUCAACUCAAAUUCCCUCUUAAAUGCAAGAAGUUUAACUGCUUUGACUCUGCUGCUGCCUUCAAAUUCAACUUGAAGCUUAUCCCAUACCUGUUUUGGUGUUUCCAGAUUCAUAUUUUUUGAAAAUAUGAUCUGCAAGACCAGAAUGAAGACAGGUAAUGGCUUUGUCCUUCUUGAGUUUUUCUUCUUCAUGUGCUUUCAUUUGAGCAAUUGUAGGAUUUGCAUUCAAUGGUGGAGGAUCAGAAUCGGUUGCCACAACAUUCCAUAAGCCAUGAGAUCUUAGAUAAAAUCUCAUUUUGACAGCCCAAAUAUGAUAGAGUUCUCCACUAAACAUUGGAAUUGCAGAUACAAUAUUGUUUGAAGAAGACAUUGAUAAAAACCAGAAAGAAAAUAACUCUCAAGUGUUUCGCUCACUCUCUCUGUGUUUUCCUCACCUUCUCUUAUUGUUAUCACUCAAAAGAAAGAAAAAAAUGUUUGCCCCACAGCCCGUAGGAUCUAUAUGCUCUGAUACCACUGAUGGAAAUAAGUUAAACUUAAACAAUACAGUUUACGUAAAGAAAAAGAAACAGAUUUAAGAUGGCAGAGUUGAGUAGAAAGAUCAAUAUAUUUCAUUAACUUCAAAUGCCUAUAUAUAGGCUUACAUAGAACUUGAAAUGCAUUAGAACUCUCAAUAAACUUGAGAGAUUAUUGGAAUUGAAAUCCUAGACUAAGCAGAAUGUUUCUACUGCAAAUCCUGAAAGAGAUAAACUGUUACAGAAUUCAAAUAUUAAAAACUGAUCUUAAUUCUAUCUAUCUAAAGGAAAAAUCUCAUAAUUCUAACAGCCACGCCGUCGAUUGCAAUAUCUCCUAUAUCAGUGGGUGAAAAAACCAUUUGCUCGAUUUCCUUGAGUAAGGAGUCUUGGAAGUUGAAUCGAGAAACAUAGAGAGAGUGCAACCCUGAAAGUAAAUCUAAUUCCCUCCAGCCCAGUGUACGAGAAGCAUCGCACAAGUAAAUUGAAUUGAUGAUUGGACACCUAGAAAGUGGAGUCGCGAGCUGCUCACAUCCUCCAAUUGAAAGUGUUGUUAAAUGUGGAAGGUGGUGACCAGGUAGAGCCUUUGUAAGGUUGGGGCAAUUACUGAUGAAAAGAUCCCGAAGAAGAGGGAAGGCUUCCCGGCUGCCUUCGUCUGAAAUCCACUCCGCCACUCUGGCAUCCUUUCAAAAAAUAAUGUUUUGAGGGAUUCAAAUGGCUUCUUCAUAGCAGUACAGCUCCCAUAGAACUCAGAGCCCACAGUCACAACUUUAUCGAAUGCUUCAAUUGAGAGAUACUCUAAAGAAGCUAAUUGCCCGAGCGGUGGUAAGGAGGUGUAGUUUGUACAUCUACGGAGCUUCAAGGACACUAUAUUUGAGAAAGAGGACUCUCCUGCCCACUCUGGAAACCUUAUACCUCCAUAACCAUCAAUCUGAAGAUCCUUCACAUUUCUAUUUGGCUCUAAUUUCUCAAGUGUGCUUGUUAUGUGUUGUGGGUCAUGAGUGUCACCAUCCCAUGUAAACCUCAGCUCAUCAAUGUGCUUUCUACCUUUCAAAUUUGCCUCAACAGCAUCCUGAGCAUCCACCACAUUUUGAAGGUUCCCAAUAUGAAGUUCUUGUUGGCAUGAGUUGUACAAACCGAGAGACAAUAGGAAACUAUAGCUGUAAUAGUCACGUUUAUCUUCUAUUUUUAUGUAAAUCCCGAUUGUCAUGGGAUCGUAAUAGUUUCCUUUCCAAACACAACUAGGAAAGCUGUACAUUGUGAUGUAUAUAUCCCCUGCUUCUUGAAUAAGAAAAUAAGAAAGAAUUCUGCAGAAACCCUACUCAAACUAACAUGGUAUCAGAGCAUAGAUCCUAAAUUAAUCUAUUGCUACAACGAAAGUUGCUGGAACAAAUAGCAACAUACGACCAUGGAGAGAAUAGAAGGAAUGGAAGCAGCACCCGUAGAACUAGAGCAACCAAAUACGGCUGCAAAUCUUGAAGAAUUAUGGCAAGAAUGACUCAAGCCAUAAACCAGAAUCAAACACAGACUCCAACAGUAAUGCAUGAUAUUACUGCAACACAGAUUGGUAUCAAACUCGAUGGUACCAAUUAUGCUUUAUGGUCCCAAAUUGUUGAGAUGUUCAUCUCCGGAAAAGACAAGUUGGGAUAUAUAAAUGGUGAUCUUCCACAACCAGAACCGAAUGACCCUUCGUUUUAGGAGGUGGAGGACAGAAAACUCAGUGGUAAAAGGAUGGUUAAUUGGAUCGAUGAACCCAUCCUUGGUCAGCAACUUCAUCCGAUUCCCUACAGCUAAACAGGUAUGGGAUUCAAUUGCUGUAACUUACUUUGAUGGGACUGAUACAUCUCAGGUGUAUGAUCUAAAGAGGCAAGUAAAUAGAAUGAAACAAUCAGGGGAACCAAUUGAAAAAUACUACAAUGAUCUCCAAGGCUUAUGGAGGGAGAUUGACUUUCGUCGUCCAAACCCGAUGGUUUGUGUUCAUGAUAUACAAAAAUACAACACUCUCUUGCAAGAGGAUCGGGUGUACACCUUUCUCGAUGGAUUAGAUGACAGGCUUGAUAAAAUCAGGAGUGAUGUGUUGCAACUGAAACCAUUUCCAACUGUAGAACAGGCGUAUGCCCAUAUCCGGAGGGAAGACAUAAGGCAGGCUGUGAUGCUGUCCAACAGAGGAAAUAUUCCAGAUGCUGCUGCAAUGAUCUCUAGAGGUAUGAGAACGGGUUCACAAAACAAAUUUACAUUGCAGGUAGCCAAGACUGGAAACUCCUCUUCACACGGGGGGAAAUUUAAUUCUGAAAAAACUAAGGGCCAUGUGGAGGGAGGAUGCUCCCACUAUGGGAACUUGAAACACACCCGUGAGACAUGUUUUAAAUUACAUGGCUACCCCGAAUGGUGGACAGAACUCAAGGCACGAAAACAAAAAGAAGCUGCUGGUGGAAUUGGAAGAGCAUCCAUGGUUAAUUCAGCCCCCAAGAAUCCAGAAGCCACCCUUUCACUCGUCCCACUUGUUGAAUCAAAGGAGGACAUGGCAACCUCUCUUGGUAAUCCAGGUAACAAUUCCAGUAAUGACAGCAGUGCCUUACUUAUGUCUAACCCAGGCAAGAAUGAAGAUUGGAUAGUGGAUUCAGGAGCUACUGAUCAUAUGAUGUUUUGUCAAGAUGAUCUUGUGGAAAUUACAGAGCCAAGGCGAAAUAAUAUAUUCAAUGCCAAUGGGGUUAUGUAUCCGGUUACAGGAGCUGGAACCGUAGAUUUAUCAUCUUCAAUCUCCUUGGCUAACACUCUUUUAGUUCCCUCUCUUUCCAGUAAAUUAUUAUCAGUGGGACAAGUCACCGAAGAACUCAAUUGCUUAGUGCUAAUGUAUCCAACAUUUUGUCUUUUUCAGGAUAUUCUCACGAAAAAGAUUAUUGGGCGUGGUACUAAAAGAGAGGGGUUAUACUACAUGGACGACUUCAGUUUCGACAAAGUCAAUACCAUGAGUCGCACAUCUAGCGCACAUGAAGAACAGAUUUGGUUAUGGCAUGCUCGGUUGGGGCACCCUUCAUUUAGCUACAUGAAACAUUUAUUUCCGCAGUUAUUUUCAACUUUGAGUUACUCAAAUUUCAGAUGUGAAACAUGCAUAUUGGCCAAGAGUCACCGUGUACCUUUUCCAACUAGCAUGAAUAAAAGUGAUAUUCCAUUUACUCUAAUUCACUCUGAUGUUUGGGGACCUUCCCCUAUUACAACUAUCUCGGGUAUACGAUGGUUUGUGACUUUUGUAGAUGAUUGUACGCGGAUGACUUGGCUAUAUUUGUUGAAACGCAAGGAUGAAGUAUUUGGUGUAUUUCGAGCAUUUUCAUGCUAUGAUUCAGAACCAAUAUUCAGCAAAGGUCCGUAUUCUUCGGACGGACAAUGGGGGAGAGUAUAUGAAUCGCGAUUUUCAUGAAUAUUUCCAAAGAACUGGUAGUCAGACGCCACAUGAGUCAUCGUGUAGUCAGACGCCACAACAAAAUAGAGUAGCCGAAAGGAAGAAUCGACACAUCCUAGAGACUGCACGAGCCUUGUUGAUUGGAUCAAAUACACCUAGUCGUCAUUGGGAUGACGUUGUUGCUUCGGCUGUGUAUCUAAUGAACCGUAUGCCCUCUAAGGUUUUAGAUUUUGACACCCCAUUACAGUUUUUGUCAAAACAUGUCACUCUGCCAUCUUUACUUCUCAUCAAGCCACGUAUAUUUGGAUGUGUUGCCUUUGUUCAUUUGCAUAAAAAUCAAAGGACCAAGCUGGAACCGUGUGCCAUUCGGUGCAUAUUUUUGGGGUAUGGUACUAACAAGAAAGGGUAUCACUGCUAUGACCCGAAUAAAAAUCGGGUGUACAUAACAAUGGAUGUCAUAUUUGUAGAAUUGGACAAGUUCUAUUCACCCCAUAUAUCAACUUCUUCUCUUCAGCAGGAGACUUGGGAUGAAGAGUAGAAGUGAUGGACGGGAAAAAUUGAAGAAACUAUGGUGACAACAGCUCCUACUGUAGUGACAGUGGCACCAUCACAGGAGGAGGAAACCACGGUAGCAGCCCUUACCGUGGUGACAGUGGCGCCAUCACAGGAGGAGACAGAAGCAGCUGUUAUACAAAUGGAUGAAAAUAUGAUGACAGUGGAUGCUGCUAGAUAUAUAGAGGAUAUAUGUCAUCCUCCACAGGAAUUGUCUGCAUGUUACAAAGGGCAUUGUAUGGGCUGAAACAAUCACCGCGUGCAUGGUUUGGUCGCUUUAGCAUGGCUAUGAGAAAGUAUGGUUUUCAACAAAGCAACUCAGAUCAUACUCUCUUCCUAAAACGACGACAAGGGAAAAUAACUGCCUUGAUAAUCUAUGUCGACGACAUGAUAAUCACAUGAGAUGAUUCAGAAGAAAUCUAUAGACUAGAGAAACAUUUGGCCACGGAAUUUGAAAUGAAGAACUUGGGUGGACUCAAAUAUUUUCUUGGAAUAGAAGUUGCUAGAUCAAAACAGGGCAUCUUUCUAUCACAACGAAAAUAUGUACUUGAUCUACUGGCAGAAGUUGGAAUGCUCGACUGCAAACCGGCAGAUACUCCAACAAUUCAGAAUCAGAAACUUGGGGAGUAUCCUGAUCAAACCCCAACCGAUAAAGAGAGGUAUCAACGACUGGUGGGUAAGCUAAUUUAUUUAUCUCAUACUCGUCCAGAUAUUUCAUAUGCGGUGAGCAUGGUCAGUCAAUUUAUGCAUUGCCCCAGUAAAGAUCACAUGGAUAUGGUUGUUCGGAUUCUUCAAUACUUGAAAUCAGCUCCAGGAAAGGGGAUUAUGUUCUCUAAGAAUGAUCACUUAGAUGUUGAAGGCUAUACAGAUGCAGACUGGGCAGGAAACUUGGUCGACAGAAAAUCCACAUCAGGUUACUUCACAUUUGUUGGAGGCAACUUGGUUACGUGGAGGAGUAAGAAACAAAAGGUGGUAGCUCUAUCAAGUGCGGAAGCCGAGUUUAGAGGUAUGGCAAAGGGGCUUUGCGAGCUUCUGUGGCUCAGACGCCUGCUCUCAGAAAUUGGCUUUGCACCCAAUUCUGAAAUGAAUUUAUAUUGCGACAAUAAAGCCGCGAUAGAAAUAUCUCAGAAUCCAAUCCAACAUGAUAGAACGAAGCACAUUGAGAUAGACCGGCAUUUUAUUAAACAGAAUCUUGAAGAAAAGGUAAUUCGCUUUCCGUUCGUCAGAUCAGAGGACCAACUUGCGGACAUGCUUACAAAAGCCGUCUCAAACAAAAACUUUCACAGCUCACUUGACAAGCUGGGUAUCAAAGACAUGUCUACACCAACUUGAGGAGGAGUGUUGGCAUGAGCUGUACAAACCGAGAGACAAUAGGAAACUAUAGCUGUAAUAGUCACGUUUAUCUUCUAUUUUUAUGUAAAUCUCGAUUGUCAUGGGAUCGUAAUAGUUUCCUUUCCAAACACAACUAGGAAAGCUGUACAUUGUGAUGUAUAUAUCCCCUGCUUCUUGAAUAAGAAAAUAAGAAAGAAUUCUGCAGAAACCUACUCAAACUAACAGUUCUCCCCGUAGAUGUCGUAGCUUUCCCAAUUCUUUAAUGCUAGUCUCACUCUGUCUUCCCACGAGAAAGUCAGUCAACGUUUGGAGCUUUGCCAGUUGACCUAUAUGUGGUGGCAUCUCUUUCAAAAGCGUGUAUUUGAUGUUAAGAUACCGCAAGUUGAUUAACCUUUCCAGAGAUGCAGUCAACCUUUCGAUUCCUGUUCUUUGAAGAUUCAGAUGUCGUAAAUACUUCAAAUUUCCAAGAUCAGGUAGACUAGCAAGUUGUUUGCAAUAUUCCAAGAUCAACGUUUGCAAAUUGAGAAGAGUACUCGCUUCUUCAGGCAACGUUACUAAAUCUGACCGAGAAAGAUUCAAAUACCGUAAAUGCUUCAACUUGCUAGUUGAACAAAACUUCAUAGUUGCAUCUCUACAACCAGUCAUGAAUAGCACUCGUAGGCGCCCAAGUGUUGACUGAAAGAUCUCAUUAUAAAAUUCGGGAGGACAGAUCCAAUUGUGUGGAUAAGUUUGGAAUGUGCGUAGAAGCUGAGCUUCACGGAUGUUUUCUAAUUUCUUGCUGAAAGAACAAUCUUCAGUAUGUGGCGUACCUGCUACGAGCCUACGAGUGAUAAAUGUCGGGUCCUUCUAGUCGCCUUGGAAUAAUUAUUUGGGCCGAUGCAAAAUUGACCGGACACAUGUGUAGCCAAGUCAUGCAUGAGAUCGUGCAUCACAAAUGAUGAGGGAGAGGCACUUGAUUGCUGGAAAAACGACCUUGACAAGAGAUCAUCAAAGCACUCAGCACCUGCCUUUUCCAUCUCAUCAUCUACAGAGUGGACUAAGAAGCAUAGUUUUGAAACCCGACCCGGUCAUUGACCCGGUCGACCUUCUGGGUCACGGGUCAGGUGGGUUGACCCGGGUUAACCCGGGUCAACCCAAAAAAACCUAUAUAUAAAAAAAACACAUAACUAAUUACAAUAUAACACUUACUUAAACCAAAUUUAAAUUAUAAACCAACAAUAUAAAUUUAAUUCAAUAUCCAAAAUACAAACUAAAUAUAAAUUAUAAAAUAUUUAAAACAAAACAUCCAACCAAAUAAAUUCCAAAAUAUUUAUAUGAGAGGAGGGUGUUGUUAAAGGAGGAGAGCAUGUUUAUUUAUUUAUUUAUUAUUUUUUUAAAAGGAAUAAAGCAUAAUCUCUUUCAAACAAGGAGAAGGCACGAAUAAAGCUAAAGCAUUUAGCUCUGCUUGAAGUUGAAUGGCUAGAGGGCUAAACUAAUGACUUCCUUCAUGGCUUAUGACUACAGCCUCCAGGAACAAUCACUUACAUGUGCAUGUUUUUUGAAUGAGAUUAUAACAUUGGUUUUUUUAUAUUAACAAUCGCUUAUUCUUUACUAUCCUUCAUUAUGUUUUUUUCUUAAAUCUUAUUCAAUCAUUUUAUUACAUGUGCAUGUUUUUAUUAUCAUAUAAUUAUUUGUUCUAAUUAUUUUUUAUUAUUAUUAAAUAGAGGAAAUAUUAUACUAGCAUAUUAUUUAGUUUCAAUGGGAUAUAAAUUAUUAAUUUUGUUAUAAAAAAUGCCUGAUAUCUAAUUAAAUAAGAAAAAUUGAAUAACUCCUCAAGUCACGAGAUUAUAUAUCCUAAUAUGCAUCUAUCUCUCAGUCUCUCAAUUUUAUUUUUAAUUUUGUAAGCAAUUUUAUAUAUUGGCAAGUGUAAUUAUCAACUAUUUUUGUUUCACAGUUAAAAUAUUUUUUUAUGAUAAAAAUAUAAUUAACAAUGCCUAAGGAUUUGUAUUUAUUUUUUUGGGCGUUACAGGAACGUGGAUACGUUAACUAGUGAAUAGUCUAUUUAAGAUGGAUCCAAGUGAUGAGAGAUUUAAUUUUCAUAUAUGAAAACCCAUAAAAAUAACAUGACUAUUAAAUACUAACAAUAAGAAAGGUUUGAGAUAGAUAUGCAAUACACUCACGGGACAUUUUAACAAGAGAGUGUUUAGUGUCCCGAUCCAAGUCAAUCAGUAUGCUCGCCAUUGUUAGCCUGAAAAUUGAGUUCGAAUCAGAAUAGUUGAACGGACGACAGGGAGAAACUUUUGUCCACGGUUCAAUCAAAAGAUGCUGUGGAGAACAUAGAGAUUUUGGGCUGCCUGUUCUUGAUGCGACUCUAAUUCAUGGGAUUUGCUGGUUAGAGAAAAGGGUAAAAAGCACAACCAUAUCCACAAUCCAUGACUGGAACAUACCUGGUACGAGUGGGGAGUUGCGUUUUUGGACUGAAUGGCAGGCACCGCUUCUUUUCCUGCUUCUGGGUCUCGACCUCUGUAUAUAUGGCACUGAUUCUGCUCACCUUGUUGGCUUCUGCUACACCCUGUUCUUCGUUCUUCGUCUGUCUUCGCUCUUCGGUGCUAAGUAUGUUUUUAGAGUCAUUAAACGGCGUCGUUUAAUGACAGGGAGAGUAAAAAAAAAAGUGGCCGGGUCGACCGGGUUUGACCGGGCCAAUUCCCAAGCGGGUUUUGGCCUUCACCCGGACCGGUUCCGUGCCCGGGUCGGCCGGGUCCCGGGUCGACCCGCCGGUCCGGUCCGGGUUUAAAAACUAUGUUAAGAAGCCCUCUGCCAUCCACAGGAGCACCAACUCAUCCUUUUGAAAUGAAUAAUCUUUUGGAAAUAUGGCACAAUAAGCAAAACAUUGCUUCACAUGUGGCAAGAGAUAAAGAUAACUUAAUCUCAAAGCUGGGAGGAUAUCGUCAUUGGGUAAAUCCCAUAGAUUGCUUUUCAAUAUCUUCUCCCACUCCUCGACAUCUCUUUUGGUGCGUAGCAGACCACCGAGUGUUAUUGCAGCUAGAGGAAGGCCUUCACACUUUCUCGCUAUUGCUCUACCAAUUUCUUGCAACUCUUCAUAAGCUUUGGGAUUUUCACCUCGAAUGCAUGGGUGGCAAACACGGCCCAGCAGCUGUCUUCCGUCAAUUCUUUUAGAUAAUGAGUUGGAACAGUUCUCAUGACUGUUGCUACACCUUCAUUCCGUGUUGUGACAAGAAUCUUACUCCCUUGUGCUCCGCACUUCAGGGGGGUAAGCAAAUUGUCCCACUCAGCAUAAUCUUCCUUCCAAACGUCAUCUAAAACAAGCAAGAAUUUCUUUCCCCGCAAUCUCUCCUUCAACUGAAGCUGGAGGGGAUCCAGGUUAUCAAAAUCAGGCUUUGAACCGAACCCCUCAAGGAUAACCUUGGUUAACUUCGAAACACUGAAAUCUUCAGAAACACAAACCCAAGCUUUGAGACCGAACCGCUCUUGUACUCUGCUGUGAUUGUAUACAAGCUGAGCGAGCGUGGUUUUACCAACCCCGCCCAUUCCCACUAUGGGAACGACACCUAGGUUUUGUCCAUUUGCAUCAUCUGAUAGAAGCAACUGCAGUAUUGCUUCCUUGUCAUCAUCUCUGUCGCACGUGUGCGGCGGCGCGGCGAUCAUCCACCCUCAAGGAAAAAUCGGAAUAAUUUAUUCCUGGAAAAUAGGGGAGAGACAAGGAAUUCUUGUCUCUACAUGUGAAAAUAUGGACUGGGAGUCGCCACCUAGUAUUCUGGUUACUAGGAACCUUAACUGGUCUUUAGAGAUCGGGUACGGAGACUGGUUGCGUAAAAGGAAGGUAUUAGCACCCCAACUACGCCCUACCUAAGAUAGGCUGCAUUGUUUUAAUGUCUGAUAAAAUCUAAAAUCAUGUUGUGGUUUUUUUGAAUUGUUGGUUCGUUUAUGGUUUAAGAAAAGUCCUCCUCUGUAAGGAGAUCCUUAUCUUUAUCGGGUAAAAAAACUAACUAUUCGAAGUCGUCAAAAGAAAAUAUCUUUUUUUUUUUUUAUCAGGAAUACGAUUUACGUAUAAAUUCAUAAUCUCUGAUACUAAGAUCAAACAAAAUAAAAUAUUUUGUUGUUUUUGAGAUUUUGGCCAAUGUUCUCUUGACUUUAAUAAACUGGUUAUUAAAGCCAAAAUGCAUGCUAAAAUUUUUUUUUUUUUUGACAUAUGCAAAAUACGAUAUGAUUUUUUAGAUUUGAGACACUUGGCCGUAUGCACAAAAACAUUUUUUUUUUAAUCUUUUUUUAAUUUUAUUUAUUUAUUUUUGGAAGUUUUUGCCGAAAAACGGGUCUUUUAAUACCGGAUUUAUAUUUUUACGAUGUAAAAAUAUUGCCCGAUAUUAAUCAAAAUGGCAUAAAAAAAACUACGCGGAAAAAUUAUAAAAUGCUGAAACAAAUAUUUUUGAAUUUUUUUUUUUAUGCUGUGUGAACAGUACCGUAUGAAUAGUGACGUGUGAACAGUACCGCGGGACGAAAACCGGGUAUUUUAAUACCGAAUUUAUAUUUUUACGAUGUAAAAUACAGACCGAUAUUAAGCAAAAUUGAUAAAAAAAUAUGCCGGAAAAAUUGUAAAAAAAAAUAAAAAUGAAAUGGGCCGGGUCCGGCCCAUACAGUGGGCUGGGCCAACCGGCCCAAACUAAAUGGGCUGGUUACUGUGCAUAAGCACAGUAACCAGCCUCUCAGCAGUUGCAGAACGUGAAUUAAUUCACGUUCUGCAUGAAAAUAAAGAGAGGGCAGCAGCAAAGGAGAAGGAGACGGGGCAAGGGUUACCUGCGGUGGCGUCGAGGCGGUGCUGCUGGUGGCGCGGAGGCGAUGGUGGCGGAGGCACGUGGCCGGCGGUUCUUCUCUUCUCUCUCCUCUGUUUUUCUUCUUUUCUUCUGCUUCUUUUUUUUCUUCUUCUCUCUUCUCUCUCUUCUCUUCUCUCUCUUCUCUCCUCUUCUCUCUCCCUCUUCCUCUGUUUUUUCUCCUCUUCCUCUCCCCUGUUUUUAUAGGCGAAAAACAGGGGACGUCAUGGUGGUGGCCUGUUGGCCGCCCGUCCACUAUCCAAGUGGAAAGUUGGCAAGUGGCCUUUCGGCGUCUUUUUGAGCAAAAGAGGGAAAGUAAUUAGGCGAAAAGGGGAAGAAAAAAAUCUUCUUCUUCCCCUGCCUCGUGUGUCCAGGGGAAGAAGAAGAGCUACAGUGCCGUCAAAACGGCACCGUUUUGGGCUUCUGUUUUUUUUUUUUUUUUUUUUUUUUUUGCAACAGUGAAUGAAACGGCGCCGUUUUGGUCAAAACGCGCCGUUUCAUUUAAAAGGAAAAGGCGCCAAAAAUCAGAUUCAAAUUUCGGCCCUCCAUUUGCGCGCGUUUUACAAUUUAGUCCUUGGUCUCGGAUUUCUUCAAUUAAGUCCCUAAUUGGCCAUAAACUUCAAUAUUUAUGCAAUUAAGCCCCUGAUUUGACCAAAUUAACUUCCAAAAAUUAUAAUUUGACCCCAGAAAAUUAAUUUCUCCUAAUUAAAGCCCAAAUUAACUCCAAAAUCAAUUUUUCUUGCAAUUAAAAUCUCCAUAAAUUCAAUUAAACCUUCAAUAAAAUUUAAUUGAGUCCAUAAACUUCUGAUUUUGCAUUUUUCUUCCACAAAUUGAAUUUUCUUUAUCAUCGGGGCUCUCAUCAGUUAAUGAUAUACUGUCAAAAAAUAAUUUUUAUAUUUUUAAAAAUCCUCAAAUAAUUUUUUUAGCAUGUUUAUGGCCCUCUGGUAUUUUUCACUGUUAUAUUUUUUUGUAAUAUAUUUUUUUUUUGAAUUUUUUUGUAUUUUAUUAUUUUAUAUGUGGGGACCCAAAAAUGGGUUACAACAAUCUCUACCAUAAACACCACGUUCAUCCACCAGAGAAGUUGUUCGUCUUUUAGGCGAUGAUGGUUCUUUUCCAGUGCGGUUGAUCAAACCAAGGGCAUCCUUUUGUUUUACUAAGUAAUCUAGACUCUCCUGGAGGCCUCUUGAUUUUUCUUCUAUCUCUCUCAACCCCAUUAUUUCAAGUGGUUUAAUGAAGGUUUGAGCUUCAGCUUCCAACUCCUGCCGUAGAGCUUCAUAAGCAAUCUCAUCCAAGAAGUCGUCGGCUUCAUAGACAGCGUCUUUAUACUCGGCCAGCCAAUCCCGCACAGCUUUAUUUGUUAUCUGCUUCUCCUCAGCAUCGUCAAGCAGCCCACCGCCAGAUAUCAUUGUUGUCUUCAACCUCUUCAGCGGCCUAUCGUCAAACAAAAAUCUGGGAUUCAGCGUUUACUAGAAACUUCUUCAACAAUCUUUUGAAUUAAUUUUGAUUCAUGCCUGUGCAUAGAAAAAGAAAGUCAUCACUCAUGGAUGAAAGAUAAUCUUUUGAAUUUCAUGCAAAUUUAAAAUACAAAACGUAAUAAGAGUAAAAGUUAUAAGCAUUUGCUAUCGAUAUAGGGAAAGAAAAGAAGUACCCAUUUGCGAUACUGUGAGGAUCCAGCCCAGAUAAAUUUGCAGCCUCCACAAGAGCUUUUCUCCACUUUUGGACCUUCUCCAUUUCUUCCUUAAAACGUUCUUCAUGUCUAUAUCAAAGGCUUCAGCAAAACUCCCCGUCUGUUUUCUAAUAUCAGAAGGAUCGAUAUCAUAGAAAACAGGUAGAACAAUCUGGCCAGUUGUGUGUCUGCAAUCAAGAAUCUUUUCAAGUUCAUCAAGACACCAAGUGGAGGAAGCAUAGCCCUUAGAGAAAACCACUAUAGAAAUCAUGGAUUCUUGAAUUGCUUUGAGGAGUUGCAAGGAGAUUUCUUCACCUCUACGAAGUUCGUCGUCAUCUCGAAAUGCAUGGAUUCUUGCAUGGUGUAAAGCAGUGUAAAGAUGAUCCGUAAAAUUUUUGCGAGUAUCUUCACCUCUAAAACUUAGAAAUACAUAGUAACCCCAACCAGGUCUAGACAAAGAAGAAGAAGAAGAAGACGCCAUGAACAUCUAGUAAGGGUUGCUGGCAGUGGCGGAGCCACGUAGGAGCAAAAGGAGGCAAUUGCCCUCUUAAUUUUUUUAAAAAAAUAUUUGACCCAUACUGACCCAUCAAGGAUAAGAGAAAGACGAAAAAUCUAAAGUAUUUUUACUGCACAUAUUUGAAUGCAAUUUCUUUGGAAUUAGAGGAACCUGAUACGGAGUACAUUAGAAUAUUAAUAUAAUAAUAUGGUGAGGGGUUGAUAUUGUUGACUUGUGUCUUAAUAUAAUAAAUAAUAGAUAUAUAUAUAAUAUAUAUGCAACACCCCAGCUUAUUUCCCCAAACUUUUCCUUUUUCUUUUUUUUUUCCCGCUAACUAUUCAAGAGCUUUUUUACUCUUUUUUAGUUGCUCUCUUCCUUAUACAAUUUUUUUUUUCUCAGUUAGGCAACUUUAGGUAACAAAUUUUCAUUUUUUUUAUUCAUUUUAUUAUUUAAUUUUAGUUUUAUUUUUUAUAAUUAGUUAUUGAAAAUGUUAGGGUUUAUAAUAAUUUAGAGGUUUUGAUAUAUAUAAUAUUUUGAAUCAAUUAAAGAUAAAUAGUAGUGGAUUAGACUGCAAGAUUUUGAACAAUAGGUAUUUAUUUGAUUGUUUUGAACUAAUUAAAGGUUAUAUCAUUUCUAAUUGAAUUGAUUAUGAUAUGGAACUAAACUUUUUCAUGAGAUGAACAAUCAAACAUUCAAAUUGUUAUCAACAAGUAAAGAUUGAUAUUUACAAAAUUAAAAUUGUUUUAGCUUGAGAUUGGUCCUUUUUAUGAUGUUAAUUUCCUUUUUAUGAUUAAAUAAUUCAUAUUUUAUUUGUUUUUUUUUCUCUUUUUUGUUUUCGUCAGGCAAUUUGUGUUUUGCUGGAGAAGAAUUAACACGUGCGUACAAGCUUGAUUUUAAUCAGUGCAUGAUGGUUUUUUCUUAAAAAAGAAAAGAAAAAAACAUUUUUUUUUGUUUUUAAAAAUAAUUUAUCAUGAUAAAUUUAGACUAUCAAUCCUGAUCCAUAUCCAUGCAUUAUAUAUAGCAUGCUACAUGGUAAUGAGGUGUGAAAUGGAUUUUGAUGAAUUAAUGUGUAUUUUACUAUGAAUUUUAUAUGAAAAGUUUACAAUUAUUAUGUAACUCAACUGAAUUUUGUUAUUAUGAAAACCCAAAGAAAACAAUUAUAAUGUAAGUUUUUUUUAUUUUAAAAGUAUUUUUUUAAAUUAAUUUUGCUUUAUAUGAGUUAAUAUAUUUGUUUCAAAUUAAUUUCUAAUGCAAGUCUAUAUAAUAUAAUAUUUAUUAAUAAUUUAUCCCCUCAUUUAUAAAAUUCUGGCUCCUACCACUGGUUGCUGGCUUGCUGCAGGUAGGAGAGAGAGGAUCGAGGGGCAGUAAACUGUCACCUUCCCUCUUUCUUUUGAAGAGCCCAAUAUUUAAGUAUUGCUUUACAUAUGGAUGUUCGGUAAAACAAAAUUAAAAAAUUAUAUUUUUAAAUUAUUUUAAUAUUUAUAUGUAAAAAAUAAUUUUUAAAAAAUAAAAAAUAUUAUUUUAAUAUAUUUUUAAAUAAAAAAUAUUUAAAAAAAGCUACUAUAUUUUUAAAUAAAAAAACCUAGCACAUCUCUUUUAAUAUAGUUAAUCUCUAGUUUUCAUACAAUUAAAUGAGAUCAAAAUUGUUAAGGUCCUUUCACUUUCAUAACCUCUCUGCAUUUGGCUAUAUAUAUUCAAAGGUUUAAGCCGAAAUGAAUUCUAUUAGUAAAUUUGUAUCGAAUUACUUGAUUGUAUUAUGAAUUAACAUGUUUGGUAUCGAUCAAUGUCAAUAGAAAGAAUUGGGUUGCGGGUGCUAGGAAAAUGGAGCUAGGCAUGUUGGAAUAACUUGCUUUAUUUGCCAAGAGAUCCCAUCGUCUAAAAAGUGGGUUUCAUUGGAAUAACUUUUAUUAUAUAUGCCAAUCUUUCUUUUCACGUGAUGUGCUCAUGAUGCAGAAGAACACUUCACUUCAUGUCUUCUCUCCUCUUCUCUUAUCACUUUUCAUUGACAAAUAAAUUAUAAAUUUGUUGAUGACCAUUGCUAUGAAUAUUAUAAAAAACAAAGAAUUGUGGAGCAAAUUACAAUAGAAAAAAUCAUUAUAUUAGAAAUUAAGUACAGGUUAAAUUGCGAAAACAAAAAUAUUCGUAAUCAGUAUUAAGUAUACUAAUUGUUUGAUUUGAAUAAUAAGAUGCAAUCCAAUAGAAUUAGGUCUGAUUGGUUUUAUCUUUCACAUGUGGAAAUAACCUUUUUUUAAAUAUAAAUGGAUUAUUUUAUUCCAAAUUAAACCUCUUUAUAAAUGUAAUUAUUAAACUUCAACUAUUAAUGAUUUUUUAAAUAAAAUAUAGUUAAGAAAACAUUUUUAAAACAUGUUCAACAAUCAAAUGUGUUUGUUUUUUUAGCGGCUUUUGCUUUUAACACAAAUAACAAAAACAAGAUAUUUGGUUACAUAUGAAUCAUAGUUUUGUGAUUGUUAGACCCAUUACAAUUUACGGUCCAACCAUAAGCUACAAAUUUAGUAUUUUCUCAUCCACCGACAACUUCACCAAAAAACAAUUUAAGUUAUUUUACAAUUACUAAGGUACCCAAUCAUCUUUCUCAUCCUCUCCACCUUCACUUUUAAAAUAUUACAACAUCAGGUCAUCAACUUUCAUCAUAAUUUUAAUAAAAUAUCUUUUAUUAAACAACAUUUUUAAUUAUAAUUAUAAUUAAAUAUUUAUUAAAAUUAAAAUCAACUAUCAUUAAUUUUUAGAACUGAUGAUUCUAGUCAUGAACUCAGGGCUAAUCUCAUAAAAAUCAAACUAUUAGAAAUAACAAAGCAAUACUAAAAAAAUAAUAAAAAUAUAAUAUCAACUUAAAAAAAAACCAAGUAAACUUGAACGAAUUUAUUAAACCUGGUUUAACUCUAAAACUUGCAACCCGUGUAAUACUAGGCUCAGGAUCAAUAAAAAAAAAUUUCUAAAGCAAAAAAUAGAGAUACAAUUUUAUAUAUAUAAAAAAAAAACCUAAGGAUGAAAUUGAAAAAAUAAAUAACAAUCAAAAGAAUAAAAAUCAAAUUUGAAAGAUUAAAAAAUCAUGGGAUGAAAUUAAAAAAGAGAGUAAUUUGAUAGAUUUUCUUAAGAAUUUUCUUAAUUUGAAAACAAUUUGUAAAUUAAAAAAACAUAGAGGAUUAAAAGGUUUAAUGGUUAAAAGAAAGUUUUAUCACAAUCAUGGUAAACAGUAAUUUCUUUAAGAGAUUUAGUUUUUUUAUUAAAUUUAAUUAAUAAAAAUACGGUACCAUUCUCUUUAACCAUGCCUUUGAUUUUAGAUUAAAAAAAAACAAUAACUAUAAUUAUAAGAGAAGAAAUAUUUUCUUAAAAAUUAAGAGAAAUGAGGAAAUUAAUUUGUUAAUGUAUUUAAAUAAGAUCAUAUAUUCUCUUACAAAUUAGAAAUAAUGAAUCUAGUUUACAUAGUACUUUCUUGACAAAAAAUCAAAGCAAUAUGAAUGCUUGUAUAUACGAAUUACAUACAUAAAAAAUAAAGAAAACAAAAUAAAAUCAUUUCACACCAUGCCAGAGUCACAUUUUUAAUACCAAUGUUUCUCACUCUUAAAAUUUUUACUCUCAAUAUAAUUUUAGUCGGUGUAAAAAAAAAAAAAAACAGAGCAAUACCAUGAGUCGACUCAACCCGACGCCUUGAAGGAAGCCGUGACCGAGUUCAUUUCCACCCUUAUUAUUGUCUUUGCCAAUGAAGGGUCCGGCAUGGCCUUCGCUAAGGUCACCGACAGUGCUGCCAACAUACGCGCUAGACUCAUCGUUGCAGCCAUCGCCCAUGCUUUCUCCCUUUUUGUUUUUGUUUCUGUUGGUGUCAACAUCUCUAAAAAGUAUUGGUUUUUGGCAGCAGCAACCAAAAACCCAGUUCCAAAAAACGACCCCAGCUGCAAGAUUCAUCCUUUUUCCCCAUCAUCCCCGCAUGCUAGAACAUUCCAAAAUCCCAUCAGCCUCAAAAACACAACUGUUUUUCUUUUCUUUAAAAAUAAAAAACUAAAGAAAAGAGACGCAACUUGCUCGUAGAGUUAGGCCAAUCACAAAAAAAAAUAUCCCAUCUCCUCAUUUUACUUGCUAAAGAAGAAUUCAGGAAAGGAAAGAAAAGAGAUAUCAAAUGACAAUAAUAGCAAACAGCCCUCUGUUCCUUUCUACCAGCCUUGCAAAAGUAGUUUACAAGGGGACCAACAACUCCAUCGCUGGAAGUAAUUUUCACCACCUGCCCCUUCUGCAGUCCAUAGUAUCGCACAAUGGCAUCCGAUUCUAGCAAUCUUCGGCUGUAGAACAUGCAUGGUAAUGUUCACCAGCAGGUCAGUGAUCUGAAUGCAAAUCAAACCGUGAAGUGAUUGUCGAAAGCUUAAAUGGGUAACCUUUCUAAAUAUAAGCUACAAGGACAAUAUGAUACAUAAAGAUAAAAUGAUAAUUUAUACACAUUUCCAUUAGCUUUGAUGGAGAAAGAGCAUUCAAAAAGAUCACCGCUAGUAUCACAGACAUGAUCAAAAAGUGACUAGCAUGACCUCUUGUGGCUAGAAAUUAGCAUCGUUCUUUAAAAUGUCUGGCCACCCAAAGUUCUUUCUAAUUGUCUUACAACAAAUCUGCAGUAUGAAAAUUUAUUUAGACAACAGGGGGGUGUACUUGAAAAACCUCCACUUUGAAUGGAAACUUCUCCGGCUCUUUCUUGGCAAAGUAGUUCAUUUUGCUUUGCAAAAUCAGUAUUGUCAAAGAACCAUCUCAAUUCAAUAGCUUAAGCUAUUAGGUGAGGUCCCAGGAUAUGAUUUAUAUUAUUCUCUAACACACCCUCUCAAGUGAAAGCUCUUUGGGCUUGAAACUUGCACAGACCCACAUUACCUUGUGCUUAUUUUUUUUAUCAAAUAAAUGGGGAUAGUGAGAUUCGAACUCGUGACCGCUUGAUCGUCAAGGCUCUGAUACCAUGUCAAAAAACCAUCUCAACUCAAUAGCUUAAGCUAUUAUGUGAAUUUCUAGAAUAUGAUUUAUAUUAUUCUUUAACAAGUAUCAACCCUUGUAUACUCUCUUUGCUAAGAAUUUGACCAUAUACAGCCCUGAUAUUUGCUGUUCUAAUUUCAUCAGUUCCCAUGAAGAUGACCAGGUUCUGCAGACCAAGUUAAAAAAAAUAAAAUUAUGACUAGGAUUUCCAUACAAAUUUCCAUAUAAUUUUUAUUAAGAAAUAUAGACCGGUAAAGAGGUGAAUGAGCCUAUCUCAUAUCUUACCAUUAAAACAUAAUUUGCUCCUACUCGACCCAUACCUAUCACCCUAAACCCAUAUCCAUACCUGCCUAUGUAAUAACCAGCCCAUGUCGAAAAAAAAAUAGCUUUUCAGUAAUGUUCAUUUUAGUCCAUGAGUUUUUAAAACGUUUUUUAGUCAUAUAUUUUUUCUAAGAAAACAUUUUAUUUGUUAGAAUUUUUUUUCAAUUUUUUUUACAAUAAAAAAUGCAGACAUUUAGUUUCAAAUUAUUGGUUUGGAAUGCAUCCAACAAAGUUAAUGUUUUAACAUGUAAUUAAGAUAUACUCAAAAUUAUUUUAAAAGUAAUUUAAUUUAAAAUUAUAUAUUUAAGAAAACUAAAUAGAAGAUGAGCUUCACUUUCAAGCUAUAUAAACUUAUUAAAUUAACCAAAAUUUAUUGUAAAUUAAAUUAAAUAUCUCAAGAAAAAAUAGCUAUUAAGAUAUAGUAAAAGCAUUGUCACAGUUGUUUUGUAAUAUUGACAGGAGUAUCUGAUUUUGAAAAUGACCAAAGGAUAAAACAAAGGAAGCAUCUGACUAUGAAAACAGAGUCGAAGGAUUGCAGUCAGCUUCGAUGACCGGAGAACAGACAACGGCAGGAACCAACGAUGCCAAAACCCAAACGAUACAAGGGAUGGGGGGACAACAUUUCUAUUAAAUCAAGAGCCAAAAAGCAGCAGCACCGUGGAACACCAAAAGACUAAAAGGCAGCAACAAAGCCAUAGAACACCAAAAGGCUUGAAGAUCAAAUUACAAAUAUUGUAGGCAAGCAGUUUCACGUCCAAUACAAGCAGUUUCAUUUCUAUGAAAUUGCUCUCGCACACCAUUCUUUUCUUCAGCUACAAUUAUUUAUCUGCUGCUAUUAUAGAUGAACAUCAGACAAUCCUCACUAUUGCUCUACCAAUUUCUUGUAACUCUUCAUCAGCGUUGGCAUUUGUAGCUUUACCCUGGCCAUGCAAGUUUUCUUCAUUGUUAACUCCAGUGAAUUUGUGCAUAAUCACCUUCAUUGGGUGCAAAUCUUGUUUUCCGUUACAUUUGUCUUCCACACUUGUUGAGACAUCUCUCUCUCUAGUGGCUAAAUCUAGCAAAAUUUCGUAUGUUGCGCUGCUUAUUUAUGCAAGCUCCUUGUUAAACUUAACUACAGUGCAAGUUUAUGUUUUAUUCCUCUUUGAAUUUAGGAUUUGUAGUUUUCUCCGCAAAAAAAAAAAAAACCCAGUAAUACUGGUAUCACACCUGUAUUGUUUCCUAUACUCUCACCCAGGGAGAUGAAGGCCGCCACAACCUUACAUAGCUUUCCAUCUUUCUGAAAUUUGCCGUAAAAUUUCCUGAUCAACUUUACAUUGAUUUAUGUAAAUUGCCUGCUUGAACUUCGACUCUUGAAUACAAAAGCACAAAAGAAAUUGAAAAGGAGAGCUAAACACACACAUCCAAGUAUAAAUGAGUGGCACAACACAAAUGAUAAAUUUUGCUAGAUUUAACUAAGAGAGAGAGAGACAAAGAUUGUUCAACAAGUGCAAUAAGUUUAUUCAAGGACAAAUAGAAGGAAAACAAGAUCUGUACAAAUUCACCAGAAUCAUCAAUGCAGAGAACUUGCACAACUUUAGAUAAACAGGGCAAAAUCAUUAAGUGCCUGCUCUCUUGAGUGACAUUGGCAACUUUCACUUGCUUCUGAAUUUUGAUUCCAAAACACGGAUGCUUCCUUGUUAUGAACUAUGGUUAUGUUCACUUGCUUCUGAAGGCUUGGGUUGUGGGUUUCUCAUGUCAAUUGAAGCAAUUCCAAGUAAAUCCAAAGAGCAUUGCAGUGGCACAAAAGCCGGCUUGUGGUUGCUGAUUUAUUUGCUGAUAAUCCGUAACAAGCAAUGGAUUUUCGUUGCUGAUUUUUCAAUUAUCAGCUUCUUUUUUAUUUAAUUUUUUGUUUUUAAUAAUUCAUAUCACUUGUUUUAGAAGCCAGUAACCCUUUAAUUGCUAAGCCGGUCAUCUAAUUUAAGAACUUAGCCAAUAGCCAUUCCACUUCUUCUUCCUCUUUCCUUCGUAGAUCCAAACGAACAUAAUUUAUUACAUCUGAAAUCUCAUGGAAAAAUUUAAUUAAUUUAUUUAUGAAACAAGCACGAAAUCCAAAUAUCCCUCUCUCAGAUCAAUGGUUUACGAAUGGUCCGUAAAGAUUUAAAUCCCUAUUUUUCCUUUGAAAUUCCGUAUCUGAUGAAAGAAUUUGCUUUGCUUCUUAAUAAUUUUACCAAAAUGAUCUCUCUGUAUGUAUGCAAGUUAACUAGAGAGCGCAAAUGGCGGAUUAUAUGAAAAUGAUCAAUUAUUUGUCCUGAACAACAGUCUCCACAAUGGAAGGUGUCACGGGGUCUUUUUUUCACUCAAAUUUUCAACCCAAUGCGAAGAAAAUUUGUAUUUCAACAUCCAACAAAUAAAAACAUACAACUUUCUAGAACAAUAUCUGUAUUUCAUUAAUCCAAACUUAUGAGCCGCCCUUGCUUGUAGAGGAAAUUUGGAUCAGAAUGCUGCAAAGAAACAAUGGAGGAUUUAGACCAAGAGCAUGAAAAGGAUAUGUAAAAAUCACAAAUAGCUACGUAAUGAUAUUUGAAAAACAAUCUUGUUUUGUGAAAAUGGGCAAUUGGUAAUACUGACAUGAAAAUGCAAAGAAUUAAUAAUGGUGGAGAAAUACAGAGUAACUGAGAAAGAACAUCAAAUGGAAAAGCUCACAAUGAGUCAUAGCUGAGGGAGCAAGCAGAUCAAUUUUAUCCUGUGCAUAUCGUUCUGGCAAGAAGGAAGGGUGACAGAGCCUUCAUGAACUGUAAGUAGAAAGAUGGAUUUGGAUCCUGCCAAAAAUAAACAUAGAAUUAAUAGUGGAACAUGACAAAUUUUAACUGAAAUUGCCUUUGAUUACUGAAAAGAAAAUAAACUAUUUAGGAGCAAUACCUCAAAAAAUAUGUUGGACGAUUGAAAGAAAAGCUACUUUUUUGCCCCGCUAAUACUUAGGACACAUGCGAAUUUCAAGAAAAGAAAGGGAGGAGGGCAACUCUUCUUCUGGCAUUGACUCAAGCAUUGGGCAGUUACUUAUUUUCAAUUCUCUAAGAGAGGUGAGGUGUUGAAGCCCCUUGUAGUCAAGAGAUUUCAGGUGUUCUAGGGAAGAGAUUUCAAGAGAUGUAAGACUUGAGGGCAGCAGCAUCUCUUCAGGGAAGGAUUCAACAUUUUCGUCCCUACCAAUUUCAAAGUGUGAAAGAGAAGGGAGAUUUUGCAAGCCCCAUUGCAUGCGGCCUGCAAUGAGUUUGUUGCAAUUACGAAUCACAAGUGAUUGUAAUGUGGAGGGAAAACCCCCUUCUAGACACAACUCAACUUCUGAACAACCAUAUAUUGCCAAAUGGAAAAGGGAUGGGAGGAGGGAAUGCAUACUCUCAGGCAACUGCUUCAGGUUGCUGCAAUCAUCCAACACAAGUCGUGUCAAGACUGGAGCAGGUAACCCUCCUUUGGGAAAUGAAACUAAUUUAGGGCACGUUUCGAUUAACAAAGAAUGGAGAGAGGUGAGAUCAUUGAGAGGUCUUUCAUGUGCACAUAGUGUUUCGAGAACUGGACAGUCAGAGAUAGAAAGACAUUUUAACUGGGGGACCAAGUCCAGGGCGACGCCUUUGAGAGAAGCGCAGCCGUAGAUUCUAAUUUCCCCUAAAUCAGAGGGUGAACAACCCAUUUGAUCAAUUUCCUCGUGUAGGGACUCCAGGGAGUGGAAUCCAGAAACAUCGAGCGAGUGCAACCUAGGAAACCUAGGAAGUGGAGUCGCGAGCUGCCUACAUCCCUCAAUUCUAAGUCUUGUUACACGUGGAAGGUUGUGACCAGGUAGGGCCUUUGUAAGGUUGGAGCAUCUCUUGAUUGAAAGAAACUCAAGAAGAGGGAAGGCUUCCCGGCUGCCUUCGUCUGAAAUCCACUCGCGCCACUUUGGCAUUUUUGUAAAAGAUAAUAUUUUGAGGGAUUCAAAUGGCUUCUUCAUAAUAGUACAAUUCCCAUAGAACCCGGAGUCCACAGUCUCAACUUUAUCGAAUGCUUCAAUUGAGAGACGCUCUAAAGAAGCUAAUUGCCCGAGCGGUGGUAAGGAGGUGCAGUUUGUACAUCUACUGAGCUUCAAGGACACUAUAUUUGAGAAAGAGGACUCUCCUACCCACUCCGGAAACCUUACACCUCCAUAACCAUCAAUCUCAAGAUCCUUCACAUUUCUGUUUGGCUCUAAUUUCUCAAGUGUAACAAACUCAAGAUCCUUCACAUUUCUGUUUGGCUCUAAUUUCUCAAGUGUGCUUGUUACGUGUUGCGGGUCAUGAGUGUCACCAUCCCAUGUAAACCUCAGCUUAUCAAGGUGCUUUUUACCUUUCAAAUUUGCCUCACCAGCAUCCCGAGCAUCCACCACAUUUUGAAGGUUCCUAAUAUGAAGUUCUCCCCGUAGAUGUCGUAGCUUUCCCAAUUCUUUAAUGCUAGUCUCACUCUGUCUUCCCACGAAAAAGGCAGUCAACGUUUGGAGCUUUGUCAGUUGACCCACAUGUGGUGGCAUCUCUUUCAAAGGCGUGCCUUUGAUGUUAAGAUACCGCAAGUUGAUUAACCUUUCCAGAGAUUCAGGCAACCUUUCGAUUCUUGUUCCUUCAAGAUUCAGAUGUCGUAAAUGCUUCAAAUUUCCAAGAUCAGGUAGACUAGCAAGUUGUUGGCAAUAUUUCAAGAUCAACGUUUGCAAAUUGAGAAGAGCACUCACUUCUUCAGGCAACGUUACUAAAUCUGACCGAGAGAGAUCCAAAUACCGCAAAUGCUUCAACUUGCUAGUUGAACAAAACUUCAAAGUUGCAUCUCUACAACCAGUCAUGAAUAGCACUCGUAGGCGCCCAAGUGUUGACUGAAAGAUCUCAUUAUAAAUUUCGGGAGGACACCCAAAUAGCGUGGAAAAGUUUGGAAUGUGCGUAGAAGUUGGGCUUCACGGAUGUUUUCUAAUUUUGUGCUUGAAAAACCGCCUCCCGUAUAUACUACGAGUGAUAAAUGUCGAGUCCUGCUGCUGGCCUUGGAAGAAUUAUUUUCCCCCAACCUGGAGCUGAAGCAAAUUUGACCGGACACAUGGGUAGCCAAGUCAUGCAUGAGAUCGUGCAUCACAAAUGAUGAGGGAGAGGCACUUGAUUGCUGGAAAAAUGACCUUGACAAGAGAUCAUCAAAGCACUCAGCACCUGCUUUUUCCAUCUCAUCAUCCACGGAGCCGACUAAGAAGCCCUCUGCCAUCCACAGGAGCACUAAUUCAUCCUUUUGAAAUGAAUAGUCUUUUGGAAAUAUGGCACAAUAAGCAAAACACUGCUUCAGAUGUGGCAAGAGAUAAUGAUAACUUAAUCUCAAGGCUGGGAGGAUAUUGCCUUUGGGUAAAUCCCAUAGAUUGCUUUUCAAUAUCUUCUCCCACUCCUCGACAUCUCUUUUGGUGCGCAGCAGACCUCCGAGUGUUUUUGCAGCUAGAGGAAGGCCUUUACACUUUCUCACUAUUUCUCUUCUAAUUUCUUGCAACUCUUCAUGAGCAGUGGGAUUUUCACCACGAAAUGCAUGUUUGGCAAACACGGACCAGCAGUCUUCUUCCGUCAAUUCUUCUAGAUGAUGAGUUCGAACAGUUCUCAUGACUGAUGCUACACUUUCAUUGCGUGUUGUGACAAGAAUCUUACUCCCUUGUGCUCCGUACUUCAGGGGGGUAAGAAACCUAUCCCAUUCAUCAUAAUCUUCAUUCCAAACGUCAUCUAAAACAAGCAAAAAUCUCUUCCCCUGCAAUCUCUUCUUCAACUGAAGCUGGAGAUUAUUCAGACUAUCAGAAUCAGACUUUGAACCGACCUCCUCAAGGAUCACCUUGGUUAACCUCAAAACACUGAAAUCUUCUGAAACACAAACCCAGGCUUUGAGACCGAACCACUCUUGUACUUCGCUGCGAUUGUAUACAAGCUGAGCAAGCGUGGUUUUACCAACCCCGCCCAUUCCCCAUAUGGGAACCACACCUGGGUUUUCUCCACUGGCAUCGUCUGGUUGAAGCAACCUCAGUAUUGCUUCCCUGUCAGCAUCUCUACCAUCAACACAAGAUUCAUCCACCAGAGAAGUUGUUGGUCUUUUAGGCGAUGAUGGUCUUUCUACAUUGCGGUUGAUCAAGCCAAGGGCAUUCAUUCGUUCAACUAAGGGAUCUAGAUCCUGCAAGAGGACUUUUAAUUUUUCUUCGAUCUCUCCCCACCCCAAUUUUUCAAGUGGGUUAAUGAAAGAAAGAACCCUCUGCGUCUGACCUGUGAAGGUUUGAUCUUCAGCUUCCAACUCCUGCCGUAGAGCUUCAUAAGCAAUCUCAUCCAAGAGGUCGUCGGCUUUAUAGACAGCGUCUUUAAGCAGGUCCAGCCAAUCCCGCACAGCUCUGUUUGUUAUCUGCUUCUCCUCAGCAUCGUCAAGCACCACCCUGAGAGAUGUCAUUGCUGUCUCCAACCUCGUUAGCAGCCUAUCCUUGACUUUUUGGCCUCUGAAGAAGGCAACCACCUGGGGAGAGGCCAUCCUGUCGAACAAAACAUUAAGGAAAGAAGAAAGUAAAGCUCCUCCUACUAAAGCCCCGGCCAUGGUUUCUCCUCUUUGCAAAGUAACGAAGGAAGAGUAAACAAACAAGAAGAAGAAGAAGAGGGGAUUCUGUUCAGGUGACAGAUGGGGAAAGAAUUUGUGUAAAGAACUGGCAAAAGCUUUUUCUCUCUCGGCUCUUUAACUCUUAAAUUGUUAUGCUUAGGAGUCCAGUGCUCACGGGUAUCUAUUGUUUUUUAUUUAAAAAUAUAUUAAAUAUUUUUUUUUUACAAAUUAUUUUUAAUAAUAACAUAUUAAAAUAUUUAAAAAUACUAAAAAUAUAUUAAUUUAAAAUUUAAAAAAAUUAAUAUUUUUAAAACACUGAUACAGGCUGCAACUGAAACGAUAUUCCAUCUUUCUUUCUUUUUUAAAUAUUACUUGGUUUGUCUUUGAUUUAUUUUCCUAAAAAUUACAUCUUUUUCUGAAAAAAGAGUUUUGAUUGGAAAAACUUCACCAAAUGCGAAGCUUUUCACGUGAUAUGAUAAUGCAGCAGAAGAAUUCACUUUAUUUCUUUUAUCUUAUUCCUUUUAUCACUUUUCAUUGAUAAAUUAAAUAGAUAAUUAUAAAUUAUACUUUAUAUUAUUAUAUUUUAUACAAUUAACUCGUAGGCUUAGCAAAUUAAAUCAAUUAACUAGAUUUUUUUUGAAUUGGUUGUUUUUGAAUUUUAUUAUUUAAUAUUAUGUUUUAUUAAGAAUUAAGUUUCAUGAUUUGUUUUGAUUUAUUUUUAUUAGAUUAUUCUAACCUCCUAAUCUAAGAAUAAUGCUUAACAGGUUAACUUGGAUGGAUUGACCUAAAUAUUUUUUAUGUUUUUUUUAAUUCAAAUUUCUAGUCAUUCACGUUGGAUUGGACAUGAUCAAUUAGGAAUUGCACUUUUUACUUUAUUUUUAUUUAUUUUUUGAAAGAUUAUCUCGGUCUUGUAACUAGAGUCACAUAUUUAACGAGUUAAAUUAGGUUAGUGUUUUAUAUUUUUUUAUAGGAUUAUCUCGAUCUCAUGACGAGUUAUGGGUUUGGUGGAUUAAUUUGGGUCAUUUUUAUAUUCUUUUGAAAAUUGAUUUUUUUUAAUCUUGUCCUUCAACAUUUGGUUAAUUAAGAUUCAACUUCAUAAUUAUUAUUUUUUUUCUAUCUUAUAACCUAGGUUGUGGGCUUGACAGUUUAACUCGGUUCAUAGUUUUAGAUUAUUUUUUUAAUUGAUUUUUUUUUUAGUUAUAUCAUUUAAUAUCUGGUUGCUUGGAAAUUAGACUUCAUGAUCUCAUAAUCCAGAUAAAAAAUUUGGCAAGUUAACUCUGGUUAACCCAAUUAAAUCUAUUACUUUGUUAUCUUCAUAUUAAAAAAAAAAGAGUAUCAUUUUGAAUUUUUUUCUAAGUCAAACCAUAUUUUUAUAGGUUGUCCGAGGUGCUUCUAAAUAAGCAAAAUCAAUUGAGUCAUGUCGGAUCAAUCUCCACAUGCUUUAUUUAUUUUAAUUUUAUCCUUUAAUACUUGGUUGGUUGAGAAUUAGAGUUCCUAACUUAUUUUCUAUAAAGUUAUCAUAGUCUCAUAACUCGGGUUAUGAAUUUAACAAGUUAACUCAGGUUGACCCAAAUCAAUCUAGUUUAUUGUUAUCUUAAUAUUAAAAAAUAUAUAUAUCAUCUUGAAAUUUUUUUGAAUUAAACUAUAUUUUUACUGGUUAUUUAGGUUGUUUUUGAAACUACAAAUUCAAUCAAGUCACAUCAAAUAAAUCACCAUAUGAUUAAUUUUUUUAUAGAAUAAAUUAAAACAUUCACAAUUUAAAUAAUUUUUUAUUUUUAAAAAAAAUUGGACUCGAGUAAAUAAUCCAAUUAUAAAUUAGUUAGCGUACAUUACUUUUAAUAUUUUAAGGAACUCAUUAAACAUUUUAAAAUUAUUAAUCUCUCUUGUAUUAAAAACAAUAACACAAAACUUGAAGCUUUGCAUAAUAUUUGCUGAAUUCUAAAACAAUGGUGGAAGGAAUCAUUAAAAGAAUAAUGUAAUUUUUAAAUAUCAAUAAUUUUAAAUAAAUACAUAUGUGCUUUUAAAAAAAAUUACAUAGACAACCAACAUACUACCCAUCAUAAAAAAAAGAUAUUGUUAAACAUGGUAUAGUACUUUGACCGCAAAACCAUGUUUGGUUUCUACCGUGUCCAAGUGUUUAUGGUGCAGAGAGAAAGAGAGAGAGAGCGAAGGAAAGUGACAAACUGCACAAAAAGUCAAUAGGAAUAAUUUGAUUGGUAGUUGAAGUCUCUUUGUCCCUCUAACAUUAACCCAUUUUUCACUAAAUUUAUUCGAUAUUAAAUUUAAUUUUUUUAUUGAAUUAUUUUUAUUUUAUAACAUGUUCAAUGAUUUUUAUUUAUUUUUAAAUAUUUUUUUUAAAAAAACUAUUAUUUAAUACUGUAUUUAAUUAAAAAUUAAGAUUCAUGAUUUGUUUUAAUUUUUUUAUUAGGUUAUGUAAUCCUCAUUGUGUUUAAUUAAAAAUUUAAAUUCAUGAUUUAUCUAAAAAUAAUAUUUAACAGGUUAAACCGAAUUGACCUAACUUAUUUUUUUAAUAAUUUUAUUUAUAAAUCACAUCGUUUAAUAUUGAGUUUGACAUGAUUAAAUAGAGAUUAUAUUUUAUAAUUUAUUUCUAUUUAUUUUUUAUAAAAUUAUUUUGGUUUAUAAUCAAAUCAUGAAUUUAAUAAAUUAAAUUUGAUUAUUUUUUAUUUUUUAAUAAAAUUAUCUCGAUUUAGUAUUGAACUAGUUACGUGCCCCGCGCGAUGCCGCGGAUCAAUUAUCUUUUGCAUUUUAAAAAUAGCUAAGAUCUAAAAGUGUUAGGUUUUUUUACAAAGUUAUACCAAGAGUCUUAAGCUUGGUUGCAACGCCUGACCAAAAAGUAAUAUUUAUAAUAUUAAUAAUAACAUUAAACUUGGGUUAACCCUUAGCAUAAAAGUGUCUAGACUACAAUACCAGACCCAAUAGCAUUGGACGUGGGUCUGGCUGCAAGGUCGUGUCAUAAAAGUGUGAUAAUUAAAUAGAUUAGUUAAAAAGAAAAAAAAACCAACAGGAAGAAAAAAACUAAUGAAGAAAAAGAAAAAUAAAUAAAUCAAUUGGGUUAACCCUUCAAACCAGGUUAACCCGUCAUACCUUGAAUUCGCAUCGUGAAAGUUUGAUAAUUAAAAAGAAAAAAACAAAUUAAUGGGUUAACCUAGAAUUAGCUGGGCUAACUCAUUAAACCAGGUUAACUUGUCAGACCCGGAAUCCGUAUCAUGAAAGUUUGAAAACUAAAUACACAAAAAAUUAAUUAUUUAAAUUAAAUUAAAAAAUUAAUUAAAAAGAAAAAAAAAAGGCAUCAGUCUUACAGUCAAAGGCUUAACAAGAAAACAAAAAUAAAAACUAAAGACAUCAACCGAGAACCACUUAGAAAAAAAUUUAAUAUUAAUAAAAUAAAACAAUUAAAUAAAAUUAAUUGAAAAGAAAAAAUAAAAGUAAAAAAACCUCUAAGAAGAAAAAAAAAACUAAAUAGAAAUAAAUUUAACAUUAACAAACUAAAUUAAACGAAAAAAAUAAUUAAAAAGUAAAAUAAAGAAAAAAAAAAUCCAGGUUAACUUGUCAAACCAAGUUAACCCGUUAAACCCGGGAUCCGUGUCAUGAAUGUCUGGUAACUAAAUAAAAAAAAAGUGAACAUUAACAAACUGAACUAAACAAAAAAAAUUAAUUUAAAAGAAAAAAUCUAAAAAAAAAUCUGGGUUAACUCAUCAAACCAUGUUAACCCAUUAAACCCAGGAUCUGUGUCAUGAAAAUCUGAUAACUAAAUAAAAAAAUUAACAUUAACAAACUAAAUUAAACAAAAAAAUUUAUGAAAAUAAUAAUAAAAAAAAAUUGACGGGUCAACCCUGUAACGACCCAACAUUUUCAUGGCCAAAGUCACUGGAUUUUUUUUUUUACAUUACAUCAUAUCGACUUAUUCAUAAAUUCCCAUUCUUGUUCUAAUCUCGUAUUAUCACGAGUUCAUACAAGAGUGUCAAACAACAAGUUACAUAACUAGUACUUUUGUUAUCCUGACCGCAUGUGAUUCUUACAACAUGACGUCCUCAUUAGAUGAAUACCUCAUAUGAGUAUUCAUACACUUCAUAUCAACUUGUUCGUACAUUCUCAUCCGUAUUCCAUUUCAAUAUUUAAUUACUAGUUUUUAUAGAAGGGAUCGAAUGACUAAUUAAGUUAUUUACAUGUUCGUUCAUGCAGAACUCAUAUCACCCAUAAUAUGAGAGUAUAUAAUUCUUUUUCGAAAUGUGUGAGCCACGAAAUGAAUUUCCUUACGCACCAUAUUGGUAUGAUGUCCUUGUUACAACACAAGGUAAUUUUAAGCAUUAUAUGCCAUUUAAGAAACAUAAUAAAACAAGAUUGAAGUCACAUUUCAUUCAUGGACCAAAAAGCAUAAUUCUUUAAUUUCCCUUUACUUAUGUAAAUACCACCGUUAAUGAUCCAUCAAUUAACGAGGCUAAUUUCAGUACUCAAACCCGAUCAUUCAUCUCGAAUGUCGUUAGCCGAAUUAAUGUUUUUCUUUGUUUAAAGCAUAACCAUUAUAGUCCUUUCAUAUACUUAGUAUAUACGAAACAUAGUAUACAUGACCACAUCAGUUCUUCUUAAAACUAACUCAUACACUCAAAUCCGACAAUCCUCUUGGGAGGCCAUUAGCCGAAGUCAAUCAUCUAUUCAUCUUGCCAUCCAUUAGGGUGUCAUUAGCUGUAGCUACUCAUAUUUCUUCUUCUUUCUCUUCUUCUUCUUCUUUUUUUUUUCCAUCUCGGUCAUCUACUUAGGAUGCUGACACGACCAAAAGAUUGAUGUCUUCUCUCAAGUGCAGGAGUGUCGAAGUAAUAAAUAACCCGACAAGACCGGGGUCGAACCACAGAGAGGGUAAUUGUAUAAAUUAUAAAUAAUAAGACAACGACAACAAUAACAACAAGCAACAAUAAUAACAAUAAUAGUAGUAGUAGUAGUAGUAGUAGUAAUAAUAAUAAUAAUAAUAAUAAUAAUAAUAAUAAUACUUAGUACGUGGCAUUGUUAUACCUGAGAAUGAUCUAAAAGAUCGGGUCACAGGUUUCCAACCUAUAUACUGAGUUUAUGAAAAGAUCAAAAAGAUAUAUUAUAUAAUAUAAACAGAAUGUAAAUAAUAAUAAUAAUAAUAAUAAUAAUAAUAGUAAUAGUAAUAAUAACAAUAAUAAUAAUAGUAGUAGUAGUAGUAGUAGUAGUAGUAGUAGUAGUAGUAGUAGUAAUAAUAAUAAUAAAAGAAGAGGAAGAAAUUAAUGAGAACUUUGAGAUGGAAGAUUAAUGUAAGGAUUAAACAAUGAUAAAAACAAAUGUCAAGGUUAGAGGAUCCACCAAUGGUAUUUCAAACAAGUAUAGUAUAAACUCUUAUUACUCAAUUUGGAAACCACACACGGAGGAGGUUCCAAUCGGAUGAUUUGUCAUUAAUAGCUCAUUAUAAAUUAUUAACAUGAUCAUAUUAAUUAUCUUAUUUACAUAACACCAAACUUUUAAAUAUUAUCAGGAAUUCAUGAUUAACUGAUGUUAACAACAAAUCAAGUUCCUUUCAUAGCCCAGGUGUAGGUAAUACCAUACGGUUGGGCUAUGAGAGUGCCAAGCAUUUGUUGUACCAAGUGUUAUACAACACAAAUCUAGAUUAACCAUUUAACAAGCAAGGUAUUAAGAAUUAGUAAGAUAAAAAGAUAAGACAUGUUAAUAUUAAACAUUAAGGUCCAUGUUGAGUUUACCAUACUUAUUCUUACACCAUUAGUGUAACCUUUUCACCUUGACAUAAUAAACUUAGCUAAACAUAAUGAAGAAGAGAAACAUAAAUAAACAAAACAAGAACAUAAAGAAAAUACAAGUUAACUAAGUAAAGGAAAGGAAAUGAAAAGCAUAAACAAAUAUUAAUGAAAGCAAAACUUAAAAAUUACAAAAAAAUAUAAAGAGAGAAAUAAAGAGCAUGAACUUGAUCUGAACAACCAAGCCCCAAUACAUGGCAAAUGCCUCCUUUUAUAGGCCAAAAUUCGGAAUUAUUGAUUUGAUGACUAAUUGUUGAGUGGGUGGCCAACUUUUGACUUGGUGAAAAUCCUUAUCUUCUUGUCUGAAUAAAACAAAAAUGCUACCAUCCGAACUGGGUCACUUGGAAAACAUGAAAGUUGUAGGAAAUUGUCUUAACAUUCUAGAAAAAAAAUGAGGUCAUUUGGACUUCUAUAACUCUAGAUAUGGGCCAAACACUGAACAGUGUUCGGGCUGCAGGACAGAUUCAGACUUCUCUGUUGUUGCUAUAAUUUGGACUUGAAAACGGCCUUGUUAGAUCCUGGCCUCCACAUGAAAGUUGUAGGCCUAUGUCUUACUGAAUCUGUGUAACAAUUUGAGAUCAUUUGGACAUCUAGAACUCGAGAUAUGACCCAAUUACCGAACAGUGUUCCAGUUUGGACUGCACCAACAUCUCUUUUAUAAGUUUCACCCUCUCUUUGUCCUUUCAAUUUCCAUACUUGAACUCAUCAAUCAAUCCUUUGAUUUAUGUGAUAGGCCUGCAUUUAAGAUGAACAUUUACCAUAUAUUAGGGCAUUUUAUAGUAUUAGACUUGUUAUUAUAAAACAUGCUUUAGUUAAGGAGUUAUUGAUACUUUAAGUGCAAAAUGAUGAUAUAAACCCUUGAUAAAUAUGCACUUUUAAGUACUAAUCAGAUGCGAUUAGCUGAAGCUAGUCAUUUUUUCAUCCUGAUUAUCCGUUUAGAAUGCUAUUAACCAAAGCUAGUCAUUUAUUCAUCCCAAUUAUCGAUUUAGGAUGUCAUUAGUCGUAAUUAAUCAUUUGUUCAUCUCGAUUAUCCACCUAGGAUGUUAUUACCCGAAGCUAGUAAUUUAUUCAUCCCGAUUAUCCAUUUAGGAUGUCAUUAGUCGUAAUUAAUCAUUUGUUCAUCUCAGUUAUCUACCUAGGAUGUUAUUAGCCGAAGCUAGUAAUUUAUGCAUCUUGAUUAUCCAUUUAGGAUGUCAUUUACCGAAGCUAAUCAUUUAUUCAUUAUGGUAAUUCAUCUAUGGUGUCAUUACCAUAGCUAAUCAUUUAUUAAUUUCGAUUAUCCAUUUAGGAUACCAUUUACCGAAACUAAUCAUUUAUUCAAUUUGGUAAUUCAUCAAUGGUGCCAUUACCAUAGCUCAUCAUUUAUUAAUCUCGAUUAUCCAUUUAGAAUGCCAUUUACCAAAGCUAAUCAUUUAUUCAUUAUGGUAAUUCAUCUAUGAUGCCAUUACCAUAGCUCGUCAUUUAUUAAUCUCAAUUAUCCAUUUAGGAUGCCAUUAGCCGGAGUUAAUCAAUCGUUUGUGUCGGUCAUCCACUUAGAUGCCAUUAGCCGGAGCUAAUCAUUCAGAUGCCAUUAGCCGGAGCUAAUCAAUCAUUUGUCCUGGUGAUUAGUACUUAAAAGUGCAUAUUUAUGAAGGUUUUAUAUCAUCAUUUUGCACUUAAAGUAUCAAUAACUCCUUAACUAAAGCAUGUUUUAUAAUAACAAGUCUAAUACUAUAAAAUGCCCUAAUAUAUGGUAAAUGUUCAUAUUAAAUGUAGGCCUAUCACAUAAAUCAAAUUAUUGAUUGAUGAAUUCAAAUACUAAAAUUUGUGAAGAUAAAGAGAGGGUGAAACUUAGAAAAGAGAUGUUGGUGCAGUCCAAACUGGAACACUGUUCGGUAAUUGGGUCAUAUCUCGAGUUCUAGAUGUCCAAAUGACCUCAAAUUUUUACACCGAUUCAGGAAGACAUAGGCCUACAACUUUCAUGUUUUCAUCAAGAUCUAAGAAGGCCGUUUUCAAGUCCAAAUUAUAGCAACAAUGGAGAAGUCCGAAUCUGUCCUGCAGCCCGAACACUGUUCAGUGUUUGGCCCAUAUCUGGAGUUCUAGAAGUCCAAAUGACCUCAAAGUUUUACAGAGAAUUGUUAAGACAAUUUCCUACAACUUUCAUGUUUACCAGAGGACCCAUUUCGGAUGGUGGCAUUUUUGUUUUAUUCAGACAAGAAGAUAAGGAUUUUUACCAAGUCAAAAGUUGGCCACCCACUCAACAAUUAGUCAUCAAAUCAAUAAUUCCGAAUUUUGGCCUAUAAAAGGAGGCAUUUGCCAUGUAUUUGGUUGGCUUGGUUGUUCAGAUCAAGUUCAUGCUCUUUAUUUCUCUCUUUAUAUUUUUUUGUAAUUUUUAAGUUUUGCUUUCAUUAAUAUGUUGUUUAUGCUUUUCAUUUACUUUCCUUUACUUAGUUAACUUGUAUUUUCUUUAUGUUCUUGUUUUGUUUAUUUAUGUUUCUCUUCUUCAUUAUGUUUAGCUAAGUUUAUUAUGUCAAGGUGAAAAGGUUACACUAAUGGUGUAAGAAUAAGUAUGGUGUAAACUUAACAUGGACCUUAAUGUUUAAUAUUAACAUGUCUUAUCUUUUUAUCUUACUAAUUCUUAAUACCUUACUUGUUAAAUGGUUAAUCUAGAUUUGUGUUGUAUAACACUUGGUACAACAAAUGCUUGGCACUCUCAUAGCCCAACCGUAUGGUAUUACCUACACCUGGGCUAUGAAAGGAACUUGAUUUGUUGUUAAUAUCAGUUAAUAUCAUGAAUUCCUGAUAAUAUUUAAAAGUUUGGUGUUAUGUAAAUAAGAUAAUUAAUAUGAUCAUGUUAAUAAUUUAUAAUGAGCUAUUAAUGACAAAUCAUCUGAUUGGAACCUCCUCCGUGUGUGGUUUCCAAAUUGAGUAAUAAGAGUUUAUACUAUACUUGUUUGAAAUACCAUUGGUGGAUCCUCUAACCUUGACAUUUGUUUUUAUCAUUGUUUAAUCCUUACAUUAAUCUUCCAUCUCAAAGUUCUCAUUAAUUUCUUCCUCUUCUUUUAUUACUACUACUACUACUACUACUACUACUACUACUACUACUACUAUUAUUAUUAUUAUUAUUAUUAUUAUUAUUAUUUACAUUCUGUUUAUAUUAUAUAAUAUAUUUUUUUGAUCUUUUCAUAAACUCAGUAUAUAGGCUGGAAACCUGUGACCCGAUCUUUUAGAUCAUUCUCAGGUAUAACAACGCCACGUACUGAGUAUUAUUAUUAUUAUUAUUAUUGUUGUUGUUGUUGUUGUUGUUGUUGUUGUUGUCUUGUUAUUUAUAAUUUAUACAAUUAACCUCUCUAUGGUUCGACCCCGGUCUUGCCGGGCUAUUUAUUACUUCGAUACUCCUGCACUUGGGAGAGGACAUCAAUCUUUUGGUCGUGUCACCCGGUCAUCCAUUCGAAUGCCAUUAGCCAGAGCUAAUCAAUCGUUUGUUCCGGUCAUCCAUUCAAAUGUCAUUAGUCACAGCUAAUCAUUGUUUCAUCAAGCAAUUUAUGACAAUUUGACAUUCCUUGCAACAUCAUAGCAGACCCUUAUGGAUACUCAUACCACCAUUUCCUAGUAGUUUAUCAUUCCGUAACACUAUGAUAUAUCCUUUGUAAUGCAGAACUAAACAUCCCUCAACAAUUUAGCAUUUAGUAUAACACAACAAUACCCUUUGUAUCACUCAUCCAACCAUUCUUGACAGUUAAUGUUCAAUGCAACAUAACAAUCAUUCUUGACAGUACCCUUUGUAUCACACCACCAUUUGUGGUAAUUAAUCAUCAAUACGAUACAACGAUAGAUCUUUCAUAACACUCAUACAAUCAUUCAUCAUCAUUACAUUCAAUAUAAUAGAAUAAUAGAUCCUUGGUAACACAUUCAUCACAAUUACAUUCAAUAUAAUAAAAUAGUAGAUCCUUCAUAAUACUCAUACAAUCAUUCAUCACCAUUACAUUCAAUAAGAAUACAAAAGUAGAUCCUUCUACGGUACAUACUACCAUUCAUUAGUAGCCCAAAUUCAUAACAACCCCAACAUCAUAUUCAGUCUAGUAUUCAUAACAACUCAAUAAGAUGUUCACCUUAAAUGGGUCAGUUUAGGACUCUAACAUUUUCACCAUUGUUUCAACAUUCAUCAAGAACUUGUUUGACAUUUCAUAGUCGUUUUGACAAUCAUCAAGAAUUUAAUCCAACUCUUCUUUGUCGUUUCCUCUUACAACAAGGAUUUAAAUAAAAUAUCAUCACAAGUUAAUCAUUUCAAAACAUAAACAUCAAAAUGGGAAAAAGGUGGAAACCACCUACCUGCUCCACUUGUGGUCUGUCCUUGUCCUAGCAAUGGUCCAAUCCUAGCCACAACACCUAAGACAACAAUGACCACAAUCAAUUCAUUUGUAUCUUCAAUUCACAUUCUUCACCACACUUAUUUCAAGAGUUCAUAUGUUCACAUUCAAGUGUUCUAUAUUUUACACCAUCAUACCAUGAAAUUGUUACUAGAAUUUAAGUCAUUUCUGCCCAGAAGGCCUAUUGUAGAAAUCGGCAGUGAAAACUGGUUCACUGCAGGUUGCCAAAUUCGGCAGCGAAAAUUGGUUCGCUACAGGCUGCCAAUUCGGCAGUAAAAAAAAAAAUUAUUCGUUGCAACCAACAAGUUUUGCGGCAGCGAAUGCUACUUCGCAGCCGACAACUCGACUUCCACAACGAAUCACAAAUUCGCUGCCGAACUCACAUUUCAGCAGCGAAAGCUAAUUCGCUGCAGAUAACUCGACUUCAGUAGUGAAUGCUAAUUCACUGCAGACAAUUCAAUUUCGGUAGCGAAUCAUAAAUUCGCUGCGGCAAACUUAACUUCAACAGCGAAUCACAAAAUUUGUUGCAGAACACGCAUUUCAGCAGCGAAUGCUAAUUCGCUGAAGACAACUCAAUUUCAGCAGCGAAUCACAAAUUCGCUGCAGCCAACUCAAUUUCGACAGCGAAUCACAAAUUCACUGCAGAACACAUAUUUCGGCAGCGAAUGCUAAUUCGCUGCAGACAACUUAAUUUCAGCAACGAAUCACAAAUUCGCUGCAGCCAACUCAAUGUCGACAGCGAAUCACAAAUUCGCUGCAGCCAACUCAACUUCGGUAGAGAAUCACAAAUUCGUUGCAGAACACAAAUUUCAGCAGUGAAUGCUAAUUUGCUGCAGGCAAAACAAUUUUGGCAGAGAAUCACAAUUUCACUGCAGCCAACUCAACUUCGGCAACGAAUCAUAAAUUCGCUGCAGAGCACACAUUUUGGUAGCGAAUGCUAAUUCACUGCAGACAACUCAAUUUCGACACCGAAAUACAAUUUCGCUGCAGCAAACUCAAUUUCGGCAGCGAAUCACAAAUUCGCUACAGAACACAAAUUUUGGUGGCGAAUGCUAAUUCGCUGCAGAUAACUCAAUUUCGACAGCGAAUCACAAUUUCGCUGCAGCAAACUCAACUUCGGCAGCGAAUCACAAAUUCACUGCAGAACACACACUUCGGCAGCGAAACUAAUUCCCUGCAGAAGACUCGGUUUCGGCAGCGAAUCGCAAAUUCGCUCCCAACCCACAUUUUGGCAUGAACACACACCACACGUUGUAACAACUCCAGUACAUAAACUGUCACUAAGUUCCAGCAUAACCCACACAUUGAAACCAUCAAUUCCACCAUAUAAUUUUUCAAUAAAUUUCAGCAGAACACACAUAUUGAAACCAUCAAUUCCACCAUAUAAUCUUUCAAUGAAUUCUAGCAGCAUACACGCAUUGAACCCAUCAAUUUCAGCAUAUAAUCUUUUGUUAAAUAUUCUGGAAUCGGGUCCCCCAUCCAACCCCGUUUUUGUCCCUCCUUUGAGCUUAGUUCUUUCCAUAACAGUUGGAGUAAAGUUCCUAGGCCAUGCAUCCAUAGUUUUCUUCUUCCUUUCGAUUUCAAGACCUUAAGAACAGGUGGGGAAAGACAUGGUUCAUACCUCACGGAUUUAGCAUUUUUGGGAAGGGUUUGAAAACAUUUCUCCCCUUCUGCUCCCGAUUGUUUCUUCCUCUUCCUCUCUUUCAGUCUUUCUCCUCCUCUUGUUAGUUUCCCACUGAUUUUUAGGCCUCUACUCCCUUCAUGUUUGCAGCUGUUCAGCCUCCUGUCAAGCGCUCCCUUCUUUCUCUCACGUCUAAGGAGGGCACUAGAAGCUAAGGUAUGGUCAUGUUCUUUCCUUGGAAAGGGAAAGAGGGAAGGGGACAAGCAUCUCAUUUUUGGGGAAAAGGAAGGGGACAAGAGCAUGCAGCUCACUUUGGGGAGAGGGAAGGGGACAAGAGCAUGCAAAUCGUUUUGGGGAGGGUGUCUCCCUCUCUCUCUCUCAUUUCUGCAUUUAUACCCCUCCUAAAAGCAAAAAAAAAAGGGGUGUUUGGAUGUUGGACAAGGUUGUCCUAACCUCCUUUUGGGUUAUCCUUGAGCUGAUUUUCAUUCUCAUUCUCCUCCCCUAGGAUAGGUCGGUCCCACACUAAAUCCUUUUUUUUUUUUUUUUUUGAUGUCGCUGUCGAUUCCGAAAUCGGCAGCCUCAAACUGUGUCAUUGCCGAUUCAGGAAUCAGCAGCCUCAAACUGUGCUGAUGUUGAUUCUUGUCACUGCCGAUUCAAAAAUCGGCAACCUGAAACUACGUCGCUGCCAAUUCAAAAAUCAGCAGCCCGAAACUGCGUUGCUGCUGCUGCAGAAAUCGGCAGCCGCACUGCGUCACUGCCGGUUCAGAAAUUGACAGGCUGAAACUGCGUCGCUGCUGCUGCAGAAAUCGGCAGCGAUGGUGGACUCAUUUCGGUUCCACUUCUUGUUUUUUUUUUUUACAUUAUUGUAAGAUCCCACAUCGGCGGGUGAGGGGUGUGUUGCUGGCCUUAUUAGAAGUGCUAGUGCUAACAUGUUGAACGCGUUUUGGGGCAUCAGGCUCAGUAGUGGGCUCGCGUCACUAUGAACAAAAUCGUGAGGGCGAUAAGGCCCAAAGCGGACAAUAUUUAGCAUGUUGGGCCGGUGACCCGGCUGGGCAACAAUGAAGCAAGCGUGAACGAAAUCGCGCGUGCAUUAGCUGCUAAAGAGAAUUAAUUGAGAGUGUACAGUAGGAAGUGAAUUAAAAUGAAAAGCGGUGAAAGAGAAACUUACUAACCUGGCUCUGGAUCCACCGAAAGCAGCAGCAACAAUGGUUCUGGUCACGGUCGAUUUCCUCUGCUUAUGUUCAUCCCUUUCUCUCUGUUUUUCUCCGGUUCUUGGCUUGUUCGUCCCCUGUUUCUUGGCUUGUUCGUCCCUUGUUCUUGUUUCCAGUCGCUCCUUUCUUUGUUUUCUUGCUCUUGUUCUCUGUUAUUCGUCUGCUCACCGUCUUUGUGUUCUGAAGACGAAGGCUAAGCUGGGGUACGUUGGCUUCUUUCCCCUCGGUGAAUUUGUGUUUUUUUACACUGUAUUUCUUCUCUGUUUUUUUUAGCUCUCCAUCUUCCCUUUGUUCUGUAUUUUCGGGUUGUGUUUCUGCUUUGCUUUCUGGGUUUCUCUUUCGUUUUUUUCUGGGUUUUUUUUUCUUCUCUUGCGUUGUCAAUUGUUGGGUAUUUAUAGGGAUCAAUUUUCCUCUCCCUCAGCCUCACGUCUCUCCUCUUGAUAAGCACGACUGAGGGAGACGGUUCCUGCUAGGACUCGAAUUCGAAGUGCAAUCUUUAUCUCGUCGGGUUGUAAUUAUCAUGAAGAUAAUUAUUGCGUUUCUGUAUUUUGAAUGGGCUAGGAUACUGGUGUUUCAUGCUUUUGUUUCCUUCUUUGCAGGCGGACGUUCGGUGUUUUGGAGACGAAGAUGACGGACAGCACCUGAUUGAAACGGUGUUGUUUUGGGCUGAGAAUGGUUAUUUCCAAUCUAGUCCUUGAAGUUUCUAAAUUCUUGCAUUCAAACCCCUGGUCUUUUAAUUUUCAAGAUUUACCCUCCUUAAAAUUAAUUUAACAAUAAGUGGGUCAAAAUUUGGUUACAACAGUUGCCCCCUCUUUACAAUGCUUACGGUGCAAAUGCAUUAGAAAAUUUAUUUUCUUUUGACUUGGUAUAGUGAGUUUUGUAAAGAAGAAUAAUUGUGAAAACCCUUUCCCCCUUUUUUAUUGAUUUUUUUUGUUUUGUUUUUGUUUUUGUUUUUGUUUUUGGUUUUUUUUUUGUGAUGGUAUAUUGUAAUGGGUUACCGGCCCAGAUGGUCACAUUGUAAUGAGUUACCUGCCCAGUAUAGGAUAGUAUAUUGUAAUGGGUUACCGACCCAAGUGGUCACAUUGUAAUGGGUUACCUGCCCAGUAUAGGAUGGUAUAUUGUAAUGGGUUACCAGCCCAGAUGGUCACAUUGUAAUGGGUUACCUGCCCAGUAUAUGAUGGUAUAUUAUAAUGGGUUACCGACCCAGUUGGUAUAUUGUAAUGGGUUACCAGCCCAGGUGGUCACAUUGUAAUGGGUUACCUGCCCAGUUGGUCACAUUGUAAUGGGUUACCUGCCCAGUUGGUAUAUUGUAACGGGUUACCAGCCCAGAUGGUCACAUUGUAAUGGGUUACCUGCCCAGUUGGUCACAUUGUAAUGGGUUACCUGCCCAGUUGGUAUGUUGUAAUGGGUUACCUGCCCAGCUGGUCACAUUGUACUUGGUUACCUGCCCAGUUGGUAUAUUGUAAUGGGUUACCAGCCCAGAUGGUCACAUUGUAAUGGGUUACCUGCCCAGUUGGUAAAAUACAAGGAAUUUUUUUUUUUUUAAUAAGACGAGGGCUCGAAGGCGCGCUCGAAUGGAGGUAGCAUAGAAAAUGCACUACCUUUAAUGGUCGAGGGCUCGAAGGCGCGCUCGAAAAGAACUCAGACGAGGGCUCGAAGGCGCGCUCGAAUGGAGGUAAGACGAGGGCUCGAAGGCGCGCUCAAAUGGAGGUAGGAUAGAAAAUGCACUACCUUUGAUGGUCGAGGGCUCAAAGGCGCGCUCGAAAAUAAAUAAGACGAGGGCUCGAAGGCGCGCUCGAAUGUAAGACGAGGGCUCGAAGGCGCGCUCGAAUAGAGGUAGGAUAGAAAAUGCACUACCUUUGAUGGUCGAGGGCUCGAAGGCACGCUCAAAUGUAAGACGAGUGCUCGAAGGCGCGCUCGAAUGUAAGACGAGGGCUCGAAGGCGCGCUCGAAAAUAAAUAAGACGAGGGCUCGAAGGCGUGCUCGAAUGGAGGUAGUAUAGGAAAUGCACUACCUCAGGAGUGGAAACUGAAAGGUGGUGGAAGAAUAGAGAGAUUCUUCAAGUGGCCUAAUUCUCAUGGGCGGCCUGCCCAAGUUGAAAAUUUCUCAAAAGUGAAAAUUUUUCAAAAGCAAUUUCAAUAUUCACUAUUUCAAGUUGGCUUUCUGCUCGAUGGAUUCCAUUAGAAUUUUCUCUAAUAAAAUUUGCAAAACUCAUUGUCCAAUGUCUCAAAGUUUAAAUGAUAUGCAUGCAUCUUUACCUGAUUUGAAAUAUAGGCCCCCUAUUUCUUCUUAGUCUUCUCGUUGCUUGGUUGGUGAGAUCUUGCUAUCUGAUUUGAGUCAUCUUUGUCGUUUGGCUUUCUAGCCCACUCGAGUUGGCCCAUGUAAGUUUAUUUCCAGAUUUGUUUACAUAACUCAGCUUUUACGGUGCCCAUCGUGACCCAUUUGCUUGCCCGUUUCAUCAAAUAAUUUGAGAGGAUAUAUUCAUUACCCCUCGUCUUACUGCUAAAAACAUUCGGUAUCACUUACUAAAAGGAUCGAGCUGUCUUUUGUAAACCAAAAUGCCCCCUUGUCUGGUUCAAGGAAAUUACCAUCUCUUUUUCUAGAAUCUUUCCUUCUAAACACAAUGUUGCCCCCUUGUAUUGGUUAUUGCCCCUAAGUGUGCUUCUGUCAGUGACUUAGAUAAAUAAAGGUUUUAAGAGGCCAUUCUCUCAUUUCUCUCCUUUUCAGUUUGGUGGAGGAAUAUGGGUCUAGAAUGAAUCUUGAAAUCUUGAUCUUGCAUUUUGAAAACAAAAAUUAUUUCGAUGUGAGUCAAAACAAUUUGCUUUUGAAAUCUUGCAACUCCUUGGUUAUUUUCUUUCUGGAAAAGAGAUUAUUUGCUCUUGUGUUUGGCAAUGAGGUCUUCGGUGAAAAUAUCAUGAGAUGACCUUUUGUUUCAAAGUGAAGGGCUCGAGAAAAAGCUCGAGGUUUUGUAAGAGAAAAAUUGUCUCUUUUUGAACAUUUAUUUUUAUCAGCAUGAAUAAUAAUGAGUAGUUUAUUCUUGAUGUCAUGAAUCUUAUGAAAAAGUAUUCUUUGCAUUUUGAGAGCAUUGUUUAUUGUUCUAGGUUGCUUGCUUGCUUGAUUAGAAAGGACUUCUACAGGCACGUAACGUAGGCUGUGGUUUUUGGCUAUGAAAGAAAAGAUUCAUAAGGCUCAAAGAGUGUUUCAGGGUUUCAAAGACUGAAGAUCACGAUCAAUAGUUUGACUUUUGACGUCAUUCAUAUUUCUUUUGCCGCUCUUCUUUGAUUGCCCUUUUUUUCUUUUUCAUUGCUCCACUAGAGCAUACUCACUUUAUCUUGGUUAUCACUUUUUCUUGUGAUUUGGGCAUGCCCCCUAGCAUUUGAGUUUCUUGGGCUCUUUUGCCUUUUGGCUUUCUCACGGCUUUAUCAUCUUUCUUGAUCAUUGAAAUUUCACUUGCCCCCAGUGUAGGGUGUGAUCUUAGUCGGGAUUUUUUUUAUGAAAGAAAAAUUAUUCAGGCUCAAAAAGGGUUUGCAAGGGAUGUACUUAUUUUAGAACGUGAAAGGAAUAACAAAGAUGGCCUUUCCUCAUUUCAAGCGCAAGCAGCUAUGAUCAAUAAACUUUGACCUCGUAUAGUGUGAUGGUUUAUUCUUUGCAAAGAUGCAUUUCAUGAGUUAUGAGCAACAAGUUCACUACAUACCAUUAUUCAUACAUUUAAAAACACAUGAUUCAAGAGUAAUGGGGUAAGGGUGUUUAUUUUUUUUUUUCACAAUUGUUUUUCUAAUUUAGUCACCUCAAUGAUGGAGUUGCUUGAUUCACUUGUCAUUCUACAAGUAGAAUGUUAAAAAUGUCAUUUUUGAAUAAACAUCAAAUUAUUUUUUUGAAAUCAAAAUGCCAGAUCAAUUUUUUUCAAAACUCCAAUAGGGAAACUGAUUUUUGGUAAAAGAGAUGAAUUGCGUCUAUGAGAUCGCACAAGGCUUCAAAGAUGUGUUUGUGAAUCUUUAUAAGAAAACUCUCUCAGAAAAAAUGAAUAAUGCUAAUCGUAAACACGAUUGAAUGACAAACUCAUUAUUUUCAUUGAAACUUUAGAAAAUAAGUUCAACAAGAAAGAACUUAUGACAACAUCUUGGGCUAUGAAUACUGGCAUGAUAACAUAUAAAGGGCUAAACAUUUAGCGAUCAUUGAUUGGAAUUUCUGGAAUCUUUCAAUCAUUCAUUCUCCUCGACAAGGGCAUCUUUUCAAUAGUCAAUUGAAAUCAAAUGUAGAUAUUCUCGACCUAAUAUCACCAUAGCUUUAUCUUCAAGAUAGUUGAUUUCUAGGAGUCGAUGUGAAGCAAUUAGCUAUAGAAAUGAUAAGUGUCUUGGCAACCACCUUCAGUGAAACCGUUCUUCUCAGUCGGGUUAGCAAUCUUACCUAACCCAAUGGCUUGUUCAAUCCUCUCAGCUAUAACAACCAGGUCAGUGAAAUGUUGUGCAGAGCUUCUAACCAAGUAUUCAAAGUACGGAGCUUUAAAGGUGUCGGAAAAUAAAGUGAUCAUCUCUUUUUCCAACAUGGGAGGGUUAACUUGUGCAGCUACUCACUCCAUCUCCGGGCGUAUUCUCUUAUGGACUCCUUGUUGUCCUUCUCCAUAGCUUGCAAGCUUAAACGAUCAGGGCCCACGUAUAUUGAACUUAUAUUGCCUCAUGAAGGCAUCAACUAAAUCCUUCCAUUUUUUAACCUUGGUAUUGUCCAACCGCAUAUACCAAGUGAGGGCAACAUUACUCAGACUGUCUUGAAAGAAAUGAAUCAGCAGUUUCUCAUCAUGAACCACCUCAACCAUUUUGUUGCAGUAUGCUUUGAGAUGAGUUAUGGGGCAUUGAGUUCCCGUAUAUUUAACAAAUUCUGGCACUCUAAAUUUUUUUUGGAAUGACUACGUUGGGCACCAAACACAUCUCAGCAGCCUUUAUAGGAUCAUAUAGGUGAAUUCCCUCAAAUGCCCUCAUCCUUUGUUCUAGGGCAAUGAAUUUGUUCAGCUCAUCUUCUUUUACCAUUUUGCCCUUUUGAGAUUCAUUCUCUGUAGAAUCAAUGGUAAACGACAUUCUCGUGGGGUAUGCUGGAAAAUGCAUGGCUUGUUGAAAAUCAGAUGACAACCCAUUUGCCCCCAGAUUCUGUGAUUGAAGGGAUUUACAACAUAGGUUCAGGCUGAGCUGUAAGUGUUGCUUUUCCGGAUUUAUCUCUCAAGGCCUGCUCGAGUAGACUAGUAAGCCUUGCGACUUCUUCUUUAAGAUUGUCCACCUCUUUUUGAUGUUGGGCUUCCAACUGGGCUCUUUCUUCGUUUUCCAUUUGUCUUUUCUCGAAAGGGUUUAUUAUAUGUAGGUUUCAAAUGGGAACCUAUAUUUCAACCUGUAAAUGUAAAUCAUGCAAUUUAUGCAAAAAUAUUGAUUCAAUUAAAAAUGCGUAUGGAAUGCAGACACGUCCUUCACGGGAUGACAACCUAAUAGGAAGAUCCUAAUUGUUGAGUGCAUCAAAGGGUCUCUCGCAUGCUCAGUGAUCGUCCAUGAAAGGUCGAUAUGAGGCUUACAAGUAGUGUGAAAAUAGAGGCCCUCAGUAAUAUCAGUUUGGCAUAUCAACCACUUCCAAGUAAACAAUCAAGCGAGAGUUGGAUGGUUUCACGAGUCUUACCCAGGCUAAAGCCAUUGGGGUACCGUUACUUUCCCACUUAUCCUAGAUUUUCGGGUGUGUGCUCUCAACGUGAUGCAUGACAAUAUAAACAUGGAGGCAUGCUAAAGCAAUAAAUUCAAGAAAAAUAAACAAAUAAACAUAACAUAAAAAACAUUAUAACAAUUGAUAAACAGAAGGCAAAGCUUAGUCCAUUAGUCCCCAGUGGAGUCGUCAUUCUAUCGCACCCGACAUCGCGGCGCGCCUAAAAAUUUAUUAAUAAAUCUUUGGAAAGAACGGAUUUCUGGCAUCCUGUUCUUUAAUGUGGAUAUUCUUGUUUAAGGAGUCGCCACCUAGUAUUACGGUCACUAGGAACCCUAACUGGUCAAUAGAGAUUCUAUGGUUCGAGACUGGUUACAUAAAAGGGAAGAUAUUAUCACCCCUUAAACGUCCUGCCCGAGGCAGGCUGCAUUGCUAGUUUCGUCUUAAAUUGCUAAAUGUUUAUUAGUUUAUGCUAUGAAAAUUUGCUUGUAAUAUUCCUGACUCUAGCGCCAGUGAAUAUUUAACUACGAAUAUUUCCAACUCUGGCGUUGGUAAAUAUUACACAGCUAUAAAAAAACAAAACAAAUUUAAAUCAGUAUUUUUUUUAUUCCUGACUCUGGCGUCAGUGAAUAAACAAAUAAAAUAAAUUUAUUUUUACGCAUGCACAUUUUUUUUGUUAAAUAAAAAUGAAUCUGGCGUCAGUGAAUAAACCAAUAAAUUUAUAUUAUUUUUUUUCUUGCUAAAUAAAAAUAAAAUACAAUUUGCUAAAUAAAAAUAAAAUACAAUGAAUAAUAUAAAUUUAAACCGGUAUUUUUAUUCCUGACUCUAGCGUCAGUGAAUAAACUAAUAAAUUUAUAUUAUUAUUUUUUCCAUGCAUACAUAUUUUUUUUUUGUCUUUUAUUUUUUUUAUUUUUUGGACUGGGUUGGGGCCCAGCCCAGCAUAAUUUUUUGGUGGGGGCUGGGCCCAGCCCGGUCACUGGCCCAAGCCAGUGACCCGGCUGGGCAACAAUGAAGCACGCGUGAACGAAAUCGCGCGUGCAUUAGCUGCUAAAGAGAAUUAAUUGAGAGUGUACAGUAGGAAGUGAAUUAAAAUAAAAAGCGGUGAAAGAGAAACUUACUAACCUGGCUCUGGAUCCACCGAAAGCAGCAGCAAUAAUGGUUCUGGUCACGGUGGAUUUCCUCUGCUUAUGUUCAUCCCUUUCUCUCUGUUUUUCUCCGGUUCUUGGCUUGUUCGUCCCCUGUUUCUUGGCUUGUUCGUCCCUUGUUCUUGUUUCCAGUCGCUCCUUUCUUUGUUUUCUUGCUCUUGUUCUUUGUUAUUCGUCUGCUCACCGUCUUUGUGUUCUGAAGACGAAGGCUAAGCUGGGGUACGUUGGCUUCUUUCCCCUCGGUGAAUUUGUGUUUUUUUACACUGUAUUUCUUCUCUGUUUUUUUUAGCUCUCCAUCUUCCCUUUGUUCUGUAUUUUCGGGUUGUGUUUCUGCUUUGCUUUCUGGGUUUCUCUUUCGUUUUUUUCUGGGUUUUUUUUCCUUCUCUAGCGUUGUCAAUUGUUGGGUAUUUAUAGGGAUCAAUUUUCCUCUCCCUCAGCCUCACGUCUCUCCUCUUGAUAAGCACGGCUGAGGGAGACGGUUCCUGCUAGGACUCGAAUUCGAAGUGCAAUCUUUAUCUCGUCGGGUUGUAAUUAUCAUGAAGAUAAUUAUUGCUUUUCUGUAUUUUGAAUGGGCUAGGAUACUGGUGUUUCAUGCUUUUGUUUCCUUCUUUGCAGGCGGACGUUCGGUGUUUUGGAGACGAAGAUGACGGACAGCACCUGAUUGAAACAGUGUUGUUUUGGGCUGAGAAUGGUUAUUUCCAAUCUAGUCCUUGAAGUUUCUAAAUUCUUGUAUUCAAACCCCUGGUCUUUUAAUUUUCAAGAUUUACCCUCCUUAAAAUUAAUUUAACAAUAAGUGGGUCAAAAUUUGGUUACAACAGUUGCCCCCUCUUUACAAUGCUUACGGUGCAAAUGCAUUAGAAAAUUUAUUUUCUUUUGACUUGGUAUAGUGAGUUUUGUAAAGAAGAAUAAUUGUGAAAACCCUUCCCCCCUUUUUUAUUGAUUUUUUUCUUUUGUUUUUGUUUUUGUUUUUGUAUUUUUUUUUGUGUUUUUUUUUUUGUGAUGAUAUAUUGUAAUGGGUUACCGGCCCAGAUGGUCACAUUGUAAUGAGUUACCUGCCCAGUAUAGGAUGGUAUAUUGUAAUGGGUUACCGACCCAAGUGGUCACAUUGUAAUGGGUUACCUGCCCAGUAUAGGAUGGUAUAUUGUAAUGGGUUACCAGCCCAGAUGGUCACAUUGUAAUGGGUUACCUGCCCAGUAUAGGAUGGUAUAUUGUAAUGGGUUACCAGCCCAGAUGGUCACAUUGUAAUGGGUUACCUGCCCAGUAUAUGAUGGUAUAUUGUAAUGGGUUACCGACCCAGUUGGUAUAUUGUAAUGGGUUACCAGCCCAGGUGGUCACAUUGUAAUGGGUUACCUGCCCAGGUGGUCACAUUGUAAUGGGUUACCAGCCCAGAUGGUCACAUUGUAAUGGGUUACCUGCCCAGUUGAUCACAUUGUAAUGGGUUACCAGCCCAGAUGGUCACAUUGUAAAGAUGGUCACAUUUUCAAGAUUUACCCUCCUUAAAAUUAAUUUAACAAUAAGUGGGUCAAAAUUUGGUUACAACACAUAAAAACGGCAAAAAUACUAAAAGAAAAAAAAACUAAAAAUAUCAGUCGAUAACUAAAUAGAAAAAAAAUUAAUAUUAAUGAACUAAAUUAAAGAAAAAAAAUAAUUAAAAAGAAAAAAAAAGUUAUAAGAAGAAAAAACUAAUGAAGAAAAAGGAAAAAGAAUCUAAAUUAACUGGUUUAACCCUUCAAAUCAGACUAACCCAUCAAACCUAGGAUUCACGUCAUAAAAGUUUGAUAACUAAAUAGAAAAAAAAAAUUGACGAGUUAACCCAGAAUUAACUCGGUUAACCUGUGAAACCAGGUUAACCCGUCAAACUCGGGAUAUAUGUCAUGAAAGUCUAAUAACUAAAUAGAAAGAAAUUUAACAUUAACAAACUAAACUAAACGAAAAAAAAUAAUUAAAAAGAAAAAAAAAAGCAAAAAAAAAAAAAUCGAGUUACCAAGUCUAAAACCAGGUUAACCCGUAAAAACCUGAGAUAUAUGUCAUGAAAGUCUAAUAACUAAAUAGAAAGAAAUUUAAUAUUAACAAACUAAACUAAACUAAAAAAAUUAAUUAAAAAAAGCAAAAAAAAAUCUCCGGGUUAACUCGUCAAACCAAGUUAACGCGUUAAACCCGGGAUCCGUGUCAUGAAAAUCUGAUAGCUAAAUCAAAAAAACAUUUAACAUUAACAAAAGAAAAAAAACAAAAAAAAAUGGACGGGUUAACCCGUGAAACCUAAGAUAUGUGUCAUGAAAGUCUGAUAACUAAAUAGAAAGAAAUUUAAUAUUAAUAAACUAAAGUAAACAAAAACAAUUAAUUAAAAAGAAAAAAAGAAAAAAAAAUCUAUAUUAACUCAUGAAACAAAGUUAACAUGUUAAACCCGGGACCAGUGUUAUGAAAGAUUGAUAACUAAAUUAAAAAAUUAACAUUAACAAACUAAAUUAAAAAAAAUAUUAAAAAAAAGAAAAAACAAAGAAAGAAGAAAAAAAAUUAAAGGCAUAGGAAACGAAAAAAUUAAAAAAAAAAUUAAAAAAACAACUCAAAAAACAGGAAAAAAAAUAAAAACAGUUCAGACUGUGAAUUGCUACAAUGAAAAGCCGAUCAGUUUUAAUAUAUUUCUAAUAUAAUAACUGUAUAUUUUAAAAAAAAAUUGAAUGCUAUUCUGAAUGUGCUUGUGUAUGCGUGAACUACGCGUGCGAGGAAAGUGGAGUUAGGUCCCACAUCUUACUCGGUAUGUCCUUGCUUUAUUUGACAAGAGAACCCAUCGGUUGAAAAAGAGGGUUUGAUUGGAAUAACAUUUAUUAUAUAAUCUUUAUUUUCACGUGAUGUGCUAAUAAUCAGAAGAAGACUUCACUUUAUUUCUUCUAUCUUCUUCUUCUUCUAUCACUUUUCAUUCAUUGAUAAAGUAGAUGAAUAAAUUAUAAAUUAGCUGGUGACCAUUACUAUGAAUAUUAUACAAAUUUCAUUGCACAUUCUAGAAUGUUUCAUAGUAUUUGUUUAACUCAAAAAGAAUUGUAGAGCAAGUUAUAUGUAAAAAAUCAUUUUAUAUGCGCAAUAUAAUCUUUCUUAGGUUUUAAGAUGGGAUAGGAUUGUGUGUUUGAGAGAAUAAUAGUAAUGUAUGUUUUUUUUUAAUAUAUUUUAUUUAAAAAUAUAUUAAAUUAUUAAUUUUCAAAUAUUUUUAAUAAUUUUAAUGUGUUACGGGGUUAAUUUGUAUGCCUAAUUUAAAGAGUAUAGAAAUUACCUAGAUAUUACAGGGUUCCUACUUUUUUUUAUUUCACUGUCAAGGAAAUAUAUCAUAAGUUUUAAUUGAAUAUAAAUAUUGUUUAAUCUGAUACUUAUUGUGAAGGAAAUAUACCAUAAGUUCCUACUUUUCUUUUAUCAAAUAAAUUUCAUAGUAAACUAUAUUUCUAAAAAAUAGACUAUUCUAUGGAUUUUAGCCACUAAUUUAACAUCUCAAAAGAAUUUUUAACGCCUCAUGACUCCAUUGCAUACCAAAAUUUAAUAGGAGCCCACAAUUGAAUGAUAUUUCUCAUCCAGACAUCAAUUCCAUUUUUGAUUUUCAUAGUAAUAAUAUUUCACACAAUCUCAGGAAUCAACACAAGUGCUCCAUAAAAUUUAAAAAGUUAUAAAGAGAUAUUUAAAAAAUAAUUCUACUUACUAUAUUAUUCAUUAAUUCAUAACAUUUAUUCACAAUUAAAUCCCCUAAAAUCUCCCAUCAUUAGCCGGCUACUGGCUCUAUUUAAUUAUCAAAAUUUUUACUUCAAUUAUAAUAAUUUAAUUAUUUUACUUUAAUCUUCACACUAUUUCUCAUGAAAAAUUACAAUAAACUUUUAUUUCUCUCAAAUUUAUUCAAGAACCCUAACUUUUUAAUUUAAAAAAUGCAAUCAAUUAAGAACUUUAAGCUAUUAAAAUUCAGAUCAAAAGUCUUUAGAAUCCAUUGUCAAGCAAGUAAUUAAACUCUAAACACUUUCCAAAUGAAGCUUUCAACUCCUCCUUUUCUUUAAUCUUGACUGAACUUUCUCUCUUUUUUUCUACUCACCCUCACUUGAUUUUUAUUUCUUUCAAUUAAUGCUCACCAAGCUUGGUUAAUGUUCCUUCAAGAUCUUCCCUUAAGAUUUUAUGUUUCCUUUACAAUUCUAUCCCUCUCACGUGUAAAUGGUAGUUUCCCCCUUUUUUCUUUUUUUCCUCCCUUUUUCUUCUUACCCGAGCACACACAUGCACACACACACACUAACUUUUUACCAAAUUUCCUCUAUAUCUCAAAUAGUAAAUUUUAUGUUACCGUCUGGCUAAUCCAAAUUUAAUAACAGUAUUUUGAAUAAUAUAAAUAUAGUUUUUUUAUUAUAUAUAUUUUAACGGAAAAAACUAGUUGAAAAGCUAAUUGUAUUAGAGUGAGAGAAAUAAAUGUUUUAUUUAUUUUUAAUAAGUUUGAUGUUAUUUUUUUUUUCAUAUGACUAUAUUUAAUUGGUUUAUUUUUUAAUAGCCCCAUUUUUUUAGUGUUAUUUUUUUAUAGAUAUGUAGAAAUAGUAUUUAUAAGAAAGAAAAGAUAUUUUGACAUUUUAUUUAAUAUUUUUUUGAAAUAUAUAAAAUAAACAUAAAAAAAUCAAAAUAAUAUUUUUUAAUGUUUAACUUUUCAUUUAACACACCUUUUGUAGAUGCUCUUAUGAUUUGGACUCAAUUUAAGUGGGUUAAAUAUUGGUGGGAUAUUCCAUCUUUCUCUAUUUUUUGAAAUUUUACUCUGUUUGUCUUUGAUUUAUUUUUCUAGAAAUUACAUCUUAAAAAAAAACAGGGUUUGAUUGGAAAAACUUUACAAUAUUUGGUUAUUUGAGAAUUAGGUAUUAUAAUUUCAUAACCUGAAUUAUAAAUCUAACAUGUUAACUAAGCUGAACCAAUUUAAUAUAAAAAUUUGCUAUUAUUAAAUUUAAAAAAAUAACAUUUUAAAAUCUUUUCUAAAUUAAAGUAUAUUUUUACGGGAUGUUAAUUAAUUUUAUGAAUAUUGUUCCGGAUGUGUUCGUGUAUGCGUGAAUUGCGCGGGCCUGGAAAAUGGAGUUAGGUAGCGCGCAUCAACUCGGUCUGUCCUUGCUUUAUUUGCCAAGAAGCCCCAUCGUUUGAAAAAGUGAGAGGAAAAUGGAGUAACUUUGUUUGUAUCUUUCUUUUCACGUGAUGCGCUAAUAAUGCAGAAGAAGACUUCACUUUAUUUCUUCUCUCCUUUUCUUUUAUCACUUUUAUUUCAUUGAUAAAGUAGAUAAAUAAAUUAUAAAUUAGCUGAUGACCAUUGAUAUGAAUAUUAUAAAAACUUCAUUACACAUUCUAGAAUGUUGCGUAGUGUUUGUUUAACUCUAAAAGAAUCGUGGAGCAAGAUUUAUUUGACAAGAGAUCCCAUCGGUUGAAAAGGGGGGUUUGAUCGGAAUAACUUUUAUUAUAUAAUCUUUAUUUUCACGUGAUGUGUUAAUAAUGCAGAAGAAGACUUCACUUUAUUUCUUCUAUCUUCUUCUUCUUUUAUCACUUUUCAUUCAUUGAUAAAGUAGAUGAAUAAAUUAUAAAUUAGCUGUUGACCAUUACUAUGAAUAUUAUAAAAACUUCACUUUAUGUCUUUUAGUAUUUAUUGAACUCUUUUUAGUCCUUUAUGCUAAAUCCUCGAACGAGGCGCUCGCACCCCUUGAAGAUAUCAAGGAACCAGCGAGGAAAGGGGCGGGAAAUGAGCCUGAAGUGUUUACUAUGGAGUGCCUGUUUGGUAACGUGGCUGUGGGUGAGAUUCACCCGCUGCCAUACCAAAUGCCGUUGGGUUAAUAAGAAAAAGUUGUUUUUUAUUGGUGGAACCCAUCAAAUUCUCAGCCGCACCACAUGUUUUGGAGAAGCAGCAAAAGCCAUGCUUCACUGUUACAGUUUUUUUUUUUUUUUUGAAAAACAUUGCAAGAAGUUUGGUUUUUUUUUUUCCUUGAAAAAUUAGUUCAAUUAAUUGAUUUUACUAGCAUUGUUCACAUGAACAUGAACAAUAUUAUUUUUUAAAAAAAUUAGUUUAGAUGAAUUAAAUUUACUCGUAUUGUAAUCUCAAUUUUAUUCCUGAUAAUAUUUUACUUAAUUUUAUUGCACGCUCAAAAAAUUAUUUUUUCUGUAGUUCUUGUCGAAUGAAUUUUGUACAUAAUAAAAUUGUAACUUUUUUAAAAAAAUUAUUUUUUACUUGAAAAACUAGUAUUUAAUAUUAUUUAAUAACACUACAUAAAAAGAAAUUCAGUUUUUAUUUUUAUUUUAAUUGUGUUUUAUUCAAAAACUUAAAAGGAGAUCGCUUAAUGAAGUAACAAAAAAUUCAGUUUUUGUUGUUGCGCGCUUAAGAAACCAUGAAAAAUAUAGUUCUUAUUAGAUAGAUUUCUCAUGUAAUGACAUUGCACAUAGUUAAUGGAAGAAUAAAAAAUAUUUGACAUCAAUAUUAUUUAUUUCAUGAUAUAAUAACAGUGGUUAAAUCUACAAUAUUUAAAUUAAAAAUUAUUAAUAUAUAUAUAUAUAUAUAUUAAUUAUUUUAUAACCUCAAUUUGAAAAGUAUUUUUUUACCAAACACAUUAAACUACUUUUUGUUCAACCUCAAUUUCAACCACAGUUUUAACCAAACAUAUAUUUUUUCAAACCAACCUCAAUUAAAAGUAUUUUUUAUAAAAUAACUUUUUUAAAACCACAACCACAACAGCAACCUCAAUACCAAACAGACCUGGAGUGCUAAACAGCUAAUGCCCAUUAAUCAAGUGGUUGGCUUUUAGUCCUAGCAGAAUUGACCACAACAGUUGAUGUUUUGACGAUUAAUAAGAUACCCAAUCAUCUUUUGCAUCCUCUUCCCCUUCACCGGUAUUUUUUGUGGUAAUUUAAGUUAAAAUAACAAUUUUAAUCAUAAUUUUAACUAAAUAUUUUUAAUUCAAUACUUAUUUAAAUCAAACAAAUCACGAGUGAAAAUAAUUUCUCAACUAUCUAUUUUAAACAUCAACCACUACAAGAACUAUCACAAACAAGAUUAUUAAAAUUACGAGUUAAUUCAUAAAAUUUGAGUCAAUAAAUAUUUAACAUGUUAAAUUAAACUAAAAAUUUAAAAUCAGUAAAAUCAAAUUUAACUAGUACAUAAUCAGUAAAUUCGGUUUAAUUUUAUGAAUUUACUAAAUUUUUUAUAUAAAUAUUGGUCUUCUGAAAUUACACUUCCAUGUCUCCCUCUGUCAUGGGCUCAUUACAGUCUCAGUUUGGAGGCCUAAUUUAAAGAGCAUAGAAAUUACCUAGAUAUUACAGGUUUCCUACUCUUUUUUUUAUUUCGCUGUCAAGAAAUUAUACCAUGAGUUUUAAUUGAAUGCAGAUAUUGUUUAAUCAGGAACUCAUUGUUGGAAUUUAAAGCGUCAGAUACAAUAGGAUUAUGUUUUUGAAAGUACAGUAAUGUUUUUUUUUUAAAUAUUUUUAAAAAUAUAUUUUACUUAAAAAUAUAUUAAAAAGCAUAACCGGUAAAGCUCCAGCUACACUAUUUAAGAUACCUAUAAGGCUAUAUGAAUGGUUUGGAGAAGGAACAUGGAAACUACGCUUAAAAUAAUGAAAAGGGAGGCCCAACAGGCUAGUACCAUAAAUGAUAAGAUCCUACUGAGAAUAUUGUUGAUGGGCUGCCAUAAAACCUCAAAGGCACUGGCUUUAAAUACAGUAUAAAAUAAAGCAAAAAAGUUGCCACCUUUACACUUCCUAUGUUCUCUACAUUAAAACCACCCACGAAAAUAAAAAAAAUUAAAUUAAAAUUUUAUUAUAAGAAUUCAUAAACGUGAUUAAAAUAUUCAAUAAAAUAAUCAAAAUGUGCAUGAGAUUAAUGAGCAUACUUCACGUUUAUUGGUGGCAACUUAGUCACAUGGAGAAGCAAGAAAUAAAAAGUAGCUACCUUGUCAAGCACAGAGGUUGAGUUUCAAGGGACGGCAAAAAGACUAUGUAUACUGCUUUAGCUCAGAAGAUUAUUAUCUGAAAUUGGUUUUGCUCCCAAAUCAAGAACGAACCUAUACUGUGAUAAUUAAGCUACCAUUAAAAUAUUUUAUAACCCAAUUUAACUUGACCGCAUGAAACAUAUUUAAAUAGACAAACAUUUUAUUAAACAAAAUCUUAAAAAAGGAAUGAUUAACUUUUUAUUUGUCAAAUCAAAGAAUGAACUCGUGAAUAUCCUUACAAAAGUUGUCUUCAGCAAAAACUUUCAAAGCUUCCUUGACAAGUUGGGCAUCGAAGAUAUUUUUAAACCAACUUGAGUGAAAAUGUUAGCAUAAUUACAAAGUGAUUUAGUUGAGAGUUUGUAAGAAAAAGUUUAGAAAUUGAUUUAUUUCACAAUUUAGUAAUUGAUUUAUUCCUUAGUUGUAUAAGUACUGUCUAUAGUAGGAAUCCAUAGUUUUUAAGAACAUCUUCUCUGUUUAUAUAUAGGAGCACUGUAAACUUAAAACAUUAAAAAGUCAAUAUAAAUUGAAGGACUCUUUUUUUUUUUUACACAACUCUGUCAAACUGAAACGACAUGUUUCUGCCAUGAUUUACUUUUCUUAUUCACUCACUUUGACACCAAGAUUUUUUUAAAAAUUAUAUUUUUAUAUUUUUUAUAUUAUUUUAAUAUAAUAAUAUUAAAUAUAAAUUUUAAAAAUAAAAAAAUAUAUAUUAAUUUAAAUAAAAAAAUAUUUUUAAAAAUAACAGAUAUCACGUUACUAAACAUUAUUUUAAUACUGUUGAAAUGUCUUUUACAAAAUAGAACCUAUCAUUGAUGGGCAUCUGAGAUUUUAUUUUUUAUGGCCGAAUAGAGGUUUUGUAGAUCCAUUUAAAAUUAAAAGGCUCGAUUAUGAUCCACCUUUAUGAAUAAAGAUUGAGAAUUUGGUCCAACGCUGCCCAUGACAUGCCCCUACGUACAAAGUUACACGUUGAUAUUGAAAUUAAACCCAGUUUAAAAGAAAAAUUACAUAGACAAGCAAAAUAUUACUCUUCAUAAAAAGAAAUAUUGUUAAAUAUCUUAUAGUAUUAUAUAGUCGUCUACGUACAAUUGAUUAUAUUAUUUGUAAUUUGUUUAAAUUAUAUAUAUAUAUAUAUAUAUAUAAAAACUCGUGUGUUUAGCUAAGAAAUGUAAUUUUUUGAUAUAGGAAAAAUGAAAAAUGUUUAAACUCUUCCCUGCAUGGUGAUUUGAUAUAGGAAGCACAUCCUCCAGAUCCUGGCAUUAACCAGGUUUAAAAUUGAAUUAGAAAAAAAUAUUGAUAAGAUAAAAUCUUAAUUACUCAAUUGAAUUUUUAAUGAUUUAUUUGAUUUGGUAAAAUCGGAUACAAACUUAGUUAAAUCAAUAUUAAUAAAUUUUUUUAUAAAAAAACAAAAUAUCAUUUUAAUAAAAUGAUUCAUUGGCGAUCCACUAAUUAAUUAAAUGAUUCAACAAUCCAAAUACUUUUUAUAGUCAAUACUCAAACCGGGUUUGAUUUGAAAAAUUAAUAACAAUUUUGCACAGAAAAAUAUAUUCAUUAUAAUAUAAUAUGUAUAAAUGUAUCUUCUUUAUAUUUAUACAAUUUGAAACAACACGCAUGAAACAUAUAUUAAUUAAAUUCCUAUAGAUUUUACCUCUUUCUUACUUUUAAGCAAGUCUUCGAGAGGACUUAAUUCUUACGUGAUUUAUAUUUCAUCUUUUAUUUUUUUUUUUGUUUAAAGUUGAUUCUUUCUUCCUUUAUUGAUUAUUUUCCAAUUAAAAUGUAUGAUUAUAUAAAUAUAAAUCAUGUUCAAGUUCGUGAAUAGAUAAAAAUAUACAAAAAUUCUAUUUUUUAUGUCAUUUCAUGAGUCUCUUUUUUUGUGUAUAUAAUAUUACCAUUUUUUUUUACAAUAUUUACUAUUUUCGAGUUGAUUUAUGACUUGUUAUUAAAGUUUAAUUAAAAAAUAUAUAUUUUAUAUCAAAUAUCAAGUUCUAAUUUGAACAUCACUUAUCUUUUAUUUUAUUUUUCAAAAUUCUAAUAUCCAACCUUUUCUUACCAAUAACAUAGCUAUAGAGAAGAAGUGAAGAGUAUUUGUUGUAAUUAGUUGUAACCGCCAUUAAUUAAUUGGCUGGAAAGUAUUUGUUGUGAUGAGGUAUAACUUUCCACCUGGCAAUUUGUCAUUCUUCCAUUUAUUAUCCUUCAAUUAACUAUGAAAACAGGGUUUUGUGUGUCAAUCAUCAAUAGCAUUUAAAUAAUUGUUAUCAUUUAUCUUUGGUCCCAGUUAAAUUAUAAGAUAAUAUAGCAUUCAGAUAAAUACAUUUAGAUGAAUAUAUUGAAUAUGUAGAGAAAUAUAUAUAUAUAUAUAUAUAUAUAUAUUAAAUUGGGUUUUGUCCAUGGAAAGUCCUGGAAUUUUGCUCAUAUGAUUUUAUUAAAUUGGGUGUUAUAUUUGUAACUAAUUGUCGCACGUCGGAAAAUCCCGCGCGCGGCAAUCGGCUGGCAAUUUUAUGUCUCGUUGUUGCAUCGCUUGCUUGACUUGGUUCGUUGAGAGUCGCCACCUAGUAUUUAAUUGAGGUUACUAGGAAACCCUGAUUUACUGGUCAUGGUCAGAGAUUCGCGGGUAAGGGACUGAUUAUGGUUAGGGAAGGUAUUAGCACCCCUAACACACCCUACCUGAGGUAAGCUGCUCCGUAGUUUUGAUGUAUUAAGAAGUUUUAAAAAUUUUUCUUUUCAUCGGAUUUUAGAAAUACAACUUUCGUACAAGUUUUUAUUUCUACAUCUUUGAUCCGAUCAAAAUAUUAAAUCCUUCUUUAUUCUUUGCAGUCUCAUCAUAAAAAAAAAUUCAUAAAGAAAAUACACACCACAUUCACCUUUUUUAUUUUUAUUUGUCUUUUCUUUUCUUUUCUUCUUUUUUUUCUUUUACAUUCACAUAUUACAAAUUUAAAAUAAACAAACAACAAUUAUAAUCAGAUUUACAACGUAGUCCUUAAAACUCUAAAAUUGCAGGGAAGCCCUUCUGGGUCGCAGCAACAGUGCUGGAACAGUGGCACCCCGUCACUGGCGGCGCGUGGGUUCACGCGCCGCCGUGAUAACGCUGGAAAAGAUGGGUCCGGCUCAGCUUCUUCUCCUCUUCUCUUCUCUGCCGGUGGUGCAUCUCCCAGUCACCUGCACAAGAAGCAAAAACACACAAAUACAACACAUGGCAGUUGAUUUUAAACUUUUUUUCCUUGUUUUCGGAUCUGUUCUCGGGUCCCCUUUUUUUAGUUAUGGUUUGCUGUUCUUCCCUUCUAUCGGAGACAAAUCUGCCACGGUUGAUCUGGUCGCGGCUGUCGUCUGUGACUGCUGGAGCUGCGGUGGAGAGUGGACCGUGGAUCUGCCACCGGUCGAAGAGGGAAGAUCUGUUGGCACCGCUGGAAGAAGAAGGAAACCGUGGGUCUGAGAACGGUUCUGCCUGUGCUCUGGUCAGUGGAGAUGUGCCGUGGUUGAGGGGAGACGGCCGGAGCGAGCGGUCGAUUGGCAGUGAAGAGGUCGGCAGGAGAAGAAGAGGGAAACGGAGUUGCUGUUGAGGUGGCCACAGCUGUUAAGCAAAGAGGCCGAGAGAUGAGAGGAACUCACAGGUCCAAGCUGGGGAAGCAGCGGUCGUCUUCAACAGGCAAAGGGAAGCUUCUUUGGUGAGGAAAUGAGGCUGUGCUGCGGUGGGGUCUGUCGGUGUCUUUGGAGAAGGAGAAAACCGAAUCUGGAGGGGGGAAACAGCGACCAGUUUUGAAAGGGAGCUGGUUCGGUUUUGGCCAGCGUGAUGAUCACGAUCGGUGAUGGGGUUUUGGACGAAAAUGGCUAUGUAAUUGUUUGGGUUUGCUGCUGGUUGGCGACGGUGGUUUGUGUGUGGGUGCUGAGCCGGCUGGGAGAGUGACGAUGUGGGAGUAGCGGCAGUGAAGAGAAGAAGAAGAUAGUGAAGAGGACUGCUAACAAGAAAAAUCCAGCAGAGGUGGGGACGACAGUCCUUUUCUUGUUGGCUGGCUCCGAUGGUGUGAGUGAAGAGAGAUAGCUGGGGGCUUCCUUUGGUCAAGGCAAAGGGGCUGUUUCAGAAGAAGAAAAUCAAAUUGGAGGGGCCUCCUUGUUUUUUUUUUGUCCAGAGAGUGAGCGGCUCUUUUGGUUUCAAGAGGGAGAACCCUUUGGGAGCUGGUGAGAGGCGGCCCCCGGGUUAAGGAAAAGGAAGCUUUUUUUCAAAGGGAGGGGGCCGCCCACUUGUUCCCUGGAGAAGAAGGGUGGCGGCUGCAGAUAAGACCAAAGUAUUUAGGUUUAGGUUUUUUUUUUGUAUUUUGCCCAAAAUUACUCCCCUUAUAAAAUGACCCCCCCCCUUUACUGAUUUUUGUAGGCUGCUAUUUAUAGGCAAAGCAUUUUUUCGGGCUUCAAAAUUGGUCCCUUAAUUUUUCUGUUCAAAUCACUUGGUAAAAAUUAAAUUUGGUCUUAAAAUUUUCAUCUUUUCAAAUUAGUCCAAAUUAAACUCCCAAACUUAAUUUUGCACCAAUUAAACCCCCAAAUUAAUUUGACCCAUUUAAAGUAUAAUUAAGUCAUUGCACUUAAUUAAAUCCUUCAAUUGGACCUAAAUUAAUUCUUAAACAUAAUUAAAAUUUAAUUUGGCCCAUGAUUAAAUCAAAUUGGCCCAUUAAAAGUUUAAUUAUAUCAUUGGACUUAAUUUUUAUGCAAAUUCGUCCAAUAAUCAUUUAAUUUGACCUUCGAAUAUGCAUUUAAUUUGACCUUCAAUUUUUGCCUAUUUUUGCAGUCUUUUUUAUCGGCUUCCUCCACAGUGCCAGCCUUUAUUUUAUUUUUUUAUUUUUAUAUUUUUAAAAAAGUGAAAUUUAGGGAAUAACCUAAAAUUGGGUUAUGACAGUUGCCCCCCUCUUUACAAUGCUUAUGAUAGAAAGUCUCGUAGGGGACUUUACAUAGUAAGCGUUGUAAAGAAGAAAAAAGGAAGAUGUUUUUUUUUUUUUUUUUUUUUUGUGAAAAUUCAAAGAUUUUGAAAUGGUCGAAUUGUCAUGGGUGACCUACCCAGGUGAAGAACACGAAGAUGUUUUAAAGUGGUGAAAAAUACAGAGAUUUUUCAAAGUGGUGAGAAAUGCGAAGAUUUCUCAAAAUGGUGAAAAAUGCAGAGAUUUUUCAAAGUGGUUUUGUUGUAAUGGGCAACCGGCCCAAGAUGAAAAACAAAAGGAGUUUUCAAGGUGGUGAAAAAUGCAAAGAUUUUUCAAAGUGGUUUUGUUGUAAUGGGCAACCGGCCCAGAUGAAAGGUUUUGAAAAAUACAAAGAUUUUUUCAAAGAGGUGAAAAAUGCAGAGAUUUUUCAAAGUGGUGAGAAAUGCGAAGAUUUCUCAAAAUGGUGAAAAAUACAAAGAUUUUUCAAAAUGGUGAAAAAUACAGAGAUUUUUCAAAGUGAUGAGAAAUGCGAAGAUUUCUCAAGGUGGUGAAAGAUGCAAAGAUUUUUUUAAAGUGGUAGAGAAAUGCGAAGAUUUCUCAAGAUGGUGAAAAAUUUUGGAGGUGGUGAGGAAUGCAAAGAUUUCUCAAAAUGGUUUUAUUGUUAUGGGCAACCGGCCCAAGUGGAAAAAGUUUGAAAGUGGGGAGAAAUGCAAUGAUUUCUCAAAAAUGGUUUUAUUGUUAUGGGCAACCGGCCCCAAUGGAAAAGGUUUGAAGGUGGGGAGAAAUGCAAUGAUUUCUCAAAAAUGGUUUUAUUGUUAUGGGCAACCGGCCCAAAUGGAAGAUGAAAAGAGUUUUGAAAGAGGUCAGAUUAUAAUGGUUGACCUACCCGGGCAAAAAGGCAAAAUGUCUGAAAGGGACGACAUGAUAGGACUCGAUGGGAAAUGAGGGCUGAAGAGCGCACUCCAAAGGAGGUAGGGUUAGAAAAACACACUACCUAAGAGGUGAGUGCUCCAAUGCGCACUCUAAAGGAGGUAAAUAGGGCUAGAAAGCACACUACACAAGAGGUGAGGACUCGAAGGAGCUCUCAAAAAGAGAGGCAGGGUUUGGAAAACACACUACCUAAGAGAUUAGGGCUCGAAGGCACACUCUAAAGGAGGUAGGGUUGAAAAACACACUACCUGAGAGGUGAGGUCUCGAAGAUGCACUCGAAAGGAGGUAAGGUUUGAAAACGCACUACCUAAAGUGGUCGAAGGCUCAAAGGUGUAUUCAAAAGGAGGUAAGGUUGGAAAACGCACUACCUAUAAGUGAUCGGGGGCUCAAGGGUGCACUCGAAAAGAGGUAAGGAGGUAAGGUUGGAAAAUGCACUAUCAAAGAUUGAUGGCCAUCAGGCGCACUUAAACGGAGAUAGGGUUGGAAAACGCACUAACUAAGGGUUGAUGGCCCUAAGGCGCACUUACAAGGGGAGGCAUGGUUAGAAAACACAUUACCCAAGGGGUGAGGGCUCAAAGGAGCUCUCAAAAAGAGGCAGGGUUGGAAAACACACUACCUAAGAGGGUUAGGGCUCGAAGGCACACUAAAAAGAGGUAGUAGGUUGAAAACACACUACCUAAGGGUGAGGGCUAAGGCCCUCAAAAGGAGGUAGGGUUGAAAACACACUACCUAAAGGUUAGGCCUCGAAGGCACACUAAAAAAAGAGGUAGGGUUAGAAAACACACUACCUAAAAGGUUAGGGCUCGAAGGCACACUAAAAAAAGAGGUAGGGUUAGAAAACACAUUACCUAAGGGGUGAGGGCUAAAAGACGCCCUCAGAAGGAGGUAGGGUUGGAAAACACACUACCUAAAAGGGUUAGGGCUCGAAGGCACACUAAAAAAGAGAUGAUGGUGAGACACCGAUCUGUCAAGGAUGAAAGUAAUGCAUUAUGAUCAAUAUGCAUGUAUACUUACCUGAGAAAUAUAGGUCCCAUUUUCUUCAUAGAGUUCUUCUUUUCUCAAAAGUUUGAGUCUCUGAUAGUAAGCUUUGAUGGCUUUUGUCCCCCUUGCUUACUCGAGAAAUAUCUUACGAUCUUGGCCUCUAGGAAAGACUUGAUGCCAUUACUUCUUUGUUCUCCGCCCUUUUUAUCUCAAGGGUUGCCAAUUUUGCCCAAUAGUUUCUUCGAAAGGGAAUCAUGGAGCAAGCUCUACCAGAUGUUUUUUAUUGCCCCCAACUUGAUCAUGCCCCCAAGUAUUCAAUUCGGGUUUGGGGAUGAGGCUAUAUGAAGGAAGGUUUGACAAGGAGUUGUUUUCAUGUAGAAUUUUUGGAAUUUCAAAGCUAUUCCAGACACAGAAAUCAUUUUAACAUCGAUUCAAAGCAAACUCAUUCUGAAGAAAUUCAAGUGAUUCCUAUGGAGAGGUUUUCAGAAGUGAUGAAAACUUUUUGUUUUGAUUUUGGUGAAAAAUAUGAAGUGACAUUUGGUUGGUCACAAAAGGUUGAAAUUUCAAUUUGAGGGUGAGAACUGGUUGGUGAAAAUGUGAAAACAGAAGUGACAUCUGGUUGGUCACAAAAGGUUUAAAUUUCAAUUUGAGGGUUAUUGAGAACCGUUUUCAAAGCAUCAUUUUAUUUGCAUGAAUAAUGAUUUUAUUUCGCAUGAGAAAGCACUGCCUACCGAUCCAGAUUGCUUGCCUUUGAUCAGAAAGGGCUUCAUUAGGCACGUAAUGUAGGCUUGGGCUUUUGGCUAUGAAGAAAAUGAUAUAUGUAGGCUCAAAAGGUGUUUAAGGGACUUUAAGACUAAGGAUCACAAGUGCUUAUAUCCCAAACUCUUUUGUUCAUACAUUUCUGGACCUUGGAUUUGAUUUGUAAAAUGGUCCACGGUGCCCCAAGUGUUGGGGUUGGGUUCUUUCUCUUUGUCUUGGUUUUCUUCAUUUGCUUUUGAGCAUUAUUGCAUUGGCCUUGUUUUUUUUGCUCAAAAUUUUUGGAUCCUUUGGAUUUUUCUUCAUGCCCCCUAGCUUUGAUUGGGCACCUUUGAUGAUUGAGAAUUUUCUUUUAUGCCCCCAGUAUUGUUUGGGCACUUUCAUCGUUGAAGAAUUUUUCAUGCCCCCAAGAGUUAUUUGGGCACUUUCAAUCAUUAUGGAUUUUUUUGCACUUGCCCCCCAGUAUAGGGUGUGAUCCUAGCCAAUGUUAUUUUUCAAGAAAAAUUUAUUAGGCUCAAAAGGGGACUGCAAAUGAUAUAUUUCAGCAAUGUGAAAGGAUUAUCAAAGAUGGCCUUUCUUCAUCUCAAAUGCAUGCAUUUAGGAUCGGUAAGCCUUGCUUUCAUGCGAGUUUGCAGUGUGAUUUCUCAUUAUCCAUGCAAAUAAAACUCAGCUUUAGAGUCACUUCAUGGUGUUUUUUUUUUUUGGGUUUUCUAGGUGUAUGGUUACCUCUCUAAGGAAUCACCUGAAUUUCCAGAACUCGUUCGUUUCAAACAAACAUCAACAUGAUUUCUGUUUUUGUACUAAACUUUGAAUUCCCAAAAAUCCUUAUGAAAACAUGGGGUCCUGUUUUGUUUUGGAAGAAAAGGGAAACGCACCACAAGAUUUUGGGCGCGGUGGUUUCAUGCUUAAAGGUUACCUCAAUGUGUUAUUUGCAUGAAACAACAAAAAUGAUGGCAUGUGAUGAACACAGCAAAACACAUGAUAAAGGCUCAGUGGACAGGAAAGUCUUGUGGAAUUUUGAGCCAAAUUACCAACAAAAACUGGAAUAGGUUGAAACAAAAAAUCAAGUUUUUGGAGGCAUGAUCAAACAGAGGUAGUUAUUUUGGCAGAGAACAAGACAGGCUCCAUUCUGCAACGGUGAUGCAAUUCCCUUCAGAUUGUGUUGAGGCUCUUGAUCAUGUUGGCCCCCAAUUUCUUCGGGUUGAGUUUUUGUUGGGGCUUUGAACAAAAAUGAUUGGCCGAUUGGAAGGACCUUCACUAGAGGCAUUUCUAAGGGUUUGCUCGAGUAAGCUAGUGAGGCGAGCCACACUUGCUUUCAGAGACUCUUAACUCUUCUUGGAAAUGGAUGCUGCGAUGAGCACGCUCUGUGUCUCCAAUGUUUUCUCUCAAAAUCAGGUGUUGUAGACUCGGAGGGGACCUACUUUUUAUUCUGGUGCAUGCGUGACAAAUGUAUGAACAUAAAGUCUAUAUGAUGGACUCGCCCUUCGAGGGGUGACAACAUGGUCGUAACUCUUGUAUGAUUGAACAAGAAUCAUGAUUUUUGCCCAAACUCUACAAUGAAAAUUUUCCGAGUGACGACCAAUGUGUCACCCACAAAUCUUGAGUUCAAGAUGAUUCAAGAAGGGUUCGCCCCGAUGCAAAUAAAUGAUAGCACAUACAACCUAAGGACAGGUUCUAUUCAUUGUGUGAACAUGGGUAGGUUUUCUACCUGGUCUCAAAAGGGUCUAUGAACUGCCCAGUGACGACCUCACGUGAAGGCAGUAUAGGGGUUUACAAGGAAUGGUUGGGGCACCAUGUGACCGCCAUUACCAGUAAACACUCAGCUCAUAGUUGGAUGUUUCACAAAUCUGAACCCCGACUGAAAGUCAUGAGGUAGACUGCUACUCCCCACCUAACUUAGAAGCUUGUGUGUGCUUUCAAAAAUAAAUACAAGUGAUGCAUGAAACAAUUCUAAAAAUGCAUGCAUAAAAUAAAGCAAGACAAAAAUGGCAAAAAUUAAACACAUCAAGUACACAAAGCUUAGUCCAAAAUUGUUAGAAACAAUACCUCCCCAGUGGAGUCGCCAUUCUGUCGCAUGUCGGAAAAUCCCGCGCGCGGCAAUCGGCUGGCAAUUUUAUGUCUCGUUGUUGAUUGCUUGCUUGAAUUGGUUCGUUAGGAGUCGCCACCUAGUAUUUAAUUGAGGUUACUAGGAAACCCUGGUGGACUGGUCAUGGUCAGAGAUUCGCGGGUAAGGGACUGAUUGUGGUUAGGGAAGGUAUUAGCACCCCUAACACACCCUACCUGAGGUAAGCUGCUCCGUACUUGAUGUUUAAAGAAGUUUUAAAAAUUUUCUUUUCAUCGGAUUUUAGAAAUACAACUUCGUACAAGUUUAUUUCUACACUGAUCCAUCAAAAUAUUAAAUCCUUCUUUAUUCUUUGCAGUCUCAUCAUAAAAAAAAUUCAUAAAGAAAAUACACACCACAUUCACCUUUUUUAUUUUUAUUUGUCUUUUCUUUUCUUUUCUUCUUUUUUUCUUUUACAUUCACAUAUUACAAAUUUAAAAUAAACAAACAACAAUUAUAAUCAGAUUUACAACGUAGUCCUUAAAACUCCAAAAUUGCAGGGAAGCCCUUCUGGGUCGCAGCAACAGUGCUGGAACAGUGGCACCCCGUCACUGGCGGCGCGUGGGUUCACGCGCCGCCGUGAUAACGCCGGAAAAGAUGGGUCCGGCUCAGCUUCUUCUCCUCUUCUCUUCUCUGCCGGUGGUGCAUCUCCCAGUCACCUGCACAAGAAGCAAAAACACACAAAUACAACACAUGGCAGUUGAUUUUAAACUUUUUUUCCUUGUUUUCGGAUCUGUUCUCGGGUCCCCUUUUUUUAGUUAUGGUUUGCUGUUCUUCCCUUCUAUCGGAGACAAAUCUGCCACGGUUGAUCUGGUCGCGGCUGUCGUCUGUGACUGCUGGAGCUGCGGUGGAGAGUGGACCGUGGAUCUGCCACCGGUCGAAGAGGGAAGAUCUGUUGGCACCGCUGGAAGAAGAAGGAAAUCGUGGGUCUGAGAACGGUUCUGCCUGUGCUCUGGUCAGUGGAGAUGUGCCGUGGUUGAGGGGAGACGGCCGGAGCGAGCGGUCGAUUGGCAGUGAAGAGGUCGGCAGGAGAAGAAGAGGGAAACGGAGUUGCUGUUGAGGUGGCCACAGCUGUUAAGCAAAGAGGCCGAGAGAUGAGAGCAACUCACGGGUCCAAGCUGGGGAAGCAGCGGUCGUCUUCAACAGGCAAAGGGAAGCUUCUUUGGUGAGGAAAUGAGGUUGUGCUGCGGUGGGGUCUGUCGGUGUCUUUGGAGAAGGAGAAAACCGAAUCUGGAGGGGGGAAACAGCGACCAGUUUUGAAAGGGAGCUGGUUCGGUUUUGGCCAGCGUGAUGAUCACGAUCGGUGAUGGGGUUUUGGACGAAAAUGGCUAUGUAAUUGUUUGGGUUUGCUGCUGGUUGGCGACGGUGGUUUGUGUGUGGGUGCUGAGCCGGCUGGGAGAGUGACGAUGUGGGAGUAGCGGCAGUGAAGAGAAGAAGAAGAUAGUGAAGAGGACUGCUAACAAGAAAAAUCCAGCAGAGGUGGGGACGACAGUCCUUUUCUUGUUGGCUGGCUCCGAUGGUGUGAGUGAAGAGAGAUAGCUGGGGGCUUCCUUUGGUCAAGGCAAAGGGGCUGUUUCAGAAGAAGAAAAUCAAAUUGGAGGGGCCUCCUUGUUUUUUUUUUGUCCAGAGAGUGAGCGGCUCUUUUGGUUUCAAGAGGGAGAACCCUUUGGGAGCUGGUGAGAGGCGGCCCCCGGGUUAAGGAAAAGGAAGCUUUUUUUCAAAGGGAGGGGGCCGCCCACUUGUUCCCUGGAGAAGAAGGGUGGCGGCUGCAGAUAAGACCAAAGUAUUUAGGUUUAGGUUUUUUUUUUGUAUUUUGCCCAAAAUUACUCCCCUUAUAAAAUGACCCCCCCCCUUUACUGAUUUUUGUAGGCUGCUAUUUAUAGGCAAAGCAUUUUUUCGGGCUUCAAAAUUGGUCCCUUAAUUUUUCUGUUCAAAUCACUUGGUAAAAAUUAAAUUUGGUCUUAAAAUUUUCAUCUUUUCAAAUUAGUCCAAAUUAAACUCCCAAACUUAAUUUUGCACCAAUUAAACCCCCAAAUUAAUUUGACCCAUUUAAAGUAUAAUUAAGUCAUUGCACUUAAUUAAAUCCUUCAAUUGGACCUAAAUUAAUUCUUAAACAUAAUUAAAAUUUAAUUUGGCCCAUGAUUAAAUCAAAUUGGCCCAUUAAAAGUUUAAUUAUAUCAUUGGACUUAAUUUUUAUGCAAAUUCGUCCAAUAAUCAUUUAAUUUGACCUUCGAAUAUGCAUUUAAUUUGACCUUCAAUUUUUGCCUAUUUUUGCAGUCUUUUUUAUCGGCUUCCUCCACAGUGCCAGCCUUUAUUUUAUUUUUUUAUUUUUAUAUUUUUAAAAAAGUGAAAUUUAGGGAAUAACCUAAAAUUGGGUUAUGACACUAAUUAUAACAUGUAUAGAAACAAAAAAUAAAUAUCUUGGUCGAGCAAUAUGGUAGAAUUUGUGAAAAUAUAUUAUUGCUUUUAUUUUAUAUAGAUAAUGCAAAUUUGGUUACAUUGUCCUGCUUUAUAAAGAAAUGAAUUCUAAAAGAAACGAUAUAAGUUUUUUUUCUUUCAAUAAACUAUACAAGCCUCAGGCAGAGAGGUGAAUGGACUGAGUAACCAGCUUGGUAGGCAUAGCUCAUUCCUUACCAUUAAAAAAUAUUGUGCUCCUACUGGACCCAUAUCUAUCAUCCUAAGCCCAGGCCCAUAUCCAUACCUGAAUACAUCAUACCUAGCCCAUAGCCCAUAGAGACAAAAAUAGCUUUUCAUAUAUGUUCAUGAAUGUUUUUUAAUCCUCAUAUGAAGGUUAGGAUUUAUUUUAUUUUAUAAAAAGCAUACACAGCUUUAGUUUCAAAUGAGUGGUUUGGAAUUUAUAAACACGAUACAUAAUAUUGUUGUUAGUAAUAUAAAGGGACCUAGGUACAACACAAUUAAAUGUUUUAACAUGUUUUAAUUCCUAUUUGAUUUAUAUCACUCAAAACUACUCUAUAAAUAAUUUAUUUCAAAAUUAUAUUAUUUGAUAAAAUUAAGUGGAAGAUAAGCUUCAUUUUCAAGCCAUGUAAAUUUACACCUUUGCUAGCAAUCAAUUAACCAAGAUUUAGUUUAAUUAUAUUAUUCUCUAAGAAUAAUUUCACUUCCAAUUAAAAACUUCAAUUAUUGAUUAAGAAACUAAAAAUAUUUAAUGUAGAAACCCAUUCAAUUAAUUGUUGAUGAAUGAUGAUAUCACGUGAUAACCCAUAGCACAAAUUCAAUUCAAUUGCACAAAUUCUGCAGCUCAAUCACCCACAAUUCAAAUACUACAAAAACUCCAGCAAAUUACGAUACUGCAAACGCUAGAAGACAACACCAAGCACCAUUCAAGAAAAUGACCAGAGGCAAUAAGAUUUGAGGGUGAGCUGUAAUUUUAAUGCCAGGAGAAAACAGAGGAAGCAUCUGACUAUGAGAACAGAGUCGGAGGAUUGCAGUCAGCUUCUACGACCGGAGAAUAGAAAAUGGCAGGAAACAAACGAUGCCAAAACCCAAAAGAUACAAGAGGAGCCAGCAGCUGCCUAUGUAACACCGGAGAUGAGGGAACAGCCAAAAAGCAGCAGCACCGUGCAACACCAAAAGGCUAGAAGGCGGCAACAAAGCCAUAGAACACCAAUGAAGGUCAGAACACAAAUAUUGUAGGCAAGCAGUUUCACCACCAAUACAACAUCUUCUCCAAUAGAUUGAAAGAACAGAAGGGAAGGAGGAUGCGGGUUCAUGGGGAGGAAGCAAGAAGAGAGAGGGGAGAGGGGAGAGGAGACAGUGCUGAAAAGAGACAGAAAUUAUCUCCUGUUUGAUGUGUCACUCUGAAAUCGCUCUCGCAUACCAUUCUUUAUGAUAGCUUUUCUUCAGCUACAAUUAGUUAUCUGCUGCUAUUAUAGAUGAACAUCAGACAAUCCCUUGCUGAAAUUGAGUAAAGAUGCCGCUGAUAAAUUAAAGCAGUCACUGUAGAACUAGAACUCGUCCCUUGAAAUGUAUAAACUUCACAUCUGCCACGUUAACAGACUCUCUAAAAAACUAUUAAUCAAGCUAGUGCCCUUUGCAAAAUGCAUGCUGACACAAAUAAGUAUGAAAUCACAUCACUGUACUCCAAAUUAAACACCUUAAACAACACAGCUAACAUUAUAAAUCUCCACCCUUAAUGGGGCAUUCUUCUACUACAAAACACACAAACCUAAUAAAAUCUAAGAUUCUAAAAUUUUAACACUAACCAACAACUCUACAUUCACUUAAUUAUCACUAUCACUGUUGUUAACAUUAUUGCUAGCAUUAAUAUUGUUAUCAGUACGAUGACGAGGAUGGUAUUGAUGAUGGUAAUGAUUACUGGUAGCAUUCCCUCCCCUUCUCGCGUUCUUCAACUGCGAAAUCCCCAUCUGUGUCUGCAUAAAAAACUGCAUCCUUUGCAACUCCAACUCUUUCACGAACUCCAUCCUUGUCUUCUCCAUCUCCACCACUUGCUGCAACUUUGCACUCUCAGCUUGCUCAUAGGCUUCCCCAAACUUCACCAUUGCUUGCGUUAACAUCCUGAUCGAAUUCCCCCACCCUCCUCCUCUUUUUUCCUUCCCCACUUUCCCCCUCACUUCCCUCUCCACCACCACUCUCCUCUUCUUCAUCGGCGGAAAACUAUCAUCCGAUUCCGCACCCCCCUCCUCUUCCUCACCCCCCUCCUCAUGUUUCAGAAUCCGAAUUUUCACAUUCUGAUUCCGAAAAUGAUACUGAUUCACACCACCCCUCCUACCACCACUGCGAACCCUAGUAGGAAUUUUACCACCCACAUUACCGUUUCCAACAACAGGAAUCCUCGCUGUGGAGCCAAUUAAUCUUUCCAAAGGAUCAAAAAAAGGCCAACCACUCGGCCCUCCACCUGAAGCAAUUUUAGCUUUUUCCAAUUUAUACUUUUUCUUCACGGUAUCAAUUCUAUUCUUACAUUGAAUAUCAGUUUUCGAAGACUUAGAAUAAUCCUCUCUACUACUUACAAUUUCCGCUACCUCCUUCCAGCUGCCUUUCAAAUUCCUCUGCUUAUCUAAACCUUUUCCCCAGAUCAACCCGCCGUUGCUCCUUCGCUCCAGCAGUCCUCUCUUCCUCCUCCUCCUCCCCGUUCGCUUUCGGCUUCGUAGGCAAAACAAGUGCUAGCGGUUCUUGUUGUUCUGUUGCGGUGGCGGUGGUGCCGGCGUGGAUGCACGGCUCGGGAGCAGAUACGGUGAUUCUUCCGUUCGGUGGUGGUGGUGACGGUGAGGAAUAUUCGGUUGGUGUUUGAGUGUGACUGUAUUUCAUCGUCGUCUUCCAUGAUCGGCGGUCGAUGAAAUAACAAUCAGAUCUGAUUUUGAUGAUUCUGAUGAGAGAGGGCAGGGGGUAGUUUUUUUUUUUUUUUCAAGGUGUUGGGUUUUUUAUGGUUGACGGGAAAGAAACGGUGACGGUGAAGAGGAGACAAGUGAUGGGAGAGGAACGGAAGGGAAAGGAUGAGGUGGAGGAAUGUGAAUGGUGGGGGCUAUAUUCCGUCACCGGCAAGGAUGGAAGUUGGACUGGGAAUUGUGUUGCCGGCUUGCUAGGUGAAAGCACGUGUAUGCGAGUGACUACUAUGUUGAUAAAAAUCAUGUUUGGUCCCUAUAUUUUAAUAUUUCAUCAAAUCAACUUCUAUACUCUCUAUUUUUUUCAGUUUGAACAUUCCGAAGAAUUUACAGGUGAUCAAGAGUCUCUCCUUAUUCAACAUGGAUGUUAUCAGAGUGGUUUGGAACUGCUCCCAAAAAACCAAAUUAUUAGGUUAUUGGAUAAACUCACAUGUUAUCAAGCUAGUUAUUUUUUUAAAACAUCUUUCAUUUAAAAAAAAAAGUACUUCAUGUUGAUGAAAUAAAUUUGAACUUCAAAUUUCCAAUUUCCUUAGUAUUGAUUCAACAAGUUUGAACUGGGUUUAUCGAGCAGCCCUAUUGAUCAAUUAGGUUUUGAAUUUAUCAAUAUUAUUUUUUAAUUUUACAAUUAUAUCAUUUUUUUCUUAAAAAUAUAUAUAUUUUUUAUUUUUGAUUUACUUUUUUAAUCAUAUUAAUAUCAAAAAUAAAAUUUAAAAAAAUAAAAAAUUUAUAUAUUUUAAUACAUUUCUAAAUAAAAAAAUAUUUUUAAUCGUAUAAAUAUUAAAAAUAAAAUAAAAAAAUAAAAAAUAUAUAUUUUAAUAUAUUUUUAAAUAAAAAAAUAUUUUAAAAACACACUGAAAAAAGUCUUAAAACUCAACCCGACCUUAGCUCAAGUUUUUCAAAUUAAUCUGGUACUUUUAUUCAUAUUCAUGAGAAAUUAAAGAUAAAAUGAGAAGUAAAUAUAAAUACAAAGAAUUUUUUUUUAAAAAAAAAAAAAAAACUUAACGGUAGUGGAAACCGAAAACUUCUCCUAACAAAAACUUUAGUACUUUCAAAUGUGCUCACACGACACAGCCCACUAACCAUAGCAUUCUCCACGUGCAAAUUGUCCUCAAGUUUUCAAUUAACCUCGAUAUAACCUGUUGCUCCUUUUUCCUUUCCUUUUCACAGUUUUGUCACGGCAUACAUAAUUUAUAACUUGCUACAACCAUCAUGGCAUUCGUUCCUUCUCAGUAGCUCUUAGCUCUUAGCCCUUUGCUUCAAUAAUAAUAAAAAAAAAAAAGGUCAUUUCCUGGCUAGUCUACCCCUCGCAUUGCCCCCUAUCAAUAAGUUUGCUUCUCUUCCAGCAUAAACAAUGGUUAAAUGCUUCCAUACACUGAUACAAAAUUACUCUAUCCUCAUCCAUCACUUCUUACCAUGGUAACUCCUAAACUACCUGAAAGGUGAAAACAGGAAAAUAUCAGAAACGAGUGGACAGACGAGCAAUGGUCCUAUCAUGUCCCAAGAAAGUUGAAGUUAUUGGUAUUUGCAACCACUUACUAAGCAUUAUAAGUAAUCAUAAUUUACCAUAAUUGCAACAAAAGAGAAACAAAGAAGUUGAGUUUUAAGUGGUCAUGAGAUACCCUCAUGGGGACACUAUGGAUGCAGUUAUGUUCCAUAAUGGAAUCGCUGUGUAUAUACAACACAAGGGCAGGUAUUACCCAAACAUUUAUCCUUUUGUGAUGCAUAAUUUAUGAAAAGCAAUCUGAAUUGAGAUCAGCCACGGUAGUUGAGCGAAAUGAAAACAACUUCAGCAACAGUGCGGGGGGGAGGGGGCAGCAAAUUCAUUCAGAGACAGACAAGAAAUAACUGAGAGGGAAUUGAGAUGAUGAGAAAUGUCAUUCUAGCAACUAACAGAUUCCAUUUCCAUUUGUUCAGUGAAAGACUACAAGAAAGAUAGCAUGAUUUGUCCUUCAGAUAGCUAACUUUCUUCAUGGUGAAAAUCUGUAUGUACUUGGCAAACUCUAUUCUUCCAUUAACAAAGCAACAUGAAUGAGGAAACUUACAGAAAAUAUUGUAAACAAAAGUGAUUUGAGCUCAAUUUCCCUAAGUAACCCUUCUUCGCACCACCAAAUCAUCAGCAGAGUAAUAAUCUGCAAUGAGUCGGUACAUGUAUGAUGGAUUGUGCCCUCCACUGUGAAGUAAUUAGAAAUUAACAGCGGUUAGAAUUGCAUGAGAUGAAAAUAUAAAUAAGUUAAGAUUUGGAAGUUCAAACUGGACAUAAUUAUAUCAAAUCCAUCUGAUUUGGCACCAGAGACCUAACACUGUUUAGUGGAAUAAGUAUUAUUCUAAUCAAUGAUUUGCAUCAGUGGUUAACAUAAAAAGAUGUCCUCAAAAGUACUAGAACUCACGUGUCAGUGAUAAACAGACUAACAAGCUUUGGUGGCACAUAAUCAAAUGCUGGAUUGACAACAUGAAGAAGAGGAGAGCCAGUGCCGCUCCCAAAAUCUAAGCAAUCUGAGAAUUCUCCAAAAUCCAGUAGCUCGGAUGGAGAUCUCAAUUCAUUUAGUAAGACCUCAGGAUUGUGAGGGUACAAGGGACACAGCUGCCAUCCAAGAAAAACAGCCAAGUGUAUGAAGGAUUAAAGCAAGAAUCAGAACAGUAUUUAAAAUUCAAAGUCUACCAUCACAAAAGUCAUUAACAUUAUCCAAGUCGUUUUACUGACUGUAUAAUUAGCAAGGCCACAAAAUCAGAGACAAAACACACAAGGAUUAACUAUUGACACUAUCCAGUUACAAUUAAACAAAGAAAUUCCAUAUUUGUUUUUCUUCAUUUGUCUUCGUGUUUGGAUUCUUAAAAAAUUUCUGUCCUCCCUGGGCAUUUUCAUCCCUGUUAUGUGUACUAGAUUUCUAUGAAUUAAACAUUAGAAAAAAAAAUCUAGAAAUCAAUAUAAUAAACAAUGAUCUGAGUUCAGAAGAACGCAACAAGUUAGAAAAAGACAAAAUGUUAAGAUUUUAGAGCACCGAAGGCGGGACUUAUUUUUUAUAACUUGCAUUUCUUAUGCUUGUAGUUCAAUCAAAUUAUAGCCUAUUUGGGUUUCAUUAGGUCAGUAUGAGCUAACACAUGGCCCUGCAAUAAACACCAACACUAACAGAAAAACGUAGCUGAGAAGGAAAUGACAAACAUCUUCUGGGCCACAGAAGAGACAUUCCAUUUAUUGCUAUAUAGUUGUCAUUAUUUUCCGUCACAAGUUAAGCAGUAUGACAGCAGCAUGCCAUUCAAUAGCAAAAACAGAGCAUGCAAUUCAAAUAUGGCAGUUUGUUUACUUGCUUGCUACCAAAACUCUAGGGGCAAAGAGGGAUAUUAUUUUGCUAAAUUACCUUGUGACUGCCUGCAAGCACGACAAAAGGUACAGCAUGCUUUUGAGCUGCAAGUGCAACCAUAUUCAGCCCAACAGGUACUAUCACACCACCAUUGGCCAUUACAGCAUGAGCUCCAACUAUAACCUUUCCAUAACAAAUUUAAGAUGGAUCAAAAUAGUAAGCAGCCAAUACCAAAAAAAUAGACAAGAAAAGAAAAAUACUAAACUCUCUCAUACCAUGUUCACACGGGAAAUCAUGGCAAAAACUGCUGAGUCAGUAAUCAAAGUGGUAUGUAAACCUCUUGUGACCAGUUCUUUUGCAAGAAGAUGCCCUUGAUACCUAGUUGAAUACCAAUUGCCAAUGAGAAAAUUUGUAUUUAACAAAGAGAAGACUAAAAUCCAACCAGCUAAAAAAAGUUAUUUUGCAAUGUAACUAACAUAAGGUGUUUGGGAGUAUGGUAGCGGUUGCUUUUCAAAUAGCUUUUCAUGCCGAAAAGCAUGUCAAUAAUGUUUUUUUAUUUUUUAAAAAUCAUUUUUGAUAUCAACACAUCAAAACGAUCUAAAAAACACAAACCGCACUUAAUUUUAGCAAAAAAAAAAAAAGUUUGAAAUUUUUCAAAAAGCAGGUUGAACCUCAAUGCCAAACGGGCGGUCGACUUGUACAAACCUUGGAGCACCCUCAGCAACAAAUACCCGGAAUGAUCUUUUCUUCUCCUUUGCAGCAUAAAGAAAUUCUAACACUGUCUUUGAACUACCUAAAGUUAAUAUCACCUCACUGAAAAGAUGUUUAAUAAUUGAAUCAGUAAAACAAAGUGUCAAAAGUGAUGGAUUAAUAUAAUAAGCAAUUAAGAAUCCAUGCAAUUGAGAUGACUGAUCCGAAACUUUACUUGAACCUAGGACUUUUUCUCUUUGACAGAAAACAUUAGGACUGGAAAAUAUUGGAAAGAUAACAAAAAUUGAAAGAUGGUAUCACAUCCAAAUUUGAAACUCCAAUUGUAAGUUCAAAGAUCACACUCCAACACUUUAAGGCACAAAAAAGGAGCUCACUGGACAGUAAAAGUGAUGCAAUGACACCCAAUUUAAAAAUGGCUACCCCAUUAACCAUAAUAACCCGCAGAUGGACUCAAUUGGUGAAUGAAGACAUCCAAAUAUCCCAUGAUAACCCACAGUAUAGACUCAAUUGUCUCUAAUUCUUUCGCUCAAUCACCUCAACUCAAAUACUAUUAAUUCGAGCAAAAUCAUUUUCAUAAUGCUAAAUGCUAGGUGAAAACAAAAGGCACUAUUCAGAAUCAAACUAGAUACACAACUUGUGAAAUAUGAGAGCCAAUUAUGGAAUACAAGCUUGUCCAUGGAUGCUCGUGAAUGAAACAUGGUAUGCAUAGUGAAAUUAGAGUGAAAACCAUAAUAAACUAAAGACCAUCAUAUUGAUUCUUGAAUGUUAACCAGAACUUUAGUGCCAGCAACCCAAAGCAAAGAAAAGGAGCUAAUACGGUAAAAAAAUGAGCUUGAUGGCAAAAAAUUACUUUUGAUGAAUAUGCUCCACAGCUUGUUCAGCAAUCUGUUCAUGACAAGUGUUAAUAUCUUGAAUAAGCUCAUUAACUGCUUCAAUGACAUCAUGCUUCAACCUUCGAGUUCUUGAACUUUUAUCAGCAGCUGUUAUAGAAAAAAUCUUUACAUGUCAAGAUACUCCUCACACGCACGUGCAACCCACAUGCCAUGCCACAACAAUCAGCCAAGUUUCAGCAAUAAGUACUAGUUCAACCAAAUCAAAAUCUAUCCAACUUCGAAGCAUAUGGUAAUCUGCCAUAUGAUAUGAUGCAGUGAUAUAAAAACUAUGAACAACCAUGAGAGACUUACAUUUGCUUUUUCCUUCAGAAUCACCUCCCGAUGAAUAAGUAUGAGGAAUAGCCACUGACUCAGGCAUAUCCUCCAGUAGGGUUUGCAAGGAAGGCGGACGCAAAGCAUUUCUCGCAGCAGCAGCAGCAGCAGCAGCUGAUAGAACUGUAUGCUCAUCUCGCUCACAAUCAUCAUCAUCAUCAUCCCCAUCACUUGCUGCUGAUAAAUUCAAACCCGCAAUAGCAGCAGUCGUCAGAGAAAGAUCCUCCUCCCUAAUAAUAUGCAAAACGCGCCUCACAAUAUUACCCACAGCUACCUCUGCAAACAGCACAUACAACCAACCAACAACACAAACAUCAAUGAAAACCAUAAAACACGCCAAUCCAGGACAUAAGCACUCAAAUAUAGUAUCUAUUUAUUAAAGUAAUUGAAAUGCUUACCGACAGGAUUGGCAGCAAUCAGCUGCUCCCCAACAGCCCUCACAGCAUCAAUUAAAGCUCCAGCCUGAUUCGUGUAAGGCACUCGCUGUUGCGAAAUAACUGAUCGUAACAGUUCAGCAGCCUGCCGCGCCGUCGCCUGCGAACCCUCAAUCUGACUGCCAAAUAACCAAACGAAACCAAAAGUAAGCCUGUAAUCUCAUUUUUACAAACAAAAAAAAAAUCACUCUGUGCACGGUAGUAUAACAAUAAUAAAAAUAAUCACCGUUUUUUAAGCUUGAUAAGAAAAUCAUUGACAAGAGCUUGCACGUCUGGCAUGAUUUUCCUCUGCAAAAAAAAAAAUGUUGUGGUUUUCAAUAUUUUUUUGCGAAAUUGAAAAAACGCGAUAGUAUUUUAGAAGCUAAUAUUUCUUCGCAUUUCUACAGUUUCCUCGGCAAUCAAGCAGAUUAAAAAAGAAAAUAAAUAAAUAGAAAAACUGCUAGUGAUUAAAAAAUCAACAAAUUUCACCUGAAAUGAAAUUUAAGAUAAAAUUAGGAAAAAAUAAGGAGAUAAAGAUAAAUCAGAGAGAGAGAGACUGUAGAGAUACCUAGAGCGGAGAUCGAAGAAGCAUGCGAACGCAAACGAGAGAGAGAUGGAGAGGAGAGAAGAGGUUUUUGCUUAUGCGAGCGAGAGAGAGAGUUUUAAGAGCUUCACACAGUGAAGCUUUUUUUUUAGCAUUUUUUUUUACACCGGGGAAAGGAAAUGGUUUCUUUUUUUUUCGACCCGGUUUGGUGAAAUGGAUAGCAAUACGGGUUGCGACAGCGAGGACUAUUUUUAGGCAAGCCUUGUAAGAGUACUCCAGGUAUAAGGGUGGUCUCGACUGAGUCCUUGAAGAGUUUUUUUAUUCAAUUGGGUCCUUAAAGUGUUGCGAAAUUUUAAAUUAAAGUCUCCAUCUAUGCUCUUUGCAAAUUAUGAGAAAGUGUGCGAGGGUGGAUGGAAUCCGUUAACGGAAAAAGAUGGCGAUACUUGAUUGAAGAUUUAUUGAGACUUUAGGAAUCUAAUUGGGAGAAUAAUAUUUUUAACUCGAUUUGGACUGGGUAGGUGGGUUUUUUUUUCCUAUCUUAAUGACUGUUUUCACGUGUUAAUUACUUACUGUGCGAGCCUACAUUUUAAAAGUAUUUUUAAAAAAAUUUAAAUUUUUUUAUUUUUUUAUUAACCUCAAAUUAAUAUAUUUUUAGUAUUUUCAAAUCAUUUUGAUUUGUUGAUGUUAAGAAUAAUUUUUUAAAAAUUAAAAAAUAUCAAUGACAUGUAUUUUGAUACGAAAACUUAUCUGAAAAGCAACUGCAACCACAUUGCCAAACAAGUUUUGCAGUUUCGUUUUUUUUAAUUUGAAUAAAUGAGUUUAUAUAUUUUUUUACAAUAAAAUGAUUUGUUAGAUUUUGUUAAAUAUAUACUAACAUAGGUAUUAAUUGACAUAAGAUAUGCUAAUAUGUAUGUCAAAUGCUUAUGAACUUUCAUUUUAUUUUUAAUUCGAAUGUUUGUGUUUUUUUUAUUAUUAUUAUUGCCUGAGUGUAUGGAUUUUUUCUUUUUUAGUAUAUAUGAUAUCAGCGAAGAUAAUUAAUGAUACGCAGCUAUUUUUUGUUUAUCUUUAUUGAUAAAAUUCCUCUAUUAUUAGUGAUUAAUUACAUCAGUAGAUGCAGCUAUUUGCUGUUUAUAUCGAUCAAAAUCUCUAUUAUUAGUGAUUAAUUACAUUAGUAAAGUAGUUCAAUGAUGUUAUAUGAUUUUAGGUAAAAGAUGCCUUUUUUUUAUUAUUGCUAUCUCAUCGUGUUCAAUUAACUCAACUAAAAAAAUAUUUAGAAAUGUGUUUAAAAUUGUUCUUAAUUUUUUUUAAAUACAUUUAAUAUAAAAAAUACUAUAUUAAUAUUUUUUUAAUGUAUUUAAGUGAUUUUAGAGUACUGAUGUCAAUAAUAAAAAAAUCAAAUAAAAAUUUUGUUUCUUACACUUUUAAAUAAAAAAAAUAUUAUAAAAACAUUAUACAUCAUAAUAAUCUCAAACUCACAAUAAAAAUAGACAACGUAGUUCUAUAUUUGUUUUUGAAAAAAAUGAAGAAGCAACAUAAAUAAUUAUCUACCAGCUGUUAAAAAACUUUAUUUGGUAUUGGUAUUAAUUUAUACCUUGAAUUCAAUUAUAGCGACGGGAAAACUAAAUUUUUUGUUCUCGCGAUUCAGCUUCAUUUCUUGACAUAAACAUAUUUAUCACCACCAUUAACUACUAAGAAACAAGUGUCAAACAAAAAAAAGAGUAUUAUGUUAUAUUUAUAUUUAAAAUAUAUAAACACCCAAAAAAGAACAAGAAUUUACAUAAAUGAAAUUGUCUCUUGCCAAGAAAUUCACCACUAACAAAUGCAUGAAGAAUUUGACGCUACAGACUCGAAGAGUCAUGCUAUCACCGCUCAAAAUCAAGUCAUCUUCUUUAAGACGAGAACUAUUAACUAGAAAAAAAAAAAUUAAGCCAAUUCAUUCAUCAAGCAAUAAUAUUGAAAAAAAUAUUCAAACAAAAAAUUAAUAUCAUUACCAUGUAAAAAAGACAAUCACUGAAGUGUUACCCAGGAAUAUAAUUAAUUAUAGUCUGUGAUUCAAAAAUUUAUUUUAUCUGUAAUUUUAUAUUCGAAUAUUAUGGUUACUAAUAUAAUAAUCACUGGAAACCUACAUAGUUAUUAACUUUAAAACUUAUAAAAUUAAUCGAGAUGCAUGCAAGUUGAUCUAGAUUCAUUUGAUCUAGAUUCAUUGAUUUAUAUUUGAUUUCAGGCCUUCAUCGCCAUUUAACGGAAACAACUUCUCUUGAGCAAUGUUUUUUUUUAACACCGUAUAACAAAAAUUUACCCACACUAUAAUUUUUAUACACAAACACCCCAAGAAAUCACAAGAAUUACAACUGUGAAUUUGUUUUUACCAGGAAAUUUCCACUGAAAAACGCGUGAAGAGUUUAAUAUUAAAACAAGGCUUGAGUUUCAACGUUUCAAAUUGAAUCUUAAAUAAUUAAGGCUCUGUUUGUUUUCAGGAAAGUGAAUUCCGGGGAAAGUGAAUUCCGGGAAAGUAUUUUCCGAUGUUUGGUAAUGUUAUGGAAAAUAAACUGGAAAACACUUUUCAGUGUUUGGUUAUGUCAUGGAAAAUGAGCUGGAAAAUAACUUAUUAAUAUUUUAUUUUUCUCAAGUUUAUUAAAAUAAUGAGGAACAAAUCUUACAAAUUAAAAAGUUGAAUGAGAAUGAAAUUGAAAAAAAAUAUAUAAUUUCAUAAAUUAUCUCAAAUAAAACAAAUAAUAAUCAAAAUAAUAGGAAUCAAAUCUAAAAAAUUAAAAAAAAUUAAAAAUGAAGAAAUUAAAAUAAUAAUAAUCAACAUUUCAUAAAUUAUUUCAAAUAAAAUAAGUAACAAUCAAAAGAAUGAGGAUCAAAUUUGAUAAAUAAAAAAUUUCAAUAAAUAAAUGAUAAGAAAAAAACAAAUAGCAAUUAUAAAAAUAAGGACCAAAGUUAAUAUAAAAAUAAAAUUUUAAGAGAUGAAAUUGAAAAAUAAAUAUUCAAAAUAAAAUAUAUAUAGCAAUCAAAAGUUUGAGGAUCAAAUUUGAUAUAAUCAGCAAAUAAUGACAUUUCUAAAUUUUUCACAACUUCCGGAAAGUGUUUUCCCCUCAAAUUUUUCAGGAAAACACUUUCCUGAAAACCAAGCCAAAUUUUCCUUUUACUGGAAAGUGUUUUCCAUUGACCAACUUUCCUACUGGCAAACAAACACAAGAAAAUUUGGAAAGUGCUUUCCCGGAAACCACUUUCCGGAAAACAAACACAGCUAAAAGGAAAAUACUUUCCUGAAAACCAAGUCAAUUUUUUUUUUUGACUGAAAAGUAUUUUCCGUUGACUAGAAAGUGUUUUUCGCUGACCGGAAAUUGUUUUCCGUUGACCAACUUUCCUAAUGACAAACAAACACAGGAAAGUUUGAAAAAUGGUUUCCCGAAAACUAUUUUUCAAUAAACAAAUAAGGCUAAAGAAAAAAAAAUGACUGAGGAAAUGUUGCCUCGUGUGAGAGCAUACUCCAUGGAAGGCAAAAUAUCACGAAGCUGCUGCUUCAAAUGGCCCCGUUUUGGUUGGUUUAAAUUAUAGAGUGCAUGUGAUUAUGAUCUCGAAACUGUGCAUAACAUGGUGAUGGUGAUGAUUAUCGUGGACUUAAUAAUAUUUUACUUGCAUGAACAGUUAGAAAUAUUUAAAUAAUUUUUAUAAUAAUUAAGUUGUACUAUAUAUAUUCAUUCAGUGUUUCAUCAUGAUCAUAUGCUUUGAUGCGUGGACCACCGGUUAUUCUACCAAAAUUAUUUCCACCAUGGUAUUAAAACAGCAUUGUACAAAACACUAUAGCAAAUUGAAUUAGCUAUGGAAAGUUAUAGUUAUCAUUGAACAAUAAAAUUGUGAAAAUAAAAGAUCCAAAGCAUACAAUUUUGGAAAAGCUACAUCAAGAGCAAGGUCCUCAGGUCCCGUGAUUUAUCAUAUUUUGAUAAAAUGAUUUAACGAAACCUAAUAAAUCAUUUUAUUGUAAAAUAUAUAUAUAAGUUUGCAAAUUUGCAUGAUAAUUUUUUUUUUUAUAUUAUGAUAAAUACAAAAUAAUACAUUUAUUGAAUCAACACACGAUACGUCGACAUAUAUACUUGAUGCGAGUGUAAUAAUUUUUUUUAACCUAAUCUUAAGAGGUGUAAUUGAAUUGGUUAGAUUAUGGAUUUGCUCCUUAAAAAUCACCAGUUCGAGUACUACAAACUUCAGAGCCGCUGGAGAUUUACAUGAUCGUUAACUAUAAGGCCCGUGGAAUUAGUCAAAGUACACGCAAGCUAUGAACACCCAUGUUAAUAAAAAAAAAAUAUAACCUGUAUAUUUAUUUUUAUACUACAAGUAUCUUUAUUUUUUAAAAAAUAUAUGUAAUUACUAAAAUUUCAAUUCACGCAUUAGCCAUCAUACAACUACCAUGGUUUUAAUUUCACGGAAGAGUUUUGAACCACCACGUUUAUUUUACAAGUCAAAGUUAACUUGCAUCAAUCAUCUUGGUAGAAAAAACUGUGAUUUUAUUUUAAAAAAUAUCUUAGAGUUUACCUAACUACUUUCAAUUCGAAUCUCAACGGGUGGUUAAGAUUUCAAUCAGAUCAAAAUAUUUUUUAAUUUAAUUUAAAAUAAUAUGUAUUGUAUUUGGAUUAUAAAUUACUUGAGUUGAUCAGUAUAAAGUUAUGUUUAGUUUUUUUUGUUUAAAAUAAUUUUUUUUAUUUUUUCAAAUCAUUUUAAUAUAUUGAUUUAAAAAUUAAAUUUUUUUUUUUAAAAAAAUUCAAUAUAUUUUUAAAUAAAAUAUAUUUUAAACUAUAAUCAUUAUCAUAAUUUCAAACAAGAAUUGAAAACCAUCGUUACUCAUAUCUUACGACUUUCCAGCCAUGCACGAGUCAAGGGAGCAAAGAGAAGAUUUUAAGAGGGUAAAAGUGAGGGACUGUUUUUUUUUUUUUUUAUGGGAUAUAAAAGUUACGAAGUGUAAUGAUAAUGAUAACUUCAUCCUUUCACGAUGGUGAUAUCUGGUGUAACAUUGAAGGUGAUAAUUAAUAAUGAUUGACUUUCUUUGUCUCGUGACUUUUUCACGCAAGUCAAUCCUUCUCAUCAUUUAUUCGCGCUGUUCAUGCAAACUGUACGUUGCUUAGUUUAUAGCAUUUCAAUGAAUAUUUGUUUAAAUUGUAAUUCUCUGCCUCUAGUUUAAUUUAUUUUAGUGAUAAAAUACAUUUUAGAGUAGUAAUGGUUACUUUUAAAAAUAUUUUUUUAAAAAAUAUUAAAAUAAUUUUUUAAUUUUUUUUAAUUAUUACAUCAAAUAAUCCAAAAUAUGAAAAUAAUAAAAAAAAAAAACAUCACUUAUAACUCAUCUAGAAGCAAAUCACCCUUGAUACUGGGUGGUUCAAUCGAUUGGACUAGGGAAAUAAAUUUGGAAAAACUACAGCUUGAUCUCUGUAGUUUCAUCAUUGUUUGAUUUACAGCCUUUUAGAAUCUAUCAAUACAAUCCUUAUAGCUUUCUAAAAGUUUCGAUUUUACCCCUAAUGAUUAAAUACAUACCGAAUCCUGAUUACGAGUCCACCUUUUAAGUUUUUCAGUUUCUAUAUUUCAAAUUAUUUUGACGAUAAAUGAUAGAUUAUCGAAGAAUAAGAGAGAGUAUAAGAAAGAAAUGAUGUUUUAUUUCUUAGAUAUUACAGGGGUAAUAUUGAAAAAAAAAAACUAUAGAUAUAGAGUUGGAACAUCAAUGAAUACAUGUAGACGUCAAUGUAGUUAAACCUGGAUUUAAAUCUUGUCUGGCAUUCCAAUUGGAAGAGCGUGAAGCUACGCGCACGGACUCAAGCGUUGGAGAUUUGUUGUCAGCUGAACAGCAGGGCCACGAAACACUAUUAUUGCCGUUCACAGUAUUCCCGGCCCUUUGCCUCCCUCUCUCUACAGUUCAAAGCCUUUCCAAUUUAAAAUUUCAAAAAAAGAAAAAGAAAUUCAAACUUUCCAUGGUUAGAUAUAUUUUUUUAAAUGGUUAUUUACUGAUAAGUAAUAAUAUCUGGUAUAAAUAUCAAUAAACCUGGGUCUAAACUUUAUUCAAAUCCAGAACUCUAGAUAUAUAUAUAUAUAUAUAUAUAUAUAUAUAGAUAUAUAAUUUUUAAAUUCAACAGUGUUUUUUGGUGUAGAGCUGCAAUAUAUUUUUUAAUAGGUUUCAGUUUCUUUUUAUAAAAUUGAUUUAUAAAUAUCUAUUACAUUCAAGAUCUUUAAAAUCCUUCUUGAUUUUAUUAAAAACUAAAAUUAGUUAGAGAUCUAUGUUGUAUAUUAGGUUUGUUCAAGGUUUAUAACUUGUUCGAUAUUGUGGUUGCUAUUGUUUUUCAUUUAAAAUACAUCAAAAUAAUAUUUUUAUUUUUUAAAAAAUUAUUUUUAAUAUUAAUAUAUCAAAAUAUUCGGAAACACACAAAAAAUAAUAAUUUAAAGAAGAGGAAAAAAAAUAUUUUUUUUUACAAAAACAUUUGGAAAAUAUAAAAACAAACGAGCUUUUAAUAUACAAUAUAUCUAAAUUUCAAUAUCAAAUUAUGCAAGAAAAAAAAAUAAAGAUCUUAAUAAAAAACAACAAAAGAUAAAAAAUAGAAAUAGAAAAAAAGCAUUUAAGAUAGAUUAUCUUCUUGUGAUAUUUCUAGGGGUUGAGUUAUUAAAAAUUAAAUGUGUGUUUGAUAUUAUAAUAUUUUUUAUUAUUUAAAUUUUUACUAUAAUUUGAUAUGAAAAACAUGUUUAAAUAGUGACAAUCAAAGUUAUAAUUAGUUUAAAAACAACUUCAUGGCAUCACACCGCAAUAUUAAGUCAAGAUUAAGAGAUUAUUUAGAAACAUUGUGUAACUCGUACUCUUAAAAAUUUAAUUUUUUAUAUUUUUAGAUUGUUUUAAUGCGUUGAUGUCAAAAAAAAUAUUAUUUUAAUAUAUUUAUGAAUAAAUAAUAUUUAAAAAAACAACAACAAUCAUAUUUCCAGAUAUAUUAUAAAUCAAAACCAGACCAUCUCAUCCUAUUCAGUUCCCUUUAUAACCUUUUAUACAUGGUAAAUGUUUAUAAAAUAUAAGACUAUGAAAUAAAAAAUAACUUACAUAAUUUUAAGUUUUUAACUUACAUUAAAAAUGUUCACAACGAUUACUAUUCUCUCCUAAUCAAUCGAAUCUAGUAAUGUCCCAUCCAUGAAAAAAAAUUACUUUUUAUUUCCUGUUUCGUUUGCAAAUAUUACUCGACCAUACCAUGCUUCCUAUAGUGUAACACGUGCUCUAAUUUAAUCGACCAAUUAAAGUCGUAAAUUAUUAUUAUUAUUAUAAAUGCUAUAAUUUUUUUAUACCACUUCAAUCUAUGCUUACAUCACUGCUAUUAAACUUUAUUUAUAUGAUUGAUUAAACUAAUGACACGCAAAUCUUGUUUUUAACUUAGUUUAGGUUUGAAAUUUAAAGGCCAAGUUUAUUGAUUUUAAUUUUUAAAUUAAUUUUUUUAAUAAUAGAUUUUUUUAAAAAAUUAAAAAUAUUAUUUUAGAUUAAUUUAAAUUAACUUAUAAACUCAUGACUCAGACUAGAUUUAACAAUUCUGUAAUUUUUAAAAUAAAUUCCAGACAGUUUUUUAAUGCAUUAAUAGCUUAUGAAAAAUCUACCCAGCUAUAAAAAAACUUUUAAAAAAGAUUUUGUGUCAUUAAAUCUUAAUUUUAUUGUAAAAUUAAUUAAUAAAUCAUAUUAAUCUAAUAACUAAUGUGUUUUUGUUUUAAAAUAUUUUUUAUUUUUUUUUUAAUAUUCUAGCACUGUCUUUUCACAAUUUGAAUUCAAAUUAUAUUAAUUUAUAUUCUAUAUUUUCAUUAAAAUAUAAUAUAAGCUCCACUUUUAAUUAAUCAAUUAAUUUUAUUGUAAAAUUAAUUAAUAAAUCAUAUUAAUCUAAUAACUAAUGUGUUUUUGUUUUAAAAUAUUUUUUAUUAUUUUUUUAAUAUUCUAGCACUGUCUUUUCACAAUUUGAAUUCAAAUUAUAUUAAUUUAUAUUCUAUAUUUUCAUUAAAAUAUAAUAUAAACUCCACUUUUAAAGUUCAACAAUUUUCUAUAAUUGUAGAGAGUCACGACCAUAAAACGCAAGAAAGAGACAACACUCAGGUGUAAAGGACCCACAAACUUAACCUUUCCUUUUUGUAUUUUCUCGAGAAAUUUCUCUCUCCUUACCCCUUGUCUCUCUCCCUCUCUACACGCUCCCCUCUCUCACCGGCUUUAAUUUGAAAAUUCUCUCUUCAUUUCCAUCUUUGUAUAUUUAGGCGCAUUCCGUGCAUUUAUUGCCUUUUAUCUUUCAAUAGAGGGUUUCCCCUCCCUUAUCUCUGUAUCUCUUUUAAAGGGCUACUCGGAUCUUGAAUGGUCUCUUUAGUGGGGUUUCGAUUGCAACCAAACUGUGCCAAGGUAACAUCUUUUUUGUAAGUUAAUCCAGUUUUUGAGCAUGUUAUUCGAUUUCCUAUCUGGGUUUUGAUUUUUUGUUGAUUGAUUUGGUUUUUUUAGUAUUUGGAGUCAUAAAGUCUGCUUCUUUUUUGAUGUCAAAGCUCUUUUUGGAAUAUUCUAGAUCUAUUUUUUUCCUUUAGAUUUGCAUGUGUGUGUGUUUUUUUUUCGUUUUUUUUUUUGGCAUUUGAUGAUUCUUCCUUUUGUUUUAUUUGAUCUACUUAGUGGUUAUGAUGUAGUUUUGAGGAAAUGUAUGCUGUAUAUCUCUUUUGUCAAGUACAGUUUUUGCUUGAGUAGAUAUUAUUUUUCAGUCUCCUUUUAUAGUUCUGUACCUGGCAAAGUUUUUGCUGGAAAUGGUCUUGCUGUGGUGAAAUUUUUUUUUCCGGUGUGUAAUGCUAGGAGCGUGAUUAGGAACUUAUGGUGUCGCACUGUGGUAAUGAUUGUAAUGUGGUAAUUCCGGUGUGGAAACCUGAUGUGGCUUUUUUCAAAUGCAUGCAUUCGUGUUGUAUAUAUGAUGACUAGUUAAGUUACGGGGAAUAAAUUCCUUAAUUUGGGAAGGUGAGAGUAACUGAGUAAUUGUGUUGUACAUCUUCAAUUCCAUGCUCUUGAUGGUCUAUAAGGGCGUUUCUUUAGAUUCGCAUGAGUAGAUGAAUCAUAUGAUGACUGGUUAGGUUAUGAGCCUUGUUUUUGGGAGAUAUGUUGCCAUUUCUUUGAUCUUUAUAAAGGGUCUCACUUGGUUGCUUUGAGAGAGUGAACUGAUUGAUCUUUAUAAUUUGUCUUGCUCAUCACCUGUCAUGAAUUGCUCGUUUUUCCUGUGUUAACUGUGGUACAUAUUGUUGCCUUCUAUUCCUAACUUUUUAUUUAAUGAUUUUGAUAGAUCGAGGAGCCAUAAAUUGUCAAUACACUGAAAGAAUUAAGUGAAGGAGAUAAAGGACAGAACAAGAUUUGGUGGCAAGACUAAGAGUUUCUUGUCAGUGGAAGUGUAUGCUAGUUCCUGUUAAAAGUCAGUUUUUUUUUUUUAUAUAUAUAUUUUUUCAGUGACAUUAAUUUACUUCAACAUGAACACUGAUGUUGUUAUAGCUGGUAGAAUAUCUUCUAAUAUGUGCUUGAUAUGUAUUUAGAUUUGACCUAGACUUAACAAAACUAAAUGACCGAUCAUAAUAGCAUAUGAGAUUGCUAACUGGUAUAACACUAAGCUGUCUGUUUCUUCAUAAAACUUGUUGGUUCUGCCAAUGCUGGGCAAUUUCUUUUCCUUGCUGUUUUCUUAAUUGCUUUUCGUUCUUUCUCUUGUUUGUCUUAGAAAGUUAAUGCAUGAAUUGGACUUCUUAGUUGGGAUAAUUAAAGUAACAAACCUUCCUUUUAGGGUCUACAAGCUGCUACUCUUGAUUCGUUUUUAAAUACAAUUAACUUUUUGUGUCUUCCAUAUCUGAACGUGGGAUUCAUUGAAAUAUAAAUUUUACCAUAUUCCUUAAAUUAUCCACCUUUUAAGUUAUGAACUAAAUUGGACACGGGGAAAAUGAAAAUGCUUUUAAUUUUUCCAGGAAAAUGCUUUUAAAUUAUCCACCUAUGGUAUUGUUGUUGGGACAUUAAUGUCAUGAAAUUGAGUAAAUUGUUAUAUGUUGAUCUGUAAGUAGAAGCCUGUAAAUUAAUAACAGUCCUGAGUAUCUUUCAUAAAUGAAAGUUUUUGUCAAAUUCGGGCUUCCCCUAUUGAAUAUCUUUUAAAAUAGAUAUACAAAAAGCUAACUGUGGUUACAUCCAUGUAAAUAAUAUAUUUUUUCUCACUUUGCAUCAAUGUGAUAUGUUUAACAUACUGAUGUAAUCAGGUUCCUCAUUUUUGUGUUUUUCUUCUGGCGUGUCUGCUUUGGGAGUCAGGGGAAGAUUUUUCUUUUCUUUCCUUUCUUUUUAGAGAAAACACUCGUGGAAUUUUCCAUUUUGACUUGAUUGAUUUAUUGACAACAUGGAUGCCAAACUUGUCUCCUUCCUUUCAUACAUGUCAUUUUUGCUUGAGUAUAAUUAAUAAUGUUAGCAUUUGUGGAGUUGGAAACUGACUACUUGCUUGUUUUUUCUCAUAGGUCGACCAUACUACCAUGGCAUCAAGCAAUCUGUUUUUUGAUGACAUCCGAAAUAAACCUGAGGUUAUUGAUCCUCCUCAAAAUGAAGACUUGACAGAUAUUGGUGAAAGUGUAAAUGAUCCUGCUCAGACAGCUCUAAAACCUAACGUGACCGUGUCUAGCAGUGUUCGUGAAUUACUGGAGUGUCCUGUGUGUUUAAAUGCCAUGUAUCCUCCAAUUCACCAGGUUUGUUUUAUGCCUUCCCCCCCAUUCUUGAUAACCUAAUGAAAUUCUAUUCCUGUGGAAUUCUUAUAAGGCUUCUAACUCUUGAUAUCCCUGCUCCGGUUAAUAAUUCCAGCUUGCAUGUUGGUCAUCUCAUUGGUGUUCUCUUUUGUUGCAGUGUUCAAAUGGUCACACAUUAUGUUCUGGUUGCAAGCCCAGGGUUCAAAACCGAUGCCCCACUUGCAGGCACGAACUCGGCAACAUCAGAUGUCUUGCACUAGAGAAAGUUGCUGCAUCUCUUGAACUUCCAUGUAAAUAUCAGAGUUUUGGGUGCAUAGGCAUAUACCCUUAUUACAGCAAGCUAAAACAUGAAUCCCAAUGUGUUUUUAGACCAUAUAACUGCCCAUAUGCUGGAUCAGAAUGCACAGUUAUUGGUGAUAUUCCUUAUCUGGUGGCCCAUUUGAAAGAUGAUCACAAAGUUGACAUGCAUAAUGGCAGUACUUUCAAUCACAGAUAUGUCAAAUCAAAUCCACACGAAGUUGAGAAUGCAACAUGGAUGCUGACGGUAUUGUUUUGCUUUAUCCUUGUUUCUAGUCUGGUUUUUGUCCUUUCCUUAAUCCUUAGCAAAGGGUUUUCUUAUUUAUAUGUUGAAUGUGUGUGGAUACAAUUAUCUGCAUAGUUCCCUUUAAAUGCCAUAUUUGUGAAAAUUGGACAUCUCUCAAUUAACAAUCCUUGUCCACGAGUUGAAAAUGUAUUAUGGAUGCUGACGGUAUUGUUUUGCUUUAUCCUUGUUUCUAUUCUGUUUUUUGUCCUUUCCUUAAUCCUUAGCAAAGAAGGGUUUUCUUAUUUAUAUGUUGAAUGUGUGUGGAUACAAUCAUCUGCACAGUUCCCUUUAAAUACCAUAUUUGUGAAAAUUGGACACCUUUCAAUUAACGAUCCUUGUGAACGAAAAUGUUCUUUUUGUGGAAGUUAAAAGGGUCCUGUCAUCAAAGUUUGACGUGUGAUUCUAGGUUAUUGUUGGGUUGAACUUUUGUUGUCUGAUUCUAUUGCAGAAACUUGCUUUUUGGACAUAUAAAAGAUUGCUCACUAUUUUCUCCCCUGAUUUUUAGGUCUUUAGCUGCUUUGGUCAGUAUUUUUGUUUACAUUUUGAAGCAUUUCAGCUUGGGAUGGCCCCUGUCUACAUAGCAUUCCUGCGGUUUAUGGGGGAUGACAAUGAGGCAAAGAACUAUAGUUACAGUCUUGAAGUGGGUGGUGGUGGGAGGAAGAUGAUAUGGCAAGGGGUACCAAGGAGCAUAAGGGAUAGCCACCGAAAGGUUCGAGACAGUUUUGAUGGUCUCAUCAUCCAACGCAACAUGGCCCUUUUCUUCUCUGGUGGAGAUAGGAAGGAAUUGAAGCUUAGGGUGACUGGUCGAAUUUGGAAAGAACAGUGACAGGAUAUCCAAUUUCUGUCACAACUUUCAAUUUUAGUUAACCUUCACACCUAGUGACAGGUUUCUUCUUGUAGUAGUCCCAUGAUCUUCUGGUCAUGUAUUGUUUUGAAUUGUAGGAGGCAAACUCUCUUUGCUUGUUUAGCCAUCAAUACAUGAGUGGGAGGCAUGACCCUUGUCCCUGCAAUUAUAAUAUUUAUCUAUGUAGAUUUAGAUGUGCCACAUUGCUCGCAUGGACAAUUAAUGAAUGAUUGCAGUGCUAGUAGAUCCAUGAACUUUGGCGGCCUUUUAAUUCACACCGACUUCUUGAAAUCUCAUUAUCAGUCACUGGCCAUGAGAAAAGAGUGUAUAGGCAUGCCCAAUACUUGCAGAAUGGCUGAGAGCAGUUUUGCUCAAGUUCUCUCGCGUGAGGGAGCAUGGUAGGAUAAUGUGGUCUCCAGUCUCUUUUUGUGAUACAAAUAUCUGCACAUUUGGUGUUGGGAACACUGUUUUAGUAUCUUGGUCAGAUUCUGCUGCUCCAUCCUUUAUAGCUAAAUCAUCAAAAAAUGAAUUUGCCAACCUGAGGAUAAGGGCGGGUAUGGUGCUGGGAUGGAGACAGCGCAAGUGUUCAAGUGUAUAAAAGCUGCAUCUCCCUCGAAAAAAUGCCCUGCGUGAUGGUAGCUUAAUAGCAUUACCUUUUUUUAACCUAUGAAGUACAUGGAGGCGGGAAAGGUCCGAGGUCCUUACUUGCCCAAGAGGGCGUCUACCUGCCUGGUAAACCAAGCAAGUCCCGACCACUCGACCAAGGUCAGUCAACGAAGGUCGAACUUGUUGACCCAGUUGUUCAUAGACCAAGGCGACCAAGCUUGUUGGCUUCUUCAUAUCGGCCUUUCCACGUUUUAUCAGACUUGAAAUUCAAUCAGAAUAACAUUCAACUUUUAACUUGUGUAGGAAGAUAUCAGGUGCUGACAAGUCAGCCAGUACACAGAAGUAUCAACACAGUUUGAUAUGAUACAAACCAUAUUCUAUAAAAUUUCAAUUUUUUUUAUAUUUUCAAAUUAUUUUAAAAUGCUAAUAUCAAAAAUAAUUUUUUUAAAAAUAAAAAAUAUAUUAUUUUAAUGUAUUUAUAGAAAAAAAUACUUUAAAAAAUAACUGUUAUCACACUUUCAAACACCAAAUAAUAAAACAGUGGCAAAAUUCAAUCAAAACUUGGGUUGAUCUGUUCAUCAGCAAAAACCACAAAAAAACAAUAUAAACCAAGGAAGUCAACUUAAAUGCAAUCUCAUGUGCAUUUUGCCAGGUAUGCAUCCCAUCCUUGAAGACGGUAUUCACGAGCUGCCUCUGCAGGAUCUGCUGCCUUUAAAAUCCCACGUCCCACGAUAAUGAUAUCACUGCCCCUAUCGAAGAUGACCUGAAACAUCAUUUAUCCCACAAUUAUUCCCCUUUCAGUAAGAGUUUAUUGCAAGUUUUAAUAAAGCUUGCAUAUUACAUACUUCACUAAUGCAUGCCAACGAAAUAGACAUAAUGAAAAUGCACCAAUCCAGCAAUUUAUGAAGGAAACAAAAAACAGUGAAACAGUCAUUUGAACAUACAGAAUAUGGUGUGUUAUACUGCUGGCCAAGCGCAUCGCCACCAAUGACCAUUUGAACUCCAGGUGUUGCCUGAAUAAAUGCUGGAUUUACUGGUGCACCUGGCCAUGAGGCUGGGUUUACCGAGAUGAAGCCAAUCACAAAAUCAGAAUGUUCUUCAGCAAUUUUUACUGCCGCAGCAGUGUAAUCUCCCUUAGCAAAGUUGCCUGCUGAACUCAUUUCUGCAAGCAGCAAGAGGCCCCUCCCACGAGGCAAACCCUAAAUAGAGUCCACGAGUAAGCAAGAGUUAGAUACUGCCAGGACUAAUUCAGUAAUAUGAUUCCAGAUAAAAGUUGUGUGUGAGGCAUGCCUUCAAUUUUAACCCGUCGACAAUUCCAGGACCAGAAAUAAUGUGACAAUUAACUAUAUCAGCCCAAUCCAAUAUAUGGAAGAUACCCCUGCAAAAAACAGGGCAAAGAAACCUCAGAUUACUGUAAAGAUACUAGCAGAAAGGAAACCAGAAAAGUCACAUAACACUGAUUCUCACCCUUCAUACUGCAUGGUCACUGUGUUACCGAUGUCAGCAAACUUACGAUCUUCAAAAAUUAAAAAAUUGUACUUAUCUGCAAUCUACAGGAUGCAAAAGCGCAAUGAGCUACAAGGAAAUAACAACUACUUUGCACCUAGAGGAAAACGGGAAUAGUAGAAAAAUGAUGAGGAAAAUUGUACUCUGGUAUUUACGGAUCAUCAACAACUUCAAAAGAUUCAUUCUCAUAAUUACCAAACAUAUGAAGAACAGUCAUCAAACAAGUCAAUUCAAACUGCCCCUUGGCUAACUAAGUUAUCAGUUGAAAACAUAAUGAAAUUUACAGCUCCGCUUCAUAACAUGCAAUUAUCAUUUUGCACCAUCCAAAAUGAUAAUUGGUGGUCAAAGGUUAACAUUGACAUAUCAUCAACUGGCAAAACAUAAUGUAGCAGAAUUUUCAUGCUUCCAGAGAAUCUUAAGAACUAAACCUCCAUGCAAAUAACUUUUAUUAUAACACCACAAAAACCUCAUCAAAGCAGCAAACUUCAAAAUACCACAGUUUAGAGACAUACCGCACGAAGUUUUGCACCAAAAUCAGGAUUGAAAUCAGGAAAAAUAUCGACAUGGGUUUUCAACAAACAUAUCUCAGGUCCAACCUACACUCAAAAAAUAAAAUAAAAUAUAUAGAAAACCAUGUCAGCCAAACAAAAACAAACAAACAUAGCACUCCAAUCAUCCCCAACCAACCCAAUACCAAAACACUCACUUUUUCAGCAAGCUCAAGCAAUUCCUUAGCAGUACCAACAUCAGCUGCAACACACAGAUUACUCUCCUUUUUAACCAUAACCUCAAACAACCUCUUCCCCAUCUCAUUCUUUGCUAACUUCGCUCUUUCCUCAAACCCAGAAACCUUAACCCUAACGCUCUUAUCCACCCCUUUAACAACACUAACCUUCCUAUUCUCCUCCAAGAACUUCAAAACCCCCUUCUCCACUUCCUCCUCCAAUUUCCCCUUCUCCCUCAAAACCCUAACCAUCUCACUCAACUUAAUAAUCGCAUGCAACUUAAUGCCAUUCUCCUCCAAAUUCUCCCUCCCUCCUUGUUCCCUGUCAAUCAAAACCACUGCAUCAGUCACCUUCAACCCCGCCGCCCUCAACGGCAAAGCCGUUUCAAGAACAGAAGUCCCACUCGUAACCAAAUCUUCAACUAUCAAACAAGUCUGGUCCUUUUGGAAAUUUCCCUCGAUAGACUUAGAGGUACCGUAAUCUUUCACUUCUUUCCUGCGCAUUAACAUGGGGAUGUCGUUCGAGACUGAUACGGUGGUGGCGAUUGGGAGAGCGGUGUAGGGGACGCCGCAUAUGAGGUCGAAAGUGGUAGUGGCAGGGAUGGAGGUGAUCAGGGUUUGGGAAAUGUGGCGGAGGAGGGAGGGGUAUGAAAUUAUGAGGCGGAGGUCGAUGUAGAUUGGAGAGGUUAUACCGGAUUUGAGCUUGAAGGAACCAAAUUUGACCGCGGAGAUCUCGUGGAGUUGGAGAAUUAGGGAUUCCAUGGAGGACAUUUUGCGGUGGUGGCAAUAACAGUAGUUGCGCCGAGAGAAGCGAGGGAAAGAGGGAGCAAGUGUCAGUGUUAGAGUGGAAACGGAAGGGUUUUUGGAAGGAAUGAAAGUUAUUGUCGUCCCUUUUCGUUUUUUCUUUUUACUUGUUGCUCCCUAAGUUGUUUCUUUAAUGGGAUAUUUUUAUGAUGAUUUUUUUUUUAAUGACAAGUAAUUAUUUAUUACAAUAUUUGUUUUUUUUUUUAUUUUUCCUUUUAGUAUCGUAGUAAUUGUUAUGGCCAUCAAUUUCUUUUUUAGGAAAUUAGCAAUAAGGGGCAAAACACUUUUUCUGCCCGAAGUUAAAGGUAAUUUUUUGCUGGGUUUUAAAUAAGUGUAUAUAAAUAAUAUGAGAGACAUAUAAUUAUGGUUCCAUCCAAUCUAAUAAUCUAUUAAUAUGAAAUACAAUCAUACUGUUCAACACAGGUGAGAUGAUGGUAUAUGGUUCAUAAAAUAUAUUUUCUUUUAUUUUUGAGUUGUAAUUCUAGAAUCAAUAUUUAAAAAAAUCUAUUAAAUCCUUCAUCAAUAUAAAAAGUAUAUUUUUAAAAUAAAAAAAACUUUGUUUUGAUUAACUUGUAAUUUGUUUCAAAAAUAUCCUAAGCAUCUGUUUGCGCGCGCGUAAGGGCAAUUUUUUAGAUAAAAAGAAAAAACAAAAGAAGAUAAUACUUAGACAAGUCAAUGUAGAAAAAAGGCCAUGAAACAGUUUACCCAGCCCGUUCGCCUUGUGCAAGGCCCAUUCUUCUUGAGUUACCCUGGGCCUCUGUUCUUACAGGCCCAAAACCAUCGGACCAACAAGACUAGUUGAGCCCUAAAAUAAUGACAACUCAUUUUUCCAUGCAGAAUUUAGUGAUCGAUUUGUUUGAUAUUGCAGUGGUUUAUAAUUCUUAAAAUGUUUAUAAUUUUUUUUAAUAUUAAUAUUUUCAGGUGUUUUUAAUAAUUUUAAUAUCAAUUAUAGCAACUUGAAAAAAUGCCUGAGCAUGCUCAUGCAAACAACUUUGUAAAGGCCUGAAGCUUCUUCCAUUCGAGGAUAAAAAACACGAGGAAGAAAUAGACCUUUAACCACUGUUAUAUGUGCAGACGAAUUUAUCACGAUAAUACCAAGGCUGCAUGAAUUAUUUUUCAACUCAAACAUUCUCCAUUUAACCUCAUGACAAAAUUCUACAACAAAAAAAACUUUCAUUUUAAGAAGAAAAAGCUCUCAAGUCGAAUGAUUAACUUACGAUUGAAAGGAAAAUUUUAAGGUGAUAGGGAUCCAAUAGAGAAAUAGUUUUGUUUGGGUAUCAAAUUUACAAAUACGUGGUAAUCUAGGGAUAGAUAUGUAUUUUGAUUAAAUAUUCACAGCCUCCCUUUGCAACAUAAAAUUGCAUUGGCGGGGGACUUUUUGUCUCGUGUUCUGUGGUUUCUCCUUGUCCGUGGACUUGUAAUCCCUGCGAAGACCCACAGAUCAAGGCAAAACUUUUCGAGUCAACAGAGCGGUGUGGCAUCCAUUGUUUCAUGCUCAUCUUCCAUCAUGCAUGCGCCAGGUUCUAACAUUGAUUUUCUUCUUAAAUCCAUUUUCAUACGUGGGUUCUGUGGAUCAUUGCACUUGGUUUUGUUACUCGCUUUAUCUGUCUCAUAUGUGUGCAAGAAACUGAGCAGGAGGGGUGAUGGGGAGGGCUCUAAAGAGAUGUUAAAGACAAAGAGAAGGUUUAUGUGGUAUAAACAGACUUUGUUCUGUUGUUUGGGUGUCUCAGUGUUUAAUUUCAUCUCGUGUUUGUUGAGCUACUUUUAUCUGUAUGGAAAUGUCCGGUCUGAUGGUGAAGCAAUGACCCUUUUGGAUUUGGGGCUCAGAACACUCUCUUGGGGUGCACUUGUUGUUUACUUGCAUACCCAAUUCUUUAACUCAGGUGAAAAGAUGUUCCCUCUGUUAUUGAGAGUUUGGUGGGGUUUCUAUUUGGCUAUUUCUUGUUAUUGCUUUUUUGUAGAUGUUUUCCUUCAUCACAAACAUGUGUCUUUGGAGAUAGAGUGGUAUUUAGUGUCUGAUGUGGUCUCUGUGUUUACUGGAUUGUUUCUUUGUUAUGUUGGGUUUUUGAGAAGUGAUAUUCAAGAUGUACUUGAAGAACCCCUUUUGAAUGGUGAUUCUAGCUCGAUUAAUAAUUUGGAGAACAGGGGGGCAGAUACGGUGACUCCUUUUGGAAACGCUGGUCUUUUCAGUAUUCUAACCUUUUCUUGGAUGAAUUCUUUAAUUGCUGCUGGCAACAAGAAAACUUUAGACCUUGAAGAUGUUCCUCAACUUCACGGUGUCGAUAGUGUGGUUGGAGCUUUUCCAGUUUUUAAAAAUAAGCUUGAGUCGGAUUGUGGUAGAGUUACAAGGUUCAAGUUCGCAAAAGCUUUGUUCCUGUUAGUCUGGAAAGAAAUUUUAUGGACAGCUUUAUUGGCGUUGAUUGACACGUUAGGUUCUUAUGUUGGUCCCUACCUUAUCGAUGUUUUUGUUCAAUGCCUUGAUGGGCGAGGAGAAUUCAAGAAUCAAGGUUACAUUUUGGCUUCCGCCUUUGUGGUUGCAAAGCUUGUUGAGUGCCUCGCACAGAAGCAUUUGCGCUUUAGGUUGCAGCAAAUUGGAACAAGGCUCCGUGCAGUAACAGCCACGAUGAUUUACAACAAAAGCUUGACCAUUUCCUGUCAUUCGAAGCAAGGGCAUUCGAGUGGACAAAUAAUCAAUAUUAUGACUAUUGAUGCUAAUAGACUUGGCAUCUUUAGUUGGUACAUGCACGAUCCAUGGUUGGUCAUCUUGCAAGUUUGUUUGGCCUUGCUGAUACUGUACAGAAAUUUGGGACUCGGGUCAGUUGCUGGCUUUGUUGCGACAGUAAUUGUCAUGUCGUUAAAUUAUCCUUUCGGGAGAUUGGAGGAGAAGUUUCAAGACAAGUUAAUGGAAUCAAAAGAUAAACGAAUGAAGGCAACCACGGAGAUUUUGAGAAAUAUGAGAAUUCUCAAGCUUCAGGGAUGGGAAAUGAAGUUUUUGUCUAAGAUUCUUGAACUCAGGAAAGUAGAGACACGGUGGCUGAAAAAAUACUUGUAUACUUCAGUAGUGAUCACUGUUGUCGCCUGGGUCACUCCCACUGUUGUGGCUGUGGCCACCUUUGGUACUUGCAUGCUUAUGGGAGUCCCGCUUGACUCAGGGAAGGUUUUAUCUGCACUUGCAACAUUCGAGAUUCUUCAAUCCCCAAUCUAUAACCUUCCCAAUACAGUUUCUAUGCUAAUUCAGACAAAGGUUUCUCUCGACAGAAUUGCAUCUUUUCUUUGCCUCGAUGACUUGCAGCCUGAUGCUAUAGAGAAGCUUCCAGUAGGCAGUUCUGAUACAGCAAUUGAGAUUGUUGAUGGAAAUUUCUCUUGGGAUUUGUCUUCACCCAGUGUAACAUUGAAAGAUAUAAACUUCAAAGUGUUCAAUGGUAUGAAGGUAGCUGUAUGUGGUACUGUUGGAUCAGGCAAGUCGAGCUUGCUUUCCUCCAUUUUGGGAGAAUUAACCAAGAUCUCAGGGACACUCAAGUUGUGUGGGACAAAGGCGUAUGUUGCUCAGUCACCUUGGAUACAGAGUGGUACGAUAGAAGAGAACAUAUUGUUUGGUAAGGAGAUGGACAAAGAAAGGUACGAUAAGGUACUUGAAGCAUGUUCCCUGAAGAAGGACCUGGAAAUCCUCUCUUUCGGUGAUCAAACAGGUAUUGGCGAGAGGGGUAUCAACUUGAGUGGUGGACAGAAGCAAAGAAUACAGAUAGCACGUGCUCUCUACCAAGAUGCCGAAAUCUAUCUAUUUGAUGACCCUUUCAGUGCCGUGGAUGCUCAUACUGGAUCUCAUUUGUUUAAAGUAAACUAUCCCUUCUUCCUUGAAACAGCUUGCAGUGGAUGCUAACUUCUGCUUUCGAUUUCUGUAGAAAAAAUUACUAGUCCAGAUAAAAGCACCACCCUUUGUUUUAAUUUUCCUUUUAGUUGCUUCCUCUUUUAUUCUUCUUUUCAUGCCUAAUUAAAAAAAAAAAAAAACAAUUGGCAUCUCUCUUACAAUAUACUUGUUCGAUUUUGCAUGACAGGAAGUUUUGCUUGGUCUUUUAAGUUCAAAAACUGUUAUUUAUGUUACUCAUCAGGUUGAGUUCUUAUCCGCUGCUGAUCUAAUCUUGGUGAGUAAUAUGCAUUUGUUUUCUUCAUUGCUUGUGGGAUUAUCAUGUCUCGUAUUGUUUCAUUUGUUUCAACUGUACCUUCUGGUUAGGUCAUGAAAGAUGGAAGGAUUGCGCAGGCUGGGAAGUAUGACGGCAUUCUCAAUUCAGGAUCUGAUUUUAAGGUACUUGUAUGUGCACAUAAGGCAGCUUUAUCAGUUCUUGAUUCCAGACAGGCAGGACCAGUUUCCGAAAAUGAAAGUGUCAGAGACAACAAUGGAGGCGAGAACAGUACUGACGGGAUUGUACAUAACGAAGGAAAUAAAGAUUCACAAAUUGAUAAAGCAGAUGAGGUAGCUGAGCCACAAGCACAACUCAUUCAAGAAGAAGAGAGAGAGAAAGGUAGUGUUGGGUUUCAAAUCUAUUGGAAAUAUAUCACAACAGCAUACGGAGGGGCUCUGGUGCCCUUUAUAUUACUGGCACAACUUCUCUUUCAGAUCCUUCAAAUUGGUAGCACUUAUUGGAUGGCAUGGGCAACUCCUGUGUCAAAGGAUGUGAAACCUGUUGUUAGUGGAUCUAGACUGUUAAUCGUCUAUGUAUCUCUGGUUAUUGGAAGUUCUUUUGGCAUCCUGGUUCGAGCCAUGCUUCUUGUAACAGCAGGGUACAAAACUGCAACUCUACUAUUCAACAAAUUGCAUCUGUGCAUUUUUCGUGCUCCCAUGUCCUUUUUUGACGCGACCCCUAGUGGACGAAUCAUUAACAGAGUAAGCAAUUUCAGUGUGUCUUGUGCUCUUUAUAUAAGUGAUUAGAAUUAAUUAGGGGAGAGUACCAUGUUCAGUAUUUUGACCUCAUUGAUCUAUUUCCUCUCAUGUAGGCUUCUACCGAUCAAAGUGCAAUAGAGAUGGAAAUUCCAUAUAUAGUUGGGGAACUUGCCAUCCAAGCAAUCACGCUUCUGGGAAUUAUAGCAGUGAUGUCUCAAGUGGCAUGGCAAGUUUUUAUGGUUUCCAUCCCUGUGAUUGCUGCCUGUGUCUGGUAUCAGGUACUCCUUGUGGUUUCUUAAAAUCUCAUUUUGUUUUUCGAGCUCUACUUCAGUGAACAAAAUCUAAUAAUAUCAUUAGAUCUCCUGAUGCUUCUUAUACUUUCUUCAUUUGUCUCUUAAUUAGCGUUUCUUUUCCCAAGAUGUUGAGCUUGCAAGAAAAUUUUAAAAAUAGUGUCAAUGGCAUGCAAUUAGAUGCAGCCCCUGUUUCAUUAUGACAAGUAGCAUAUAUUAUGAUUUAGCAUUUAGAAAGAGAGGAGUUCUAACAUAUUUAUUGAUGCCUGCAGCAAUAUUACAUUCCCGCAGCAAGAGAGCUUUCACGGUUGAUUGGAGUAUGCAACGCUCCAGUUAUCCAAAAUUUUACAGAAACAAUUUCAGGAGCAACAACGAUCAGGAGCUUUGAUCAAGAAUCAAGAUUCCAAGAAAUAAAUAUGAAACUAACAGAUGCAUAUUCUCGGCCCAAAUUUCAUAAUUCUGCUGCAAUGCAAUGGCUUUGCUUCCGAAUGGAUAUGUUCAGUUCUAUUACGUUUGCUUUCUGUCUGUUUCUUUUAGUCUCUUUUCCAGAAAGAAUUAAUCCAGGUUGGCAGUUCUUGUCUUGCACCUGUUCUCUAUUUCCCUUCCUGUUGUCAACCAAUGAGUGAACCUGAAAUACACGUUUUUCUUUUCUUUUCCAUAGCCAUUGCAGGCUUAGCUGUUACAUAUGCGCUUGGCCUACACAUGGCACAAUUUGUGCUGAUAUGGUGUUUCUGCAAUUGCGAGAACAAACUCAUAUCAGUAGAGAGAAUUCUUCAGUACAUUUCUAUUCCUGCCGAGCCUCCUCUUGUAAUUGAAGCGAACAGGCCUGACCAUUCUUGGCCAUCACAAGGUGAAGUUGACAUCGAUAAUCUGCAGGUAAUUUUGUUCUGUUUAUUGCUCCAACUGGCUUGUAUUAUUUUUAUGUUACUAAUGGUUGGAUAUGAUGCAGGUUCGAUAUGCCCCACACAUGCCACUUGUGCUGCGUGGUCUCUCAUGCACUUUCCCAGGAGGGAAGAAAACUGGUAUUGUUGGGAGAACAGGCAGUGGUAAAUCUACUCUCAUACAGGCUCUUUUCCGAACUGUUGAACCUGCAGCUGGUCAGAUUAUGAUUGACAGCAUUGAUAUCUCAUUGAUUGGCCUGCAUGAUUUAAGGUCAAGACUGAGCAUUAUUCCCCAGGAUCCAACCAUGUUCGAAGGGACUGUUAGAAGUAAUCUGGACCCACUUGAAGAGUACACAGAUGAACAGAUCUGGGAGGUGUGUUGUCUCUAUUGUGCUAGCUCCAUGAGGGGCGUGUCGAUGCUGUUAUACACUUGCCUGUGUGUUUCUUCAUAGAAUUGAUGUUCAGUAUUUCAAGGAUUGGUGAUUGAAACAUAGCACAAAUCUAACUUAAAUUUGUUAUGAUCCCAGGUUCUGGAUAAGUGCCAACUUGGAGAUGAAGUUAGGAAAAAGGAAAGGAAGCUAGAUUCCACAGGUUUGUCUUUCUCACCAAUCACCGCUACCUAAUUUUUGUGCACAUCUUUUUAAAUGGUCAUCCUGGAUGGUGCUGCAGUUAUCGAGAAUGGGGAGAACUGGAGUAUGGGCCAGAGGCAACUAGUCUGUCUAGGGCGUGUGCUACUCAAGAAAAGUAAGGUCUUGGUUCUUGAUGAAGCUACUGCCUCAGUUGACACAGCCACUGAUAAUCUUAUUCAGCAAACGCUCAGGCAGCACUUCUCCGACUGUACAGUGAUAACCAUUGCACAUCGAAUAACCUCUGUUCUUGACAGUGACAUGGUUUUGCUUCUAAGCCAUGGUGAGUAUGGAAACUUGAUGUAGCAUUGCCUGUAAAUGAUAUGAAUCCUCAAUUUUCUCAAGUAUUUGCAACCAUGUCUCAGGUCUCAUUGAGGAAUAUGAUUCUCCAACAAGGUUGUUAGAGAACAAGUCAUCGUCGUUCUCCCAACUUGUAGCAGAGUACACAGUGAGGUCAAAUACCAGAUUCGAGAAAUCAGCUGGAAUAAAUUGAUGGGCUUCCACACCAUGUAAUUGUAUUCUGCAAAAAACAGUAUAGCGAUGGAUGUUGUAGCAUGCUAUGAUGGAGAUAAUGGCCUGAUGUCUCCUUAAAGUGGAAAAACUUUACGCCAUUAACGCUUCUGUAUCAGUGAUCCACCAUUAAAGCAUAAAUGGAUGGUACUACUUAAAAAUAAUAAAUUAUAAUGUAUCCCAAUAGAAACUAAAUUUAAGUCACCAGGGUCCUGAAAGUUAUUAAAUCAUGAACAGUUUCCAAAUCAAUUUAAAAUCAUAUCAUUUUAAUUUUUUUAAAAUUUGUUUUUUUUUUUAUAAAUCAAAUCAAGUUUCACUUUAACAAUUGAUCUACAAAUCAUUCAAGUUUACUUCUAUUUGAUUAUUUUAAAAUUUAAUUUACAGAUGUAUAUAUAUCUUCAAUCCAGUUUGCUUUUCAAUCAAAAUUAAAUCUUUUAUUCAUAUGAUUUUAGAAGCCAUCAUCAACAUUUACAUGUUGUCUUCAAGAAAAACUCAAUAAAUUCAUCUACAUGAUGAUUUUGAAAUUUGAUUUUUUUUUAAAAACAUACUUUCUUAACCAUUAAGCCAAAUCAAACAUUAGAUUUAGAUACUAACAUGAUAAAUUAGUAUAAGAGUAUUCUAAUAUCAAACUAAUUUAAUAAUAAAAGAAAAGGUUAGGCAUGAAAGCUUUAAAAUUCAGAGCCUUGACCUCUUCCAUCCUUGGAGACUGGGAUGGAAACCGUGGAUGCGUGUGUGUGAGUGUGGAGAAGGGACAUUGCCCGACCUCACUGUGUUCUAUUUUUAAAUUUGAUUUUUUUAUUUUAAAUUAUUUUUUUCUAUUUUAGGUAAUUUUAAUUUGAUAGUAUAAAAAUAUUUUUUUAAAUAAAAAAUAUUUUUUUAAAAAUAAAAUUAAAAUAAGUUUCAAAAUGAGUACCGAGCAUAUGGAAAAUGAGCCAACGUGGAUGCAUUAUCCAAGUCGACGCUCCACUUGUCCAAGAGGAUAUCAAUAAAUAUUUCUUUCAUUACCUUCUCUCGUGACGAUGAGAGAUCACAUGAAUGAGUGUUUGGUAUUGUGGUAGUUGUUGUGGUUGUGGUUUAAAAAAAAUUAUUUUAUAAAAAGUACUUUUAAUUGAGGUUGGUUUGAAAAAAUAGGUGUUUGGUUAAAACUGUGGUUCAAAUUGAAGUUGAAAAAAAAUAGUUUAAUAUGUUUGGUUGAAAAUGCUUUUAAAAUUGAGGUUAUAAAAUAAUUUUAAGAAAUAUAUAUUAAUUGAUUGUUUUAAAUUUAAAUAUUGUAGAUUUAAUUACUCCUAUUACAUCAUAUAAUAAAUAAUACUUAUAUAAAAUAUUUUUUAUUAUUCCAUUAAACUAUGUAUAAUUCCAUUACGUAUAAAAUUCAUCCGAUAAAAACUACAGUUUUCAUAAUUUUUUGAGCGUGUAAUAAAAUUAGAUAAAAUAUUAUCAGAUAUAAAAUUGAUAUUAUAAUACGAGUGAAUUUAAUUUACUCUAUAGACUAUACUACUUUUUCAAGAAAAAAAUAUUGUUCACAUCACAAUGCGAAUGAAUUUAAUUCACUCUAAAUUAGUUUUUUUUAAAAAAAUUAAUAAAAUUAACACACUGCAGGAAAGAAAGAAAGAAAAAAAGAAAAAAAACUGGACGAACAAUUCAUUAUUUUUUAAAGUGAACAGUGUAAUUAUGUACAUUGUUCACGCUAAUUGCACUGUUCACUGAACAGUGCAAUUAGCUGCACAGUGCGUGAAAAAGCAUGAUUUUAUUGCUUUUCAUUAACUGCGUUUUGGAUGUAAAAUUUACGUGGGACCCAUGUACAGUAAAUUACUUUUUUUCAUUACCAAACGGCUGCAAACUGCGUUUUAAUUAAAACGCAGCCGCAACCGCAGAGCCAAACGGGCUCUAAAAAUUAUAAGCCUCUCCGAUUUCUUCAAGUAAAAAAAAAAAAAAAUAAGUUUUUUCUUUUAAAAAAAUACACGAAAAUAAACGGGAUCUUAGUUUGUACGAAGGUCUGAAUUUUAAAUUUUUAAGACUAUUUCAUUGAAUCUUAAUUUAUUGAGUAGUUUAACAAUUACGGACAUGAGUGAUGAACGAUGUGCAAUACACGAGCAAGUAAGAGCGCGUGGGACCAGGAUUUAAGUUUUGUCUGGUAAGUUUAACCAAUGGACGGAGAUUACAACAUCCUCAUAAAUAAAUCUGGUUGGUUGACUUUAUAUUCCAUGUGCUGCAAAUAAUAGAAAAAAAAAUGAAAAGACUGACACAAUAAAAUACAAUCAUCAUAUGGUAGAUUCUUCUAAUCAUAUCCAGUUCAUUUCAACUUUAUGCUCUGAAUCUUUGCUUUGUUGUGUUUCCUUUUAAUAAUUGUUUCUUAAAUUAUCCAAACUUGCAUUUUUUGGAAAAAUUUUUUGCAUUGUUUUGGCCAGCUAAUCCAUUAACCACCACUUCUAUCAAGGCGAUGCCUUGUUUUUCCAAAUUUUCAUUGCCAUCUGGUUUCUUUGUCGAUUUCGUAAGAACCCUUUUUGAAUUCUUGCUUUUAGGAUGUUUUUCUAUUGAUUAUUUCAAAUUCUUUUUUACAUAUUAACAUAUGCCAACUUGUUUGAUGCAGAGAAGAAGCUGAUCAAGGCCCUCCUUUUCUUCUUUUUCGUUGAGAUUCCUUUAAUAUGUAAGAACCCUUUUGAUUCCUGUUGUUUUUUUCAAUUAUUGAUUCUUGUGAUCUAAUCUUGUUUGAAUUUUAGCUUUCUUGGAUUUAGAAUAGUUUAUGUUUAUGAGCAGUUGAUUGCUUAUUGAUUGAUAUCCAUAUCAUUUGACACAGAAAAGGGGAUUUUCUUUGGCUAUGAUGAGAUUAUAGCAGCGAUUCAUGUAAUUUCUGUUUCCAUUGUUUGGAGGAUGGAGACGCCUAUCAGUCACAAGAAUUCUGAAGGUAAUCUGUGUCCUGUGAAAAUCUUGUGCAUAAAUUUAUGGCGAACAUGUUUUGUUCUCUUCCCCUUUUCUUUCUUUUUGUUGACAUUUUCUAUGGUUCAUUUUCUAAAUGAAAAACGACCAAACAUCAUCUCAGUUGCUGUCAAAUGAUUCUAACAAGAUAUGAUUUCAAUACUCUUUUGCCAUAGGAAAGUAAAUGACUUCAGAUUUUGAUAGAGAUGCAAUGUGUCUUUGCUUUUAUUCAACUUUUUUGCCAAUUGCAUAGAUGGGCUCUCUCUUUUCCCUUGAUCGUCUGGUAGAAUCAAGCUCAUGGUCAACUGGGGUUAGAAAUUACAAGCAUGCUGUACCACUUACAAGAUUUAUAGAUAUUGACAUAGUCGAUUUAUAGUUUGAGUGUUGAGUAUUAUGUUUUAUUGGUUGCCAGAAAGUAACUGAUAUCUUUCUCAAGCACUAUCGAAGUCUGUUCACGAUUUUUGUUGUUGUUCUUAACUAAUUGUCUCCGUUCACUUCUCUUUGAUUCCAAUUUGUAUUAUGCUUUCAUCUGCAGUGCAGACUACUGUAAGUUUAUUUCUUUUCUUAGGUUACCUUCCCCAUUAUUAUCAGCCUCCAACCCUUUAACAACCAGAUUUAAAUCUUUUCUCUCUAAGUUGCAUGGAUUAAUCAGUCAUAUAUUAUAUCUUCUUCUAGAUCUCAUGAUAUAUAUGAUAACCUCUCUUCUUCAAACUUGUCUUAUCCCCUAAUUUGUUCAAGGGACGAAAUCUCUAUAUUUGUACUUGCAUGGUGUUGAGAGUCAAGCAUGGCUGUACUCGGGAAAAGUCCUUUUUCGAUGGAUCUUUUCUUAAUAGUUUUCUGGUUCUCAGAACUUGAGAACUGUGAAAUGUGAUAUUUGCUACGAUGUUCAUGCAGUUAAUGACUUUGCUAAUACAUGUUGUGCUUUGAUUUUUAAUAUGGAUUUGUUAUGAUCUAUUCCAUGAAGAAAAGACCUACAGAAAUGAUUGCGUCCUGAUAGUUCCCAACCCUAUAAUCUUCCAUGAUUGUCCGAUAAGUGAUUGGCUAUUUGGAUUUUUAGGUUUGGUUCCUUGCCUACACGAUCUCUUACAUUCAGAAGAACAGAGUUGCAGCAGCUGUAAAGAGGAACAAAAAUUUUCUGGUAUCUUGAGCCUUAAUCUUUCAAUUUUUUGAUUGAAAAUCUUCCUUAUUCUAAUGGUUCAUCACCCUGCAAAAUGGAAGUUGAGGUAUAGUGAAGGCAUAAACAAACUCAAAAUCCAGUAUGAGUGAUUUAUUUGUAACAAAACUCUGUUCUCAAGUUAUGCACUAAUUUUACUUUAGGGAUAUGAUCUAAUAAGAGGAUCUGUUUUCUAUUUUUUCUACUGUUCUCUUCUGUAUUUCCUAUUUAGGUUUAUAAAGACCUUCAUAAAAAUUAUUGCAUUCUGGUUGUUCCCAACAUUAUAAUCUUCCAUGAUGAUCUGAUGUUUGAUUAAACAUAUUGCAUUUUAGGAUCGCUUCCUUGUCCAGAUGAUCUCUUACAUUCAAACAAACAAAGUGACAGCAAUGGAAGAGAUCGACACAAAUCUACUGGUAUCUGGAGCUUUAAUCAUUCAACUUUUUAUUUGAAAAUCUUUGUUAUUCCAAUAGCUUCCAACUCUGCAGAAUAGAAGUUGAAAUAUAUUGCAAAGGCUUAAACAAACUCGAAGUUCUCUUACUAUAUAAUUUAUCUCUUGCAAAAUUCAGCUCUCAAGGUUCUGCAAUAUAUUGACCUUUCAUGCAGGGAUAUGAUCCAUUAAGAGGACUCAUUUUCUGAUAUUUGUACUAUUAUCUUCUUUUUUCACACUUAGGUUCAUAAAGACCUGCACAAAAUGAUUGCAUUCUCAUCAUUCCCAAUGUUAUAAUCUUUCUCGAUGAUCUGAUAUUUGAUUAAAUGUACUGCAUUUUCUUUAGGAUCGGCUUCUUGGCUUGAUAAUCUUUUAAAUUCAGAUGAACAAAGUUGCAGCAGCAAAAAAGAUCAACGGAAACAUUCUGGUAUCUUGAGUUUUAAUCUUUGAAUUUUUUGUUUGAGUUUAUUUGUUAUUCCAAUAGCUCAUCACUUUGCAGAAUAUAAGUUGAAAUUUUCUAUGAUUUAUCUCUUACACAAUGUUGUUCUCAUGGUUAUGUCAAUAUAUUGACCUUACAUGCAGGGAUAUGUCUAUCAAGAGGACUCGUUUUCUAUUUUUCUACAAUUAUCCUCUUUUCCCCCGCUAUUUAUGUUUAUAAAGACCCGCACAAAAUAAUUGCAUCCUGGUCAUUCCUGACAUUAUAGUCUUCCAUGAUGAUCUGAUAAUUGAUUAAAUGCAUUGCACUGUUAGGAUCGGCUCCUUGUCUAGAUGAUCUCUUACAUUCUGGCAGAAGAAGUUGCCGCGGCAGUAGAGAUCCACAGAAAUCUUCUGGUAUCUUGAGCUUUAAUCUAUGAACCUUUUUGUUUGAAACUCUUUGUGAUUCCAACAGCUCAUCGUUCUAAAAAAUAUUAGUUGAAGUAUAUUACUAAGUCAUUAACAGACUCAAAAUUCUUUCACUAUGUGAUUUAUGUCUAACAAAAUUUGGUUCCCAGGGUUAUGCAAUUUAGCUUUACAUGCAGGGAUAUGAUGUGCUAAGCGGACUAGUUUCCUAUUUAGGUUUAUAAAAGAGAGGCAAUAGUGAUAUACUCUUAUAUUGAAAUGAAAUUAUGAAUUUCAUGUAAGAAAGUCAUAUAUUUUAUCUUUCUGUUCAUUAAUCAGGUCCACAAAAAAGACUGGAGCAAUUGCUAAGUCAAUCAGGGAACAAGAUUUGUGCUGAUUGUGGAUCUCCAGAUCCAAAAUGGGUGUAAGUUGUUAAGACUGAACCUGAUGCAUUUCCAUAUACUUUUAUUCACCUAAUGUACAGUUUAUGAUAAUAAAUGCGGUACUGUUUUUCACGCAUGUAACUGUGUUGUGUCAUGCCCCAUUUUCUUUUUAUUAGCACAGAAUUAUACUCUUUCAAUUCACUCUCUGUUAAUUGUAACUGUAUAUCAAAAUGUAAUAGUUGGAGUAUGAAUGCCUAGUGAAAAAUACUUGAAUAUCAGAACAUAGUCUUAUAGCAUUAGAAUCAGUGUCAAAUAUUGUUCCUGCAAAUGAAUGGAUAAUGCAAAGGAAAUUGCAGAUUUAGCACACACAUAUACUUGAAAUCAUUAUCUCGACAGCAAAAUAUGCUUUUACUCUUAUCACUGUUUUGGUCACAAUUUCACAUAAAAGCAAGGGAUAUUUGUCUUUUCGGUUAGUACCAAAACUGCACUUUGUGCCACCCAUUUACAACUGCAGCAGAUACAAUUUCUUUUCCUCAACUCCUGAUAACUGUGUUUCUUGUGCUUGGUUAUCUAUUUUCCUUUUGACUGAAUCAUUUUUGGCUGUCAGGUCAAUAAGUUUUGGAGUUUUUAUUUGUAUCAAGUGUUCAGGCGUUCAUAGAAGCCUCGGGGUGCAUCUAACGAAGGUGCAGUUUUGAAACUUGACUCGUUGGCCUUGUCUGUAAAAGCAAAAUUUUAGAACUUUAUACUGUUAGAUCUUGUACUCUCGUGAUUUAGUACACAGAGGCAUGUGAAAUUUAAUUCGAGGAGAAAUCACAGCUUUUUGAUAAUGAGCUUUUCUGAUGCGAUGUUAACAAAAACUAACAUUUUCAACACAGCUACUUGGUGCUGUCUAUGUCUCCCAUAUUGGUUUGUUUUGCUGAUGCUAUAUCUUUUUCUAUUUCUGUCAGGUUCUAUCAAUCAAAUUAGAUGAAUGGACAGAUGAACAAGUGAACACUCUGAUAGAUUUGGGUGGCAAUACUGCUGCAAACAAGAAAUAUGAAGCUUUUAUUCCUGAUGAUUAUCAAAAACCAAAAUCAGAUGCCUCAAUAGAGGAGCGAUCUGAUUUUAUUAGGUAAUGUCAGUACCACACUGAUCAUAUCUUUAUAAAAAAAACACAGGGUGUUCUAAAUCAGAUAUUUACUUUCUGAAUACCCAGGAGAAAAUAUGAGCAGAAGCAAUUUUCAAACUGUGAUGGACACAUGUCCUGCCCAUUUCCGGGUCCUAGAAGUACAUUAUCCUCUAGUUGUUCAAGUCAUUGUUCACCCCAAGAUAAGAAACAGUAUGAAAAACAAGCAACCAGGCAUCGUAUCGGGAAUGCAUUUCGUAACAGCUGGGGAAGAAAAGACACCGAGUACAAGAACAAUAAAAAGAGCAACUCUUUGGUAAUGAAUUCCAAUUUCAUUAAUGUAUUUAUAUUAUGUUGAGGAUUAUGAGCUCACCUUUUCUUUUUGACGCAAGCUAGAAUGAGAUCUGUUACAAAUAUACUAGUCUGAAAUAACUUGAUCACAAGCCAUCAUUAUGCAUGGUUUGCCGUGGAUGGAAAAAUGUGAUGCAUCCUAUCUUGAAAUUUCAGUGAAACUUGCUGAUUCUAUUGCUUAAAUGUUCUGUUUAUAGGCAGCUAUGGUUGAAUUUGUUGGAUUAAUCAAGGUUAAUGUAGUCAAAGGAACCAACCUAGCUGUCCGGGAUGUGUUGACUAGUGACCCAUAUGUUGUCCUUACAUUGGGCCAGCAAGUGAGACUCUCCUCCCUUUAAUUUUGGCCUCAUUGGCAUUACAACUCUGUUGAUUUUCAAUGGUCUGUGGUGCAACAAACCUGUUAACAAUGCUGUUUUUUUUUUAAUUGUUGUUGCAGUCAGUGAGGACUCGCGUCAUAAAGAACAAUUUGAAUCCAAUCUGGAAUGAAAGUCUAAUGUUGUCAAUUCCAGAACAGAUUCCUCCUCUAAAAGUGGUAACUUGUUUCAAAUUUUUAUGGUGUGGAAUUAACACAAAUUCAAAAAUCAUAAAUUCGAUCAUCAUGAUUCAUGACACUUGCCACUUCUGAUAGAGAUAUUAAUCAUUUCUUUUCUUAAUUUUUUAUUCCUAUUUGUAAUUUUAUACCAAAAUAUAUCAAUCAUAUUAGCAAGCUCUUCUUUUUGGUCUUUGGUUUUGGAUGCUUAAAAUUCCAGGUGGCUGUAUGCAGCUUGUUUACGACAAGGAUAAAUUCACAACUGAUGACUUCAUGGGUGAGGCUGAGAUAGACAUUCAACCACUUGUUUCUGCUGCCAAAGCUUAUGAGAAUUCAACCAUCACUGAGUCGAUGCAGCUUGGUAAAUGGAUAGCAGGCCAGGAUAACACCCUUGUUAAAGAUGGCAUUAUCUCACUAGCAGACGGAAAGGUAAAACAAGAAAUCAGUCUCAAGCUAAAGAACGUUGAGAGAGGGGUGCUGGAGAUUGAGCUUGAAUGUGUUCCUCUCACUCAAUAGUUACAUAGAGAGUACGAAACUACAAACAUUGUGAUGCCAUAUUUUAAACCGGUUUUGAGUGGUGAACUCGCAAUGAAAAAACCUUUUAACCUGCCGUUGUUGUAAUAAGCUGUUUUAGCCAUUGUUUCAUUACGAAUAUACAGGGAUUGUUAGGAUUUUCAUUAACGAAUUGUAUAUAGUUUGUUUGCUUUAAUCAAUGAGCACUCAAACAAAGUAGUCAGGCUGGGUAUCCUCUAUUCUGAUUCCAAACUUGUUGUUAGAUAGUAAUAUAAAAUCAUUCAUGGGGCUUUACCAACAACUCAAGUUUUUGAGUUGGGAUGGUUUUUUGAAUCAAAACUUUAAUAACUAAACGGUCAGUAGUUCGAACCAAUUCUUGUUUGGUUAAUUAAAAAAUAGUCUUUCUGCAGCUUUCCUGAUCAUAGAGUAGUGUUUACGAAAUGCUAUUUUGUUGUGCAACAAUCACUCUUCUGAGGGAACAGAAAUCCUUUUCAACAAAACUAGUUGUUGAGGAAAUGCAUAAUGACAGGAAAAUCUGAAGAAAUAUGAAGGCUUGAAAAUCAAAUGACAGGUCAAGAAACUAACAGGCUCCAUGGUUUUAUAGGCCUCCAGGAAGGGAAUUCAAACCUUGAGAAGAAAAUGGAACAACUCGAAUGAGCUGAAUGAUUUCAUUUAUCUGGAUGUGCUUUGUUAGUGAAACUCAUAUUUAUUUGCAGUUUUAUUUUCUGGAAAUAGUUCAUGUUCUUGUUUUGCGCUGAAAUUUCCUGAAAGCUCCUAUCAGUGCCAAGAAAUCAGAUAGCUAGUUGGAGUGUGAGGUGGGAUUCCAAGUCUUAAAACACCAUGAUCCCGAGACACAAGAUGGUUUUUCUCGUUACUUAGACUAGUUUCGAUGGUAGCUGUCAGGUGGGAUUCCAAGUCUUAAAACACCAUGAUCCCGAGACACAAGAUGGUUUUUCUCGUUACUUCGACUAGUUUCGAUGGUAGCUGUCAGAUUCGGCUACGAGCCGAAUCAUCAUCAUCAAGUUUGACUGGUUCAAUGUCCAAAACAAUCUAAAAACAAACUCAGCCCUGGUCAAGCAAGUUUCAUGUCAGCAGAUCACCAGGCUUGUCCGGGUUCAGUUAUUAUAAUUUCCAUAUGGUACGAAAUUGAUGUGGAAACAAAUUCUCAAUAGUUUCGAAAUGAAUUUUACCGUCUACAAAUUCAGAUAAUAGGUACAUGGAAUGAGAAAUUCAAUCACCGUGUUUUUCUACAUGAUAUGGAUGCCUCCACCAUAUUGCCACGGUCUCAUGUCAAAUUUGCUUUUUUCUACAGGUUUUUGAAUGACAUUAUUCCUAACACUACUUGUUAAAUUCCUUAAAAACAUAAACCAUAAAACUUAGACUUGAGUUAGACUUGAUCCGAAGCUUGAAUUGCAUUUUUACCUGGAUUAACUCAAUAAUUGUUUUUUUAUAAAAAAACAUCAUUUUAAAGAAAAAAAAAAUCUGAUCUUUUUCACUUACUCAUAUCGCGUUGGGCUGCGUCUUAUAACAAUGGCUAAACCUGUCCCUGGAUAGAGACGAUCAGGUAUGUUUUUAGAUUAUCCACAACUGCAUGCCCCAUAGCUACCCUAUUUGUUUGAUAAAUGGCUGCAACCAUGAUAGGAUUUGGAUGGAUCAUGUCAGUUUAUCUGCAAGCACCAACUCAUUCGAGUUGUCAUCCUGAAACUGAUCAUUUUCAUUCGAUGCAAGCACCAACAGAAAACAUCUCAAGCUGUAGCAUAUAAAUUCACAGUGGGACAGAAAUAAUUCAAGAUAAGAUCAUCGAUGCAUUCACUCUUGUUAUUCUACCAAGAUCGGUCUAAUAUAUUAUCAAUCAGCAUGAUGGAAGCUUAGACAGCUACGCCUCAACCAAAGUGCACUGGGAGAGCAUUCCACUGGCCAAACCAAGAAAAAGUUGAGUCUAAUAGUGAUUUUACACACACGAAUAUUGGUCCUCGUGGUUGUCUGAACAUUAUAUCUGAUCAGGAUGCAGAUAGUACAAUGCAACAAAUCUGUUUCGGAGAAUGUCAACAUCUGUUUCAAAAAGCUGUGCCUGUUCAAAAAUCUUAACAAUCGUAUCUUAAAACAUUUUAUGAUGAUGGGUUGUAAUAUGCUUUUUUAAAAAAAAAGAUUUAAAAAAAAAAUUAAAACAAGGUUGUUUUUAAUUGAUUUGCCAGUCGAGAAUUAAUCACAUGAUUGAUUUUUUUACUGAGUCAAUUCCCAAUUAUUUUAAUUUUAAAAUCCGGCUUAUGCCAACUCAUGAGUGGACGGGUCAGGAGUUUACUUCGAGCAUCUCCAACAUAACAAUUAAAAAAAGAGUUAAAAUGAAUAAAAAUAUACUUUUAUCUUUUAUUUUUAAUUUUAAUCAUUUCAAUGGGUAAGUUAAGCUAUAUAAAUAGCUAAAAUGUCUAUUCUUGUUUUGAAAAGUUAUUUUUAUAUUUCUAUGCGGAGAAGUUAAAAAUAAAUGAAAUAACAUGUAUUUGUUGGCCAGUAUUUUUUUAUUUGUUUUGUAUUAAUAACAUCAUGAUUAUAUUAUAUAAAAAAUAACUAAAUUAGUUAUAUAACUAUACUAAAAUUAGUUUAACAUAAAAUAUAUUAAAAUAUAAUUAGCUUUUCUAAAUAGCUUGUUAUUUUUAAAAUAUACAUAAAUAAAAAAAAUUAUAUUUAUACUACUCAAAAAAAAUAUUUUAUUAAUUUAGUUUUUUAAUAUAUCAUUUUGCAUCGGAGAUGCUACGACAAGUUAACAUAGUAUGUAGCCAACAAUGUCUUGUAGUUUGUCUAGGGCAGCGUAGUUGUACCCAUGUAGGCAUUUAAGAAAUUGAACUCUUGUGGUUCCCUUAUCCUCUCCUUUUGAGGUUAAACUCCUCACCUCACUCAUCACUGCCGAUCAAAAUAAAUAAACAACCCAGCGAAUGAGGAAGUUCCACUUCAGUAUUCAAGAUAGAGUACAGCUCUCUCUCCUAGGUUCAUGAGAAACGAGAGGCAAUCAUAAAACCCAUCAGUGUUUUCCUCCAUUUUCUCAGAAACCAAUCAAUCGAUAAUUAUUACAAUGGAAGUUGAGGUAAAGCUUCGGCUUCCAGACUCAAACUCCCACCAAAAACUGUCUAUCAUCCUCGCUUCUUUCCACACCAAAACCUUAAUCCAAGAAAACAUCUUCUUUGACACCACCAACUCCAAACUCUCCUCAAACUUCGCAGCUCUCCGUCUUCGUUUCUACAAUCUUGAUUCUUACUGCAUCCUCUCUCUCAAAGCUAAACCUAUCAUGUCAGAUGGCAUUAGCCGCGUUGAAGAGCAAGAAGAGCCCAUUGACCCCAAGAUUGGCCGCAUGUGCGUGGCUGAGCCCGGCCAGUUACUGGGAUUAUUAGAGAGUUCAAAGAUAAUACAGAGAGUCAGAAGGGAGUUUGGGGUUGGAGAAAACGAGGUUCUUGUUUGUUUGGGCAUGUUUAGGAAUGUGAGGCAAGUGUUUGACUGGAAAGGACUGAAACUAGAGCUUGAUGAGACAAUUUAUGAUUUUGGAACCAGUUAUGAGAUUGAAUGUGAGAGUAAAGAGCCUGAGAAGGAUAAGAAGUUGAUUGAAGGAUUGUUGAAGGAUAAUGGGAUUGAGUUUUCCUACUCGGAAGCUAACAAGUUUGCAGUUUUUCGAUCUGGAAAAUUGCCCCGAUGAGAAAAAUAAUGUGUUAUUUUAAAUUGUAUUGAAACAGCAAUGAGUGAAUCAAAUCUCCUUAUUGAUGUUAUCAUGUUAAAUUUGCUUUUCAUUUCAACUAGUUCUUGGAAUGGCAUUAUUGUUCUUGACUCUUCUUGCUUCAUUCUUUAAAGUUUUUGUCCCUGGAUAGAGACUUUCAGAUAUAUUUAUCCAUUAAUAAAUGCCCUAUCAUCUUCCAAUUUAUUUGCUUGACAGAUAGUUGCAAGUUUGUUUGACAGAUUAGUUGCAGCCAUAACAGGAGAUUGUCUAGACAACGCCAGCUUAUCUGUGAGCACCAACCAUUCAUUUGAGUUGUCAGUCUCAAACUUGUUCAAUAGGAAACAUUUCAAGUUGGAGCAAAUAUCCCUAUCACUCUUGAAGAAAUUGAACAAAAAAAAUUAAGAUACACAGAUCCUUAUGAUUCAUGUUGAAGAAAAAAAAGGUUUUUACAUAAGAUCAUCAAUCAAUUCUCACCAAGACUGGUGUGAUAUGUCAAUCAGUAUGAUGAAAGCUAGACAGCUAUAAGUUAACCAAAGUGGAUUUGACCCAGGGAAGCUCAACAGCUCGGACAGCUAUAAGAUCAUUAAUCCAUUCGGUCUCACUAUUCUCCUUGUUUGUUUGACAGAAAUUUGCAAACAUAAUAAGAAUGGUCUGAUAUGUCCAUCGAUAUGAUACAAGCUCAGACAGUUCAGUCUUGUUUCUAGUAUUUAGUGAAGAUGUCGAUGCAAGAAAACAAACAAGCCAUAACUCAGGACUAGGCAGUGCUGAGGCAUCUGACGAGGGUUUACAUUAAUCCCCUGAAAAGAACUGAAGAUCAACUGCCUUGGAAAAAGGAAACAUUUCAUACAACAGGAUUCAAAUGGAAAGCAGAAUGACUGGAUAAUUGAAAGAAAUAUAGCCAAAGUUGAAAGUACAAAUUAAAUAACGACGAGAUACUGAGCAACCUGGGGCUUGCUCAGAUAAUUAUACAAGGAUUUAAGUUUUGAAAUACUUUCUUUUUUUUACAGGUAUACACAUGAAUUUCUGUUGAUGAUCAAGGCAGUUCAAGAAGCAAUAUACAUAAACUAGAAGUUAUGAGCACAACACACUUGCAGGAUAAUUCAGUCUUGCGAGCAACCUAAACAAACAUCUAGCAUUCCACAGAGUGCAAAAUUUGCAUAUAACCACACUUACCUCACCAUAUUUUCGGUUGUUGAUGCAGAAAGGAUGAACCAAAUCCAACAAAGGUUGCAGAGAAUUAAAGGAAUCACAUAACAAUAAUCAGGGCACAGCACUGCAUUGCCGAUUCUUAAAGAAAGCGAUCACCUGGUUCAUAUGUAUAUCACAAAUAUAAAUUUUUUACGUUGUCAGGUGAAGAAAAUAUUCUCUCAAUCAUGAAGGUAACACAACAUCCACAAGCAAAUUUUGCAAUAGCUUCCUCGGCGUAUGUUCCUAGACAAUUAUGCAUUCCCAAAAGAAAAGGAAAUUCUCUGUGAAGCAGCAAAGUGAAAACAAUAUACAGAGCCAAAUCUGCCAUGUACUGCUGCUAUUCAGAAAGAGAACAAAAUCUCCAAGUAUAUAAACAAUCCACAAAAGCAAAUAAACCUGUAGUUUAAUCUUGUAUUCAUGUCGACAGUAUUAAUCUAAACAACAUGAAUAAAAAGAAAAAUCUACAUUUUCAACGACACAGUAUUCACGUAUAGUAAGUUAGGGUUUAAAAGCACCCAUUUUCAUUACAAUACAUCAUUUGCAAAUCCUUUUGCAAUGCGUUAGCACUACAUAUUUACAUUCCCACAAAGGAGAAAUAAUCCCCCCUGUAUAAAAUACAAACAAAACUACCAAGACCAAUUUGGAGUUUUGAUGACACAUAGUAACUAUUAUUGUUCAAGACACUCUUCAUAAAACAACCAACACCAGUCUCCUUGACCGAUGUAAAUACAAUGAAAAAAAUGAAAAAAAGCCCGUGAAUCCGAAAGAGCAUUUUGAAUCCAACCCUCACAUUGAUUACACACAGCAACGAGACAACUAAAAGAGCACACCAAGUCAGGUGUGUGCAUCCGAGUUCAAUCACGAGCAGCAAUCCGAGCACCGAAUCAAUCCAUUCUCAUUACAUUCCAAGCAUCUCUUAAGCACCCCUUCAUCUUCAUCAAACAACUUCCUACUUCCACUACAAUUCCCACAUGGCACAAACCUCACAUCCCCACACCCUGCACAAACAAACCCAGCCAGCCGUCUUGGAAAUCCAUCAAGAACCCUUGCCAUUUCGCCCGUCUCGAACAUUUGCUUAAUCACCUCAGCACCACCUACAUGAUUCCCCCUUAUAAACACCUGCGGCAAGCUCACAUUUUUCUCUCCCAACACACUUUGCAGCUCCUUCUUAUAAGCUGAAUCCAUCGAAAUAUCCCUCUCAUCAACCCACACUCUAAACCCUCUAAAUAUCAUCUUCACCGCAUAACAAUCCUCAUAAGUCCUCCGAAUCCCUCGCAAGCUCGUUAAAUACACCACAAUCCUAUCCUCAGUACCAGGCAACUGAAUUCUAUUAUCAUUAACAGGGAACCUAUUAUACUCAGGCCCCAUUGAUUUCACAGAUUGUAGCUUAUUAGUUGCUUGAAUUUGCAAUUCUUUGGGAUUCGGUUUCGGGGACUCAAACAAAGACCGAAGCUUUUUGACCUUUCCUUUCAUGGACUCAAAAGAAUUGUAGAAUCCUGAUGUUGAUUGAAGGUAAGGCUUUGUCACUGAAGUUGAAUGAAUUGUAAGAGACCUAUUGAAUAUAGAACUAGAGGUCAUUUUAUUGGUGGUGGGUUUCGAAUUGGGUGUGAUUUCCUGGUUAUUUUCAAAUUCAGCCAUCGACCCAGAUCACAAAAUCAACUCAAUCUCAAGAAUUUCAACGAUUUCCUCUCUGGGGCUCUUGAUUAGAUCAAGAUUGAAACAACCUUGACCCUACAAUUCAACUCUAGAAAUGCCAAAAACUAAAAAAGAUAACCUUUUCCGUUACCUUCAAAAACAAUCCGAACCCGUUCAAAUCCGGUGCUGACGAUGGUGACGGAGAUGAAAUGAUCAGAGAAUUCUAACCGUGGGAUAAAGAAACUGGCGGUGGAUGAUUGCUCUUUGCUUUUUGAUUAUGGCAGGUGAAAAUAAUUUUGGGGUUUUUGCUUUCAGUUUUUGUUUUCUUGAAGUUGCUUUCUAUUUUUUUGAUGUCCGUUGCUUUCUGGCUUGCUUUCCUGUCUUUCUUUGUAUACAGGAGGAUAGAUAGGUAGAGAGAGAGAGAGAUAAAAGUGGAAAAAAAAGAAGAAGCAAAAAAGAGAUGGUUUUUAGCUUCGGGUUAGCCUGCGUUUGUUGCUGUUAGAGAGAAUUGUGGAGGAGACGAAUUUGGAGGCUUGAAUUGGAUACCAAGCUAGGCAAAGAAGAAACCAUAACUCCACGUUACACACACACACGCACGCACGCACGCCCACAUAUAUAUAAUGCUACUAGUUUCAGAGGAGAGAGAGGGGCUUUACAUGACAGAGACUACUCGUUGGGGGUGAUAAUGACGUCAGAGUUACAGACAGAUACAUACGACAGCUCCACCACCGCCUAGUUUGAAACAUACGCGGUUGUUUUUUUUUUUUUUUUCUCGUUUGAAUUUUGUUGGAUGUUUCAAAUGUUUUCUUGUCUUCCUCUCUGGUGUGUGCUGUAACAAAUGAUUCUACUCAAGGGUAUCAUUGUAAAACUACGCUUGGUUUGCGAAUUAUACAUGUUAAUAUAUCUUAAUCAAUUUAGAAUAAUGUUGUUUUUUUUAUAUAUAAAAAAAAAAACAGAUUUACUCGAGUUUUAAGUACGAUUAAUUUGCUAGGUUAAUUAGAUUUUUUUUAGAUCUUCAUUCUAUUUAAAUCCCAACCCUAAUCAGGUUUAUAUUCCCACUAUUUUUAUUUAUUUUGAUUUCAAAAUAGUAACUUAAUGUUAUUCUAGUAUUAAACAAUAUAUAUCAUGACCAAAAUUGUAUUCAAAUUUAAAUACAUACUAUUUUCUGUACAGACUCCUCAAUUCUUUGGAGGGUUUGAUGCUGGAAUGUCAUGUGUUUGCUUUAUUGUCUAAGAAAUUGAAAAUCUGAAAGGAAAAAAAAAACAAUAUAAGAGGAAUAAUCUCUGCUUACUUUAUUUUUAAAAUUGUGAUUGGGUCAACUGAUUUGUGUGUGUAUCACUUUAAAAUAUCACAUGGAUUUUUGGGAAAGAUAUCUAGCGUGGACCAUAUGAUAAAAAAAAAAAAAGGGCGAUGAUGAUAAUUGCUUUUGGAUGGUUCCAAUUUCUUAAAAAAAAAAAAAAAAAUUUCAUGUGUGAACGUGAAAAGAAAAAUCUUUUUUCAUUCUAUCUGUGACUCCUACUGCUUUUUAAAUUUAUGCCCAAUAUUAAAUUUUGGAUUUUUUUUUUUUAUGUUAGCUGGGUUCAAACAUAGCUUUCAGAAUUCUUCGGGGUGGAUUAGAAAAUUACUUAGAGGAAAAUUAUUACAUUACAUUGUUUUUGUAUUUAAAAAAUAUUUAAAAAAUAUUUUUUAUUAUUAUUUUAAAUAAUUUAAUGUGUUGAUAUUAAAAAUAUAUUUUUAAAAAAAUAUAUUAUUUAUUAUAUAUUUUUAAAUAAAAAACCAUUUAUAAAAUAAUGUAAGUUAUUUAUUUUAGUUAAAAUAAUAAUAAUAUUUUUUAUUAUUUUUAAAGUUUAUGAUAUCCCAUUUUAUCAGGUUAUCUAAAUUACUAAAAACCUUCCCGGGUCAAUAUUUUUUUUUUUUUCUGACUCUCCUUAAAAUACAAUUUAGAUCUGGCUUUGUAUUAGGAAUUUCCGAGAUUAACCCGUCUUGGGGGCAGGGUUCAAUAACCAUGGCGGGAACCAGCACAUUAGUGGGUGAAUUAAUUUUGCUGAAUUUUAACGUCUGUGGGCUCUAUAGGAACAUUACUAUCAAAGAUUUCAUCGUAAUAUAAUAUAUAUUUUUUCAUGUCUAGGGGCUCUGUAGGAAAAUUACCAUCUAAAAAUAUCAUCAAUAAAUCAGGUAAUAUGAAAAGCAUCCAGAGAUUUAUUGUGAUAGCUUCUAUUUUUUAAAAAAUAUUUUGGAUUGAAAAGAUAUGUUUUUUUAGUAUUUUUUAAUGAUUUUGAUGUGUUGAUAUUAAAAAUAAAAAAUAAAAAAAAUUAUUUUAAUAUAUUUUUAAACAAAAAAUUAUUUUAAAAAAUACCCUUAAUCUUAAUCCCAAACACACAAUAUAUAAAUUCACAACAAUUUUAGGUUACAAUAUUUAAUAUCAAACUUUGAACUUUCAGUUGAUCUAUCCUUUUCAUUUACGAACUAUUUUAUUGAGAAAUUUUAUGAUGGUCGAACUCUAAUUAUCAAUAUUAGAGAAAUAAACAUUUUGUAUAUUUUACUUGCCAAAUAAAUUUGUCAUUUUUAUUCGCUGUUGAAACCCAAUUAAAGCAUGAACAACACAGGAAAGUCUCCAAAACAGGAAACAAAAGCUGUUAAUUUACUGUAUAAAGCUUACAAUUUCCCAAGAGUUAUAGAUUAAUUUAGCGUAUUUCUCUGUAUCCCCCCCCCCCUCUUAUUUUCAUUAAUUUAAAUAUUCUUUUAUUGAGAAAAGAAUUACUCUUUCAAGCAGAUAUAUCAGGUAUGCUUCUAAACUGGCUUUCAUUUUAUUUCCAUCCAAGUCAAUUCGUUGUUCUUAGAAGGAAAAGGGAAAAUCUGAGUCAUUUUCAGUUUAUAUCUUGAUGGGAUUUUGCCCAAUAUUCUAAAGUUGUCACAGCAUAAAAGCAUAAUGACAGGAGUAACGCUAAUUUUACCUUAUAUUAUUUCCAAAUCACUUCUCCAAUCUCAUACGUAAAUUUCAUGGCUGGAAAUUUUUUAUUUGGAUUUUCUUGGCAGGCAAGAUGAACUAAACAGCCAUUGAUGGACUAAAUCAUCAACAUGUUUAAGUAAAUACCACAUGAAAUCAGCAAGGGUUAUACCUCGCAGCCAUGAGAGGUUUUGGCAAAACAUCUCGAACACAAGACAAAUUAUCAACAUGGAAAAUGGGCAAUUUCGAAAUCAAGAAAUCAAACUAAAAUCAUUCAAAUUGCAUGGCGGGUCAGAGACAAGAGCUGUCAAGAUCAUUUCACACUUGGUUCCAGAACAAAAUGAGGUACAAGGCCAAUCGAGUUAUGACUGUAGGAAUACAAUCAUCUUGAUAGAAGCUGUACCCAAACGGAAAUAAACCAACCAAGAUCAACCUAAAAUCAGAAGUUGAGCUAAUAAACAAUGCCACAGAAAUAAUGAUGAUAUUUUAAAUUUAGACAGUUUUGAGAAUCCUGAGCUUAACUUGAACAGUUCAAGUACAAAGCAAACAUCUCAUUCCAAAUGCAGCAAAAAACAAGGGUCGAAGUAAUUCUGUUGAGGUCGAGAAUCCUGACAUAAACUUGCCAUGUUAAGUAGUACAAAGCAAAGUAGAAAACAUCUCACUCCAAAUGCAGAAAAACACACACAAUUUGAUCAUUUCCAUUGAACUAUCGAGAAAAAUCUUAAGUUUCAAUUUAUAUGCAGUGUCUGAGGCACAUUACAUGCACACGAAUUAAUUUUUAACCAACAGCAGCUCUGUAUCAAGAGCAGGGCUGAAAAAAUGCCAGCUUGAAUCAUGAAAAGCAGCAAAAAAAUCGUCUGAAGCUGUCUUGAUUACAUACUCAUCUGCAAAUUUUCGAGCAGCCAAAACAUGCUUUGUUGACUCCACAACAAUGGAGUUCUUGAUCUCGGAAAAGAACUCAUACAUCUCAAAGCUAUUUCCAAAUAAUACAAUAUGAUUAAGCAGUUCCAAUUCCCAGUUUGCCUGUAAGAGAUUGUUAUAUAGCCCUGCCUCACAAUGUGGCAUGUAAAACACCGUUGACUUUGUAGCGCGUCUACGACCUUGCUCAUUUACAGACAGGACAGAACAACCAAGGGAUUCCAGAACCCGAGACUCUGUUGCAGAAAGAAUUGGGUCAAAAACCUCUAUGUCCCCAAUCCAACAAAACUUCCUUUUCAUCAAGAUAGCAAGACUAAGCUGGAAUCGAGGGUUUUCAUAUGAUUCAAUGCUGCCAAUUCCAUAUAUCACCAUCGGCAUCUUCAGUUCAAAGCCCAGCACCCUGUGAAAAGAAUCCAGGAUUUCAGGAUUUUCUACUUGCUCCAAAAAGUUCUGAUAGAAUCGAGAGCUCUCAACUUUCUUGAUACAAAAUUCCAUCUUUUGUAUUAACUUUGCUUCUCUUUCUGGAUCGGAUUCAAGCUCAGUAGGAACCCAUGGCUGCUGUUCUGCUUCUGGAGUAUUAUGUCUUAGGGAAUGUAUUCUCUUUUUGCCUCGACGAGGCAUUACAACUGUCCAGUUUUCAUUUUGGGAGGGCUUGUCAAGAGCAAGGAGUUUUGCAGAAGCUGUCAUUACAGAACAUUAACUCUCUCUUCUCCUUUGCAAACAAACACUGCCUCACUUUAGUUAAGUCUGAACCCGAGGCAAAAUGAUAAGUUGAUUUACAGAGCAAGCAUGUGAAUUAUGGGAAGCAGUCAAAUACUUCCCAUUCACACUAGCCAAAAUCCUUUGUCGAAGUAAAGAGUGAUUCAGGUAGCCAAAUAUCUUAUUCCUCCACUCAUAAAAAACUCCAUCAAAGCGAAUCAAUUAGCUCCACACCUUAGAUCAGCAUGAGAAACACGCUAAACAAUCUUUCAUUUUCCUGCUCAAGAGAGAUGCAGGGUCUCGUAAAUCAUGCAAGAAUCUCAGAACCCUAAAACCUAACUAGAAUCUGAAAAGAAGUUUUCUUUACCCUAAUUAUAAAUCAUCAGAAACCAAUUUUGCAGGUUCCCCAUUCGGCAUAAUUACACAAAAUUCACAUUCUUAUCUCUAUUAGGCCCUAUAAUUUCCACGAAUCUCACAUAAGCCUGACACUUUGGCUCACCACCGUGAAGUGUUUUAAGCUCCUUUCAUUGUGUGUUUGGUAUUUUGGUGUAGGUGCGUUUUCAUGUGCUUUUUGAUGGUUAUAACGUAAGCAUAUCAAAAAUCCGAAAUCAUAUGAAAAAGCAUCAAAAUGCACUUUGAAAAGCACUUUUAAACGCAGUCCAAACGCAUUACCAAAAACACCCUUAUUACUCCAUUGCUAUACCAUCGAUCUUUAGCAUACAAGAAAAUUAUGCUUACGGUUACACAGUUUCUGACCACUACUACUUCCACAUAUUCAGCAGUCUAUAUUCUAUAAUGCAUGUUGACUAAAGAGAAUUGGAUAAUUAAACAGGUUUACAGGGUCCAAGGCCAACUAAAAUUUAAAUUACUGAGCAUAAUAACUGAAAUUAAACAUGAAAAACUGAAUAAUCAAACAACUCAAGAUAACAGAAAUUCUCCUUCAAAAGGGUCUCUAAUUAACACUACGUUACCAUAACAUCCAGUCCUAGUCUUCCAAAUUUACAAAGAUUGCAUAUUUGCAUAUGUGAAGUAAAAAAGAAUUUUUUUUUUAAGAAGUUAGAAAGGAUUUUGGUAGACGGGAUCUGAGAAAACUUACAGGCAGGGGCAAGGUUGCAAUACACUGGUGGCUGCGGCGGCGAUUGUGGGGGUCUCUGCAGCGGCUGCCUCUCUUGGAUUGGUAUCGAGAGUAACCAACCAGUUCCAGGUGUGCUGGUUCCUUUUUAUGGUCACUACUUCUUACGUUGUUUUUGUACGGAACAAAUAUACACUUGAACUACAGUUGUUAAUGAAAGAAGAUUUUUCUCUUAUUUAUUUAUAUUUUCAAUUAUAAUUAUAAUUAUUAAACUUAACCCGGUUUAUUAACCAGUUUAAGCUUCCAUUUAUAUUGCGUUUUACACGAGGUUAAAUAAAAAUUGAAUUUUUUAAAAUUAUUUUAAUAUGAAAUAUAUUUUUUAAAAAAUAAAUAAAUAAUUUUUAAUAUAUUUUUAAAUAAAAAAUACUUUAAAAAAUAACUAUUAUAUUCUCUAAUAUCAUUAAUAACAACGAUUCAAAUAUUUUAAUUUUAAAAAAAAUAUUUUAAUUUUUAUUUAAAAAAACUUUAAAUCUCAUGGUUAAUCCAGUAGAAUUUAUUUUUUCAUAAUCUUAGUUUAAAUUAACUUUUUUAUAUAAAAAAAAAAUUAAUCUUUUGAAAUUUCAACGUAGAUGUUUAGCAUAUUUUGUUAACAAAUUUGGAUAAAAACAGUUUCUCACUCCAAUUCAGAAUUUUAUAGUUUCUUAUCUCCUUCACUCCUCCCUCCAACCUCUUCCGAUCACCGUUUAAUUUAUCCGUUAAAAAUGAUUUACGGUGAUCCUCAACAACACCAGCACCAGCACCAGCAGCCACAACAACAACACCAGCACCAGCAGCCACAACAACAACACCAGCACCACAGCACAGCACCAGCACCAGCACCAGCAGCCACAGCACCACCACCACCAACAUAUGCAACAGCAACCGCCUCCUGGUGGUGAUUUUCAAAGAGGGCAGCCACCGCCAAUGAUGCGACAACCCUCCGCUUCAUCAACCACUCUUAACCCGCUUGAUUACCACCACCAUCCGCAGGCCGCCCCCGGUCCUCCUCCUCCUAAAUACGAAGCUAGUUAGUUAGUUACACAAGUGCAUUGUUGUUUUUUAAGUGUUUUAGGGUUUGGAAAUUCUGUCUUUGAUUAGUUUAAUUAGAGUGACCAGGUUUCAAUUUUAACCUAAGUUAUGAUGAUGAAUUGUGCGUUUUGAUUGGAAUUUUGUCAUUUUAUUGAUUGAUUGAUUGAUUUUUGUUGUUGUUGUUGUUGUUAUAGAUCAUGGUGAUGGUUACGGUGGAAAAAGGAUGAGGAAGCUUACGCAGAGGAGAGCAGUUGAUUAUACAAGCACGGUUGUUAGGUAUAUUCAGGUAAUGCUUGAAAUAUGUGAUAGCUGGUAAUUGUUGUGAUAUGUAUCUCAAUUGGAAGCGAUGUAGGCCUUGGAAUUUAUUUUUUUGGUUGUGGAUGUGUUUCUGGCCGGAUUUGGUGUUCUUGUAAUGGUAAUUGAAUAAUUGAUGAGGCAUCUAUUUGUCCGUCUUAAUUCCAAUAUCUGAAUCUGUAGUUGGUUUCUUUUAUAUUUUGCUUAAGAAUAAAAGCUUGUCAGUGUUGGUUUUGAAUUCAUAGUUGUACAGGACUAGUGGUUUUCUUUGGGUUAUGGUGGGAUUAAUUGAUCUUGACCAAGAGAAGAGGUGGUGGUUUUUGUACAGUGGAAAAACAGAGAAGUAUAGGGUUUUGUAAUUGCUUGGAGAAGUGGUGGAUUUUGUACAGGGGAAAAAGAGAGAAUUAUAGGGUUUUGUAAUUGCUUGGAGAUGUGGUGGUUUUUUUACGGGGGAAAAAAAGAGAAGUAGGGGAUUUUGCAUGCCUCUACUAAUAUUUUGGGUUUCGUGAAGAGAGUGGAACAAAGAGUAUUUGGGAGAAAGAUUCUACUCUCAACUCUUUGAAGGACUUGUGGGUUCAAACUUUACGCUUAUAGUAUUCCAACAAAGAGGAAUUAAACAAUUGAACUUCAGAGAUCACGUAUUCUCUUAUGUGGUUUAUAUGAUGUACCAUCAAUGAUUUGCUUGCUAGUUUCUUUUGCUUUUGCAAGUGGUUGGUGUCCCCUUGGUGCCUGUAUCAAUAGAUCUUUUGUUAUUUGAGUCACUUGUAAUCUUGUUUCAGUGUUGCUGCAGACUCGUAUGUGGCAGUGGGACUUGAGGGACAGGACAGUAUUGCAACAUACCCCAGCAGCUGCGAUCGAUGUUAGUGAACAUUGUUAAUCUAUAUUCUUUCUUUAUGAGAUAUGCUCAAAGUAGCUAUUAGUCUAAUAACUUUCUAUGCUUCAAGCAUGUGAAUUUUCUUCAUGUUUUGAUCUCUGUUGUAGGUGUUGCCUCCAGUUGCCUAUUCUGAUAAUCCAUCAACAAGCUUUGCCACAAAGUUUGUUCAUACAUCUCUAAACAAAAACCGUUGUUCGAUAAAUCGGGUUUUGGUAAGUCUGAUUGUGACAGAAUUCUUGACUUUGUUACAUAUUUGAAUGGACAAGCAUUUAUUUCUCUUAGGAAGUAGCAUGAUCUGCUCAUACUGUUCUCUGAUGGAUCAUCAAGUGAAAUUCUGUUUCUUUUGAAGUUAGAAGUUAAAGUCAAUUUGCUUUGGUUUUUAUGAAAGGGAAUAUGUGCUGAAUUUAUCUGUCAUAUUUCUUUCCCUGUUAAACAUGUUUCAGGCUCAGCGUCAAAUGAGAGUGCAAUUCAUUUAAUGGGUCCUCAAACUUAGUUUUUACUUGUCUGAGGUGUCAAAUAUAUAAUUGUGUAUGACAUUAUGAAAAAUGACUUAAACACAAUUAUUCUUAUUUGCUGUUUCGUAAUUUCAUUUUGAUAGCAUAAAGUUUUAUCCUUUCAUUGUGUUGAUAUGAAUGAAAAAAAAAAAAAAAUUGUUGCUAGAUGUGCAAAUUGCCUGUUGAAACAAAUCAAGUUAGAUGAAGACUGGUGAUCCAUGGUGUUUCCGACAAACUGAACUCAUCCUACUAGUCUUAAAAUUAUCUACCAGUUAGCUCUUUGAGGCCUUAGUCUGCAGUUCGUGUGUGAUAGUGUAGAAAGUUGUUGAGUUCUAAUCAGUAGUCACCAAUUCCUAUUUGGCAGAGCAGAUGACUUCAUUUGCUUAAUAAAAAAAAAAAGGUGUGUGCAUCUGCCUGCGCACCUGCACAUACAUGCAAGAUAUGCACAUGCAUGUUAUCUAAUUUGAAAUGAGUUUGAAUGCCGUUUAUUAUUUGCCUGGUCUAAAUUUAUUUUGCCAUUACAACUUCCUUGCCAUUUUUACCCUUCUUAAAUACAGCAAAACAUUUUGAUUCUUUCUUUUGGGAUUCAUCACAUUUAACUUUGUAAUCAAACAUAUUCUGACCCUUUUCUUGAUAUGUAGUGGACUCCAAAUGGGAAACGUCUAAUCACAGGUUCUCAAAGUGGGGAAUUCACCCUUUGGAAUGGACAGUCAUUUAAUUUUGAAAUGAUUCUUCAGGUGUGUAGAUAUGAUCAUUUAAUGUUGAUUUUAACCAGGAAAGAAGCCAUAUUGAUGAUUUUUGUGGAAUUCUUUUAUGUGCAGGCUCAUGAUCAAGCAAUCAGGUCUAUGGUAUGGAGCCACAAUGACAAUUGGAUGGUCUCUGGUGAUGAUGGUGGUUCAAUUAAGUAAUUCUCAUAUGUUCUUCAUUGUUCUUAUAGCUUUGUUGCUAUUAUGUUCGUAUAUGUUGUUCAUUUAAUAUUUUUUUUAAUGUUUUUUUAGGUAUUGGCAGAGCAACAUGAAUAAUGUUAAGGUCAAUAAAUCUGCUCAUAAAGAAUCAGUGCGUGACUUAAGGUAGAUAUUUGCUUCAUAUCUCCCUUCCUUUUCCUUCUUUUUUCUUAAUACAUGGUGUUAGUGAAGUUCAUAUUGUAAACCUCUCGAACAGUUUCUGUAGGACAGAUUUGAAGUUCUGUUCAUGCUCCGAUGAUACUACUGUUAAAGUUUGGGACUUUGCUCGGUGCCAUGAAGAGCGUUCAUUAACGGGUAAUGUGUUUUUUGGUCAAUGAACAUAUGAUAUUAGUUUGUGUGGGAUGAUUCUUUUAUGGUACUUAAUUGGACGUUCUUUCUCCCAUUCUCCUGAAUUAUUGCAAAUAAUGUUUCUUUAAGAUUGCUUGAUACAAUGCUAUGCUUUUAGUCAGAAAAGUUAACCUUGAAAGAAGAAUAUUGAAAUAUGCAAUGGGCCUAAGACUGUUGUUCAGUCAUUUUCUUCCGUGAGAGAUAGUUUAGAGACUAAUGCAAGGAAUAUUAAUGGCUUUGCUUCCAUGAUGUGAUCGGACUACUUACUGUUGCAUGUAUUUCUAGUUCUGGUGUAAGUGACAGUCUGAUGGCUUACAUUACUGUCUGUGUGUUGUGCUCAUAAUAUUUGCACUGAGUAACCUAAAGAGUUUUAUCUGCAUCAUUUUGAACUCAGGCAGGCCAUGGUUGGGAUGUGAAGAGUGUUGAUUGGCACCCUACAAAAUCUCUUCUGGUCUCAGGUCAGCCAUAUAUUUUUUUUGGAACCUCAUGAUCUCUUUAUUAAGUUGGCAUUGUUGUGGUUGAUGCUUCUAAUUGACUUUUUUUAGGUGGGAAAGACAACCUAGUAAAACUCUGGGAUGCUAAAUCUGGAAGAGAGCUUUGCUCAUUGUGAGUACAUAUUUUCUUGGUGAUUAGGCUAAGGUUUGGUUUAGGAUUUUUAUAAAAAAAAUUGACAAGUUCGGCAUGGGUUUUGCAGUCAUGGCCACAAAAAUACCGUUCUUUGUGUCAAAUGGAACCAAAAUGGUAACUGGGUGCUGACUGCUUCAAAAGAUCAAAUCAUCAAGGUUUGCAAAUUCUUUCUCACAUCAAAGGUCUCUUUUAUGAAGGAUUGGGGCUUGAAUGUUGACCCUCUUUUACCUUGACCCUCUUUUUGUAAUUUUUGCACAUUUUCAGAUUUAUGAUUUAAGGGCAAUGAAGGAGCUUGAAUCUUUCCGCGGACAUCGGAAGGACGUGACUGGUUAGUAACACCUUUCACCUAUGCACAUCAUAUGAGGAUAAAAUUCAGUUGUAUAAUGGUCUGCCCUUUAUUAUAAAGUUAUGGGUUCCACUUUUAUAUGCCAUGCUUACUGUUGGCUGAGCUUGGAUUAAAAUUGCUAGCAUGCUUGUUUUAAUUCAGUAACUUUUCUGUGGUGUGAUUUGUAAUAUACUUAUCGUAAAAAUGUUCUCUACUAUUUCCAGCAUUGGCUUGGCAUCCAUUCCAUGAAGAGUACUUUGUUAGUGGGAGUUAUGACGGGUCUAUUUUCCAUUGGCUUGUGGGGUAAUGUUGAUAUGUCAAAUAGAACUCUAUUUUUUUUACUGUUAAAUUAUUCUACAACUUCUUUCUGAAGUUCUCAUCAUGGUAUACAUUAGGUGAUUGAAUGUUAUUUGUUUUUAAAACGUUUUCAUUAAAAUAUUUGCAAGGCAUUGAAAAUCUAUGCUAAGGAAAUGAGUAUACGGAGGUUGGAGAGAACCCUCUUUUGUGUGUGUGUGUGUGUGUGUGUGUGUAAUUUAAAGUAAUUUAGUGGAAGGGGAUGUAUAUGGAGUCCUCCAACCAUCAUUUUUUUGUGGGCUCGUUAUUCAAGGAAAAAUAUAAGAAAACAAGAAAAUAGAUCUUAAGAUUUCUUCUCAGAAUUUGUUGGUUAUCAAACCUUUUUUGUUUUGGAUAGUGGAUUACUGAAAACAAACAAUCUUUUGAUCUUAUUUCCUCUCAUUUUUCCGGUUGUGUCGGUUGACUCUAUUUUCUUGUUUGAUGCUAUUUGUGCUGCUUGCUGCUCAUAUGGAAGUAAUCUCAUAUGGCUUCUGUAUCUUAUGACUGUGAUGUAUAGGCAUGAAACCCCCCAGGUUGAAGUUUCCAGUGCUCAUGAUAAUAGUGUUUGGGAUCUUUCAUGGCAUCCUAUUGGAUAUCUUCUUUGCAGGUAAAUUGGCUAAAUUCAAGUUAAUUGAAUAUCCUGGGAUGUUAACUGGUUUUAGUUUUCCUUCCCUUGUGAACGGGUAUUCAAAGAAAUUACCUUUCUUGAAUUUUAUUAGAAAGAAAGUUAAAGUGGUGGCAUGGGUCAUUGCUUGGAAUAUUGAAUGUGGUUUAAUAUAGUUACUACAGCUUUACUUUUUUCUAGUUAUAUAGAAGUUGCAGUGUCUUGUUUGUUGUUCUAUAGCAUCGUAAGUUGGUUUGUAAACUUGUUAAAGAGCAAUGUGAGUGGCACAUAUCAAUGCCAUUGUAUUGUGCAUGUCAUCUAACUUGUACAAGAUUUGAUUAUACGAACUGCUUCACAAGUUACUCUCUAAUUGCAUCGUUAAUAUAUGAAACAGUCAUACAGGCUGCCUUUGAAGCAUGGAAACUUGAAAAUCCUAAGGAAUGAAGUUUUUUGAAGCAAACAGUGUAUCAUGGAAUAGGUUUUUUGGCUUAUUAUGCUUUUCUGCUUCUGGUAUUUUUGAGGUGUUCCAUUAGUUGAUAUUAUUGGAAACCCUUUUGUCAAUAUUUUUAUUUGGUAAGAUUCUUAUUUUCGUUUUUGUGCUGAAUUUUGCACUCUAUCUAUGAUGAUCUUCUAUUUAAAAGAAAGGAAGGAGAGUUCUUGGCUUGUGCUAAAGGAGUACUUGGCUGUAGCAACUUUCAGAAUUUGGUUUUCAUGAAAGAUUUGAAUAUCAAAUAAUUGUAUUUCAAUGUUCUGGUGGUGGACUAAAAUUAAAAAAAAAAAUGACAUGAUUAAAUUGCUUUAAUCUAUGACCCUUUCUAAGGCGUUUCUACCUCACCAGUUACUAAACCUGCAUAAGUUUUUCUGCAGUGGUAGCAAUGAUCACACAACAAAGUUUUGGUGUCGAAAUAGGCCAGGAGACACUGCCCUUGAUAAAUUUAACGUGGGUCAAAACCAAGGUUAGGCUUUACAAACUGGUGAAACUGAACAUGGCUUGAUCGAUAUUUUGUAUUAAAUUCAAUCAUGUGUUGUGUUGGCCAGAAAAUCUCCUUGUACAUGUUCCAAAAAUUUGAAGCCAUGAUAUUUUCAAUGAUUACAUGAUUAGUAUACAAAAGCAUUUUUUAUUAAUUAAUUUUCUAAGCAUUACCAUCUCUACCAGGUUAUGGUGAGCAAAAUCCUGCCCUUGGUGGCCGCUUCCCUGGCAAUUUCCAUGUACCUGAACCACCAACAACUCCAGGACCAUUUGCUCCUGGACUGACUCGAAAUGAAGGAACUAUUCCAGGUAUUGGAGCUGCAAUGCCACUAUCAAUUACAUCUCUUGAUGCAUCGCAGGGAGAGCAGAGGCAGCCUCUUCCUGUUUCUAUGCCCUUUGGCGGGCCUCCUCUUCCUCCUGGUCCACAUCCGUCACUUCGUGCAGCCAAUCAGCAGCAGGGAUAUCAGCAAAGUCCUCAGCAGCAGCAGCAGCAGCAACCACUCCCUCAGCACAUGCCUCCUUUGCCUAUGCCACCUCCAAACAUGCAACAGCUACUGCCUCCAUCCCAUGUACCCCUGCUCUCUCAUCCCCAUCUACCUCGCCCUCCUCAAAUGCCUCCUCAUGGCAUGCCUUCACCAAUCCCAUCUUCAAUGCCCGGAUCUAUGCCUGGUCCAAUGGUAUGAUAUAAAGCUCCAGUCUUUUAUUUUUCUUUCCCAAGUUCAUCUCAUCCCCCUCACUUUAAUUCCAAUUGUUGCAAUUUGGUGCAUAACUUAAAAAGAUUCUCAAGUAGUUUCUCUGCAUGGUUGACGAUGCAAAGCGGGCUUCUGAUUAGAAACACGCUUAGUGAUUGAAAGGACAUGGUCUCGUUUAAAAUAGAUUUUGUAAUUCUAGUUUCAAGUUACAUCUGUUCAGCACUUUCCUUAAUGAGGUGUAUUUGGAAUGCUAUAUUUUACUCUUUCUUUUUCCUUUUUAGGGGAUGCAAGGGACGAUGAGUCAGAUGGUACCUCUGUUGCCACAGGGCCAUUUUAUGGGCAUGAAUCCAAUGCACUCAGGAUCCUUGCCCACAAGUGCUGCCCCUCCAGUCGGCGGGGGCUUUCCAAAUGGCCUGCCCAAUAUGCAGGGCCCAUCAAAUGCCACAGGGGGGCAAAUGUAUCCACAGGGUGGUCCAUUCAACCAUCCUCAAGGUGGACAGAUGCCGAUGAUGCCUGGGUUUAAUCCCUACCAGGUAAGAUAGACAUCACAUUGUUUUGUUAUGGACCAUGUACCAUCCCCAUAUUUGCACUAAAAAUGUCCAGUGUAAAUUGAUGGUAUUUUGUCCGUCAUUUUCAGAUCCCAUAGACAAUUUAAACAGUGUACUUGAACAUGGAUCAUUGUGGAACCCGUGGAAUGUUUAAAUUAUCAAUUAAAAAAGGUCUACUGGCUUCCAUGCUGAAUUGGUAUCAGUUCGCAAAACUGAAAACCAACCCCUCUAAAACAUGCCGCUUUGAUCACUAUGAUGGGCAGAAUAGAGAGAUGCAGAGUUGUGUCAUGGAGAUAAUUGUCUCUUAUUGAAGUCUACAGUGUGUUGGAUUUGGCAAAUUUUCUAGAAUUUAUUGACUUGUGAUAACAGCAAUUCAAUUAAAAUAUGACGAGGGAAACUGUUGAUGUAAGCAUGCAUAAUUUUAUCUGCUCCUGUUAUGCUUUUCUUUUUUCCGGGUUGCAUUAUCAUGGUUCAUGUCUCUUACAAGUAACGAACUUGAGAGUCGGUACAGAAUUCUAAAUGUUACUAGUUUCUGAGCAGGCUUGUGUAUGCAACAUUUAUGCUUGUUCAAGAAGAGCUAACAUAUGUUAAUCCUAAUUGCAGUCUGGAAACCAAUCUGGUAUGCCUCCACCACGACCACCUGGUCCACCACCACAUUCGCAGACACCUCAGUAGAACCUUUGUCGCGUCAUAAAGGCCUGCUGCCUAUGCCUUGAAGAAGAGAAAAUGUCCUGCUGCCUGUGCUCAUACUAACAACUUUAACUUGUAGUCAUGUUCAUUGCUUUCCAUUUUGCCCCUUUUUCAAUAGCCAUGUAUGAUUGAAAUCGUAUAUACUUGUAUACUUUGAGACGGAAUUAAUCGAGCAGAACAUUUUGUACAAUCUUUUUCUAUAAAGAAUUCUGUUUAUAAAUCAUGCUGAAAUGAUACCCGUAUAAUAUAUAUUUUAUGUUAAAUAAUAAAUAAUACUUGGAUAACAUAUUCAAAUGAAUAUCUAAAACAUAGUGGAUAUAUUUAAGGUUUUUGGAUAGGGUAUAACUAUAAUUGAAAUUUAAUUUGUGAAUACCCAUUAGCAUCCCUAAAUUAUUAUUGUUAGGGUUCUUGAUAGAUGCAGCAGAAACACCAACAAUUUUGCCAUAUCAACAUAAGGUACUCAUGGCCCUUUUCUUUAACACAAUCGAGUGAUCAACCUUAUGCACACUCAUGUGAAGAGUUUUCUGUGACUGAUUUUUGCAUCAAAGCUCGACGAGGAGUUGCUGCAAAAACAAUUCAAAUUUGUAAGAAAGUUUUGGCAUUAAAACUUAUCUUUUUCGCUGUUUUUGCACAGUGAGAAACCAUCCUACCUACCCCAGCCUGAUGAGAAAAUCUUGCCAUAUAAUUUAUGUUAUUGCUAUAUAAUUUUCAGACGAGUAAUGCUACAAACCACAAAUUUUUAUCACAAAAAACCAUGAAUUAAGAGAAAAAAACAGCCAUAAAUGUUCCACAAAGUUGCAAUUGUGUCAUCAUCUAUCAUUCGUGUUUUUUGGUAUAAAUCAUUACAAUUUUCAAUCUAUGGGUUUAUAAAAAAAAAAAAAAAAAAACUGGGAUUGCAGAAUUAUUAGCAGAAAUAAGAAUUUAAAUCCCUAUAAUCAAGCAACCAACUAGUACAAAUCUUCAAGAAUCAAAAACCUUCCAAACCCUAUUGGCCACCGACGACAAAGAUUUCUCUCAAUCAGAGUUGACAUUUUGUUGUUGGCUCAGAGAGACAGCAACAUCAUCAGCAACAAUAAAGCAAACAGAGAACAGCUCACUUAAAACCCUCCAAACCCUACAUGCCACCAGUAUGAUCAAGCUUGGCUGCAUUGCCAUGAUAGCUACCUAGCUAGCUUGCUAGAACAACUCUUCAACCCACACUUAAUGUGGUGUUUCUCAGUUGAUGAUCAACAACAAACAAAGAAGAACAAAAUCCUCAACAACAUUGCAUGAAGACUUGGAACCUGGAAGCAAAGGUAAUCUCUGUUAUUAAGGAGUGAUUGAAGGAGGAGAAUGAAACGGCAGAGGAGAAUGCAGGUGAACUUGAGUUUUGAUUAAAUUUUGUUUCAAAAUUGGACGCUUCUACCUUCUGGUGCCGUGCCUUGCCCUUUUGACAAACGACAGUAUGUACGAUAAUAUCUCCACGUUGUCAUUUACUUCCAUCAUCUUCCACGAAUAAGGGAAGAACACACAGCCACACGUAACAAAGUUAUUAAGCCCAGGCCCAUGGAGAAAGGAAUCGCAGAGAAGGAUGGAAAGAGUUGACUUUUUCGAGAUAUAAAUAUUGCAACUGCCAACUGGCGUAGCACUGCACCAGAUUAAACUGAAUUUCAACGACCAGUAUGGAAGCAAAAAAAUACUCCAUCAAAGUUCAUUACCUACGACGAUUAAUGUGAGAUGGUUACAGCUAGCAAUCACCAUAUAAAUAAUGCAGCAGUCUUGGCUAACGUGCGAAAGGAAUCAUCAAGUGGGCUAGGCCUAAAUCACACGACUCAUUCCUCGCCAUUGGUUUGAAGCUGACAGGUAAAGAUAAAAAUGCUGUUAGUCUUGAAGUUAUAUGAGUAAAAAUGGUAACAUGUACUAAAAGCAUCAGUAUUUUUAUGUGCAUGUGGACUGUAGUGCAUUACAUAAUAAAACACUGAUGUUUUUGUCUUAGUCUUAGUUUUUUUGUUUUAACUAUUUUUAUUUUUAGCUGUUUUUUUUAUGUCUUUCAGGAUUAUUUUUUCUUCUUUCUUUGUUUUUUAUCUUUUAACAAAAAAAUUUUGUUUAAUUUAGUUUAUUAAUAUUAAUUUUUUUAUUUAGUUAUCAUACUUUUAUGACAUGUUUUCCGGGUUUAACGGGUUAACCUGAUUUGACAAGUUAACCUAUAAUUUUUUUUUUUUUACUUUUUUUUCUUUUUAAUUAAAUUUUUUCGUUUAGUUUAGUUUGUUAAUGUUAAAUUUCUAUCUAUUUAGUUAUCAAACUUUCUUGACAUAUAUCCCGGGUUUUACGGGUGAACCCAGUUAUUUCUGGGUUGAGCCGUCAAUUUUUUUUUUGUUUUUUUAUUUUCAUUAAUUUUUUUUGUUUAAUUUAGUUUAUAAAUUUUAAUUUUUUUUUAUUUAGUUAUCAAACUUUCAUGACACAAAUCUUGGGUUUAACGGGUUAACAUGGUUUGAUGAGUUAACCUGGAUUUUUUUUUCUUUUUAAUUAAUUUUUUUCAUUUAGUUCAAUUUGUUAACGUUCACUUUUUUUUUUAUUUAGUUGCCAGGCAUUCAUGACACGGAUCUCGGGUUAAACGGAUUAACUUGGUUCGACAAAUUAACCAGGAUUUUUUUUUUGCUUUUUUUUCUUUUUAAUUAUUUUUUUCGUUUAGAUUAAUUUGUUAAUGUUAAAUUUUUUUCUAUUUAGUUUUUUUUUCUUCUUAGAGGUUUUUUUUUCUUUUAUUUUUUCUUUUUAAUUAAUUUUAUUUAAUUAAUUUAGUUUAUUAAUAUUAAAUUUUUUUCUAUGUAGUUCUCGGCUAAUGCUUUUAUUUUUAUUUUAUGCAUUUGACUGUGGGCUGUACAAUGCAGUCCACAGUAAAAAGGUCGAUGCCUUUUGUUUUUUUUUUUUUUCGUUUAUUUUCUUUUUAAUUAAUUUUUUUUCGUUUAAUUUAGAUUGUUAAUGUUAAUUUUUUUUUUCUAUUUAGUUGCCAAACUUUCAUAACACGGAUUCUGGAUUUGACGGGUUAACCUGGUUUGACAGGUUAACCCUGUUAAUUCUGGAUAGACCCAUUAAUUUGUUUUUUUCCUAUUUAGUUAUCAAACUUUCAUGACGUGAAUCCAAGGUUUGACGGGUUAACCUGAUUUAAAGGGUUAACCCAGUUAAUUCAUAUUUUUUUUCUUUUUCUUUAUUAGUUUUUUUCUUUAUGUUGGUUUUUUUUCUUUGUUUUUUUUAAUUAAUCUAUUUUAUUAUCACACUUUUAUGACAUGACCUUGUAGUCAGACCCACGUCCAAUGCUAUUGGAUUUGAUAUUGCAGCCAAACUCACUUAAAUUUGGCAAGUUUAAUGUUAUUAUUAAUAUUAUAAAUAUUAUAAAUAUUACUCAUGGAUCAGGCAUUGCAACCAAAUUUAAGAUUUUUUUGUAUAACUUUAUAGAAAAACCUAACACUUUUAAAUAUUAGCUUUUUUUAAAAUGCAAAAAAUAAUUGAGCACGGCAUCACGCGGAUUAUGUAACUAGUCUAACCUAAACCUCGUUGAAAACGAUAAGUUUUAAUCUACCUUCUCUAAUGGAUAAUGGAUAAAAUAAAAUCCUAUACUUAUAUAAAAAGAAUACAACUCGUGAGUAACCAUUGCCAUCCUACUUCCAAGCUUUUAGUAACUGAAAAUAAUGCAAUACAAACAGAGUAGAAGCACAGUUAACUAUUAGAAUAGUUAAGUGCGAUUAACAACAAAUUAGCAGCGAUUAAAUUUGUCUAGAAGGUAGACUUAAGAUUAAUGAUGUAUUACGUCAAGUACAAAUUCAUGAAAUUGAUCAGUACUUUGUAAUAUAAAGCCCAGCCUUGAGGCCUCUAACAGUUCGCAAUUCAGUUUUGGAUGGUAGAAGUCCCAACCACAAACAUAAACAGAGACAUAAUAGAGGCUUGAUUUUAUAUGGUUUGAGAUUUGCUACCAAAAAAAUAUUUGGCUUUAAAUACAAAAUCUCUCUAGUUGAGAAUCAAUCUUAUGGUUACAAAAUGGAUGGUAAGUCAGUAAGACUUUCCACAAUGAAUCAAGCUCCCAGCACCCAGGAAGAGACCAAAAAUUGCAGCACUUCCAACUGUGGUUUGCCCAAUAUACCUUACUUUCAAAAGUCCAGGAACCUGUAUGUUCAAAAAGCAAAAGUUAGAACCAUCAGGGAUAUCAGUCACCCAACUAGCAGCACAGUGAAAAAGUUAUUAUGUGUCUAUCCUUAAAUCCUUAACCUGCACAGAGGACUUCAAUCAAAGAUGAACGACAAAGGUGAUAAAGAAUCAAUAGAGGGAUAGAUAGGAAAACGACGGAGAGCUGACUUAGUUUUGAGAGCCUAGUAGACCUGCAGCUUGAGUGCUGAAAUUUUUCUGUUCAUGACAAUUUCUAAGAGCCCUGAUUUCUUUUGNNNNNNNNNNNNNNNNNNNNNNNNNNNNNNNNNNNNNNNNNNNNNNNNNNNNNNNNNNNNNNNNNNNNNNNNNNNNNNNNNNNNNNNNNNNNNNNNNNNNAGAUUGCAAACAACUUGCUAGUCUACCUGAUCUUGGAAAUUUGAAGCACUUACGACAUCUGAAUCUUGAAGGAACAGGAAUCGAAAGGUUGCCUGAAUCUCUGGAAAGGUUAAUCAACUUGCGGUAUCUUAACAUCACAGGCACCCCUUUGAAAGAGAUGCCACCACAUAUAGGUCAACUGACAAAGCUCCAAACGUUGACUGACUUUCUCGUGGGAAGACAGAGUGAGACUAGCAUUAAAGAAUUGGGAAAGCUACGACAUCUACAGGGAGAUCUUCAUAUUCGGAACCUUCAAAAUGUGGUGGAUGCUCGGGAUGCUGGUGAGGCAAAUUUGAAAGGUAAAAAGCACCUUGAUAAGCUGAGGUUUACAUGGGAUGGUGACACUCAUGACCCGCAACACGUAACAAGCACGCUCGAGAAAUUAAAGCCACAUAUAAAUGUGCAGUAUCUUAAGAUUGAUGGUUAUGGAGGUGUAAGGUUUCCGGAGUGGGUAGGAGAGUCCUCUUUCUCCAAUAUAGUGUCCUUGAAGCUCAUUAGAUGUACAAACUGCACCUCCUUACCACCGCUCGGGCAAUUAGCUUCUUUAGAGCGUCUCUCCAUUGAAGGAUUCGAUAAAGUUGAGACUGUGGGCUCUGAGUUCUAUGGGAAUUGUACAGCUAUGAAGAAGCCAUUUGAAUCCCUCAAAACAUUAUCUUUUAAAAGCAUGCCAGAGUGGCGCGAGUGGAUUUCAGACGAAGGCAGCCAGGAAGCCUUCCCUCUUCUAGAGUCGCUUUCAAUCGAAGAAUGCCCGAACCUUGCAAAGGCCCUUCCUAGGUUUCCCAGGUUGCUCUCUCUCGAUGUUUCUGGAUGCCACUCCCUAGAGUCCCUACCCGAGGAAAUUGAUCAAAUGGGUUGUUCACCCUCUGAUUUAGGGCGAAUUGAAAUCAAGGGCUGUGCUUCUCUCAAAUGCGUCGCACUGGACUUGCUCCCCAAGUUAAAAUCUCUUUCUAUCUCUGACUGUCGAGAUCUCGAAUCAUUAUGUGCACAUGAAAGACCUCUCAAUGAUCUCACCUCUCUCCAUUCUUUGAAAAUCUGGGGGUGCCCUAAAUUAGUUAUCUGCUCCAGUCUUGACACAACUUCAUUUAGUAAACUGCAGCAACCUGAAGCUGUUACCUGAGAGAAUGCAUUCCCUCCUCCCAUCCCUUAACCUUUUGGUAAUAUAUAGUUGUUCAGAAGUUGAGUUGUGUCCAGAAGGGGAUUUUCCCUCCACAUUACAAUCACUUGAGAUUACGAAUUGCAACAAACUCAUUGCAGGCCGCAUGCUUCUGCCCUCAAGUCUUAAAUCUCUUAACAUCUCUUACCUAAAAUCUCUUCCAAGGCUUCAACACCUCACCUCCCUUACACAAUUGACAAUAAGUAACUGCCCUCUGAUUGAGUCAAUGCCAGAAGAAGGGUUGCCCUCCUCCCUUUAUUAUCUUCAAAUUCUGGGUUGUCCUAUGCUGAGUGAAAGUUGUGAAAGGGAGAAAGGUAAAGAUUGGCCCAAGAUUUCUCACAUUCCUCGCAUACAUAUUUAACCCAUAAUCAGCGGAGCAAAGAUGUAGCAGUUAAAAGGAGGUUUUCUUUCAAUCGUCCAACAUAUUGAGGUAUUGCUACUAAAUAGUUUAUUUUCUUUUCAGUAAUCCAAAGCAAUUUCAAUUAAAAUUUGGAUGAAUGAAAUACGGAUAUUGUCCAUUUUGUAUUGUUUUUAUUUGUUGGAUGUAGAAAUACAGAUAUUUUCUUCCUAUUGUCUCUCAUUCAUCUCCAUAAAUAAUAAUCAUCAUUCUAUUUCAAUAUAUCAAGCUGGAGGAUCAUCACAUGCUUCAGAUUUUGAACUGCCAGCACCACCCUUAAUUUGGACAGGAGGCUAUUGUCAUUGAAUUUUAGCAACGGAAUAUUUCUUUUGCUAAUUUAACAACAAAAUGUGUAUAUAUGAUUUUUUUUAAUAUUAACAAUGACAUUAGUGAUAGAAAAUCCAAGCUAAAAAGGAUUUAAAAAAUAUUAAAUUAUUUAAGUAAUUUGCAACGGAUUUUUCAUUGUUGACGUGCUUGGCAACAUCAAAUCUGCAACUGAUUCCAAAAAUAAAUCAAACCCUUAAUUAUAUAAAAUCCCCAUCCUUUCUCCUUUUCUCUUUUCCCGCAUCUUCAAAAAUUAAAAAAAAUAAAAAAUUCUCCAUCUCUUUCUCUAGUCUCUUCCCUUCUCCAAAAAUUCAAAAUUCAAAAACUUUUUUUUAUCUUUUAUUUAUUAUUUAACUUUGAUUAAAUUGUUUUUAUUCCAUAUAAAGCAGAAGUUAAAAAAUGAUUUUGGAGUACAUGUAAGUCAUAUCUUUUUUGGAGUUUACUGUUGUUCAGGACAAAUAAUUAGUCAUUUUCAUAUCAUCCGCCAUUUCCGCUCUUUAGUUAACUUGCAUACAUACAGAGAGAUCAUUUUGGUAAAAUUAUUAAGAAGCAAAGCAAAUUCCUUCAUCAGAUAUGGGAUUUCAAAGGAAAAAUAGGGAUUUAAAUCUUUACGGACCAUUCGUAAACCAUUGAUCUGAGAGAGGGAUAUUUGGGUUUCGUGCUUGUUUCAUAAAUAAAUAAAUAAAUAAAAUUUUCUCAUGAGGAGAUUUCAGAUAUAAUAAAUUAUGUUCGUUUGGAUCUACGAAGGAAAGAGGAAGAAGAAGUGGAAUGGCUAAUGGCUAAGUUCUUAAAUUGGAUGACCGGCUUAGCAAUUAAAGGGUUACUGGCUACUAAAAAAAAUGAUAUGAAUUAUUAACAACAAACAAUUAAAUAAAAAAGAAGCUGAUAACUGAAAAAUCAGCAACGAAAAUCCAAUGUGAAGCUAAAACCUAAGCUAUUAGAAUAGUCAAGUUAACUGUUUAAACUUACAAUUGUGUUAGUGGAAGUUGGAUAACUCGUUAAAAAAAUAUUAUAUUAAAAUAAAAAAUUUUAAAAAAUAUUGAUUAAAAUAUGAAGUGAAAAGAAAGAUUGGUAUAUAAUAAAAAUUAUUCCAAUCAAACCCACUUUUUCGACCAUGGGAUCUCUUGGCAAAUAAAGCAAGUAAAAUUAGUAAAAUGUGGGACCUAGCUCCAAUUUCCUAGCACUCAUAAUCGUAAUUUUAAAACUCAGCAUAGCGGGUUGACCUGGAACAUGGUUGAUUUGGGGCUGAAACCUAAUCGAAUUGAAAAAAAAAUCCGAUAUGACUCGAUUGAACCAGCGAGUUGAUCCGACCGCAAGCCCAUACUUUAUCAAUGAAAUAAAAGUGAUAAAAGAAAAGGAGAGAAGAAAUAAAGUGAAGUCUUCUUCUGCAUUAUUAGCACAUCACGUGAAAAGAAAGAUACAAACAAAGUUACUCCAUUUUCCUCUCACUUUUUCAACCGAUGGGGCUUCUUGGCAAAUAAAGCAAGGACAGACCGAGUUGAUGCGCUACCUAACUCCUUUUUCCUGGCCCGCGCAAUUCACGCAUACACAAACACAUCAAAAUUUACUUUAAUUUAGAAAAGAUUUUAAAAUUUUAUUUUUUAAUUUAAUAAUAACAAAGUUUUAUAUUAAAUUGGUUCACCUAAUUUAACCUGUUAUUUAUAAUUCAGGUUAUGAAAUUAUAAUACCUAAUUCCCAAAUAACCAAAUAUGAUUAAGUUUUUCCAAUCAAACCCCUCUUUUUUUAAGAUGUAAAGUCUAGCAAAAUAAAUCAAAGACAAACAGAGUAAAAUUUCAAAAAAAAAGAGAAAGAUGGAAUAUCCCACCAAUAUUUAACCCACUUAAAUUGAGUCCAAAUCAUAAGAGCAUCUACAAAGGAUUGUUAAAUGAAAAGUUAAAAGUUAAAAAAAUAUAUAUUAUUUUGACUCUUUCAUGUUUAUUUUAUACACUUCAAAAAAAUAUUAAAUAACAUAUCAAAAUAUCUUUUCUUUCUUAUAAAUACUAUUUCUACAUAUCUAUAAAAAAAACCAAUACUAAAAAAGUAGGGUCAUCAAAAAAUAAACCAAUUAAAUAUAGUCAUAUGAAAAAAAAAACAUCAAACUCAUUAAAAAAAAUAAAACACUUUUUUCUCUCACUCUAGUACAAUUAGCUUUUCAAAUAGUUUUUUUCAUUAAAAUAUAUAUAAUAAAAAAAUUAUAUUUAUAUUAUUCAAAAUACUAUUUUAUCAAUUUAGCUAUUCAAAACAUUGUUAUUAAACCCGACCCGGCCAGGUAGAUCGACCGAGUGACUAGACCUGUCCGGGCUUGUCAAAAAACUGGUCAGUGCAAUAACCUGGCAAAACUCAAUUGACCUGACGAGUUGACCCAUGACCCGGGGGAACUUGGACGAGCCCUUUUUUUGUUUUUUAAAUGUGGUUUUUCUCCUAUCCCUUUUUUUUAUAUAUUUUUUAGUUGGUUAUUAAUAUUUUUUAAAAUUUACUAUAUAAAUAUUAGAAAAGUAUUUUAUUUUUUCAAUGUAAAAUUUGAAAUCCUUUAGUAUAUAUACUAUAUUUUGCCAAGAAAAAAAUUUAUUUUUUCAAUGUGAGAUUUGAAACCUUUUGUAGAUAUAUUUUAUGUUCACAAGGAAAAAAUUAUGUUUUUUCAAAAUAAAAUUUGAAACCCUUCAGUAUAUAUACUCUAUAUUCCCAAGAAAAAAGUUAUUUUUUCAAAAUGAGAUUUGAAACCCUUUAAUAUAUAUAAUAUGUGUUUUCAGAUCAUUUAGAUGUGUUGGUAUCAAAAAUAAUUUUUUAAGAAUAAAAAAAUAUUAUGCAACCAACUUGGGUUAACCCAUUAAGCAUUAUUCUCGUAUCAUGGUUCAGAAUAACCUAAUAGAAAAUAAAUAAAACAAAUCAUGAAGUGUGAACCCCGAUUGAAAAUUAGGCAGAAAAGUAAUCUAAAUGUUUAUACAAUAGAUUUAACAGAAGUACCAAAUAAGCAUUAGAACAAACCAAAUACAAGCAAAAGAAAAUAUAUAAGUAAAUGUGAAUAACAUAAUGUUGGAAGUGAGUUACCUAAAAAUAAAAUUAUCAAUAUGUAACUAAAUAAAAUUCAAAUUCACCCCGGUAAAUUUUUUAUAUAGACAAAUGCCAGGUUCAGAAAUUUUUUCCCGAGAACAUGAAAUUUACUAUUUGGAUAAUAGAGGGAAUUUGGUAAAAUUUAAGAGUGGGCGCGCGCUCGGGUGAGAAGAAAAAUGGAGAAAAAAAGAAAGAUGAGAAACUACCAUUUACAUGUGAGAGAGAUAGAAUUGUAAUGAAAACAUAAAAUUUUAAGGGAAGAUCUUGAGGGAACAUUAACCAAGCUUAGUGAGCAUUAAUUGGAAGAAAUAAAAAUCAUGUGAAGGUGAGUAUAAAUGGAGAGAGGAAGUUCCACCAAGUUAAAGAAGAGGAGGAGUUGAAAGUUUCAUUUGGGAAGUGUUUAGAGUUUAAUUGAAUUUUAAUGGCUUAAAGUUCUUAAUUGAUUGAAUUCUUGAAAUUAAAAAGUUAGGGUUCUUCAAUAAAUUUGGGGGAAAUAAAAAUUAAUUGUAAUUUGUCAUGGAAAAUAGUGUGAAAAUUAGAGUAAAGUAAUUAAGUUAUUGUAAUUGAAGUAAAGUAUUUGAUAAUUAAAUAGAGUUAGUGGCCGGCCAAAUGAUGAGAGAUUUUAGGGGAUUUAAUUGUGAAUAAAUGUUGUGAAUUGAUGAAUAAUAUAGUAAGUAGAACUAUUUUUUAAAUAUCUCUUUACAACUUUUUAAAUUUCAUGGAACACUUGUGUUGAUUCUUGAGAUUGUGUGAAAUAUUACUACCAUAAAAAUAAAAAAAGAAUUGAUGUCUAGAUGAGGAAUAUCAUUGAAUUGUUGGUCCCUAUUAGAUUUUGGUAUGUAAUGGAGUCAUGAGACGUUAAAAAUUCUUGAGAGAUGUUAAAUUAGUGGCUAAAAUUCAUAGAAUGGUCUAUUUUUUAGAAAUAUAUUUUACUAUGAAAUUUAUUUGAUAAAAGAAAAGUAGGAAAUUUAUGGUAUAUUUCCUUGACAAUGAGUACCCGAUUAAACAAUAUGUAUAUUCAAUUAAAACUUAUAGUAUAUUUCCUUGACAGCGAAAUAAAAAAAAGUAGGAACCCUGUAAUAUCUAGGUAAUUUCUAUGCCCUUUUAAUGAGUCCUACAAACCGAGGCUGUAAUGAGCCCAUGACAGAAGGAGAUAGGAAAGUGUAAUUUCAGAAGACCAUCACACAAAUCAACGGCUGAAAUCCAAUCACUCAAGGGAUGGUGACACGUCGCAUGAGUAGAGACAGCUAGUCUUUAGUACGAAAAGAAAAAGAUAAAUUAUUUUUACUCUUGAUUUGUUUGAUUUAAAUAAUAUUGAAUUAAAAUUAUAAUUAAAAAUAUUUAGCUAAAAUUAUGAUUAGAAUUGAACUACCACAAAAGAUACUGGUGAAGGUGGAGAGGAUGUGAGAGGCGAUUGGGAUCCAAAACAUCAACUGUUGUGGUCAAUUCUGGAGGACUAAACACUUCAGGCUCCUUUCCCGUCCUUUUCCUCGCUGGAUCCUUGAUAUCUUCUUCAAGGUGUGCAGGCGCCUUGUUCGAGGAUUGAGCAUAGAAAGACUAAAAAUAGUUAAAUAAAUACGAAAAGACAUAAGGUGAAGUUUUUAUAAUAUUCAUAGCAAUAGCCAUCACCUCAUUUAUAAUUUACUAGUUACAUGCCCCACGCGAUGUCGCGAGUCAAUUAUUUUUUGUAUUUUAAAAAUAGUCAAGAUCUAAAAGUGUUAGGUUUUUUUAUAAAGUUAUACCCAAAAGUCUCAGUUUUGGUUGCUUCGCCUGAUCCAAGAGUAAUGUUUAUAAUAUUAAUAAUAACAUUAAACUUGGGUUAACCCUUAGCAUAAAAGUGUCUGGACUACAAUAUCAGAUCCAAUAACAUUGGACGUGGGUCUGGCUGCAAGGUCGUGUCAUAAAAGUGUGAUAAUUAAAUAGAUUAAUUAAAAAAAACCAACAGGAAGAAAAAAACUAAUAAAAAAAAAGAAAAAAAAUGAAUUAAUUGGGUUAACCCUUCAAACCAGGUUAACCCGUCAUACCUUGAAUUCGCAUCAUGAAAGUUUGAUAAUUAAAAAAAAAAAAUUAAUGGGUUAACCCAGAAUUAACUGGGCUAACUCGUCAAAUCAGGUUAACCUAUCAAACCCGGAAUCCGUGUAAUGAAAGUUUGAUAACUAAAUAGAAAAAAAUUAACAUUAAUAAUUUAAAUUAAAUGAAAAAAAUUAAUUAAAAAAAAAACAAAAAGCAUCAGCCUUUUCACUGUGGACUGCACUAUGCAGUCCACAGUCAAAGGCAUAAAAAAUAAAGGCAUCAGCCAAAAACUACUUAGAAAAAAAUUUAAUAUUAAUAAACUAAAUUAAUUAAAUAAAAUUAAUUAAAAGAAAAAUAAAAGAAAAAAACCUCUAAGAAGAAAAAAAACUAAAUAGAAAGAAAUUUAACAUUAACAAACUAAACGAAACGAAAAAAAAAUUAAAAAAAAAUUCAGGUUAACUCGUCAAACCAAGUUAACCCGUUAAACCCGGGAUCCGUGUCAUGAAUGUCUGGUAACUAAAUAAAAAAAAGUGAACAUUAACAAACUAAACUAAACAAAAAAAAAUUAAUUAAAAAGAAAAAAAAUCUGGGUUAACUCGUCAAACAUACAUACCGUUAAACCCAGGAUCUGUGUCAUGAAAGUCUGAUAACUAAAUAAAAAAAAUUAACAUUAACAAACUAAAUUAAACAAAAACAUUUAUGAAAAUAAUAAUAAUAAAAAUUAACGGUCAACCCGGAAUUAACUGGGUUCACCCGUGAAACCAGGUUAACCUGUGAAACUCGGGAUAUGUGUCAUGAAAGUCUAAUAACUAAAUAGAAAGAAAUUUAACAUUAACAAACUAAACUAAACGAAAAAAUUAAUUAAAAUAAUAAAAAGCAAAAAAAAAAUCUAUUUUAACUUGUCAAACCAAGUUAACCCGUUAAAUCCGAUAAACGUGUCAUGAAAGUCUGACAACUAAAUAAAACAAUUAAACAUUAAUAAACUAAAUUAAACAAAAAAAAUUGUUAAAAAAAACAAAGGAAGAGGCAAAAAAAAAAUCCCAAAAAACAUAAAAAAAACUAAGACAACUUAAAAAAAAACACCUAAGGAAUCAGUGUUUUACUGUGGAAAUGAAAAAAUUAAUUAAAAAAAAAUCUGAGUUAACCCAUUAAACCUGGAAUGCGUGUUAUAAAAGUUUGAGAUAGAAAAAAAUUUAACAUUAAUAAAAAAUUUUAUUUUUAAAUAUCCAUUAAAAAAAAUGAAGAAAAAGAAAAGCAAAAAGUAAAAAAAAACAUCUGAAUUAAUUGGGUUAACCCUCAAACCAAGUUAAGCCGUCAAAACAGGGAUUCGCGUCAUGAAAGUUUGAUAACUGCAUAAAAAAAAAAAUUAACGGAUUAACCCAUAAUUAAUUUGGUUAACCUAUGAAACCAGAAAAAAAAUCUGGGUUGACCCGUUAAACCGGGAAUGCGUGUUAUAAAAGUUUGAGAUACAAAAUUUUUUAACAUUAACAAAGUUUUUUUUUUUUUAAAUAUCCAUUAAACAAAAAAAGAAAAAAAAAAAAAACAAAAAAAAAAACGAAAAAAAAGACAGCUCAGUUAAAAAAAAAAAAUGAAAAAAAAGACUUAAAAAAAAAAAAAAAAAAGGAUCGGUGUUUUACUGUGGACUGCACUGUGCAGUCCACAGUAAAACACAGAUCUCUUUUAGCUAUAUAUAUAUAAUAUAAUAUAAUAAUUUAUCUAUUUAUCAAUGAGUUAAAUGACCCGCGCGAUGCCGCGGGUCAAUUAUUUUUUACAUUUCAAAAAAAAAGUUAAGAUCUAAAAGUGUUAAGUCUUUCUACAAAGUUAUACCCAAGAGUUUUAGGUUUGGUUGCAACGUCUAACCCAAUAGUAACAUCUAUAAUAUUAAUAAUAACAUUAAACUUGCAUGACUCAAAUUUAAGUGGGUUUGACUGUAAUACCAAACCCAAUAGCAUUGGACGUGAGUAUGGUUGCAAGGUCGUACGAUAAAAGUGUGAUAAUUAAAUAGAUUAAUUAAAUACAAAAAAACAAAGAAAAAAUAACUAAUAAAGAAAAAGAAAAAAAAUGAAUUAACCCUUCAAACCAGGUUAACCCGUCAAACCUUAGAUUCGCGUCGGAAAAGUUUGAUAACUAAACAGGAAAAAAAAAAAUUAAGGGGUUAACCCAGAAUUAAUCGGGCUAACUCGUCAAACCAGGUUAACCCGUCAAACCCGGAAUCCGUGUCAUGAAAGUUUGAUAACUAAAUAGAAAAAAAUUUAACAUUAACAAUUUAAAUUAAACAAAAAAAAUUAAUUAAAAAAAAAACAAAAGGCAUCAGCCUUUUUAUUGUGGACUGCACUGUGCAGUCCAUAGUCAAAAGCAUAAAAAACAACAAAAAAAAGAAAAAGAAAAACUAAAGGCACCAGCCGAGAACUACAUAGAAAAAAAUUUAGUAUUAAUUAAAUAAAAUUAAUUAAAAAGAAAAAAAACCUCUAUGAAGUAAAAAAAAAUUAAAUAGAAAGAAAUUUAACAUUAACAAACUAAACUAAAUUAAAAAAAUAAUUAAAAAAAAGCAAAAAAAAAAUUCAGGUUAACUCGUCAUACCAGACUAACCCAUUAAACCUGGGAUCCUUGUCAUGAAUGUCUGAUAACUAAAUAAAAAAAGUGAACGUUAACAAACUGAACUAAAUGAAAAAAAAUAAUUAAAUAGAAAAAAUUUGGGUUAACUCAUCAAAUUAUGUUAACCCGUUAAACUCCGGAUCUGUGCCAUGAAAGUCUAAUAACUAAAUAAAAAAAAUUAACAUUAACAAUCUAAAUUAACCAAAAAAAAUUAUGAAAAUAAAAAAACAAAAAAAAUUGACGGGUCAACCUAGAAUUAACUGGGUUCACCUGUGAAACUCAGGAUAUGUGUCAUGAAAGUCAGAUAACUAAAUAGAAAGAAAUUUAAUAUUAACAGACUAAACAAAACAAAAAAAAGUAAUUAAAACGAUAAAAAAAAGCAAAAAAUAAAUUAUGAGUUAACUUGUCAAACCAGGUUAACCCGUUAAACUUAAAAAACGUUUUAUGAAAGUUUAAUAACUAAAUAAAAAAAAUUAAACAUUAAUAAAGUAAAUUAAACAAAAUUUGUUUUGUUAAAAGAUAAAAAAAGAGCAAAAAAAAAAUCCUGAAAUUCAUAAAAAACAAUUAAAAAAAUAACACAACUUAAAAAAAAAAAAAAACAAACCUAAGGCAUUAUGAUCAUUGUUUUACUGUGUAUUGCACUGUGCAGUCCCGUGAAGGCCCCAGUCAAACACUGAUCUGUUUUAGUAUAUUUUACAAAUAUAAUAAUUUAUCUACUUUAUCAAUGAAAAGUAAUAAAAGAAAACGAAGACAAGAAAUAAAGUGAAGUCUUCUUCCGCAUUAUUAGCACAUGUGAAAAGAAAGAUUGGCAUGUAAUAAAAGUUAUUCCAAUCAAACCCACUUUAUUAAAGUUGUUGCAAAUAAAGCAAGGACAGGCCGAGUAAAGUGGGGGACAUACACUAAUAAGUUAACUAGCUUUGAUACCCGUGCGAUGCCGCGGGUUAUUUUUUUUAUAUACAAAAUAUUUUAAAAAAUAAAAAUAUAAAAAUCUUGAGUUUUUCUACAAAGUUAUACCCAAGAAUCUUGAGUUUGACUGCAACGACUGAUCUAAGAGUAAUAUUUAUAAUAUUAAUAAUAAAAUUAAACUUGCAUGACUCAAGUUUAAUUGAGCCUGACUGUAACACUGGACCUAAAAAUAUUAGAUGUGGGUCUGACUAUAAGGUCGUGUCAUAAAAGUAUGAUAAUUAAAUAGAUUAAUUAAAAAAAAACAAAGAAAAAAAUCAACAAAAGGAAAAAACUAAUGAAGAAAAAGAAAAAAGAAAAAAGAAAUUAAAUUAAUUGGGUUAACCCUUUAAACCAGGUUAUCCCGUAAAACUUGAGAUUUGCAUCAUAAAAGUUUGAUAACUAAAUAGAAAAAAAAAUGACGGGUUUACCCAGAAUUAACCGGGUUAACCUAUCAAACCUAGUUAACCCGUCAAGCCUGCUAAAAAACAAAAUCAGACCCAAUAGCCUUGUAUGCGGAUCUGGCUGCAAUGUCAUGUAAUAAAAGUGUGAUAAUUAAAUAAAUUAAUUAAAAAGAAAAAAAACCAAUUGAAAGAAAAAAACUAAUGAAGAAAACGAGAAAAAAUCUGAAUUAACUGGGUUAACCCGUUAAACCUUGGAUUCGUGUCAUGAAAGUUUGGUAACUAAAUAGAAAAAAAAAUUGACGGGUUAACCCAGAAUUAACCGGACUAACCCGUCAAACCAGGUUACCUAUCAAACCUAGGAUCCGUGUCAUGAAAGUUUGAUAACUAAAUAGCAAACAAAUUGAACAUUAACAACCUAAACUAAACGAAAAAAAUUAAUUAAAAUUUUUUUUUUUUUAAAAAAAACAAAACAAAAGACAUAAGCCUGUUACUAAUGAGGAAAAAGAAAAAAAUCUGAAGCAACUCAGUUAACCCUUAAAAUUAGGUUAACCCGUCAAACCUGAGAUUCGCGUCAUGAAAGUUUGAUAACUAAAUAGGAAAAAAUAAUUGAUGGGCUAAACGAAAAAAAUUAACAAACUAAACUAAAUGAAAAAAUUUGAUUAAAAAGGAAAAAAACAAAAAAAAAUUGGGUUAACUCAUCUAAUUAAGUUAACCCAUCAAACCCGAGAUCCGUGUCAUGAAAGUACGAUAACUAAAUAAUUUUUUUUUUCCACAUUAACAAACUAAAUUAAACAAAAAAAAAUUCAUUAAAAGAAAAAAAACACAAAGAAAAAACUAAAAUAAAAAACUCAUAGGCAUAAAAAAAGAAGGGAAAAAGAUCUGAAAAAAAAAAAAAAAAACAAACAAACACUUUAGCUACAGUAUUUUACCUACGCGUUUUAGUAUAUUAAUAUUAAUAAUAAUAAUAAUAACACUAAUUUGAGAUAUUUUUUUUACUUUGGAGUUUACAGGCAAAUAAAGUGAUGGAAGAAAAAGUCUUCUUCUGCAUGAUCACAUGAUGCGAAAAGCUUGGCAUUUGCUGAAGUUUUUCCAAUCAAACCCACUUUUUUCAAAGAUGGAAUUUCUCGGAAAAUAAAUCAAAGACAAGCCGAGUAAAAUGGAGUUCAGUGUUCUAUAUAUUUCUCAAGGGGAAAAAAAUAACGUCGUUUUCUUUUCUAUACAACUGUUUUGUUAGAGAUCUUAGCCGAUGCAUCUGAAUUAUAAUUUUUAGCAAUUAUAAUAUUUUAUAGCGCUAAUAUCUUACAAAAACAUAUUUUCUAGCUUUUUUUUUUUUUAUAGUAUGAUCAAAUAUUAAAAAAUAUUUUUCAACUCAUUAUCUUUAAUACAAUUAAAUUUCAUAGAAUUGUCUAUUUUUUUGAAAUAUAGUUUACUAUGAGAUUUAUUUGAUAAAAGAAAUUCACUUUGUAACAAUACACUAGAAAAAAAGAAGAAGAAGCUAAUGAUCAUUUAAACAUAUAGUCUCGCCAGAGAGACUAUAUUGGAAUCAUCUUGCUCAACAUGUCGAAUGAUGCAAGCGGAAGCAUAAUAAAACAACAAUAAACACAGACAAAAUAGAAAAUAAAGUUGAAUUAGGGUUAAACAUAAAAAAUCCUAUAACCUUAUUAUAUGUUUGAGUUGGCUUUUUAAAGAGGUUUACGAUGUUUUUUAUAACCUAAAAAAAACUGAUUACGCUAGAAAAUAAAAUUAAAAUCCCUAAAUAUAAAAGAAAAUAGCAUAAAACCAAAAACAAACAAUAAAUCUAAAAAUAUAUAAGAAAAAUAAUAAAUAUGAUCAAACAAACAACUUCAAAACCCGAAUCAUGCAAGUUAUAUAAUGAACAUAGUGGCUUCCCAUUAGAAAAAUACACAAGUUAUAUAUAUAUAUAUAUAUAUAUAUUAUAAUUAAAUUUAAAAAUUAUAACAAAUUAUUCCUGUUUUUAUUUUUUAACUUAAGGAUGAACAAUCUUGAAAAUGUGAGGAUGUUUAUUAAGGACUUGAGAUUGUUAACGUUGCAUCAACAGCCGGCUGAUCUUGUCAAUUCUGCUUAGACAAAAGGGUGUUGGCAAGUGCUUUCAAACGAUGUCAAGGAAAAAAUAAAUUUAAAGGAUAAAUUUUUUUUAAAAUCAAAACAAAAUAUAUAAAAUUAAAAGAUUGAAGAACAGAUUUUAUAUAAUCAAUAAAUAAUUUAAUAUAUUUUUUUAUUUUUUUACAACUUUUGAAAAAUAUAUUUGACUCAAAAUAAUAAAAAAUAUUUUUAUGAAAACAAGUCAAACAUUUUUUUAAUUUAGAAGUUUUUUUUAUUAAAUAAAUUUUUCAACGACAAACAAAUAUAAAAAAAGAAUUAAAAAAUGAUUUAUCAGAAAACCACAAACAAACUGUGCCUAGACUUCUUUAAUUUAGAAUUGCAAAUGUAUUUUGUUUGCAGUUUCUUCGUCUCUCUACCCUCCAAUCGAGGAUUUGACAACGACAUUGCAUGAUUUCUCUCUGGUCUAUGAACCAUUAAACAACAAUCACUCGAAACCCACGUACAGUCCCUGCCAUCCUCUCUUUCCAUUAAAAUGGAAGUCGCUGCAUGUGUUGCAUGUUCUCAUUAAGUCAAUAUGUGCAUGCAUGAUUAAUUAUGCACUUUGUAACCAUAAAUCUUCCUUUAAUCAUUCCAAAAAAGAAAAAAAUAGAAAAGAUUUUCUCUGAUCUGUUUGGUGAGUCCCAAUUAUCACUGGCUUUCAAUUUCCAUCCCGUCCUUUCUAGCUGGAUUGCGUGUUUUUUCUCUUCUUUUCUUUUUUGCUGGAAUACAAUAAUGCAUCACAAUGGUUAAUUCCAUGGUAAUUUCUUUAAUCAUUUAUAUACAUAAAUUUGGUUACAGAGGAGAAUGACACUUCCACCUCUAUAUUCAAAUAUUUAUUAAAAAUAUAGUUUAAUUGAUUAGGUUCUGAAUUUGUUUUUUAAAGGUUAAUAAUUCAAGUUUUAUAAACCUCAUAGUUAUUAAAGACUUACAUGAUCAUUAGCUUAGGACCUACGAAAUUAGUUGAAGUACGCACAAACUAGUCAAGAAAUCCAUGUUAAUUUUUAAAAAAAAAGUUUUGUAUUUUUAUUCAUUUUUAUUUAUAUAGUAUCUUUGAAAACAAAACAUCAAAUAUAACAUUGAUGGUUCAGAAAUAAUUCCAAAUUUCGAAGUAUACCAAAUAAUUACUUCCAAUCCACCCCAUUCAUAGAUCGUGUUAAAAACCAUGCUGUAUAUAUUUGAGGGGUGCAAGCGCCUUGUUUGAGGAUUGAGCAUAAAAGACUAAAAGAGUUAAAUAAAUACUAAAAGACAUAAAGUGAAGUUCUUAUAAUAUUCAUGGCAAUGGUCAUCAGCUCAUUUAUAAUUUAUUUAUAUACUUUAUCAAUGAAAUAAAAGUAAUAAAAGAAAAGGAGAGAAGAAAUAAAGUGAAGUCUUCUUCCGCAUUAUUAGCACAUCACGUGAAAACAAAGAUCGGCAUAUGAUAAAACCCAUUCUUUUCAAAGAGCAUAACAAGGGCCGAGAGAGACAAGGCUUUUGCGAGUUCUGUAUAUUUUUCUGUGGUGGUCCCAGCUAUUAUGUUGCUGACACUGGAUAGAGAGACUUCAACCACCAAUCAAAUUAUUUUUAUUGACCUUUUGUGCUGUUCGUCACUUUCCUUCGCUCCUUCUCUCUUUGCUGUCAAAUUUCAAAAACCUUAGCUAUUAGAAUAGUUGAGUGUUUGUUUUUGUAUUUUAAAAGAGUUUUUAAGAAUUUUAAAUGUUUUUAUUUUAAAUCAAUUUUUUAAUUGACUCCAUAAUAGAAAAGAUGCCAUCCCCCUAAUACAAAACUCUAAAAAAAAACAAUGAUCGUGCCACCACCGGUGGUUGUGCUGUUUUAUGACAUCACAAGCCAUAUAAGUAGCUGAUUAGAAUGAUUUUGUAUGGGACCCAGUUGUGACAUCAGCUGUUUUUGUGUUUUCUCUUUCAAUCAUAGCUAAAGACUAGGCAUGGCAUGAUAAUCGAUGGAUGGGGGUAGGGAUAAUGGGAGCCACAUGAUCCAUUUCGUGGUUGUUUCUUUCUUCUAUAAAGAAGAUCAUGCCAUCACGGAUCUUACGGGAUUGAUAUCUUGCCCGGUGUUGAUUUACUACAAUGGCUGCACGUGAACCCGUCCUCCAGGACAACUCCCAACAAGUGUCUGUCUAUCACUCUCAAAUUAAUUUGAUAUUUCUGUUCCAGUGCCUCCAUAGAAGAGUAUAGGUGUUAAUCAUUUUUUAUUUUUAUAUUUUAAAAGUUUUUUUUAAUAAUUUUUAUUUUUUACUUUAGAUUUUUUUUUGAUAUUUUUAGAUAUUUUGAUAUAAAAAUAUCAAAAAUAAUUUUUUUAAAAUAAGAAAAUAUUAUUUUAAUAUUUUUCCAAAUAAAAAACAUUUUAAAAAACAACAACAAUCAUAUUUUUAAACAACUCCUAAACCUUUCCCAUUUUUUUUGAGAUUAUAGUACCGAUGUUAUUUUAAUAUUUAAAAAAAAAAUCUUAAUUUUUUUAAAAUUAAAUUAAGCUUUUCUUUGAGUUCAAACAAAUCAAUGAGGAAGGUUGGUUAUUUGUCCUGCCGCACCAUCCUAAAAUGUAAUGUAAUAACCAAUGUAAUUUGAUGUUUGUGUUUCAUGGGUUCGUGUUGUUGAUGCGUGCUAUUGUACUUUCUAGGUGAUAAGGAAAAAAUUAUUUAUUUUGUCAAAUAAUUUAUAUUUUUUUAUAUUUAGCUUUGUUUGUAAUUGCAUUUCCAAUGUUAAUUUAUAUAGGCCUUGAAUUGGUACCUUUUUAUCAGUUUGAGCGUAAUUACCACCAACUUUCUGUAGGAUGAUAUGGGUAUUUUAGAUAGUGUAGCAUGAUCUUUACCUGUUACGUUUUUUUUUUAUAGGAUAAUUAUUCUCUCUUUUUAUGUUUAUUUAACUUAAGGAUAAUCAGUCUCGAAAAUGCGAGGAUGUUUAUCAAAGAGCAGAGAUUGUCACGCUGCAUUAACAACCAACUGUUGUAGUCAAUUCUGGUAGGCUAAAAGUCAUCCACUUGAUUGAUUAAUGGACAUUAGCUGUUUAGCACUCCAUGGUACUUCAGGCUCCUUUCCUACCCUUUUCCUCGCAAGUGACUUGUUAAUUUGCUUUAUUAGUAUCGGUAAUUUUGUGCAGAACUGUUAUUAUUCUUUGAAAUCAGGCACGGUUCGAGGAUUCAGCAUAAAAGAAUUUGGGUAUAUUAAUUAAAGCUAAAUUUAUUUUUUUUAAUCUCAACACAAAAAAAAUUGAAACAGACAUGUUUUUAUGUACUUUAUAUCUUGAAAAUACAAGAAUCCGUCUAAAUUAAUACAUAUUUAUUUUAUAUCUUUGUUUUCAUCUCCUUGAGCAAACGUGUUUUUAUCAUUUCAAUGUCUAUCGUUUUUAUUUAGUAAUAUUUAACCAAAGGCCACCUUAAAGAUUCAUGCAUGAAACAUCCAUUUCCUAAUCAAGUACUAGGCCAAUUCUUUCAAGUUUAUAUGUUAGACUUACAAUAAAACACUAUGUUAUGUUUGGUAACCAGUAUAAGCAUCAACAAAGUUAAAUAAAAGGAUCAAACCCAAACACAUUAGUGUAAAACAAGGAUCCAAUUAUCAUCGAGCCUAUUUUAACUUAAUCUCAACAAUCGUGUCACUAGUUAUUAAUUAUAACCCAUAUCUUGCACCAGAAAAAAGAAGUUACCAUAACCAAAGCACAUGCGUCUCAUAUAAUUUGAUUACUUGAAAUAUGUCUUUGAGGUAUAAUGACAUCGAAUAGACAAGGUAAUUGAAUUAAAUUAUAGGUCUUUUACCGAUAUUUUAUUAAAAUAAUAUUUGUUUAUUUUUUUAAAAUAAAAUAAAUCUUUUUUAUGCUGAUUUAACUAGGUUUAGAUCAGGUUUUGUCUAAUAAUAAAAUCAUUAAAAAUCUAGUAAGGUAAACAUAGUUUCAUUGCAUCAAUGCUUUUCUAAUUUAAUUUUAAAUUUGAUCAUGUCAAGAUUUGAAUUUUAUAGCUUCCAAUAGCAAAUCAAAUCACGGACAUAAUUAAAAAAUGAUACUAUAAAUAAAUAAAAAAGAUUUUGGAAUAAAAUGAUCCACAUAUAUAUAUAUAUAUAUAACAAGGUAAAGGGUCAAACGGUGGAAGAUAAAAACCAAUAAUGUCUCAUAAUAAUUUCAUUUAUUGUGAAGAGUUACUAUAUUGAUUGUUUUUAUAUUUUUUUUUAAAAUCACAUCCAUUUAUCUAAAAUUACUAGUCUUUAAAUAAUAAAAUAAUUUUUUAUAUAUAAUUUGCUCUACAGAUCACAGUUAUUAAACCCGGCCCGGCCCGGCGAGUCGACCCGGUGCUGGACCGGUUCGGGUUUAAUAAAAGACCGGUUGUGGCAACAGCCCGGCCAGACCCAGGCGACCCGGGCAAACCCGGACGAGACCCGAGUUUUUUUUUUUUUUUUUUAAUUUGGGAUAAAAAAAAAUUUGGUUUAAAUAUUUCAACUUAAAAUGAUAACAUAGUAUCUUUUCAAUGUGGGGUUUGAAGCCCUUUCAUAUAUAUACUUUAUGUUCACAUGAAAAAAAUUAUAUUUUUUCAAUGUGGGAUUUAAAACCCAUUAGUAUAUAUACUUUAUGUUCCCAAGGAAAAAAUCAUGUUUUUUCAAUGUGGGAUAAAAAACCUUUUAGUUUAAAUACUUCAACUUAAAGGGAUAACAUAGUAUCUUUUCAAUGUGGGAUUUGAAGCCCUUUCAUAUAUAUACUCUAUGUUCCCAUGAAAAAAGUUAUGUUUUUUCAAUGUGGGAUUUGAAACCCAUUAGUAUAUAUACUCUAUGUUCCCAAGGAAAAAAUCAUGCUUUUUCAAUGUGUGAUAAAAAUCCUUUUGGUUUAAAUACUUCAACUUAAAGGGAUAACAUAGUAUCUUUUCAAUGUGGGAUUUGAAGCCCUUUCAUAUAUAUACUCUAUGUUCCCAUAAAAAAAGUGAUGUUUUUUAAACUAAAAUGUUUUUUAUCCCACAUUGAAAAAACAUGAUUUUUUUUCUUUAGGAAUAUAGAGUAUAUAUACUAAUGGGUUUCAAAUCCCACAUCGAAAAAACAUAUGAAAAGUUUUUUGAGUUAGACAAAUACUAAGCAACAUUCUAGCAUGUGCAAUGAAGUUUUUACAAUAUUCGUAGUAACGGUCACCAGCUAAUUUAUAAUUUAUAAAUCUACUUUAUCAAUGAAAAGUGAUAGAAGCAUAGUUAUUAAACCCGAUCCGAAAGCCGGAUUUCAGAUUUCAUGGAUCAACUCGGAUUAACCUAAAAAAAUUAAAAAUACAUAUUUAAAGUUUUAAUAUUUCAUAUAUAAAAAUUAAGAAAAAAUUAAACUCAUGUAAAUAUAGGCUAUACUUAUUGUAAAUAAUGAAGUUUAAAAAAUAUAUUUUAAUUUUUUUUUAUCAUACAUUAAAAAGAUACUAUAUUAACCUUUUAAGUUGAAGUAUUUAAAUCAAAAACGUUUUUUAUCUCAUAUUGAAAAAAUAACUUUUUUCUUUGGAACAUACAAUAUAUAUAUUAAUAGGUUUCAAAUCUCACAAUAAAAAACAUAAUUUUUUUCUUGGAAACAUAUAUAUAUAUAUAUAUAUAUAUAUAUAUAUAUAUAUAUAUAUAAAAGGACUUUAAAUUCUACAUUAAAAAAAUAUUAUAUUAUCCUUUUAAGUUAAAGUAUUUAAACUAAAAAAUAUUUUAAAUUGAUCUGCUGAUAUGGUAAAAUCCAGAGAUUUCUUGGAAAAUAAAUGAAAGACAAACAGAGUAAAAUGGAGUCCAGAGCAUACAAGAGCCGAGAUUGAAACAGGAAAUGCAAGAAAAAAAAGAUGGGCCCUUGUUUUCUCUUUUUUAUGGCCGGCGACUGGAUAUAAAAAGGGAGGAGAUGAAGUGCCCGUUUGGUAACGUGGCUGCGGGUGAGGUUCACCCGCAGCUACGCCAAAUGCCGUUUGGUUAACAAGAAAAAAUUGCUUUUUUGAUAGUGGAACACAUGAAAUUUUCAGACGCGCCACAUGUUUUGGAGAAGCAGCAAAAUGCUGCUUCUCAUAGUAUAGAAAAGCAGAACAGUGGAGCCAUGCUCCACUGUUACAGUUUUAGUUUUUUUUUUUUUUGAAAAACAUUGCGAGAAGUUAAUUUUUUUUUUCUUGAAAAAUUAUUUCAAUUAAUUGAUUUUACUCGCAUUGUGAACGUGAACAUGAACAAUAUUAUUUUUUAAAAAAAUUAGUUUAAGGUGAAUUAAAUUUACUCGUAUUGUAAUAUCAAUUUUAUUCCUGAUAAUAUUUUAUUUAAUUUUAUUGCACGCUCAAAAAAUUAUUUUUUCUGUAGUUCUUGUCAAAUGAAUUUUAUACAUAAUAAAAUUGUAAUUUUUUUAAAAAAAUUUUGUUUUACUUGAAAAACUACUAUUUAAUAUUAUUUAAUAACACAUCAUAUAAAAAGAAAUUCAGUUUUUAUUUUUAUUUUAAUUGUGUUUUAUUCAAAAACUUAAAAGGAGAUCGCUCAAUGACGUAACAAAAAAUUCAGUUUUUUGUUGUUGCGCGCUUAAGAAACCAUGAAAAAUAUAGUCCUUGUUAGAUAGAUUUCGUAUGUAAUGACAUUGCACAUAGUUUAAUGGAAGAAUAAAAAAUAUUUGAUAUCAAUAUUAUUUAUUUCAUGAUAUAAUAACAGUGGUUAAAUCUACAAUAUUUAAAUUAAAAAUCAUUAAUAUAUAAAUUUUUUAAUUAUUUUAUAACCUCAAUUUGAAAAGUAUUUUUUUACCAGACACAUUAAACUACUUUUUAUUCAAUUUCAACCACAGUUUUAACUAAACAUAUAUUUUUUCAAACCAACCUUAACUAAAAAUACUUUUUAUAAAAUAACUUUUUUAAAAUAAUAACCACAAUAACAACCUCAAUACCAAACAGACCCGAAGCUUUCAAAUUAUUUACAAUUUUGCGGUCACUUAUUGUGUCCAUGUCGUUUUGUGUAAUUGCCCAGCUACCGGUACUAUUUUAACACUGUUAAAAGUCUAAAUUAUCAAUAUUUCCCCAAUUUAUCUCUAAAAAAAAUUCACUUCAAUUAAUAGCAUUUUUUUUUAUUUCUUUUGUCAAUGUUUACCUCUUUUUGAUAAACUUGUAUAUUUUUGUACCAGAGGUCUAAAAUUAUUGUGUCCACUUAUUACUUAUUUAAAUUCAUUAGAAUGUUUUAAAUAACUUUUUUAAAUUUUAAUCCCAGAGUUUACAUGCGUAAUACAUGAGUUAUAUAAAUUAUGAUUCAAAAUAUUGUUAUAACUAAAUUAAAAAAAAAAUACAAAUGAUCAAACCAUUGAUGCUGGUGAUGCUCUCGUCUCCAGAAUGGUCCGCUUGUACUUGGCUGAUGGAGCUGAGGGAAAGCCAAUGGCUACAAAGUGCGAAUGUGAUUUUCGCGAAAUGAAUUAGGGCAAGCAAAUUUUGUUCUCCGUCAUUUUGUAAAUUCUCGCAGCUGCUUGUUAGACGCCAUAAAUAGUCUAAGCUUGUUGUUGAGAUUUUUUAUUUUCUGUAUAUGAAUUUAGAGUUAAUUUCUUGAAUAUUAAGUUUUCUGAUUUUUCUAUAUAAUUAAUUUUUUAAUUUGAUUUGAUUAGUAUUAUCGUACAUUUCUCAUUCUAAAAAAAAAAAAAUACCAGAAGAAUAUUUUCUUUCUAUUGAAAACAUUUGUGGUUAGAACAAAGUAAUUUUUACUGGAGUGUCGUUUUGGGAUGCAGCAUGAACUUUACCUGUCUAAUUUGUACGGCGUGAGAAGAUGUUGCUUUCCAUGGCUUCUCCUUAAAAAAAUUCCAUCACAUUUGACAAUUUUGUUAUAAAAACAAAAGAUAUAUCUUUUAAAGAAGAGAAGUGAUACCUAAAAUUUAUAAAUGAUCUAAACUCUUAAUUUUUAAUCGAUGAUCAUGUUACUGAAAAAACGUACUACGCUUGGAGGACAUAGAGAACGUCCUACGCUUUCAUUCGAGUUUAGCGCACACGAGAAACCUGAAUUCUUUAUAAGAAGCUUGGUAUAAAUAUAUUUCUUCUUAGACAUUAAUUAUUCAUGCAAUUGAAGUUGAGUUUGGGUUAGGUUUUGGAUAGGGCAUGGUAAUAUCUAACCUGAUCUGAAACUUGAUUUUUUAUCUUCAAGUUUUACAUCAAAUCAACUUGAAUUAAAAAAUUUCUUAAUUAUUUGAAUAAGUUCAAGACAAUAUCCAUAGAAUUCAAGUGAAAUCGGCCCGAGGAGGAUAUACAAGUAGACUUCUAGUUUUCUCAAAUAUUUUAAUUUUAAUGAUUGGACAAGAGAGCAAAAAUACCAUAUUAAUAUUUUUUUUCUUUUUAUGAAAAUAAAACAUAUCUUUUCUCACUAGCACAUAUUCAUCCCAACUUGAAAAUACAUUUUUAAUAACGUGAUUAUACGAUGAGGUCCCCACUUGUCAGGUAAAGCUUCGGCACCUCCUUCAAUCCUAGUUUGGGAAACAGAAGCACUCUAUCACCAUUAGUUUUCCCCGAGGAAGACAGCACCCCGAUUCCCUCCUCCUGUGCUGAUGAUGGGGCAUGAGAGAGAGUCCAUACGAGUUCAAAAUAAAAUUAUUAAUAUAUAAUUAAAUAAAAUUAAAAUUCACCUAGGUAAAAUUUUUAUAUAGACAAAUGCCAGGAUACAAAAAUUUUAUCCCGGGAACAUGAAAUUUACUAUUUGGAAUAUAGAGGGAAUUUAGUAAAAUUUUAGCGUAUGUGUGCGUGCUCCAGUAAAAAGAAAAAGAAGAAAAGAAAAAGAAGGAAACUAUCAUUUACAUAUGAGAGAGAUAAAAUUGUAACGAAAACAUAAAAUCUUAAGGGAAGAUCUUGAGGGAAAGUAACUAAGCUUUGUGAGCAUUAAUUGGAAGGAAUAAAAAUUAAAUGAAGGUGAGUAGAAAAGAAGAGAGGAAGUUCAACCAAGAUUGAAGAAGAGGAGGAGUUGAAAGCUUGAUUUGGAAAGUGUUUAGAGUUUAAUUACUUGCUUGGUAAUGCAUUCUAAAGACAUUUGAUCUAAAUUUUAAUUGCUUAAAGUUCUUAAUUGGUUGAAUUUUUGAAAUUAAAAAGUUAGGGCUCUUGAAUAAAUUUGAGAAAAAUAAAAAUUUAUUUUAAUUUGUCAUGGGAAAUAAUAUGAAAAUUAGAGUAAAGUGAUUAAAUUAUUAUAAUUAAAGUAAAAAUUUUGAUAAUUAAAUAGAGCUAGUGGCCGGCUAAUGAUGAGAGAUUUUAGAGGAUUUAAUUGUGAAUAAAUAUUGUGAAUUGAUGAACAAUAUAGUAAGUAGAACUGUUUUUUGAAUAUCUCUUUAUAACUUUUUAAAUUUUAUGGAACACUUGUGUUGAUUCUUGAGAUUGUGUGAAAUAUUACUACCAUGAAAAUAAAAAAAGGAAUUGAUGUCUAGAUAAGAAAUAUCAUUGAGUUGUUGGUUAAAAUCCAUAAAACGGUCUAAUUUUUAGAAAUAUAGUUUACUAUGAAAUUUAUUUGAUAAAAGAAAAGUAGGAACUUUAUGGUAUAUUUCCUUGACAAUGAGUACCCGAUUAAACAAUAUUUAUAUUAAAUUAAAACUUAUGGUAUGUAUCCUUGACAGCGAAAUAAAGAAAAGUAGGAACCUUGUAAUAUCUAGGUAAUUUUUAUGCCCUUUUAAGGAGCCCUACAAACUGAGGCUAUAAUGAGCCCAUGACAGAGGGAGACAGAAAAGCAUAAUUUCAGAAGACCAUGACACAAAUCAACAGCUGAAAUCCAAUCACUUAAGGGAUGGUGACAUGUCGCAUGAGUGGAGACAACUGGUCUUCAGUACAAAAAGAAACAAAGCGUUUUCAUUGUUUAAUUUGUUUUUUGAAGUGUCUUUGUUCUCGUGAUUGCUCUUGUGGUGAUGGAGACUUUAAAAAGAUAGUUUAUAAAAAUUAUUUUCACUCGUGAUUUGUUUGAUUUAAAUAAAUAUUUAAUUAAAAAUGUUUAACUAAAAUUAUGAUUAAAAUGGAUGUUUUAACUUAAAUUACCACAAAAGACACUGGUAAAGGGGGAGAUGAUGUGAGAGACGAUUGGGUAUUUUAUUUAAUUGUCAAAACAUUAACUGUUGUGGUCAAUUCUGGUGGACUAAAAGCCAUCUACUUGAUUAAUGGCCCUUUUCCUCGCUGGAUCCUUGAUAUUUUCAAGGGGUGCAAGCGCCUUGUUCGAGGAUUGAGCAUAAAAAGAUUAAAAAGAGUUAAAUUGAAAUAUAACUAAAACGGAUGAGUGUUUUAUUUUUAAGUGGUCAAUUCCUAUUGUUUUACGUGUUUUUUUUAAAAAAAAUUUUGCUUUUUUUUUUAAGUUUUUUUUUUUUUUUUUAAUUGAGCUGUUUUUUUUUUUUACUUUUUGCUUUUUUUUUUCUUUGUUUUUGUUUAAUGGAUAUUUUAAAAAAACAAAAUUGUUAAUAUUAAAUUUUUUUGUAUCUCAAACUUUUAUAACACGCAUUCUGAGUUUAACGGGUUAACUCAAAUUUUUUUUUCCUGGUUUCAUAGGUUAACCAAAUUAAUUAUGGGUUAACCCGUCAAUUUUGUUUCUAUACAGUUAUCAAACUUUCAUGACGCGAAUCCCUGGUUUGACGGGUUAACUUGGUUUGAGGAUUAACCCAAUUAAUUCGAUUUUUUUUUUAUUUUUUGCUUUUCUUUUUCUUCAUUUUUUCUUUGUUUUUUUUAAUGGAUAUUUUAAAAAUAAUUUUUUUUAUUAAUAUUAAAUUUUUUUCUAUCUCAAACUUUUAUAGCACGCAUUCCAGGUUUAAUUGGUUACCUCAGAUUUUUUUUUUUGGUUUUUCUUUUUAAUUAAAAUUUUCAUUUUCACAAUAAAACACUGAUUCCUUAGGCCUUUUUUUUUUUAAAUUGUCUUAGUUUUUUUAGUUGUUUUUUUUAUGUUUUUUGGGAAUUUUUUUUGCUUCUUCCUUUGUUUUUUUUUUAACAAAAUUUUUUUGUUUAAUUUAGUUUAUUAAUGUUUAUUUUUUUUUUUUGUCAGACUUUCAUGAUACGUUUACCGGAUUUAACGGGUUAACUUGGUUUGACAAGUUAAAAUAUUUUUUUUUUUGCUUUUUAUUCUUUUUAAUUAAUUUUUUUUUUGUUUAGUUUAGUUUGUUAAUGUUAAAUGUCUUUCUAUUUAGUUAUUAAACUUUCAUGACACAUAUCCUGAGUUUCACGGGUUAACCUGGUUUCACGGGUGAACCCAGUUAAUUCCGGAUUGACCCGUCAAUUUUUUUUUUUUCAUAAAUGUUUUAGUUUAAUUUAGUUUGUUAAUGUUAAUUUUUUUUUUAUUUAGUUAUCAGACUCUCAUGACACAGAUCCUGGGUUUUACGGGUUAGCAUGGUUUGACGUGGUAACCCCUGUUUUUUUUUCUUUUUAAUUAAUUUUUUUUUGUUUAGUUUAGUUUGUUAAUGUUCACUUUUUUUUUAUUUAGUUACCAGACAUUCAUGACACGGAUCCUGAGUUUAACGGGUUAACUUGGUUUGACGAGUUAACCUGAUUUUUUUUUUAAUUAUUUUUUUCGUUUCGUUUAGUUUCUAUUUAGUAUUUUUUUCUUCUUAGAGGUUUUUUUCUUUUAUGUUUUCUUUUUAAUUAAUUUAGUUUAUUAAUAUUAAAUUUUUUUCUAAUUAGUUUUUGGCUGAUGCCUUUAGUUUUUUUUUAUGCCUUUGACUGUGGACUGCACUGUGCAGUCCACAGUGAAAAGGCUGAUGCCUUUUGUUUUUUUUUUUAAUUAAUUUUUUUUGUUUAAUUUAAAUUGCUAAUGUUAAUUUUUUUUCUAUUUAGUUAUCAAACUUUCAUUACACGGAUUCCGGGUUUGACAGGUUAACUUGGUUUGACGAGUUAGCCCAGUUAAUUCUGGGUUAACCCAUUAAUUUGUUUUUUUUUUUAAUUAUCAAAUUUUAAUGAUGCGAAUUCAAGGUAUGACGGGUUAACCUGGUUUGAAGGGUUAACCCAAUUAAUUCAUUUUUUUUCAUUAGUUUUUUUCUUCUUGUUGGUUUUUUUUAACUACUCUAUUUAAUUAUCACACUUUUUUAACACGACCUUGCAGUCAGACCCACGUCCAAUGCUAUUGGAUCUGGUAUUGUAGUGCAGACACUUUUAUGCUAAUGGUUAACCCAAGUUUAAUGUUAUUAUUAAUAUUAUAAACAUUACUCUUGGAUCAGGCGAUGCAACCAAAACUGAGACUUUUGGGUAUAACCUUACAAAAAAACCUAACACUUUUAGAUCUUGGUUAUUUUUAAAAUGCAAAAAAUAAUUGACCCGCGGUAUCGCGCGGGGCAUGUAACUAAUACUAAAAGACAUAAAGUGAAGUUUUUUCAGCUCAUUUAUAAUUCAUAAUUUAUUUAUCAAUGAAUGAAAAGUAAUAAAAGAAAAGUGAUAAAAGAAGAAGAGAGAAGAAAUAAAGUGAAUUACCAUCUUAGGAUCUCUUGGCAAAUAAAGCAAGUAAAAUUAAUAAAAUGUGGGACCUAACUCCAAUUUCCUAGCACCCGCAACCCACGCAUACACAAACCCGUACUUUAUCAAUGAAGGAAAAGUGAUAAAAGAAGAAAAGAGAAGAAAUAAAGUGAAGUCUUCUUCUGCAUUAUUAGCACACCACGUGAAAAUAAAGACUGGCAUAUAAUAAAAGUUAUUCCAAUCAAACCCAUUUUUUCGACGAUGGGAUCUCUUGGCAAAUAAAGCGAGGACAACCGAGUAAAAUGGGGGACAUAACUCGUUUUUCCUGGCACACGCAACUCACGCAUACACUAACACUAAUUUGAGAUAUUUUUUUUUACUUUGGAGUUUACAGGCAAAUAAAGUGAGGAAGAACAUCUUCUUCUGCAUCAUCGCAUCACGUGAAAAGCUUGGCAUUUAAUGAAGUUUUUCCAAUCAAACCCACUCUUUUCAAAGAUGAAAUUUCUAGGAAAAUAAAUCAAAGACAAAACCGAGUAAAAUGGAAUUCCCGGCAUAAUGAUUAUUUUUUAAUAUAUUUUUUAUUUUUAAAAAAAUUAAAUAAUAUUUUUUUAUUUUUAAAAAUUAUUUUCAAUAUCAACACAUCAAAAUUAAAAUGAUUUAAAAAUAUUAAAAAUAUAUUCAUUUAAAAUAAAAAAAAUUUAAUUUUUUUUAAAAAUACUUUCCACCAAAAACAUAUUAGUCAAUAUCUGCAUGAUUAAUUAUGCACUUUGCAACCAUAAAUCUUCCUUUAAUCAUAAGAAUAUCUGCUGUUCAUAACGAGUCAUUCAAGUAUGAUUAUUUACUUAAAUAAUUAAUUAUGUUUAAUUAGAUCUAUCCAUAAGUUUGCAAUUGAGCUAAUUGUUCUAUAAUUACUGUAGCUAUGAAAGGUCAAGCACAAUUUCAUCCAAAACAAAACUCGUUAUUUUCAAAAAGAAAAAAUACCCCAAUUUUUUUCUUAUAUUUUAGUAUUUUUUAUAUUUAAAGGCAGUAUAGUUGUAAUAUUUUCAAGUAAUCGAAACAACCACCUAUGCAUCAAUUAUAUGAUAUACUGACUUGACUUUCCCAAGUGUUUUGAGUUUUGAGUACUAGAAGAAGAAAAUAUACUUCUCUCUAAAAAAUAAGGAAAUUUCAGAUGUAUUUUCUUUUAACUGGCGAAAAAACAGGAAGACGAAGAAAGGAAUAUUUUAUUUCUUCUAGGAGUAUGGUUAGCACGAGAGAAAAGAAAAGGGAAAGGCCUAUCGACUCUUUUUUUUUCCAUGUUCACGGGUAGUACGGAUCGCUUACCAUGAAAGCUAAUGGAAAUGCUCUUUCUCCAUGAAAGCUAAUGGAAAUAUGUAUAAAUCAUCAUUUUAUCUUUAUGUAGCAUAUUGUCCGAAGAUUGGGAAAUUUCGUGGGAAAUUGUCCGAAGACAGGAAACGUAAUUUCUCUCUAAAAAAUAAGGAAAUUUCAGAUGUAUUUUCUUUUAACUGGCGAAAAAACAGGAAGACAAAGAAAGAAAGGAAUAUCUUAUUUCUUGUAGGAGUAUGGUUAGCACGAGCUAUAAGAGUUGUACACGAGAGAAAAGAAAAGGGAAGGCCUAUCGAUUCUUUUUUUCUAUGUUCACAGGUAGUACGGAUCGCUUACCAUGAACAUCAAACCUAUCAUUCAUAAACUGUGCCUAGACUUCUUUAAUCAUUUACAUAUAUAAAUUUGGUUAAUCAAGUUGGAGAAGUUCGUGUCAAGAACCAUGCUGUAUAUGUUUGAUAAUGCAGUGAAUAUAAUUUUACAACAAUAUUUUUCAAUUAAUAAAAUAUUUCUUAAAGAAAUUUUCAAUAAUCUUGUUAAGAAAUUUGGGUGGCCAGACAUUUUAAAGAAUGAUGCUAGUUUCUGGCCACAAGUGGUCAUGCUAGUGACUAAUCACUUUUUGAUCAUGUCUGAUACUGGUGGUGAUCUUUUUUAUCAUCGUAUUUUCCAUCAAUUUUUUUUAACAAAAAGAAAGUUUUUAAAAUGAUUUUGUGAAAAUAACUUUUUAUAAAACAAAUGGUAACUAGUUUUGCAAUAUAUGCGCUUCAAAAGAAAGACCAAAGGUGACAUUUAUUAUAACUUUGCAACCACUGCUAGAUGUUCAUCAUGGCGUCUUCUUCUUCUUUGCCUAGACCUGUUUUGGUUUCCGAUGUAUUUCUAAGUUUUAGAGGUGAAGAUACUCGCAAAAAUUUUACGGAUCAUCUUUACACUGCUUUAGACCGAGCAGGAAUCCAAGCAUUUCGAGAUGACGAAAAACUUCGUAGUGGUGAAGAAAUCUCCUUACAACUCUCCAAAGCAAUUCAAGAAUCCAAGAUUUCUAUAGUGGUUUUCUCUAAGGGCUAUGCUUCCUCCACUUGGUGCCUUGGUGAACUUCUAAAGAUUCUUGAAUGCAGACACACAACUGGUCAGAUUGUUCUACCUGUUUUCUAUGAUAUCGAUCCUUCUGAUAUUAGAAAACAGACGGGGAGUUUUGCUAAAGCUUUCCGUAGACAUAAAAGACGUUUUAAGGAAGAAAUGGAGAAGGUCCAAAAGUGGAGAAAAGCUCUUGUGGAGGCUGCAAAUUUAACUGGGCUGGAUCGUCGCAGUAUCGCAAAUGGGUACUUCUUUUCUUCCCCUAUAUCAAUAGCAAAGGCUCAUAACUUUUACCCUUAUUACAUUUUGUAUUUUAAAUUUGCAUUAAAUUCAAAAGAUUAUCUUUCAUCGAUGAGUGAUGACUUUCUUUUUCUAUCCACAGGCACGAAUCAAAAUUAAUUCAAAAGAUUGUCGAAGAAGUUUCAAGUAAAUUGUAUCCCAGAAGCAUGAACGUUAGUAGUCUGCUGCAGAAGUUGAAGACAGCAAUGAUACCUGGCAGGGGGCUGCUUGACGAUGCUGAGGAGAAGCAGAUAACAAAUGCAGCUGUGCGGGAUUGGCUGGUCGCGUAUAAAGAUGCUGUCUAUGAAGCCGACGACUUCUUGGAUGAGAUUGCUUAUGAAGAUCUACGGCAGGAGUUGGAAGCUGAAGCUCAAAUCUUCAUUAUCCCACGUGAAAUAAUGGGGUUGAGAGAGAUUAGAAGAAAAAUCAAGAGCCUCCAUGAGAGACUAGAUGACUUAGUAAACAAAAGGAUGCCCUUGGUUUGAAUCAACCGCACUGGAAAAGAACCAUCAUCGCAAGACAAAACUUCUCUCGUGAUGAAUCUGGUGUUUAUGGUAGAGAUGAUGACAGCAAAGCAAUACUGAAGUUGCUUCUAUCAGAUGAUGCAAAUGGACAAAACCCAGGUGUCGUUCCCAUAGUAGGAAUGGGCGGGGUUGGUAAAACCACGCUUGCGCAGCUUGUAUACAAUCACAGCAGAGUACAAGAGUGGUUCAACCUCGAAGCUUGGGUUUGUGUUUCAGAAGAUUUCAGUGUUUUGAAGUUAACCAAGGUUAUCCUUGAGGCGUUCGGUUCAAAGCCUGAUUCUGAUAGACUGGAUAAGCUCCAGCUUCAGUUGAAGAAGAGAUUGGAGGGAAAUGAAUUCUUGCUUGUUUUAGAUGACGUUUGGAAUGAAGAUUAUGAUGAAUGGGAUAGGUUUCUUACCCCCCUGAAGUUCGGAGCACAAGGGAGUAAGAUUCUUGUCACAACACGCAAUGAAAGUGUAGCAUCAGUCAUGAGAACUGUUCCAACUCAUCAUCUAAAAGAAUUGACGGAAGACAGCUGCUGGUCUGUGUUCGCCAAACAUGCAUUUCGUGGUGAAAAUCCCAAUGAUUAUGAAGAGUUGCUAGAGAUUGGCAAAGCUAUAGCAAGAAAGUGUAAAGGCCUUCCUCUAGCUGCAAAAACACUCGGAGGUCAACUACGCACCCAAAGAGAUGCCGAGGAGUGGGAGAAGUUAUUGGAAAGCAAUCUAUGGGAUUUACCCAAUGAAGGUAUCCUCCACAUCUGAAGCAAUGUUUUGCUUAUUGUGCCAUAUUUCCAAAAGACUAUUCAUUUAAAAAGGAUGAAUUGGUUCUCUUUUGGAUGGCAGAGGGCUUCUUAGACCCCUCUGCAGUAGAUGAUGAGAUGGAAAAAGCAGGUGCUAUGUGCUUUGAUGAUCUCUUGUCAAGGUCCUUUUUCCAGCAAUCAAGUGUCUCUCGCUCAUCAUUUGUGAUGCACGAUCUCAUGCAUGACUUGGCUACCCAUGUGUCCGGUCAAUUUUGCUUCAGCUCCAGGUUGGGGGAAAAUAAUUCUUCCAAGGCCACCAGAAGGACUCGACAUUUAUCACAUACGGGAGCCGGUUUUCGCAGCACAAAAUUGGAAAACAUCCGUGAAGCCCAACUUAUACGCACAUUCCAAAAUUGGCAUCAUUUUCCUGGUUGGUACUAUAAAGAGAUCUUUCAUAUAUUGCCAACACUUGGGCGCCUACGUGUGCUAUCCUUGUCUGUCCAUCCCGGUGCAGCUAAGAUGCUUUGUUCAAUUAGCAAGUUGAAGCAUUUGCGGUAUUUGGAUCUCUCGUCGUCAGAAUAUUUAGUAACGUUGCCUGAAGAAGUGAGUGCUCUUCUCAAUUUGCAAACGUUGAUCUUGAAAAAGUGCCAACAACUUGCUAGUCUACCUGAUCUUGGAAAUUUGAAGCAUUUACGACAUCUGAAUCUUGAAGGAGCAGGAAUCAAAAGGUUGCCUGCAUCUCUGGUAAGGUUAAUCAACUUGCGGUAUCUUAACAUCUCAUGGACGAAUUCUUUGAAAGAGAUGCCACCACAUAUAGGUCAACUUGCAAAGCUCCAAACGUUGACUUUAUUUCUCGUGGGAAGACAAAGUGAGAAUAGCAUUAAAGAAUUGGGAAAGCUACGACAUCUACGGGGAAAACUUCAUAUUGAGAACCUUGAAAAUGUGGUGGAUGCUCGGGAUGCUGCUGAGGCAAAUUUGAAAUGUAAAAAGCUUGAUCAUCUGAUCUUUAGCUGGAAUGGUAAGACUCAUGACCCGCAACACGUAACAAGCACACUUGAGAAAUUAGAGCCAAAUAGAAAGGUGAAGGAUCUUCAGAUUUACUGUUAUGGAGGUGUAAGGUUUCCGGAGUGGGUAGGAGACUCCUCUUUCUCAAAUAUAGUGUCCUUGAUGCUCUAUGGAUGUACAAACUGCACCUCCUUACCACCGCUCGGACAAUUAGCUUCUUUAGAGGAUCUCUCCAUUAAUGAAUUCCACAAAGUUGAGACUGUGGGCUCCGAGUUCUAUGGGAAUCGUACCGCUGUGAAGAAGCCAUUUGAAUCCCUCAAAAAAUUAUGUUUUGUAAGGAUGGCAGUGUGGCGCGAGUGGAUUUCAGACGAAGGCAGCCGGGAAGCCUUCCCUCUUCUUGAUGAGCUUACAAUCGUGGAAUGCCCCAACCUUGCAAAGGUCCUACCUAGUCACCACCUUCCAUGUGUAACAAGACUUGAAAUUAGAGCAUGUGAGCGGCUCGCGGCCCCAUUUCCCAGGUUUCAUAGGUUGCAAUCCCUCGAUGUUUCUGUAAACCGCGACUGGCCACCUUCUAAGCAAAUGGGCUGGGCUGCUCUCAAAUGCUUCGCCCUGGACUUGGUCCCCAACUUAAAUUCUCUUUCUAUCUCUUCCUGUCCAGAUCUGGAAUCACUAUGUGCACAUGAAAGACCUCUCAACGAUCUCACCUCUCUCCAUUCUUUGUCUAUCUGGGGGUGCCCUAAAUUAGUUUCAUUUCCCAAAGGAGGGUUACCUGCUCCAGUCUUGACACGACUUGUGUUAAAUCAUUGCAACAACCUGAAGCAGUUGCCUGAGAGUAUGCAUUCCCUCCUACCAUCCCUUAACCACUUGGAAAUAAGAGGUUGUUUAGAAGUUGAGUUGUGUCCAGAAGGGGGUUUUCCCUCCACAUUACAAUCACUUGUGAUUAGUAAUAGCAACAAACUCAUUGCAGGCCGCAUGCAAUGGGGCUUGCAAACGCUCCCUUCUCUUUCACGCUUUGUUAUUGGUGGCCAUGAAAAUAUUGAAUCCUUCCCUGAAGAGAUGCUUCUGCCCUCAAGUCUUACAUCUCUCAGCAUCAUUGGCCUAAAACACCUGAAAUCUCUUGACUACAAGGGGCUUCAACACCUCACCUCUCUUACAUCAUUGAGAAUAAUUAUCUGCCCUCUGAUUGAGUCAAUGCCAGAAGAAGGGUUGCCCUCCUCCCUUUUUAUUCUUGAUAUUUACUAUUGUCCAAUGCUGGGUGAAAGUUGUGAAAGGGAGAAAGGUAAAGAUUGGCCCAAGAUUUCUCACAUUCCUUACAUAGACAUCAGCACAGCAAAGAAGUAGCAGUUAAAAGGAGCUUUUCUUUCGAUCAAAGGCAACAUAUUUUUUUGAGGUAUUGCUACUAAAUAGUUUAUUUUCUUUUCUGUAAUCAAAGGCAAUUUCAGUUAAAAUUUGGAUGAAUGAAGUACAGAUAUUGUCCAUUUUGUAUUGUUUUUAUUUGUUGGAUGUUGAAAUACAGAUAAUUUCUUCCAUAAAUAAUAAUCAUCAUUCUGUUUCAAUAUAUCGAGCUGGAGGAUCAUCACAUGCUUCAGAUUUUGAACUGCCAGCACUAGUAAUUAUAAAUCCAUUGUUAAAAAGGAUUAAAAAAAUUAAAUUAUGUAAGUAAUUUGCAACGGAUUUUUCAUUAUUCACGUGCUUGGCAACAUCAAAUCUGCAACUGAUUCCAAAGAUAAAUCAAACCCUUAAUUAUAUAAAAUCCCCAUCCUUUCUCCUUUUCUCUUUUCCCGCAUCUUCAAAAAUUAAAAAAAAUAAAAUUCUCCAUCUCUUUCUCUAGUCUCUUCCCUUCUCCAAAAAUUCAAAAUUCAAAAACUUUUUUUAUCUUUUAUUUAUUAUUUAACUUUGAUUAGAUUGUUUUUAUUCCAUAUAAAGCAGAAGUUAAAAAAUGAUUUUGGAGUGCAUGUAAGUCAUAUCAUUUUUGGAGUGUACUUUGAUAAAAAAACAGACAUAAAGAGAGAAGAAAUAAAAUUCAUGACUCUUUAUCUUGCCCAAAAUAACAGCGAGGGCUCAUGGAUGCUGCACCAGGGUAAAGCUACAAAUGCCAACGCUGAUGAAGAGUUACAAGAAAUUGGUAGAGCAAUAGUGAGGAUUGUCUGAUGUUCAUCUAUAAUAGCAGCAGAUAAAUAAUUGUAGCUGAAGAAAAGAAUGGUGUGCGAGAGCAAUUUCAUAGAAAUGAAACUGCUUUUAUUGGACGUGAAACUUCUUGCCUCCAAUAUUUGUGUUUUGAUCUUCUAGCCUUUUGGUGUUCUAUGGCUUUGUUGCUGCCUUUUAGUCUUUUGGUGUUCCACGGUGCUGCUGCUUUUUGGCUCUUGAUUUAAUGGAAAUGCUGUCCUUGUAUCGUUUGGGUUUUGGCAUCGUUGGCUCCUGCCGUUGUCUGUUCUCCGGUCAUCGAAGCUGACAGCAAUCCUCCGACUCUGUUAUUGCAGUCAGAUGCUUCCUCAGUUUUAUCCUUUGGUCAUUUUCAAAAUCAGAUACUCCUGUAAAUAUUACAAAACAACUGUGACACUGCUUUUACUAUAUCUUAAUAGCUAUUUUUUCUUGGGAUAUUUAAUUUAAUUUACAAUAAAUUCUGGUUAAUUUACAAUAAGUUUAUAUAGCUUGAAAGUGAAGCUCAUCUUCUAUUUAGUUUUCUUAAAUAUAUAAUUUUAAAUUAAAUUACUUUUAAAAUAAUUUUGAGUAUAUCUUACAUGUUUAAACAUUAACUUUGUUGGAUGGAUGCAUUUUUUAUUGUAAAAAAAAAAACUUCAAAAAAAAAUUUUCUAACAAAAAAAAUGUUUUUUUAGAAAAAAUAUGAUUAAAAAACGUUUUAAAAACUCAUGGUCUAAAAUGGACAUUACUGAAAAGCUACUUUUUUCCAAGUAUUACAUAGGCAAGUAUGCGUAUAUGUUUAGGGUGAUAGGUAUGGGUCGAGUAGUAGCAAAAUAUUUUUUAAUGGUAAAACAUGAGAUAGGCUCAUUCACCUCUUUACCGGUCUUUAUUUCUUAAUAAAUUUUAUCCAAAUAUUUUUUUUAAAUGGAUAAAAUGGAUUAUAAUAUUUGUAAUGGAUAAUGACUGUUAAAAAAAAAAUUAAACUCAAAUUAUAAUUUUGCAAAUUUUAGUAUUUAAAAUAAAAUAAUUCAUAAGUGGUGAUUAAAGAGGUUACUAUCUUGGGUAACAUUCAAAUUCCAUCUAUGGGUGUUCUCUGAAAACUUGGCAAAUCCUCGCAAUCGUUGUUCUCUGAAAUCUGUAAAGAACGUUGUAGGAGUUCUAAAUCCUAGCACCCACCCAGCAUUGUUUUGAAGAAGUAUACCUUCUUUACUUGUUCUUUACCCUUUUUUAUGUUUGUAAUUCUUAUAUACAAGCAUUUGCUUUGAUUUUUUUGUCAGGAAAGUAUUAUGUAAACUAGAUUCAUUAUUUCUAAUUUGUAAGAGAAUAUAUGAUCAUAUUUAAAUACAUUAACAAAUUAAUUUCCUCAUUUCUCUUAAUUUUUAAGAAAAUCUUUCUUCUAUUAUAAUUAUAGUUAUUGUUUUUUUAAAUCUAAAAUCAAUGUCAUGGUUAAAUAGAAUGGUAUGUUAUCCUUAUUUUUAUUAAAUUAAAUUAAAAUAAAAAACUAAAUUUCUUAAACAAAUUACUGUUUACUAUGACCAUGAUAAAGUUGUUCUUUAACCGCUAAACCUUUUAACCCUUUAUGAUUUUUUAAUUUACAAAUUGUUUUCAAAUUAAGGAAAUUCUUAAGAAAAUCUAUCAUAUUAUAUAUAUUUUUUAAUAUCACCCCUUUAAUUUUUUAAUCGUUUAAAUUUAAUCUUUAUUAUUUUUCAUUGCUUUUUGUUUUUACAAUUUUAUUUUCCUUGGGUUUUUUUUCUAUGAAAUGGUAUCCUUAUUUUUUUUGUUGCUAUAUCUUUUAUUUUUGCAAGUUUUUUUAUUGAACCCGGGUCUAGAAUUACACGAGUUGCCAGUUUUAGAGUUUGACCAAGUUUAGUAGGUUUAUCCGACUUUACUUGGUUUUUUUUUUCUUUCUUGAGCUGAUUUUUUUUAUUUUUUUAUAGUUUUGCUUUGUUAUUUUUAACAGCUUAUCUUUUAUAAAGUUAGCCCUGAGUUUAUGACUAGAAUCAUCGGUUUCAAUGGGUUAACAUGAGAUGAUUUUAAAUUUUUUUAAUUAAUUUAUUUCAAUUUCAUCAUUCUUUUUUUUUUAUAUUUUUUUUUUCUAUGAGACUAUCUCAAUCUUAUAUUCAUGGUUGCGAAGUUGAUGAGUUUACCUGGUUUAAUAGAGUUUUUUAUAGUUUCACCUUUUGUUAGAUAAUUCGGAGGGCUCAAUUCUGUUUUUUUUUUAGUUUUUUUGUCAUUGUUAUUUUUUUAAUUAAUUUAUUGUAGUUGUAUUUUUUAUAUAUAUUUUGAACCAAUUAGUUGUAUCUCAGUUUUUUUUUAAUGUAAUAUUAUUUUUUUAAGUUAAAAAAAUACUUCCUCUCGCAGUGGAGCACGGACACAUGUUCCAGGGUACAUUUUAUAAGAUAUGAUCCGAGGAUACGAUGUAGAUUUUGUUAAGGAGGUUGUGUAUUAAUUUGUUAAUAUGCAUACUGCCUACUUGUGGAACUGAGUUGCAUAGCUGAGUGGUACUUGCAGGUUCAAAUGGUUUGAAGAUUCUGAAACAUUAUUAAUUUGUGCUCAAACUCUUUGCAUUUCAGCAUCCUCUACUGGUUGGUGCAGGCCUUAACUAAACGAAAAGGUGAUUUUAUUGUAUCUCUUUUUAUAAAAUAUUAUUUUUUUAAACAGUUAUAUCCUUUAAAAUUAUAUUUAUUAAGAAUUGAAUUUUAUAACUUUUAUAAUUUAUUUAUUUACUUUAUCAAACUUCUGCUGCAUGAUCACAUGAUUCACAUCACGUGAAAAGCUUGGCAUUUAGUGAUGUUUUUCCAAUCAAACCCCCUUUUUUCAAAGAUGGAAUCUCGAGGUAAAUAAAUCAAAGACAAAACCGAGUAAAAUGGAGUCCUGAGCAUAACAAGGGCCGAGAGAGAAAAGGCUUUUGCGAGUUCUGUGUUUUGUAUACUUCUCAAGGGGAAAAAAUAAUGUUUUGUUAGAGAAUUGUUUUUGAUAGAAUUGUUAGAGAUCUUAGCCGAUGCAUCUGGAUUAUAAUUUUUUAGCAUUUAUACUAUUUUAUAGCGCUAAUAUCUUAAAAAACUUAUUUUCUAGCUUUUUUUUCAUGGUAUAAUGAAAUAUUAAAAAAUAUUCUUCAACUCAUUAUCCUUAUUACAAUUAAAUUUCAUAGAAUAGUCUAUUUGUUUAGAAAUAUAGUUUACUGUAUGAUUUAUUUGAUACAAAAAAUUCACUAGAAACUAAAAAAAGAAGAAGCUAAUCAUCAUUUAAAAAUAUAGAAUAUUGGAAUCAUCUUGCUCAAUAGGUGAGUUUGGGAGUUUGGUUGCUUAACAGGUGAGUGAAGGUUAAAUGUACCCAAUUAAAUCAUAUCUACAUUCAAUUAAAACUUAUGGUAUAAUUACUUGAUAGCAAAAUAAAGAAAAGUAGGAACCUGUAACAUCUAAGAAAUUUCUAUGCUCUUAAAAUUAAGCGUCCAAACUAAGGCUAUAAUGAGUCUUGAAUCUACACAGAAGAAAUUUCAUGGGAAAUGUAAUUUCAAAGACCAUGACUCAAAUCAGCGGCUAAAAUCCAAUCACUCAAGGGAUGGUGACAUGUUGCCUUGAGUGGGAGACAGCUGGUCUCUAGUACGAAGAGAAACAACAAUAUAAUUUUUUUUUUAUUAAAAGUGAGUGUAUGAGCUUCCAUGUAUUUUAAUUUAUUUUAUUAAUUUUAAAAUUAAUAAUUAUAUAAAUUUUUAGUAAUUCUAAAAAGAUUUGAAUUCAUAAUUAUUAAAAUAUAAAUAUAAAACCUAAUCAAUUAGUACCCCCACAGCAGUGUUUUCAUUGUUUAAAAUGGAGUGUUUGUUUUUCUUAGAGCUCGUUUGGGUACGCGUUUGCGUUCGCGUUUCUUCGAAAACGCAUGACAAUGCUGUUUGGUUACAGAUCGUUGAACAAUUAAAAUACAUGGGCCCCACCAUUUACCUGCGGCUGGAACACAAUUUUUUAAAAGCAGCAAGAUACUGCUUUUUUACGAGUUUCAACAAUAUUCACCAGCGAAUUGCACUGUUCACGUGACUUUCUUUCUUCUUCUUUUUUUAACAGUUUUUUUUUAUAAUUUUUUUUUUAAAAAAAAGUAGUUUAGAGUGAAUUAAAUUUACUUACAUUGUGAUGUGAGCAAUAUUUUUUUUCCCUGAAAAACUAGUAUAAAAUGAAUUAAAUUCACUCAAUUUUAUACCUGAUAAUGUUUUAUCUAAUUUUAUUACACGCUCACAAAAUUAUAAAAACUGUAGUUCUUAUUGGCUGAAUUUUAUACAUAUUGGAAUUAUAAAUAAUUUAAUGGAAUAAUAAAAAAUAUUUUAUAUAAAGUAUUAUUUAUUUCAUAAUGUAAUAGGAGUAGUUAAUUCUACAAUAUUUAAAUUUAAAACCAUCAAUAUUAAUAUAUAUUUUUUAAAAUUAUUUUAUAACCUCAAUUUCAAAAGCAUUAUUAACUAAACACAUUAAACUACUUUUUCUUCAACCUCAAUUUCAACCACAAUUUUAACCAAACAUCUAUUUUUUUAAACCAACCUCAACUAAAAGUACUUUUUAUAAAACAACUUUUUUCAAACCACAACCACAACAGCUACCGCAAUACCAAACAGACUCUUAGUGUUUUUGUUCUUGUCAUAGCUCAUGAUGGCGGGGGCUUAAAAAACAUUUAAAGAAAUUAUUUUUUCUUGUGAUUUAUUUGAUUUAAAUAAGUAUUUAAUUAAAAUUAUAAUUAAAAAUGUUGUUUAAUAAAAAAUAUUUUAAAAUAUUUAAUUAAAAUUAUAAUUAAAGAUAUAUUGUAACUAGAAUUACUAUAAAAAAAGAUCCUAGUGAAGGUGGAGAGGAUGAGAAUAAUGAUUGGAUAUCUUAAUAAUUGUAAAAAGAAAGUAUCUUUUUAUGGUGAAGUUAUCGGUAGAUGAGAAAAUACUGAGUUUUGUAGCUCAGAAAAAAACGUCAUUCAACUAAUAAAAUGAUCCAUCUACAUAAUAAUAAUAAAAAAAACCCGCCAUUCCCACGUGUGGAAGAUAAAAUUAAUCAACCUAAUCUUAUUGGAUUACAUUUUAUUAUUUAUAUCAAACAAUCAGUAUCCUUAAUACUGAUUAAGGAUAUUUUUGUUUUUGCACAACUAUACAUUUUAAUAUAAUAAUUUUUUUAAUCUAAUUUUUUAUUAUUAUUAUUUUAGUAUCAUUUUGUUAUUUCUAACAGUUUGCGUUUACAAGGUUAGUCUUGAAUUAUGACUAGAAUCAUCAAUUCUAAAUAGGAAUGUAAGUUGAUUUUUAUUAUUUUUUAAAAUUAAUUUAUUUAAAUUUUAUCAUUAAAUUUUUUUUUUCAUGAUUUCUUUUUAAGAGACUAACCCUUUAUCGACAAACACUAAUGUACUCUGAAAAACAUAAUCCUAUUGCAUCUUACGCUUUAAAUUCCAACAAGGAGUAGGAACCCUGCAUCUGGGAAAUUUUUACUAGGCCUCCAAUCUGAGGCUGUAAAGAGCUGAUGGGUUGAUGUCAGAGGUAGACAAGGAACCGUACUUUCAGAAGACCAUGACACAAAUCAACGGCUGGAAUCCAAUCACUCAAGGGAUGGUGUCAUGUUGCCACGAGUGAGAGACAGCUGGUCUCCAUCUGAAUGUUUAAAUAUGAUUGGGUAUCUUAGUAAUUGUAUAACAAUUGAUUUUUUUUUUUUAAAGUUGUCGGUGUGGAUGAAAAAUACUGAGUUUGUAGCUUAGUAAAAACAUGUUGAUGUUACUUUUUAUUAGCUCAUGGUUGGCCCAUAAAUUGUAAUAGGUCCCACAAUCACAAACCUACUAUUCACAUGUAAUUUAUGUCUUACAACUUGUUUUUUAAAUUAUUAUUUUUAUAUUUUUAUACCAUUUUUAUUUUAAAAAAUUUAAGUUUAAAAAAUAUUAUUUUAAUAUAUUUUUAAAUAAAAAAUAUUUUAAAAAACAAUAAUAUCUGAAUGUUUUAUAAAUUUUUACAAUCACUUUUACAUUUUUUUUAGAUCACAUUUGAGAAUGCAGUACACCACAAUAAAGUUUCGUUGUUGCUACAUGAUUAAAGGUAAGUAAUUGUCUUGCAUUUACCUUUAAAACUGCUAUCAAGAAUUAAUUAAUUGCGUCAAUUCAAUUAUUUCUAUUGACAUUGAUACCAAACAUGUUAAUUCAUGAUAUAAUUAAGCAAUUCAAUACAAAUUUACUAAUAUAAUUUAUUCCGGCGUAAAGCUUUGAAUAUAGCCAAAUGCAGAGGUUAUGCAAGUGAAAUACCUUAAUAAUUAAAUUAAAAAAAGAAAACAAAAUAUAAUGUAUAAAAUAUAAUAAUAUAAUUUAUAAUUUAUUUAUUUGCUUUAUCAGUGAAAAUUGAAAAGAGAUGGAAGGAGGGAGAGAGAAGAAAUAAAUUGAAGUCUUCUGCUGCCUGAAGAGCUUGGCUAGUGAUGUUUUUCGAUCAAACCCACUUUUUUCAAAGAUGGAAUUUCUCGGAAAAUGUGUGAUCCAGAGAAAAGCCUUUUGCGAGUUAUUAUGUUGCUGACACUGGAUAGAGACACUUCAACUAUCUUUUCAUUAUUUUGAGCGCAGUUGCCACCCACCUUUCUGUGGCUUCAUGCUCCUUCUCCAAACCAUUCAUAUAUAGUGCAGCCUGAGCUUUACUGGUUACGUUUCCUUUGAGGAUAAUUAUUGUUAAAUUAUUUUUUGUUUUAAAAUAUAUUAAAAUAAUAUUAUAUUUUUUAUAAUUUUAAUAUAAACACAUUAAAAUUAUUAAAAAAAUCAAUAAUUUAAUAUAUUUUUAAAUAAAAUAUAUUUUAAAAAAACAUACAUUACGAACUAUUCUCUCAAACACACAAUUUUAUUCCAUCUUAAAACUUGAGAUAUUAGAAUAGUCAAGUUCCCUCGUUAAAUUUACAAUUGUGGUAGUGGGAGUUGUAUAACUCAUUAAAAAAUAAAUUUUAUAUUAAAAUAAAAAUUUUAAAAAUAUAUUGAUUAAAAAUGUGAGGUGUUAUUCUGCAUUAUUAGCACAUCACGUGAAAAGAUAGAUUGGCAUAUAAUAAAAGCAAUCCCAAUCAAACCCAUUUUUUCGACGAUGGGAUCUCUUGGCAAAUAAAGCGAGGACAAACCGAGUAAAACAUGGGACCCAACUCCAUUUUCCUGGCACACGCAACUCACGCAUACACACACUCAUUUGAGAUAUUUUUUUUACUAUGGAGUUCAGGCAAAUAAAGUGAUGGAAGAAGGUCUUCUUCUGCGUGAAAAGCUUGGCAUUAAUGAAGUUUUUCCAUUCAAACCCACGCAUACACCCUGUAAUAUCUAGGAAAUUUCUCUGCUAUUUAAAUUAGGCGUACAAGCUGAGGCUGUAAUGAGCCCUUAAUCAACAUAGAAAAAAUUUCAUGAAAAUGGAUUAAUGUCAAAAAUAUAUUUCAAAAAAUCAUGACUCAAAUUAGUGAUUGAAAUCCAAUCACUUAAAAGAUGGUGACACGUUGUCAUGAGUGAGAGAUAACUGGUCACCAGUACAAAAAAAAACAGUAACGUUUUCAUUAUUUAAAAUGGAGUAUUUGUUUUGCUAAGUGUCUUUGUUAUCAUGAUAGCUCUUGUGGUGAUGGAUGUUUAAACAUGAUUGGACAUCUUAGUAAUUGUAAAAACAAUUUUUUUUUUUUUGGAUGAAGUUGUCGGUGGAUGAGAAAAUACUGAGUCUGUAGCUUAGUAAAAACAUGUUGAUGUUACUUUUUAUUAACUCAGGGUUGGCCCGUAAAUUAUAAUGGGUCCCACAAUCACAAACCUCUGAUUCACUUGUAAUUUAUGUUUUAUAACUUUUUUAUUUUAAAUUAUUAUUUUUUAUAUUUUUAUACCAUUUUUAUAUGAAAAAUAUUUUUUAAAAAAUAAAAAAUAUUAUUUUAAUAUAUCUUUAAAUAAAAAAUACUUUAAAAAACAAUAAUAUCAAACACCUAAAUGUUUUAUAAAUUCUCUACAUUCACUUUUACAUUUCUUUAGAUCACAUGAGAAUGCGGGACACCACAAUGAAGUCCGUGGUUGCUACAUGAUUAAAGGUAAAUGUCUUUUAAAACUGCUAUCAAGAAUUAAUUAAUUGCGUAAAUUCAAUUCUUUCUAUUGACAUUGAUGCCAAACAUGUUAAUUCAUGAUAUAAUUAAGCAAUUCAAUACAAAUUUACUAAUAUAAUUUAUUUCGGCUUAAACCUUUGAAUAAAGCAAAAUGCAGAGGUUGUGAAAGUGAAAUACCUCAAUAAUUUCUAUGCUUUACAACCCUAGGAGCCACACAAAAUAUAAUGCGUUUGUUACUAUUAAUUUAUUUAAAAAAUAAAUUAAAAUAUUUUUUAAUAUUUGAUUAUGUUAUAGAAAACGAGUCAAAAAAUAAUUUUUUAAUUUUUUUCUCAAGUUUAUUAAAAAAAUAAGAAACAAAUCUUACAAAUAAAAAUAUUGAAGGAGAAUGAAAUUGAAAAAUAUAUAUUUACAUAAAUUAUUUUAAAUAAAAUAAAUAACAAUCAUAAGAAUGAGAGCCAAAUAUGACAUAUAAAAAUAUUUAAUAAAAAAUAAAACAAUAAUAAAUAAAUAAAAUUAAUAUAAAAAUAAUACUAAACCAAGAAUUAAAUUAAAAAAAGAAAACAAAAUAUAAUGUAUAGUUUAUAAUUUAUUUAUUUGCUUUAUCAAUGAAAAGUGAUGGCAGGAGGGGAGAGAGAGGAAAUAAAGUCUGCUGCCUGAUCACAUCACGUGAAGAGCUUGGCAUUUAGUGAUGUUUUCCGAUCAAACCCACUUUUUUCAAAGAUGGAAUUUAUUGGAAAAUAAAUGAAAGACAAACCGAGUAAAAUGGAGUCCAGAGCAUACAAGAGCCGAGAUUGAAACAGGAAAUGCAAGAAAAAGAAGAUGGGCCCUUGUUUUCUCUUUUUACGGCCGGCGACCGGAUAUAAAAAGGAAGGAGAUGAAGCUUUCAAAUUAUUUAUAAUUUUGCGGUCACUUAUUGUGUCCAUGUCAUUUUGUGUAAUUGCCCAGCUACAAUUUAUAAAUGAUGUAAACUCUUAAUUUUUAAUCGAUGUAAAAUGUUGGAGUAUCAUGUUGCUGAAAAAAUCUUUUUAAGUGUAUAAUAUGUUGCAUUUGGGGCAAAAUUAAUAGUUUUGAAUGUUUUUAUUACCGAAACCUUUUUUUUUUCUCAACCUCUUUCUCUCUCUCUUCUUGUCAAAUACAAAAGUUUUUUUUUUUCAUUUUUUUAAAUGAUUUAAUUUUAAUUUUAUUUUAUUUUAUUUUUAUCUUUUGUAGAUUUGUAUUUUAUCGUUUGAUUUUAUUUAAUUGUUUUUAUUAAACAUGACCUUUAUUUACUUUAUUUAUUAUUUUUUUAAUUAAACGUUCUCUUAACAUUUAUUUUCAAUAUCAGAUUUAAUUAAUCAUAUUAAUCCUAUUUUAUCUUACACUUUAAAUUCCAACAAGUACCCGAUCCAACAAUAUCUGCAUUCACACUUGAGGGUCUAACUUAUUGGUCAACUGCAAGACUUGUCUUUGCGAACGUCUUGGGUUCGAUCCUCUUUGUGUACCCUGUCACCCCGCGGUGUCUUACCUGUUCACCGGGCUUGCAGGAUAUUCAGUGGACUCGAGGAUUAGUUGUGAUGCGCGCAAGCUGACCCGAACACCUCGGGUUAUAAAAAAAAAAAAAACAAUAUCUGCAUUCAAUUAAAACUUAUGGUACAGCGAAAAAAAAAAAAAAGAGUAGGAACCAACUAAGAAAUUUAUGUGCUGUUCCCAGCUAUGUUGCUGACACUGGACAGGAGAGACUUCUUCAACCACCGAUAAAAUUAUUUUUAUUAACUUUUUGUGCAAUUUGUUACUUUGUUUCGAUCUUUCUCUCUUUGCACCACAAACACUUGGACACGGUAGAAACCAAGCACGGUUUUUCUGUCAAUGUACGAUACCGUAUUUAACAAUAUCUUUUUAUUUUUAUUUUAUGAAGAGUAGUAUGUUGGUGAUCUAUGUAUGUUUUUUUUAAAAAUCACAUAUAUAUUUAUCUAAAAUUAUUGAUAUUUAAAAAAUUACAUUAUUUUUUUAAUGACUCCUUCCACUGUUCUUGUAGAAUUAAGCAAAUAUUAUGCAAAGCUUCAAGUUUUGUGUAAUUGUUUUUAAUACAAGAGAGUUUAACCAUUUUAAAAUGUUUAAUGAGUUCUUUAAAAUAUUGAAAGUAAUGUACAAAAACUAAUUUAUAAUUUUAUUACAGAUCGUGCUUUAUUAUAGGUCAAGUCAAGUUUUUCUUAAGAAUAAAAAAUUAUUUAAAUUAUGAAUGUUUUAAUUUAUUCUGGUAAAAAAAAUUUAAAUCAUGAUGUGAUCUAACUUGAUUGAAUUUGUAGUUCACAAAACAACCUAGAUAACAAAUAAAAAUAUAAUUUAACUUAUAAAUUUUUUCAAGAUUACAUAUAUUUUUUUAAUAUUAAGAUAAUAACAAAUUAAAUUGAUUUGGAUAAACUCAAUUUAACUUAUUAAAUUCAUAACCCGUGUUAUGAGACUAUGAUAAACCUGUAAAAAACAAAUUAUUAAGUUUAAUUCUCAACCACCAAAUAUUAAAAGAUAAAAUUAAAAUAAAUAAAUAAACCAUGUGGAGAUUAACUCAAUAUGACUUAAUUGAUUUAGCUUGUUCAAAAACAACCAAGAUAAUCACUAGAAAUAUAAUCUGACUUGGAAAAAAUUUCAAGAUGAUAUUUUUUUUUAAUAUAAAGAUAACAAAGUAAUAGAUCGAAUUGGGUUAAGCAGAGUUAGCUUGUUAAAUUUUUUAUUUGGGUAUGAGACUAUGAAAUCUAAUUCCUAAGCAACCAAAUAUUGAAUGGUAUAAUUAAAAAAAUAAUCAAUUAAAAAAAUGAUUUAAAAAUAUGAACGGAGUUAACAUGUCAAGUCCAUAACCUAUCUUAUAAUAAAGAUAUAAUCUUAUAAAAAAAAUCAAAAUAAAUUAUGAAAUUCAAUCUUAAACAGCUAAAUUUUAAAAGAUAAAAUUUUAAAAAAAUAAUUUUAAAAAGAACAUAAAAAUGACCUAAGUAAAUCCCCCAAACCCAUAGCUUAUUAAGAGAUCGUGAUAAUCUUGUAAAAAAAAAAUUACAUGAUUUAACUCGUUAAAUUUAUGACUUUGGUUACAAUACCGAGACAACCUCUUAAAGAGUAAAUAAAAAUAAAUUGAAAAGUGCAAUCCCUAAUUGACCAUGUCAAACCCGAUGUGAACGAUGCAAUUUUUAAAAUUUUGAAUUAAAAAAUAACAUAAAAAAUAAUUUAGGUUAACCCAUUAAGCAUCAUUCUUAGAUUACGAGACCAGGAUAACAUAAUAAAAAUAAAAUCAAAACAAACCACAAAGUCUAAUUCCUAAUAAAACAUUAUUAAAUAAUAAAAUUGAAAAAAAAAAAGUUAAUUAAAAGAAAUUUGAGUCAAUUAGGCUAACUUGCUAAGCCUGCAAGUUAGGUUAUGAAACAUAAAUAACUCAAUAAAAAACAAAUUUACUAUUGAAGGACUAGUGACGCAGGUCAUGAAAUAAAGAUAACCUUUUACAAACAAAAUUAAAAAACAACUCAAUUUAAUUUGGAUUAAAAUGUCAAAACCUUCGUCUCUAAUCAUGAGACUAGGAUAACCAUGUAGAAAAUAAUUUGAAAUAGAUUAUGAAGUUUCAUUCUCAACUGACCUGAUAUCGAAUGAUAAAGUUGGAAAAAAAUUCAAUUAAAAAAAUAUAAAAUACAACCUGAGUCAACUGAGGUUAACCUGUUAAGUAUUAUUUCCGGGUUACGAGGUUAGAAUAAUCUAAUAUAAAUUAAACAAAACAAAACAUGAAACUUAAUUUUUAAUUAAAAGAUAAAAUUGUAAAAAAAAGUUAAUAAAAAAAAAUCAAGUUAACUUUUUGUUAUAAAAGUGAGACAACUUAAUAAAAAAAAUUAAUAUUAAAAUAAAAAAAAUCAUUAAAAAAUACUCAUUCAAAUAAUUGUAUAAAACAUAAUAAUAUAAACUAUAAUUUAUGAUUUAUUUAUUUAUUUUAGUAUUUAGUGAAGUCUUUUCAAUCAAACCCUUUUUUAAAAAGAUAUAAUUUCUAGGAAAAUAAAUUAAAGACAAACCGUGUAAAAUUCUAAAAGAAAAUAAAGAUGGGAUAUUGUUUCAGUUGCGGCUUGGAUACGUGUUUCAAAAAUAUUUUUAAAAAAAAUAUAUUUUUUUAAUUUUAAAUUAAUAAAUUUUUAGUUUUUUUAGAUCUUUUAAUAUAUUAAUAUUAAAAAUAAUUUAUAAAAAAUAAAAAUAUUUUAUUUUAAUAUAUUUUUAAAUAAAAAACAAUAAGAGACAACCGUGACCACUUAAAUGAAGCAUACCAAGUUGAGAGUUGAGGAGCCGAGAGAGAAAAAGCUUUUGCCAGUUCUUUACGCAAAUUCUUUCCCCUUCUGUCACCUGAACAAAAUCCCCUCUUCUUCUUCUUCUUCUUCUUCUUGUUUGUUUACUCUUCCUUCGUUACUUUGCAAAGAGGAGAAACCAUGGCCGGGGCUUUAGUAGGAGGAGCUUUUCUUUCUUCUUUCCUUAAUGUUUUGUUCGACAGGAUGGCCUCUCCCCAGGUGGUGGCCUUCUUCAGAGGGAAAAAAGUCAACGAUAGUAAUCUGCUGCAGAAGUUGAAGACAACAAUGACAUCUCUCAGGGUGGUGCUUGACGAUGCUGAGGAGAAGCAGAUAACAAGUUCAGCUGUGCGGGAUUGGCUGGCCGAGCUUAAAGACGCUGUCUAUAAAGCCGACGACUUCUUGGAUGAGAUUGCUUAUGAAGCUCUACGGCAGGAGUUGGAAGCUGAAGAUCAAACCUUCACAAGUCAGACGCAGAAGCUUCUUUCUUUCAUUAACCCACUUGAAAUAUUGGGGUCGAGAGAGAUCGAAGAAAAAUUAAAAGUCCUCUUGCAGGAUCUAGAUCCCUUAGUUGAACGAAUGGCAGCCCUUGGUUUGAACAACCGCAAUGUAGAAAAUCCACCAUCGCAUAGAACACCAACAACUUCUCUCGUGGAUGAAUCUGGUGUUUAUGGUAGAGAUGAUGACAGGGAAGCAAUACUGAAGUUGCUUCUAUCAGAGGAUGCAAAUGGAGAAAACCCUGGUGUCGUCCCCAUUAGGGGAAUGGGCGGGGUUGGUAAAACCACGCUUGCUCAGCUUGCUUCCAUUCUCUCCUUUUCUCCUUAUCCGCAUCUUCAAAAAUUCAAAAUCUUUUCCCCACCUCUUUCUCUAAUCUAUUCCCCUUCUCCAAAAAUUCAAAAUCCAAAAACUUUUGAUUUAUUUAUUUUAUUAUCACUUAACUUUGAUUAAAAAACUUUUCUUGAAGUUUACUUCCAUCAAAGAUCUUUUAUAGAUAUAAAAAGAAGAGAUAAUAUAAAAUUCAUCCGCGUAUUGGAAUCACAAUUCAGAAUCAAGUUAAAGCGGCCAAUGUCACUCGAGAGAGUAGGCACUUGCAAAUCUGCUAAUAAUUAUUGGAGCAUCACCCUUCCGCACAAUCAACAGAAAGUCAUCAUCUUGAGAACCCACAGCAAAGAGUUCAUUUUUUUGCAGUAGAUACGUAGCUAUAUUAACAACGAUACUUCCAGCAUGCACAAAUGGGACUUCUUGAUGGUUACGCUGCUAAAGACAUUUACAAAUCCCCAUCAAUACUGGUGUUUAUUCCUCAUGAUGAUCCAGUGAGCUGACAAUAAAAGAAAACCUCGGCAUUACUAGUAAAUCGUCACUGCAAGCAUGGAAGAGAUUCAGGUAGGAAUUACCCUUGUCUUCAUUGAGAGGCUUUAACCUCCCUUGUCAGCAGGCCCAUGGUUCGAUGCAUCCUCUGAAGCGUCUAAGCAAGGAUUGCUUUUACACUGACUUACAGGCUGAGAAAGUUGGGACCCCUUUUGCGAAAAGUUUGGUUUACCUUUCGGAGUCUCAGACAGGCUUCCCGUUGACAGCUUUGCUAGGCCCAUUGUCUUGUGCUCACGCGGGAGCUUUGUUGAAAAAGGUGAUUCAGGUGUAUCAGGAUGCUUCCCAGGAAUAUCCAUCGGUCUAUGAAACAGCAAAUGAGCCACAGUCCGGUCUACCGGAUUGGUCUCUGUUUCCACCUCAGGCAUCUUAACCACCCUGCAGUAUACUCAUAAAAUCCAUGAGGAAAAUGACAGGAAACUUUGAGAUUGCCAUACUCUAAACAAAUUGAUAAAGACUUGAUUAAUAAUUUUGUGCAAACAAAUUGAAUGAUUUGAAAUGGGAAGGACGAGAUGUAAAGGAACAAACCCAUUGGAACAAGAAACAAUCACAUUGUCGCUUACAACAAAAAAUCGAGUUUCAGAUCAAAACAGCUUAUGGUUUUGGCUGGAAGUGUCCCAUUUAGACAUUGAUGAGCCGAUUAGAAGAUGAUUUGAGUUCUUAAAUUUCUUGCUUAAAAUGUAAUGUAUCAUGAUUCUGCAGAUGAUCAUUAAAUUAGAAGGGAAAUUUAAUUUUGCCCUGUUUAUCUAAAGUUGUGCAAGUUCUCUGCAUUGAUGAUUCCAGUGAAUUUGUACAGAUCUUGUUUUCCUUCUAUUUGUCCUUGAAUAAACUUAUUGCACUUGUUGAACAAUCUUUGUUUCUCUCUCUUAGUUAAAUCUAGUAAAAUUUAUCAUGUAUGUUGUGCCACUCAUUUAGACUUGGAUGUGCGUGUUUAGCUCUUCUUUUCGGAUUAAGGUGAUUAUGCACAAAUUCACUGGAAUCAACAUUGCAGAAAACUUGCAUAGAUUUUGUUAAUAUUGGAAAAAUUAAAUUCGUUUUCUAAUUAAAUGAAAAUCUCUCCUAAAUAUUAUGCUAUUUGAAUUGUCACCUCAUGACUACUUGCUGCACUGCACUCAUGAAUGCUGCACCAGGGUAAAGCUACAAAUGUCAGUUUAAUAUCUGCCUCUACCUAGGUUGGCCUACAUACAAUACCAAAGCUUCUCUCAACUAAAUCAAGACAUGAUGACCAGCACUCACAAUCAUAACAGAACCAGUGGAAGCGAACUACUACAUAUUUGAUCAACAAGGUCAAAUUCAGUCAAGUUUUUAAGGAAAUCCAGUGAAAGAGGAACCUAAAAUUUUCUGUUUAGAUUUUCUUCUACUUCUAAGAACAAGCGCUGCCUUAAUUGAAUUGUUUCAGUCACUAUUCCUCCAUUGUAAAUAGAGGAUACCGUUUUCAAUAUUUAUUUCCAGAGUGAGAAUGGAAAACAGAAAAUGGUGAUGGCAUUAAAAGAUCCUAAUUUAACAUUUCCAUAGAGCAAAAAUGUUUUUUAAAAAAGAGAGAGGAUAGAUUAAAUUUGAAAACAGAAGCAUGAGAAAUGCAUUACCUUAACCAACCUUCUUUGACUACUAUUGUUUGUACUGCCAGUAUCACUAGCAUAAUGCCUUUGCAUUGCACUUUGAGCCAGCCGGAACAAGCUAUCCCGAAUACAAAGUCUAAUUCUGACAUCCAACUGUUGUAAAACAUUGGUUUGGAAUCGUAACCAAGCACAAAUUAUUUAGCAGGGAAAGAAUGCAAUAGUAGGUGAAGCAUACCUUUGAAAUAAUAUCUUGAAGCCUGUAGAGUACUGUGUCCUCCAUUGAAUAAUCAUUAACCGCCAGAGAGACUGUAUUGGAAUCGUCUUGCUCAAUAGGUGAGUUUGGGUCAAAUGAAGCAAGUGUACUUAGAUCCUCUACUUCAAGGUCAGCUCCUUCAACAUGCUGAAUUUGAUUUUCUUGGGAACACUUUUGAUGAACAAGCUGCUGCUGCUGUUUCUGAAUGGCAAGCAUUGCCUGAAUUUGUUGCCGCCUCCUUAAUUUUUCAAUCUUUUCCUGAGGUGUCAUUCUCUGGGGUUUCACUGGACAGUCAGCUAACUUGUUUAUAGGAUUUGCAUUGCCUGAAACUUCAUAACCAGAAAUUUUAGGUCGAUGAUUAAAUGACUAGAAAUUUUGUUGGAAAGUCAGAAAACUUUAACAGGAUUCGCAUUACCUGAAGAAACUUCAUAACCAGAAGCUAAAGGUUGAUGCUUAAAAUCCCCAGACUGAAUGUGGGACAACCCAGGCAUAGAAUAUGGAUUUGUAAUACUCCCGUAGGCAGAAGGGGCCACAAAUGGAUUGGAUAUCUGCUGGUACUGCAACUGCUCGGAACCCUGUAGCUGCUUCUGUUGGCUGAGAAUUGAAGGGGGAGAAGAUUGCAUAAUUUGGGGUUCUAAAUGAUCCUUAAGUUGACAGGCUGGGAUUCCAGAUGAAGUCCAGUUUCCAUAAAAAUCUUGGUAUGAUUUCAGUUCACCUUUUUCUUCCAGUUUUUCCCGACCUUUCAAGAUCUUCUUUUGCCUGUAAGUCUGAUCACAGAACUAUAAACAUAUAAAUAGACAAAUUACUUAGAAUAGAUCAACGUUUUAACCAUCUAGACCUGCAGGGGAGAGUGACUAAGGCACAGUUAGUAUUUUAACUCAGUACAUGGUUUGUAAGGAUAAAUUCAAUGUUAUUUUUUUUUUUUAAUUGUAACUUACGAUCCAAAGGGCUUCUAUUGUUCAGAAUAUAUUGAGGUAUUAGCUAAACUAUGCCAAGCAAACAGAAUUUGCAUGUCCCUGGGAAGAGUGGGUGUCAUACUAGAAAUAUAAAUUACUGAUGCCUCCUGAAUUUUGACAUGCUAUUCCUUUCUCCUUCCUACUAACAGAAAACCAGACAAUGGCUUUACUUUAGGCAAUCGAUAUCAUGGUUAAGUCAUGGAUUUGACAUCAAGGAUAACUUAAUUGAUGCAUUAUUGAAGUGAUGACUAAAUCAUGUAAAUCCAUAUUCACCCAACAUCCAAGUUUAAUCUCAUUCCAAAAAAUAAAACUAAUAGCAUGAAUUAUGAAGAGACGAAGAGGAAUUUAAAUAAUAUAAUUUCUCUUUUCUGUCGCCAUUUUCCAUUCCAGAGAAGUACUCAGGAAGUCUUAAUAAGUUCAAGUGUAAGGUAACUUUUACCCUUCCCAGCUCUAAUUAGGUUUCGCUGUCCCUCCAAUCUAAUUUAAGAUCUAAUAUGAGGAAACCACACUGUAUUAGUGAAAGGAUCACAAUAUCAAGAUUUUCCAACUUCAAUUCACUGAUAUAACUUUUCUUGAAUCCUGGACAAAAGAACUUAGAACAUCAAAAGAUCAUAGCAGGAUUCUAAAAAACAAAGAUUGUAUUUGGUGCCUAUUGAGUCUAAAAGUUAUCUUGGAUGAAAAGGGUAAAAAUCAGUAAUAUGUCUGGUUCAGUAUCAAGAUUUUGAAAAUAUCAAAAGGAAGAAAAAAAAAGGUACCUUGUUUGCUAAUUCAUUUGGAAAAGCACCAUUUUCCUCUGUCAGUUGAGAGUUAGCCGCCGUGUUCUUUCCCACAACAGCCAAAUCUGUCUGCAAAAGCACAAAAAAAUAAAAUAAAAAAUGCUAAGCUUCUCUCAGCUCCUGCACUUGAGCAUGGGGCAUUAAUAAGUGAACUCAUUACUGAAAAUUGAGUCGCUAUACCUGCUCCUUCAGUAUAGGCUUGUUUUUACCUUCAUCAUAUUCUACAUGAUCAAGGCUUGCCUGAGUAUUCUGCAGACCAUGAGAUGCAGGGUCGUUCAUUUUUCCAUAGCCAAGGGCAAACAGCUGGUCCUCUUCUCUCGAAGCCACAGAUAUUGGAAAGGGCUUUACCGGGCUGUUAGUUGUACAUUUUGAAGAAGACCAUAGCUCAUCAGCAUUACCAAGAUUUACAUUGCCAAAUAUUGGGUCAUCAUUGCUGCAAAAUCACCACUUGUGAGGAUAUUGAGUCAGAUGGUUAUCACUGUUCUCCAACAGAAUCAAGAUAAAAUAUAAGAACAUUAGUGAAGAACAGAAAUGCAGGAAAGCCCUUCCACAAUUGAACAAGCUCACCAAUUCCUUACAAAUCCAGUGCUGCUAUAUUACAUUCUUUCUGCCAUUUAUACUUGUAAUUGAGGAUAUUGUGCUGCUAAAAACUCGCAUCCUUCAGGUUCUUUUCACAAUUAACAAAAUUAAGCCAGGAUCAAAAACCAUAAAUUUUCAAACAACUAGUCUUUUUUGUUAGUGUUGCUUUCAGCAGACAGCACUUGUUUGGAAAAGGAUAUAGAUCCAAAACAGAAGAAACUACAAUUAUUAAAAGAGUCUGGUUGUUUUUCCUUCACAACAACACUCUUGUAGUACAUGAUUUUUUUCUUCUGAAAUGAAAAUAGGCAGUGAGCAUAAUUAUUUUGUCCGCGAAACUUUCACUUCACAGUCAGUAAUAAGAAUUUGUUCAAAUUAUCAGAAUAAUGAGAUGUACAAGCUUCCAUAUCAGGGUGCUGCUGACCAUCUUUCAUUUAGGUGCAGAAAGUAAGAAAUGGUAACUGUGCUUUACCUAAAAAUUCGAUCAAGAUCAUCAAAGCUUCCAAUGCUAGCCCAGCCAUAAUCAACAAAAUCACCUUGCUCUUCACCUUCAUGAGGAUUUUGAAAAAUCUCAGUGUCCUUAUCAAGAUGAUCUGUCUCUGCGUUUUAAAAAAAAGAAUUAGAAUGACAGUAGCAUGUAAGAUACUAUGCUAUGAAAACAUCAUGCAACUCGUCACCCUAUCUACAUUUUUUCCUUGUAAUUGAAAUCUCAUCACCUGCUGAUGAAUCGAGUUUGGUAAUCUCAGUUAGAUUGUUAGAGAUUGAAGUUUCCAAGGAAUCCUGCUCAGUUUUGGCAGCAUUACGUGAGGACAAGUUAGGCCAUCGGUCCAUGUCAAGUCCUAAGGAAGAAGUUCCUUCACUUGUGUCAACAUUCGAAAUGCUCUCCAGCUUUCUGCCAUCAGUAUCAACUUUAGCCCCGGGUGCCUUCUGCUCACUAGAUUUAAUGGUGCUAGCUUCUUCACUCGAUUCCUUUUUCUUGCAAUAAUCUUCACUUGCCUCUGGAUAUGGCACGAUAUGGUCAUCACUAUCUUCAGCCUCACCCCAUAUUAUGUUCGUAAGCUGAAAAGAUAGUGAGUAAGCAUCAUCACUAAAUGUGGGAUACAUGAGAAGAAUGAAACAGUCACAAGUUAAUCUCUGGGUAACUUGGCAAGACUAUUUUCCCCAACAUAAUAUUCUGAAUAAUACACUAAUUAAUCAGUUCAGUUCCUUGUAAGGUGUGCGUGGGCACAUAUGAGCACACAUGUGUGUACGAGAGUUGCUAGUGUCAAUGAGUUGGGAACAAAAUAUUUAAUUGAGUCAUGCAGAAAAUACUAAAAUGUUCUAAAUUGUGUUAAAAAUAAAAUAGAAAGUAGAAGCCAUUGGCAUGAUUCAUUUAAAAAUUUCUACAAAAUUAAAAAAAGAAAACAAAACAAAAGGAGGAGAUGGCCCAAAGCAUGCUCUCAAUAAGAUGAAGUAAGACCUAAAGCUUCAUUGCAUGUACAGAGCACUUUGGAAACUUCAGUCUGGACAAAUAAAACCAAGGCAAAGUAUCUUCUUUUUGGAACUAAUUUCUUCACAGUAAGAUAUAACAUCCAACGCUACCUGCAUCACUUUCUCAUGGUCCUCUCUGACUCGAGUGAUCAUAAACCUUCUCAAAUCCCAUUUAAAGAAGAUUCCCUUUCUCACUUUUCGUUGGUAUUAUUUGACACCAAGAUCACAACCAAACAUUACCAAUAAGUGUGUCACCGGAGAAAGAAACUUAGGUGCCCUAAUACCAUAAAUAAAACCUAUUCAAUAAAAAUUAGACAAUAUUUUAUAGCUGUACAUCUAUAAUCAAAGUAAAAUGCCCAAAACUCUGAAUCCUGAAUAUGUGAAUCAAAGUAAAAGGCCCUAACUGAUGCACCAUCAGCAGUCUCCUACUUUGACUUGUGAUUAAUGACCUAGCAGUUCACUUCAACAACAUUAGUGAACAUAAGUUUGAAUUUCAGACCCAGCAAGAAGAAGUACAUUUUCCAGUAGGCAUGCAUAUCACCUUUUUAUCAAUAUCCAUGGAAGACAAACCAAGCAAUAUCAAGUUUUUUUCUGCUGGAUAUCCAAUAAAAAAUACCUCAUAGUGUGAACAUCUUUAAGAAGGAGGAUAUCACAUUGCACCCCAUCAACUGAUCCACAAAUAAAUUUGCAUCUUUCCAUCAGUUCCAAGCUCUUUGUAAGGAAAAGGGAGGGAAGUGCCUUCAAAGAUACCUUCUUCAUAGCUUCUUUAGAUAUGAAUCCACACGGCUUUCGUAAUCACCAAUCACUAUGCGCAGCUUCUCUUAUCAUCACAAGCUCCAUCUCUUUCCACGUCCUAACUUCAUUCGAUGAACUCUUCCCUCAGUUCCCAAGAAAAAUUAUAUUCAUCCCUCCUGCAGCCUUUUCCCUGCAUAUUUCCACCAGCUUCAUAGCUAUAUGGCCUGUGAAAACUGUCGUUGUUGCAGUGAUUCUGAACAACAAAAAUAACAAAGGAUAAUGCUUGUGUUUAAGAAGAGAUUGAUGAAUGAAAAGCUUAAAUACUUUAUUCAUAACUGCAGCUCAAUUUAUAGAGCUGAUACAUAACAAACUCCUACGAUCAUGGUCCUACAUUCAAGCCAUGAUCAAUUGAUAAUGGAAAUAACAGAGCUGCGAAAUAGCAGCAAGAACAAGAGAAUAGGAACAGAAUUGACUAAAUCAAAAAUUAAAGAAAGAAUAAAAUUCCAGCUCAGCAGUCCUGAACAUUAUUUCUAACACUCCUCCUUGUUUAGGAGCUGCAAACUCCCAACUUUGUUCUCAGAAAUUCGAAUUUGUUGACUGGCAGUGGUUUGGUGAAAAUAUCAGCUGCUUGUUCUUCAGUUUUGCAGUAAAUAAGAAUGAUACUCCAAUCUUUCUGCACCUCUCUCAAAAAGAAUAAUUUGAUGUUGAAGUGCUUGGUUUUCCCGUGAAACACAGGAUUAUUAGAGAUGGAAAUGGCAGCUUGAUUGUCAACUAGAAUUUCUGUGCUUUCCUUUUGCUCCAGGUUAAGAUCAGAUAAAAUUUUCCUCAGCCACAAAGCUUGAUUGACAGCAGCUGUUGCAGCCACAAACUCAGCUUCAGCAGUGGAUUGGGCUACGGUUUCUUGCUUUUUUGAAUUCCAUGAAAACACACCAGAACCUAAAGAGAAACAGUAGCCUGAUGUGCUCUUCAAGUCAUCAAUUGAGCCUCCCCAAUCACUGUCAGAGUACCCGACCAGUUUGAACUCUCUACUUCUUGUGUAUCUUAUGCCAAAAUUGCAGGUUCCUUUGACAUAUCUUAUCACUCUUUUAGCAGCCUUGAAAUGCAAUUCACUAGCACAAUGCAUGAAUCUAGACAAGAUACUCACAGCAUUCAAAAUAUCAGGCCUAGUUGCAGUGAGAUACAUCAAGCAUCCAACAAUUUUUCUGAAUUGUGCUUGAUCAACCUUCUCGGCUCCAUCUUCUUUACAUAGCUUCUCCUUUUGAUUCAUAGGAGUGCUUACUGCUUUGCAAUCUUCAAGUUUGAACUUUUUGAGGAUUUCUUUGGCAUACUUCUUCUGACAUAUGAACACUUCAUGUUCAGCUUGCUUAACUUCCAUUCCAAGAAAAAAGGACAUCAAACCCAAAUCUGUCAUCUCAAAUACACUCAUCAUCUCUUGCUUGAACGUCUCCACAUUAUUGUUGUUAUUUCCUGUUACAAGCAAAUCAUCAACGUAAAGUGAGAUGAUAAGGAUGUUAUCACCAUUUUGCUUGAUGUAAAGAGUCGAUUCAGAGAGGCUUUUAGUGAAUCCCAAGUGCUGCAAAUGUUCAUCGAUUCGGCUGUACCAAGCUCUUGGAGCUUGCUUCAAUCCAUAUAGUGCCUUCUUAAGAAGACAGACUUUGUCCUCCUCUCCUUCAUUUGCAAAGCCUUCUGGUUGCUCAGUAUAGAUCUCCUCCUGCAAAACACCAUUUAAAAACGCUGACUUGACGUCCAUUUGAUACACCUUCCAAUUCAGUUGUGCUGCAAUGGCAAGUAGCAGCCUGAUAGUGUCAAGUCUUGCUACCGGUGCAAACGUGUCUGAGUAGUCCACGCCAAAGAUUUGUGCAUAACCCUUCACCACUAGCCUGGCUUUGAGCUUAUUGAUUGAGCCAUCAGCGUUGAGUUUUGUUCGAUACACCCAUUUUACACCGAUUACAUUUCUGUUUUGAGGUCUGUCAACCAACUCCCACGUGUUGUUUCUCGUGAUCAUGAGAAGCUCCUCCUUCAUCGCAGCAAGCCAAUUUUGAUCUAGCUUGGCUUCUUCAAAGUCUGCUGGUUCACACACAGCAAUGUUGCACCUUUGAUACACAUCAAGGAGUGACCGUGUGCCUCUAACAGGAGUGUCAUCUGUCAUGUUGAUGUCCCAAUCUUCCAUGCUUUGAUCAUCUGUGUCUGAAACAAGAUAAUUGCCUUUUGGAGAGGCUGAAUCUUCUUUGAUUGCAUCGUUCCAAUCCCAUUCUUCAUCUUCCAGGAAUUGGACAUCUCUGCUUAUAACGAUUUUUCCAGUUUGUGGCUGGAAAAUCUUAUAAGCCUUUGAAACUAAGCUGUAGCCAACAAAAAUGCCUGGAAGUGCUUUCUUGUCAAGUUUAUCCCUCUUGACCUGUGGAACAAGGGUGAAGCACAAACAUCCAAAUACCUUAAGAAAAUUCAGAGAUGGUUUGUAACCAUACCAUGCCUCAAAGGGUGUUUGAUCCUUCAAGGCUCUUGUAGGCAGUCGAUUUUGCAAGAACACAGCAGUGUUUGCAGCCUCUGCCCAGAAUUUCUUUGGUAAAUUCUUCUCAUGUAGCAAGCAUCUUGUCAUUUCCAAUAUGAACUUGUUUCGCCUCUCACUAACUCCGUUUUGCUGAGGAGUAUACGGAGUUGUUAGCUGAUGAUGAAUGCCUGCCUCCUCACAAAAAACGUUGAAGGCAUUGGAAGUGUAUUCCUUGCCAUUGUCUGAUCUGAGGGCUUGAAUUUUGCAGCCACUUUCAUUUUCAACUUUGGCCUUGAAAUUCCAGAACACCUGUGCUACCUCUGACUUGUGCUUCAAGAAGAAAAUCCAGCACAUUCGGCUGUAAUCGUCAAUGAAGACAGCAUAAUACAGACUCCCAUUUAGAGAGAGUGUCCUUUGUGGUCCUGCAAUGUCAGUAUGAAUCAAUUGCAGCUUCCUUGUUGCUCUCCAUGUGGCUUCUGGAAAGGGCUUCCUGUUUAGCUUGCCAGUGUGACAAGUUCUGCAGCUGGAUAUGUGAUCAUCAAGUGCUGGGAAAUCCUUAGCCAUCAUCUUGGAUUUCAUAAGCAUCAGCCCUCUAUGAUGAUAGUGCCCGAGCCUCUUGUGCCAAAUAUCUGUGAUAUUUUCUUUAAUUGGGAAAGCAGUAUGCUCCUCCUCCAAUGGAUUUAGAGCAAAACUCUUCCCUUUCAUGAUUAUUUUGAAAAUAUCAUGACCAUUCACAUCUUUGAUCAAGCAGCAAUUGUUUUCAAACACUACUUUAUAACCCUUCUCAAUAAGCUGACCAACACUGAAUAAAUUUUGAUUUAUACCAGGGACAUACAAUACAUCAGAGAUGAACUUAGUACCUGAGCAAGUCAAGAUUGCCACGGUUCCCUUUCCUUCAACAACAAGGUAUUCUCCAUUUCCAAUUCGAACCUUUGAAGUUGUUUGUUUCAGCUCCUUGAAUAUGUUUCUGUCAUGUGUCAUGUGGUUGGUGCAACCACUAUCAAUGAGCCAGCUUUCACUUGAGUCAUUUCUGGAAAUGCAAGUGGCCACAAACAAUUGAUCUUCUUCUUCUUGAUCAGCAAUUUGAGCUUCUUCACCAUGCUGUUGAAUUUUGUUUUUGCAGAUGACAGCCUCGUGCCCCAUUUGAUUGCAUUUGUUGCACUUAGCUUCUGGUCUUCUCCAACACUUAAAAUGUGGAUGUGAUCUCCUUUUACAAUGCUGGCAUGGAGGAAAAGGUCCUUUUUUGUUUCCAGUGUUGCUCCUUGUUGAAAUUCCUGGAAUCACCUGAUGAUGCUUGACUGCUUCCAUUCUUCUUGUAAUUCUUUCCUUUUUCUCUAUGCUUGACGAAUAGAGCUCCUUCAAUCUCAUCUUCCUGUCUCAUGAUCCUCCUUUGCUCCUGAGCUUGUAAUGCAUUUAGCAUUUCUGUCAAAGUAAUUUUUGACAUAUCCUUGGUAUUUUCCAAGGAUGUAAUUGUAGCUUCAAAGAUUUCAGGAAUUGUUACAAGAAUUUUUUGAACAAUUCUUGACUCAGGCAGGGACGAGCCAAGUAAACUGAUUCGGCUUGCAAUAUUAAGCAGCCUGUCAGAGUACUCUUUGAUGGAUUCAGUCUUCUUCAUCUUCUGCAACUCGAAAUCACGCAUCAAGUUCAACACUUGCAUACCUUGAAUUCUUUCAUCCCCUUCAUACUCAGUCUUGAGAAACUCCCAUAUCUCCUUUGCUGUUUUCAGAGACAUGAUUCGAGUGAAAAUGGUGGAUGCUACUACAGCAAACAAGCACGCCUUUGCCUUUGAUUUUUUUGUCUUCUUCUCCUUCUGUGAUUUGAUCUGCACCAUGGUGGGAUUGUUUGGAAGUGCAGGGAUUUCAUAAUCUUCUUCCACUGCCUCCCACAAAUCCAAAGCCUCUAAGUAUGUCUCUAUCCGUACUGCCCAAAACUGGUAAUUGUCACCAUUGAACACUGGUGGAGCAAUUGAUGAGAAGCUUACUUCUGUCUCCAUGGGUUACAACACAGAUCCCUUUAAAUCAAGAUGCUCUGAUACCAAUUGUCGUUGUUGCAGUGAUUCUGAACAACAAAAAUAACAAAGGAUAAUGCUUGUGUUUAAGAAGAGAUUGAUGAAUGAAAAGCUUAAAUACUUUAUUCAUAACUGCAGCUCAAUUUAUAGAGCUGAUACAUAACAAACUCCUACGAUCAUGGUCCUACAUUCAAGCCAUGAUCAAUUGAUAAUGGAAAUAACAGAGCUGCGAAAUAGCAGCAAGAACAAGAGAAUAGGAACAGAAUUGACUAAAUCAAAAAUUAAAGAAAGAAUAAAAUUCCAGCUCAGCAGUCCUGAACAGUAUUUCUAAUUUCUGCUGGAUAUCCAAUAAAAAAUACCUCAUAGUGUGAACAUCUUUAAGAAGGAGGAUAUCACAUUGCACCCCAUCAACUGAUCCACAAAUAAAUUUGCAUCUUUCCAUCAGUUCCAAGCUACUUUGUAAGGAAAAGGGAGGGAAGUGCCUUCAAAGAUACCUUCUUCAUAGCUUCUUUAGAUAUGAAUCCACACGGCUUUCGUAAUCACCAAUCACUAUGCACAGCUUCUCUUAUCAUCACAAGCUCCAUCUCUUUCCACGUCCUAACUUCAUUCGAUGAACUCUUCCCUCAGUUCCCAAGAAAAAUUAUAUUCUUCCCUCCUGCAGCCCUUUCCCUGUAUAUUUCCACCAGCUUCAUAGCUAUAUGGCCUGUGAAAACGACUCCCAAAUUAAAACACUUGAGAAGCUCUAAUAGUUUUCUUAUUAUUUCUUCACUCUUUGUCAGUGUGCCACAUUCAAAUACUACUGAUCGAUUCUUCCUCGUCACAACCACUCACUUUCCCCUAAAUCCCAUACCAACUAAAUCAAUAUCUCUUAUCACUUAUCAAAACUCCAUCUAAUUUCCAAAUGAAUCACACCAUUUGAACACUUUGCCAAUUCCUAAUUCCUUCAAAAUUUUCAUCCAUCAAAAAAAAAACUGCAAGUCAUACUUUUUCACUCUAACACAGUUCUCCUUAUAAUCAAUCUUCCAAUUUAACCAUACUCUUGCCUCUAAAUCUGGCACGCAAAGCUUCUACAUAACCUUCCAACGUUACUUCUUGCCUCCCAACAAGGGUGGAGGCAUGCAUGGGCUAGGGUGGGCUCUAGCUCAGGUGAAGAUUUUAUUAAUAUUUUUGUUCUAGUUUUAUGUAAAGAAAAUUUGUAAUUCUCAAUUUACGUGGAGCCUUCUAAUAUGAUGCUUUAACUUGAGUUAAAAUUUUAUAAUUUUUGAAGAAAUUCAGAAAUUUGAUAAAAAACAAAAUCAUAAUUUGACCAAUUUUAUGUUAUUGGGUGUAAUUUUCAAUCUGACCAUCAGAUUGAGCUAAAAUUUUACAAGGAAUCUUAAAAUAUAUUAAAUAAAAUCUGGUUUAAAUUUUAAAAUGAACAGAGUUUGGUAGUGCUAACAAAAAAAACAUCAAAUAAAAGCAAAAUGACUCAUUAAGGGUAAAAUUGUUAUUUGCCAUAAAAAAAAAUCAGUUCUUCCUUCCUUUAUAUGUUGCUGACUGGGCAGAAACAAAAUAGAAAAUGAAAGAAAAGAAAAGGCGAGAGAAAAAGAGAGAAAAGUAAGGGAAAAACAUAAAAAAAAUCCUAGAAAAAAAGAUAAGAAAAGUGAGAAAAUAACCUUAUAAACUUAUAAAGUCCAACUUAUAAAAUAUUAAUCUAAGGAAGAAGCAAGUGAAGGAAGGAGGAAUUGAGAGAGGGAAAAAAUUUAAUUAUUUUAUUUUUCAGUUGACAUGAGAUUGUUAUUUUAUCCCGGUUAAGGGAUUGUUAUAAUAUCAAUUCAAAUUCGAUUAUAGAUGAAUUAUAUUUCACAAAACAUCGAAAGAUGUAACUUUAAUAGUGAGUUUAUUUUUACUUUCACUUUAAUUUUAUAUAUUUUUAAAUUUAUUUUUUAAUAUUUUAGGUAAUGUAUUUGAAUUAAAACUUUACUAUUAACUUUAAAAACUCAUGUACAUUAAUUAAUAAUUUAUCUUAAAAAAAAUAUUAUAUAUUUAUUUAAUAGUGCAGGACAGAAAAAAAAUCUAGCAAAAUUUAUUCUUUCCAACUUUAUUUGUUUUGACUGAAAAAUAAUCUUUUAUUUUUGUACUUCACAGGCAUGUGGUGGCAAAAGUCGAGCACGAUAUAUAUAUAUAUAUAUAUAUAUUUCUUAAGAUACAUAUGGCUGGUGAUUGGCGGAUGAUGGUGUCAUUAAGACUCUUGGUGUGUACCCUCAUCCUUUCUGUUUAUAGUUUAGUCCAUUUGCAGCUUUAAUGGCUACUAUCAGUUGCUUUGGAACCUGAUAUCACUAGUCUCAUUAUGGUACAGACAAGCUCAGGAUGAUCAAUCCUUGAGAAUCCACAUCCAACCAGAAAUAAACCGAAUUUCGAGCAUAAAUGACUCGAACUCGCUGGAAUGCUUUGGCACCUCCUUCAAUCCUAGUUUGGGAAACAGAAACACUAUCACCGUUAGUUUUCACCGAGGAAGACAGCACCCCCAUUCUCUCCUGCUGUGCUGAUGAUGGGGCAUGAGAGAUAGUCCAAAGGAUUUGCCUCACGUUGAAGUAUGCAACUGUCUAUGGUUAGCCUUCUCUUUUGUGAUGCAAGCAGCAACCAAGCUCUGCCUUCACUGCAUAAAGAAAUGAUUGAUUCACGAAGCCUGACUUCUUUGAAUUUGAAAGAUUAGAAUCAUUGGAAGAGAAAGAAGAAAAGGUGUAAAUGACAGCGGAAUGCUAUUAUACCAUCUGCCAAGGUAAUGCCAAGUCUACUUGCGAGGUAUUUAUAUCAUAAUUUUUAAAUAUUAGAUUGUCAGCGCAUACCAAGCAAAGAGCUUCGAUUCACAACGAAAUGAAUCCGUGCUAUGGGUUAUCAUCUGAUAUCAUCAUUCAUCAACAAUUAAUCGAAUGGGUUUAUACAUGAAAUGUUUUUAGUUUCUUAAUCAAUAAUUGAAGUUUUUAAUUGGAAGUCAAAUUAUUCUUAGAGAAUAAUAUAAUUAAACUAAACCUUGGUUAAUUGAUUGCUAGCAAAGGUGUACAUUUACAUGGCUUGAAAAUGAAGCUUAUCUUCCAUUUAAUUUUAUCAAAUAAAUUAUUUAUAGAGUAGUUUUGAGUGAUAUAAAUCAAAUAGGAAUUAAAUCAUGUUAAAACAUUUAAUUUUGUUGUCCCUUUAUAUUACAAACAGCAACAUUACGUAUCAUGUUUAUAAAUUCCAAACCACUCAUUUGAAACUAACGCUUUGUAUUUUUUUUAUAAAAUAAAAUAAAUCCUAACACUGAUGUGGACUAAAAUGUUUUUCAUAUAAAAUAUGAGGAUCAAAAAACUUUCAUGAACAUUUAAAAUAUGAUGUGGACUAACAUUUUUUUUUUGUUAAAAUUAGUUCGGUUUGUACUUUCUAGAUCGUUUUGAUGUGCUGAUAUCAAAAAUAAUUUUUAAAAAAUAAAAAAAACAUUAUUGGCAUACUUUUCGGCACGAAAAGCUAUUUGAAAAACAACAACUACCACACUUCCAAACACCCUCACUUAGUAUAAAAAAGAAAUCAUCACGUCGUUAUUUUCCACUCAGUAUAAAAAAGAAAUCACACGCCUUAGAGGAUAAAUAAGCAAUGCGAAAGUUAAAUAAAUUUAUGAAUUACCAGCAUAAUUCACACUAAUUCCCCUCUCUAACUUGCACCUCAUCAAUUUUUAUUCCUUUACUCUCGAACGAAAAUAAUAAUAUUUAAGUUAUUAAACCCAACUCGAAUUAUAAUUCAAGUAGGGGGUUAACAUAAAUCAAUACAAAGUGAUAUGACUUUAGGAGUUUUUUCAAAAAAACAAAUUAAAAUGAUGUGAACUUUUUUAAAUUAAAUUGAGUUUUAAUUGAUCAAAUAAGUUGGAUUACACCAGGUCAAAUUCUAUCCGAUUUAAUUUAAAAUUCAAUCUAAACUCUUAACUUACCUUCAGUCGGGUUUAAUAACAUAUUGACGUAACUUUAGACAAGUUAAGACAUGUUAUUUGUAUAAUCAGACCAAAUUCUCAAUCUUUAUUUAUCAUAAUAACGAUCCAACCCAUUAAUUUUAAAUGGGCCUAUAAAAACUCUAACUUGCCAUAAAAUCAGCAAUUUUACAUCCUAUUUUAUAAAAGACACUCCAACAUAAUUAAUUAAAAUAGUAUUUGAUAUUGUGGUAAUAAUUAUUUUUUAAAGUAUUUUUUAUUUAAAAAUAUAUUUAAAUAAUUUUUAAUUUUUUAAUUUUAAAAAUUAAUAUUUGACAUUACAUAUUAAAACAAUCUAAAAACAUAAUUUUUAAAAAAAGUUAUUAUUAUUUAAGAAAAACUGUAUCACCAUACAAACAAAUCCAAAAACACAAUUUUUUUAAAACAAUUAUUAUUCUUUUAAAAAAAAUUGUAUCACCAUAAAAACAAAUAAUUUCUAAGAGUGACAGUGAGCAACAGAAAUAAACCAUGGCAGAAACUAAAAAUACCUUUAACGGAAACUGUGCUUCGAUUCACAACGUUUUCAUCCUUGACCAAUGCUUGACAGAGUAGACGACGGGUCAGAACAGAGCUACCAGUCCUGCAUUUCUCGAAGGAUAGUUUUGGAAAUGCUCUAAGACCGUGGCCAUUAUGCUGUGUAUGUUUGAUAAUGCAGUGAAUAUAAUUUUAUAAAAAUAUUUUUCAAUUAAUAAAAUAUUUCUUAAAGAAAUUUUCAAUAAUUUUGUUAAGAAAUUUGCGUGGCCAGACAUUUUAAAGAAUGAUGCUAAAUUUGGGGUUACAUAGGCAGCUGCUGGCUCCUCUUGUAUCUUUUGGGUUAAAGGCAUCGUUUGUUUCCUGCCGUUGUCUAUUCUCCGGUCGUAGAAGCUGACUGCAAUCCUCCGACUCUGUUCUCAUAGUCAGAUGCUUCCUCUGUUUUCUCCUGGCAUUAAAAUUACAGCUCACCCUCAAAUCUUAUUGCCUCUGGUCAUUUUCUUGAAUGGUGCUUGGUGUUGUCUUCUAGCGUUUGCAGUAUCGUAAUUUGCUGGAGUUUUUGUAGUAUUUGAAUUGUGGGUGAUUGAGCUGCAGAAUUUGUGCAAUUGAAUUGAAUUUGUGCUAUGGGUUAUCACGCGAUAUCAUCAUUCAUCAACAAUUAAUUGAAUGGGUUUCUACAUUAAAUAUUUUUAGUUUCUUAAUCAAUAAUUGAAGUUUUUAAUUGGAAGUGAAAUUAUUCUUAGAGAAUAAUAUAAUUAAACUAAAUCUUGGUUAAUUGAUUGCUAGCAAAGGUGUAAAUUUACAUGGCUUGAAAAUGAAGCUUCUCUUCCACUUAAUUUUAUCAAAUAAUAUAAUUUUGAAAUAAAUUAUUUAUAGUAGUUUUGAGUGAUAUAAAUCAAAUAGGAAUUAAAACAUGUUAAAACAUUUAAUUUUGUUAUACCUAGGUCCCUUUAUAUUACUAACAACAAUAUUAUGUAUCGUGUUUAUAAAUUCCAAACCACUCAUUUGAAACUAAAGCUGUGUAUGCUUUUUAUAAAAUAAAAUAAAUCCUAACCUUCAUAUGAGGAUUAAAAAACAUUCAUGAAAAUAUAUGAAAAGCUAUUUUUGUCUCUAUGGGCUAGGUACGAUGUAUUCAGGUAUGGAUAUGGGUCUGGGCUUAGGAUGAUAGAUAUGGGUCCAGUAGGAGCACGAUAUUUUUUAAUGGUAAGGAAUGAGCUAUGCCUACCAGGCUGGUUACUCGGUCCAUUCACCUCUCUACCUGAGGCUUGUAUAGUUUAUUGAAAAAAACAAACUUAUAUCGUUUCUUUUAGAAUUCAUUUCUUUAUAAAGCAUGACAAUGUAACCAAAUUUGCAUUAUCUAUAUAAAAUAAAAGAAAAUAUAUAUUUUCACAAAUUCUACCAUAUUGCUCGACCAAAAUAUUUAUUUUUUGUUUCUAUACAUAUUAUAAUUAGUUACAAAUAUAACACCCAAUUUAAUAAAAUCAUAUGAGCAAAAUUCCAGGACUUUCCAUGGACAAAACCCAAUUUAAUAUAUAUAUAUAUAUAUAUAUAUAUAUAUAUAUUUCUCUACAUAUUCAAUAUAUUCAUCUAAAUGUAUUUAUCUGAAUGCUAUAUUAUCUUAUAAUUUAACUGGGACCAAAGAUAAAUGAUAACAUUUAUUUAAAUGCUAUUUAUGAUUGACACACAAAACCCUGUUUUCAUAGUUAAUUGAAGGAUAAUAAAUGGAAGAAUGACAAAUUGCCAGGUGGAAAGUUAUACCUCAUCACAACAAAUACUUUCCAGCCAAUUAAUUAAUGGCGGUUACAACUAAUUACAACAAAUACUCUUCACUUCUUCUCUAUAGUUAUGUUAAUGGUAAGAAAAGGUUGGAUAUUAGAAUUUUGAAAAAUAAAAUAAAAGAUAAGUGAUGUUCAGAUUAGAACUUGAUAUUUGAUAUAAAAUAUAUAUUUUUUAAUUAAACUUUAAUAACAAGUCAUAAAUCAACUCAAAAAUAGUAAAUAUUGUAAAAAAAAAAUGGUAAUAUUAUACACAAAAAAAGAGACUCAUGAAAUGACAUAAAAAAUAGAAUUUUUGUAUAUUUUUAUCUAUUCAUGAACUUGAACAUGAUUUAUAUUUAUAUAAUCAUACAUUUUAAUUGGAAAAUAAUCAAUAAAGGAAGAAAGAAUCGACUUUAAACAAAUAAAAAGAAAAUAGAAGAUGAAAUAUAAAUCACGUAAGAAUUAAGUCUUCUCGAAGACUAGCUUAAGAGUAAGAAAGAGGCAAAAUCUAUAGGAAUUUAAUUAAUAAAUGUUUCAUGCGUGUUGUUUCGAAUUGUAUAAAUAUAAAGAAAAUACAUUUAUACAUAUUAUAUUAUAAUGAAUAUAUUUUUCUGUGCAAAAUUGUUAUUAUUUUUUCAAAUCAAACCCCCGGUUUGAGUAUUGAGCAUAAAAAGAAUUUGGAUUGUUGAAUCAUUUAAACAAUUAGUGGAUCGCCAAUGAAUCAUUUUAUUAAAAUGAUAUUUUGCUUUUUUAUAAAAAAAUUUAUUAAUAUUGAUUUAACUAAGUUUGUAUCAGAUUUUACCAAAUCAAAUAAAUCAUUACAAAUUCAAUUGAGUAAUUAAGAUUUUAUCUUAUCAAUGUUUUUUUCUAAUUCAAUUUUAAACCUGGUUAAUGCCAGGAUCUGGAGGAUGUGCUUCCUAUAUCAAAUCACCAUGCAGGGAAGAGUUUAAACAUUUUUCAUUUUUCCUAUAUCAAAAAAUUACAUUUCUUAGCAAAACACACGAGUUAUAUAUAUAUAUUUAAACAAAUUACAAAUAAUCUAAUCAAUUGAUUAAAGUUGUGACACCUUAUAGUACGUAGACGACUAUAUAAUACUAUAAGAUAUUUAACAAUAUUUAUUUUUAUGAAGAGUAAUAUGUUGCUUGUCUAUGUAAUUUCUCUUUUAAAUUGGGUUUAAUUUCAAAAUCAACGUGUAACUUUGUACGUAGGGGCAUGUCAUGGGCAGUGUUGGACCAAAUUCUCAAUCUUUAUUCAUAGAGGUGGAUCAUGAUCGAGAUUCGAGCCUAUUAAUUUUAAAUGGAUCUACAAAACCUCUAUUCGGCCAUAAAAAAUAAAAUCUCAGGUGCCCAUCAAUGAUAGGAUCUAUUUUGUAAAAGACAUUUCAACAGUAUUAAAAUAAUGUUUAGUAACGUGAUAUCUGAUAUUUUUAAAAAUAUUUUUUUAUUUAAAUUAUAUAUUUUUAAAAUUUAUAUUUAAUAUUAUUAUAUUAAAAUAAUAUAAAAAUAUAAAAAUAUAUUUUUAAAAAAAAUCUUGGUGUCAAAGUGAGUGAAUAAAAAAAAUAAAUCAUGGCAGAAACCACGAACACCUUUAACAGCAAUGUCGUUUCAGUUUGACAGAGUUGUGUUAAAAAAAAAAUUCCUUCAAUUUGUAUUGACUUUUUAAUGUUUUAAGUUUACAGUGCUCCUAUAUAUAAACAGAGAAGAUGUUCUUAAAAACUAUGGAUUCCUGCUAUAAACAGGACUUAUACAAAUGUGGAAUAAAUCAAUUACUAAACUAUGGAAUAGGACUUAUACAACUGUGGGAUAAAUCAAUUACCAAACUUUUUCUUACAAACUCUCAACUAAAUCACUUUGUAAUUAUACUAACACUUUGAGUCAAGUUAGUGCAAAGAUAUCUUACCCAACUUGUCAAGGGAGCUCUGAAAGUUUUUGCUGAAGACAACUUUUGUAAAGAUAUUCGUGAGCUGAUUCUUUGAUUUGACAAAUGAAAAGUUAAUCACUUAUUAUUUAAGAUUUUGUUUAAUAAAAUGUUUGUCUAUUUCAAUAUGUUUCGUGUGAUCAUGUUAAAUUGGGUUAUAAAAUAUUUUAAUGGCAGCUUAAUUAUCACAGUAUAGGUUCGUUCUUGAUUUGGGAGCAAAACCAAUUUCUGAUAAUAAUCUUCUGAGCUAAAGCAGUUUACGUAGUCCUUUUACCGUCCCUUGAAACUCAACCUCUGUGCUUGACAAGGUAGCUACUUUUUAUUUCUUGCUUCUCCAUGUGACUAAAUUGCCACCAAUAAACGUGAAGUAUGCUCAUUAAUCUCAUGCAUAUUUUGAUUAUUUUGUUGAAUAUUUUAAUCAGGUUUAUGAUAUGGAUUCUUAUAAUAAAAUUUUCAUUUAAUUUUUUUAUUUUCAUGGGGGGUUUUAAUGUAGGGAACAUAGGAAGUGUAAAGGUGGCAACUUUUUUGCUUUAUUUUAUACCGUAUUUAAAGCCAGUGCCUUUGAGGUUUUAUGGCAGCCCAUCAACAAUAUUCUUAGUAGGAUCUUAUCAUUUAUGGUACUAGCCUGUUGGGCCUCCCUUUUCAUUAUUUUAAGCGUAGUUGCCACCCAUCUUUCUGUGGCUCCAUGUUCAUUCUCCAAACCAUUCAUAUAGGUAUCUUAAAUAGUGUAGCUGGAGCUUUACUGGGUAUGCUUUUUAAUAUAUUUUUAAGUAAAAUAUAUUUUUAAAAAUAUUUAAAAAACAAACAUUACUGUACUUUCAAAAACAUAAUCCUCUUGUAUCUGACGCUUUAAAUUCCAACAAUGAGUUACUGAUUAGAUAAUAUCUACAUUCAAUUAAAAAUAUAAUUUCUUGACAGCGAAAUAAAGAAAAAAGUAGCAACCCUGUAAUAUCUAGGUAAUUUCUAUGCUCUUUAAAUUAGGCCUCUAAACUGAGACUGUAAUGAGCCCAUGACAGAGGAAGACAUGAAAGUGUAAUUUCAGAAGACCAUUAUUCAUAUAACAAAUUUAGUAAAUUUAGUAAACUCGUAAAGUUAAACCGAUUUUACUAAUUCUGUACUAGUUAGAUUUGAUUUUAUUAAUUUUAAAUUUUUAGUUAGAUUUAGUAUGUUAAAUAUAUAUUAACUUAAAUUUUACUAAUAACUCAUAAUUUUAACAACCUUGCUUGUAAUAGCUCUUGUGGUGGUUGAUGUUUAAAAAAGAUAAUUGAGAAAUUAUUUUCACUCGUGACUUUUUUGAUUUAAAUAAGUAUUGAAUUAAAAAUAUUUAAUUAAAAUUAUUGUUUUAAUUUAAUUACCACAAAAGAUACUGGUGAAGGUGGAGAGGAUGCAAAAGAUGAUUGGGUAUCCUAUUAAUCGUCAAAACAUCAACUAUUGUGGUCAAUUCUGCUGACUGCUGAGACUAAAAGCCAACCACUUGAAUAAUGGGCAUUAGCUGUUUAGCACUCCUUGGUAAACACUUCAGGCUCCUUUCCCGCCCCUUUCCUCGCUGGUUCCUUAAUAGCUUCAAGGGGUGCGAGCGCCUCGUUCGAGGAUUGAGCAUAAAGGACUAAAAGAGUUCAAUAAAUACUAAAAGACAUAAAGUGAAGUUUUUAUAAUAUUCAUAGCAAUGGUCAUCAGCUAAUUUAUAAUUUAUUUAUCUACUUUAUCAAUGAAAUAAAAGUGAUAAAAGAAAAGGAGAGAAGAAAUAAAGUGAAGUCUUCUUCUGCAUUAUUAGCACAUCACGUGAAAAUAAAGAAUGGCAUAUAAUAAAAGUUAUUCCAAUCAAACCUCCUUUUUCAACCGAUGGGGUCUCUUGUCAAAUAAAGCAAGGACAGACCGAGUAAGAUGUGGGACCUAACUGCACUUUCCUGGCACGCGUAGUUCACGCAUACACAAGCACAUUCAGAAUAGUAUUCAAUUUAAAAACACAAAAAAAAAAUAAAGGAAUAAAAGAAGGAAAAGUGAUCAAAGAAGAAGAGAGAAGAAAUAAAGUGAAGUCUUCUUCUGCAUUAUUAGCACAUCACGUGAAAAGAAAGAUACAAACAAGAUUACUCCAUUUUCCAGUCACUUUUUCAACCGAUGGGGCUUCUUGGCAAAUAAAGCAAGGACAGACCGAGUUGAUGCGCUACGUAACUCCUUUUUCCUGGCCCGCGCAAUUCACGCAUACACAAACACAUCCAGAAUAAUAUUCAUAAAAUUAAUUAACAUCCCGUAAAAAUAUACUUUAAUUUAGAAAAGAUUUUAAAAUGUUAUUUUUCAAAUUAAUAAUAACAAAAUUUUAUAUUAAAUUGGUUCGCUUAAGUUAACCUAUUAGAUUUAUAAUUCAGGUUAUGAAAUUAUAAUACCUAGUUCACAAAUAACCAAAUAUGGUGAAGUUUUUCCAAUCAAACCCUUUUUUUUUUUUAAGAUGUAAUUUCUAGAAAAAUAAAUCAAAGACAAACAGAGUAAAAUUUCAAAAAAUAGAGAAAGAUGGAAAAUCCCACCAAUAUUUAACCCACUUAAAUUGAGUCCAAAUCAUAAAAGCAUCUACAAAGAGUGUGUUAAAUGAAAAGUUAAAAAUUAAAAAAUAUAUAAUUUUGACUCUUUCAUGUUUAUUUUACACACUUCAAAAAAAUAUUAAAUAAAAUAUUAAAAUAUUUUUUUUUCUUAUAAAUACUAUUUCUAAAUAUCUAUCAAAAAAACCAAUACUAAAAAAAUAGAGUCAUCAAAAAAUAAACCAAUUAAAUAUAAUUAUAUGAAAAAAUAUAUUUUAAAUAGUGCAGCCUGAGCUUAAUGGUUAAAAUAAUUUUAUAUUUUUUAUAAUUGUUAACAUCAACACAUUAAAAUCAUUAAAAAUAUUAAAAAAUCAAUAAUUUAAUAUAUUUUUAAAUAAAAUAUAUUUUUUAAAAAAACAUAUAAAUUACUACUAUUAUUUCAAACACACAAUCCUAUUCCAUCUUAAAAUCUGAGCUAUUAGGAUAGUAAAGUUAAUUCGUUAAAUUUACAAUUGUGGUGGUGGGAUAUUAAAAAAAAUCUUAUAUUAAAAUUAAAAAUUUUAAAAAUUCUUGAAUAAAAAAACAACAAAACAAUUAUUCAGGUAAUUGUAUAAAAUAUAAUAAUAUAAUGUAUAAUUUAUAAUUGAUUUAUUUACCUUAUCAGUCUUCUGCUGCAUGAUCACAUCACGUGAAAAGCUUGGCAUUUAGUGAUGUUUUUCCAAUCAAACCUCCUUUUUUCAAAGAUGGAAUCUCGAGGUAAAUAAAUCAAAGACAAAACCGAGUAAAAUGGAGUCCAGAGCAUAAAAGAAUCUCCAAUGAAGCUGCUAAAUGAAUAACUAAAAAUAAUAAUAAAAAAAAAAUUGUUUUUGUUUGUUUUUUAUAUUUCAAGAAGAAAAUCAAAUAAAUCGUUAAAAUAUUUUUUUUUCACAUAAAUAUUAUUUUUAUAUAUCUCUCAAAAAAAUCAAAAUUAAUAAAAUAAAACCAACAAAAAAAAGCCAAUUAAAUCUAGGUAUCUAGAAAAAAAUAACUUUAAAAUCAUUAAAAAAAAAAAAUGUUUAUUUAUUUCACUUUAUCUCGAAAAACAGUAACUUUAAAAUCAUUAAAAAAAAUAAAAUGUUUAUUUAUUUCACUUUAAUAGAAUUGGCUUUUCAAUGUAUUUUUUCUAUUGGAAUAUAUAUUGUAAAAAAAAUAUAUUUAUAUUAUUUAAAAUACUAUUUUAUUAGUUUAUUUUUUUAAAAUAAUAUUUUUUAUUAAAGAUACUCCAACAAGGGCCGAGAGAGCAAAGGCUUUUACGAGUUCUGUGUUCCGUAUACUUCUCAAGGGGAAAAAAAUAAUGUUUUGUUAGAGAUUUGUUUUUGAUAGAAUUGUUAGCGAUCUUAGCCGAUGCAUCUGGAUUAUAAUUUUUAGCAUUUAUACUAUUUUAUAGCGCUAAUAUCUUAAAAAAACUUAUUUUCUAGCUUUUUUUUCAUGGUAUAAUAAAAUAUUAAAAAAUAUUUUUCAACUCAUUAUCCUUAAUACAAUUAAAUUUCAUAGAAUAGUCUAUUUUUUAGAAAUAUAGUUUACUAUGAGAUUUAUUGGAUAAAAGAAAUUCACUUUGUAACAAUGCACUAGAAACUAAAAAAAAAUAAGCUAAUGAUCAUUUAAAAAUAUAGUAUAUUGGAAUCAUCUUGCUGAAUAGGUGAGUUUGGGAGUUUGGUUGCUUAACAGGCGAGUGAGGGUUAAAUGUAUCCAAUUAAAUAAUAUCUACAUUCAAUUAAAACUUAUGGUACAAUUACUUGACAGCAAAAUAAAGAAAAGCAGGAACCCUGUAAUAUCUAGGAAAUUUCUAUGCUCUUUGAAUUAGGUGCCCAAACUAAGGCUAUAAUGAGCCCUGAAUUUACACAGAAGAAAUUUCAUGGGAAAUGGGUUGAUGUCAGAGGCAGACACGGAAACGUAAUUUCAGAAGACUAUGACUCAAAUCAGUGGCUGAAAUCCAAUCACUCAAGGGAUGGUGACACGUUGUCUUGAGUGGGAGACAACUGGUCUUCAGUACAAAGAGAAACAACGUUUUUUUUUUAUUAUUAUUAUUAUUAUUAAAAGCGAGUGUACGAGUUACUUCCAUGUUUUUUAAUUAAUUUUAAAAUUAAUAAUUAUAUAAAUUUUUAAUAAUUAUAAAAAAGUUUAAAUUCAUGAAAAGAUUUGAAUUCAUAAUUAUUAAAAUACAAAUAUAUUUUCCUGAGUGUCUUUGCUCUCGUGACAGCUCACGAUGGUGGGGGGUUUAAAAAAAAAUUUAAAAAAUAUUUUUACUUGUGAUUUAUUUAAUUUAAAUAAGUAUUUAAUUAUAAUUAUAAUUAACGAUAUAUUGUAACUAAAAUUACUAUAAAAAAGAACAUAGUGAAGGUGGAGAGGAUGAGAAUAAUGAUUGGAUAUCUUAAUAAUUGUAAAAAGAAAGUAUUUUUUUAUGGUGAAGUUAUUUGUAUAUGAGAAAAGACUGAGUUUUGUAGCUCAGAAAAAAUAAACAUGUUGAUAUUGCUUUUUAAUAACCCAUGAAUGGACCGUAAAUUGCAACGGGUUCACAAACACAAACAUGUGCUUCACAUGUAACCAAACUUAUUGUUAUCUGCAUUAAAAGCAAAAGAUGCUAAAAACACACACAUUUGAUCGUUGAAGAUGUUUUUAAAUUGUUUUCUUAAUUAUUUUUCAUUUAAAAAAAUAUGAAUCAAAGAAGUUUAAUAAUUAUAAUUAUUAAAUAUUUUGAAAUAAAAUGAUCCAUCUAUAUUAAAAAAAAACAUCAUUCCCACGUGUGGAAGAUAAAAUUAAUCAACCUAAUCUUAUUGGAUUGCAUUUUAUUAAAUCAAACCAUCAGUAUCUUUAAUGCAGGAUAUUUUUGUUUUUCCAAUUCAAGUAUACUUUUUAAUAUAAUAAAUUUUUUUAACCUAUUUUUUUAUUAUUAUUUUAGUAUCAUUUUGUUAUUUCUAAUAGUUUGUGGUUACCAGUUUAGUCCUGAAUUCAUUAUUAGAACCAUCAAUUUUAAAAAUCAAUGUAAGUUGAUUUUUAUUAUUUUUUAUUUUUUAAAAUUAAUUUAUUAAAAAAAAAUUCCAUGAUUUCUUUUUAAGAGACUAACCCUUCAUCGACAAACACUAAUGUACCCUGAAAAACAUAAUCUUAUUACAUCUGACGCUUUAAAUUCCAACAAGGAGCACCUACACAUCGAAAUAAAGAAAAGUACUGAGUGCCUUGGCGGUGGGAGGAGCUCUGCUCCUGAGUUCGAGUGUUUACAUGUAUAUCUAUCAUUCUCGUGGUGUUUUAUAUAUCUAUUGGGUUUAUAAAGUAUUCAGUGGGAUUAGUUGUGGUGCGCGCAAACUGACCCGAACAUCCAAAUAAAUAAAUAAAUAAAGUAGAAACCCUGCAUGUGGGAAAUUUUUGUUAGGCCUCCAAUCUGAGGCUGUAACGAGCCCUGGAUCUACACACAAGAAAUUUCAUGGGAAAUGGGUUGAUGUCAUAGGGAGACAAGGAAGCGUACUUUCAAAAGACCAUGAGACAAAUCAACGGCUGAAAUCCAAUCACUCAAGGGAUGGUGACAUGUUACCAUGAGUGGGAGACUGCUAGUCUCCAUCUAAAUGUUUAAAGAUGACUGGGUAUCUUAGUAAUUGUAUAACAAUUGAUUUUUUUUGCUGAAGUUGUCGGUGUGGAUGAGAAAAUACUGAGUUUGUAGCUUAGUAAAAACAUGUUGAUGUUGAUGUUACUUUUUAUUAGCUCAUGGUUGGCCCGUAAAUUAUAAUGGGUCCCACAAUCACAAACCUAUGAUUCACAUGUAAUUUAUGUUUUACAACUUAUUUUUAAAAUUAUUUUUUAUAUAUAUUUUUAUACCAUUUUUAUUUUAAAAAUUUUAAGUUUAAAAAAUAUUAUUUUAAUAUAUUUUUAAAUAAAAAAUACUUAAAAAAAAAAUUAAUAUCAGACACAGUGAAUGUUUUAUAAAAUUUUACAAUCGCUUUUACAUUUUGUUUAGAUCACAUUUGAAAAUGCGGUACACUACAAUAAAGUCCGUUAUAUGAUUAAGGGUAUGUUUGGUAUUGCGGUUGCUGUUGUGAUUGUAAUUAUGGUUUUAAAAAAAAUUGUUUUAUAAAAAGUAAUUUUAGUUGAGGUUGGUUUGAAAAAAUAUAUGUUUGGUUAAAACUGUAGUUGAAAUUGAGGUUGAACAAAAAAUAGUUUAAUGUGUUUGGUUAAAAAAAUGUUUUUCAAAUUGAUGUUAUAAAAUCAUUAAUAUAUAUAUAUACUAAUAUUAAUUAUUUUUAAUUUAAAUAUUGUAGAUUUAACUACUGUUAUUACAUCAUGAAAUAAAUAAUAUUAAUAUCAAAUAUUUUUUAUUAUUAGAUUAAAAUAUAUGUAAUCUCAUUACAUAUGAAAUCUAUCAAACAAGGACUAUAUUUUUCAUGGUUUCUUAAGCGUGCAACAACAAAAACUGAUUUUUUAAAUUUAUAUAGUGUUAUUAAAUAAUAAAGAUUGUGAUAUAUUUAUUAUUGAAAUUGCGAUCAAAUUUCAUAAAUGCUACGUCAUCAUGCGAUAUCUUUCUAAUUUAUAUAGUGUUAUUAAAUAAUAUUAAAUACUAGUUUUUCGAGUAAAACAAUUUAAAAAAAUAUAUAUAAUUUCACUACGUACAAAAGUUAUUCGACAAAAACUACAGUUUUCAUGAUUUUUUGAGCAUGUAAUAAAAUUAGGUAAAAUAUUAUCACGAAUAAAAUUGAGAUUACAGUACGAGUAAAUUUAAUUCACCUUAAACUAAUUUUUUUAAAAAAAAUAUCGUUUACUAUUAACUGCACUGGUUUUUUAGGGGGGAAAAUAAACUUUGCUCACCGGUUUUUUUUUUUAAAAAAAUAAAUAAAUAAACUUUUCUUACAGAUUUUUUCUUUUUUUAAAAAAAGAAGACAUGGUGACAAUGGAGCCAUGCUCCACUGUUAAGUGGUUGUUACCCACGAGAAGCAGUAAAAAUAACGUGGACCCUAUCAAGCAAAAUCAAUCUUGCUUGAUUACCAAACAUUAAAAUAUGUGGCUGCGAGUAAACUCGCCACACUACCAAACAACAUCUAAAGUCUUUAAUUGUCUUGCAUUUAUCUUUAAAACUGCUAUAAGAAUUAAUUAAUUGUGUCAAUUCAAUUCUUUCGAUUGACAUUGAUGCCAAACAUGUUAAUUCAUGAUAUAAUUAAGCAAUUCAAUACAAAUUUACUAAUAUAAUUUAUUUCGGCUUAAACCUUUGAAUAAAGCAAAAUGCAGAGGUUGUGAAAGUGAAAUACCUUAAUAAUUUUUAUGCUUUACAACUCUAGGAGCCACACAAAAUAUAAUGCGUUUGUUACUAUUUAUUUGUUAAAAAGUAUUUUUUUUAUUAAAAAAUGAUUUUUUAAAAAAUAAAUUGAAAAAUAUUUUUUAAUAUUUGAUUAUUUUAUAUAAAACAAGCCAAAAAAUAUUUUUUUAAUUUUCUUCUCAAAUUUAUUAAAAGAAUAAGAAACAAAUAUUUCAAAUAAAAAUAUUGAAGGAAGAUGAAAUUAAAAAAUAUAUAUAUUUUUAUAAAUUAUUUUAAAUAAAAUAAAUAAUAAUUAGAAGAAUAAGAAACAAAUGAAAAAUUAAAAAAUUAAAAAAAAAUAAAACAGAAAUAAAUAAUAAUCAAAAUAAAAAAUUAAUACAAAAAUAAUAUUAAACCAAUAAUUUAAUUUAAAAAAAAACAAAAUAUAAUUUAUAAUUUAUAAUUUAUUUAUUUGCUUUAUCAAUGAAAAGUGAUGGUAGGAGGGAGAGAGAGAGGAAAUAAAGUGAAGUCUUCUGCUGCCUGAUCACAUCACGUGAAGAGCUUGGCAUUUAGUGAAGUUUUUCCGAUCAAACCCACUUUUUUCAAAGAUGGAAUUUAUUGGAAAAUAAAUGAAAGACAAACCGAGUAAAAUGGAGUCCAGAGCAUACAAGAGCCGAGAUUGAAACAGGAAAUGCAAGAAAAAGAAGAUGGGCCCUUGUUUUCUCUUUUUACGGCCGGCGACCGGAUAUAAAAAGGGAGGAGAUGAAGCUUUCAAAUUAUUUUCAAUUUUGCGGUCACUUAUUGUGUCCAUGUCAUUUUGUGUAAUUGCCCAGCUACCGGUACUAUUUUAACACUGUUAAAAGUCUAAAUCAUCAAUAUUUCCCCAAUUUAUCUCUAAAAAAAAUUCACUUCAAUUAAUAGCAUUUUUUUAUUAUUUCUUAUGUCAAUGUUUACCUCUUUUUGAUAAACUCGUAUAUUUUUGUACCAGAGGUCUAAAAUUAUUCUGUCCACUUAUUACUUAUUUAAAUUUAUUAGAAUGUUUUAAAUAACUUUUUUAAAUUUUAAUCCCAGAGUUUACAUGCAUAAUACAUGAGUUAUAUAAAUUAUGAUUCAAAAUAUUGUUAUAACUAAAUUAAAAGAAAAAUUCAGAGUUAAUUUCUUGAAUAUUAAGUUUUCUGAUUUUUCUAUAUAAUUAAUUUUUUAAGUUGAUUUGAUUAGUAUUAUUAUACUUUUCUCAUUCUCGAUAAAAGAAAAAAGAAAAAACCAGAAGAGUAUUUUCUUUCUAUUGAAAAUAUUUGUGGUUAGAAGAAAGUAAUUUUCACUGGAGUGUCGUUUUGGGAUGCAACAUGAACUUGACCUGUCUAAUUUGUACGGCAUGAGAAGAUGUUGCUUUACAUGGCUUCCUCCUUAAAAAAAUUCCAUCACAUUUGAGAAUUUUGUUAUAAAAAAGAUAUCUCUUUUAAAGAAGAAAAGUGAUACCUAAAAUUUAUAAAUGAUCUAAACUCUUAAUUUUUAAUCGAUGUAAAAUGUUAGAGUAUCAUGUUCCUGAAAAAAUCUUUCUAAGUGUAUAAUAUGUUGCAUUUGGGGCAAAAUUAAUAGUUUUGAAUGUUUUUAUUACUGAAACUUUUUUUUUUCUCAACCUCUUUUUCUCUCUCUUCUUGUCAAAUACAAAAGGUUUUUUUUUUAAUUUUUUAAAUAAUUUUAUUUUUAUUUAUUUUAUUUUUAUCUUUUGUAGAUUUGUUUUUUUAUUUAUUUUGUUUUUUAUCGUUUGAUUUUAUUUAUUUUUUUAUUAAACAUUAACUUUAUUUUUAUUUAUUAUUUUUUUAAUUAAACAUCCUUUUUAAUUUAUCUCUUAAUAUUUAAUUUUAAUAUCAAAUUUAAUUAGUCCUAUUUUAUCUUACACUUUAAAUUCCUACAAGUACCCGAUCAAACAAUAUCUGCAUUCAAUUAAAACUUAUGGUACAAUUACCUCAUAGCGAAAAAAAAAAAAAAGUAGAGACCAACUAAGAAAUUUAUGUGCUGUUCCCAGCUAUGUUGCUGACAUUGGACAAGAGAGACUUCUUCAGCCACCGAUAAAAUUAUUUUUGUUGACUUUUUGUGCAGUUUGUCACUUUGCUUCGAUCUUUCUCUCUUUGCACCACAAACACUUGGACAUGGUAGAUACCAAGCACGGUUUUGCUGUCAAUGUACGAUACCAUAUUUGACAAUAUCUUUUUUUUUCUUUUUUCUUUUUUAUGAAGAGUAGUAUGUUGGUUAUCUAUGUAUGUUUUUUAAAAAAUCACAUAUAUAUUUAUCUAAAAUUAUUGAUAUUUAAAAAAUUACAUUAUUUUUUUAAUAAUUCGUUCCGCUGUUCUUUUAGAAUUAAGCGAAUAUUAUGCAAAGCUUCAAGUUUUGUGUAAUUGUUUUUAAUACAAGAGAGUUUAACCAUUUUAAAAUGUUUAAUGAGUUAUUUAAAAUAUUGAAAGUAAUGUACAAUAACUAAUUUAUAAUUUUAUCAUUGCUCUUGCUUUAUUAUAGGUCAAGUCAAGAUUUUCUUAAAAAUAAAAAAUUAUUUAAAUUGUGAAUGUUUUAAUUUAUUCUGGUAAAACAAAUUUAAAUUGUGUGGUGAUUUAACUUGAUUGAAUUUGUAGUUUAAAAAACAAUCUAGAUAACCAGUAAAAAUAUAAUUUAACUCGUAAAAAAUUUCAAGAUUACAUAUAUUUUUUUAAUAUUAAGAUAACAACAAAUUAAUUGAUUUGGGUCAACUCAAUUUAACUUAUUAAAUUCAUAACCCGAGUUAUGAGAUUAUGAUAACCAUGUAGAAAAUAAAUUAUUAAGUCUAAUUCUCAACUACCAAAUAUUAAAAGAUAAAAUUAAAAUAAAUAAAUAAACCAUGUGGAGAUUGAUUCGAUGUGACUUAAUUGAUUUAGCUUGUUCAAAAACAACCCGGAUAAUCAGUAAAAAUAUAAUCUGACUUAGAAAAAAAUUCAAGAUGAUACUUUUUUUCCAAUACAAAGAUAAUAAAGUAAUAGAUUGAAUUGGGUUAACCAGAGUUAACUUGUUAAAUUUUUUAUCUGGGUAUAAGACUGUGAAAUCUAAUUCCUAUUCAACUAAAUAUUUAAUGGUAUAAUUGAAAAAUAAAAUCAAUUAAAAAAUGAUCUAAAAAUAUGAACAUAAUUAACAUGUCAAGUUCAUAACCUAUGUUAUAAUAAAGAUACAAUCUUAUAGAAAAAAAAAAUCAAAAUAAAUUAUGAAGUUCAAUCUUAAAUAACCAAAUUUUAAAAGAUAAAUUUUUUUAAAAAGAACGUAAAAAUGACCCGAGUAAAUCCACCAAACUCAUAACUCGUUAUGAGAUCGAGAUAAUCUUAUAUAAAAAAAAAUUACAUGAUUUAACUCGUCAAAUCUAUGACUUUGGUAACAAGACCAAGACAACCUCUUAAAGAGUAAAUAAAAAUAAAUUAAAAGUGCAAUCCCUAAUUGACCAUGUCAAACUCGAUGUGAAUGAUGCAAUUUCUAAAAAUUUAAAUUAAAAAAUAACAUAAAAAAUAAUUUAGACCAACCCGUCAAGCAUCAUUAUUAGAUUACGAGGCUAGGAUAACAUAAUAAAAAUAAAAUCAAAACAAACCACAAAGUCUAAAUUCUAAUAAAAUAUAUUAUUAAAUAAUAAAAUUGAAGAAAAAAAAUUAAUUAAAAGAAAUUCGAGUCAAUUAGGCUAACUUGCUAAGCCUGUGAGUUAGGUUAUAAAACAAAAAUAACCCAAUAAAAAGUAAUUUCACUAUUGAAGGACUCGUGAUCUACGUCAUGAAAUCAACAUAACCUCUUACAAACAAAAUAAAAAAAAAACAACUCAAUUUAAUUUGGAUUAAAAUGUCAAAACCUCCACCUCUAAUCAUAAAACUAGGAUAAUUAUAUAGAAAAUAAUUUGAAAUAGAUUAUGAAAUUCCAUUCCCAACUGACAUUAUAUCAAAUGAUAAAGUUAGAAAAAAAAUUCAAUUAAAAAAAUAUAAAAUAUAACCCGAGUCAAUUUAGGCUAAUAUGUUAAGUAUUAUUUCCAAUUUAUGAGGUUAGAAUAAUCUAAUACAAAACAAAUAAAACAAAAUAUGAAACUUAAUUUUUAAUUAAAAGAUAAAAUUGUAAAAAAAAUUUAAUUAAAAAAAAUCAAGUUAAGUGAGUGAAUCCAUUAAAUCUACAAUUUUUAUUAUAAAAGUGAGACAACUUAAUAAAAAUAAAUUAAUAUUAAAAUAAAAAACAUUCAAUAAAAAAAACACUCAUUCAGAUAAUUGUAUAAAACAUAAUAAUAUAAAGUAUAAUUUAUGAUUUAUUUAUUUAUUUUAGCAUUUAGUGAAGUCUUUCCAAUCAAACCCCUUUUUUUUUUUUAUAAUUUAUAAAAAAUAAAAAUAUUUUAUUUUAAUAAAUGUUUAAAUAAAAAACAAUAAGAGACAACCGUGACCACUUAAAUGGACUCCUAAGCACACCAAGUUAAGAGUUAAAGAGCCGAGAGAGAAAAAGCUUUUGCCAGUUCUUUACACAUUCUUUCCCCUUCUGUCACCUGAACAAAAUCCCCUCUUCUUCUUCUUGUUUGUUUACUCUUCCUUCGUUACUUUGCAAAGAGGAGAAACCAUGGCCGGGGCUUUAGUAGGAGGAGCUUUUCUUUCUUCUUUCCUUAAUGUUUUGUUCGACAGGAUGGCCUCUCCCCAGGUGAUUGCCUUCUUCAGAGGCCAAAAAGUCAACGAUAGUAGUCUGCUGCAGAACUUUGAAGAAAACAAUGACAUCUCUCAGGGUGGUGCUUGAAGAUGCUGAGGAGAAGCAGAUAACAAGUUUAACUGUGCGGGAUUGGCUGGUCGAUCUUAAAGACGCUGUCUAUAACGCCGACGACUUCUUGGAUGAGAUUGCUUAUGAAGCUCUACGGCAGGAGUUGGAAGCUGAAGAGCAAACCUUCACAGGUCAGACGCAGAAGCUUCUUUCUUUCAUUAACCCACUUGAAAUACUGGGGUCGAGAGAGAUCGAAGAAAAAAUAGAAGUCCUUUUGCAGGAUCUAGAUCCCUUAGUUGCAGGAAUGGCAGCCCUUGGUUUGAACAACCGCAAUGUAGAAAAUCCAUCAUCGCAUAGAACACCAACAACUUCUCUCGUGGAUGGAUCUGGUGUUUAUGGCAGAGAUGAUGACAGGGAAGCAAUACUGAAGUUGCUUCUAUCAAAGGAUGCAAAUGGAGGAAACCCUGGUGUCGUCCCCAUUAGGGGAAUGGGCGGGGUUGGUAAAACCACGCUUGCUCAGCUUGUAUACAAUCACAGAAGAGUACAGAAGCGGUUCGACCUCAAAGCUUGGGUUUGUGUUUCAGAAGAUUUCAGUGUUUUGAAGUUAACCAAGGCGAUCCUUGAGGGGUUCGGUUCAAAGCCUGCUUCUGAUAAUCUGGAUAAGCUCCAGCUUCAGUUGAAGGACAGAUUGGAGGGAAAGAGAUUCUUGCUUGUUUUAGAUGACGUUUGGAAUGAAGAUUAUGCUGAGUGGGACAAGUUGCUUACCCCCCUGAAGUACGGAGCACAAGGGAGUAAGAUUCUUGUCACAACACGCAAUGAAAGUGUAGCAUCAGUCAUGAGAACUGUUCCAACUCAUCAUCUAAAAGAAUUGACGGAAGACAGCUGCUGGUCCUUGUUUGCCAAACAUGCAUUUCGUGGUGAAAAUCCCAAUGCUCAUGAAGAGUUGCUAGAGAUUGGAAGAGAAAUAGUGAGAAAGUGUAAAGGCCUUCCUCUAGCUGCGAAAACACUCGGAGGUCUGCUACGCACCAAAAGAGAUGUCGAGGAGUGGGAGAAGAUAUUGGAAAGCAAUCUAUGGGAUUUACCCAAAGACAAUAUCCUCCCAGCUUUGAGAUUAAGUUAUCAUCAUCUCCCGUCACAUCUGAAGCAAUGUUUUGCUUAUUGUGCCAUAUUUCCAAAAGACCAUGAAUUUCAAAAGGAUGAAUUAGUGCUCUGUGGAUGGCAGAGGGCUUCUUAGUCCCUCUGCAGUAGAUGAUGAGAUGGAAAAGCAGGUGCUGAGUGCUUUGAUGAUCUCUUGUCAAGGUCGUUUUUCCAGCAAUCAAGUGCCUCGCUCAUCAUUUGUGAUGCACGAUCUCAUGCAUGACUUGGCUACCCAUGUGUCCGGUCAAUUUUGCUUCAGCUCCAGGUUGGGGGAAAAUAAUUCUUCCAAGGCCACAGAAGGACUCGACAUUUAUCACUCGUAGUAGAUACGGGAAGGGUUUUUCAAGCACAAAAUUAGAAAACAUCCGUGAAGCCCAACUUCUACGCACAUUCCAACUUUUCACGCUAUUGUUGUCCUCCCGAAUUUAUAAUGAGAUCUUUCAGUCAACACUUGGGCGCCUACGAGUGCUAAUCAUGACUGGUUGUAGAGAUCAACUUGUUAUGUUCAACUAGCAAGUUGAAGCAUUUGCGGUAUUUGGAUCUCUUCGGUCAGAUUUAGUAACGUUGCCUGAAGAAGUGAGUGCUCUUCUCAAUUUGCAAACGUUGAUCUUGAAAAUGCAAACAACUUGCUAGUCUACCUGAUCUUGGAAAUUUGAAGCACUUACGACAUCUGAAUCUUGAAGGAACAAGGAAUCGAAAGGUUGCCUGAAUCUCUGGAAAGGUUAAUCAACUUGCGGUAUCUUAACAUCAAGCACCCUUUGAAAGAGAUGCCACCACAUAUAGGUCAACUGGCAAAGCUCCAAACGUUGAAUUAUUUUCUCGUGGGAAGACAGAGUGAGACUAGCAUUAAAGAAUUGGGAAAGCUACGACAUCUACGGGGAGAACUUCAUAUUGGGAACCUUCAAAAUGUGGUGGAUGCUCGGGAUGCUGGUGAGGCAAAUUUGAAAGGUAAAAAGCACCUUGAUAAGCUGAGGUUUACAUGGGAUGGUGACACUCAUGACCCGCAACACGUAACAAGCACACUUGAGAAAUUAGAGCCAAAUAGAAAGCUGAAGGAUCUUCAGAUUGAUGAUUAUGGAGGUGUAAGGUUUCCAGAGUGGGUAGGAGAGUCCUCUUUCUCAAAUAUAGUGUCCUUGAAGCUCAAUGGAUGUACAAACUGCACCUCCUUACCACCGCUCGGGCAAUUAUCUUCUUUAGAGGAUCUCUCCAUUGAAGGAUUUUAUAAAGUUGUGACUGUGGGCUCUGAGUUCUAUGGGAGUUGUACUGCUAUGAAGAAGCCAUUUGAAUCCCUCAAAACAUUAUCUUUUAGAAGGAUGCCAGAGUGGCGCGAGUGGAUUUCAGACGAAGGCAGCCGGGAAGCCUUCCCUCUUCUUGAUGUGCUUUUAAUCGCAGAAUGCCCCAAAUUAGUUUCAUUUCCCAAAGGAGGGUUACCUGCUCCAGUCUUGACACGACUUGAGUUAGAAGAAUGCAGGAACUUGAAGCAGUUGCCUGAGAGUAUGCAUUCCCUCUUCCCAUCCCUUACCGAUUUGGUAAUAAGAGAUUGUUUAGAAGUUGAGUUGUGUCCAGAAGGGGGUUUUCCCUCCACAUUACAAUCACUUGAGAUUUCUAGAUGCAACAAACUCAUUGCUGGCCGCAUGCAAUGGGGCUUGCAAACGCUCCAUUCUCUUUCACGCUUUACAAUUGAUUGGGACGAAAAUGUUGAAUCCUUCCCUGAAGAGAUGCUGCUGCCCUCAAGUCUUACAUCUCUUAGAAUCUAUUCCCUACAACACCUGAAAUCUCUUGACUACAAGGGGCUUCAACACCUCACCUCUCUUAGAACAUUGAAUAUAAAGAACUGCCCUCUGAUUGAGUCAAUGCCAGAAGAAGGGUUGCCCUCCUCCCUUUCUUCUCUUGUAAUUGAAGGUUGUUCCAUGCUGAAAUCUCUUCCAAGGCUUCACCACCUCACCUCUCUUACAGCAUUGGGUAUAUAUGGCUGCCCUCUGAUUGAGUCAAUGCCAGAAGAAGGGUUGCCCUCCUCCCUUUUUAUUCUUUCAAUUCUCAAUUGUCCUCUGCUGGGUGAAAGUUGUGAAAGGGAGAAAGGUAAAGAUUGGCCCAAGAUUUCUCACAUUCCUCACAUAAGUAUAUAUUGAGGUAUUGCUACUAAAUAGUUUAUUUUCUUUUCAGUAAUCAAAGGCAAUUUCAGUUAAAAUUUGGAUGAAUGAAAUACAGAUAUUGUCCAUUUUGUAUUGUUUAUAUUUGUUGGAUGUUGAAAUACAGAUAUUUUCUUCCUAUUGUCUCUCAUUCAUCUCCAUAAAUAAUAAUCAUCAUUCUAUUUCAAUAUAUCGAGCUGGAGGAUCAUCACAUGCUUCAGAUUUUGAACUGCCAGCACCAUCCUUAAUUUGGACAGGGGGCUAUUAUCAUCGAAUUUUAGCAACGGGAUAUUUCUUUUGCUAAUUUAACAACAGAAUGUGUAUAUAUGAUUUUUUUAAUAUCAACAAUGAAUUUAGUAAUAGAAAAUCCAUUGCUAAAAAGGAUUAAAAAAUUAAAUUAUUUAACUAAUUUGCAGCGGAUUUUUCAUUAUUGACGCUCUUGGCAACAUCAAAUCUGCAACUGAUUCCAAAAAUAAAUCAAACCCUUAAUUAUAUAAAAUCUGCAUCUUCAAAAAUUAAAAUAAAAUUAAAAUUCACCAUCUCUUUCUCUAGUCUCUUCCCUUCUCCAAAAAAUCAAAAUUCAAAAACUUUUUUUUUUAUCUUUUAUAUAUUAUUUAACUUUGAUUAAAUUGUUUUUAUUCCAUAUAAAGCAGAAGUUAAAAAAUGAUUUUGGAGUACAUGUAAGUCAUAUCUUUUUUGGAAUUUGCUUUGAUAAAAAACAGACAUAAAGAGAGAAGAUAAUAUAAAAUUCAUGACUCCUUAUCGAUAUAUAUAUAUUUUUUUUCCUUAGUUCAUUCGUUUGAUUACAUUUUUGCUUCAACUCUCAUCAACACUCCCUUGUUUCGUUGCACGGCAUCAUUUAAAUGUACAUGGCUUGUGUUAUGUUCGGGAACAAAUAUUGGGCCAUUAACCUUUUCAAGCAAUGAUGGAGUAGGAGUGCAGUUAAAGAACACGCCCUAGCUGUUUGACAGAAUGCCGAUGAAGAUGAUAGUCAUUUUAGUGGUGCUGCUUGUAACAACCCAGGUAAGAAAACUAACGACCUCUUGAUGUGGUUUUCUAGGAAAUAAAUUAAAUGUUUUUAUUUGUUCAUGUGUUUUCUUCAGGAGGUGGUGCUAACCAGAGAAAGCUAAAGCAGAGGAGGAUGGCCAACAUGUUGGAAAGGUAAAAGGAUGAAGCCUUUUGUUAGAGGUCUAGGUGCUGUUGCACUAACAAAAGCACAUUGCCUUGAGGAAGCCCUCAAGUCUUACAUCUCUUCACAUCUAUUCCCUAAAACACCUGAAAUCUCUUGACUACAAUGCCAGAAGAAGGGUUGCCCUCCUCCCUUUUUGCUCUUUUUAUUAACAAUUGUGAGAGGGAGAAAGGGUUAAAUGAUCUUUGUAUAUUUGACUGUCCAGAUCUGGAAUCACUAUGUGCACAUGAAAGACCUCUCAAUGAUCACAACUCUCUCGAUUAUUUGGAAAUCGAGGACUGCCGUAAAUUAGUUUCAUUUCCCAAAGGAGGGUUACCUGCUCCAGUCUUGAGAGGACUUCAUUUAGAAGGUUGCAGCAACCUGAAGCAGUUGCCUGAGAGUAUGCAUUCCCUCCUCCCAUCCCUUAACCGUUUGUAUAUAAGUAACUGCCCUUUGAUUGAGUCAACGCCAGAAGAAGGGUUGCCCUCCUCCCUUUCUUCUCUUGUAAUUAACAGUUGUCCUAUGCUGAAAUCUCUUCCAAGGCUUCAACACCUCACCUCUCUUACACGAUUGAAUAUACAUCACUGCCCUCUGAUUGAGUCAAUGCCAGAAGAAGGGUUGCCCUCCUCCCUUUCUUCUCUUGUAAUUGAAGAUUGUCCUAUGCUGCGUGUAAGUUGUGAAAGGGAGAAAGGUAAAGAUUGGCUCAAGAUUUCUCACAUUCCUCACAUACAUAUUUGGAGAAGUUAAAGGAGCUAAUACAUAAAUCACAUUCUUUCAAUCGUCCAACAUAUUGAGGUAUUGCUACUAAAUAGUUUAUUUUCUUUUCAGUAAUCAAAGGUAAUUUCAGUUAAAAUUUGGAUGAAUGAAAUACAUAUAUUGUCCUAGAAAGUUGUAUGUUUUUAUUUGUUGGAUGUUGAAAUACAGAUAAUUUCUUCCUAUUGUCUCUCAUUCAUCUCCAUAAAUAAUAAUCAUCAUUCUAUUUCAAUAUCUUUUUUGCUAUAAUUAAUGCUACUAUUGUUCCUCUAUCAACUGCGGCAAAUAAACAUCACAUGCUUCCGAUUUUGAACUGCCAGCGCCACCCUUAAAAAACAAGUGUCCAUCUUAAAAGACAACGGGCCUAGCAGAGCUGAAAAGGAUUAAAAAAUAUUUAAAUAAUCUGCAACAUAUUUUUCAUUGUUGACGCGACAAAAUCAAAAUUCAAAAUUUAAAAUCUCCAUUCUCUCCUUAUCCGCAUCUUCAAAAAUUCAAAAUCUUUUCCCCACCUCUUUCUCUAAUCUAUUCCCCUUCUCCAAAAAUUCAAAAUCCAAAAACUUUUGAUUUGUUUAUUUUAUUAUCACUUAACUUUGAUUAAAAAACUUUUCUUGAAGUUUACUUCCAUCAAAGAUCUUUUAUAGAUAUAAAAAGAAGAGAUAAUAUAAAAUUCAUCCGCGUAUUGGAAUCACAAUUCAGAAUCAAGUGAAAGCGGCCAAUGUCACUCGAGAGAGUAGGCACUUGCAAAUCUGCUAAUAAUUAUUGGUGUUUAUUCCUCAUGAUGAUCCAGUGAGCUGACAAUAAAAGAAAACCUCGGCAUUACUAGUAAAUCGUCACUGCAAGCAUGGAAGAGAUUCAGGUAGGAAUUACCCUUGUCUUCAUUGAGAGGCUUUAACCUCCCUAGCUCCUUCAUCAGCAGGCCCAUGGUUCGAUGCAUCCUCUGAAGCGUCUAAGCAAGGAUUGCUUUUACACUGACUUACAGGCUGAGCACUGGUCAAGAGACUAGAAAGUUGAGACCCCCUUUGCGAAAAGUUUGGUUUACCUUUCGGAGUCUCAGACAGGCUUCCCGUUGACAGCUUUGAUAGGCCCAUAGUCAUGUGCUCACACGGGAGCUUAGUUGAAAAAGGUGAUUCAGGUGUAUCAGGAUGCUUCCCAGGAAUAUCCAUCGGUCUAUGAAACAGCAAAUGAGCCACAGUCCGGUCUACGGGAUUGGUCUCUGUUUCCACCUCAGGCAUCUUAACCACCCUGCAGUAUACUCAUAAAAUCCAUGAGGAAAAUGACAGGCAAGUUUGAGAUUGCCAUACUCUAAACAAAUUGAUAAAGACUUGAUUAAUAAUUUUGUGCAAACAAAUUGAAUAAUUUGGAAUGGGAAGGACGAGAUGUAAAGGAACAAACCCAGAGCACGUAUUGUUUGUACUGCUGGUUUCCUCUUUUGCAGCAACUUGUUCGUCCCUGCUACUGUUGUUUGUACUGCCAGUAUCACUAGCAUAAUGCCUUUGCAUUGCACUUUGAGCCAGCCGGAACAAGCUAUCCCGAAUACAAAGUCUAAUUCUGACAUCCAACUGUUGUAAAACAUUGGUUUGGAAUCGUAACCAAGCACAAAUUAUUUAGCAGGGAAAGAAUGCAAUAGUACGUGAAGCAUACCUUUGAAAUAAUAUCUUGAAGCCUGUAGAGUACUGUGUCCUCCAUUGAAUAAUCAUUAACCGCCAGAGAGACUGUAUUGGAAUCGUCUUGCUCAGUAGGUGAGUUUGGGUCAAAUGAAGCAAGUGUACUUAGAUCCUCUACUUCAAGGUCAGCUCCUUCAACAUGCUGAAUUUGAUUUUCUUGGGAACACUUUAGAUGAACAAGCUGCUGCUGCUGUUUCUGAAUGGCAAGCAUUGCCUGAAUUUGUUGCCGCCUCCUUAAUUUUUCAAUCUUUUCCUGAGGUGUCAUUCUCUGAGGUUUCACUGGACAGUCAGCUAACUUGUUUAUAGGAUCUGCAUUGCCUGAAACUUCAUAACCAGAAAUUUUAGGUCGAUGAUUAAAUGACUAGAAAUUUUGUUGGAAAGUCAGAAAACUUUAACAGGAUUCGCAUUACCUGAAGAAACUUCAUAACCAGAAGCUAAAGGUCGAUGCUUAAAAUCCCCAGACUGAAUGUGAGACAACCCAGGCAUAGAAUAUGGAUUUGUAAUACUCCCGUAUGCAGAAGGGGCCACAAAUGGAUUGGAUAUCUGCUGGUACUGCAACUGCUCGGAACCCUGUAGCUGUUUCUGUUGGCUGAGAAGUGAAAGGGGUGAAGAUUGCAUAAUUUGGGGUGCUAAAUGAUCCUUAAGUUGACAGGCUGGGAUUCCAGAUGAAGUCCAGUUUCCAUAAAAAUCUUGGUAUGAUUUCAGUUCACCUUCUUCUUCCAGUUUUUCCCGACCUUUCAAGAUCUUCUUUUGCCUGUAAGUCUGAUCACAGAACUAUAAACAUAUAAAUAGACAAAUUACUUAGAAUAGAUCAACGUUUUAACCAUCUAGACCUGCAGGGGAGAGUGACUAAGGCACAGUUAGUAUUUUAACUCAGUACAUGGUUUGUAAGGAUAAAUUCAAUGUUUUUUUUUUUUUUUAACUGUAACUUACGAUCCAAAGGGCUUCUAUUGUUCAGAAUAUAUUGAGGUAUUAGCUAAACUAUGCCAAGCAAACAGAAUUUGCAUGUCCCUGGGAAGAGUGGAUGCCAUGCUAGAAAUAUAAAUUACUGAUGCCUCCUGAAUUUUCACAUGUUAUUCCUUUCUCCUUCCUACUAACAGAAAACCACACAAUGGCUUUACUUUAGGCAAUCGAUAUCAUGGUUAAGUCAUGGAUUUGACAUCCAGGAUAACUUAAUUGAUGCAUUAUUGAAGUCAUGACUAAAUCAUGUAAAUCCAUAUUCACCCAACAUCCAAGUUUAUUCUCAUUCCAAAAAAUUAAACUAAAAAUAAUAGCAUGAAAUAUGAAGAGACGAAGAGGAAUUUAAAUAAUAUAAUUUCUCUUUUCUGUCGCCAUUUUCCAUUCCAGAGAAGUACUCAGGAAGUCUUAAUAAGUUCAAGUGUAAGGUAACUUUUACCCUUCCCAGCUCUAAUUAGGUUUCGCUGUCCCUCCAAUCUAAUUUAAGAUCUAAUAUGAGGAAACCACACUGUAUUAGUGAAAGGAUCACAAUAUCAAGAUUUUCCAACUUCAAUUCAAUGAUAUAACUUUUCUUGAAUCCUGGACAAAAGAACUUAGAACAUCAAAAGAUCAUAGCAGGAUUCUAAAAAACAAAGAUUGUAUUUGGUGCUUAUUGAGUCUAAAAGUUUUCCUGGAAGAAAAGGGUAAAAAUCAGUAACAUGUCUGGUUCAGUAUCAAGAUUUUGAAAAUAUCAAAAGGAAGGAAAAAAAAAGGUACCUUGUUUGCUAAUUCAUUUGGAAAAGCACCAUUUUCCUCUGUCAGUUGAGAGUUAGCCGCUGUGUUCUUUCCCACAACAGCCAAAUCUGUCUGCAAAAGCACAAAAAAAUAAAAUAAAAAUAAAUGCUAAGCUUCUCUCAGCUCCUGCACUUGAGCAUGGGGCAUUAAUAAGUGAACUCAUUACUGAAAAUUGAGUCGCUAUACCUGCUCCUUCAGUAUAGGCUUGUUUUUACCUUCAUCAUAUUCUACAUGAUCAAGGCUUGCCUGAGUAUUCUGCAGACCAUGAGAUGCAGGGUCGUUCAUUUUUCCAUAGCCAAGGGCAAACAGCUGGUCCUCUUCUCUCGAAGCCACAGAUAUUGGAAAGGGCUUUACCGGGCUGUUAGUUGUACAUUUUGAAGAAGACCAUAGCUCAUCAGCAUUACCAAGAUUUACAUUGCCAAAUAUUGGGUCAUCAUUGCUGCAAAAUCACCACUUGUGAGGAUAUUGAGUCAGAUGGUUAUCACUGUUCUCCAACAGAAUCAAGAUAAAAUAUAAGAACAUUAGUCAAGAACAGAAAUGCAGGAAAGCCCUUCCACAAUUGAACAAGCUCACCAAUUCCUUGCAAAUCCAGUGCUGCUAUAUUACAUUCUUUCUGCCAUUUAUACUUGAAAUUGAGGAUAUUGUGCUGCUAAAAACUGGCAUCCUUCAGGUUCUUUUCCCAAUUAACAAAAUUAAGCCAAGGAUCAAAAACCAUAAAUUUUCAAACAUAGUCAUUUUUUGUUAGUGUUGCUUUCAGCAGACAGCACUUAUUUGGAAAAGGAUAUAGAUCAACAACAGAAGAAACUACAACUAUUAAAAGAGUCUGGUUGUUUUUCCUUCACAACAACACUCUUGUACUACAUGAACUUUUUCUUCUGAAAUGAAAAUAGACAGUGAGCAUAAUUAUUUUGUUCGCGAAACUUUCACUUCACAGUCAGUAAUAAGAAUUUGUUCAAAUUAUCAGAAUAAUGAGAUAUACAAGCUUCCAUAUCAGGGUGCUGCUGACCAUCUUUCAUUUAGGUGCAGAAAGUAAGAAAUGGUAACUGUGCUUUACCUAAAAAUUCGAUCAAGAUCAUCAAAGCUUCCAAUGCUAGCCCAGCCAUAAUCAGCAAAAUCACCUUGCUCUUCACCUUCAUGAGGAUUUUGAAAAAUCUCAGUGUCCUUAUCAAGAUGAUCUGUCUCUGCGUUUUAAAAAAAAAAGAAUUAGAAUGACAGUAGCAUGUAAGAUACUAUGCUAUGAAAACAUCACGCAACUCGUCACCCUAUCUACAUUUUUUCCUUGUAAUUGAAAUCUCAUCACCUGCUGAUGAAUCGAGUUUGGUAAUCUCAGUUAGAUUGUUAGAGAUUGAAGUUUCCAAGGAAUCCUGCUCAGUUUUGGCAGCAUCAGGUGAGGACAAGUUAGGCCAUCGGUCCAUGUCAAGUCCUAAGGAAGAAGUUCCUUCACUUGUGUCAACAUUCGAAAUGCUCUCCAGCUUUCUGCCAUCAGUAUCAACUUUAGCCCCAGGUGCCUUCUGCUCACUAGAUUUAAUGGUGCUAGCUUCUUCACUCGAUUCCUUUUUCUUGCAAUAAUCUUCACUUGCCUCUGGAUAUGGCACGAUAUGGUCAUCACUAUCUUCAUCCUCACCCCAUAUUAUGUUCGUAAGCUGAAAAGAUAGUGAGUAAGCAUCAUCACUAAAUGUGGGAUACAUGAGAAGAAUGAAACAGUCACAAGUUAAUCUCUGGGUAACUUAGCAAGACUAUUUUCCCCAACAUAAUAUUCUGAAUAAUACACUAAUUAAUCAGUUCAGUUCCUUGUAAGGUGUGCGUGGGCACAUAUGAGCACACAUGUGUGUACGAGAGUUGCUAGUGUCAAUGAGUUGGGAACCAAAUAUUUAAUUGAGUCAUGCAGAAAAUACUAAAAUGUUCUAAAUUGUGUUAAAAAUAAAAUAGAAAGUAGAAGCCAUUGGCAUGAUUCAUUUAAAAAUUUCAACAAAAUUAAAAAAAGAAAAGAAAAGAAAAGGAGGAGAUGGCCCAAAGCAUGCUCUCAAUAAGAUGAAGUAAGACCUAAAGCUUCAUUGCAUGUACAGAGCACUUUGAAAACUUCAGUCUGGACAUAUAAAACCAAGGCAAAUUAUCUUCUUUUUGGAACUUAUUUCUUCACAGUAAGAUAUAACAUCUAACGCUACCUGCAUCACUUUCUCAUGGUCCUCCCUGACUCGAGUGAUCAUAAACCUUCUCAAAUCCCAUUUAAAGAAGAUUCCCUUUCUCACUUUUCGUUGGUAUUAUUUGACACCAAGAUCACAACCAAACAUUACCAAUAAGUGUGUCACCGGAGAAAGAAACUUAGGUGCCCUAAUACCAUAAAUAAAACCUAUUCAAUAAAAAUUAGACAAUAUUUUAUAGCUGUACAUCUAUAAUCAAAGUAAAGGCCCAAAACUCUGAAUCCUGAAUAUGUGAAUCAAAGUAUCUAACUGAUGCACCAUCAGCAGUCUCCUAUUUGACUUGUGAUUAAUGACCUAGCAGUUCACUUCAACAACAUUAUUGAAAGGUCCCUAGUGAACGUAAGAUUGAAUUUCAGACCCAGCAAGAAGAAGUACAUUUUCCAGUAGGCAUGCAUAUCACCUUUUUAUCAAUAUCCAUGGAAGACAAACCAAGCAAUAUCAAGUUUUUUUCUGCUGGAUAUCCAAUAAAAAAUACCUCAUAGUGUGAACAUCUUUAAGAAGGAGGAUAUCACAUUGCACCCCAUCAACUGAUCCACAAAUAAAUUUGCAUCUUUCCAUCAGUUCCAAGCUACUUUGUAAGGAAAAGGGAGGGAAGUGCCUUCAAAGAUACCUUCUUCAUAGCUUCUUUAGAUAUGAAUCCACACGACUUUCGUAAUCACCAAUCACUAUGCGCAGCUUCUCUUAUCAUCACAAGCUCCAUCUCUUUCCACAUCCUAACUUCAUUCGCUGAACUCUUCCCUCAGUUCCCAAGAAAAAAUAUAUUCUUCCUCCUCCAGCCCUUUCCCUACAUAUUUCCACCAGCUUCAUAGCAAUGCAGCCCGUGAAAACGACUCCCAAAUUAAAACACUUGAGAAGCUCUAAUAGUUUUCCACAAAGAACUACUUUUCUUAUUAUUUCUUCACUCUAUGUCAGUGUGCCACAUUCAAAUACUACUGAUCGAUUCUUCCUCGUCACAACCACUCACUUUCCCCUAAAUCCCAUACCACAACCACUCCUUGAUCUUCAACUAAAUCAAUAUCUCUCAUCACUUAUGAAAACUCCAUAUAAUUUCCAAAUGAAUCACACCAUUUGAACACUUUGCCAAUUCCUAAUUCCUUCAAAAUUUUAAUCCAUAAAAAAAAAAAACUGCAAGUCAUACCUUUUCACCUCAACACAGUUCUCCUUGUAACUAAUCUUCCAAUAUAACCAUACUCUAAAACUAACCCAUAAUCCUAUAAAAAAAAACCAUUUCUUCUUCAAAUUAGUCCUAAAAAACUUCAAAAUACAAGUAACUAUCCAUUUUAAACAAGAUCAGUGAAAUCUAAAAGCAACCCACAAAUCCAAUUCACAAAUCAACUGCAUAUUCCAAUAUAGAUAAAGGAAAAAAAAAUCAUUUAGUUACCUCUUCGUCGUUCCAAUCAAACAUAGCUAAAGAAACCAGAACAGGUCACAAAACGAAAACCCAAUUCACAUAUUAUAUCUUGAAUUAUUUCACACAUCGCCAAUCCUUCAAAACCUUCACCAAAAAAAGAAAAAGAAAAAACAUUAACUUACGUUCAGAAAAAAACAUCAAAACCCCUUAACCCUAAAAACCAAACCAAGACAAAAAAUUUACAUGCAAAACAAGAAAACAAGAACCUUAACAGUUGUUAAAGAAGCAACCAAAAGAGUUUUCCAGAGACUGAAACAAGAGCAUAAAAGAAAGGGAAAAGCCAAAGGGUUGUAGAGCACGUGAGAAUCACGUGAGUUUGAUUGGCUAUUUGACUGACACGUGUGUUUACGACAGUAUCUUAGUGUGUGGUUAGAAUUUAAGGAUAGAUCUAAUACUUGAACGUGAUUGGUUAAUACGUUAGGAGUUUGAUUUGAGUUUGAUUUGGGUUGAAUUUCAUGUGAAUUUAGAGAGAUUUGGCGGGCGGAUCUAAGUUGUGGCUGUGGUUGCUUCGAGGGUUGGUUUCGCGGGUCGGUUUCUUGGGCCCAUGUUGACCAAGUGGUGUUUUUUGGGAUAGCCACGCCCACGCUUUUGGAUUAAAAAAAAAAAAACAGGAGAAGAAUUAUGAGAGUGGAUUAAUUAUUAAUUAGGUAAUGAUUGAGGAUUAGGGUUUAAAGUAGGGGAUUAGGCCGUUUGACUCUUGACGUAGGCACUAUUAGGGGUGAGCAAAAAAACCGAGAAAACCGAGAAAACCGAACCGAAAAAAAAAACCGAUUAAACCGAUUAAAAUUUUGAAAAAACCGACCGGUUCGGUUUGGUAUCGGUUUUAGGCUUAUAAAACCGAAAAAACCGAACCGAACCGAAAAAAUAACCGAAAAAAACCGAGCCAAACCGAGCCAAAACCGGAAAAAAAUGAGCCAAAACCGAAAAACCGAGCCAAACCGGAAAAACCGAGCCAAGCCGGUUUUUCCCCUAAAAAAACCGAACCGAACCGAACCGAACCCGGCCGGUUCGAACCGGUUUCGGUUCGGUUUCGGUUCGGUUUCGGUUCGGUUUCGGUUUUUUUUUCCUAAAAAAAAAAAAAUUCGGUUUGGUUACUUUUUUUGAUAAAAACCGAACCGAACCGGUUUUGCUCACCCCUAGGCCCUAUGCAUGUGAUUUGUUGUUAUUGUGCCAUUUCAUUAAAUUCGUUUAAAAUGUUUACAGACAAAAGAUACGUAUAAAAUUUAAAAACGUUAGCUCUUUCUUUUUUUAAAAAAACAAAAUUAAAGUCUCACAACUAACCUAUAGAAACAUUGUUAUAAAAUCUAAGGUUGCUCAAUGGGUCAAUUUGAAAGUCUGCACUAGUUUAAAUUUUAAUAAAUAAAAAAAAAUUGAUUGAUUCAGUUAAAAAUCUGAUUUGUUCUAUUAACUUGAUUUAAAUUUAAAUUUUUUUUAUGUUUUUUUAUAUAUCAAAAUGAUAUUUUUUUAAUAUAUUUAAAAUUAACAAUUUUGAUAUGUAUUUAAACUUUACCCCAUUUUAUAAUUACUGAUCAAAGUAUUUUAAAAAUCAAUAUAGUAACACUUCCUAAAAAUUAAAAAAAUAAGAUUUAAUUUUAAAUAACACAUAAAGUAUUUGAAUAUAUCUCAUAAAUUUAAAAACAAAUAAACAAAACUUUCACAUCUCCCAAAAGAAAGAGAGUUUAAACAGCCCUGCUUAUGUAAGCAAGCAAGAAAGAAAAAGACUAAAUCAUGAUUAAUAUAUAUCACCUCGUUUAUCUUCAUAUCAAAUAUAUCCUAACUUGUGUAGACGGGUGUGAAGAAUUAAGCUAUAUUCUAACAUCCAAAUUAACUCUUUUUUUUAUAAAAAAAACUCUAUUUCUGAUUUGUACAAAAUUCAAUAAUUUACAUGUCAAUCACUUAAAACCCAAUAAAAAAUACUUUAAAAUAUAAAAAAAAAAUAUAAUUUUGAAAAGAAAAGGGGACUUUCAAUUAUUCAUCAAAGAAUAAUUUAGACUAUUAUAUAUCAUACAAUUUAAUUUAAAAAUCAGUCAAUAAAAAAAAAUCCAAUUUAAGUUUGAUUAACUUAGCAGGUUAACAUGUAAAUAGUUGGCCUGAUUUUGAUGGAGUUGAUUUUUAAAAUAAUGUAUGGAAAACGAUAUCAUUUUAAAAAGGGUAAUCCACCUGACCUAAUCUGGUUCUAGAACAAGUUUAAUUACAUUGACUCCAAUAAUUAGCCUUGAAUGUAGAAAAACGAAGAAGGGAAGUAGAACAAAACUGGGCUGAGAGGCCUAUGGACAUUAAAUUGAUUCUAGUCUUUAUUAAUGGGCUUGUGGCCUCAGCAUGAAAACUGGCAAAACAGUAAAAAAAUUAUAAAAAAAAAAGAGGAGAAAAAAUCAACCACGACUCCACUGGGGAUCGAACCCAGAAUCUCUGGUUCCGUAGACCAGCGCCUUAUCCAUUGGGCCAUGGAGUCUUUCAUGCCAGUGUUUCGAUUCCUAUAAUAUAUUAAUAAAAUAUACAACUCUACCUUCCGAGCCUGUACUAGAGACAGCGAGGGUGGCCAACAACUUCAACCACUUACAAUUUGAAAAUGGUAUUCUGGAUGUUGCUUCACGGGUAGGGCUUUACUGCUCAUCAACAUUUCCAAUAUCUUUUUCCAUCUACACGAUGCAUUUACAAGAGUUACGUUAAUCGGGUAAUUAUGUGUACAUUUUUGAAAAAAUAUUUUUUAAUUGAAAAUAUAUUAAAAUAAUAUUUUUUUUCUAUAUAUUUUAUUUUAUUUUAUUUUUGAUAAUAACACAUUACAACAAUUUAUAAAAACUUUAUUGAAUUUAUAUAUAUAUAUAUAUAUAUAUAUAUAUAUAUAUAUAUCAAUUCAAUAAAGUUUUAGUUGAAAAACUAUUUUUAAAAACAAAUUCAAUAACAAAAACAAACCUACCAUAACCAUUACUUGUACUUUUUUUUUUCCACAGGUUUGUUAAAAAAAAACACCUUUUUUAUUAUGUACUCGAUCGUCGAGUGCUACAAAUUUAAUUAGCUUUCUUAAUGGGAUCGAUUUGUUUCUUUGCAUAGGUUUGUAUUCGUGUCUUUCAUUAAUUAGAUGAUAAAAAAUUAUAAUUUUUUUUACUAAUAGGAUCACUGUGCAAUUUUUAUCUUUUCUUGAACUUAAUUAUUUAUCAUCAAUCCAUAAAUAUCCUUACAUGAUCACACACUACUUGUACAAGUGCGUAGAUUCACAACUAACUAAUGAGAUCCAUGCAUGAAUCACUUGGAUCGAUGGUCUUGGGAUUUGAAAAAAAAACAAAACAUGCAUAUAGUUUCAUCGAUCAUUUCGGGUUUAUUACCAAAGUAAAACUGCAUGCAAAAGCUAGCAUCAGAAAGAGAAGAGAAGACAAAAUAUUUUUGCUGUGGCAUUCACAUGUUCAUGCAUGUUUCCAUGGACGACAACUGCUGAGAUCUGCAAUCCAGCACUACUUGUAAAUUCAAACUAGCUUUCCCACCUAUCUCUUCACACGUUGCAACCUUCUACUAGAAAAAAACACCAGAAUUCACACGUUAAUUAUCCACCUGAAAAUGACUCCUGGACACGUAAUCACCGUUUCUUCUCUCUCACUCUUGACACUAUUUUUUUUAAUCGUUGAAGGGUUAAAGAUGUUGAUAAUUAUAGUUUUUUUAUUCUAGUUAUUAAAUAUUAAUUUAAUUAUUUGGUACGAGAAAUUUACAUCCCAAAACCUUAUUUAGAGUUUUAAAUUAUAUCGAUGAAAUUUAAUUAAUUUAUCUAAGUUUUUAAUAAUUUGGUUGAGUUGAUCGGCCCGACUCGAUUGAAACAUAAUUGAUUCAAUUUCUGUUAGAAAAUAAUAUAAAUCAUAUUUAAUUAUGAUCUCACCUAAUAGUUUAAGUUAUUGGAUAUAUUAAGAUGAUUUUUUGAUAUAAUAUUAGAGUUUUGAUAAUCAAGUGAUUACGAUUUGAAUCUCAUCAUUUCUAUUUAUUUGAUAAAAAUUAAGUACAAGAUAGUGUAAAACAUCUAUAUAAGUUUCAAGCUCAAAAGCUUUUACUUAAAGAGAUAUGUUAGAGAAUAAUAUAAAUCAUAUCUUGUAACCUGACCUUAUAACUUAAGUAAUUGAGUUGAGAUGAUUUUUUUUUUAACAAUUUUAAUGAAUUAUUUUUUUAAAAAUAAAAUAAUACUAUUUUAUUAAAAAUAUUAACUCAAAUUUACUCGAUAAUUCAAUAAUUCAUAUUUAUUUCUGAGUGGAUCUCAGGCCAGGUCUGAGUAGUAUACUAUUAUAUUUUUAACAAAAUAAUUAAAGUAGCAUAAAAGAAACAAAGUAAUUAACGGCUAAACAUGAUGCGUGUGACCCUCUAGGCUAGGCGAUACUUUCAACACAGUAUCAUAAGUUCUCUUGUACCUGUUUGCAUGUAUAAAUAGGAAGCUAAUGGUGGUAUAAUCUUACACUAUUCACUCACGUUUCUUAAGAGAAAGUACUCAAGAAAAAAAUAUUCAACAAUGGCUAGCCUCAUUGCUCCUGACAACCAUGUUCCUAGUGAAGAUGCUGAAGCCCUCUACAAGGCCUGUAAUGGUACUUCUCUCUCCUUUUCUUUCAUACUAUAAUCAUAUAUUAUAUACUCGACAUGCCAACAAUUAAGAAAUAAUCUUAUAUUAUAUACUCUACAUGCCAACAAGUAUGAAAUAAUCAUAUAGCUGUUUGCAAUCACCAGCAAUAUUUAAAUUAAGAGAGGAUUAAUUAGGAGGAGGAUUUCCUGUGUCUAUAGUCCAACCUUAAGAACAUACAGCUGCCUAACAGACAACUUAAAUGUUAACAUGCCUGAAUAAGAUAUCAAAUUUCUGUAAGAAAUGGUAAAAAGUGGUUGUGCUGUAACAAUCAUGAGAAAAUAUUCUAUGAAAAAGAGGAGUAAAUAUUUUACUUUUAGAGAAACAAAAGGCAGGGAAAGGGAAAAGGAAAAAAAAAGGGAAAGUAUUAAUGACAGUCUGAUUUUCUUUGUCGUCAAUUUUUUAUUUGAAAGUGAAGAGGUUGGCGUGAAUGAUUUGUCAGCAUGAGUUGUUCUUUCUGCUUUAUUUUCCGGCAAAAUAUUUAUAAUUUUUGUGAUGGGAAGAUACACUGGACGACUAAGUUAUGCCUUGUUACGUCACAAACUUGAUGCAUAAAACCAGGAAAGAAAAAUAAAAGUUUCUCUCCAAAAUGAAAAAGAAAGAAUAAAAGUAUUUUUUUUUUUGCAAUAACAUAAAAUCAUAAUUAUUAUACUGGUCUAGUUUGUUGAGUUAAUAGAUAUCAACCUUGAGAUGUUGGUUUAAAGGUUCGAGGAUUUGCUCCCUUUAAGAUCUCAAUUUUAAAUUUUAUUAACACCAAAUUUUUUGAUUUAUUUUGGUAUAUGUAAGCUGUAAGCUAAUUUAUGAUAUCAUGUUUUUCCCAAAAAAAAUUGAUAUAAAUUUACAAUACAGAUAUUGAUUCAGACUAGUUUUUGGUUAAACCAGGUGGAGUUAAUAUUAUAGAUUUUAAAAAAAACUGUUUUAAUAAAAAAAAAAAUUAUUGAUUGACUUGACCUAAAUUUCUCGUACGGCAACUAUGCAUAAAACUCUUGUGCGCCUGCACCAAAAUUUUUUCUCUCAUUCACCCAUUUUGCCUUCAAAAAUGGUAUGAAAGAAAAUAUUCAUUUACUCAAGCCAACCAUGAGAGAUAAGUAAGAAUCUAAUGGUGGAAAGCAGGUGGUCAUGUUGAUUAAUGUAUUCAUAAAAUUUAAAUAGUCCAAGAAAUCAUUUGAUUACCACAUUGUUUUCAACGUAAGAGUGUCAGAAAGUGGUACUAUAAAUAUGAGAGCAUGAACAAGUCUCCUUCACAUUGAGUUUUCUAGCUAAAGAGACAAAAGAGAGUUAAUUGCAAUGGCUUCCCUUGUUGUUCCUGAAAAUGUUUCUUGUGUUGAUGAUGCACAAGCUCUCCAAAAGGCUUGCCAUGGUUAAGUUUACAAAUCGUUCUGUCUUGUAUAUGUACUUUCCUUUGUGUUUUUCACUGAGAUAAUUUGUACCCUUUUUUGUCAAAAGAAAUCGGCUACUGAGUUCAUGUUUUCUUGUUUUGAUUCUUGAAUUGCAUCAGGAUCUUGCUCGCUUCUUUUGUGAAAAAUUUUAUCCAAAUUGAAGUUGUGAUCAUCAAGUGAUUUUAUGCAAAAGGAAAUAUCAAAACUGACAACGGAAUUUGUCUCUGCUGUUUGUUUUUGCUAGGCUGGGGGACUAAUGAGAAGGCUAUAAUUUCAAUACUGGGGCAUAGAAAUGCUGCUCAAAGGAAGCAAAUCAGGCUAGCUUAUUCAGAAUUGUUUCAAGAAGAUCUUGUCAAGCGUCUCGAGUCUGAGCUCAAUGGAGACUUUGAGGUAAUUGUCAGUAUCAUGGUUAUGAUAACAGAAACUUUAUGUUUAUACCAGUCUUAUCUGUCAGAGGCAGGGCACAUUUGUUAAAGGGUCUUGUUCAACCAGUUGUGUUUUGCAAGAGAUUUGAUGCAUAUUAACGUUUAAUCAUAGUCAUUAUGUUCUUUCCAACCCAAGGAUUGUUGCAGAAUGGGAUGGAGUGUGAUUGUCGGUUUAUAUAUAUGCCUGUGAUGCUAAUUAAGUUUCAUAAAUUUGUGAACAUAGAAAGCUGUGUAUCGAUGGGUAUUGGAUCCAGAAGACAGAGAUGCAGUGUUAGCAAAUGUGGCUAUCAGGAAAUCUGGCGAUUACCAUGUGAUUGUAGAGAUUGCCUGCGUCCUAUCUUCAGAGGAGCUCUUGGCUGUGAGGAGGGCAUACCAUGCUCGGUACAAGCAUUCCUUGGAAGAAGAUCUUGCGGCCCAUACCACCGGUGAUAUCAGGAAGGCAUGUUACAAUCAUUGAUAUAUUGUGAUUAGGCCAUUCACAAUUGCCUGAUGGUUUGUUAUGAUCAUUUUGCAGCUCUUGGUUGGAUUAGUGACAGCUUUUAGGUAUGAAGGAGAUGAGAUUAAUACAAGAUUAACCAAUUCAGAAGCUGAUAUUCUUCAUGAUGCAAUCAAAGACAAGGCUUUUAAUCAUGAAGAUGUCAUUAGGAUCCUGACUACCAGGAGCAAAGCACAGCUCAUGGCAACUUUCAACCGCUACAGAGAUGAUCAUGGCUCUUCCAUCACUAAGGUACAGAAAAAAAAAAAAGAAGUUCAAUAGCUUGCUUCUAGUUACCAAGUCAAAUGUUUAUAGUUGCAAGUUGUCGUGAGGAGCACUGUGAAGGCCUCCAAGUUUCUUCCCGCUCCUGAGGCCUGUAACAGAAGCUUUAACUCUCUGAAAACAGAACUUCCAUCUACAAGGUUGAGUCUGAUUAUAAAAAUGGAGCAUUAAUGGUCAUUUUUGUUUAAUAGGACUUACUAGAUGAGCCUGCUGAUGAGUUCAAAACAGUGCUCCGUACAGCCAUUCGAUGCCUCAACGACCACAAAAAGUACUACGAAAAGGUGAAAUUUUUUACACUGUUGCCUUAAAUUUCAUAAAUGAAAGUUCAAUGGCCUAAAACAUAGUUGCCUUCUGCUUAGAUUUUGCGCAAUGCCAUCAAAAAGGUUGGGACAGAUGAGGAUGCACUCACUCGUGUGAUUGUCACAAGGGCAGAGAAGGACUUGAAUGAUAUCAAGGAGAUCUACUACAAGAGAAACAGUGUGCCCCUUGAUCAGGCAGUUGCCAAGGACACUUCUGGGGAUUACAAGGCUUUCCUCCUUGCUCUGCUUGGAAAGGAGGAAUAGUUUUGUUCUUCUUUCAGCAUUUCAGAGUUUUCAGUCACAAUUCAAUAAUGGUUUCUUAUGUAGAACUUUCUUACUGUGAGUCUUUUGUUUUCUGUGGUCAUGUUCUUGAGUUCCUACCUGGUCCGUGUGACAUUAUGUAAUCCAAUGCUAUGUUAUCUGCAGUUGAGUGUUUCUCUAAGUGGCUGCCUGUUGGCACAUUCAGACCAAGUUUCAUUGAUGCACUGUAACUCUAAGCUUCCAUUUGAAUCAUCUUUCCCUAAAAAUUUAAGUCGGGCUAAUUGGUUAAAAAAUACCCUGACCUUCAAGUAACAGAAGAUUAGUCCCUGAUCCUUUUCUUUUACCAUGAACUUGAUCCUAAAUCUAUUUUUUUUCAACAAUGUAGUCCUUCCAUUCAUUUUUCCAUCUAUCUAUCAGCAUGUGUGGUCACGUGACCGUGUAGAAGGAUGACACGUGUGCCUCCCAUGUGGUCAAAUUUGAUGGAAGGACUACAAUGAUGGAUAAAAAAUAGGUUCGGACCUAAAUCAGAAUACAAAAAGGUUAGGGACUAAUCUCCUGUUGACAGAAAGUUCAGGGUAGUUCUUAACCGAUUAGCCUUUAUGUCAAGCAUCAAUUUAACUCAUGGCCUCUGCAGGGAUUGCAGAAGCAAGCAAAACAUUUCCAGCUAUAAAAUCCAAUACCCAUCUAGAUCAAAUAAAUAUGAUGGAGCGGUAAGCAAAAAAUUGCCCACAUGUAUUGUUGCCCUUAUUCAGCUCCAUCUACCAGUAAAUCCCCGAAUGCUUUUUUGAUAUUGUAAUGCAAUUCUUUUAAAGGGUUCGCAGUUUUUGGUGAAUUCUAAAUGAUGCUGAAAGGACAAAAAUAACUUUAAAAUUAUUUCAAAAACAUUUACUUUUAUAUAAGUUUCUAUCUUUUAACUAAACACAUUUCUCUUUUUUCCCGAUCUUAUAAUACUAACCAUACUUGGUUUGCCUUUUACAUGGCACUUGAGAGUUGAUAAACUUCUUUUUUUUUAUUUUCUAAACAACAAAAGGUAAUUAAACUGCUUGUAGAUUUCAACAUGUUUUUGGUUCAAACAAUUCAACAAUAUUCUUUCUUCAAUAGCAAGACAAGCAACGGGGCUGAGAGCAACAUUUGUAGACAAAAUUUGGAAUUGAAAGAUAAUAAUCCAAUAUAUUGAAGCAUGAGAAAUAAGAGCAGCUGAAUAAGUUGAUGGAUUUUAAACCUAUGUACAAGCAUAACAUUCCACCAACUACAACAAAAGUGCUGAGCUAAUUCGGAAACUGAAAAAUUGUCGCAUGUUAUUGCCACUGCUGUCUGGCAAACCAUAUCUUGUAAUAGCCGUGAGACUAAACUGGAUGAGUAAGCAAAUGCUAGCAGAUAUGCUGACCAGGAAUGUUGAUAAGGCCAAGUACAACAUGCAAGCUUCGUUUCCAGACUCGAUGCUCAACUAGAUUUGAUAUCAUCUCCAAACUUUGUAUCAUAUGCACCAGAAGACUCCCAUAGAAUUUUAUACUAAGCACAGAUCUUGGCUCUCUGACUCUCCCUAGAGCCUGGAAGCCGCCUCAACAAAUAUGAAAAAUAGAUGAGUCUGUUAUCGAAGGGAAGGGUCAGAAAGAAAUCGGGUUAACUACUAGCAUCAUAUGAAGAAAUGAACAAUAACCUGGAAAUUGAUCUUCUGACAAAAGACAUCGAGUCUUGAUGCAUAUGAACCAUGCCUCGGUCUUUGAUGCUCUAUGCUACCUUAAGAUUCCCGUUUCCUGCUCUGACUGUUGAAGCCAGGCAGCAUGGACUUGGAUUUAGAGUGAGCUCGACUUAUGAGUCUCUGAUGCAAUAAGAGAAAACUUGAAUAAGAAUCAAGGAAUUCACAGGGAUAUAUAUGAUAUGGACAUUAAAAGUAACAAGCAGCAAAAUAUGUCUGACAAACCUGUAGACAUAAAGCAACUCCAUUUCUACGUCCGCCUCCACAGCUGGCCAAUAGUAAAUCUUAACUCAGACAUACAGUAAUUAAUCCACUUGAGUAAGAAACAUAAACCGAAGGGAGAAAAUGAAAAUUAAGAUCAGCGAUACCUCAAUGUGUUGAAUGGAUUAAAGAAGAGAGACUCUACCAGUCUUCUGGUUCAAUCCAGCGGCCAUCAAUCUUGAUGUAGAGUAAAUGAGAAAUCUUGGGCCAAUCUUCCCCUUUCUCCUUUUCACACCUUUUUUCUAGCUGAGGGCAUCCACUGAUUUCAAAAGAAUAAAGGGAGGAUGGAAGCCCCCUUUCAGGUAUGGAUUGGAGAUUAGGGCAUGUGUCAAUCUUCAAUUCUCUAAGACAGGUGAGGUGUAGAAGCCCGUUGUAGUCCAGAGAUUUCAAAUUUUCAAGGGACCGGAUUUCAAGGGACCGAAGUUCUAAAGGCAGCAGCAGCCCGUCAGGGAAAGAUUCCACAUCUUCAUUGUAAGCAAUUAUUAAUUUUGAAAGAGAACAUUGAAGAAGCAAAUCCCAUUGUGCACGGCUUGCAAUGAGUUUAUUGCAACUUUGGAUGCAGAGUGUUUCUAGAUCAAGUGGCAAACGCCCUUCUGGAAAUGACUCAAGUUCAGGAAGUCCUUUCAGUUCCAAAUCCACAAGGGAAAAAAGGAAAGGCAUUUGCUCAGGCAACGCCUUUAAAUUUAUGCAAUCAAGUAACCUAAUCUUUGUCAAAUUCGGAGCAGAUAACCCUCCUUUGGGAAAACAAACCAAGUUAGGACACCCCUGGAUUUCCAAGAAACGGAGAGACCUGUUAUAAGGCUUUUCAUAUGCUGAAAGAGAAUUCAGAUUCGGACAAUUCUUGAUUUUUAGAGUCUGUAAGUUGGAGAACAACUCUAGCGGGAAACACUCGAGUAGAUCAAAAUGAUCUAUUUCAAUAUUUUCAAACAUAGAGGAUAAGCAACCCAUCAGCUCCAAUUCCUUUACCAACGAAUCUACGGAGUCCAAUCUGCGAAUCUCGAGUUCAUACAACUCAGAAGGCAAUUUCUCUAAACGCAGAUCCCGAGAAGCAUCAUUUAACCAAAAUCUGUUAAUGAUUGGAUACCAAGGAAAUGGGCCUCCAAGCUGCUGACAAUCAAGGAUGUUAAGUUCUGUUAAAGAAGGAAGGUGAUGAUUCGGCAAUGCCUUCGUUAGGCUGAUGCAGCCUGAUAUGUGAAGCUCUCGAAGAAGAGGGAAAGCUUCCAUGUCCUCAUCAGAAAUCCAUUCAUUCCAUUGUGGCAUGCUAGCAAAAGUUAAAAUCUCGAGGGAUCCAAAUGGCUCCUUCAAGGAUGUGCAGCUUCCAUAGAACUCGUGACCCACCACCACAACUCCUUCAAAUUCCUGGAUGCAUAGUUCCUUUAAAGACCCUAGCUGUCCAAGUGGAGGUAAAGAGGUGCAAUAUGCACAUUUGAAGAGAUCCAACACUACUAUAUUUGAGAAAGAAAUGUCUGCUAUCCAAUCUGGAAACCUUGUACCCCCAUAACCACCAACAUAAAGACUAGUCACACCUGUAUGGGGCUGUAAUUUAUCAAGAACGUCUCUUUGGUGCUGUGAGUCAUCAGCAUCGCCAUCCCAUCUCAACUCCAACGCUUUAACCUGUUUCAUACCCUUCAAAUUGGCUUCCAAAGCAUCUUGAGCGUUCACAACAUUUUGAAGACCCCAAAUCGUUACUCCCCCUUGUAGAUGUUGAAGCUUGCCCAACUCUAUAAUGCUAGAACCACCCUGUCUUCCCAGAAAAAAAUCACUCAGUGUUUGGAGCUUUGUCAAUCUAUCCAUCUGUGAAGGCAUCUUCGACAGCUUUGUUCCUAAAAUAUCAAGAUUUUGCAAGUUGAUUAACCUUGCCAUAUCAGCUGGCAACUCCGUAAGUUUCUUGCAUUGCUUCAAGAUUAAAGUUCGCAAGUUAUACAAUCCACUCAUGGAUGCAGGUAACCUUUCAAUUGCUGUUUUCGUAAGAUUCACAUGUCGUAAUUGCUUCAGAUUGCCAAUUGAAUUAGGCAAUUCAGCAACCCCUUUGCAAUCUUCCAAGAUUAGCGUUUGCAAAUUGUAUGCAGUACUCACAACUUCAGGUAACUCUUCUAUUGAUGUUCCCCAAAGGUUCAGAUAUCGCAAAUGCUUUAACUUUCCCAUUGAAUUAGACAACUCAGCUAUACUAGAAAUAGCGAGACAAGGAUAGCACUCGUAAUCGUCUAAGGCUUGGUAAUAAAUCACGUGUUAGGCCAUCUUCAAACCGGUAGUCUUCCCACUGCUUUGCCAACGGUAGAAAAGUGCGCAAAUGUUCAGCUCCAUAGAUUCCUACGAAUUUUUUAAGGGAAUCAAAUGACUUUGGUACAUAUGAGAAAUGACGAGCCUUCGCUGCAAUCUUGUUUGAAUCAUCAUCCUCCAACAGGAAGCAAAACUCCCCCGUCACAGAUUUGGCCAAAUCAUUAAUGAGGUCGUGCAUAAUAAACAAUGAUAGAUUGUCACUAGAAUAUCGUUGAAAAAAUGACCUGGAAACAAGAUCAUCAAAGAACUCGCCACCUACAUCUUCAAACUCCUCCUCUCCUUUGAGUGGGACAAGAAAACCACCCUCUGCCAUCCACAAACGUACUAAAUCAUCCUUGUUGAAUCUAUAAUCUUUGGGAAAUAGUGCACAAUACGCAAAGCACUGCUUCAGUGGGGCAGGAAGGUAAUAGUAGCUCAGUCUUAAAGCUGGAAGAAUCGGAUCUUUCGGCAAAGUCCACAUGUCACUCUUCAACACUUUCUCCCAAUCUUUUGCGUCUCUUUUGGAGCGUAGGAGACCCCCCAGAGCUUUUGCAGCUAAAGGUAGGCCAUUGCACUUUCUUACAAUUCCUCUGCCAAUUUGUUCCAAGUCUGGACAUGCACCAGAACUUCCAUCAUCAAAUGCCUGUUUUGCAAAAACCAACCAGCAGUCGUCUUCAGUUAAUUUCUGCAGAUGAUGUGUUGGAACAGUUGACUUGACUGAUGCUACGCUAUCAUUGCGUGUUGUAACGAUGAUCUUACUCCCUUGUCUCACAGACUUUAAAGGUGUCAAUAAAGAAUCCCACUGAUCUUGAUUCUCACUCCAAACAUCAUCUAAAACAACCAGCACUGUUUUCCCUGCUGUUCUCUUCUCUACCUCUUUGUGAAGCUGAUCUGCAGUCAUGGUAUCACAAUUCAGUGAGCCGGCCUCUAGAAGCAUAUCUUUGAUUAACUUGAAAACAUCAGAUUCCUCUGAAACAGAGACCCAUACCUUCAGAUCAAACCGCUCUUGAACUCUGCUAUCAUUGUAGAUAAGCUGAGCAAGAGUGGUUUUACCAACCCCACCCAUACCCACUAUAGGAAUCACAUCUAGCUUUGCAUCUUCAGAUAACAUCAACUUCAUUAUGGCUUCCUUAUCGUCAUGCCUACCAAAAACCCCAGAUCCAUCCACCAGAGAAGUUGUUGGUAUUUUGUAGGACAAGGGUUGUUCUCCAAAACCCUCUUUCAGUCCAAGAGCAUCCUUUUGCUGUACUAAAUAUUCAAGUAGCUCAAGAAUGUCCUCUAACUUAGCUCCCAUCUCUUCCUUCUCUUCCUUCUCUUCCUGGACUGUAUUACGAGAAGAUAAAAAGCCUCUAACCUGAUCAGUGCUGGUUUGAGAGCCAGCUUCAACCUCCAGUCUCAAGCCUUCAUAAGCAACCCCAUCCAAGAAGUCCUCUGCUUCAUAAACAGCAUCUUUGAGCUCGACAAGCCACUCUUUUACAAACGAGUCACUGAUCUGCUUCUUUUCAGCAUCAUUGAGCACCUUAUUAACAGUAAUCAUCAGUAUCUUCAACUUCUUCAGCAGUCUAUCAUUUAGUUUUUGGCUUUUAAAGAAGUCAACAACCUGGCGAGAAGCCAUUCUAUCAAACAAAACCUGGAGGGAAGCCGAAAGAAAAGCUCCACCUACCAAAGCAGCAGCCAUGGUUUGAUCUUCACGUAGUACUGUUUGCAAAACGGGUGCAGUAAGAAUCAAAGCAAGAAAUGGUGAUAGAGAAAAUGAACAAGAAGAGAGAUUAGGAUUAACUUUGCUUGACAAACCAAGAAACUGCCUUCUCGUUUCUUUUUAUUUACUAUUAUUAAACCAGAAAGCGUGUUUUCUUCUGCUAAUUUCCAUGUCGGAUCCCUAUGGACGUUAAAUAUUAUCCAAGCAGUUCAUUUGGUUAAAAAGGUUUUGACUUUGUUUUGGUUUCUUGCUUGGAUUUAUGAGCUGGAACUUCGGAGUGAAUAUCUAAGAUAGUUUAUUCUCUUAAAUACACUGGACCAAUGUAAAAGUAUAAUAUUGUAAGAUGAUUUAUAUUAAAGAAUCAUCUUAACCCAAUAGCUUAAGCUGUUAGGUGAGGUUUUAAGAUAUAAUUUAUAUUAUUCUCUAACACAUCCCCUUGAGUAAAAGUUAUUUAGACUUGAAACUUGCACAGAUCCAUAUUACCUUGUGCUUGAUUUUUAUCAAAUAAAUAAAGAUGAUGAGAUUCGAACUCGUGACCGUUUGGUUAUAAGGCUCUGAUACCAUAUCAAAGAACCAUCUCAACCCAAUAGCUUAAGCUGUUAAGUGAGAUAUCAAGAUAUUAUUCUCUAGCAAUUAAAAAAAAGUAUUUAUUUUCUAUUGAUGCAUAAACUUGAUUAGAAAAUACUCCUUGCAAAGUCAACAUGUCAGUUCAAAACCAAAUACAUUGAAUAAUAAUUUAAGAGAUUUCGUUUGCAAGGAGCUUAUCAUUUUAUGAUCAAGCCGCGUUUUCCAUAUUUCAAAAGGCAUUGGGUUUGGAUUCAACCCAGCCAUGUUUUAAGCUUCAACGCUACGGCUAAUGCGUAUCUUACAGGAAUAACCAGAAUGGGGUGGCCCUUGACUCGGUUUAGGAGCUGGAUCAGCAGGUCCAUGGUCCAACCCUGGUCAGCUCUUUUAAGGAAAAGACUCCAUCUUGCUAUCACUCGGUUCAUGUUCUUCGUUAAACGCAAACACUUGGUGAGUACCUCAAGAACUCUUUCAUUAACACUCACACCCCACCUCUACACUAAACUCAGCAAACCUCAUAAAGAACAUGAGUUAGAACGAAUCAAUAGCACCAAACAAAAGAGUUUCUUAUAGUGAGCCAAACAACCCGACUGAGACUCGACCAAUCAAUUUGAAGAAUUUGUUUUUAUUCAAAACAAUGCUGUUUCGAUUUUUUUUUGAAAAUUUAUUUAGGUUGACUUGCUGACCUAGAAGAGAGGAGAAAUUUGAAUCUCACUACAAAAAUGUGAGCCAAAGUGUAAAUGAGCGUAAUAAUUUUUCGGAAAACUCAGGUGAAUGUACUCGAAAGUACAAGAGAGAGGAAGAAAAUGAAUUGCAAUGUUAAGAUAUCACAAUGAAGAAACCAAUGGCUGCGAGGAAGUAGACUUUGAUGCCAUGAAGUUUGCUGAUUGUAAAGUGGGCUGACAAUAGGCACUUCUGGCAUUCUCACAAUUUAUUUCCAUCUUACCGAACUUCCUAUCUAGUUCAUCAUGUUCAACCGCAUCCUGAACAUAAAAAGACAAAGCAUUUACGUUGUCAAUAAGAUUCAGCAUAUAUAGCUUAGUUGGAAAGCUACUCCAUUAUGUAAUAAAAAAAUCAAAUUAUGCCUAGACAAUUUGAAUCCAUAUCAUUUCAAUUUUAUUUGGCUCCGAACACCACUUCCUCUGCCAGACAUGUUAGCCAACCGAUUGGACAAAGGCCAUUGAGGAAAAAUGUAACUUGACAUCGAAAACCAUAUAAUCCAAGAUGCUUAGAAGUGCUAGAAAGCAAUAUAAUUUUUUUUUUGAAAUUUCACAGAAUAAUUUAAGCUUUUUUUACUGAAUUAAUUUUUUAAUUUGAUAUCAGGUCCAAAUGAUCAGGAAUUUAUAUCUGAGUAUUUCUAUUCUAUCUAAUAAAAUUAAACAUAAAAUAGUGGUUAUACAAGUUUAAAAAUUAAUAUAAAAUUAUUCUUGAAAUUCACCGCUCGCAAACUAUUUCUUUAACUGAAGCAGAGAAACGAGACAACGGAUUUUAAACAACUGCAGUAUAAUGAUGUGGGAAACAUUAAGAGAACAAAUACAUACCUUAACAGAAUAGUGGCGAAAUGUAGGAAGAAAACGUAUCUUGCAGUACUCAUUGAACAUUAUAGUAAGCAGUAAGAGUGGAAUUGUGGCUAUGGAAGCAGAAGGUUUUGACUUCAGCCCAAAAAGACCAAUCAUGGUGAUUUGCAUAAGAAUGAUUCCGACGAAUAUGUAAUGAUGAACGUAUGGCCAAUACUGUCCGCAUGUAUCAUAACCAGUUUCGUAAACAUCUUCAAUCUGCUAACCAUGUUGGAAAAAAAUCCUUGAUAAGCAAGCGAAUCGACCAUACAAAGGCAAGGAAAGAAAUCAGAAACUUAACCUGGUUGACAUAUACAACGUAGCCUAGAUAGAAGUAGCCAACAAGAAAUGGAAGCAGCAAAGGAGCGACAACUGCAUAUACCAUACCAAUGAUUAUUGAUAGGGAGACUGAAGGGAUGAUUCUAAAAUAGAGCAAUGAAUAGAGGUAAGGAUUUUCCUCGUCUCCUGAUCCGCCAACUGUGUGUGAUUUCACGGAAUCCCAAACAAGCAAGCCCGGCUGAAGGAUUUCCAAAGAAAAUCCUGACAACCCAUCUGUUAAGAUGUAUGUCACGAAAAAAUCAGCCUGCAAAAAAGAACAAAUUAAUUAGCAGUCAAGCGGAGCCUGCAAGUUCAUAAAUUCAUAUUAGCUAAGAAUUGUUUGCAUCAUAUGCCAGGGAAAAAGAGAAUUGUGGUAGAUAGCAUAUAAACUCAAGAAAAAGCUUCAAAUAAUACACCAACUAAUUAGAUUAAGGCAACCUAGCUUACUUGAGAAGAGACAGCACUGGCAAGAUGACUAGGAAUACUCCUAGGGUGGGUAAAAUACUCUCCAAGUUCAUCCAGUAGGGAUCCUGAUAUCAAGCUCAAAAAGAAUACAUUUCCCACGAGAAAGUAGAAAACCAUAUUGCAAGCUUUAAUCUCCUCCUUGCUCUUCGAAAUCGAACCGCCUAAUUUAGCCAUGCCAAGCAUUGCAAAGGGAACAACAUAUAUAAAGCCUUUGAGAAUGGCACUUGGAAGAUACCCUGUAAUAAUGGAGCUUAAUCCUGGUCUAUUGCAGAACAAGAACAAUAUGUCAGACAGUUAUACAGAACUCUGAGAAAGAGUUCAAACAUUCGAUUAGUAUUCUGUUAAGUGAUUGCUUAAAGUUUAUAAUAGAUGCGAAAACUAAUUAUUUCUUAAAGCAUAAUGCCAAAAAAACAAAAUUGGAAUUGGAAUCCUCACAUUAGCUCCAUAGCCAUGGCUGGGGGGAACCAUUUCUUAAGUUUCUCAAGUUUAGCUAUUCCUUGAACAGCUGUAACUGGGACUGCAAAGAAAAUUGUGAGGAGAGAUGCUGCAACAACGACCCCGAUUUUGCAAAGUGGCAAAAUCUUAAAGGGAAUUUCCAGACUCCUCCAAGAUACAUCCCUUGGUUCUGGAGCCAUUUCCGUGAUCCAUAUGAGUGGAUGUGAGUGCUGUUGAGUUUGGGAAACUAAUGCUGCACCACGUCGGGACUUGAAUGUAACAAAGGCAACAGGCAACUCCUAGAAAAAUGAAAACAACUCAAGUUUUAAUGGUUAACUUAUAACCAAAUGUGAGACAUGAAGCAUGUAAACUUUUCAUGAAUCGCAUUUAUGAUAUAUCGCAGUUAAAGAUGCAAAGUAUAACGCAAGGCAAAAACAAGGCAUGUAUCUGCAUGGCUGUUCCGAAUACCAUUAUAAAUUGAGCUUCUAGAAGUCCCCACAGUUAAUACUUGACAGAUGAAACAUAUUCCAACUUCAAACUUGAUACAAACAUCCAUGUAAAUUUCUCUGAAGUUACCUUUCCUUUCAGCAUACUUUCGUUCAGUAAUUGACGAAUCUUACGAACAAUUUCUUGCUGCUUUUCCUUAAACAAAGCUAUUUUCGCAUCAUCUUCUUGAGAUACAUCUAAGAGUAAGCUUUCCUUGUCGCGUUUCUUAACUGUUAGCUUUCCUCUCAGGUCCUCUAUCUUUCUCAAAACAUAUUUUGCUUGGUGCUGCAUACAACAAUAUCAGAGGAACCAAGCAGAAUUGAGAUGAAGAAUGUCUUACAAUAAGCAAAGACAACUAAAAAUCUUUCAGCGUGCAAUAACGAGCAUGCUCACUUGAAAGAACUUAAAUCAUUAAAAGCAUGGGUUGAUGAAAAUGUUAUUGAUAGUGCAUAACAUUGGUCACUUUUCAAUACCUUCUAUGGCAAACUUUGAGAGAAAUUUAGAAACAUUCUACCACGUAGGAAAAACUUUGCGCAUUGCAUACCUCAGCCUAAAUUCAUAGUUUCAGUUGCAUAAAUGCCAUAGGGGGCAGAAAAAAUAGAAACUCCCCUGAGCUACCAGAGCUUGACAUCUAAUAUCAAGUGUCAAGCAAACCUCAAAGGAUAUCAUGUUUCCAUAGUAAUGUAUUUUUUACAAGAGCUAUAUCGUGACAUUCUAAGGCAUAUAAUAUCUUUGAUUAUCAUACAAAGCAUAUAUAAUAACAUAGAGCAGCUAAUCUGCCGAGACUGAGAAUGAAAUAGAGCCAACGCAUUAGUGUACGAAAUUCCAAGUUGUUCAAACCUUACCAACAGAUCUUCGAUAUCUUUUCCAUCAUAUAUCAUCUGAUAAGAACAGUAACUGUUAGGAUGAUGUUUAGAGAAGAAGUGAUCAACAGAGCACCCAUAAGCGUUGUGUUCAUUGCAGAAGGGAACUUGCCGAACAAGAACAUUAAACCGAUCAGGUUGAUGCCUUAGGUUCCGAAGUAGUCGGAUCCGUUUAACCGAAAUUCCGUCAUAUUCCUGAAGAUGAAAUGAUGCAGGAAAACACCUCAAAUUUCAACUUAUCUUGAAUGUAAAAGACCAAGAAGCAACGUUAUUAUCGCAAUGAUCGAUCCACCAUUACAACCUGGAUAGUUCUGUCGAUGAUAAACAAUAACAUGCAAUAAGUGGAUUUAAAAAAAGUAGUAUUCUACAUUUGUGAAUAAAUAAACCGAAAAACUAACCUUGUACAGCAGAUAUAAUCCAUAAAAUGAUAUCAACCACAAGCACGUAAAAUGCACCCAAAGCCUGUGGAAUGAAGAAAACUUGGUAAAUCAAUUGAGUAUUUGAGUUAUAAAGCAGUCAAUUGGAAGAUAAGCUUAACACUAAAUGCCAGUACUGCUAUUCAUAUUCAAACACAUGUAACCAGUAAAAAUUUAGACAACAUGAAGUAUCUUGUAUGCAUACUUGAAUGCUUCAUAUCUAAAUCGUAAAAAACGUAUCAAUUCUUAGAAAUUCAGCAUGGUGAAAGAAGUUCAUUGAAUUUGCAAGAUGACAGGUUUCUUUCUUUCUUUCUUUUUCCCCCUGCAGAAACAGCAGUUUGUAUACAAACUAAUAGUUGCUUAGACAGACUUCAAGUUUUAGACAAACAAUAUGCAAAGUAGCAAAAUAUUCUACCCUCUCAAACCUGAACAACCAUAAGCAAGAUGGGAAACCCAACCUGUUCGAACCUGCACUAAUAUUUGAUAUUGUGAAAGGAUCCAUGGAAUGGUAGAUGCUAGAUUGUUCAUCUUGGUCACCGAAAUUGAUUGGCAGAAGUACCACUAAUCCAAUAAGAGAACAAAUUCCAAAGAAAUAUAUCCUGCAAAGCAAACCAUAAUUAGAAAAUGAGUAAUUUUCAAGAGGAUAUUCAAGAAAUAGAUCCUCAUUCUUGGAAAACAAAAACUUCAGAAUUCAUUCCAAUAUGAUAAUAUGCAUAAAAACCAAAAUAAAUAAAUGUGAAAGGGUGCUCCAUAAGAUCGAAAGAUUGCUCUAAAAUCUUUCCUGUUUAGUUUAUUUAGUAUAAAUCAGAAUUUUUCCAAGUUUUCUUAUCUUGAUUCUGUCAAGAAAGUACUGAAAUUUUUCCCAGCACUUUCUAAUUACUUCUCAUGCCAAUUCAAGAACAAAAAUUUUCAAAUUUGUCAAGAACAUAAUCGAGUCCAAGAAACAUUACAGACUGGAAUUCAUGGGCAAAGUUAAAAACACAAAAGAAGCAAACUAACCCAAAUUUGAAGAGUCUGAUAAUGAUGAGAGCAUCAAGGCCACCAAUAUCAAGAACUUCAUCUUCAGUGACUCGAAAAGCACGAAGAAUCCAAGCAACUGAAGGGAGAAAGCGGGAAAGAGUGAAAGACUGCUCAAAGUGAACAUGGUGUCGUUUGGAGAGGCGACGAGCGUAGUAAAUGGAGGCAUUAGAAGGUUGUUUCUUGAAAAUGGAGAAGAGGGAGAGAACUAUGAAUGCCAAGCCAAAGUUAAUGGCUGCCGAUGCAGUAAGACUUUCUGGAUUCAUUUUGAUCACUCAGAUUCAGACUCACUACCAAUGGCCAGAAUGGUUCUUAAGGAAGGGAUGGGGAGAGAGGAAAGAGUGCAAGGUUUGGGUUGUACGUGGCAUGGAUGCAUGCAAAGGAGGCAAAGUGGAUGGGGAUGAGCGUGCGCAACUGCCUUAGCUUGCAUGAAUUUUAUUAGUUUUGAGAUUUUGUGUUAAUUAAGUUUGGAAUUAUUAUGAGAAAAAACCUAAAAGAAAAUAUUAUGAGAAAAAACCACGUGUAUUAAAUUUAGUUUAGCUUAGUAGGUUGAUUUAAGAAACUUAUAAUUAGGAACCUGUUUCUGAGUUUUAAAUUGAAUUAACUUGUUAGUUUUUAAAUUUUUAUUGAUUUAGUUAACUAAUUAAAUUCGUUAAAAUCAACUUUGAUAAUUUUUUUAAAAAAUAAAAUGAUAUUUUUUUACUUAAUUGUUUAAUUCGAGUUUAGUGAUUGUGUUUAAUUUAAUAUUAUUUUAAAUAAAAUAAUUAUCUUUUUUUCUGGUCAAAAUUGUCAUCGUUUGUUUUUUUAUUUCUUAAAAUAAAAAAAAUGAAAAUGAAAUGAAAAAGAAUAUAAAAUGGAUGAAAAGAAUGAAGUUAUAAAUGAAUAGAGAAAUAAUGUUUAAAUAAUAAUUUAUAAAACUACAAGCACCAGUAAAUUAUAAGGGACAAAAUUAUAAUUAACUCUAAGAUUUAUUCAUUUUCUUUACUGCUUUUUUUGUUAUUCGAUGCCAUUUAAUGCUGAUGGGCUAAAAAACAUGUUUGGGCUCAAUUGAUCUGGCAAGAUAGCCCACAUAAACUCUACAAAGUGGACGAUGAGGCCCAUAAUAAUUUCUAUAUGGGCCGUAAUGACCCAAGAAAUUGAGGUGGCUUAAGAAGUUAAAAUUGGUGGACCAGAGAUCACGCGUGCUGCUGCUGUGAUGCUCGUCCGUUUAUAUUAAAAUAAUCCUUAUCAAAUGCUACAUAUUUUUCAACUUUUUCUUAUUUUUUUUAUAUAGUUAAAUAACUCAGAACUUUUCUGAGUUUUGGAUUUUUUAAUAUCUUAAACUAUUUUUUAAAUAAAACUCAGGCUUCUCUGUCUAAGUUUUCGUCCACUCAUUUUUAAAAAAAUUUUAAAUUGCAUGUUUUUAUAUAUAUGUCAUGUUUCUAAACUAUCAUCUACAAUAAUAAAAUUUAAUAAAAAUAUCUUUUAUUAAAAAUAAUUUAAAAUAUUCAAAUAUUCAAAUAGAUUACUAGCUACCAGGUUUUUCUUCUUCUUUUUUCAUCAUAAAAUACAAGUAUAUAAACGUUAAAAUAAAUAUAAAAUUUUAUUUUUAUUUAUUUUAACGUUGAAACUUAUCACUCACACUAAAAAUAUAUAUUUAUAAAAAAAUUACUCUUUUUUUAUGUGAAAUUGAAUAUUUGAUAAUAUUUAAGGAGUAUAUUUACUUUCCACCAUGCCUUCAAAGGUAUUUGACUUGGUAGAAAGCUAUAUAAAAUUAAAUUGUCAUCAUAGCAUGAUGUAAUGGAUUAAAGAAAAUGAAAAACUUAUUUCUUAGUUAACCCAAAAUUUUGAUUAGUAUUCUAACAAAUUAAAAAUAAAAAUAACUCGUUUUAGGGUAGACUUUGCUUGAUCUUGUGACACACGGGUUAACGUUGACCAGUCCAUCACCGAGCCUCAGCCUGGGUCAGUUCUGACGACGAUGCUCUCCAUAGGCAACCACAACUGCAAGGGAGUGGCUUGACCUGGAUCCCACAGAGGCAAAAGUGGAUAAGGAGAAGAACAAAGGGAUGGCAGGGCAGCCAUGAAGGAAAUCUUUGGAGCUUUUAAAUGCAAUUUCGAGACAAGCAAUGUAAAACAGACCGGAAACUGUGUUGUUGUUUUCUCAGUUGACUUGGUCUCCUCUAACCUCAUUAAAUUUUACCAGGAAAAAAAGAAAAAAGAAAUAAGAAACUUACCGGAAACAGCAGCGGCCUUUAACGCAUCAGGGAAGAAGUCAGAACCCUUGACACCGACCCUUUAGAUACCCUUCUCCACAACACUCCAAACAAGAAAUUAAUCUCCAAUCCCUUCACACUCACCAACUAGAUAUUUUCGCCUAUAUUUCGACGGUUGUCCAAAAUGUAAAGGAACACGACAAGUAGAUGAAACCAAGAAACACUAGUGUUCCAGGUCCUCGGUCUUUGUUAACGUAUAUUACUUGUAGAUCCCGUCCAAGAAGAAUUUAACCAUGGAGGUGGAAACUUCUUUUGUGGAAUUUUCAGUCAGUCUUCGCAGUUCUUGAUUCUCUUCUUCAGGUUCAUAGUCUUAUUCGUUUCUUUUACCUCUGGAUUAUGAAUUUUCUUGCUUUUGAAUUCUUGUUCUAGUACAUAAGACUUGCUGUGUACACGUUUGUGUGUGUAAAUAUAUAGACAACCACGUGUGUGUGUGUGUGUGUAUCUUGUUGUUUUCAGGCUCAGUUUCUGUUCAGUUCUUUUGAUUUCUUAAUACCUACACACUUCCUCUGUCAACUUCUGUAGAUUUCUUGAGUUUUGGUUGGUCACUUCUAUAAUUACAACCCUUAAAUACUCUUUCUCCACAUACUUGAUACGAUAAAGAAAUGGAAAAUCCUGAUAGCAGAAGCAUUUCUGAGAUUGAAUCAGAGCAACAAGCCUCAACAGAAGAGGUGGUAUCACUUGCUAAGAACUCAGAAUUCGAUAGAGAAAUAUUUACUGAAUUUGCAGUUCUACUAGACAAGUUCACACCGGUUCUUGUAGCAAUAAAGGAUAAUGAGAAACUCAUGGACAGACCGCCAGUCAAAAAGGGAGUUGAAUCCAUAGAGAAAGAGCUUAAUCGAGCUAAUAAAUUAAUUGAAGGAGCUUGUUCAAGAUCACCCAUCAAGCAAAUGAGGUUGUUACUCAAGAACUUGGGAGAUCAUUAGGCCUUGUGCUUUUUGCAAGCAUUGAUGCAUCCACAGAAGUUAAACAAGAUAUUGCAGCAUUGCACAGAGAAUUGAUGAAUGUGAAGUUUGAUAUCAGUUUUACACCAAGUCCAAGUCCAAGUCUCGGCUCUAGCCCUUGUGUAAUUCAUGGUCAAUCCGGGUUCGUAAGUGAGCAGGGCUCUUUUAUUAAUGAAAUUGAGGAAAAAGAUUAGUCUUAGCAUUGAUGAUGUAGUGUUACAACUCAAGUAUGGUAAUGAUGAAGAAUUCAGGCUUGCACUUUUGGUCUUAAGUGAUUUUAUUAGGGAUCAGGUAAUUGAUAAAGAGUGGAUCCAUGAAGAAGAUAUUAUUCCAAUUCUGUUUAAUCGGCUAGGCUCGAGCAAGCCUCACAACAGGUUAACUAUCAUCCAGAUACUGAGAAUUCUCGCCUUGGACAAUGAUGAAAACAAGGUGAAUCAUAUGAGAAAUGUCUUAAGUUUUCUACAUAAUUUUGGUUGCAAGUUUAAGAAUUUCUACUUUGUAGCCAUCUCACAUUGUCUGGUAAUCUGCAGGAGAAAAUGACAGAUGGAGUCUGCUUGUCAGGGUUGGUGAAAUCUUUGGCACGUGAUGCCGAUGAAGGGAGGGAAGCUAUAGGUCUGUUGUCAGAACUCUCAGAUAUUUCUGCAGUUAGGCGACGAAUUGGAAGAAUUCAAGGAUGUAUUGUUAUGCUAGUCACCAUGCUUAAUGGGGAUGAUCCAACUGCUUCUCACGAUGCAGCAAAGUUGUUGAUUGCACUGUCAAGCAAUACUCAAAAUGUGCUUCAUAUGGCUGAGGCUGGUUACGUCAAACCUCUAGUUCGUUGCCUGAAGGAAGGUAAUAUUAAAGCUUCCUUUCGGUUAAUGCAUGUUCUGUAGCAUAGUUUUCGUGUUCAGGACUGUGGAUGUAUUUGAUGUUGUUUGAUGUGCCUUUUGAGUGAAAAGGCAUUUGGGAUUUUUGCGAGUUGUGUGAAUUCUCUAUUGAAAAUCGAUAUGAAGUCUGAACUUGAUUGCUACCAAUUUUUUUCCUUUCAAGUCCCUUGUUGUCUAAAUAUAAUCAUCUUUUUUUUAUAUAGGCUCUGAUAUGAGCAAGAUCCUCAUGGCAACAGCAGUUUCAAGGAUGGAGCUCACAGAUCAGUGCAGAGCCUCCCUUGGUGAAGAUGGGGCAGUUGAACCCCUUGUCAAGAUGUUUAAAUCUGGAAAACUUGAAGCCAAGUUAUCUGCUUUAAAUGCAUUACAAAAUUUGUCAAACUUGACAGAAAAUAUAAAACGUUUGAUCAGUUCAGGUAUUGUAUCACCCCUGCUCCAGCUACUGUUCUCCGUGACAUCUGUCCUUAUGACACUCAGGGAGCCAGCUUCUGCAAUACUUGCAAGGAUUGCUCAAUCAGAAAAUAUUCUGGUUAAACAAGACGUGGCCCAGCAGAUGCUCUCGCUUUUGAAUCUUUCCAGUCCAGCGAUUCAGUUUAAUCUUUUGCAAGCUCUAAACAGUAUCGCAUCCCACUCUAGUGCAUCCAAAGUAAGAAGAAAAAUGAAGGAAAAUUGUGCAGUCCAGCUUCUUUUACCCUUUCUGACAGAAAGCAACAUCAAAAUCAGAAGUGCUGCAUUAAAUUUGCUUUACACCCUUUCUAAAGAUUCACCAGAAGAGUUCAUGGAACAGCUUGGAGAAUCCUAUCUUAUCAACAUAGUCAAUAUCAUCUCAUCAUCAGCAUCUGAGAGUGAAAAAGCUGCCGCAAUCGGAAUAGUAAGCAAUCUUCCUGUUAGCAAUAAGAAAUCAACAGAAGUACUGAAAAAGUUACAUUUUCUGCCCAUUCUGAUCUCACUAAUGAGUUCAGGUGCAUCAACAUCAACAAAAACAUGGUUAGAAGAGAGCAUUGCAGGCGUCUUAUUCGCUUUACCAUUCCUUCUGAUAAGAAAUUGCAGCUUCUUUCAGCAGAACUAGGGGUGAUUCCUAUCCUUUUGAAGUUGCUAGCAAGCGAAUCAUCAGUAGCCAAGUGUAGAGCAGCGAUCUCACUCACACAACUAUCGCAGAACUCAGUAGCUCUUCGAAAGUCCAGAAAAUCGCGGUGGACAUGUAUGCCUCCUUCCGCAGACACUUUCUGCCAAGUCCAUGAUGGCUAUUGUGUCGUUAAAAGCACAUUUUGUUUGGUCAAGGCCGGUGCUGUCCCUCCACUGAUCCAAAUAUUGGAAGGUGAAGAGAGAGAAGCUGAUGAAGCUGUCCUCAACGCCCUCGCAACUCUCUUGCAAGAUGAAAUCUGGGAGAGUGGAAGCCUCUACAUGGCCAAAACGUCUGCUGUCCAAGCCAUAAUAAGAGUGUUGGAAUCAGGAACUGUAAAGGCUCAAGAAAAAGCACUAUGGAUAUUAGAGAGAAUUUUUAGCAUUGAAGAACACAGAUCACAACAUGGAGAAUCUGCUCAGGCGGUCCUCAUCGAUCUUGCACAAAAUGGCCAUCCAAGAUUGAAAUCCACAGUUGCAAAAGUAUUGGCACGGCUUCAGCUAUUGCAAGAACAAUCUAGUUACUUUUAAGCAGUGUUAUUAAAUCGAUCCGAGUUGGGUUUCAAAAAAAACCAAGCAACAGUUGAUUCAAUCAAACAUAGAUUACCGGGUAGAUCAACUCACAACUCUAUUAUAAAAAAAAGAAAAAAAAUUCAAAAUUAUGUUUUUUGAACUUGUUUUUUUUAUAAUUAAAAUAACAUUGCUUUAUUCAAUUCGGUUUAAUUCAUCCAACCCGAUUUAAAUAAUAAAUCAAGGUUUAAUACCUCUGUAUUAAAGAGAGAAUUUACAUGGUGUGAGUUGUCAAUUUUUUUAAUGAUUUUAUACACAUUAUUUUAUUCACUUGUAUUCCCUUGAUGUAUUUAGAUAAUUUUUUUUUGUAUGAAUGAAGCAAUUAUGUUUUUGAUACUAUAGAAAUUGUGUUUCUGAUUUCCGUAUUUGCAUGGCUGCCAUUCAUGGAAGUACUUCCAAAAUGCUAUGUCCAUGUCUUAUGGACAAAAUUAAAAAAAAAAUCUUAAGAAAUAAAUUUAUAGUUAUAAAUCCUGAUCUAACAGAUAAACUUGAUAUUUAAUUUAAUUUAGGUUUUAUUUUGAAUUAGAUAUUUUUAAAAAAUUAAAAUGAUUUUAUUUCAUAUAUCAAAUUCAAAACAAUGUGUUAAUUUGUGGAUUCAGAGUUAACCCAACGAAUCUACUUAUAGUUUAAUUUAUAAAUAUUCAAUAUUAUCACACACUCGAGUUCGAAUCCUGUAAAGUGUAAACCCAUCUCUAAUCUUCAAUACGACAUGUCGUUUGCAUAAGACAUUAGUAAAAUAGAAACAGUGUCGUUUAGACCCGCGCCAUCUUCCUCCUCUAUUUCACUAAGCAAAAACCCUAACUUUCUCUCUCUAUCUAAAAAUGCUCCGUCGAAACAUCCGAUUAAGAAGAGAGUAUUUGUACCGAAAAAGCUUAGAAGGCAAAGAACGUUUACUUUACGAGAAGAAACGCAAAAUCAAAGAAGCCCUAGCUGGUACCAAUCCUCUUCCCUUUUUUAUUAAUUAAUUUAAUAAAAAACAGAUUUUUUAAAUUAAUUUAAUAAUUUUUACAGAGGGAAAACCGAUUCCUACUGAGCUUCGAAACGAAGAAGCCGCUCUUCGUCAAGAAAUUGAUCUUGAAGAUGAAAACACCGCAAGUAAGCCUCCUUUAUAUAUAUAAUAUAUAUAUAUAUAAUUUCUUAUAUUUUUUUAGUUAAUUAUUUUAUUGUUUGCAUUAUUUUAGUACCGAGGAUCAUAUUGAUGACGAGUAUGCGAAAGCGACCGAACGAGACCCGAAAAUUUUAUUGACUACGUCGAGGGAUCCGAGCGCUCCUCUUACUCAGUUUGUUAAGGUAAUUUGUUAGGUUUACGCGUUGAAUUGUGUUGAAAAAAUUAACUAUGAAAUAUUAUGUUGUUUGAUUUGAUUCGAAUGGUUGGCGGAACCUUGCUCAGGAAUUGAAGUUUGUGUUUCCAAAUGCGGAACGAAUCAAUCGUGGUGGUCAGGUUAGUGAAUUAAUCUGUUAAGUUUAUGCUCGGAGCUGUGCUCCUCCCUUUCAUGGUGAGUCUGAUGUUUUUGUGGGAUGGAGCAGGGCAGCUACUGGUAUAACUAAUAAUUUCUCUUUCAAGAGACUGACUUGGGGUUAAGAAGAUGAUUUGGCAUUUGUGUGUUUCGCAUUUAAUGAUUUACGUAGAGGUGGUGAAGAAAUGUGUGGUUAAUAGAAUUUUGUUGUGUGUGUAUAGAGGAAGUUGAGUUUUGUUAAAGCCUGCGAGUCUAGAUUUUCUUGGCUGUGUAGGAGAUUGAUUCUGUUUGAUAUGUUAGUGACUUUUUUGAAAAAAUGCUCAUUUGCAGGUUAUAUCUGAGAUUAUUGAAAGUUGUCGGGCACAUGAUUAUACUGAUGUGAUUUUGGUGCAUGAGCAUCGUGGUGUGCCAGAUGUUUGGUUAUAUGCCAUCUACCAUUUGUCCAACUGCUUACUUUGAAUUGCUCAAUGUGGUAAGUAGUUUGGUUAUUCUAACAUUUUUUGGGAGUAUUCAUUGGGCUAAUGUUUUGGGGAAUUCUGUAUGCUGAUUAAGUGUCCUUAUUGUAGGUUACUAGACAUGACAUUAAGGACAAGAAAGCCAUCGGAACUAUGCCUGAGGCCCACCCACAUUUGAUUCUUAACAAUUUUAAAUCCAAGGUAUUAAUUUCUCAUUCCCUGAAUGUCUAUUCUUCAGUAUUGGAGUUUGACUUCUUCAUGUGCAACUUGUGGUCAUUUGAAGAUUUGAUAGACAAUUAGCAGCCUUGAGUUAGCUUGUUGCUUUUGAAAGAAAUGGAAAUUGUGCUAUUUAACCAGUACAUAACCAAUUCAAACAAUUGCUUUAUUACUUAAACGUUUUAACCUGUGGAUGGUUCCAUUGUGGAAUUUCUUUUGUUGAUAUUGACAGCUGGGAGAAAGAACAGGAAAUAUUCUAAAACAUCUUUUCCCUGUGCCGAAGCCAGAUACAAAACGCAUCAUUACUUUUGCAAAUCAAUCUGACUAUAUCUCCUUCAGGUUGGUUCCCUGUUCAAGUCCAUAAAAGAUUCUUGUUUCAAGCCAAAUGAGGACCAUUUGAAACAACUUCCAUGAUGUCUUAUUUUAUGCCAUUAUAUUGUAAUUGCAUGGGAUAUCCACCUUUGCUUGGAGUUGCUUGGGAUACCUGUCUUAAGUUCAGCUUGUUUAUGUUCGUGAAAGAGCUCCAAGUAGACCUCAUCAAAUAGCUUAUCUACAUUGUUCAUUUUCUAGCCCUGUUAGUGUAGAGGUUUGCUAUGAGAAAAUUCAUAGACAAUCUUAUGAAGCUGAAACAUCUCAAAGAAAAGGAAUUUAAGUGUUUUUGUGGAAAACAAUGUUUUUUUUUAUUUUUAAAUAAUUCUGUGAUGAUGCUUUAGUCUUAGCUUAGCAAAUGACAGGAGGCAGCAGUCAUAAGCAAUUUGCCUUCUGCUCUACUAGCUCUUACAUCACUUUGUGUUGUUGGUAAUAGCAAUGAUGUUUGAUGUUGGGAAAGUAUUCAAAUUUAUCAGAAAAUAUCCUGAGUUUACUAACAGAGUGUAUAUUUAAAGAUUGAAACUUUGAAAAAUAUUCUUGAAUUACUUGGCCAGCAACAUAACAUGUAUCAUGAUAAAAAAAGUAGAAAAAAAAAAAUUUGUAUUGUUACCAAACAUGGUCAACCUGGUUGCUGAAUAGGAAGAAUGUAUAUAUGCACAAACCAUUACCUGGAAUAUUAUUUUCCUGUCAUGUGUUUGGUUAUCUCAAGUCUGAACAUUUUCUUCCUGUUGGCUAUUGUGUUUUCUGUUUGCAAGCUGUUAAUUAGUGAAAUUCAUCAUCUUUUUUGUACUGAACUGAUCACCUUUUCUUUUUUUCUUCCUAUGCAAUAUGCUAUGGCUGAUUUUUUUUUAUUUGGUAUUGUUUAGGCAUCAUAUUUACGAAAAGCAUGGAGGCCCUAAGUCUGUUGAGCUCAAAGAAAUUGGUCCACGUUUCGAAAUGCGGCUUUAUCAGGUAUCUCUAAUAUCAAUUAGUUCAAUUUUUGACCGUGCGUAAGAUUUCUUGCCUCGAAGUUAGAAAUGGCUUCCGUGAUAUUCUAAUUUUAUUUUUCCGUGAUAGAGAAAUUGUAGACAUCUAGAAUCUGAUUGAUAUCAGUUAUUGGCAAAACAUUAUUACAUCACUUAUAUAGCCUCUGCAAUGCCUUCUGAUAUUAUUACUAAUCGUCAGUGUAAUUUUUGGAUUAUUGAUGUUUCUGUUUCUACAUUGGCUCUGCAGAUAAAGUUAGGGACAGUGGAUCAGACCGAAGCACAAAAUGAAUGGGUGCUCAGACCAUACAUGAACACAACAAAGAAACGGAAGUUUAUUGGAGAUUGACAUGAGCCUCAGGAACUAAUAUCGAACUUUGUACCUUCAUUUCUUCUAUGUCUUGGCAAUUUUGGUAUCAAAUAUAUGCACGAGCCGAUUUAUAUUUGCUCCUGUUGAAGUUAUUUUCCCAUCGAAUGAGUAGAUAUGUAUCCGUGCUCUCUCUCGAACACUUCAAGCCAUUAACCAAGACAAAUUUUCUACUGAAUUCAUUGAGAUUUUUGUAUUUCAGCAACAAAUGAUGAUCGUAUGGCAUGAAAAAUAGAAAAUAAAUGCCCUUGGCAAUAUUGAUCUGAAAAGGAGACCGGGAUGGUCAAUUUCCAGCACCGGGUAUGAUGGGAUGAUAUUCCUGAAUUCCAGGGCACAAGAAAUAAUGAAAGAGCGGGAAAAAAUCAACGAUGUUUCACAAAACGACUUCAAAUGACUGGCAGUGAUUUCAAUUCUUAGAAGAGUUUUCCGUGACUAGGUUAACUAGUUGAUAUGAAUAUUACAACAAAAUCCCUUUGCAAGCAAGAUUUCUCUUUUUUGCACUGUACAGUACAGAUAAACGACUCCACAGAGUGCCCUUCAUCUUCUUCCUAUCAGAUACACAUACUGCCAGAAAAGCUAAACAGUUACUUGCCAGUUGGCGUUACUCCUCGUCUCUAUCUGCAAGUUAUUGCUUACAACUUGGGCGAUCAAGUGGGGAAAGUAAAGGCUACUCCUCCAUGCUUGUUUCCCCGUUUGCACCACUUUUUGGUGGCAUGCCAUCUUCAUCAUUUGGGCAAGCUUCGCUCACCUUUUCCCCAUUCAAUUGGUUAUCAGGUUGCAAAUCCCCGUCUUCACCACUUGGAAUAUCAUCCAUCUCUUUUGAUUCCUUUGCCUGGUUGUCUUCACCACUUGGAAUAUCAUCAAUCUCUGUGGAUUCCUCUGCCUCGUUUUCAUCUGGUGUAUCAUUGAUUAUUGCGCCCUUUGCAGGAGCAGGUCCAUCAGAUGGAUACGCAAUGUAGUGCUCAUGCUGAUAGCCCAUCAUACGUGCCUGGAAUCAAGAUUAACCAUGACUUCAAUCACUGGAACUUUAUACAGCAGACUAAGAUAAAAUUUGCAAGUGGAUUUUAAUUGGCAGCCAACAACAAAGCGGAUGCACCGCAUCACAGGCUGGAAAAGGUUUCUUCAUCUUGCAAGAUCAAGCUACUUUAUGCACGUGACUUAGCAUAUUAUAAGCCCAAAUGUUUACAUUUGAAGUACUUAAACAUACUUUACCAAUAUUGCAAGCCUGUCACUGCUUUGUGCGGUACUUGGUGCAACUUGAAUGUACCUCACCAUCACCCAACAGAUGGGAGUGACAGUGCCAAUGUCUUGGAGGUAUUAACAAGAAUAAGCACGCCCUUUUAAGAAUAAUGCAGAAGAUUUUCUUAGGAGAAGAAAAUGAUCGGAUAUGAAAAGUACAAACCAAAGUGCUCAAAACCAAAAGCCAGAUUGAUAUCUCUGACAAUAAACUAUUAAAGUUCAGACCGGGUGAAAAUCUGAUAACUUUAAAAUAUCUGAACAAGACAAAGCCAAAGGUCUUGUCAAGUUGAUCCAUCACAAACUACAACUUGUUAGGCAAGAGUUGAUUCACACCGUGUGUGUUUGUGUGUGUGCACUGGCGUUUGCAGGUGUGUGUAAGCUUCAUCAGCCUAAAAUGCUUUAUUCUUUACUCUGCAAUAUGCACAACUUUCACCUAACAUGAGGCAGGUUGCCCUUCAUAUUUUAUUAAGGUAUCUUUAACAAAUCAUUUUCAUAAAGGAACUAAGCAAGGCAUUCUCCCAUUUACUUACCGGGCUGUGCUAGUUUUGGGUGUGUGGCCACAGUAUAAGUUUAGGUUUUAAGACAGCCAAAUUGUCAAGACUGUUCCUCAACUUAAUGAAUUGAAGAAUCAACCAUAAAACAAGACGUGAAAGGUAUAUGAAGCAAAGAGCUAUAUACCUGAUGCAAUUGAUUCAUUUUAUCCAUUACAAUGUGGCCCAUCUCCUCAACGCUGCUAACAAAAUAAGGAUGUCCAAUGUCUUCAACUUGCCGCUCUGUAUAUGUCGAAACUUCACCAAAAUUCAGCGCAAGGCGAUCAGGUCUCUGAAGCAAAUGUUGAAAUGUAGGCUGCAGUUCAUAACAUUGUUCAAAAAGAGAUCGGCGGCAAAAUACAUAUAGUCCAAGUCGGGCACGGGACAUGGCAACAACCAAUCUUCUAACAUCACGAAGGUGACCCACAAAGCGAGAACGCACUAGAGAGAGCAAAAUAAAAUCAUUUUGCUGUCCUUGAAACUUAUCAACAGUGGCAACCUGUACAUGAGCAUUGAUGAUGAUUAUAAUGAUAUUGAAUAAAUACAUACGUACGUGUAUAUAUAUAUAUGAAAGCCUGCUGCCUGAAUUGCAACAAUGGUGUUAAGAGUAACAAGAUGGCAUUGGUGCAACAAAAGAUGCCCCAUGGAUGGAGAAUUGGUCAUUCCAUGUGCACCAACUCACAUGUAUAGCUUUUAUUUGGCAUUCAAGCAGCUAGAUGAACCUCAUUCUAAGCAAAAGUAUAUAAAUAUGUGAAAAUCAACCUUUAGAAAAAUUACUCAUUUUUCAUGUCAUUAUGCCUAGUUAAUGUAAGAGAAGCAAUCAAGCAUCUUACCUUGCAGGGUGGGCCUAUAAAGUCAUAAGGGACGCAUCUUCUGUUGAUAACAUCACGAAUAAGAAGUUUUUGCCCAUUGUAAGUGGUCAAUAUGGAGAUCUUGUUUGCAGGAUAACCAAGCAAACGCAUGUAUAUAUAAACACUAACAAUGUAUUCAGCCUCUCCCUCAUUUUGAUAGAACCAGGGAGAAGGAGCAGUCUCACCUCUCCCAUGAUAAUCAGGCACGUCCACUAACUGGUAAUCAUAGGAGAACCCAGCAUUUGCAUUCUUAAAGAUAGCCCCCUCCUUUACAUAAGGAAGGUCUCCCAAAUCUCUGUAUCUCCAAUUGUAAAGCUUAGCUAUGCUUGGCCUGGCUCUACCCUGGGCAUUGAGCUCAAUAUAAGGAAUACCCAGCCGAACAAACCUAGUGAAUAAGCUCUGAUCCAUGUGGCUAUACUUCUGAAAAGCCAUGUUUUUCACAACAGGAGGCAACUGGUGAUGAUCACCAAUCAGUAUGCAGCGUUUAAGACGUGCGUGACCAUCCUCCUGCCUCUGAAGUAACAUUGGUAUGAAAGUUUCAAUCUCCAAUAUUUGGGCACUUUCUUCCAUCAGCAAGUUGUCAUACUUAAAACCCAACUGGAGGAAGUCCUUUCUCUUCAGAGCUGCAUGUGUACAGGUCAUUGCCACUAUCUUUGCCUGUUUUGUCAUUAGGUAAUUUGCUCGAUCAGCAGUUGAUUUGAGCAAUUCAAAAGCCCUACACUCUUCUAGUUCUUGGAACAUAGUCUUAAGAUGACGAAAGCACCCUUUUGCUGCCCGCAUGUCUUUCUCAAAUGAUUGACCAGUAAAAACUGGCUGAGGGGUGUUGGAGAAGAACUCCUUAAAAGGAAAACGGUCCUGGACAAGUGUUGGUUUAUCUUCGUUAUCCGCACAAGUAGCAAGGAAUUGCCCAACGUGAAUAUACAUGCAGUAACCAAAAGUAUCCAGCAGUUUCACAAGUAUAAGCUACAUCCUCAGGAAGUUGGAGAGAUCUUGCAAGCCUCUCCACUUCGCUAAGCAAUUCCAACCGUCGAACAAGCAUUGCAUUGACACGCCCUUGCCUACUGAAGUCAAGAUCAGUUGCUAGUUCUUGUUCACCUUGACCAAGUCGAAGAAGAUACCGUGCUGGCACAUCUCUCUAAGAAAACGAUGAAAACGUUCCAGGCAUUAAGGCAACAUAUACACGAAAUAAGCUUUUCUAGAUACAGAACAGGCUUUAAUAUCAAGAACACCAGUGAAUGCUCCAUAUCAAGAGUGCAAAACUCAAGGGAUCAUAUUCACAAUAACAACUAUCUAAAUUACUAGUCUUUAUGUCAAUAUCCACGUGAAUAUAUUUCAAACCUAAUACCUGCAUUAUCUUCUCAAACAGGUCAUUCAAGGCCUGGUUGGAAUGGGUGAUUAUUAAUGUUCUCUGGGACGGACAAUUAUGAUAUAGAACAUUCAUGAUUUGCACGGCUGUAUCAGUCUUUCCAGUACCAGGAGGCCCCACAACCAUGGUUAGUCCUGGCUGGAUACCAGACAUGAUCGCUCCAAUCUGCAUAAGAAAAACAAAUGCAAUCAUUCAAAUAGAAAGUAAAAGCAUGUUUCUUAUCCAUCAUUAUCCACUUCAAUGCUUGUCAACCUUGUAAGUGAAAAAAGAGACCAUGGUGCCAACAUUUAGAAGAAUCUGUUAGAUUAUAAACCCCCAAUGUAGACACAUAAAAGCUUAAGAAAAUGAUGGACGUCAAAAGCAACAAAAAGUUCAAUUAUCCAGUAAAUCACAAAUAGUUGAACUGUUUCUCAUUGCAGAAGUAAUGUGUUUGAAACUUGGAUUUGCACCCAUUUUUACAAACAAUAAAAAGCAAAGAGAGAAGAGAAACUAACAAAGGAUUCCACCCAUUAAAUAAAUACCGAAAGAUCCCACAGACUAUGUAAAUGAGUUGCCAUUCACCUGUGUCGAUGUAAAUCUGACUGAAUUCUGGUUUGGCUGAUCUUGAGGAUAAGGUCCUGGAUCAGGAGGAAUGUACGCCUCAACAAUAAGUUCUUCUUUUUCCCUACCAGAAUCCACCAUAUUGAAACCAUUUUUGGAAUCAAUAGUAGAUUUCUCAUUCCCUGGAAUUGCAUGAGUGUAGCCCUUCAAUUUUUCUGGAAGCCUAAUUCGAAAAGGAGGUCUUGGAUUCAAGUUAGCCGAACCAUCUGGAUUUACAAAACAAACCUGCAGAAAAGAAAGAUGAGUACGUUGUAAAUUUAUGUUUCUCUUUAGAAUGAACAUACUAGGGAAAAUCAGCAUUCACCACACACCAUCUUUUUAAGGCAUUAACCUCCUUAAAAUGUGUUUUAUUGUCUCUAAACAACAGAAAUUUAUGUGACUUAGAAAAUUUCCACCUGUAAAAGGCAUUGCCAUUGCAACCAUAUAGCUCAUGAAUGAUCCCACAAUCAAAAAUUUCGCUGUAGACUACAGAAAUGCUUAAAACUCAUGGAUAAUGAAGGACUACAAGAAUUAAUGUCUGAUUAUAGUCUUAAAUUAUAUUCAAUAUUUUUUUGCAGUACUAUAUUUGCUAAAGAGCAGCCAAAAGUAGCUUUUAUUUGGAAUCUAAUUACAUUUAUAUUCCAUAGGGCUUCAUGUAGUCUACUUUUCCUGUCAUUAUAGGGUAUAGAUUUUUCAAUUUUCUUAUAGGUUUGGUACAUAUAUAGAGCAUCAUAUUUACACAUUUAAAAACAAUUGUAUGAAUACUGACUGAUCAAAUAAAACAAAUUAAAGGGAACAGAAAAGGAAGAAAGCUACAAAACCUCAUUUGCACCUUAUGAUGAUAAUCAACUUAAUAAAGUGUUUGGAAGGAAGGGAGAUGACUCCCUGAUGUGGACAGCAAAAGAAGCAAGAAUGAUGACUUUUUAUAGGCAAGGGUAUUUCUGUAAUUUUCAUUUUAUAUGGGAAAUCUGAAAAAUUGUCUAAGUCUAGGUUAUUUUCUAUUUAGUAUUCUAUCGGUUCUAAAGUAACUAGCUUCAUCAGGUUUCCUAUUCCAAACAGGAAUAGUUAUGUUAGAGGUUCAGGAAUCCAUGUCCUUGUUGGAUUUGGACAGCUAAAACUCUAUAAAUAAGCAUGCAGUCUAUCAAUAUUUUAGAAUGCAAUGAUAUCAAAUAAUUUCCAUCAAAGCUUUGAUUGCAUGACUCAAUCUCUUCUUAGGAGCGACUCUUAAGAACCAUAGGUGUGACUCCUACAACCUUUAAUUUCCAUCAAAUCUUUGAUUGCAUGACUCAAUCUCUUCUUAGGAGCGACUCUUAAGAACCAUAGGUGUGACUCCUACAACCUAUCUACAUCCUUGUAUUCCUUCAUAAAUUCACAACAAUACAGCCCUAAACAACUGCUAAAAGUCAAGAUUCAGAAAAGCCCCUAAGCUGUCCUGCAUCACUUCCCCUAUCUCAGUAUGUUAGCAAGAGCCUAUAUAUGCAAAUAAAAGGGGAAAUAAAAACCAAAGUCCAAUCAUAGAAGCAAAGAAUAAGCAAUACGAACCUGGUGAUCUGGGAAACUCUCCUUUAAAUGGUCUGCAUCCAAGAAAGUAUCUUUGAAAUCUACUUUCUGAAGAUGAUCAGGCAUUUUGGUCCAUUGUGCUGCAGAAGGAUCCCCAUAGCCCAGAAAAAUGUUGUGCAACCAGUCAGGAACAAUACAAUAUUCAUUCAUAAGAUCUCUUAUAGAUUCUAAGAUUGCUUUGAAGUUAUUUUCCUUAGGUUUCCUCCUCAUCAGCACAUUAAAUGUCCCAUAAAUGUCUUCAGCACCCCUCUCUGCAAUAUCCGUGACAUCCAUGUGGUACUGGGCUGUAUCUAAAGCAACGGUUACAGUUCUAAGUUCACCUUUUGGUGGUUUCCACUCCUCCCUUUUAAUUCUUCCUGUGAAAUCAUUCAUGAGUGUUCCCUCCUCAUCACGGAUCUCAAUAAUUUCACAUCCCCGCACAUAUUGGAGGCCAAGCCUCUCUGGAACACUGGCCUUCUCAGCUUCCUCGGCACUUAGAGGCUCAAAUGAUGGGCGAACUGAAAGUAAGAAUAAAACAUCAUGCUCCUUCAGAGCAUUCCAUUCAGAUCUUAUUCGUGCUUUAUAACUCGAAAUGCUAAAAGUAAUUUUUGCUGUCACAGAUGAUGGCUUGACUUCACCAAUAUUUGGCUGUUUGACCUCGGUGAUCUUAAAUUCUUUUAUUGGCACAGCCAUUCUUGACCAACCACGAAAAGCAGUCUCUCCCUCAUUAUUAAUGUAUGGAAGGAGAUGUGGUGUGGCUUCCUGAAUAUCUUCACGAAUCUCAUAUGUUGAUUCAAGCCGGAAGAGAUUAAAAUUUCUUAAAAGGUAAUCAUGAAGUGUUAAAAACUGCAGAUUAAGUUUAGGAAGUGCCAGACAACCUUCUCCAGAAUAGUUAAUGCUAGGCACAACACUCUCAUCCCACAUAAUCUGUUCAUUUGGAUAAAGCGGAAGAGCAUUUAUUGCUUCUUUUUGAGACUGCUGUCUCUCAAAGAAGGAGACCAUGACUUCAAUAAGAAAAUCAACUCUUUCAGACCAGGGAUCUUCCGCGGAGACCAGUUUGAGCUGGUAAAAGAAGUUAAAAUGUCAGUGAGUAGAUGUCUACUUGUUCCAGUAUCAGCACACUUGCACAUUGAUCAAUGCAAAAACUAAAAUUCAAAAAGAUCUGAACUUUUCGCACUACAACAUCUACACUUCAGACUUGAACAGACAUGUGGCAACAAAAAAGCCAGCAAACUGACAGCUGAUUUUUGACAGGCUGUCUUUUAUAUACAAAAAGGCGUGGUGGGUUGAACAAGUUAAAACAUUCUCGUUAGACAUAACAUAGACAAAGAGUUCUUCUCCCUGUGAUUGAUUGUCUACCUCUGCAGCUUUUACAUUCGAUUUAUAGAAGGAAAAAAAAAAGUAUUAUGAUUAUCUAAGAAGUCAGUGGCACCCCCUUUUUUCUAUCUGAUUUGGCGUUAGAACUUUAUAUGUAUCGAACUUUUAGCAUUUUCCUUGCAUAUAUACUCCACUCAAUGAUAUUCUUAGUAUAUUAGCUAUCAAAAGUUUAGGACUUUGAUUUCAUGAAAAUAAUAAAGCUAUGAAGUUCUACUUGAGUUCCAAUUACCAAUUAAACAAGCAGCAAUUUACUUUAGGCAGUUACAAAUAAGUUUGAUUGAAUAUUAAUAGGCGCAUUGCACUAUAAGUUGCAAACAACUCUAUACCAUAGUAAAGACCAAUCAAAGUAAUAACAAAUGAGCAUACAUGGAAGCAUAACAUGAUGACAAUAACCAAUUAUGAAAUAACACUAGCAUGGAGUAGAAAAAUCAGCUGAGAUAAAAUGGAGAACAUUAACCUAGUUGGAGUAUCAUCCUUCACAUACCUUACAGCAAACCAAGUCCUUCAACUCUUCGGGAGAGAGCACAGACAAUUUCUUGGAGAGAUCAGCUCGCUUGUGGAUUGCACCAACGUUAGACAAUGCAAGUUCUCGCAGCUACAACCAAAGUGGGUUGUUUAUAAAAUUAAUACAAAGAAUAGAAAUCAAAAGAUAAUUAAUGUCACAAGAAAGAUCAACUAUAAAAAGCUGCAUCCAUUUGCAACAGACAGUAGUUAGAAUUUCAGCAGUUACAUAUGAAAUACCUUGGGAAUUUUCUUAAAGGCAAGGAGCUGGAAGGCUUGGAAACGCUCAUAAUGAGAUCGAACCACUUCAUCAUCUGUUAAUUGUGUGCCAUAAUAAUCAUUAAUCUCAAACCGCUCAUAGAACUGCAGCAAGUCAACCAGUUGAGCAAAGAGUUUCCCUUUUUCAUGUCUGUAGAGAGCACUUAAAUGACAUUUCGCAACAACAGCAACAUCAGCUACAAGAGGCCUCAGAUACCUAUACAUGGUAGAAAAUGAAGAAAAGGGAAAAUAAAAAACAUAGAAUGAAAUAAACUGGUGUAUGGAGAAUAUCAACAUCUUGAAAGCAUAAGAUGCACUUGUAAAGCAAGAUUGGUUUUGAAUUAGAAAAAUUCAAGACAUGAACUAUAUAAGAACCAGCCUGUAAUAAUAAAAAAACUUGAAGAAGAAAACAAAGCUAAGUGAAAAUGAAACAGAGAGAGAGAAAGAGGAUGAGAGAGAUGAAUAUACCUCCUUGUUGGCAGUUGACUUAACAGAUCAAUUAGAAACUCCAUAAACCUCUCACAAUACAAGACUGCAGCAUCAUCAAUUUCAUAUUCAUUAGCAGAGCUUUUCUGGGGAAAAACUUUGAAAUCAAGCACCUAAGAGAGGGAUAAAAACAUAAUAGGUUAGCUUUGAAACAUGUUCCAGGGGAAAAAAACAGAUACCGACUGCAUUGUGUUUUAAGGUAAGACUUUACAUCAAGAAACUCUUCAGUGAAAUUCCUCAAAAACCUCACUUCAAGCGAGGUUGACGGGUUGAAAACUUCUCCUCGUUUAGUUGCCUCUUCAGCCUCUUUUCUUAUGGUCUUUCUCCAUUUCUUAAUCAAUUUAUUAUUAAGACAAAGCUCCAUCUGCAACCAAAAGAAACAAAUUAUAGGCUUAGUAGGCUAAACGGCAUACAAGCAAGACUGUUAGCAAAAUAGGAUUACACAGAGCAUAAAAAUCUCACCUGAAAGCGGCCAUAUGACAAACUGUGCCAUGACUCAAAACUUGCUAAUCUGAGGACCGUCUGACUCACCAUUUCAUCUUCCAAACUCUAUGCGGCGAAGUUGUUAAAUGACACAAGAAGAAAAAUUAAAAUUAGAGUAUGAUCCACUAUUCCUCAACAGAACAAAUGAGCCAUUCCAAAAACAAAAGGAAAAAUGGCAUUCAAUAGAGAAGAUCUACAUGAUUUCUAGUGCACUUUGGUACUCAACUGCGACGCAAAUGAGCCAUUACAUGAUGCUACAUGGGGAUGCAUGGUAUGCCAAAUUCCAUCAAAACAAAAAAACCUACCAGAGGAAUUAUCAAAAUAAAAGGAAAGGGGAAAAAAAGAACGUGUAGGAAAGCAGCACACCUGAAAGGCAUUAAUCAUGAAAACUAGGUAAUUUGUCUUCUCUGCUGUACUCAACUCUCUCCCCUGAAACAGCAUUUAAAACAUCAUCAAUCAAUUUAACAUGGUAGUUCUGAAGCAUCACCUGCUUGUACAAAACAUCUCAUAUGAAAUUAAUUAAGAACAAAACCCAAAUAUAAUUACCAGCAGAAUUUGAAAUAAAAAUUGUAACACAGUAGACCUGUUUAUUAGAAUUUAAUUUUUAGUAUGUCCCUCCUGGCAAAGUUUUAACACUGGCAAAUUAUAUGGUCAAAUACUUAAAGAAAAGGUCACGAACCUCCUUCAGGUGAAGAACUCUAUCAAGAAAUCUUUUGAAGACAUCCUUCCGGUCAUAAAAGCAUGACCAAGCUGCCACAUUUUCUCGAAACUGCAAUUUACAGAGACAAUAUUCAUGAAAACAUUAAUUCUUUCAUCCAAUUAAAUUCAUACUUGAUAAUAAAAAAUAGAAAAAAAAAUACGGCAUGAUUGCUAUAACAAAAGAAUACACCAAAACCAAAAUUUCCUCUAAUCACAUCUUCCCCAACUUUCGUUCUUCAACCAUCAAGCACAACAGUAGCAAAUGAAAGAUACAAAAAUAAAUAAAUAAAAUGCAGGGUUUCACUAUGAACCCAAGUCCUCACUUGACAAAACCUAGUACAUCUUCUUGACUUCAGCUGACUCAAAUUUUCAAUUCAUCAAGCUUCCACUCUCAAAAAUUCCAUCUCAAGAUCAAGUUAAAUUAUACAAAUAUAACACUUCAAAUCAACUUAAGAAUUACCUCCCCGUUUCCAAUUUCUCAUAUAUUUAAACAAACAGAAAAAUACAAAAAACCCAUUAUUCCUUUCUCAUUUUCAGUUUCCACAGCUAGCCCCCAAAAAACCCUAAACUUCAUUACUAAUUCACAUCCAGCGAAACACACACAAGCAAUAAACCUUAAAUAAAUCACUAACCUUCUCAUUAAUCAUAAGAAUCAUAGACAUGACAUGCUCAAACGUUGCCGUUUCAGGAUCAAAAUUGGGCCAUAAAUAAUUCUCCAAAUACUGACUAACUUCCAAAAUCAUCACUCUCUGCAAAGGCACAGUCUUUCUCCCUUCUUUCACCUUCAACUCCGUCUCAUAUAUCUUCUUCACCAGUUCCGCAUCAAACCCCCUCCUCUCCUCCUCUUCCACCACCAUGUCUCCGCCAUCCGCGACAGCAGAAGUGGUCGUUUUGAGCCAGUUUGCGGAGGCAAUCUUGGUCAAUCUGUCGCGUUGAAUCUCGGAGAGAGUGAUUGAGCUGGGGAGAGUUGUUGAACCGGGUUUGGAAUCGGCUGAUUUGGUCUCGGUUCGGGUUGCAGAGAGGUCGAGUGGGUACUCGGCCACGUGGUGGCGCUUGAAAUCGUAAGCGCCGGUGCCGUAUACUUUCGUCAUUUCUUAAGUUACUGAGACGAGCGCGAAAUUUAGGUUUUUUUGUUUUCAAUUCAAAGGUGACAUUAGGGAUUUUCAGAGUAUACAGAGAGAGAGAGAGAGAGAGAUAAACCCUGGUGGAUUAGUG
rnacentral:lncRNA from 1 species